rnacentral:lncRNA from 1 species
UUGACUUGAAGAAAGAAAUGGAGCCAAAGGAGGAGUUGGGUUGAGUUUGGGUCUUGAGCAAGAAUAGGGACAAGAUCUUAAGAGAUUGUCUAUCAAGGCUUCAUGAAGGUUUAGAGAAGUCUAGAAGUGUCAUGAAGGCUGUGCAAAGAUAGGGUUUGAGUCCAGGAGGGACUUAGACACCAUUUGGAGACAGAUGGGUGAUGGUGCAAAGAUAGGGCGACCAGAUGAUCAGACGGUACGGACGGUACAAAACUGGACGGGCCGGGCAAUCUUAGGGCGACCCAAACCGAGUCAGGUCUAACCAUUGGAGAUGUUUGGGUGAGAUGUGCAAAAAUAGGGCGAGGUACGGACAGGCGGUACGUACCAUCAACCGUACUUCACCCAGGAUCGACCAGAAGUUGUGCAAACUUAGGGCGUCGGUUUAGAGAGCGAUUAGGCGACCUUGUCUGAUUGUAAUCAGACUGUUUGUGGAUAAGGAAGAGAGAGGACGUGGUCAACAAGGACAGGCUGUCAAGAGGUGUAAAAGGAAAGCAAAGGGGACCAUGUAUCUAGCUAAAGAAGUGGGAAGGUUCAUGGGAGCCUUUGAGGAACCAAUCAGAAGCCUGCCCUUGCCUUGACCAGUUUGAAUGGACCAAUCACCAGCCAGCCUUCCUUAACCAAUCAGAAGCCAUCACCAAGAUUGCAAAGACCAAAACAAGACUACAUCCAAGCCAUCCAUUUCACAAGUCAUUUCUAGCCAUUAGAUUAAGGGUUUCUAAUGUUUCAAAGUGUAAAGCUUAUAAAAGCAUGUGUAUGGACGAAAAUUAAAGCUCUUAAGAGAGUAUGGGGGAUUUCCCCAUCUCCUUCAUAUUAUAAAGUAUGUUCUUGAUCAGAUUCUCUUAAUCUCUCCCUUUCUUAGUCUCUAAUCUCUUAAUCUCUCAAAGUCUCUUUGUUUCUGAUCUAAGUUCAUACUAGUUCAUCAGAUUCUUUCUUCACCAUUUCAAGACUCUAUUCUGCCCUAAGAGGCUUGUUCUUCACACACACAUCCUAGACUCUUAAAUCUCAUAUGGUAUCAGAGCCAGGUUCAUUAGAACUUGGUUCAAGCUUCCGCUAAGCUCAAGGCUUCUCCCAUGUCAUUUCCAAACCAAGAAGAAGCUUCAUGUUCAGCCUGCUGUAAAACCUCUCCAAGAAGAAGGUGGGCUCAUACAUGGCGUCCAGUAGCUGUCUCUGGUUGUUCUCCACGUUCUCAUGUCCACCCUUGAAGAAAGAAGGCCUUGGAAGCAAAGGUUAUGAAGUGGUCUAGCUAGCCUCUUCAACAAACCAGAUCCAGGCGAGUCUCAUGGUGAUUCUCAUGAAGAAAGGUGGUCUCUUUGACAUGGUGGGUUCAAGAGGAAGGUCCAUGGAAGCAGGAGAUGUUGGGGUCGACACCAACAGCUCAGAUCUUGCCAUGUACUAAGGAGUUUCAAGGAACUAACACUAGUUCCUUGGCUGUAAGGAAAUCUCUUUCUCUUGUAUAAAGCUUGAGUAUUUGAACUGAAAAUUAUAUUAAACUGAUUGUGAUGUGGUGUUGUGAUUGAAAACUUGAGGAUAUAUUAAAGAUUGCUAAAUAAAAUGAAAUGAAUUUAGAAUCUGUCCCAUAAUGCUUAAAAAGUCUUGUUUGGUGGUUGAAAAGUUUAAAAAUGCUUAACCCUGAUUCUAGUGAGGCUUGUUAGGGAGUUAGAAGUUGUCUAAACCUGAUUGCUUUCAUGAAAUGAGAUCACCUAAGGUUAUGCAUUGGGUCUGAUAUUGGUUGUUGAUAGUAGUGCUUAACUAAGGUUCAUAGUGAUGCUUGUUGUGAUUGCUUAAAUCUGCUUGCAUACAUGGAUUGAAACCGUUUUAAAGUUAUUGCAUACUGUCUUGUGGCUGUCUUACAUUGAAGCAUUAGAUUCAUGUCUAAAUUGCUGAGUAAAGAAGCUUUAAAAAUUGCCUAAGUAGCUUGUAUUGAAUCUGUUAAGAUCAUGCUUGUGCUUAGAGAGUUUGCUUGCAAAGAUUAGAACUUGAAAAUGACUUGUUUAAUCUGUUGCAAUGCUUGUGAUAUUGGGAAUCAAACUUGAUGAUUAAUCAAGGAUUGAUCCCAAUACUAUUGUGUCUUAUCUUUGCUGGAGUUUGAGUGAUGUUUCAGGUUCACAAGAAGUGUUCUUUGCUCACCAUCCAUCCGAGUAUAAGAGGAAGACUUGUUGCCCAUUGUGUGUGCAAUGGAGAGUGGUUACUAGUGUGAUAUGGCGCCACUGGUGUGAAGUCUCACUGAAGCUCACUUCAAGCUUGAACCUAGAUUAGGCCAAGCUUGAGGAGGGGAGUUGAGUGAGCUUCCUAGGCAAUCCAAGAAGUCCAUUGCAAGCACCUGAAGAAGGAGCCAUCCGGGUUUAGGCUGUGGCGAGUCUAUUCAAGAGAGUACUCAAACUAAGACAGAGUACUCUUGGCUGUGAGAAGAUUAAGGCUACUCUAUCAAGGCGGCUUCUAGUGUGAGGUGGUUGAAGAGAUAGCUGAGGCUUCCACAAGCAUUCCAUUCAAGAUGGCGAGUUCAAGAAGAGGCUGCAAUGGUGUGUGUGUGUUGAUCAUGAAGCCAUCCGUUCAAGCUUGUUCCUGUGAGAGUCUCAAGCUUGAGGGGGAGUGUUGAAGCUUACAUGAUCAGAAUGAGCUUGGUGGUUAUUCUAGAAGAGGAAGCAACCUGUUGGGAAGUAUGAUGAAGGAUGAAGAAGCAAUGUCCAAGGCGGCUUCAAGUGUUGAGGUGAUUGGAGAGUGGCUGAAACAUCCUCAUGUAGUUCCAGCAACAAGGUGGCGACUCUAGAAGAAGAAGAAGCAGCCAAGACUCAGCAAGAGUGUUGUAUCUCCAAGAAGAGGCUGAUAUGGUGUGUCCGAGCACUUCAACCUAACAAGAGAUUAGGUGAAAGGGGGAGAGACCAAGAUCAGGCAGUAAGGAGAGUACAAGGCGUGGGGAGAAUGAAGAGGCCAUGAUCCAGAGUCUUUGUGUCCCUUACAUUGUUGGUAAGGCACAAAGACUCACUGGCCAAUCCCUAGGCCAUGGAGACUUUACUCUUUUUCCCUCAUCAAGGUUUUGUCCCAAAGGGUUUUCCUUGGUGAGGUUUUUAAUGAGGAAGUUCUUCAAGGUUCCAAGCUUGACUUAGGAUCAGCUAAAGUCAAGCUUGAGGGGGAGUGUUGACUUGAAGAAAGAAAUGGAGACAAAGGAGGAGUUGGGUUGAGUUUGGGUCUUGAGCAAGAAUAGGGACAAGAUCUUAAGAGAUUGUCUAUCAAGGCUUCAUGAAGGUUUAGAGAAGUCUAGAAGUGUCAUGAAGGCUGUGCAAAGAUAGGGUUUGAGUCCAGGAGGGACUUAGACACCAUUUGGAGAUAGUUGGGUGAUGGUGCAAAGAUAGGGCGUCUCGAGGUUCAGACGGUACUGACGGUACGGACAAACCGUGCAAACUUAGGGCGACCCAGAACCUGAUCACACUCAACCAUUGGAGAUGUUUGGGUGAGAUGUGCAAACUUAGGGCGCGGUACGGACAGGCGGUCCGUACCAUCAACCGUACUUCACCCAGGAUCGACCAGAAGUUGUGCAAACUUAGGGCGUCGGUUUAGAGAGCGAUUAGGCGACCUUGUCUGAUUGUAAUCAGACUGUUUGUGGAUAAGGAAGAGAGAGGACGUGGUCAACAAGGACAGGCUGUCAAGAGGUGUAAAGGGAAAGCAAAGGGGACCAUGUAUCUAGCUAAAGAAGUGGGAAGGUUCAUGGGAGCCUUUGAGGAACCAAUCAGAAGCCAGCCCUUGCCUUGACCAGUUUGAAUGGACCAAUCACCAGCCAGCCUUCCUUAACCAAUCAGAAGCCAUCACCAAGAUUGCAAAGACCAAAACAAGACUACAUCCAAGCCAUCCAUUUCACAAGUCAUUUCUAGCCAUUAGAUUAAGGGUUUCUAAUGUUUCAAAGUGUAAAGCUUAUAAAAGCAUGUGUAUGGACGAAAAUUAAAGCUCUUAAGAGAGUAUGGGGGUUUUCCCAUCUCCUUCAUAAUUAUAAAAGUGUGUUCUUGAUCAGAUUCCCUUAAUCUCUCCCUUUCUUAGUCUCUAAUCUCUUAAUCUCUCAAAGUCUCUUUGUUUAUGAUCUAAGUUCAUACUAGUUUCAUCAGAUUCUUUCUUCACCAUUUCAAGACUCUAUUCUGCCCUAAGAGGCUUGUUCUUCACACACACAUCCUAGACUCUUAAAUCUCAUAUGGAGGAGAGCUAGUUGAUAUCUGAUUGGUUUAUUCAAAUUGGUCAUAGGGAAGGCUGUUCUCCCAUUGGCUCCUUAUAGGCUCCCAUGUAUCCAGCCCUUAAUCAGAUCAGGUUCAUGGUAAAGGCUGUCUUUCACUUUACAGCUACAGCCAGCCUGUCCAUACUCCAAAGUAGCCAAUCAGCUCCAUCUCAGCUCUCAUUGGCCGCUUGCCUUCACAAGGGAUCUCCUUGAUUCCCUUUUGAUGCUCCACGACCAGACUCCUUUUACUCAGCCCUAAGUGUGCACAAAGCCUCCAUGACAUGUUCUGAUCACGCCCUAACUUUGCACAUCUUGUCCCGGACUUUGCACAAUCUCAAAACAUCUCAAAUGGCCAAGUUGUGUAUCCUCGGGUUGUCUCGGUCCGUACGGAUCCGUACAGGUCCGUACCAUCCGUACUGCCUCGCCCUAAGUAUGCACACUUGCCCAUUUGCUCCCAAACACUCUUCUAAGUCCCUCCUGGACUUGGCCCUAUCUUUGCACAGCCAUAUGAGCACUUCUGGACACCUUCAAACACUCCUAAAGUAUUCAUAGAUAAUCUCCGGAGGUCUUGCCCUAUUCUUGCUCAAGACUCAAUCUCAACUCAACACUUCACCACUCCAUUUCUUUUCUUCAAGUCAACACUCUCCAUCUGAACCAUCCAUUUAAACUUCAAGUAUUAUCAGCCAUUAGAUUUAGGUUUAUGAUUUGCAUCUUGUAAGAGCUUAUAUAAGCUUAGUAAUGGCGAUUUGUAAAGGUUAAGGGAGUAAGGGGGAUUUCCCCUCUCCACUUCAUGGAAAUAAGAAGUUGUGUUCUUGAAUCAGAUUCUCUUUAAUCUCUCCCUUUCUUAGUCUUUAAUCUCCUAAUCUCUCAAAGUCUUUUGUUUCUGAUUUAAGUAAACACUCUCAUCAAUCUCUCUUUCUAAAUCACCUAGAGCAAGCUCUCAUCUUUCUCCAUUGGAGUUUAUACACACACAAACACAACUAGAGAAGAGAACUCUAUAAAUCUCACAUGGUAUCAGAGCCAGGUUCAUCAGAACCUGAGCUGUAGCUUCCGCAAAUCACUUGCUCUCACCUCAGCUCAAUCCAAACCCUUGAAGCCUUUCCCAUCCGAGUUCAGUUUCUCCAUGAAGUAGAAGACUGAAGCUGGCGUGGCUCUUAUCCUUUCUCCUGUCCAUACUGAUGGAGAGACUCAUUGGAAGCAGAGGUGUAUGGAGAGGCCUCGCGAACCUCAUCCUAGGUGCCUUGUCCAAGAGCUUUCCCAUCCGGUUCAUCAAGCAAGCUGCCAAGAAGGUGGCGCCUAGAAGAGAAGGAGAAAGGAGGGGUCUUUGAGUUAGAGAAACAAGGAGGAAGUCAUGAACUGAAGGAGAAGGAGAGAGGUGACGACCUAGACUCUCAUAUCCACAAAGUCAUGAGCUUACCAUCCGAGAGUGAUAGAAGGACCAACCUGGUUCCUUGGCAGUAAGCGAUUCUUUAAACCUUAAGUGAUAAUGAGCUUGUGAUAAAAUCUGGUUGUUGUGUUGUGAUGUGAUUGAAAACCUGAGGAUUGUUUAAAGAUUGCUAAAUGAAUUUAGAAUCUAUCCCAGGAUGCUUAAAGAGACUUGUUUGGUGAUUGAGAUUGAUUUUAAAAUGCUUAGCUCCGGUUCAUUGUAGUGCUUGUUGUGAUUGAUUGAAUCUGCUUGCAUACAUGGAUUGAAACUGAAUUUAAAGCUGUUGCAUAUAGNNNNNNNNNNNNNNNNNNNNNNNNNNNNNNNNNNNNNNNNNNNNNNNNNNNNNNNNNNNNNNNNNNNNNNNNNNNNNNNNNNNNNNNNNNNNNNNNNNNNNNNNNNNNNNNNNNNNNNNNNNNNNNNNNNNNNNNNNNNNNNNNNNNNNNNNNNNNNNNNNNNNNNNNNNNNNNNNNNNNNNNNNNNNNNNNNNNNNNNNNNNNNNNNNNNNNNNNNNNNNNNNNNNNNNNNNNNNNNNNNNNNNNNNNNNNNNNNNNNNNNNNNNNNNNNNNNNNNNNNNNNNNNNNNNNNNNNNNNNNNNNNNNNNNNNNNNNNNNNNNNNNNNNNNNNNNNNNNNNNNNNNNNNNNNNNNNNNNNNNNNNNNNNNNNNNNNNNNNNNNNNNNNNNNNNNNNNNNNNNNNNNNNNNNNNNNNNNNNNNNNNNNNNNNNNNNNNNNNNNNNNNNNNNNNNNNNNNNNNNNNNNNNNNNNNNNNNNNNNNNNNNNNNNNNNNNNNNNNNNNNNNNNNNNNNNNNNNNNNNNNNNNNNNNNNNNNNNNNNNNNNNNNNNNNNNNNNNNNNNNNNNNNNNNNNNNNNNNNNNNNNNNNNNNNNNNNNNNNNNNNNNNNNNNNNNNNNNNNNNNNNNNNNNNNNNNNNNNNNNNNNNNNNNNNNNNNNNNNNNNNNNNNNNNNNNNNNNNNNNNNNNNNNNNNNNNNNNNNNNNNNNNNNNNNNNNNNNNNNNNNNNNNNNNNNNNNNNNNNNNNNNNNNNNNNNNNNNNNNNNNNNNNNNNNNNNNNNNNNNNNNNNNNNNNNNNNNNNNNNNNNNNNNNNNNNNNNNNNNNNNNNNNNNNNNNNNNNNNNNNNNNNNNNNNNNNNNNNNNNNNNNNNNNNNNNNNNNNNNNNNNNNNNNNNNNNNNNNNNNNNNUUCGUCAUUCUAAUCAAACCAGGAUGAAUCGCGAUGUAAGAACCUUCAUUUGGAUACAUAAAGUAGUGUAGAAUCACCAGGAAGUUGAAUAAAUCUCAUAGGAGUUAGGAUGAAGAAGUUAUCCCACUUUCAAAUAAGGUUAUCCCAGUUUCCCUGUUUGAGAAUAUGACAACUUCUUCGUCAUUCUAAUCAAACCAGGAUGAAUCGUGAUAUACAAAGCUUGAUUUGGAUACAUAAAGUAGUGGAGAAUCAUCAGGAAGUUGAAUAAAUCUUAUAGGAGUUAGGAUGGAGAAGUUAUCCCACUUUCAAAUAAGGUGAUCCCAGUUUCCUUGUUUGGGAAUAUGACAACUUCUUCGUCAUUCUAAUCAAACCAGGAUGAAUCGUGAUAUACAAAGCUUGAUUUGGAUACAUAAAGUAGUGGAGAAUCAUCAGGAAGUUGAAUAAAUCUUAUAGGAGUUAGGAUGAAGAAGUUAUCCCACUUUCAAAUAAGGUGAUCCCAGUUUCCUUGUUUGGGAAUAUGACAACUUCUUCGUCAUUCUAAUCAAACCAGGAUGAAUCGCGAUGUACAAAGCUUGAUUUGGAUACAUAAAGUAGUGGAGAAUCACCAGGAAGUUGAAUAAAUCUCGUAGGAGUUAGGAUGAAGAAGUUAUCCCACUUUUAAAUAAGGUGAUCCCAGUUUCCCUGUUUGGGAAUAUUAUUGUUGAGAUGAAGAGUGUCAAGUGAAGAAUAGAGAUGAGGGUUGAGUAGAAUGAAGAAUAGGAAGGAUAGGAAGGUUUGGGAGCUUUGGGAUCAGCCUGUCCGUACAAGGCCGUACAUGGCCGUACAUGACAGGACAGGCCGUACAAGAUAGGAUCGACCAAAGCUCAACCAACCCUCACCAUAAGUUAUCCGAGUUACUUAAGUAAAGAGGAGAAGUUACCUUGGCCUUUGUGGGUGGAUCAGACCGUUGGAAAGGAUAAGGGAGAGUCUUGGAUAGGCUGGCACAGCUGGACACGGAAAAGCGAAAGGUAUGAGCCAGCUAAUGAAGGCUCACACGCGCGGCUCACCUCAUUGGACAAGUUUGAAAUGGCCAUUGACUCCACAUGCUUACCUUAUCCUCUUAGCUACGAAAACCCUAGUCUCUUCUCUUAUAAAGUUGUAAACACUCUCAUUAAUACAAUCAAGCAAGUUAUGAGUCUCUCUUAGUCUUUCUAAAACUCUCUCUAGACUCCAAAUCUUAUUUCAGACUUUAAUCUUUUCUAAACUCAUUUUAAUCUUCUCUAAACACUCAGAUUACUCUUAACAUCACUAAAACUAUCAUGGUAUCAGAGCCAGGUUAGUGAGAGCCUGAGGUCGUGUGAGAUUCUUUGAAGUUACAAGUUUGAAACUUUGAAGAAACUCUUGUGUGUUCUUAUGUGUUUGAGAGGUUCUGGGUACUUUUCAAGUUCAAGACUAGUUGUGGUGUGUUGUCUGAAGCUGCGUGGGUUGAAGAUCGAGGCUGUGAAGGUUUCUACAAGUCAUUCAACUCAAGAUAGAGUUCCUGAAGCUUAGAGAGUUCAUCAUUCAACAUGGAGAGUGGGAUGAACAUGAACAUGAAGGUAGCCGUGUGUUUCAAGGGAAACAACUACUUGGUAUGGUCAAGGAUGGUGAGAACCACGGUGGGAAGCAAGGGGUUGUGGAAGCAUAUCAACCCCGGAGAAGCUCCAAAACUCAUCACUCAAGUAGAGGAUGAUGGUGAGGCUGCAAGCAACGCGGCUGAGAAGUGGUAUCAAGAGGACAUGCUGGUGAUGUCAGUGCUUCACGCAUCCCUUGAGCCAGCAAUCUUAGAUGCUUACAGCUACUGUGAGUCUGCUAAGGAACUGUGGGACACACUGAAGAAGGUGUAUGGGAAUACAUCAAACUUGAGCAGGGUGUUUGAGGUGAAGCAAGCGAUUAACAACCUGGUACAAGAGGAUAUGGAGUUCACUAAACACCUUGGGAGAUUCAGAUCACUAUGGUCCGAGAUGGAGAUGUUAAGGCCAAGCACUACAGAUGCAGAUGAGCUCAACAAGAGAAGAGAGCAAGACAAGGUCUUUGGCCUACUUCUCACCCUCAACCCGGCGUAUAAUGGUCUCAUCCAGCACCUGCUUAGAGAAGACACUCUACCUGACCUUGAGGAUGUGUGUGCGCGGAUUCAGAAGGAGCAAGGCUCCAUUGGGUUGUUUGCCAAGAAAGGAGACCUUUCCCUUGCAAGCCAAGCGACUCAAGAGGAAGGGAAUGAAGCUACACAAGCAAAUAAGGCUGCUGCGCAUGGGAAGUAUGAGGAGAGGAGGUUCAAUGGGAACUGUGAUCACUGCAAGAAGCAUGGCCACAAGAAGAGUCAAUGCUGGAUCCUUCACCCACACCUCAAACCGGCAAAGUUCAUGAAGGACCGUGAGGCAAGGGCUAAUGUAUCAGAUGGAACGAGUGGAGCUGGUUCAAGCAAAGGAAAGGAGAUAGAUGGGCGUGAAGGAGGUGAUGGGAAGUCUCUUGUAGCCUACACUGGAGCCCCAAGCAACCGUGGGAACUAUGAUCGAGAGUAUCUAAGGAGAUCCGACCUGGAUGCUCUCAUCAAGCUCUUUAAAGAGCAUGGUAACACAUUUGCUUAUUCCUUUGGUGCUAGGGCUAUAGAGAAUGAUGAGAAUCUAACUAGAACUGAUAGGAUGCAUGAAAGUGUGAUUGAGAUAUUAAACCAAUCUAGAACGGCUAGUUUUGCUAGGAAUGAUCAUGUAUUCAAACCGUCUAGUAUCCUUGCUCAUAUUGCUAGUUCACAUACCAUUAAGCCUUUAGUAGUUGAUUCUGGUGCAUCUCAUCAUAUGAUAAGUGACACUAGUUUAAUUAAAGACAUUGUACCAAUGAAUGGUAAUGUGAUGAUAGCUAAUGGAGAUAAGAUACCUAUUAGAGGAAUAGGAAGUCUUAAACUGUUUGGUAAGGAGACUAAAGCCUUUUAUAUGCCUGAAUUUACUUCAAACUUGUUAUCUGUUAAGAAAUGUGCUACUGAUUUGCAAUGCAAUGUCAUAUUCAGUCCUAAUGAUGUGAAGUUUCAGGAUAUUAAAAGCAGCAAGAUGAUUGGAAAGGGAGUGACUAAAGGAGAAUUGUAUUUACUCAAAGAUCUUGCUCCUGUUUCUAGUUAUAGCUGCUCGUUUACUUCUGUUUCUGGUUCUAGUUUAAGUAAAAAUGCAUUGUGGCAUGCUAGAUUAGGACACCCUCAUAAUAAGGCUUUAAAACUGAUGUUGCCAGGUGUUUCCUUUGAGAAUAAUGAGUGUGAAGCUUGCAUCUUAGGCAAGCAUUGUAGAACUGUCUUUACCAAGUCUACUACUGUUUAUGAAAAAUGUUUUGAUCUUAUUCAUUCUGAUGUUUGGACUGCACCUUGCCUUUCUAGAGACAAUCAUAAGUACUAUGUAACUUUCAUUGAUGAAAAAUCCAAAUACACCUGGUUAACUUUAAUUCCAACCAAAGAUAGGGUACUUGAUGCAUUUAAAAACUUUCAAGCCUAUGUGAUUAACCAUUACAAUGCCAAGAUAAAAAUUUUUAGGUCAGAUAAUGGAGGAGAGUACACGGGACAAGCAUUCAAGCUACAUCUAUCUCAACAUGGAAUACUUCAUCAGACAAGCUGUCCCUAUACACCACAACAGAAUGGUGUGGCUGAAAGGAAGAACAGGCACUUGAUGGAAGUAGCCAGGUCCAUGAUGUUUCAAUCCAAUGUGCCUAAGAAGUUUUGGAGUGAUGCAGUUGCUACGGCUUGUUAUCUCAUCAACAGGACACCAACUCUGAUCCUUCAAGGACAAUCACCAUUUGAGGUAUUGAAUCAGUACAAACCUUCACUCGAGCAUAUGAAGAUCUUUGUAUGUUUGUGUUUUGUGAUGGUGCCUGGAGAGAUAAGAAACAAGCUAGAAGCUAAUAGUUCAAAGGCAAUGUUCAUUGGAUACUCAUCAAGUCAGAAAGGAUACAAGUGCUAUGAUCCUAACACAAGGAGAGUGUUAGUAUCUAGAGAAGUAAAGUUUGUUGAAGAAAAAGGAUAUUAUGAGGAGCAGAUUCAAGAAGAUUUGAAGGAUCUUACAUCUGAUAGAGCUGAAACCUUGAGGUUGAUCCUAGAAGGGCUUGGAAUCAACAUGAAUCAAGGACAUCAGGGGGGGAGAAGCUGUUAACUUGAAGAGAAGAAAUGGAGAAACUAAAGGUGUUGAGUUGAGUUGGGGCUUGUGCAAAAGAUAGGGCAAGGUGUCCAGAAGUGUCAUGAUGGAUGUGCAAUGUUAGGGCCAAGUCUAGGAGAGACUUAGAAGUGUAUUUGGGAGCAAAUGGACGAGUGUGCAAAGAUAGGGAGAGGCAGUACGGACAUGUACGGACAGUACGGAUCUGUACAGACCAGGGCGACCCAGAUUUGCAUAACUCGGCCAUUUGAGAAGUUUAGGAAUUGGUGCAAAAAUAGGGUGAACCUGACGUCCCGGGAAAGCUUGUGCAAUGUCUGGGCAAGGUUUGAGAGUUAUAAAAGUGGUCCCAGUCUUGUGGAUAAGGUUCUGAUCAGAUGGCAUCAAAGGAGAAUCAAAAAGAUGCCAUUGGAGUGUGAUUGGCUAGUUUGGUCAUGGGACAGGCUGGCCUUGGCUGUAAAGACAAGGGGAGCCACGACCAUGAACCUGGACUGAUCUGUGGACAGAUUAUGAGGAGCCUAAGGAGAGCCAAUCACAGCCCAGCCUUCCCCAUUUUGAAUUAAACCAAUCAGGCUCCAUCUCCUCUUAACCAAUCAGCAUCAACUACUCAGAUUGCAACAAGACCAGCUCAUCUACACCAUCCAUUCCUCUUAAGUUAUUAUCAGCCAUUAGAUAUAGGUUUCUGAUUGUGUAAACCUGUGUAAGCUUAUAAAUAAGCAUGAUGGACGAAAUUGUAUCUCUCUAAGAGAGAGAGGGGGAUUUCCCCUCCUCCUUCAUCAAUGAAAGGGUUUUGAAAACCAGAAACACAAAUUUAUUCUCUAGUCUUAAUCUCUCAGUCUCUCAGUCUCUUAAUCUCUGUUUCUAAGUCUCUUAUACACUCAAAAACACUCUUAUCAAUCUCUGUUCUUAAAUCACCAUUAAAAGGCUCAAUUGGAGCUUAUGCACAUUCACACACACAACCAGAGUAGUACUCUAUAAAAACUCAUCAAUCUCUGUUCUUAAAUCACCAUUAAAAGGCUCAAUUGGAGCUUAUACACAUUCACACACACAACCAGAGUAGUACUCUAUAAAAACUCACAUGGUAUCAGAGCCAGGUUCAUCAGAACCUGGUUGAAGCUUCCGCACAUCUCACACUCAUACCUCAGCUCAAAUCAAGCCAUGAAGACAGCUCCAUCCAGUUCAGUUUCUCCAUGAAGAAGAAGACUGAAGCUUGGCGCUUGUUCCUGGUUCCUCAACCUUUCUCAUACCUGUCCUGAUGAAGAGCCACGUUGGAAGCAAAGGUAGAUGGAGAGGCCUAGCUAACCUGACUCCAAAACGCCUUGUCAAGUGUUUGUUGCAUCUGGUUACAAGAAAGAAGAUGUCUAGAAGAUGGUGACUGUAUGUAUGGAGAAAGGAGGGGUCUUUGAGCUGGAGAAACAAGAAAAUGGUCAUGAGUAGAAGGAAGAGAGGUUGGGUGACGACCUGUAACUCUCAGAUCCAACAAGCCAUGACCUUAAUACCAUUGGAGGUUCAAGGAACCAAACAGGUUCCUUGACUGUAAGCUAUUACUAUCCCUUCUUGAUAAUGAGCUUGUGUUAUUGACUGGUUGUGAUGUUGUGAUGUGAUUGAAAACCUGAGGAUUGUUUAAAGAUUGCUAAAUGAAAAUGAUUUAGAAUCUGUCCCAGGAUGCUUAAAGAGACUUGUUUGGUGAUUGAGAUUGAAUUAAUAUGCUUAGCUCCAGUUCAUAGUGAUGCUUGUUGUGAUUAAUUGAAUCUGCUUGUAUACAUGUAAUGAAUCUGAUUGAAAGCUGUUGCAUAUAGUCUUGUGGCUGUCUUACAUUGAAGCAUUAGAUUUAUGUCUAAAUUGCUGAGUAAAGAAGCUUAAAAAAUUGCCUAAGUAGCUUGUAUUGAAUCUGUUAGGAUCAUGCUAGUGCUUAGAGAGUUUGCUUGCAAAGAUUAGAACUUGAAAAUGUCUAGUUUAAUCUGUUGCAUUGCUUAAAGACAUUGGUGUUCAAACUUGAUGAUGCAUCAAGGGUUGACCCAAUGCACUUGUGUCUUAUCUUUGCUGGAGUUUGAGUGAUGUUUCAGGUUCACAAGAGGUGUUCUUGGUUCACCAUCCAUCCGAGUUGAAAGAGGAAGACUUUGCCCAUUGUGUGGAGCAAUGGAGAGUUGAGAAAGAAGUGGUGAUGCGCCACUGGUGUGAAGUCUCACUGAAGCUCACUUGCAAGCUUGGACCUAUACUCAAUCCAAGCUUGAGGAGGGGAGUUUAGUGAGCUAUCAGUCGGACCAAGAAGGUUCAGAAGGUCCAUUGCAAGCAACUGAAGAUGAAGGAGCCAUCCGGGUCUAGGCAGUGGCGUGUAAGAGUUUUAAGUAAUGUAAAAGAUAAUCUGAGUUUAGAUGAGAAUAAGGAAGAGAUUUGUGUAGUUUAAGAGAUUAAGAGACUAAUGGAGAAUCAUUAUGAAAAGUCUAGAGAGAUUAAUUGUUUAGAACUGUCUGAUUCUUAUUAAUGAUGAGCUCACAAUAUAUAUAGGUCCAUACACAUUAGGGUUUUCGAAAUCAUAAGGAUAAGCAAGCAUGUAGAGUCAAAGAGGAGCUGGUGCUUUAGUUUGAACCGGCCAAUGAUAGUCUCCACACGUUUGAAGCAUCUUCUUGAUCCAAGACUAGAUGUUCUUCCUUUCCAGCUCUUGCCAGCCUGUCCUAGCUGUCAAGCCGCGCCUCCCUUAUCCUCUCCAACGUUCGGAUAAGGUCUUGGUCAAGUGUAACUUCAAGUAAGUCCAUGUAAGUUACCCGGAGAGUUACUUGGCCGCUUUUACCUUUGUACGGCCAAUGGUACGGCCUAUCCGUCCGUACCAUCUCUAUCAACCCAUUUCUUCUCUUAACUCCUUUGCCCUCUUUAUGUCCUCAACUCCUUUGUGUCUUUACCUCUUAUCUCAUAUGUCUCAACUCAUCUCAACAGCGUGUCUAGGCAAGAGAGUGUUCAGAGCACUCUUGGCUGUGAGAAGAUGAAGACUUUAUCAGUGCGGCUUCUAGUGUGAGGUGGCUGAAGAGGUAGCUGAAGCUUCCACAAGCACUCCAUGAAGAUGGCGAGUUCAGAAGGUGUUGCAAUGGAGUAAUGGUGCAGAUCAUGAAGCUAUCCAUCCAAGCUUGUUCCUGUGAGAUUCUCAAGCUUGAGGGGGAGUGUUGAAGCUUACAUGAUCUGAGAGUACUUGGUGGUUAUUCAAGAAGAGGAGCAGAUCAGUUAUGAAGCAUAAUGAAGGAUGAAGAAGCAAUCACCAAUGCGGCCUCUAGAGUGAGGUGAUUGGUACUACAGUCUGAAGCAUCCUGUCAUGAAGGUUUCAGUAACAUGUGUUGAAGCUUACAUGAUCUGAGAGUACUUGGUGGUUAUUCAAGAAGAGGAGCAGAUCAGUUAUGAAGCAUAAUGAAGGAUGAAGAAGCAAUCACCAAUGCGGCCUCUAGAGUGAGGUGAUUGGUACUACAGUCUGAAGCAUCCAGUCAUGAAGGUUUCAGUAACAUGGUGGUGACUCAUGAAGAAGAAGCAGCCAAGACUCAGCUUGUAUCUAUCAAAGAAGAUCUGGUAGUCCGAGCACUUGAUCACAACAAGAAGGUUGUGAGAAAGAGGGAGAGACCAAGAUCUGUUUAAAGAAGAGUACAAGAAGUGUUGAUGAUGAGCAAGAGGAGUGGGUUCUAUCUUGCAUCACAUGAGGGCCAUGAUCCAGAGUCUUUGUGUCCCUUACAUUGUUGGUAAGGCACAAAAACUCACUGGCCAAUCCCUAGGCCUUGGAGACUUUACUCUUUUUCCCUCAUCAAGGUUUUGUCCCAAAGGGUUUUCCUUGGUGAGGUUUUUAAUGAGGAAGUUCUUCAAGGUUCCAAGCUUGACUUAGGAUCAACUAAAGUCAAGCUUGAGGGGGAGUGUUAACUUGAAGAGAAGAAAUGGAGAAACUAAAGGUGUUGAGUUGAGUUGGGGCUUGUGCAAAAGAUAGGGCAAGGUGUCCAGAAGUGUCAUGAUGGAUGUGCAAUGUUAGGGCCAAGUCUAGGAGAGACUUAGAAGUGUAUUUGGGAGCAAAUGGACGAGUGUGCAAAGAUAGGGAGAGACAGUACGGACAUGUACGGACAGUAUGGACAUGUACGGACAGUACGGAUCUGUACAGACCAGGGCGACCCAGAUUUGCAUAACUCGGCCAUUUGAGAAGUUUUGGAGUUGGUGCAAAAAUAGGGCGAACCUGACGUCCCGGGAAAGCUUGUGCAAUGUCUGGGCAAGGUUUGAGAGUUAUAAAAGUGGUCCCAGUCUUGUGGAUAAGGUUCUGAUCAGAUGGCAUCAAAGGAGAAUCAAGAAGAUGCCAUUGGAGUGUGAUUGGCUAGUUUGGUCAUGGGACAGGCUGGCCUUGGCUGUAAAGACAAGGGGAGCCAAGACCAUGAACCUGGACUGAUCUGUGGACAGAUUAGGAGGAGCCUAAGGAGAGCCAAUCACAGCCCAGCCUUCCCCAUUUUGAAUUAAACCAAUCAGGCUCCAUCUCCUCUUAACCAAUCAGCAUCAACUACUCAGAUUGCAACAAGACCAGCUCAUCUACACCAUCCAUUCCUCUUAAGUUAUUAUCAGCCAUUAGAUAUAGGUUUCUGAUUGUGUAAACCUGUGUAAGCUUAUAAAUAAGCAUGAUGGACGAAAUUGUAUCUCUCUAAGAGAGAGAGGGGGAUUUCCCCUCCUCCUUCAUCAAUGAAAGGGUUUUGAAAACCAGAAACACAAAUUUAUUCUCUAGUCUUAAUCUCUCAGUCUCUCAGUCUCUUAAUCUCUGUUUCUAAGUCUCUUAUACACUCAAAAACACUCUUAUCAAUCUCUGUUCUUAAAUCACCAUUAAAAGGCUCAAUUGGAGCUUAUACACAUUCACACACACAACCAGAGUAGUACUCUAUAAAAACUCACAUGGUAUCAGAGCCAGGUUCAUCAGAACCUGGUUGAAGCUUCCGCACAUCUCACACUCAUACCUCAGCUCAAAUCAAGCCAUGAAGACAGCUCCAUCCAGUUCAGUUUCUCCAUGAAGAAGAAGACUGAAGCUUGGCGCUUGUUCCUGGUUCCUCAACCUUUCUCAUACCUGUCCUGAUGAAGAGCCACGUUGGAAGCAAAGGUAGAUGGAGAGGCCUAGCUAACCUGACUCCAAAACGCCUUGUCAAGUGUUUGUUGCAUCUGGUUACAAGAAAGAAGAUGUCUAGAAGAUGGUGACUGUAUGUAUGGAGAAAGGAGGGGUCUUUGAGCUGGAGAAACAAGAAAAUGGUCAUGAGUAGAAGGAAGAGAGGUUGGGUGACGACCUGUAACUCUCAGAUCCAACAAGCCAUGACCUUAAUACCAUUGGAGGUUCAAGGAACCAAACAGGUUCCUUGACUGUAAGCUAUUACUAUCCCUUCUUGAUAAUGAGCUUGUGUUAUUGACUGGUUGUGAUGUUGUGAUGUGAUUGAAAACCUGAGGAUUGUUUAAAGAUUGCUAAAUGAAAAUGAUUUAGAAUCUGUCCCAGGAUGCUUAAAGAGACUUGUUUGGUGAUUGAGAUUGAAUUAAUAUGCUUAGCUCCAGUUCAUAGUGAUGCUUGUUGUGAUUAAUUGAAUCUGCUUGUAUACAUGUAAUGAAUCUGAUUGAAAGCUGUUGCAUAUAGUCUUGUGGCUGUCUUACAUUGAAGCAUUAGAUUUAUGUCUAAAUUGCUGAGUAAAGAAGCUUAAAAAAUUGCCUAAGUAGCUUGUAUUGAAUCUGUUAGGAUCAUGCUAGUGCUUAGAGAGUUUGCUUGCAAAGAUUAGAACUUGAAAAUGUCUAGUUUAAUCUGUUGCAUUGCUUAAAGACAUUGGUGUUCAAACUUGAUGAUGCAUCAAGGGUUGACCCAAUGCACUUGUGUCUUAUCUUUGCUGGAGUUUGAGUGAUGUUUCAGGUUCACAAGAGGUGUUCUUGGUUCACCAUCCAUCCGAGUUGAAAGAGGAAGACUUUGCCCAUUGUGUGGAGCAAUGGAGAGUUGAGAGAGAAGUGGUGAUGCGCCACUGGUGUGAAGUGUCACUGAAGCUCACUUGCAAGCUUGGACCUAUACUCAAUCCAAGCUUGAGGAGGGGAGUUUAGUGAGCUUCCAAGCGAUCCAAGAAGUCCAUUGCAAGCAUCUGAAGAAGGAGCCAUUCGGGCUUAGGCUGUGGCGAGUCUAUUCAAGAGAGUACUCAAACUAAGACAGAGUACUCUUGGCUGUGAGAAGAUGAAGGCAACUCUAUCAAGGCGGCUUCUAGUGUGAAGUGAUUGGAGAGAUAGCUGAAGCUUCCACAAGCAUUCCAUGAAGAUGGCAAGAUCAGAAGAGGAGCGGCAAUGGUGUGUGUGUGAGGAUCAUGAAGCAAUCCAUUCAAGCUUGUUCCUGUGAGAGUCUCAAGCUUGAGGGGGAGUGUUGAAGCUUACAUGAUCCAAGAGAGCUUGGUGGUUAUUCUAGAAGAGGAAGCAACCUGUUGAGAAGUAUGAUGAAGGAUGAAGAAGCAAUGUCCAAGGCGGCCUCAAGUGUUGAGGUGAUUGGAGAGUGGCUGAAGCAUCCUCAUGUAGCUCAAGCAACAAGGUGGCGACUCUAGAAGAAGAAGAAGCAGCCAAGACUCAGUAAGAGAAGUUGUAUCUCCAAGAAGAGGCUGAUCUGGUGUGUCUGAGCACUUCAACCUAACAAGAGGUUAGGUGAAAGGGGGAGAGACCAAGAUUAGGCAGUAAGGAGAGUACAAGGCGUGGGAUGAUUGUAGAGGCCAUGAUCCAGAGUCUUUGUGUCCCUUACAUUGUUGGUAAGGCACAAAGACUCACUGGCCAAUCCCUAGGCCUUGGAGACUUUACUCUUUUUCCCUCAUCAAGGUUUUGUCCCAAAGGGUUUUCCUUGGUGAGGUUUUUAAUGAGGAAGUUCUUCAAGGUUCCAAGCUUGACUUAGGAUCAGCUAGAGUCAAGCUUGAGGGGGAGUGUUAACUUGAAGAGAAGAAGUGGAGAAGCAAAAGUGAUGAGUUGAGUUGGUGCUUGUGCAAAGACAUGGCAAGAUCUUCAGAGAUUGUAUGUUAAGGCUUUGGGAGAGUCUUAAGGCUUCAGAAGUGGUCUGAUGAGUGUGCAAAGAUAGGGUUAAGUCCAGGAGGGACUUAGACACCAUUUAGAGAAGAUUUGGGUCAGACAGUAACUCCAAAGUUACCACAGUAACUUUGGAGAGUUACCACAGUAAGAUUGGAGAAGUUUGGGCAAGUUGGUGUAAAAGUGAAUAGUGAAUCACUAGUCACUAUUCAGGUUGACUAUUCACUAUUUGGAUCACUAUUCAGGAUGUGAGGCACCAAGGUUUGAAUCUAGUCAAAGGGAAUCAAGAAGAUGCUGUGUGGAGCUGAUUGGUUACUUUGGGGCAUGGACAGGCUGGCUGUUGCUGUAAAGGAAGAGCAGCCACGACCAUGCACCUAGACUGAUCUGUAGACAGAUACAAAGGAGCCUAAGGAGAGCCAAUCACAGCACAGCCUUGUUUGAAUUAAAGUGAGCCAGCUUAGCUCAUCCAAUCAGCACACAUCACUCAGAUCACAACAAGACCAACUCAUCCUCACCAUCCAUUCCUCUUAAGUUAUUUCUAUCCAUUAGAUAUAGGUUUAUGAGUUUGCAAGAGUGUAAAACCUAUAUAAAGACCCUCAUGGGCGUGUGUAACUCUCUUAAGAGAGUAUGGGGGUUUUCCCCAUCUCCUUCAUAAAUAUAAAAGUGUGUUCUUGAUCAGAUUCCCUUAAUCUACCCCUUUCUUAGUCUCUAAUCUCUUAAUCUCUCUAAGUCUCUUUGUUUCUGAUUCAAGUUCAUACUAGUUUCAUCAGACCUCUUAUUCAACUAGUUCAAGACCUUAUUCUUUGCCUCUAAUGGCUUCUCAUACACAUACACAGCCAGAGCUCUCAAAUCUCAUAAUUUAGUGAUUAGAACUGUCUAACUUUCAUUAAUAAUCUUGGGUUACAAUAUAUUCAAAUCUCAUAAUUUAGUGAUUAGAACUGUCUAACUUUCAUUAAUGAUCUUGGGUUANNNNNNNNNNNNNNNNNNNNNNNNNNNNNNNNNNNNNNNNNNNNNNNNNNNNNNNNNNNNNNNNNNNNNNNNNNNNNNNNNNNNNNNNNNNNNNNNNNNNNNNNNNNNNNNNNNNNNNNNNNNNNNNNNNNNNNNNNNNNNNNNNNNNNNNNNNNNNNNNNNNNNNNNNNNNNNNNNNNNNNNNNNNNNNNNNNNNNNNNNNNNGAACCUUUAAAGGAGGUAGCUGCUGAAGAAGGUCAGACAGCAAGGUUGGAGGUUCAUGAAGCCAAGGGCGUGAUCUAUAGUCUAAGACAAGGGAAGAAUGAGUUGUAUCAGCUUGUGAGGAGGCUGAGAGAAGUAGAAUCAGAGUUGAGUAUGGUAAAAACUCAUACAGCAAGUCCGAGUUGGUGUCAAGGAAGGAGGAAGCAAGAUGUGAUCUUUGGCUUUCUUAUGGGAGAGAUAUGUAAGCUGGUUGAACACAUGUGUGAUGUGUGGGAGAUAAACAAGAAGCCAGAUAGAUGAAGAGAGGUACAAGGUGCAAGAAGGGAAAGUUGAGAAAACUUUCUAAGAUGUGGGUCAUGAUGAGCAGAUUAUGGAGAAAGGAUAUCAAGGAGAGUAUGCAAGUAGGAGAAUGCUUGUACUCAGCUUACAUUGGAGAAUCUGUAGAGAGCAGUGGGGUUAUGAGGAAGCUAGAGUCCAAAGGAGCGGAUGAGCCUGUCACAAAGGAGGAAUGGGAUGAGUUUGUCAAGUAUGUGUAUGCUUUGGCUACGACCCGGAGACAAGGUGCUCCUGCCAAAGCAUCCACAUCCAACAAACCCAUCAUUGUUGAUUCUGGAGCAAGUCAUCACAUGAUUAGUGACAGAAGCUUAAUGAGUGAUGUAAAGAAAGCUACUGGAGGUGUGAUGAUAGCUAAUGGUGAUAGGAUUCCAAUAGAAGGAGUUGGAAAGCUCAAGCUAUUUGAUAAAGACUCAGAUGCCUUCUACAUGCCACAGUUUGCUUCAAAUCUACUAUCUGUGAGGAGAGCCACGAUUGAUCUUGGCUGUCAAGUAGUAUUCAGGCCAGAUGAUGUUGAAUUCCAAGAUUUGAAGACUGGAAUGGUCAUUGGGAGAGGAGACAGCAAGAAUAAUCUAUACCAGCUCCAAUUGGCUAAGAUCUCUAAACCCUUUGAUUCUAUGUGUUUGAGUAGUACUUAUGAGAAGAUUGAUAGUAUUACUUGGCAUGCUAGAUUGGGACAUCCUCAUGCUCGUGCUAUUGAAUUGAUAAUUCCUAAUAUGUCAUUUAAUCACUUGGAGUGUGAAGCAUGCAUAUUAGGAAAGCAUUGUAGGACUGUUUUUCCAACAUCAGAAACUACUUAUGAGCAUUGCUUUGAUCUAGUUCAUUCAGAUGUGUGGACUGCACCUUGUUUGUCUAGAGAUAGCCAGAAGUACUUUGUGACAUUCAUUGAUGAGAAGUCUAAGUAUACUUGGCUUACAUUGCUUCCAUCUAAAGAUAGGGUGCUAGAAGCAUUUAUGAACUUCCAAGCAUAUGUAUCUAAUCAAUACAAUGCUACUAUGAAGGUACUGAGAUCAGAUAAUGGAGGUGAAUACAUCAGCAAUGCCUUCAAGAGUCAUCUAGCCAAGCAUGGGAUCGUGCAUCAGACUAGCUGCCCUUAUACACCACAGCAGAAUGGUGUAGCUGAGAGGAAGAACAGGCACUUGAUGGAGGUUGCUAGAUCGAUGAUGUUUCAUGCAAAUGUCCCAAAACGUUUUUGGAGUGAUGCUGUGCAGACUGCUUGCUAUCUCAUCAACCGGGUUCCAACCAAGAUAUUGAAGAAUCUGUCUCCAUUUGAAGUGUUGAACAAGAGCAAACCUGUCAUUGAUCACCUACGUGUCUUUGGGUGUGUGUGCUAUGUCAUGGUUCCAGGAGAGCAGAGAAACAAGCUGGAGGCAAAGAGUACUAAGGCUAUGUUCAUUGGUUAUUCUAUCACUCAGAAGGGGUACAAGUGCUAUGAUCCUGAAGCAAGGAGGGUGAUGGUAUCUAGAGAAGUGAAGUUUGUUGAAACAAAAGGUUAUUAUGAAGAAAAGGAGUGGGAAAAUCUGAAGGAUUUGUCUCAAGCUCCAUCUGAUAAGGCAACAAUACUGAGAGUGUUGUUGGAGAAGCUCGGGAUAGGGUUGAGAAGCUUGAUUUGGAUACAUAAAGUGGUGGAGAAUCACCAGGAAGUUGAAUAAAUCUCAUAGGAGUUGGCAAGAAGAAUUUAUCCCACUUUCAAAUCAGGUGAUUCCAGUUUCCCAGUUUGGGAAUAGCACAGCUUCUUUGUCGUUCCAAUCAAACCAGGAUGAAUCACUUUGUGAGAAGCUUGAUUUGGAUACAUAAAGUGGUGGAGAAUCAACAAGAAGUUGAAUUAAUCUUGAUAAAAUGAAUGAGUUAUAAGAGUGGUGUUGAAUUGAGCUGAGUAUAAGAAGAAGAGAUGAGGGGUUGAAGGGAUAAAGAGAUAAGGAAGUGUAGAGUUGAGGAAUGGAGAGCAUGGAGAGUUUGGGAGAGUUUGGUACGGAUGGACCGUACAGGCCGUACAGGCCGUACCGGCCGUACACAUUGUAUCGACCAAACUCGACCAAAGGUAAAAGAAACUUACCCGAGUAACUCGGUUGAAGGGAAGAAGCUUUACCCAAAGCUUAGGAUGAGUUGUGACCGUUAAGGGAAAGGAAGAAGCUGGGCGUGACAGUCUGGCACAGCUGGAAAGGCAAAAGGGAUCUUAUCCAAGAUACUAGAUGCCUUACACAUGUGAAGAACCUCAUUGGAUCAAUUCAAAAGAAGCGCUCCACUCUCUUUGACUCCACAUGCUUUAGCUUAUCCUCUUGUGUUGUAAAACCCUAAUCUCGACACUAUAUAUUUGUAACUCAGUCUCAUUAAUAAGAUUAAGCAAGUUAUGAAGUCUCUCUUAGUCUCUCUUUAGUUCUUUAGACUCUUAAUCUCAUUUCAUACUUUAAUCUUCUCUAAAUCUCUUCUAAUCUUUCCUAAAUACUCAGAUCACUCUAAACAUCACUAAAAGUGAUAAGUGGCUUGUGUGAUUUAUCAAGAACAAAGAGAAGAGAUAGCUAGGGUUUUACUAAGAAUCCGAGAGAGAGAGAGAGAGAGAGAGAGAUUUCGAAAACAUAAGAGAGAAGUGAGGAAGUGUUUUAUUUUCCUUGAUCCAUUUGGUUCUGAUUACAUACUUUAAAUAGAUGCAACAAUGAAUAAACUAAUGGCAAGUUGACAUAGAAGAAAAGAAUAAACAAAGAGGCCUGAUCAAGGGCAGGUUGCGCACAGCCAAGGUGAAAGCGACAGCACCAAACGGCUCUCUCUCCUUUGAACCACCUUGUCUUCUUCUUCAACGGAUCCCUUCUCUUGGCCGACAUCUUUUAAAUAUCUUAAGGCAAGUAUAACAUCCUUCUUGAUCACAGAUAAGUCUCCUCUUGCCUUGCACGCCAAGUUAGAUCACACUUGUACGGACAAGCUUACUUUGAUCACUCCGGAUGUAUGCCUUGACUUGAUUUCUUCUUCCUCUAUGUCAUUCAUGCUUUCAUGUCAACACUCCCCCUCAAGCUUGACCGUGUGGGUCAAGUCAAGCUUGGACACCAUGAAGCUAUUCCCUCAUUAAAACCUUAGCUAGGAAAAACCUCAUGGGAUAAAACCCUAACCAAGGAAAAAGAGUAGAACACUUCAUGGGAGGAGAGAUCAGUGACAUGGAAGAUCCGUGAGUCCAAGUUUAGGGUGGAUGAACUCACAAACCUUGCUGCUGGCUGCCUUGGUGAAUAUGUCAGCUAGUUGAUCUUCACUUCUUGUGUAGCAUGGAAGAAUCACUUGCUGCUCCACUGCUUGUCUCACCUUGUGACAGUCCACUUCUAUAUGCUUAGUCCUCUCAUGGAACACAGAGUUUGAUGCAAUGUGUAUUGCUGCCUGAUUGUCACAAUGCAUAGUCAUUGGCGUGGAGAUCUCUAUGCCCAAGUCCUUUAGCAGUCCCUUGAUCCAUAUGAGUUCACUAGUAAGCUUCCUCAUAGAUCGGUACUCUGCCUCGGCACUUGAGCAAGAGACCACCUUCUGCUUCUUGCUCUUCCAUGUGACUAGGUUUCCUCCAAUAAAGGUGCAAUAGCCUGUGGUUGAUCUCCUAUCAACUCUAUCUCCAGCCCAAUCAGCAUCACAAUACCCAACAACUUCAGUACUCUUAUUGCAAGCCAUCCACACUCCCUGACCUGGCGCCUCUCUUAAGUAUCUCAAGAUCCUUUCCACCAUGUUCCAAUGAUGUACCUUAGGAGCUUGCAUGUGUUGGCUCACCUGGUUCACAGCAAAACACACAUCCGGCCUUGUGAUAGUAAGAUAGAUAAGCUUCCCAACCAUUCUUCUAUACCUCUUGACAUCCUCAAAGGGAGUUGCAUCAAACUCCCCCUCACGCAUAACCUUGUAGCCUUCUUCUAGUGGUGUCUUGGCCACUCUUCCUCCAAGGUCUCCUGCCUCCUUUAGGAUGUCCAAAGUAUACUUCCUUUGGGACAUGAACAAUCCCUCCCUUGAUCUACACAUCUCAAUGCCAAGGAAAUAUUUCAGUUCUCCUAGGUCUUUGAUGUCAAAUGCGGUCUUGAGGAAUGUCUUAGUUGAGCUGAUCUCUUCCUUGUCACUACCAGUGAUGAUGAUGUCAUCCACAUAGACCAGAAUCACAACGAUCCCUUGCUGGCUGGUGAGAGUAAACAGUGUGUGAUCCGCUUGAGACUUCACAAAGCCUCUCCCAUUUAGUGUGGUGCUUAGCUUGUGGUACCAAGCUCUUGGUGAUUGUUUCAGGCCAUAGAUAGCCUUCCUGAGUCUGAGAACAUUCCCUGGUUUCACCAUCUCUUCCAUUCCGGGAGGUGGCCUCAUAUAUACUUCAUCCUCUAGUUCACCUUGCAAGAAUGCAUUCUUCACAUCCAUUUGCCAAAGAUCCCAUUCUAGGUUCACUGCCAAUGAGAGGAGGAUCCGGAUAGUAUGGAGCUUGGCUACUGGUGCAGAAGUGUCUAGGUAGUCUUCUCCAUAUACUUGUGUGUAACCUCUUGCCACUAGUCUGGUCUUUUUUCUUUCUGGCUUCCCAUUUGCAAGGUACUUGAUGGUAUGUAUGAGCCUGCUAGUCACGGCUUUCUUUCCUUUUGGAAGCUCUGUCUCAUACCAGGUGUUAUUCCUUUCCAUGGCCCCCAUUUCAUCAUCCACUGAGCUCCUCCAUUCAUCAUCCUCCAUAGCUUCUGCAUACGUUUUUGGUAUCCAUUCCUGAUCCAAUGAACUCACAAAGGCUUGAUGUUCUUCUGGAUAUUGAGCAAGGGUGCAUACUCCACUUACUGGAUGUGCCACGGCUUGAGCAUUGUAGUAGAUUCUUGUCUUAACCCAAUCUGAAGUCGGUCUCCUGAUCCUUGUACUUCUUCUUAGGGCUGGUGUCUGCUCAGGUUCACUACCUUGAACUUCAGUUUCUGGUUGUUCCAUCUCAUCUUGAUCAUGAGACAAUACUGAGUUUUCUUCAGGUUGAGCUUGCGCAGAUUGUUCAGGUUGAUCUUGCGCAGAUUUUUCUCCAUUGCCCCCCUCAUGAUCAUGAUGAGAGACUUCAUUAUCUCGUACCUCAGCUCCAUCAUGCUGAGGGGUAGUAUCCCGGCUCUUUUCUGGUUCCCUUGGUAAGCUGAUGCCAAGUCUUUCCAUAAGAACUUUCAGGUUGUUAGCUCUGUCCGAGGCAGAAUGAGAUAGAUCUUUGAGUUCUCCCCAACUCUUCUCAUCAUAGUAGGCCUUGGAUUCCAUGAACUUAACAUCUCUGGAUACUAGGACUCUCCUUGUUUCUGGUACGUAGCAUUUGUACCCUUUCUGAUGUGUGGAGUACCCAAUAAACAUAGCCUUUGUGCUCUUUGCUUCUAGCUUGUUCCUUAAUUCUCCUGGAAUCAAAACAAAACACACACACCCAAACACACGCAAAUGGUCAAUGGAUGAUCUAGAUUUGUUUAGUACCUCAUAGGGAGUGGCAUCAAGGAGGACUCUUGUAGGUGUGCGGUUGAUUAGAUAGGUGACCGUGACCACUGCAUCUCCCCAAAAACGUUUAGGUACAUUGGCAUGGAACAUCAUACUCCUCGCCACUUCCAUCAAGUGUCUAUUCUUUCUCUCAGCAACUCCAUUUUGUUGAGGUGUAUAAGGGCAGCUAGUUUGUUGAAUGAUUCCAUGUGAGGCUAGGUGUUGUUUGAAGGCUGUGCUAGUAUACUCACCACCAUUAUCUGAUCUAAGAAUUUUGAUCUUAACAUUGAAAUGGUUAGUUAUAUAGCUCUGAAAGUUUUUAAAAGCUUCUAGCACUCUAUCCUUAGAUUGCAACAAGGUGAUCCAUGUGUAUUUAGAUUUUUCAUCAAUGAAUGUCACAAAAUAUUUAUGUUGCUCUCUAGAUGCACAUGGGGCAGUCCAUACGUCAGAAUGUAUGAGAUCAAAGCAAUUAUCAUAUUGAGUCUUUGAUUUAGGAAACACAGUUCUACAAUGUUUUCCUAAGAUACAAGCCUCACAAUCACUUUUAAAAGAAAUGCUAGGUAACAGGAUGUUCAAGGCAUGAGAAUGAGGAUGUCCUAGUCUAGCAUGCCAUAUUACAUCUUUAGGGAAUUCAGAAACAGAAUGAAAAGCAGGAAAUAAAUCAGUUGUGGAUCUUGUGUCCUCAAGCAAGUACAAGUCUCCCUUGGUAACACCUUUGCCAAGCAACUUACUAGAAUCAAUAUCCUGAAAGUACACACUGUUAGGCGUGAAUGUAACUUGACAAUUGAGAUCAUUAGUUACUUUCUUAACAGAUAAUAGAUUUGAAGCAAAGGUGGGCAUAUAGAAAGCCUUAGUUUCUUUAUCAAACAGUUUAAGGUUACCUACACCUUUUAUUGGGAUUUUAUCUCCAUUUGCUAUCAUCACAUUUCCUAAGGCCGGUUCUAUGUUUUUAAUCAGUUCUAAGUCACUUAUCAUGUGAUGAGAAGCACCAGAAUCUAUAACUAAGGGCUUAGCCGAUUUAAAAACUCUUAUAGUGUCAUUAGCAGUAUGUGAAGCAUUAAGAGAAACACCAAGGUUUUUAGAUAUACCAGAUUCUUUUAGAGCCUUGAUGAGAGCAGUUAAGUCAGACUUCUUGAUGGUCUCAUCCAGGUUGGCCCUUGGCGUGGCAUAGCCUGAUGUGGAGGCAGUUGCACUUCCCACACCUAGGUUGCUUAUGCCCAUGGUGAUUGGUGUUGUUGGCUCCGCACCAUCAGCUGAGAAGUUGGCCCUUGCAUCUUGGUAUUGGGAGCGAGUCUCCCUAAACUUGCUGGGCUUAAGGUGGGGGUGGAGUAUCCAGCAUUUGUCCUUCAAGUGACCCUUCUUCUUGCAGUGGUCACAGGUCAGGCCUUUCCUCUCAUCUUGUUUGUAAGCCGCCUUGUUUGCCACUGCUUGUUCUGCUUGAUGCGCCAUGCUUAAGUCUCCCUUGCCACCAAACAAGCCCACUGAGCCUUCUUCCUUCUGGAUUUGAGCACAUACUUCAUCCAGGUCAGGUAGCUUGUCAGCUCUUAGGAUGUGCUUGAUCAAGCUCCCAUAAGAUGGGUUAAGAGUGAGCAGCAGUCCAAACACUCUGUCCUCCUCACGCCUGGUUAGAAGCGUGGCAUGGUCAGUGGUGUGUGGUCUUAGCAGUUCCAUCUCUGCCCAAAGAGACCUAAACUUGCCAAAGUGUGGUUGAAACUCCACAUCUCCUUGGUUGAGCGCAUUGAUGGCUCUCUUCACUUCAAAGACUCUUGUGAGGUUGGAGACAUUUCCAUACACUUUGUAAAGUGUAUCCCACAGCUGUUUGGUAGUCUCACAGUAAGAGUAAGACUCCAUGAUGGCGGGUUCAAGAGAGCUGAGGAGCACUGUGAGAACCAUGAGGUCUUCCUGAGCCCACUUGUCUUCAUCAGCUACCACCAUUUCCUGUCCAUCUUCUCCUUGGUUGGUUUGUUUUGGAGCCGCUUCUGCUGAGACAUGACUCCACAAACCCUUUCCUCCAAGGGCAAUUUUCACCAUCCUGGCCCAUAAGAGGUAGUUAAUCCCCUUCAGAGUCACAGGUAUGCUGAUGCGGUUGUUGUUGUUGUUGUUGUUGUUGUUCUCCAUCUUGAGGAUUCAAAGACCGGCAAGAAAAGAAACAGAGAUUUGUUUUGCGGAAGUAGAUAAGGGUUUCAAGAGCUUUGUUGCUCUGAUACCAUGAUAAAAUGAAUGAGUUAUAAGAGUGGCUUGUGUGAUUUAUCAAGAACAAAGAGAAGAGAUAGCUAGGGUUUUACUAAGAAUCCGAGAGAGAGAGAGAGAGAGAGAGAGAUUUCGAAAACAUAAGAGAGAAGUGAGGAAGUGUUUAUUUUUCCUUGAUCCAUUUGGUUCUGAUUACAUACUUUAAAUAGAUGCAACAAUGAAUAAACUAAUGGCAAGUUGACAUAGAAGAAAAGAAUAAACAAAGAGGCCUGAUCAAGGGCAGGUUGCGCACAGCCAAGGUGGAAAGCGACAGCACCAAACGGCUCUCUCUCCUUUGAACCACCUUGUCUUCUUCUUCAACGGAUCCCUUCUCUUGGCCGACAUCUUUUAAAUAUCUUAAGGCAAGUAUAACAUCCUUCUUGAUCACAGAUAAGUCUCCUCUUGCCUUGCACGCCAAGUUAGAUCACACUUGUACGGACAAGCUUACUUUGAUCACUCCGGAUGUAUGUCUUGACUUGAUUUCUUCUUCCUCUAUGUCAUUCAUGCUUUCAUGUCAACACUCCCCCUCAAGCUUGACCGUGUGGGACAAGUCAAGCUUGGACACCAUGAAGCUAUUCCCUCAUUAAAACCUUAGCUAGGAAAAAAACCUCAUGGGAUAAAACCCUAACCAAGGAAAAAGAGUAGAACACUUCAUGGGAGGAGAGAUCAGUGACAUGGAAGAUCCGUGAGUCCAAGUUUAGGGUGGAUGAACUCACAAACCUUGCUGCUGGCUGCCUUGGUGAAUAUGUCAGCUAGUUGAUCUUCACUUCUUGUGUAGCAUGGAAGAAUCACUUGCUGCUCCACUGCUUGUCUCACCUUGUGACAGUCCACUUCUAUAUGCUUAGUCCUCUCAUGGAACACAGAGUUUGAUGCAAUGUGUAUUGCUGCCUGAUUGUCACAAUGCAUAGUCAUUGGCGUGGAGAUCUCUAUGCCCAAGUCCUUUAGCAGUCCCUUGAUCCAUAUGAGUUCACUAGUAAGCUUCCUCAUAGAUCGGUACUCUGCCUCAGCACUUGAGCAAGAGACCACCUUCUGCUUCUUGCUCUUCCAUGUGACUAGGUUUCCUCCAAUAAAGGUGCAAUAGCCUGUGGUUGAUCUCCUAUCAACUCUAUCUCCAGCCCAAUCAGCAUCACAAUACCCAACAACUUCAGUACUCUUAUUGCAAGCCAUCCACACUCCCUGACCUGGCGCCUCUCUUAAGUAUCUCAAGAUCCUUUCCACCAUGUUCCAAUGAUGUACCUUAGGAGCUUGCAUGUGUUGGCUCACCUGGUUCACAGCAAAACACACAUCCGGCCUUGUGAUAGUAAGAUAGAUAAGCUUCCCAACCAUUCUUCUAUACCUCUUGACAUCCUCAAAGGGAGUUGCAUCAAACUCCCCCUCACGCAUAACCUUGUAGCCUUCUUCUAGUGGUGUCUUGGCCACUCUUCCUCCAAGGUCUCCUGCCUCCUUUAGGAUGUCCAAAGUAUACUUCCUUUGGGACAUGAACAAUCCCUCCCUUGAUCUACACAUCUCAAUGCCAAGGAAAUAUUUCAGUUCUCCUAGGUCUUUGAUGUCAAAUGCGGUCUUGAGGAAUGUCUUAGUUGAGCUGAUCUCUUCCUUGUCACUACCAGUGAUGAUGAUGUCAUCCACAUAGACCAGAAUCACAACGAUCCCUUGCUGGCUGGUGAGAGUAAACAGUGUGUGAUCCGCUUGAGACUUCACAAAGCCUCUCCCAUUUAGUGUGGUGCUUAGCUUGUGGUACCAAGCUCUUGGUGAUUGUUUCAGGCCAUAGAUAGCCUUCCUGAGUCUGAGAACAUUCCCUGGUUUCACCAUCUCUUCCAUUCCGGGAGGUGGCCUCAUAUAUACUUCAUCCUCUAGUUCACCUUGCAAGAAUGCAUUCUUCACAUCCAUUUGCCAAAGAUCCCAUUCUAGGUUCACUGCCAAUGAGAGGAGGAUCCGGAUAGUAUGGAGCUUGGCUACUGGUGCAAAAGUGUCUAGGUAGUCUUCUCCAUAUACUUGUGUGUAACCUCUUGCCACUAGUCUGGUCUUUUUCCUUUCUGGCUUCCCAUUUGCAAGGUACUUGAUGGUAUGUAUGAGCCUGCUAGUCACGGCUUUCUUCCCUUUUGGAAGCUCUGUCUCAUACCAGGUGUUAUUCCUUUCCAUGGCCCCCAUUUCAUCAUCCACUGAGCUCCUCCAUUCAUCAUCCUCCAUAGCUUCUGCAUACGUUUUUGGUAUCCAUUCCUGGUCCAAUGAACUCACAAAGGCUUGAUGUUCUUCUGGAUAUUGAGCAAGGGUGCAUACUCCACUUACUGGAUGUGCCACGGCUUGAGCAUUGUAGUAGAUUCUUGUCUUAACCCAAUCUGAAGUCGGUCUCCUGAUCCUUGUACUUCUUCUUAGGGCUGGUGUCUGCUCAGGUUCACUACCUUGAGCUUCAGUUUCUGGUUGUUCCAUCUCAUCUUGAUCAUGAGACAAUACUGAGUUUUCUUCAGGUUGAGCUUGCGCAGAUUGUUCAGGUUGAUCUUGCGCAGAUUUUUCUCCAUUGCCCCCCUCAUGAUCAUGAUGAGAGACUUCAUUAUCUCGUACCUCAGCUCCAUCAUGCUGAGGGGUAGUAUCCCGGCUCUUUUCUGGUUCCCUUGGUAAGCUGAUGCCAAGUCUUUCCAUAAGAACUUUCAGGUUGUUAGCUCUGUCCGAGGCAGAAUGAGAUAGAUCUUUGAGUUCUCCCCAACUCUUCUCAUCAUAGUAGGCCUUGGAUUCCAUGAACUUAACAUCUCUGGAUACUAGGACUCUCCUUGUUUCUGGUACGUAGCAUUUGUACCCUUUCUGAUGUGUGGAGUACCCAAUAAACAUAGCCUUUGUGCUCUUUGCUUCUAGCUUGUUCCUUAAUUCUCCUGGAAUCAAAACAAAACACACACACCCAAACACACGCAAAUGGUCAAUGGAUGAUCUAGAUUUGUUUAGUACCUCAUAGGGAGUGGCAUCAAGGAGGACUCUUGUAGGUGUGCGGUUGAUUAGAUAGGUGGCCGUGACCACUGCAUCUCCCCAAAAACGUUUAGGUACAUUGGCAUGGAACAUCAUACUCCUCGCCACUUCCAUCAAGUGUCUAUUCUUUCUCUCAGCAACUCCAUUUUGUUGAGGUGUAUAAGGGCAGCUAGUUUGUUGAAUGAUUCCAUGUGAGGCUAGGUGUUGUUUGAAGGCUGUGCUAGUAUACUCACCACCAUUAUCUGAUCUAAGAAUUUUGAUCUUAACAUUGAAAUGGUUAGUUAUAUAGCUCUGAAAGUUUUUAAAAGCUUCUAGCACUCUUUUUUUUUUUUUUUUUUUUUUUUUUUUUUUUAAAAAUAUUUCCNNNNNNNNNNNNNNNNNNNNNNNNNNNNNNNNNNNNNNNNNNNNNNNNNNNNNCCCAGCCGAUGACUAUACUGACCCUGCGCCAGCAACAAGCUUCUAGCACUCUAUCCUUAGAUUGCAACAAGGUGAUCCAUGUGUAUUUAGAUUUUUCAUCAAUGAAUGUCACAAAAUAUUUAUGUUGCUCUCUAGAUGCACAUGGGGCAGUCCAUACGUCAGAAUGUAUGAGAUCAAAGCAAUUAUCAUAUUGAGUCUUUGAUUUAGGAAACACAGUUCUACAAUGUUUUCCUAAGAUACAAGCCUCACAAUCACUUUUAAAAGAAAUGCUAGGUAACAGGAUGUUCAAGGCAUGAGAAUGAGGAUGUCCUAGUCUAGCAUGCCAUAUUACAUCUUUAGGGAAUUCAGAAACAGAAUGAAACGCAGGAAAUAAAUCAGUUGUGGAUCUUGUGUCCUCAAGCAAGUACAAGUCUCCCUUGGUAACACCUUUGCCAAGCAACUUACUAGAAUCAAUAUCCUGAAAGUACACACUGUUAGGCGUGAAUGUAACUUGACAAUUGAGAUCAUUAGUUACUUUCUUAACAGAUAAUAGAUUUGAAGCAAAGGUGGGCAUAUAGAAAGCCUUAGUUUCUUUAUCAAACAGUUUAAGGUUACCUACACCUUUUAUUGGGAUUUUAUCUCCAUUUGCUAUCAUCACAUUUCCUAAGGCCGGUUCUAUGUUUUUAAUCAGUUCUAAGUCACUUAUCAUGUGAUGAGAAGCACCAGAAUCUAUAACUAAGGGCUUAGCCGAUUUAAAAACUCUUAUAGUGUCAUUAGCAGUAUGUGAAGCAUUAAGAGAAACACCAAGGUUUUUAGAUAUACCAGAUUCUUUUAGAGCCUUGAUGAGAGCAGUUAAGUCAGACUUCUUGAUGGUCUCAUCCAGGUUGGCCCUUGGCGUGGCAUAGCCUGAUGUGGAGGCAGUUGCACUUCCCACACCUAGGUUGCUUAUGCCCAUGGUGAUUGGUGUUGUUGGCUCCGCACCAUCAGCUGAGAAGUUGGCCCUUGCAUCUUGGUAUUGGGAGCGAGUCUCCCUAAACUUGCUGGGCUUAAGGUGGGGAUGGAGUAUCCAGCAUUUGUCCUUCAAGUGACCCUUCUUCUUGCAGUGGUCACAGGUCAGGCCUUUCCUCUCAUCUUGUUUGUAAGCCGCCUUGUUUGCCACUGCUUGUUCUGCUUGAUGCGCCAUGCUUAAGUCUCCCUUGCCACCAAACAAGCCAACUGAGCCUUCUUCCUUCUGGAUUUGAGCACAUACUUCAUCCAGGUCAGGUAGCUUGUCAGCUCUUAGGAUGUGCUUGAUCAAGCUCCCAUAAGAUGGGUUAAGAGUGAGCAGCAGUCCAAACACUCUGUCCUCCUCACGCCUGGUUAGAAGCGUGGCAUGGUCAGUGGUGUGUGGUCUUAGCAGUUCCAUCUCUGCCCAAAGAGACCUAAACUUGCCAAAGUGUGGUUGAAACUCCACAUCUCCUUGGUUGAGCGCAUUGAUGGCUCUCUUCACUUCAAAGACUCUUGUGAGGUUGGAGACAUUUCCAUACACUUUGUAAAGUGUAUCCCACAGCUGUUUGGUAGUCUCACAGUAAGAGUAAGACUCCAUGAUGGCGGGUUCAAGAGAGCUGAGGAGCACUGUGAGAACCAUGAGGUCUUCCUGAGCCCACUUGUCUUCAUCAGCUACCACCAUUUCCUGUCCAUCUUCUCCUUGGUUGAUUUGUUUUGGAGCCGCUUCUGCUGAGACAUGACUCCACAAACCCUUUCCUCCAAGGGCAAUUUUCACCAUCCUGGCCCAUAAGAGGUAGUUAAUCCCCUUCAGAGUCACAGGUAUGCUGAUGCGGUUGUUGUUGUUGUUGUUGUUGUUGUUCUCCAUCUUGAGGAUUCAAAGACCGGCAAGAAAAGAAACAGAGAUUUGUUUUGCGGAAGUAGAUAAGGGUUUCAAGAGCUUUGUUGCUCUGAUACCAUGAUAAAAUGAAUGAGUUAUAAGAGUGGCUUGUGUGAUUUAUCAAGAACAAAGAGAAGAGAUAGCUAGGGUUUUACUAAGAAUCCGAGAGAGAGAGAGAGAGAGAGUGAGAUUUCGAAAACAUAAGAGAGAAGUGAGGAAGUAUAUUUUUCCUUUAUCCAUUUGGUUCUGAUUACAUACUUUAAAUAGAUGCAACAAUGAAUAAACUAAUGGCAAGUUGACAUAGAAGAAAAGAAUAAACAAAGAGGCCUGAUCAAGGGCAGGUUGCGCACAGCCAAGGUGGAAAGCGACAGCACCAAACGGCUCUCUCUCCUUUGAACCACCUUGUCUUCUUCUUCAACGGAUCCCUUCUCUUGGCCGACAUCUUUUAAAUAUCUUAAGGCAAGUAUAACAUCCUUCUUGAUCACAGAUAAGUCUCCUCUUGCCUUGCACGCCAAGUUAGAUCACACUUGUACGGACAAGCUUACUUUGAUCACUCCGGAUGUAUGUCUUGACUUGAUUUCUUCUUCCUCUAUGUCAUUCAUGCUUUCAUGUCAACACUCCCCCUCAAGCUUGACCGUGUGGGACAAGUCAAGCUUGGACACCAUGAAGCUAUUCCCUCAUUAAAACCUUAGCUAGGAAAAAAACCUCAUGGGAUAAAACCCUAACCAAGGAAAAAGAGUAGAACACUUCAUGGGAGGAGAGAUCAGUGACAUGGAAGAUCCGUGAGUCCAAGUUUAGGGUGGAUGAACUCACAAACCUUGCUGCUGGCUGCCUUGGUGAAUAUGUCAGCUAGUUGAUCUUCACUUCUUGUGUAGCAUGGAAGAAUCACUUGCUGCUCCACUGCUUGUCUCACCUUGUGACAGUCCACUUCUAUAUGCUUAGUCCUCUCAUGGAACACAGAGUUUGAUGCAAUGUGUAUUGCUGCCUGAUUGUCACAAUGCAUAGUCAUUGGCGUGGAGAUCUCUAUGCCCAAGUCCUUUAGCAGUCCCUUGAUCCAUAUGAGUUCACUAGUAAGCUUCCUCAUAGAUCGGUACUCUGCCUCAGCACUUGAGCAAGAGACCACCUUCUGCUUCUUGCUCUUCCAUGUGACUAGGUUUCCUCCAAUAAAGGUGCAAUAGCCUGUGGUUGAUCUCCUAUCAACUCUAUCUCCAGCCCAAUCAGCAUCACAAUACCCAACAACUUCAGUACUCUUAUUGCAAGCCAUCCACACUCCCUGACCUGGCGCCUCUCUUAAGUAUCUCAAGAUCCUUUCCACCAUGUUCCAAUGAUGUACCUUAGGAGCUUGCAUGUGUUGGCUCACCUGGUUCACAGCAAAACACACAUCCGGCCUUGUGAUAGUAAGAUAGAUAAGCUUCCCAACCAUUCUUCUAUACCUCUUGACAUCCUCAAAGGGAGUUGCAUCAAACUCCCCCUCACGCAUAACCUUGUAGCCUUCUUCUAGUGGUGUCUUGGCCACUCUUCCUCCAAGGUCUCCUGCCUCCUUUAGGAUGUCCAAAGUAUACUUCCUUUGGGACAUGAACAAUCCCUCCCUUGAUCUACACAUCUCAAUGCCAAGGAAAUAUUUCAGUUCUCCUAGGUCUUUGAUGUCAAAUGCGGUCUUGAGGAAUGUCUUAGUUGAGCUGAUCUCUUCCUUGUCACUACCAGUGAUGAUGAUGUCAUCCACAUAGACCAGAAUCACAACGAUCCCUUGCUGGCUGGUGAGAGUAAACAGUGUGUGAUCCGCUUGAGACUUCACAAAGCCUCUCCCAUUUAGUGUGGUGCUUAGCUUGUGGUACCAAGCUCUUGGUGAUUGUUUCAGGCCAUAGAUAGCCUUCCUGAGUCUGAGAACAUUCCCUGGUUUCACCAUCUCUUCCAUUCCGGGAGGUGGCCUCAUAUAUACUUCAUCCUCUAGUUCACCUUGCAAGAAUGCAUUCUUCACAUCCAUUUGCCAAAGAUCCCAUUCUAGGUUCACUGCCAAUGAGAGGAGGAUCCGGAUAGUAUGGAGCUUGGCUACUGGUGCAAAAGUGUCUAGGUAGUCUUCUCCAUAUACUUGUGUGUAACCUCUUGCCACUAGUCUGGUCUUUUUCCUUUCUGGCUUCCCAUUUGCAAGGUACUUGAUGGUAUGUAUGAGCCUGCUAGUCACGGCUUUCUUCCCUUUUGGAAGCUCUGUCUCAUACCAGGUGUUAUUCCUUUCCAUGGCCCCCAUUUCAUCAUCCACUGAGCUCCUCCAUUCAUCAUCCUCCAUAGCUUCUGCAUACGUUUUUGGUAUCCAUUCCUGGUCCAAUGAACUCACAAAGGCUUGAUGUUCUUCUGGAUAUUGAGCAAGGGUGCAUACUCCACUUACUGGAUGUGCCACGGCUUGAGCAUUGUAGUAGAUUCUUGUCUUAACCCAAUCUGAAGUCGGUCUCCUGAUCCUUGUACUUCUUCUUAGGGCUGGUGUCUGCUCAGGUUCACUACCUUGAGCUUCAGUUUCUGGUUGUUCCAUCUCAUCUUGAUCAUGAGACAAUACUGAGUUUUCUUCAGGUUGAGCUUGCGCAGAUUGUUCAGGUUGAUCUUGCGCAGAUUUUUCUCCAUUGCCCCCCUCAUGAUCAUGAUGAGAGACUUCAUUAUCUCGUACCUCAGCUCCAUCAUGCUGAGGGGUAGUAUCCCGGCUCUUUUCUGGUUCCCUUGGUAAGCUGAUGCCAAGUCUUUCCAUAAGAACUUUCAGGUUGUUAGCUCUGUCCGAGGCAGAAUGAGAUAGAUCUUUGAGUUCUCCCCAACUCUUCUCAUCAUAGUAGGCCUUGGAUUCCAUGAACUUAACAUCUCUGGAUACUAGGACUCUCCUUGUUUCUGGUACGUAGCAUUUGUACCCUUUCUGAUGUGUGGAGUACCCAAUAAACAUAGCCUUUGUGCUCUUUGCUUCUAGCUUGUUCCUUAAUUCUCCUGGAAUCAAAACAAAACACACACACCCAAACACACGCAAAUGGUCAAUGGAUGAUCUAGAUUUGUUUAGUACCUCAUAGGGAGUGGCAUCAAGGAGGACUCUUGUAGGUGUGCGGUUGAUUAGAUAGGUGGCCGUGACCACUGCAUCUCCCCAAAAACGUUUAGGUACAUUGGCAUGGAACAUCAUACUCCUCGCCACUUCCAUCAAGUGUCUAUUCUUUCUCUCAGCAACUCCAUUUUGUUGAGGUGUAUAAGGGCAGCUAGUUUGUUGAAUGAUUCCAUGUGAGGCUAGGUGUUGUUUGAAGGCUGUGCUAGUAUACUCACCACCAUUAUCUGAUCUAAGAAUUUUGAUCUUAACAUUGAAAUGGUUAGUUAUAUAGCUCUGAAAGUUUUUAAAAGCUUCUAGCACUCUUUUUUUUUUUUUUUUUUUUUUUUUUUUUGUAACAAGCUUCUAGCACUCUAUCCUUAGAUUGCAACAAGGUGAUCCAUGUGUAUUUAGAUUUUUCAUCAAUGAAUGUCACAAAACAUUUAUGUUGCUCUCUAGAUGCACAUGGGGCAGUCCAUACGUCAGAAUGUAUGAGAUCAAAGCAAUUAUCAUAUUGAGUCUUUGAUUUAGGAAACACAGUUCUACAAUGUUUUCCUAAGAUACAAGCCUCACAAUCACUUUUAAAAGAAAUGCUAGGUAACAGGAUGUUCAAGGCAUGAGAAUGAGGAUGUCCUAGUCUAGCAUGCCAUAUUACAUCUUUAGGGAAUUCAGAAACAGAAUGAAACGCAGGAAAUAAAUCAGUUGUGGAUCUUGUGUCCUCAAGCAAGUACAAGUCUCCCUUGGUAACACCUUUGCCAAGCAACUUACUAGAAUCAAUAUCCUGAAAGUACACACUGUUAGGCGUGAAUGUAACUUGACAAUUGAGAUCAUUAGUUACUUUCUUAACAGAUAAUAGAUUUGAAGCAAAGGUGGGCAUAUAGAAAGCCUUAGUUUCUUUAUCAAACAGUUUAAGGUUACCUACACCUUUUAUUGGGAUUUUAUCUCCAUUUGCUAUCAUCACAUUUCCUAAGGCCGGUUCUAUGUUUUUAAUCAGUUCUAAGUCACUUAUCAUGUGAUGAGAAGCACCAGAAUCUAUAACUAAGGGCUUAGCCGAUUUAAAAACUCUUAUAGUGUCAUUAGCAGUAUGUGAAGCAUUAAGAGAAACACCAAGGUUUUUAGAUAUACCAGAUUCUUUUAGAGCCUUGAUGAGAGCAGUUAAGUCAGACUUCUUGAUGGUCUCAUCCAGGUUGGCCCUUGGCGUGGCAUAGCCUGAUGUGGAGGCAGUUGCACUUCCCACACCUAGGUUGCUUAUGCCCAUGGUGAUUGGUGUUGUUGGCUCCGCACCAUCAGCUGAGAAGUUGGCCCUUGCAUCUUGGUAUUGGGAGCGAGUCUCCCUAAACUUGCUGGGCUUAAGGUGGGGAUGGAGUAUCCAGCAUUUGUCCUUCAAGUGACCCUUCUUCUUGCAGUGGUCACAGGUCAGGCCUUUCCUCUCAUCUUGUUUGUAAGCCGCCUUGUUUGCCACUGCUUGUUCUGCUUGAUGCGCCAUGCUUAAGUCUCCCUUGCCACCAAACAAGCCAACUGAGCCUUCUUCCUUCUGGAUUUGAGCACAUACUUCAUCCAGGUCAGGUAGCUUGUCAGCUCUUAGGAUGUGCUUGAUCAAGCUCCCAUAAGAUGGGUUAAGAGUGAGCAGCAGUCCAAACACUCUGUCCUCCUCACGCCUGGUUAGAAGCGUGGCAUGGUCAGUGGUGUGUGGUCUUAGCAGUUCCAUCUCUGCCCAAAGAGACCUAAACUUGCCAAAGUGUGGUUGAAACUCCACAUCUCCUUGGUUGAGCGCAUUGAUGGCUCUCUUCACUUCAAAGACUCUUGUGAGGUUGGAGACAUUUCCAUACACUUUGUAAAGUGUAUCCCACAGCUGUUUGGUAGUCUCACAGUAAGAGUAAGACUCCAUGAUGGCGGGUUCAAGAGAGCUGAGGAGCACUGUGAGAACCAUGAGGUCUUCCUGAGCCCACUUGUCUUCAUCAGCUACCACCAUUUCCUGUCCAUCUUCUCCUUGGUUGAUUUGUUUUGGAGCCGCUUCUGCUGAGACAUGACUCCACAAACCCUUUCCUCCAAGGGCAAUUUUCACCAUCCUGGCCCAUAAGAGGUAGUUAAUCCCCUUCAGAGUCACAGGUAUGCUGAUGCGGUUGUUGUUGUUGUUGUUGUUGUUGUUCUCCAUCUUGAGGAUUCAAAGACCGGCAAGAAAAGAAACAGAGAUUUGUUUUGCGGAAGUAGAUAAGGGUUUCAAGAGCUUUGUUGCUCUGAUACCAUGAUAAAAUGAAUGAGUUAUAAGAGUGGCUUGUGUGAUUUAUCAAGAACAAAGAGAAGAGAUAGCUAGGGUUUUACUAAGAAUCCGAGAGAGAGAGAGAGAGAGAGUGAGAUUUCGAAAACAUAAGAGAGAAGUGAGGAAGUAUAUUUUUCCUUGAUCCAUUUGGUUCUGAUUACAUACUUUAAAUAGAUGCAACAAUGAAUAAACUAAUGGCAAGUUGACAUAGAAGAAAAGAAUAAACAAAGAGGCCUGAUCAAGGGCAGGUUGCGCACAGCCAAGGUGGAAAGCGACAGCACCAAACGGCUCUCUCUCCUUUGAACCACCUUGUCUUCUUCUUCAACGGAUCCCUUCUCUUGGCCGACAUCUUUUAAAUAUCUUAAGGCAAGUAUAACAUCCUUCUUGAUCACAGAUAAGUCUCCUCUUGCCUUGCACGCCAAGUUAGAUCACACUUGUACGGACAAGCUUACUUUGAUCACUCCGGAUGUAUGUCUUGACUUGAUUUCUUCUUCCUCUAUGUCAUUCAUGCUUUCAUGUCAACACUCCCCCUCAAGCUUGACCGUGUGGGACAAGUCAAGCUUGGACACCAUGAAGCUAUUCCCUCAUUAAAACCUUAGCUAGGAAAAAAACCUCAUGGGAUAAAACCCUAACCAAGGAAAAAGAGUAGAACACUUCAUGGGAGGAGAGAUCAGUGACAUGGAAGAUCCGUGAGUCCAAGUUUAGGGUGGAUGAACUCACAAACCUUGCUGCUGGCUGCCUUGGUGAAUAUGUCAGCUAGUUGAUCUUCACUUCUUGUGUAGCAUGGAAGAAUCACUUGCUGCUCCACUGCUUGUCUCACCUUGUGACAGUCCACUUCUAUAUGCUUAGUCCUCUCAUGGAACACAGAGUUUGAUGCAAUGUGUAUUGCUGCCUGAUUGUCACAAUGCAUAGUCAUUGGCGUGGAGAUCUCUAUGCCCAAGUCCUUUAGCAGUCCCUUGAUCCAUAUGAGUUCACUAGUAAGCUUCCUCAUAGAUCGGUACUCUGCCUCAGCACUUGAGCAAGAGACCACCUUCUGCUUCUUGCUCUUCCAUGUGACUAGGUUUCCUCCAAUAAAGGUGCAAUAGCCUGUGGUUGAUCUCCUAUCAACUCUAUCUCCAGCCCAAUCAGCAUCACAAUACCCAACAACUUCAGUACUCUUAUUGCAAGCCAUCCACACUCCCUGACCUGGCGCCUCUCUUAAGUAUCUCAAGAUCCUUUCCACCAUGUUCCAAUGAUGUACCUUAGGAGCUUGCAUGUGUUGGCUCACCUGGUUCACAGCAAAACACACAUCCGGCCUUGUGAUAGUAAGAUAGAUAAGCUUCCCAACCAUUCUUCUAUACCUCUUGACAUCCUCAAAGGGAGUUGCAUCAAACUCCCCCUCACGCAUAACCUUGUAGCCUUCUUCUAGUGGUGUCUUGGCCACUCUUCCUCCAAGGUCUCCUGCCUCCUUUAGGAUGUCCAAAGUAUACUUCCUUUGGGACAUGAACAAUCCCUCCCUUGAUCUACACAUCUCAAUGCCAAGGAAAUAUUUCAGUUCUCCUAGGUCUUUGAUGUCAAAUGCGGUCUUGAGGAAUGUCUUAGUUGAGCUGAUCUCUUCCUUGUCACUACCAGUGAUGAUGAUGUCAUCCACAUAGACCAGAAUCACAACGAUCCCUUGCUGGCUGGUGAGAGUAAACAGUGUGUGAUCCGCUUGAGACUUCACAAAGCCUCUCCCAUUUAGUGUGGUGCUUAGCUUGUGGUACCAAGCUCUUGGUGAUUGUUUCAGGCCAUAGAUAGCCUUCCUGAGUCUGAGAACAUUCCCUGGUUUCACCAUCUCUUCCAUUCCGGGAGGUGGCCUCAUAUAUACUUCAUCCUCUAGUUCACCUUGCAAGAAUGCAUUCUUCACAUCCAUUUGCCAAAGAUCCCAUUCUAGGUUCACUGCCAAUGAGAGGAGGAUCCGGAUAGUAUGGAGCUUGGCUACUGGUGCAAAAGUGUCUAGGUAGUCUUCUCCAUAUACUUGUGUGUAACCUCUUGCCACUAGUCUGGUCUUUUUCCUUUCUGGCUUCCCAUUUGCAAGGUACUUGAUGGUAUGUAUGAGCCUGCUAGUCACGGCUUUCUUCCCUUUUGGAAGCUCUGUCUCAUACCAGGUGUUAUUCCUUUCCAUGGCCCCCAUUUCAUCAUCCACUGAGCUCCUCCAUUCAUCAUCCUCCAUAGCUUCUGCAUACGUUUUUGGUAUCCAUUCCUGGUCCAAUGAACUCACAAAGGCUUGAUGUUCUUCUGGAUAUUGAGCAAGGGUGCAUACUCCACUUACUGGAUGUGCCACGGCUUGAGCAUUGUAGUAGAUUCUUGUCUUAACCCAAUCUGAAGUCGGUCUCCUGAUCCUUGUACUUCUUCUUAGGGCUGGUGUCUGCUCAGGUUCACUACCUUGAGCUUCAGUUUCUGGUUGUUCCAUCUCAUCUUGAUCAUGAGACAAUACUGAGUUUUCUUCAGGUUGAGCUUGCGCAGAUUGUUCAGGUUGAUCUUGCGCAGAUUUUUCUCCAUUGCCCCCCUCAUGAUCAUGAUGAGAGACUUCAUUAUCUCGUACCUCAGCUCCAUCAUGCUGAGGGGUAGUAUCCCGGCUCUUUUCUGGUUCCCUUGGUAAGCUGAUGCCAAGUCUUUCCAUAAGAACUUUCAGGUUGUUAGCUCUGUCCGAGGCAGAAUGAGAUAGAUCUUUGAGUUCUCCCCAACUCUUCUCAUCAUAGUAGGCCUUGGAUUCCAUGAACUUAACAUCUCUGGAUACUAGGACUCUCCUUGUUUCUGGUACGUAGCAUUUGUACCCUUUCUGAUGUGUGGAGUACCCAAUAAACAUAGCCUUUGUGCUCUUUGCUUCUAGCUUGUUCCUUAAUUCUCCUGGAAUCAAAACAAAACACACACACCCAAACACACGCAAAUGGUCAAUGGAUGAUCUAGAUUUGUUUAGUACCUCAUAGGGAGUGGCAUCAAGGAGGACUCUUGUAGGUGUGCGGUUGAUUAGAUAGGUGGCCGUGACCACUGCAUCUCCCCAAAAACGUUUAGGUACAUUGGCAUGGAACAUCAUACUCCUCGCCACUUCCAUCAAGUGUCUAUUCUUUCUCUCAGCAACUCCAUUUUGUUGAGGUGUAUAAGGGCAGCUAGUUUGUUGAAUGAUUCCAUGUGAGGCUAGGUGUUGUUUGAAGGCUGUGCUAGUAUACUCACCACCAUUAUCUGAUCUAAGAAUUUUGAUCUUAACAUUGAAAUGGUUAGUUAUAUAGCUCUGAAAGUUUUUAAAAGCUUCUAGCACUCUUUUUUUUUUUUUUUUUUUUUUUUUUUUUUUUUUUUUUUUUUUUUUUUUUUUUUUUUUUUUUUUUUUUUUUUUUUUUUUUUUUUUUUUUUUUUUUUUUUUUUUUUUUUUUUUUUUUUUUUUUUUUUUUUUUUUUUUUUUUUUUUUUUUUUUUUUUUUUUUUUUUUUUUUUUUUUUUUUUUUUUUUUUUUUUUGUAACAAGCUUCUAGCACUCUAUCCUUAGAUUGCAACAAGGUGAUCCAUGUGUAUUUAGAUUUUUCAUCAAUGAAUGUCACAAAAUAUUUAUGUUGCUCUCUAGAUGCACAUGGGGCAGUCCAUACGUCAGAAUGUAUGAGAUCAAAGCAAUUAUCAUAUUGAGUCUUUGAUUUAGGAAACACAGUUCUACAAUGUUUUCCUAAGAUACAAGCCUCACAAUCACUUUUAAAAGAAAUGCUAGGUAACAGGAUGUUCAAGGCAUGAGAAUGAGGAUGUCCUAGUCUAGCAUGCCAUAUUACAUCUUUAGGGAAUUCAGAAACAGAAUGAAACGCAGGAAAUAAAUCAGUUGUGGAUCUUGUGUCCUCAAGCAAGUACAAGUCUCCCUUGGUAACACCUUUGCCAAGCAACUUACUAGAAUCAAUAUCCUGAAAGUACACACUGUUAGGCGUGAAUGUAACUUGACAAUUGAGAUCAUUAGUUACUUUCUUAACAGAUAAUAGAUUUGAAGCAAAGGUGGGCAUAUAGAAAGCCUUAGUUUCUUUAUCAAACAGUUUAAGGUUACCUACACCUUUUAUUGGGAUUUUAUCUCCAUUUGCUAUCAUCACAUUUCCUAAGGCCGGUUCUAUGUUUUUAAUCAGUUCUAAGUCACUUAUCAUGUGAUGAGAAGCACCAGAAUCUAUAACUAAGGGCUUAGCCGAUUUAAAAACUCUUAUAGUGUCAUUAGCAGUAUGUGAAGCAUUAAGAGAAACACCAAGGUUUUUAGAUAUACCAGAUUCUUUUAGAGCCUUGAUGAGAGCAGUUAAGUCAGACUUCUUGAUGGUCUCAUCCAGGUUGGCCCUUGGCGUGGCAUAGCCUGAUGUGGAGGCAGUUGCACUUCCCACACCUAGGUUGCUUAUGCCCAUGGUGAUUGGUGUUGUUGGCUCCGCACCAUCAGCUGAGAAGUUGGCCCUUGCAUCUUGGUAUUGGGAGCGAGUCUCCCUAAACUUGCUGGGCUUAAGGUGGGGAUGGAGUAUCCAGCAUUUGUCCUUCAAGUGACCCUUCUUCUUGCAGUGGUCACAGGUCAGGCCUUUCCUCUCAUCUUGUUUGUAAGCCGCCUUGUUUGCCACUGCUUGUUCUGCUUGAUGCGCCAUGCUUAAGUCUCCCUUGCCACCAAACAAGCCAACUGAGCCUUCUUCCUUCUGGAUUUGAGCACAUACUUCAUCCAGGUCAGGUAGCUUGUCAGCUCUUAGGAUGUGCUUGAUCAAGCUCCCAUAAGAUGGGUUAAGAGUGAGCAGCAGUCCAAACACUCUGUCCUCCUCACGCCUGGUUAGAAGCGUGGCAUGGUCAGUGGUGUGUGGUCUUAGCAGUUCCAUCUCUGCCCAAAGAGACCUAAACUUGCCAAAGUGUGGUUGAAACUCCACAUCUCCUUGGUUGAGCGCAUUGAUGGCUCUCUUCACUUCAAAGACUCUUGUGAGGUUGGAGACAUUUCCAUACACUUUGUAAAGUGUAUCCCACAGCUGUUUGGUAGUCUCACAGUAAGAGUAAGACUCCAUGAUGGCGGGUUCAAGAGAGCUGAGGAGCACUGUGAGAACCAUGAGGUCUUCCUGAGCCCACUUGUCUUCAUCAGCUACCACCAUUUCCUGUCCAUCUUCUCCUUGGUUGAUUUGUUUUGGAGCCGCUUCUGCUGAGACAUGACUCCACAAACCCUUUCCUCCAAGGGCAAUUUUCACCAUCCUGGCCCAUAAGAGGUAGUUAAUCCCCUUCAGAGUCACAGGUAUGCUGAUGCGGUUGUUGUUGUUGUUGUUGUUGUUGUUCUCCAUCUUGAGGAUUCAAAGACCGGCAAGAAAAGAAACAGAGAUUUGUUUUGCGGAAGUAGAUAAGGGUUUCAAGAGCUUUGUUGCUCUGAUACCAAAUCAAGGUUUUUAAUGAGGUAUCAAGUUCACUUACACAUUCCUAGUUGAUGUAUCUUGGAUGCAACUCGGCCUAAGGCAUUGAUAAAAUGAAUGAGUUAUAAGAGUGGCUUGUGUGAUUUAUCAAGAACAAAGAGAAGAGAUAGCUAGGGUUUUACUAAGAAUCCGAGAGAGAGAGAGAGAGAGAGUGAGAUUUCGAAAACAUAAGAGAGAAGUGAGGAAGUAUAUUUUUCCUUGAUCCAUUUGGUUCUGAUUACAUACUUUAAAUAGAUGCAACAAUGAAUAAACUAAUGGCAAGUUGACAUAGAAGAAAAGAAUAAACAAAGAGGCCUGAUCAAGGGCAGGUUGCGCACAGCCAAGGUGGAAAGCGACAGCACCAAACGGCUCUCUCUCCUUUGAACCACCUUGUCUUCUUCUUCAACGGAUCCCUUCUCUUGGCCGACAUCUUUUAAAUAUCUUAAGGCAAGUAUAACAUCCUUCUUGAUCACAGAUAAGUCUCCUCUUGCCUUGCACGCCAAGUUAGAUCACACUUGUACGGACAAGCUUACUUUGAUCACUCCGGAUGUAUGUCUUGACUUGAUUUCUUCUUCCUCUAUGUCAUUCAUGCUUUCAUGUCAACACUCCCCCUCAAGCUUGACCGUGUGGGACAAGUCAAGCUUGGACACCAUGAAGCUAUUCCCUCAUUAAAACCUUAGCUAGGAAAAAAACCUCAUGGGAUAAAACCCUAACCAAGGAAAAAGAGUAGAACACUUCAUGGGAGGAGAGAUCAGUGACAUGGAAGAUCCGUGAGUCCAAGUUUAGGGUGGAUGAACUCACAAACCUUGCUGCUGGCUGCCUUGGUGAAUAUGUCAGCUAGUUGAUCUUCACUUCUUGUGUAGCAUGGAAGAAUCACUUGCUGCUCCACUGCUUGUCUCACCUUGUGACAGUCCACUUCUAUAUGCUUAGUCCUCUCAUGGAACACAGAGUUUGAUGCAAUGUGUAUUGCUGCCUGAUUGUCACAAUGCAUAGUCAUUGGCGUGGAGAUCUCUAUGCCCAAGUCCUUUAGCAGUCCCUUGAUCCAUAUGAGUUCACUAGUAAGCUUCCUCAUAGAUCGGUACUCUGCCUCAGCACUUGAGCAAGAGACCACCUUCUGCUUCUUGCUCUUCCAUGUGACUAGGUUUCCUCCAAUAAAGGUGCAAUAGCCUGUGGUUGAUCUCCUAUCAACUCUAUCUCCAGCCCAAUCAGCAUCACAAUACCCAACAACUUCAGUACUCUUAUUGCAAGCCAUCCACACUCCCUGACCUGGCGCCUCUCUUAAGUAUCUCAAGAUCCUUUCCACCAUGUUCCAAUGAUGUACCUUAGGAGCUUGCAUGUGUUGGCUCACCUGGUUCACAGCAAAACACACAUCCGGCCUUGUGAUAGUAAGAUAGAUAAGCUUCCCAACCAUUCUUCUAUACCUCUUGACAUCCUCAAAGGGAGUUGCAUCAAACUCCCCCUCACGCAUAACCUUGUAGCCUUCUUCUAGUGGUGUCUUGGCCACUCUUCCUCCAAGGUCUCCUGCCUCCUUUAGGAUGUCCAAAGUAUACUUCCUUUGGGACAUGAACAAUCCCUCCCUUGAUCUACACAUCUCAAUGCCAAGGAAAUAUUUCAGUUCUCCUAGGUCUUUGAUGUCAAAUGCGGUCUUGAGGAAUGUCUUAGUUGAGCUGAUCUCUUCCUUGUCACUACCAGUGAUGAUGAUGUCAUCCACAUAGACCAGAAUCACAACGAUCCCUUGCUGGCUGGUGAGAGUAAACAGUGUGUGAUCCGCUUGAGACUUCACAAAGCCUCUCCCAUUUAGUGUGGUGCUUAGCUUGUGGUACCAAGCUCUUGGUGAUUGUUUCAGGCCAUAGAUAGCCUUCCUGAGUCUGAGAACAUUCCCUGGUUUCACCAUCUCUUCCAUUCCGGGAGGUGGCCUCAUAUAUACUUCAUCCUCUAGUUCACCUUGCAAGAAUGCAUUCUUCACAUCCAUUUGCCAAAGAUCCCAUUCUAGGUUCACUGCCAAUGAGAGGAGGAUCCGGAUAGUAUGGAGCUUGGCUACUGGUGCAAAAGUGUCUAGGUAGUCUUCUCCAUAUACUUGUGUGUAACCUCUUGCCACUAGUCUGGUCUUUUUCCUUUCUGGCUUCCCAUUUGCAAGGUACUUGAUGGUAUGUAUGAGCCUGCUAGUCACGGCUUUCUUCCCUUUUGGAAGCUCUGUCUCAUACCAGGUGUUAUUCCUUUCCAUGGCCCCCAUUUCAUCAUCCACUGAGCUCCUCCAUUCAUCAUCCUCCAUAGCUUCUGCAUACGUUUUUGGUAUCCAUUCCUGGUCCAAUGAACUCACAAAGGCUUGAUGUUCUUCUGGAUAUUGAGCAAGGGUGCAUACUCCACUUACUGGAUGUGCCACGGCUUGAGCAUUGUAGUAGAUUCUUGUCUUAACCCAAUCUGAAGUCGGUCUCCUGAUCCUUGUACUUCUUCUUAGGGCUGGUGUCUGCUCAGGUUCACUACCUUGAGCUUCAGUUUCUGGUUGUUCCAUCUCAUCUUGAUCAUGAGACAAUACUGAGUUUUCUUCAGGUUGAGCUUGCGCAGAUUGUUCAGGUUGAUCUUGCGCAGAUUUUUCUCCAUUGCCCCCCUCAUGAUCAUGAUGAGAGACUUCAUUAUCUCGUACCUCAGCUCCAUCAUGCUGAGGGGUAGUAUCCCGGCUCUUUUCUGGUUCCCUUGGUAAGCUGAUGCCAAGUCUUUCCAUAAGAACUUUCAGGUUGUUAGCUCUGUCCGAGGCAGAAUGAGAUAGAUCUUUGAGUUCUCCCCAACUCUUCUCAUCAUAGUAGGCCUUGGAUUCCAUGAACUUAACAUCUCUGGAUACUAGGACUCUCCUUGUUUCUGGUACGUAGCAUUUGUACCCUUUCUGAUGUGUGGAGUACCCAAUAAACAUAGCCUUUGUGCUCUUUGCUUCUAGCUUGUUCCUUAAUUCUCCUGGAAUCAAAACAAAACACACACACCCAAACACACGCAAAUGGUCAAUGGAUGAUCUAGAUUUGUUUAGUACCUCAUAGGGAGUGGCAUCAAGGAGGACUCUUGUAGGUGUGCGGUUGAUUAGAUAGGUGGCCGUGACCACUGCAUCUCCCCAAAAACGUUUAGGUACAUUGGCAUGGAACAUCAUACUCCUCGCCACUUCCAUCAAGUGUCUAUUCUUUCUCUCAGCAACUCCAUUUUGUUGAGGUGUAUAAGGGCAGCUAGUUUGUUGAAUGAUUCCAUGUGAGGCUAGGUGUUGUUUGAAGGCUGUGCUAGUAUACUCACCACCAUUAUCUGAUCUAAGAAUUUUGAUCUUAACAUUGAAAUGGUUAGUUAUAUAGCUCUGAAAGUUUUUAAAAGCUUCUAGCACUCUUUUUUUUUUUUUUUUUUUUUUUUUUUUUUUUUAAAAACUUUCUACACCCUCUCCAUAGAUGAAUGAUACACAAAAUAUGCAUCUUCUUACAUAAGAUAAUCAAGUUUUUUUUUUUUUUUUUUUUUUGUAACAAGCUUCUAGCACUCUAUCCUUAGAUUGCAACAAGGUGAUCCAUGUGUAUUUAGAUUUUUCAUCAAUGAAUGUCACAAAAUAUUUAUGUUGCUCUCUAGAUGCACAUGGGGCAGUCCAUACGUCAGAAUGUAUGAGAUCAAAGCAAUUAUCAUAUUGAGUCUUUGAUUUAGGAAACACAGUUCUACAAUGUUUUCCUAAGAUACAAGCCUCACAAUCACUUUUAAAAGAAAUGCUAGGUAACAGGAUGUUCAAGGCAUGAGAAUGAGGAUGUCCUAGUCUAGCAUGCCAUAUUACAUCUUUAGGGAAUUCAGAAACAGAAUGAAACGCAGGAAAUAAAUCAGUUGUGGAUCUUGUGUCCUCAAGCAAGUACAAGUCUCCCUUGGUAACACCUUUGCCAAGCAACUUACUAGAAUCAAUAUCCUGAAAGUACACACUGUUAGGCGUGAAUGUAACUUGACAAUUGAGAUCAUUAGUUACUUUCUUAACAGAUAAUAGAUUUGAAGCAAAGGUGGGCAUAUAGAAAGCCUUAGUUUCUUUAUCAAACAGUUUAAGGUUACCUACACCUUUUAUUGGGAUUUUAUCUCCAUUUGCUAUCAUCACAUUUCCUAAGGCCGGUUCUAUGUUUUUAAUCAGUUCUAAGUCACUUAUCAUGUGAUGAGAAGCACCAGAAUCUAUAACUAAGGGCUUAGCCGAUUUAAAAACUCUUAUAGUGUCAUUAGCAGUAUGUGAAGCAUUAAGAGAAACACCAAGGUUUUUAGAUAUACCAGAUUCUUUUAGAGCCUUGAUGAGAGCAGUUAAGUCAGACUUCUUGAUGGUCUCAUCCAGGUUGGCCCUUGGCGUGGCAUAGCCUGAUGUGGAGGCAGUUGCACUUCCCACACCUAGGUUGCUUAUGCCCAUGGUGAUUGGUGUUGUUGGCUCCGCACCAUCAGCUGAGAAGUUGGCCCUUGCAUCUUGGUAUUGGGAGCGAGUCUCCCUAAACUUGCUGGGCUUAAGGUGGGGAUGGAGUAUCCAGCAUUUGUCCUUCAAGUGACCCUUCUUCUUGCAGUGGUCACAGGUCAGGCCUUUCCUCUCAUCUUGUUUGUAAGCCGCCUUGUUUGCCACUGCUUGUUCUGCUUGAUGCGCCAUGCUUAAGUCUCCCUUGCCACCAAACAAGCCAACUGAGCCUUCUUCCUUCUGGAUUUGAGCACAUACUUCAUCCAGGUCAGGUAGCUUGUCAGCUCUUAGGAUGUGCUUGAUCAAGCUCCCAUAAGAUGGGUUAAGAGUGAGCAGCAGUCCAAACACUCUGUCCUCCUCACGCCUGGUUAGAAGCGUGGCAUGGUCAGUGGUGUGUGGUCUUAGCAGUUCCAUCUCUGCCCAAAGAGACCUAAACUUGCCAAAGUGUGGUUGAAACUCCACAUCUCCUUGGUUGAGCGCAUUGAUGGCUCUCUUCACUUCAAAGACUCUUGUGAGGUUGGAGACAUUUCCAUACACUUUGUAAAGUGUAUCCCACAGCUGUUUGGUAGUCUCACAGUAAGAGUAAGACUCCAUGAUGGCGGGUUCAAGAGAGCUGAGGAGCACUGUGAGAACCAUGAGGUCUUCCUGAGCCCACUUGUCUUCAUCAGCUACCACCAUUUCCUGUCCAUCUUCUCCUUGGUUGAUUUGUUUUGGAGCCGCUUCUGCUGAGACAUGACUCCACAAACCCUUUCCUCCAAGGGCAAUUUUCACCAUCCUGGCCCAUAAGAGGUAGUUAAUCCCCUUCAGAGUCACAGGUAUGCUGAUGCGGUUGUUGUUGUUGUUGUUGUUGUUGUUCUCCAUCUUGAGGAUUCAAAGACCGGCAAGAAAAGAAACAGAGAUUUGUUUUGCGGAAGUAGAUAAGGGUUUCAAGAGCUUUGUUGCUCUGAUACCAUGAUAAAAUGAAUGAGUUAUAAGAGUGGCUUGUGUGAUUUAUCAAGAACAAAGAGAAGAGAUAGCUAGGGUUUUACUAAGAAUCCGAGAGAGAGAGAGAGAGAGAGUGAGAUUUCGAAAACAUAAGAGAGAAGUGAGGAAGUAUAUUUUUCCUUGAUCCAUUUGGUUCUGAUUACAUACUUUAAAUAGAUGCAACAAUGAAUAAACUAAUGGCAAGUUGACAUAGAAGAAAAGAAUAAACAAAGAGGCCUGAUCAAGGGCAGGUUGCGCACAGCCAAGGUGGAAAGCGACAGCACCAAACGGCUCUCUCUCCUUUGAACCACCUUGUCUUCUUCUUCAACGGAUCCCUUCUCUUGGCCGACAUCUUUUAAAUAUCUUAAGGCAAGUAUAACAUCCUUCUUGAUCACAGAUAAGUCUCCUCUUGCCUUGCACGCCAAGUUAGAUCACACUUGUACGGACAAGCUUACUUUGAUCACUCCGGAUGUAUGUCUUGACUUGAUUUCUUCUUCCUCUAUGUCAUUCAUGCUUUCAUGUCAACACUCCCCCUCAAGCUUGACCGUGUGGGACAAGUCAAGCUUGGACACCAUGAAGCUAUUCCCUCAUUAAAACCUUAGCUAGGAAAAAAACCUCAUGGGAUAAAACCCUAACCAAGGAAAAAGAGUAGAACACUUCAUGGGAGGAGAGAUCAGUGACAUGGAAGAUCCGUGAGUCCAAGUUUAGGGUGGAUGAACUCACAAACCUUGCUGCUGGCUGCCUUGGUGAAUAUGUCAGCUAGUUGAUCUUCACUUCUUGUGUAGCAUGGAAGAAUCACUUGCUGCUCCACUGCUUGUCUCACCUUGUGACAGUCCACUUCUAUAUGCUUAGUCCUCUCAUGGAACACAGAGUUUGAUGCAAUGUGUAUUGCUGCCUGAUUGUCACAAUGCAUAGUCAUUGGCGUGGAGAUCUCUAUGCCCAAGUCCUUUAGCAGUCCCUUGAUCCAUAUGAGUUCACUAGUAAGCUUCCUCAUAGAUCGGUACUCUGCCUCAGCACUUGAGCAAGAGACCACCUUCUGCUUCUUGCUCUUCCAUGUGACUAGGUUUCCUCCAAUAAAGGUGCAAUAGCCUGUGGUUGAUCUCCUAUCAACUCUAUCUCCAGCCCAAUCAGCAUCACAAUACCCAACAACUUCAGUACUCUUAUUGCAAGCCAUCCACACUCCCUGACCUGGCGCCUCUCUUAAGUAUCUCAAGAUCCUUUCCACCAUGUUCCAAUGAUGUACCUUAGGAGCUUGCAUGUGUUGGCUCACCUGGUUCACAGCAAAACACACAUCCGGCCUUGUGAUAGUAAGAUAGAUAAGCUUCCCAACCAUUCUUCUAUACCUCUUGACAUCCUCAAAGGGAGUUGCAUCAAACUCCCCCUCACGCAUAACCUUGUAGCCUUCUUCUAGUGGUGUCUUGGCCACUCUUCCUCCAAGGUCUCCUGCCUCCUUUAGGAUGUCCAAAGUAUACUUCCUUUGGGACAUGAACAAUCCCUCCCUUGAUCUACACAUCUCAAUGCCAAGGAAAUAUUUCAGUUCUCCUAGGUCUUUGAUGUCAAAUGCGGUCUUGAGGAAUGUCUUAGUUGAGCUGAUCUCUUCCUUGUCACUACCAGUGAUGAUGAUGUCAUCCACAUAGACCAGAAUCACAACGAUCCCUUGCUGGCUGGUGAGAGUAAACAGUGUGUGAUCCGCUUGAGACUUCACAAAGCCUCUCCCAUUUAGUGUGGUGCUUAGCUUGUGGUACCAAGCUCUUGGUGAUUGUUUCAGGCCAUAGAUAGCCUUCCUGAGUCUGAGAACAUUCCCUGGUUUCACCAUCUCUUCCAUUCCGGGAGGUGGCCUCAUAUAUACUUCAUCCUCUAGUUCACCUUGCAAGAAUGCAUUCUUCACAUCCAUUUGCCAAAGAUCCCAUUCUAGGUUCACUGCCAAUGAGAGGAGGAUCCGGAUAGUAUGGAGCUUGGCUACUGGUGCAAAAGUGUCUAGGUAGUCUUCUCCAUAUACUUGUGUGUAACCUCUUGCCACUAGUCUGGUCUUUUUCCUUUCUGGCUUCCCAUUUGCAAGGUACUUGAUGGUAUGUAUGAGCCUGCUAGUCACGGCUUUCUUCCCUUUUGGAAGCUCUGUCUCAUACCAGGUGUUAUUCCUUUCCAUGGCCCCCAUUUCAUCAUCCACUGAGCUCCUCCAUUCAUCAUCCUCCAUAGCUUCUGCAUACGUUUUUGGUAUCCAUUCCUGGUCCAAUGAACUCACAAAGGCUUGAUGUUCUUCUGGAUAUUGAGCAAGGGUGCAUACUCCACUUACUGGAUGUGCCACGGCUUGAGCAUUGUAGUAGAUUCUUGUCUUAACCCAAUCUGAAGUCGGUCUCCUGAUCCUUGUACUUCUUCUUAGGGCUGGUGUCUGCUCAGGUUCACUACCUUGAGCUUCAGUUUCUGGUUGUUCCAUCUCAUCUUGAUCAUGAGACAAUACUGAGUUUUCUUCAGGUUGAGCUUGCGCAGAUUGUUCAGGUUGAUCUUGCGCAGAUUUUUCUCCAUUGCCCCCCUCAUGAUCAUGAUGAGAGACUUCAUUAUCUCGUACCUCAGCUCCAUCAUGCUGAGGGGUAGUAUCCCGGCUCUUUUCUGGUUCCCUUGGUAAGCUGAUGCCAAGUCUUUCCAUAAGAACUUUCAGGUUGUUAGCUCUGUCCGAGGCAGAAUGAGAUAGAUCUUUGAGUUCUCCCCAACUCUUCUCAUCAUAGUAGGCCUUGGAUUCCAUGAACUUAACAUCUCUGGAUACUAGGACUCUCCUUGUUUCUGGUACGUAGCAUUUGUACCCUUUCUGAUGUGUGGAGUACCCAAUAAACAUAGCCUUUGUGCUCUUUGCUUCUAGCUUGUUCCUUAAUUCUCCUGGAAUCAAAACAAAACACACACACCCAAACACACGCAAAUGGUCAAUGGAUGAUCUAGAUUUGUUUAGUACCUCAUAGGGAGUGGCAUCAAGGAGGACUCUUGUAGGUGUGCGGUUGAUUAGAUAGGUGGCCGUGACCACUGCAUCUCCCCAAAAACGUUUAGGUACAUUGGCAUGGAACAUCAUACUCCUCGCCACUUCCAUCAAGUGUCUAUUCUUUCUCUCAGCAACUCCAUUUUGUUGAGGUGUAUAAGGGCAGCUAGUUUGUUGAAUGAUUCCAUGUGAGGCUAGGUGUUGUUUGAAGGCUGUGCUAGUAUACUCACCACCAUUAUCUGAUCUAAGAAUUUUGAUCUUAACAUUGAAAUGGUUAGUUAUAUAGCUCUGAAAGUUUUUAAAAGCUUCUAGCACUCUUUUUUUUUUUUUUUUUUUUUUUUUUUUUUUUUAAAAAAANNNNNNNNNNNNNNNNNNNNNNNNNNNNNNNNNNNUUCUUUUUUUUUUUUUUUUUUUUUUUUUUUUUUGUAACAAGCUUCUAGCACUCUAUCCUUAGAUUGCAACAAGGUGAUCCAUGUGUAUUUAGAUUUUUCAUCAAUGAAUGUCACAAAAUAUUUAUGUUGCUCUCUAGAUGCACAUGGGGCAGUCCAUACGUCAGAAUGUAUGAGAUCAAAGCAAUUAUCAUAUUGAGUCUUUGAUUUAGGAAACACAGUUCUACAAUGUUUUCCUAAGAUACAAGCCUCACAAUCACUUUUAAAAGAAAUGCUAGGUAACAGGAUGUUCAAGGCAUGAGAAUGAGGAUGUCCUAGUCUAGCAUGCCAUAUUACAUCUUUAGGGAAUUCAGAAACAGAAUGAAACGCAGGAAAUAAAUCAGUUGUGGAUCUUGUGUCCUCAAGCAAGUACAAGUCUCCCUUGGUAACACCUUUGCCAAGCAACUUACUAGAAUCAAUAUCCUGAAAGUACACACUGUUAGGCGUGAAUGUAACUUGACAAUUGAGAUCAUUAGUUACUUUCUUAACAGAUAAUAGAUUUGAAGCAAAGGUGGGCAUAUAGAAAGCCUUAGUUUCUUUAUCAAACAGUUUAAGGUUACCUACACCUUUUAUUGGGAUUUUAUCUCCAUUUGCUAUCAUCACAUUUCCUAAGGCCGGUUCUAUGUUUUUAAUCAGUUCUAAGUCACUUAUCAUGUGAUGAGAAGCACCAGAAUCUAUAACUAAGGGCUUAGCCGAUUUAAAAACUCUUAUAGUGUCAUUAGCAGUAUGUGAAGCAUUAAGAGAAACACCAAGGUUUUUAGAUAUACCAGAUUCUUUUAGAGCCUUGAUGAGAGCAGUUAAGUCAGACUUCUUGAUGGUCUCAUCCAGGUUGGCCCUUGGCGUGGCAUAGCCUGAUGUGGAGGCAGUUGCACUUCCCACACCUAGGUUGCUUAUGCCCAUGGUGAUUGGUGUUGUUGGCUCCGCACCAUCAGCUGAGAAGUUGGCCCUUGCAUCUUGGUAUUGGGAGCGAGUCUCCCUAAACUUGCUGGGCUUAAGGUGGGGAUGGAGUAUCCAGCAUUUGUCCUUCAAGUGACCCUUCUUCUUGCAGUGGUCACAGGUCAGGCCUUUCCUCUCAUCUUGUUUGUAAGCCGCCUUGUUUGCCACUGCUUGUUCUGCUUGAUGCGCCAUGCUUAAGUCUCCCUUGCCACCAAACAAGCCAACUGAGCCUUCUUCCUUCUGGAUUUGAGCACAUACUUCAUCCAGGUCAGGUAGCUUGUCAGCUCUUAGGAUGUGCUUGAUCAAGCUCCCAUAAGAUGGGUUAAGAGUGAGCAGCAGUCCAAACACUCUGUCCUCCUCACGCCUGGUUAGAAGCGUGGCAUGGUCAGUGGUGUGUGGUCUUAGCAGUUCCAUCUCUGCCCAAAGAGACCUAAACUUGCCAAAGUGUGGUUGAAACUCCACAUCUCCUUGGUUGAGCGCAUUGAUGGCUCUCUUCACUUCAAAGACUCUUGUGAGGUUGGAGACAUUUCCAUACACUUUGUAAAGUGUAUCCCACAGCUGUUUGGUAGUCUCACAGUAAGAGUAAGACUCCAUGAUGGCGGGUUCAAGAGAGCUGAGGAGCACUGUGAGAACCAUGAGGUCUUCCUGAGCCCACUUGUCUUCAUCAGCUACCACCAUUUCCUGUCCAUCUUCUCCUUGGUUGAUUUGUUUUGGAGCCGCUUCUGCUGAGACAUGACUCCACAAACCCUUUCCUCCAAGGGCAAUUUUCACCAUCCUGGCCCAUAAGAGGUAGUUAAUCCCCUUCAGAGUCACAGGUAUGCUGAUGCGGUUGUUGUUGUUGUUGUUGUUGUUGUUCUCCAUCUUGAGGAUUCAAAGACCGGCAAGAAAAGAAACAGAGAUUUGUUUUGCGGAAGUAGAUAAGGGUUUCAAGAGCUUUGUUGCUCUGAUACCAUGAUAAAAUGAAUGAGUUAUAAGAGUGGCUUGUGUGAUUUAUCAAGAACAAAGAGAAGAGAUAGCUAGGGUUUUACUAAGAAUCCGAGAGAGAGAGAGAGAGAGAGUGAGAUUUCGAAAACAUAAGAGAGAAGUGAGGAAGUAUAUUUUUCCUUGAUCCAUUUGGUUCUGAUUACAUACUUUAAAUAGAUGCAACAAUGAAUAAACUAAUGGCAAGUUGACAUAGAAGAAAAGAAUAAACAAAGAGGCCUGAUCAAGGGCAGGUUGCGCACAGCCAAGGUGGAAAGCGACAGCACCAAACGGCUCUCUCUCCUUUGAACCACCUUGUCUUCUUCUUCAACGGAUCCCUUCUCUUGGCCGACAUCUUUUAAAUAUCUUAAGGCAAGUAUAACAUCCUUCUUGAUCACAGAUAAGUCUCCUCUUGCCUUGCACGCCAAGUUAGAUCACACUUGUACGGACAAGCUUACUUUGAUCACUCCGGAUGUAUGUCUUGACUUGAUUUCUUCUUCCUCUAUGUCAUUCAUGCUUUCAUGUCAACACUCCCCCUCAAGCUUGACCGUGUGGGACAAGUCAAGCUUGGACACCAUGAAGCUAUUCCCUCAUUAAAACCUUAGCUAGGAAAAAAACCUCAUGGGAUAAAACCCUAACCAAGGAAAAAGAGUAGAACACUUCAUGGGAGGAGAGAUCAGUGACAUGGAAGAUCCGUGAGUCCAAGUUUAGGGUGGAUGAACUCACAAACCUUGCUGCUGGCUGCCUUGGUGAAUAUGUCAGCUAGUUGAUCUUCACUUCUUGUGUAGCAUGGAAGAAUCACUUGCUGCUCCACUGCUUGUCUCACCUUGUGACAGUCCACUUCUAUAUGCUUAGUCCUCUCAUGGAACACAGAGUUUGAUGCAAUGUGUAUUGCUGCCUGAUUGUCACAAUGCAUAGUCAUUGGCGUGGAGAUCUCUAUGCCCAAGUCCUUUAGCAGUCCCUUGAUCCAUAUGAGUUCACUAGUAAGCUUCCUCAUAGAUCGGUACUCUGCCUCAGCACUUGAGCAAGAGACCACCUUCUGCUUCUUGCUCUUCCAUGUGACUAGGUUUCCUCCAAUAAAGGUGCAAUAGCCUGUGGUUGAUCUCCUAUCAACUCUAUCUCCAGCCCAAUCAGCAUCACAAUACCCAACAACUUCAGUACUCUUAUUGCAAGCCAUCCACACUCCCUGACCUGGCGCCUCUCUUAAGUAUCUCAAGAUCCUUUCCACCAUGUUCCAAUGAUGUACCUUAGGAGCUUGCAUGUGUUGGCUCACCUGGUUCACAGCAAAACACACAUCCGGCCUUGUGAUAGUAAGAUAGAUAAGCUUCCCAACCAUUCUUCUAUACCUCUUGACAUCCUCAAAGGGAGUUGCAUCAAACUCCCCCUCACGCAUAACCUUGUAGCCUUCUUCUAGUGGUGUCUUGGCCACUCUUCCUCCAAGGUCUCCUGCCUCCUUUAGGAUGUCCAAAGUAUACUUCCUUUGGGACAUGAACAAUCCCUCCCUUGAUCUACACAUCUCAAUGCCAAGGAAAUAUUUCAGUUCUCCUAGGUCUUUGAUGUCAAAUGCGGUCUUGAGGAAUGUCUUAGUUGAGCUGAUCUCUUCCUUGUCACUACCAGUGAUGAUGAUGUCAUCCACAUAGACCAGAAUCACAACGAUCCCUUGCUGGCUGGUGAGAGUAAACAGUGUGUGAUCCGCUUGAGACUUCACAAAGCCUCUCCCAUUUAGUGUGGUGCUUAGCUUGUGGUACCAAGCUCUUGGUGAUUGUUUCAGGCCAUAGAUAGCCUUCCUGAGUCUGAGAACAUUCCCUGGUUUCACCAUCUCUUCCAUUCCGGGAGGUGGCCUCAUAUAUACUUCAUCCUCUAGUUCACCUUGCAAGAAUGCAUUCUUCACAUCCAUUUGCCAAAGAUCCCAUUCUAGGUUCACUGCCAAUGAGAGGAGGAUCCGGAUAGUAUGGAGCUUGGCUACUGGUGCAAAAGUGUCUAGGUAGUCUUCUCCAUAUACUUGUGUGUAACCUCUUGCCACUAGUCUGGUCUUUUUCCUUUCUGGCUUCCCAUUUGCAAGGUACUUGAUGGUAUGUAUGAGCCUGCUAGUCACGGCUUUCUUCCCUUUUGGAAGCUCUGUCUCAUACCAGGUGUUAUUCCUUUCCAUGGCCCCCAUUUCAUCAUCCACUGAGCUCCUCCAUUCAUCAUCCUCCAUAGCUUCUGCAUACGUUUUUGGUAUCCAUUCCUGGUCCAAUGAACUCACAAAGGCUUGAUGUUCUUCUGGAUAUUGAGCAAGGGUGCAUACUCCACUUACUGGAUGUGCCACGGCUUGAGCAUUGUAGUAGAUUCUUGUCUUAACCCAAUCUGAAGUCGGUCUCCUGAUCCUUGUACUUCUUCUUAGGGCUGGUGUCUGCUCAGGUUCACUACCUUGAGCUUCAGUUUCUGGUUGUUCCAUCUCAUCUUGAUCAUGAGACAAUACUGAGUUUUCUUCAGGUUGAGCUUGCGCAGAUUGUUCAGGUUGAUCUUGCGCAGAUUUUUCUCCAUUGCCCCCCUCAUGAUCAUGAUGAGAGACUUCAUUAUCUCGUACCUCAGCUCCAUCAUGCUGAGGGGUAGUAUCCCGGCUCUUUUCUGGUUCCCUUGGUAAGCUGAUGCCAAGUCUUUCCAUAAGAACUUUCAGGUUGUUAGCUCUGUCCGAGGCAGAAUGAGAUAGAUCUUUGAGUUCUCCCCAACUCUUCUCAUCAUAGUAGGCCUUGGAUUCCAUGAACUUAACAUCUCUGGAUACUAGGACUCUCCUUGUUUCUGGUACGUAGCAUUUGUACCCUUUCUGAUGUGUGGAGUACCCAAUAAACAUAGCCUUUGUGCUCUUUGCUUCUAGCUUGUUCCUUAAUUCUCCUGGAAUCAAAACAAAACACACACACCCAAACACACGCAAAUGGUCAAUGGAUGAUCUAGAUUUGUUUAGUACCUCAUAGGGAGUGGCAUCAAGGAGGACUCUUGUAGGUGUGCGGUUGAUUAGAUAGGUGGCCGUGACCACUGCAUCUCCCCAAAAACGUUUAGGUACAUUGGCAUGGAACAUCAUACUCCUCGCCACUUCCAUCAAGUGUCUAUUCUUUCUCUCAGCAACUCCAUUUUGUUGAGGUGUAUAAGGGCAGCUAGUUUGUUGAAUGAUUCCAUGUGAGGCUAGGUGUUGUUUGAAGGCUGUGCUAGUAUACUCACCACCAUUAUCUGAUCUAAGAAUUUUGAUCUUAACAUUGAAAUGGUUAGUUAUAUAGCUCUGAAAGUUUUUAAAAGCUUCUAGCACUCUUUUUUUUUUUUUUUUUUUUUUUUUUUUUUUUUUUUUUUUUUUUUUUUUUUUUUUUUUUUUUUUUUGUAACAAGCUUCUAGCACUCUAUCCUUAGAUUGCAACAAGGUGAUCCAUGUGUAUUUAGAUUUUUCAUCAAUGAAUGUCACAAAAUAUUUAUGUUGCUCUCUAGAUGCACAUGGGGCAGUCCAUACGUCAGAAUGUAUGAGAUCAAAGCAAUUAUCAUAUUGAGUCUUUGAUUUAGGAAACACAGUUCUACAAUGUUUUCCUAAGAUACAAGCCUCACAAUCACUUUUAAAAGAAAUGCUAGGUAACAGGAUGUUCAAGGCAUGAGAAUGAGGAUGUCCUAGUCUAGCAUGCCAUAUUACAUCUUUAGGGAAUUCAGAAACAGAAUGAAACGCAGGAAAUAAAUCAGUUGUGGAUCUUGUGUCCUCAAGCAAGUACAAGUCUCCCUUGGUAACACCUUUGCCAAGCAACUUACUAGAAUCAAUAUCCUGAAAGUACACACUGUUAGGCGUGAAUGUAACUUGACAAUUGAGAUCAUUAGUUACUUUCUUAACAGAUAAUAGAUUUGAAGCAAAGGUGGGCAUAUAGAAAGCCUUAGUUUCUUUAUCAAACAGUUUAAGGUUACCUACACCUUUUAUUGGGAUUUUAUCUCCAUUUGCUAUCAUCACAUUUCCUAAGGCCGGUUCUAUGUUUUUAAUCAGUUCUAAGUCACUUAUCAUGUGAUGAGAAGCACCAGAAUCUAUAACUAAGGGCUUAGCCGAUUUAAAAACUCUUAUAGUGUCAUUAGCAGUAUGUGAAGCAUUAAGAGAAACACCAAGGUUUUUAGAUAUACCAGAUUCUUUUAGAGCCUUGAUGAGAGCAGUUAAGUCAGACUUCUUGAUGGUCUCAUCCAGGUUGGCCCUUGGCGUGGCAUAGCCUGAUGUGGAGGCAGUUGCACUUCCCACACCUAGGUUGCUUAUGCCCAUGGUGAUUGGUGUUGUUGGCUCCGCACCAUCAGCUGAGAAGUUGGCCCUUGCAUCUUGGUAUUGGGAGCGAGUCUCCCUAAACUUGCUGGGCUUAAGGUGGGGAUGGAGUAUCCAGCAUUUGUCCUUCAAGUGACCCUUCUUCUUGCAGUGGUCACAGGUCAGGCCUUUCCUCUCAUCUUGUUUGUAAGCCGCCUUGUUUGCCACUGCUUGUUCUGCUUGAUGCGCCAUGCUUAAGUCUCCCUUGCCACCAAACAAGCCAACUGAGCCUUCUUCCUUCUGGAUUUGAGCACAUACUUCAUCCAGGUCAGGUAGCUUGUCAGCUCUUAGGAUGUGCUUGAUCAAGCUCCCAUAAGAUGGGUUAAGAGUGAGCAGCAGUCCAAACACUCUGUCCUCCUCACGCCUGGUUAGAAGCGUGGCAUGGUCAGUGGUGUGUGGUCUUAGCAGUUCCAUCUCUGCCCAAAGAGACCUAAACUUGCCAAAGUGUGGUUGAAACUCCACAUCUCCUUGGUUGAGCGCAUUGAUGGCUCUCUUCACUUCAAAGACUCUUGUGAGGUUGGAGACAUUUCCAUACACUUUGUAAAGUGUAUCCCACAGCUGUUUGGUAGUCUCACAGUAAGAGUAAGACUCCAUGAUGGCGGGUUCAAGAGAGCUGAGGAGCACUGUGAGAACCAUGAGGUCUUCCUGAGCCCACUUGUCUUCAUCAGCUACCACCAUUUCCUGUCCAUCUUCUCCUUGGUUGAUUUGUUUUGGAGCCGCUUCUGCUGAGACAUGACUCCACAAACCCUUUCCUCCAAGGGCAAUUUUCACCAUCCUGGCCCAUAAGAGGUAGUUAAUCCCCUUCAGAGUCACAGGUAUGCUGAUGCGGUUGUUGUUGUUGUUGUUGUUGUUGUUCUCCAUCUUGAGGAUUCAAAGACCGGCAAGAAAAGAAACAGAGAUUUGUUUUGCGGAAGUAGAUAAGGGUUUCAAGAGCUUUGUUGCUCUGAUACCAUGAUAAAAUGAAUGAGUUAUAAGAGUGGCUUGUGUGAUUUAUCAAGAACAAAGAGAAGAGAUAGCUAGGGUUUUACUAAGAAUCCGAGAGAGAGAGAGAGAGAGAGUGAGAUUUCGAAAACAUAAGAGAGAAGUGAGGAAGUAUAUUUUUCCUUGAUCCAUUUGGUUCUGAUUACAUACUUUAAAUAGAUGCAACAAUGAAUAAACUAAUGGCAAGUUGACAUAGAAGAAAAGAAUAAACAAAGAGGCCUGAUCAAGGGCAGGUUGCGCACAGCCAAGGUGGAAAGCGACAGCACCAAACGGCUCUCUCUCCUUUGAACCACCUUGUCUUCUUCUUCAACGGAUCCCUUCUCUUGGCCGACAUCUUUUAAAUAUCUUAAGGCAAGUAUAACAUCCUUCUUGAUCACAGAUAAGUCUCCUCUUGCCUUGCACGCCAAGUUAGAUCACACUUGUACGGACAAGCUUACUUUGAUCACUCCGGAUGUAUGUCUUGACUUGAUUUCUUCUUCCUCUAUGUCAUUCAUGCUUUCAUGUCAACACUCCCCCUCAAGCUUGACCGUGUGGGACAAGUCAAGCUUGGACACCAUGAAGCUAUUCCCUCAUUAAAACCUUAGCUAGGAAAAAAACCUCAUGGGAUAAAACCCUAACCAAGGAAAAAGAGUAGAACACUUCAUGGGAGGAGAGAUCAGUGACAUGGAAGAUCCGUGAGUCCAAGUUUAGGGUGGAUGAACUCACAAACCUUGCUGCUGGCUGCCUUGGUGAAUAUGUCAGCUAGUUGAUCUUCACUUCUUGUGUAGCAUGGAAGAAUCACUUGCUGCUCCACUGCUUGUCUCACCUUGUGACAGUCCACUUCUAUAUGCUUAGUCCUCUCAUGGAACACAGAGUUUGAUGCAAUGUGUAUUGCUGCCUGAUUGUCACAAUGCAUAGUCAUUGGCGUGGAGAUCUCUAUGCCCAAGUCCUUUAGCAGUCCCUUGAUCCAUAUGAGUUCACUAGUAAGCUUCCUCAUAGAUCGGUACUCUGCCUCAGCACUUGAGCAAGAGACCACCUUCUGCUUCUUGCUCUUCCAUGUGACUAGGUUUCCUCCAAUAAAGGUGCAAUAGCCUGUGGUUGAUCUCCUAUCAACUCUAUCUCCAGCCCAAUCAGCAUCACAAUACCCAACAACUUCAGUACUCUUAUUGCAAGCCAUCCACACUCCCUGACCUGGCGCCUCUCUUAAGUAUCUCAAGAUCCUUUCCACCAUGUUCCAAUGAUGUACCUUAGGAGCUUGCAUGUGUUGGCUCACCUGGUUCACAGCAAAACACACAUCCGGCCUUGUGAUAGUAAGAUAGAUAAGCUUCCCAACCAUUCUUCUAUACCUCUUGACAUCCUCAAAGGGAGUUGCAUCAAACUCCCCCUCACGCAUAACCUUGUAGCCUUCUUCUAGUGGUGUCUUGGCCACUCUUCCUCCAAGGUCUCCUGCCUCCUUUAGGAUGUCCAAAGUAUACUUCCUUUGGGACAUGAACAAUCCCUCCCUUGAUCUACACAUCUCAAUGCCAAGGAAAUAUUUCAGUUCUCCUAGGUCUUUGAUGUCAAAUGCGGUCUUGAGGAAUGUCUUAGUUGAGCUGAUCUCUUCCUUGUCACUACCAGUGAUGAUGAUGUCAUCCACAUAGACCAGAAUCACAACGAUCCCUUGCUGGCUGGUGAGAGUAAACAGUGUGUGAUCCGCUUGAGACUUCACAAAGCCUCUCCCAUUUAGUGUGGUGCUUAGCUUGUGGUACCAAGCUCUUGGUGAUUGUUUCAGGCCAUAGAUAGCCUUCCUGAGUCUGAGAACAUUCCCUGGUUUCACCAUCUCUUCCAUUCCGGGAGGUGGCCUCAUAUAUACUUCAUCCUCUAGUUCACCUUGCAAGAAUGCAUUCUUCACAUCCAUUUGCCAAAGAUCCCAUUCUAGGUUCACUGCCAAUGAGAGGAGGAUCCGGAUAGUAUGGAGCUUGGCUACUGGUGCAAAAGUGUCUAGGUAGUCUUCUCCAUAUACUUGUGUGUAACCUCUUGCCACUAGUCUGGUCUUUUUCCUUUCUGGCUUCCCAUUUGCAAGGUACUUGAUGGUAUGUAUGAGCCUGCUAGUCACGGCUUUCUUCCCUUUUGGAAGCUCUGUCUCAUACCAGGUGUUAUUCCUUUCCAUGGCCCCCAUUUCAUCAUCCACUGAGCUCCUCCAUUCAUCAUCCUCCAUAGCUUCUGCAUACGUUUUUGGUAUCCAUUCCUGGUCCAAUGAACUCACAAAGGCUUGAUGUUCUUCUGGAUAUUGAGCAAGGGUGCAUACUCCACUUACUGGAUGUGCCACGGCUUGAGCAUUGUAGUAGAUUCUUGUCUUAACCCAAUCUGAAGUCGGUCUCCUGAUCCUUGUACUUCUUCUUAGGGCUGGUGUCUGCUCAGGUUCACUACCUUGAGCUUCAGUUUCUGGUUGUUCCAUCUCAUCUUGAUCAUGAGACAAUACUGAGUUUUCUUCAGGUUGAGCUUGCGCAGAUUGUUCAGGUUGAUCUUGCGCAGAUUUUUCUCCAUUGCCCCCCUCAUGAUCAUGAUGAGAGACUUCAUUAUCUCGUACCUCAGCUCCAUCAUGCUGAGGGGUAGUAUCCCGGCUCUUUUCUGGUUCCCUUGGUAAGCUGAUGCCAAGUCUUUCCAUAAGAACUUUCAGGUUGUUAGCUCUGUCCGAGGCAGAAUGAGAUAGAUCUUUGAGUUCUCCCCAACUCUUCUCAUCAUAGUAGGCCUUGGAUUCCAUGAACUUAACAUCUCUGGAUACUAGGACUCUCCUUGUUUCUGGUACGUAGCAUUUGUACCCUUUCUGAUGUGUGGAGUACCCAAUAAACAUAGCCUUUGUGCUCUUUGCUUCUAGCUUGUUCCUUAAUUCUCCUGGAAUCAAAACAAAACACACACACCCAAACACACGCAAAUGGUCAAUGGAUGAUCUAGAUUUGUUUAGUACCUCAUAGGGAGUGGCAUCAAGGAGGACUCUUGUAGGUGUGCGGUUGAUUAGAUAGGUGGCCGUGACCACUGCAUCUCCCCAAAAACGUUUAGGUACAUUGGCAUGGAACAUCAUACUCCUCGCCACUUCCAUCAAGUGUCUAUUCUUUCUCUCAGCAACUCCAUUUUGUUGAGGUGUAUAAGGGCAGCUAGUUUGUUGAAUGAUUCCAUGUGAGGCUAGGUGUUGUUUGAAGGCUGUGCUAGUAUACUCACCACCAUUAUCUGAUCUAAGAAUUUUGAUCUUAACAUUGAAAUGGUUAGUUAUAUAGCUCUGAAAGUUUUUAAAAGCUUCUAGCACUCUAUCCUUAGAUUGCAACAAGGUGAUCCAUGUGUAUUUAGAUUUUUCAUCAAUGAAUGUCACAAAAUAUUUAUGUUGCUCUCUAGAUGCACAUGGGGCAGUCCAUACGUCAGAAUGUAUGAGAUCAAAGCAAUUAUCAUAUUGAGUCUUUGAUUUAGGAAACACAGUUCUACAAUGUUUUCCUAAGAUACAAGCCUCACAAUCACUUUUAAAAGAAAUGCUAGGUAACAGGAUGUUCAAGGCAUGAGAAUGAGGAUGUCCUAGUCUAGCAUGCCAUAUUACAUCUUUAGGGAAUUCAGAAACAGAAUGAAACGCAGGAAAUAAAUCAGUUGUGGAUCUUGUGUCCUCAAGCAAGUACAAGUCUCCCUUGGUAACACCUUUGCCAAGCAACUUACUAGAAUCAAUAUCCUGAAAGUACACACUGUUAGGCGUGAAUGUAACUUGACAAUUGAGAUCAUUAGUUACUUUCUUAACAGAUAAUAGAUUUGAAGCAAAGGUGGGCAUAUAGAAAGCCUUAGUUUCUUUAUCAAACAGUUUAAGGUUACCUACACCUUUUAUUGGGAUUUUAUCUCCAUUUGCUAUCAUCACAUUUCCUAAGGCCGGUUCUAUGUUUUUAAUCAGUUCUAAGUCACUUAUCAUGUGAUGAGAAGCACCAGAAUCUAUAACUAAGGGCUUAGCCGAUUUAAAAACUCUUAUAGUGUCAUUAGCAGUAUGUGAAGCAUUAAGAGAAACACCAAGGUUUUUAGAUAUACCAGAUUCUUUUAGAGCCUUGAUGAGAGCAGUUAAGUCAGACUUCUUGAUGGUCUCAUCCAGGUUGGCCCUUGGCGUGGCAUAGCCUGAUGUGGAGGCAGUUGCACUUCCCACACCUAGGUUGCUUAUGCCCAUGGUGAUUGGUGUUGUUGGCUCCGCACCAUCAGCUGAGAAGUUGGCCCUUGCAUCUUGGUAUUGGGAGCGAGUCUCCCUAAACUUGCUGGGCUUAAGGUGGGGAUGGAGUAUCCAGCAUUUGUCCUUCAAGUGACCCUUCUUCUUGCAGUGGUCACAGGUCAGGCCUUUCCUCUCAUCUUGUUUGUAAGCCGCCUUGUUUGCCACUGCUUGUUCUGCUUGAUGCGCCAUGCUUAAGUCUCCCUUGCCACCAAACAAGCCAACUGAGCCUUCUUCCUUCUGGAUUUGAGCACAUACUUCAUCCAGGUCAGGUAGCUUGUCAGCUCUUAGGAUGUGCUUGAUCAAGCUCCCAUAAGAUGGGUUAAGAGUGAGCAGCAGUCCAAACACUCUGUCCUCCUCACGCCUGGUUAGAAGCGUGGCAUGGUCAGUGGUGUGUGGUCUUAGCAGUUCCAUCUCUGCCCAAAGAGACCUAAACUUGCCAAAGUGUGGUUGAAACUCCACAUCUCCUUGGUUGAGCGCAUUGAUGGCUCUCUUCACUUCAAAGACUCUUGUGAGGUUGGAGACAUUUCCAUACACUUUGUAAAGUGUAUCCCACAGCUGUUUGGUAGUCUCACAGUAAGAGUAAGACUCCAUGAUGGCGGGUUCAAGAGAGCUGAGGAGCACUGUGAGAACCAUGAGGUCUUCCUGAGCCCACUUGUCUUCAUCAGCUACCACCAUUUCCUGUCCAUCUUCUCCUUGGUUGGUUUGUUUUGGAGCCGCUUCUGCUGAGACAUGACUCCACAAACCCUUUCCUCCAAGGGCAAUUUUCACCAUCCUGGCCCAUAAGAGGUAGUUAAUCCCCUUCAGAGUCACAGGUAUGCUGAUGCGGUUGUUGUUGUUGUUGUUGUUGUUGUUCUCCAUCUUGAGGAUUCAAAGACCGGCAAGAAAAGAAACAGAGAUUUGUUUUGCGGAAGUAGAUAAGGGUUUCAAGAGCUUUGUUGCUCUGAUACCAUGAUAAAAUGAAUGAGUUAUAAGAGUGGCUUGUGUGAUUUAUCAAGAACAAAGAGAAGAGAUAGCUAGGGUUUUACUAAGAAUCCGAGAGAGAGAGAGAGAGAGAGUGAGAUUUCGAAAACAUAAGAGAGAAGUGAGGAAGUAUAUUUUUCCUUGAUCCAUUUGGUUCUGAUUACAUACUUUAAAUAGAUGCAACAAUGAAUAAACUAAUGGCAAGUUGACAUAGAAGAAAAGAAUAAACAAAGAGGCCUGAUCAAGGGCAGGUUGCGCACAGCCAAGGUGGAAAGCGACAGCACCAAACGGCUCUCUCUCCUUUGAACCACCUUGUCUUCUUCUUCAACGGAUCCCUUCUCUUGGCCGACAUCUUUUAAAUAUCUUAAGGCAAGUAUAACAUCCUUCUUGAUCACAGAUAAGUCUCCUCUUGCCUUGCACGCCAAGUUAGAUCACACUUGUACGGACAAGCUUACUUUGAUCACUCCGGAUGUAUGUCUUGACUUGAUUUCUUCUUCCUCUAUGUCAUUCAUGCUUUCAUGUCAACACUCCCCCUCAAGCUUGACCGUGUGGGACAAGUCAAGCUUGGACACCAUGAAGCUAUUCCCUCAUUAAAACCUUAGCUAGGAAAAAAACCUCAUGGGAUAAAACCCUAACCAAGGAAAAAGAGUAGAACACUUCAUGGGAGGAGAGAUCAGUGACAUGGAAGAUCCGUGAGUCCAAGUUUAGGGUGGAUGAACUCACAAACCUUGCUGCUGGCUGCCUUGGUGAAUAUGUCAGCUAGUUGAUCUUCACUUCUUGUGUAGCAUGGAAGAAUCACUUGCUGCUCCACUGCUUGUCUCACCUUGUGACAGUCCACUUCUAUAUGCUUAGUCCUCUCAUGGAACACAGAGUUUGAUGCAAUGUGUAUUGCUGCCUGAUUGUCACAAUGCAUAGUCAUUGGCGUGGAGAUCUCUAUGCCCAAGUCCUUUAGCAGUCCCUUGAUCCAUAUGAGUUCACUAGUAAGCUUCCUCAUAGAUCGGUACUCUGCCUCAGCACUUGAGCAAGAGACCACCUUCUGCUUCUUGCUCUUCCAUGUGACUAGGUUUCCUCCAAUAAAGGUGCAAUAGCCUGUGGUUGAUCUCCUAUCAACUCUAUCUCCAGCCCAAUCAGCAUCACAAUACCCAACAACUUCAGUACUCUUAUUGCAAGCCAUCCACACUCCCUGACCUGGCGCCUCUCUUAAGUAUCUCAAGAUCCUUUCCACCAUGUUCCAAUGAUGUACCUUAGGAGCUUGCAUGUGUUGGCUCACCUGGUUCACAGCAAAACACACAUCCGGCCUUGUGAUAGUAAGAUAGAUAAGCUUCCCAACCAUUCUUCUAUACCUCUUGACAUCCUCAAAGGGAGUUGCAUCAAACUCCCCCUCACGCAUAACCUUGUAGCCUUCUUCUAGUGGUGUCUUGGCCACUCUUCCUCCAAGGUCUCCUGCCUCCUUUAGGAUGUCCAAAGUAUACUUCCUUUGGGACAUGAACAAUCCCUCCCUUGAUCUACACAUCUCAAUGCCAAGGAAAUAUUUCAGUUCUCCUAGGUCUUUGAUGUCAAAUGCGGUCUUGAGGAAUGUCUUAGUUGAGCUGAUCUCUUCCUUGUCACUACCAGUGAUGAUGAUGUCAUCCACAUAGACCAGAAUCACAACGAUCCCUUGCUGGCUGGUGAGAGUAAACAGUGUGUGAUCCGCUUGAGACUUCACAAAGCCUCUCCCAUUUAGUGUGGUGCUUAGCUUGUGGUACCAAGCUCUUGGUGAUUGUUUCAGGCCAUAGAUAGCCUUCCUGAGUCUGAGAACAUUCCCUGGUUUCACCAUCUCUUCCAUUCCGGGAGGUGGCCUCAUAUAUACUUCAUCCUCUAGUUCACCUUGCAAGAAUGCAUUCUUCACAUCCAUUUGCCAAAGAUCCCAUUCUAGGUUCACUGCCAAUGAGAGGAGGAUCCGGAUAGUAUGGAGCUUGGCUACUGGUGCAAAAGUGUCUAGGUAGUCUUCUCCAUAUACUUGUGUGUAACCUCUUGCCACUAGUCUGGUCUUUUUCCUUUCUGGCUUCCCAUUUGCAAGGUACUUGAUGGUAUGUAUGAGCCUGCUAGUCACGGCUUUCUUCCCUUUUGGAAGCUCUGUCUCAUACCAGGUGUUAUUCCUUUCCAUGGCCCCCAUUUCAUCAUCCACUGAGCUCCUCCAUUCAUCAUCCUCCAUAGCUUCUGCAUACGUUUUUGGUAUCCAUUCCUGGUCCAAUGAACUCACAAAGGCUUGAUGUUCUUCUGGAUAUUGAGCAAGGGUGCAUACUCCACUUACUGGAUGUGCCACGGCUUGAGCAUUGUAGUAGAUUCUUGUCUUAACCCAAUCUGAAGUCGGUCUCCUGAUCCUUGUACUUCUUCUUAGGGCUGGUGUCUGCUCAGGUUCACUACCUUGAGCUUCAGUUUCUGGUUGUUCCAUCUCAUCUUGAUCAUGAGACAAUACUGAGUUUUCUUCAGGUUGAGCUUGCGCAGAUUGUUCAGGUUGAUCUUGCGCAGAUUUUUCUCCAUUGCCCCCCUCAUGAUCAUGAUGAGAGACUUCAUUAUCUCGUACCUCAGCUCCAUCAUGCUGAGGGGUAGUAUCCCGGCUCUUUUCUGGUUCCCUUGGUAAGCUGAUGCCAAGUCUUUCCAUAAGAACUUUCAGGUUGUUAGCUCUGUCCGAGGCAGAAUGAGAUAGAUCUUUGAGUUCUCCCCAACUCUUCUCAUCAUAGUAGGCCUUGGAUUCCAUGAACUUAACAUCUCUGGAUACUAGGACUCUCCUUGUUUCUGGUACGUAGCAUUUGUACCCUUUCUGAUGUGUGGAGUACCCAAUAAACAUAGCCUUUGUGCUCUUUGCUUCUAGCUUGUUCCUUAAUUCUCCUGGAAUCAAAACAAAACACACACACCCAAACACACGCAAAUGGUCAAUGGAUGAUCUAGAUUUGUUUAGUACCUCAUAGGGAGUGGCAUCAAGGAGGACUCUUGUAGGUGUGCGGUUGAUUAGAUAGGUGGCCGUGACCACUGCAUCUCCCCAAAAACGUUUAGGUACAUUGGCAUGGAACAUCAUACUCCUCGCCACUUCCAUCAAGUGUCUAUUCUUUCUCUCAGCAACUCCAUUUUGUUGAGGUGUAUAAGGGCAGCUAGUUUGUUGAAUGAUUCCAUGUGAGGCUAGGUGUUGUUUGAAGGCUGUGCUAGUAUACUCACCACCAUUAUCUGAUCUAAGAAUUUUGAUCUUAACAUUGAAAUGGUUAGUUAUAUAGCUCUGAAAGUUUUUAAAAGCUUCUAGCACUCUAUCCUUAGAUUGCAACAAGGUGAUCCAUGUGUAUUUAGAUUUUUCAUCAAUGAAUGUCACAAAAUAUUUAUGUUGCUCUCUAGAUGCACAUGGGGCAGUCCAUACGUCAGAAUGUAUGAGAUCAAAGCAAUUAUCAUAUUGAGUCUUUGAUUUAGGAAACACAGUUCUACAAUGUUUUCCUAAGAUACAAGCCUCACAAUCACUUUUAAAAGAAAUGCUAGGUAACAGGAUGUUCAAGGCAUGAGAAUGAGGAUGUCCUAGUCUAGCAUGCCAUAUUACAUCUUUAGGGAAUUCAGAAACAGAAUGAAACGCAGGAAAUAAAUCAGUUGUGGAUCUUGUGUCCUCAAGCAAGUACAAGUCUCCCUUGGUAACACCUUUGCCAAGCAACUUACUAGAAUCAAUAUCCUGAAAGUACACACUGUUAGGCGUGAAUGUAACUUGACAAUUGAGAUCAUUAGUUACUUUCUUAACAGAUAAUAGAUUUGAAGCAAAGGUGGGCAUAUAGAAAGCCUUAGUUUCUUUAUCAAACAGUUUAAGGUUACCUACACCUUUUAUUGGGAUUUUAUCUCCAUUUGCUAUCAUCACAUUUCCUAAGGCCGGUUCUAUGUUUUUAAUCAGUUCUAAGUCACUUAUCAUGUGAUGAGAAGCACCAGAAUCUAUAACUAAGGGCUUAGCCGAUUUAAAAACUCUUAUAGUGUCAUUAGCAGUAUGUGAAGCAUUAAGAGAAACACCAAGGUUUUUAGAUAUACCAGAUUCUUUUAGAGCCUUGAUGAGAGCAGUUAAGUCAGACUUCUUGAUGGUCUCAUCCAGGUUGGCCCUUGGCGUGGCAUAGCCUGAUGUGGAGGCAGUUGCACUUCCCACACCUAGGUUGCUUAUGCCCAUGGUGAUUGGUGUUGUUGGCUCCGCACCAUCAGCUGAGAAGUUGGCCCUUGCAUCUUGGUAUUGGGAGCGAGUCUCCCUAAACUUGCUGGGCUUAAGGUGGGGAUGGAGUAUCCAGCAUUUGUCCUUCAAGUGACCCUUCUUCUUGCAGUGGUCACAGGUCAGGCCUUUCCUCUCAUCUUGUUUGUAAGCCGCCUUGUUUGCCACUGCUUGUUCUGCUUGAUGCGCCAUGCUUAAGUCUCCCUUGCCACCAAACAAGCCAACUGAGCCUUCUUCCUUCUGGAUUUGAGCACAUACUUCAUCCAGGUCAGGUAGCUUGUCAGCUCUUAGGAUGUGCUUGAUCAAGCUCCCAUAAGAUGGGUUAAGAGUGAGCAGCAGUCCAAACACUCUGUCCUCCUCACGCCUGGUUAGAAGCGUGGCAUGGUCAGUGGUGUGUGGUCUUAGCAGUUCCAUCUCUGCCCAAAGAGACCUAAACUUGCCAAAGUGUGGUUGAAACUCCACAUCUCCUUGGUUGAGCGCAUUGAUGGCUCUCUUCACUUCAAAGACUCUUGUGAGGUUGGAGACAUUUCCAUACACUUUGUAAAGUGUAUCCCACAGCUGUUUGGUAGUCUCACAGUAAGAGUAAGACUCCAUGAUGGCGGGUUCAAGAGAGCUGAGGAGCACUGUGAGAACCAUGAGGUCUUCCUGAGCCCACUUGUCUUCAUCAGCUACCACCAUUUCCUGUCCAUCUUCUCCUUGGUUGGUUUGUUUUGGAGCCGCUUCUGCUGAGACAUGACUCCACAAACCCUUUCCUCCAAGGGCAAUUUUCACCAUCCUGGCCCAUAAGAGGUAGUUAAUCCCCUUCAGAGUCACAGGUAUGCUGAUGCGGUUGUUGUUGUUGUUGUUGUUGUUGUUCUCCAUCUUGAGGAUUCAAAGACCGGCAAGAAAAGAAACAGAGAUUUGUUUUGCGGAAGUAGAUAAGGGUUUCAAGAGCUUUGUUGCUCUGAUACCAUGAUAAAAUGAAUGAGUUAUAAGAGUGGCUUUUGUGAUUUAUCAAGAACAAAGAGAAGAGAUAGCUAGGGUUUUACUAAGAAUCCGAGAGAGAGAGAGAGAGAGAGAGAUUUCGAAAACAUAAGAGAGAAGUGAGGAAGUAUAUUUUUCCUUGAUCCAUUUGGUUCUGAUUACAUACUUUAAAUAGAUGCAACAAUGAAUAAACUAAUGGCAAGUUGACAUAGAAGAAAAGAAUAAACAAAGAGGCCUGAUCAAGGGCAGGUUGCGCACAGCCAAGGUGGAAAGCGACAGCACCAAACGGCUCUCUCUCCUUUGAACCACCUUGUCUUCUUCUUCAACGGAUCCCUUCUCUUGGCCGACAUCUUUUAAAUAUCUUAAGGCAAGUAGAAAGCGACAGCACCAAACGGCUCUCUCUCCUUUGAACCACGUUGUCUUCUUCUUCAACGGAUCCCUUCUCUUGGCCGACAUCUUUUAAAUAUCUUAAGGCAAGUAUAACAUCCUUCUUGAUCACAGAUAAGUCUCCUCUUGCCUUGCACGCCAAGUUAGAUCACACUUGUACGGACAAGCUUACUUUGAUCACUCCGGAUGUAUGUCUUGACUUGAUUUCUUCUUCCUCUAUGUCAUUCAUGCUUUCAUGUCAACACUCCCCCUCAAGCUUGACCGUGUGGGACAAGUCAAGCUUGGACACCAUGAAGCUAUUCCCUCAUUAAAACCUUAGCUAGGAAAAACCUCAUGGGAUAAAACCCUAACCAAGGAAAAAGAGUAGAACACUUCAUGGGAGGAGAGAUCAGUGACAUGGAAGAUCCGUGAGUCCAAGUUUAGGGUGGAUGAACUCACAAACCUUGCUGCUGGCUGCCUUGGUGAAUAUGUCAGCUAGUUGAUCUUCACUUCUUGUGUAGCAUGGAAGAAUCACUUGCUGCUCCACUGCUUGUCUCACCUUGUGACAGUCCACUUCUAUAUGCUUAGUCCUCUCAUGGAACACAGAGUUUGAUGCAAUGUGUAUUGCUGCCUGAUUGUCACAAUGCAUAGUCAUUGGCGUGGAGAUCUCUAUGCCCAAGUCCUUUAGCAGUCCCUUGAUCCAUAUGAGUUCACUAGUAAGCUUCCUCAUAGAUCGGUACUCUGCCUCAGCACUUGAGCAAGAGACCACCUUCUGCUUCUUGCUCUUCCAUGUGACUAGGUUUCCUCCAAUAAAGGUGCAAUAGCCUGUGGUUGAUCUCCUAUCAACUCUAUCUCCAGCCCAAUCAGCAUCACAAUACCCAACAACUUCAGUACUCUUAUUGCAAGCCAUCCACACUCCCUGACCUGGCGCCUCUCUUAAGUAUCUCAAGAUCCUUUCCACCAUGUUCCAAUGAUGUACCUUAGGAGCUUGCAUGUGUUGGCUCACCUGGUUCACAGCAAAACACACAUCCGGCCUUGUGAUAGUAAGAUAGAUAAGCUUCCCAACCAUUCUUCUAUACCUCUUGACAUCCUCAAAGGGAGUUGCAUCAAACUCCCCCUCACGCAUAACCUUGUAGCCUUCUUCUAGUGGUGUCUUGGCCACUCUUCCUCCAAGGUCUCCUGCCUCCUUUAGGAUGUCCAAAGUAUACUUCCUUUGGGACAUGAACAAUCCCUCCCUUUAUCUACACAUCUCAAUGCCAAGGAAAUAUUUCAGUUCUCCUAGGUCUUUGAUGUCAAAUGCGGUCUUGAGGAAUGUCUUAGUUGAGCUGAUCUCUUCCUUGUCACUACCAGUGAUGAUGAUGUCAUCCACAUAGACCAGAAUCACAACGAUCCCUUGCUGGCUGGUGAGAGUAAACAGUGUGUGAUCCGCUUGAGACUUCACAAAGCCUCUCCCAUUUAGUGUGGUGCUUAGCUUGUGGUACCAAGCUCUUGGUGAUUGUUUCAGGCCAUAGAUAGCCUUCCUGAGUCUGAGAACAUUCCCUGGUUUCACCAUCUCUUCCAUUCCGGGAGGUGGCCUCAUAUAUACUUCAUCCUCUAGUUCACCUUGCAAGAAUGCAUUCUUCACAUCCAUUUGCCAAAGAUCCCAUUCUAGGUUUACUGCCAAUGAGAGGAGGAUCCGGAUAGUAUGGAGCUUGGCUACUGGUGCAAAAGUGUCUAGGUAGUCUUCUCCAUAUACUUGUGUGUAACCUCUUGCCACUAGUCUGGUCUUUUUCCUUUCUGGCUUCCCAUUUGCAAGGUACUUGAUGGUAUGUAUGAGCCUGCUAGUCACGGCUUUCUUCCCUUUUGGAAGCUCUGUCUCAUACCAGGUGUUAUUCCUUUCCAUGGCCCCCAUUUCAUCAUCCACUGAGCUCCUCCAUUCAUCAUCCUCCAUAGCUUCUGCAUACGUUUUUGGUAUCCAUUCCUGGUCCAAUGAACUCACAAAGACUUGAUGUUCUUCUGGAUAUUGAGCAAGGGUGCAUACUCCACUUACUGGAUGUGCCACGGCUUGAGCAUUGUAGUAGAUUCUUGUCUUAACCCAAUCUGAAGCCGGUCUCCUGAUCCUUGUACUUCUUCUUAGGGCUGGUGUCUGCUCAGGUUCACUACCUUGAGCUUCAGUUUCUGGUUGUUCCAUCUCAUCUUGAUCAUGAGACAAUACUGAGUUUUCUUCAGGUUGAGCUUGCGCAGAUUGUUCAGGUUGAUCUUGCGCAGAUUUUUCUCCAUUGCCCCCCUCAUGAUCAUGAUGAGAGACUUCAUUAUCUCGUACCUCAGCUCCAUCAUGCUGAGGGGUAGUAUCCCGGCUCUUUUCUGGUUCCCUUGGUAAGCUGAUGCCAAGUCUUUCCAUAAGAACUUUCAGGUUGUUAGCUCUGUCCGAGGCAGAAUGAGAUAGAUCUUUGAGUUCUCCCCAACUCUUCUCAUCAUAGUAGGCCUUGGAUUCCAUGAACUUAACAUCUCUGGAUACUAGGACUCUCCUUGUUUCUGGUACGUAGCAUUUGUACCCUUUCUGAUGUGUGGAGUACCCAAUAAACAUGGCCUUUGUGCUCUUUGCUUCUAGCUUGUUCCUUAGUUCUCCUGGAAUCAAAACAAAACACACACACCCAAACACACGCAAAUGGUCAAUGGAUGAUCUAGAUUUGUUUAGUACCUCAUAGGGAGUGGCAUCAAGGAGGACUCUUGUAGGUGUGCGGUUGAUUAGAUAGGUGGCCGUGACCACUGCAUCUCCCCAAAAACGUUUAGGUACAUUGGCAUGGAACAUCAUACUCCUCGCCACUUCCAUCAAGUGUCUAUUCUUUCUCUCAGCAACUCCAUUUUGUUGAGGUGUAUAAGGGCAGCUAGUUUGUUGAAUGAUUCCAUGUGAGGCUAGGUGUUGUUUGAAGGCUGUGCUAGUAUACUCACCACCAUUAUCUGAUCUAAGAAUUUUGAUCUUAACAUUGAAAUGGUUAGUUAUAUAGCUCUGAAAGUUUUUAAAAGCUUCUAGCACUCUAUCCUUAGAUUGCAACAAGGUGAUCCAUGUGUAUUUAGAUUUUUCAUCAAUGAAUGUCACAAAAUAUUUAUGUUGCUCUCUAGAUGCACAUGGGGCAGUCCAUACGUCAGAAUGUAUGAGAUCAAAGCAAUUAUCAUAUUGAGUCUUUGAUUUAGGAAACACAGUUCUACAAUGUUUUCCUAAGAUACAAGCCUCACAAUCACUUUUAAAAGAAAUGCUAGGUAACAGGAUGUUCAAGGCAUGAGAAUGAGGAUGUCCUAGUCUAGCAUGCCAUAUUACAUCUUUAGGGAAUUCAGAAACAGAAUGAAAAGCAGGAAAUAAAUCAGUUGCGGAUCUUGUGUCCUCAAGCAAGUACAAGUCUCCCUUGGUAACACCUUUGCCAAGCAACUUACUAGAAUCAAUAUCCUGAAAGUACACACUGUUAGGCGUGAAUGUAACUUGACAAUUGAGAUCAUUAGUUACUUUCUUAACAGAUAAUAGAUUUGAAGCAAAGGUGGGCAUAUAGAAAGCCUUAGUUUCUUUAUCAAACAGUUUAAGGUUACCUACACCUUUUAUUGGGAUUUUAUCUCCAUUUGCUAUCAUCACAUUUCCUAAGGCCGGUUCUAUGUUUUUAAUCAGUUCUAAGUCACUUAUCAUGUGAUGAGAAGCACCAGAAUCUAUAACUAAGGGCUUAGCCGAUUUAAAAACUCUUGUAGUGUCAUUAGCAGUAUGUGAAGCAUUAAGAGAAACACCAAGGUUUUUAGAUAUACCAGAUUCUUUUAGAGCUUUGAUGAGAGCAGUUAAGUCAGACUUCUUGAUGGUCUCAUCCAGGUUGGCCCUUGGCGUGGCAUAGCCUGAUGUGGAGGCAGUUGCACUUCCCACACCUAGGUUGCUUAUGCCCAUGGUGAUUGGUGUUGUUGGCUCCGCACCAUCAGCUGAGAAGUUGGCCCUUGCAUCUUGGUAUUGGGAGCGAGUCUCCCUAAACUUGCUGGGCUUAAGGUGGGGAUGGAGUAUCCAGCAUUUGUCCUUCAAGUGACCCUUCUUCUUGCAGUGGUCACAGGUCAGGCCUUUCCUCUCAUCUUGUUUGUAAGCCGCCUUGUUUGCCACUGCUUGUUCUGCUUGAUGCGCCAUGCUUAAGUCUCCCUUGCCACCAAACAAGCCCACUGAGCCUUCUUCCUUCUGGAUUUGAGCACAUACUUCAUCCAGGUCAGGUAGCUUGUCAGCUCUUAGGAUGUGCUUGAUCAAGCUCCCAUAAGAUGGGUUAAGAGUGAGCAGCAGUCCAAACACUCUGUCCUCCUCACGCCUGGUUAGAAGCGUGGCAUGGUCAGUGGUGUGUGGUCUUAGCAGUUCCAUCUCUGCCCAAAGAGACCUAAACUUGCCAAAGUGUGGUUGAAACUCCACAUCUCCUUGGUUGAGCGCAUUGAUGGCUCUCUUCACUUCAAAGACUCUUGUGAGGUUGGAGACAUUUCCAUACACUUUGUAAAGUGUAUCCCACAGCUGUUUGGUAGUCUCACAUUGUGACAUUUAUUGAUGAGAAGUCUAAGUAUACUUGGCUUACAUUGCUUCCAUCUAAAGAUAGGGUGUUAGAAGCAUUUAUGAACUUCCUGUUAAGAUGAGGAGAGUUAAGUGAAGAAGGGAGAUGAGGCUUGAGUAGAAUGAGGAUAAGGAAGGCUAGGAAGGGUUGGGAGCUUUGAGAUCAACCAGUCCGUACAAGGCCGUACAAGGCCGUACAUGACCGUACAAGAUGGGAUCGACCAAAGCUCAACCAAACCUUUACCUUGUGUUACCCGAGUUACUUAGGUAAAGAGGAGAAGUUACCUUAGCCUUUGUGGGAUGGAUCAGACCGUUGGAAAGGAUAAGGGCGAGUCUUGGACAGGCUGUCACAGCUGGAAAGUGAAAGCAAAAGGAAGCAGCCAGCUAAAGAUGCUUCACACGGAUUGAUCACCUUAUUGGAUGGUUUUGAAUUAAGCCUUGACUCCACAUGCUUAUCUUAUCCUCUUGUUUACGAAAACCCUAAUCUCUCUCUUCAUAUAUAUGUGUAAACUCUCUCAUUAAUACAAUUAAGAAAGUUAUGAGUCUCUCUUAGUCUCUUUGUCUCUCAAUGGUUCUAUACUAGACUCUUAAUCUCAUUUUAUACUCAAAUCUCUUCUAAAUCACUUCUAGUCUUUCUUAUUCACUCAGAUUACUCUACUCAAUCCUAAAAGUGAUAUACUUCACUUUCUUCUUCAGACUUCUCAUGAUCAGAACCAAACUUUAUGAGAUUUAAGAGUACUCAGGUUGUAUGUGUGUAUGACACUAGGAGCUUGCAUGUGUUGGCUCACCUGGUUCACAGCAAAACACACAUCCGGCCUUGUGAUAGUAAGAUAGAUAAGCUUCCCAACCAUUCUUCUAUACCUCUUGACAUCCUCAAAGGGAGUUGCAUCAAACUCCCCCUCACGCAUAACCUUGUAGCCUUCUUCUAGUGGUGUCUUGGCCACUCUUCCUCCAAGGUCUCCUGCCUCCUUUAGGAUGUCCAAAGUAUACUUCCUUUGGGACAUGAACAAUCCCUCCCUUUAUCUACACAUCUCAAUGCCAAGGAAAUAUUUCAGUUCUCCUAGGUCUUUGAUGUCAAAUGCGGUCUUGAGGAAUGUCUUAGUUGAGCUGAUCUCUUCCUUGUCACUACCAGUGAUGAUGAUGUCAUCCACAUAGACCAGAAUCACAACGAUCCCUUGCUGGCUGGUGAGAGUAAACAGUGUGUGAUCCGCUUGAGACUUCACAAAGCCUCUCCCAUUUAGUGUGGUGCUUAGCUUGUGGUACCAAGCUCUUGGUGAUUGUUUCAGGCCAUAGAUAGCCUUCCUGAGUCUGAGAACAUUCCCUGGUUUCACCAUCUCUUCCAUUCCGGGAGGUGGCCUCAUAUAUACUUCAUCCUCUAGUUCACCUUGCAAGAAUGCAUUCUUCACAUCCAUUUGCCAAAGAUCCCAUUCUAGGUUUACUGCCAAUGAGAGGAGGAUCCGGAUAGUAUGGAGCUUGGCUACUGGUGCAAAAGUGUCUAGGUAGUCUUCUCCAUAUACUUGUGUGUAACCUCUUGCCACUAGUCUGGUCUUUUUCCUUUCUGGCUUCCCAUUUGCAAGGUACUUGAUGGUAUGUAUGAGCCUGCUAGUCACGGCUUUCUUCCCUUUUGGAAGCUCUGUCUCAUACCAGGUGUUAUUCCUUUCCAUGGCCCCCAUUUCAUCAUCCACUGAGCUCCUCCAUUCAUCAUCCUCCAUAGCUUCUGCAUACGUUUUUGGUAUCCAUUCCUGGUCCAAUGAACUCACAAAGACUUGAUGUUCUUCUGGAUAUUGAGCAAGGGUGCAUACUCCACUUACUGGAUGUGCCACGGCUUGAGCAUUGUAGUAGAUUCUUGUCUUAACCCAAUCUGAAGCCGGUCUCCUGAUCCUUGUACUUCUUCUUAGGGCUGGUGUCUGCUCAGGUUCACUACCUUGAGCUUCAGUUUCUGGUUGUUCCAUCUCAUCUUGAUCAUGAGACAAUACUGAGUUUUCUUCAGGUUGAGCUUGCGCAGAUUGUUCAGGUUGAUCUUGCGCAGAUUUUUCUCCAUUGCCCCCCUCAUGAUCAUGAUGAGAGACUUCAUUAUCUCGUACCUCAGCUCCAUCAUGCUGAGGGGUAGUAUCCCGGCUCUUUUCUGGUUCCCUUGGUAAGCUGAUGCCAAGUCUUUCCAUAAGAACUUUCAGGUUGUUAGCUCUGUCCGAGGCAGAAUGAGAUAGAUCUUUGAGUUCUCCCCAACUCUUCUCAUCAUAGUAGGCCUUGGAUUCCAUGAACUUAACAUCUCUGGAUACUAGGACUCUCCUUGUUUCUGGUACGUAGCAUUUGUACCCUUUCUGAUGUGUGGAGUACCCAAUAAACAUGGCCUUUGUGCUCUUUGCUUCUAGCUUGUUCCUUAGUUCUCCUGGAAUCAAAACAAAACACACACACCCAAACACACGCAAAUGGUCAAUGGAUGAUCUAGAUUUGUUUAGUACCUCAUAGGGAGUGGCAUCAAGGAGGACUCUUGUAGGUGUGCGGUUGAUUAGAUAGGUGGCCGUGACCACUGCAUCUCCCCAAAAACGUUUAGGUACAUUGGCAUGGAACAUCAUACUCCUCGCCACUUCCAUCAAGUGUCUAUUCUUUCUCUCAGCAACUCCAUUUUGUUGAGGUGUAUAAGGGCAGCUAGUUUGUUGAAUGAUUCCAUGUGAGGCUAGGUGUUGUUUGAAGGCUGUGCUAGUAUACUCACCACCAUUAUCUGAUCUAAGAAUUUUGAUCUUAACAUUGAAAUGGUUAGUUAUAUAGCUCUGAAAGUUUUUAAAAGCUUCUAGCACUCUAUCCUUAGAUUGCAACAAGGUGAUCCAUGUGUAUUUAGAUUUUUCAUCAAUGAAUGUCACAAAAUAUUUAUGUUGCUCUCUAGAUGCACAUGGGGCAGUCCAUACGUCAGAAUGUAUGAGAUCAAAGCAAUUAUCAUAUUGAGUCUUUGAUUUAGGAAACACAGUUCUACAAUGUUUUCCUAAGAUACAAGCCUCACAAUCACUUUUAAAAGAAAUGCUAGGUAACAGGAUGUUCAAGGCAUGAGAAUGAGGAUGUCCUAGUCUAGCAUGCCAUAUUACAUCUUUAGGGAAUUCAGAAACAGAAUGAAAAGCAGGAAAUAAAUCAGUUGCGGAUCUUGUGUCCUCAAGCAAGUACAAGUCUCCCUUGGUAACACCUUUGCCAAGCAACUUACUAGAAUCAAUAUCCUGAAAGUACACACUGUUAGGCGUGAAUGUAACUUGACAAUUGAGAUCAUUAGUUACUUUCUUAACAGAUAAUAGAUUUGAAGCAAAGGUGGGCAUAUAGAAAGCCUUAGUUUCUUUAUCAAACAGUUUAAGGUUACCUACACCUUUUAUUGGGAUUUUAUCUCCAUUUGCUAUCAUCACAUUUCCUAAGGCCGGUUCUAUGUUUUUAAUCAGUUCUAAGUCACUUAUCAUGUGAUGAGAAGCACCAGAAUCUAUAACUAAGGGCUUAGCCGAUUUAAAAACUCUUGUAGUGUCAUUAGCAGUAUGUGAAGCAUUAAGAGAAACACCAAGGUUUUUAGAUAUACCAGAUUCUUUUAGAGCUUUGAUGAGAGCAGUUAAGUCAGACUUCUUGAUGGUCUCAUCCAGGUUGGCCCUUGGCGUGGCAUAGCCUGAUGUGGAGGCAGUUGCACUUCCCACACCUAGGUUGCUUAUGCCCAUGGUGAUUGGUGUUGUUGGCUCCGCACCAUCAGCUGAGAAGUUGGCCCUUGCAUCUUGGUAUUGGGAGCGAGUCUCCCUAAACUUGCUGGGCUUAAGGUGGGGAUGGAGUAUCCAGCAUUUGUCCUUCAAGUGACCCUUCUUCUUGCAGUGGUCACAGGUCAGGCCUUUCCUCUCAUCUUGUUUGUAAGCCGCCUUGUUUGCCACUGCUUGUUCUGCUUGAUGCGCCAUGCUUAAGUCUCCCUUGCCACCAAACAAGCCCACUGAGCCUUCUUCCUUCUGGAUUUGAGCACAUACUUCAUCCAGGUCAGGUAGCUUGUCAGCUCUUAGGAUGUGCUUGAUCAAGCUCCCAUAAGAUGGGUUAAGAGUGAGCAGCAGUCCAAACACUCUGUCCUCCUCACGCCUGGUUAGAAGCGUGGCAUGGUCAGUGGUGUGUGGUCUUAGCAGUUCCAUCUCUGCCCAAAGAGACCUAAACUUGCCAAAGUGUGGUUGAAACUCCACAUCUCCUUGGUUGAGCGCAUUGAUGGCUCUCUUCACUUCAAAGACUCUUGUGAGGUUGGAGACAUUUCCAUACACUUUGUAAAGUGUAUCCCACAGCUGUUUGGUAGUCUCACAGUAAGAGUAAGACUCCAUGAUGGCGGGUUCAAGAGAGCUGAGGAGCACUGUGAGAACCAUGAGGUCUUCCUGAGCCCACUUGUCUUCAUCAGCUACCACCAUUUCCUGUCCAUCUUCUCCUUGGUUGGUUUGUUUUGGAGCCGCUUCUGCUGAGACAUGACUCCACAAACCCUUUCCUCCAAGGGCAAUUUUCACCAUCCUGGCCCAUAAGAGGUAGUUAAUCCCCUUCAGAGUCACAGGUAUGCUGAUGCGGUUGUUGUUGUUGUUGUUGUUGUUGUUCUCCAUCUUGAGGAUUCAAAGACCGGCAAGAAAAGAACCAGAGAUUUGUUUUGCGGAAGUAGAUAAGGGUUUCAAGAGCUUUGUUGCUCUGAUACCAUGAUAAAAUGAAUGAGUUAUAAGAGUGGCUUGUGUGAUUUAUCAAGAACAAAGAGAAGAGAUAGCUAGGGUUUUACUAAGAAUCCGAGAGAGAGAGAGAGAGAGAGAGAGAGAGAGAGUGAGAUUUCGAAAACAUAAGAGAGAAGUGAGGAAGUAUAUUUUCCUUGAUCCAUUUGGUUCUGAUUACAUACUUUAAAUAGAUGCAACAAUGAAUAAACUAAUGGCAAGUUGACAUAGAAGAAAAGAAUAAACAAAGAGGCCUGAUCAAGGGCAGGUUGCGCACAGCCAAGGUGGAAAGCGACAGCACCAAACGGCUCUCUCUCCUUUGAACCACCUUGUCUUCUUCUUCAACGGAUCCCUUCUCUUGGCCGACAUCUUUUAAAUAUCUUAAGGCAAGUAUAACAUCCUUCUUGAUCACAGAUAAGUCUCCUCUUGCCUUGCACGCCAAGUUAGAUCACACUUGUACGGACAAGCUUACUUUGAUCACUCCGGAUGUAUGUCUUGACUUGAUUUCUUCUUCCUCUAUGUCAUUCAUGCUUUCAUGUCAACACUCCCCCUCAAGCUUGACCGUGUGGGACAAGUCAAGCUUGGACACCAUGAAGCUAUUCCCUCAUUAAAACCUUAGCUAGGAAAAACCUCAUGGGAUAAAACCCUAACCAAGGAAAAAGAGUAGAACACUUCAUGGGAGGAGAGAUCAGUGACAUGGAAGAUCCGUGAGUCCAAGUUUAGGGUGGAUGAACUCACAAACCUUGCUGCUGGCUGCCUUGGUGAAUAUGUCAGCUAGUUGAUCUUCACUUCUUGUGUAGCAUGGAAGAAUCACUUGCUGCUCCACUGCUUGUCUCACCUUGUGACAGUCCACUUCUAUAUGCUUAGUCCUCUCAUGGAACACAGAGUUUGAUGCAAUGUGUAUUGCUGCCUGAUUGUCACAAUGCAUAGUCAUUGGCGUGGAGAUCUCUAUGCCCAAGUCCUUUAGCAGUCCUUUGAUCCAUAUGAGUUCACUAGUAAGCUUCCUCAUAGAUCGGUACUCUGCCUCAGCACUUGAGCAAGAGACCACCUUCUGCUUCUUGCUCUUCCAUGUGACUAGGUUUCCUCCAAUAAAGGUGCAAUAGCCUGUGGUUGAUCUCCUAUCAACUCUAUCUCCAGCCCAAUCAGCAUCACAAUACCCAACAACUUCAGUACUCUUAUUGCAAGCCAUCCACACUCCCUGACCUGGCGCCUCUCUUAAGUAUCUCAAGAUCCUUUCCACCAUGUUCCAAUGAUGUACCUUAGGAGCUUGCAUGUGUUGGCUCACCUGGUUCACAGCAAAACACACAUCCGGCCUUGUGAUAGUAAGAUAGAUAAGCUUCCCAACCAUUCUUCUAUACCUCUUGACAUCCUCAAAGGGAGUUGCAUCAAACUCCCCCUCACGCAUAACCUUGUAGCCUUCUUCUAGUGGUGUCUUGGCCACUCUUCCUCCAAGGUCUCCUGCCUCCUUUAGGAUGUCCAAAGUAUACUUCCUUUGGGACAUGAACAAUCCCUCCCUUGAUCUACACAUCUCAAUGCCAAGGAAAUAUUUCAGUUCUCCUAGGUCUUUGAUGUCAAAUGCGGUCUUGAGGAAUGUCUUAGUUGAGCUGAUCUCUUCCUUGUCACUACCAGUGAUGAUGAUGUCAUCCACAUAGACCAGAAUCACAACGAUCCCUUGCUGGCUGGUGAGAGUAAACAGUGUGUGAUCCGCUUGAGACUUCACAAAGCCUCUCCCAUUUAGUGUGGUGCUUAGCUUGUGGUACCAAGCUCUUGGUGAUUGUUUCAGGCCAUAGAUAGCCUUCCUGAGUCUGAGAACAUUCCCUGGUUUCACCAUCUCUUCCAUUCCGGGAGGUGGCCUCAUAUAUACUUCAUCCUCUAGUUCACCUUGCAAGAAUGCAUUCUUCACAUCCAUUUGCCAAAGAUCCCAUUCUAGGUUCACUGCCAAUGAGAGGAGGAUCCGGAUAGUAUGGAGCUUGGCUACUGGUGCAAAAGUGUCUAGGUAGUCUUCUCCAUAUACUUGUGUGUAACCUCUUGCCACUAGUCUGGUCUUUUUCCUUUCUGGCUUCCCAUUUGCAAGGUACUUGAUGGUAUGUAUGAGCCUGCUAGUCACGGCUUUCUUCCCUUUUGGAAGCUCUGUCUCAUACCAGGUGUUAUUCCUUUCCAUGGCCCCCAUUUCAUCAUCCACUGAGCUCCUCCAUUCAUCAUCCUCCAUAGCUUCUGCAUACGUUUUUGGUAUCCAUUCCUGGUCCAAUGAACUCACAAAGGCUUGAUGUUCUUCUGGAUAUUGAGCAAGGGUGCAUACUCCACUUACUGGAUGUGCCACGGCUUGAGCAUUGUAGUAGAUUCUUGUCUUAACCCAAUCUGAAGUCGGUCUCCUGAUCCUUGUACUUCUUCUUAGGGCUGGUGUCUGCUCAGGUUCACUACCUUGAGCUUCAGUUUCUGGUUGUUCCAUCUCAUCUUGAUCAUGAGACAAUACUGAGUUUUCUUCAGGUUGAGCUUGCGCAGAUUGUUCAGGUUGAUCUUGCGCAGAUUUUUCUCCAUUGCCCCCCUCAUGAUCAUGAUGAGAGACUUCAUUAUCUCGUACCUCAGCUCCAUCAUGCUGAGGGGUAGUAUCCCGGCUCUUUUCUGGUUCCCUUGGUAAGCUGAUGCCAAGUCUUUCCAUAAGAACUUUCAGGUUGUUAGCUCUGUCCGAGGCAGAAUGAGAUAGAUCUUUGAGUUCUCCCCAACUCUUCUCAUCAUAGUAGGCCUUGGAUUCCAUGAAAUUAACAUCUCUGGAUACUAGGACUCUCCUUGUUUCUGGUACGUAGCAUUUGUACCCUUUCUGAUGUGUGGAGUACCCAAUAAACAUAGCCUUUGUGCUCUUUGCUUCUAGCUUGUUCCUUAAUUCUCCUGGAAUCAAAACAAAACACACACACCCAAACACACGCAAAUGGUCAAUGGAUGAUCUAGAUUUGUUUAGUACCUCAUAGGGAGUGGCAUCAAGGAGGACUCUUGUAGGUGUGCGGUUGAUUAGAUAGGUGGCCGUGACCACUGCAUCUCCCCAAAAACGUUUAGGUACAUUGGCAUGGAACAUCAUACUCCUCGCCACUUCCAUCAAGUGUCUAUUCUUUCUCUCAGCAACUCCAUUUUGUUGAGGUGUAUAAGGGCAGCUAGUUUGUUGAAUGAUUCCAUGUGAGGCUAGGUGUUGUUUGAAGGCUGUGCUAGUAUACUCACCACCAUUAUCUGAUCUAAGAAUUUUGAUCUUAACAUUGAAAUGGUUAGUUAUAUAGCUCUGAAAGUUUUUAAAAGCUUCUAGCACUCUAUCCUUAGAUUGCAACAAGGUGAUCCAUGUGUAUUUAGAUUUUUCAUCAAUGAAUGUCACAAAAUAUUUAUGUUGCUCUCUAGAUGCACAUGGGGCAGUCCAUACGUCAGAAUGUAUGAGAUCAAAGCAAUUAUCAUAUUGAGUCUUUGAUUUAGGAAACACAGUUCUACAAUGUUUUCCUAAGAUACAAGCCUCACAAUCACUUUUAAAAGAAAUGCUAGGUAACAGGAUGUUCAAGGCAUGAGAAUGAGGAUGUCCUAGUCUAGCAUGCCAUAUUACAUCUUUAGGGAAUUCAGAAACAGAAUGAAACGCAGGAAAUAAAUCAGUUGUGGAUCUUGUGUCCUCAAGCAAGUACAAGUCUCCCUUGGUAACACCUUUGCCAAGCAACUUACUAGAAUCAAUAUCCUGAAAGUACACACUGUUAGGCGUGAAUGUAACUUGACAAUUGAGAUCAUUAGUUACUUUCUUAACAGAUAAUAGAUUUGAAGCAAAGGUGGGCAUAUAGAAAGCCUUAGUUUCUUUAUCAAACAGUUUAAGGUUACCUACACCUUUUAUUGGGAUUUUAUCUCCAUUUGCUAUCAUCACAUUUCCUAAGGCCGGUUCUAUGUUUUUAAUCAGUUCUAAGUCACUUAUCAUGUGAUGAGAAGCACCAGAAUCUAUAACUAAGGGCUUAGCCGAUUUAAAAACUCUUAUAGUGUCAUUAGCAGUAUGUGAAGCAUUAAGAGAAACACCAAGGUUUUUAGAUAUACCAGAUUCUUUUAGAGCCUUGAUGAGAGCAGUUAAGUCAGACUUCUUGAUGGUCUCAUCCAGGUUGACCCUUGGCGUGGCAUAGCCUGAUGUGGAGGCAGUUGCACUUCCCACACCUAGGUUGCUUAUGCCCAUGGUGAUUGGUGUUGUUGGCUCCGCACCAUCAGCUGAGAAGUUGGCCCUUGCAUCUUGGUAUUGGGAGCGAGUCUCCCUAAACUUGCUGGGCUUAAGGUGGGGAUGGAGUAUCCAGCAUUUGUCCUUCAAGUGACCCUUCUUCUUGCAGUGGUCACAGGUCAGGCCUUUCCUCUCAUCUUGUUUGUAAGCCGCCUUGUUUGCCACUGCUUGUUCUGCUUGAUGCGCCAUGCUUAAGUCUCCCUUGCCACCAAACAAGCCAACUGAGCCUUCUUCCUUCUGGAUUUGAGCACAUACUUCAUCCAGAUCAGGUAGCUUGUCAGCUCUUAGGAUGUGCUUGAUCAAGCUCCCAUAAGAUGGGUUAAGAGUGAGCAGCAGUCCAAACACUCUGUCCUCCUCACGCCUGGUUAGAAGCGUGGCAUGGUCAGUGGUGUGUGGUCUUAGCAGUUCCAUCUCUGCCCAAAGAGACCUAAACUUGCCAAAGUGUGGUUGAAACUCCACAUCUCCUUGGUUGAGCGCAUUGAUGGCUCUCUUCACUUCAAAGACUCUUGUGAGGUUGGAGACAUUUCCAUACACUUUGUAAAGUGUACUUUCCACCUUUGCUGUGCGCACCCUGCCCUUGAUCAGUCCUCUUUGUUUAUUCUUUUCUUCUAUGUCAACUUGCCAUUAGUUUAUUCAUUGUUGUAUCUAUUUAAAGUAUGUAACCAGAACCAAAUGGAUCAAGGAAGUAAACUUCCUCACUUCUCUCUUAUGUUUUCGAAAUCUCUCUCUCUCUCUCUCUCUCUCUCUCUGUUGUAUCUAUUUAAAGUAUGUAACCAGAACCAAAUGGAUCAAGGAAAUAAACUUCCUCACUUCUCUCUUAUGUUUUCGAAAUCUCUCUCUUUCUCUCUCUCUCUCUCGGAUUCUUAGUAAAACCCUAGCUAUCUCUUCUCUUUGUUCUUGAUAAAUCACACAAGCCACUCUUAUAACUCAUUCAUUUUAUCAUGGUAUCAGAGCAUCAAAGCUCUUGAAACCUUUAUCUACUUCCGCAAAACAAAUCUCUGUUUCUUUUCUUGCCGUUCUUUGAAUCCUCAAGAUGGAGAACAACAACAACAACAACAACAACAACCGCAUCAGCAUACCUGUGACUCUGAAGGGGAUUAACUACCUCUUAUGGGCCAGGAUGGUGAAAAUUGCACUUGGAGGAAAGGGUUUGUGGAGUCAUGUCUCAGCAGAAGCGGCUCCAAAACAAACCAACCAAGGAGAAGAUGGACAGGAGAUGGUGGUAGCUGAUGAAGACAAGUGGGCUCAGGAAGACCUCAUGGUUCUCACAGUGCUCCUCAGCUCUCUUGAACCCGCCAUCAUGGAGUCUUACUCUUACUGUGAGACUACCAAACAGCUGUGGGAUACACUUUACAAAGUGUAUGGAAAUGUCUCCAACCUCACAAGAGUCUUUGAAGUGAAGAGAGCCAUCAAUGCGCUCAACCAAGGAGAUGUGGAGUUUCAACCACACUUUGGCAAGUUUAGGUCUCUUUGGGCAGAGAUGGAACUGCUAAGACCACACACCACUGACCAUGCCACGCUUCUAACCAGGCGUGAGGAGGACAGAGUGUUUGGACUGCUGCUCACUCUUAACCCAUCUUAUGGGAGCUUGAUCAAGCACAUCCUAAGAGCUGACAAGCUACCUGACCUGGAUGAAGUAUGUGCUCAAAUCCAGAAGGAAGAAGGCUCAGUGGGCUUGUUUGGUGGCAAGGGAGACUUAAGCAUGGCGCAUCAAGCAGAACAAGCAGUGGCAAACAAGGCGGCUUACAAACAAGAUGAGAGGAAGGCCUGACCUGUGACCACUGCAAGAAGAAGGGUCACUUGAAGGACAAAUGCUGGAUACUCCAUCCCCACCUUAAGCCCAGCAAGUUUAGGGAGACUCGCUCUCAAUACCAAGAUGCAAGGGCCAACUUCUCAGCUGAUGGUGCUGAGCCAACAACACCAAUCACCAUGGGCAUAAGCAACCUAGGUGUGGGAAGUGCAACUGCCUCCACAUCAGGCUAUGCCACGCCAAGGGCCAACCUGGAUGAGACCAUCAAGAAGUCUGACUUAACUGCACUCAUCAAGGCUCUAAAAGAAUCUGGUAUAUCUAAAAACCUUGGUGUUUCUCUUAAUGCUUCACAUACUGCUAAUGACACUAUAAGAGUUUUUAAAUCGGCUAAGCCCUUAGUUAUAGAUUCUGGUGCUUCUCAUCACAUGAUAAGUGACUUAGAACUGAUUAAAAACAUAGAACCGGCCUUAGGAAAUGUGAUGAUAGCAAAUGGAGAUAAAAUCCCAAUAAAAGGUGUAGGUAAUCUUAAACUGUUUGAUAAAGAAACUAAGGCUUUCUAUAUGCCCACCUUUGCUUCAAAUCUAUUAUCUGUUAAGAAAGUAACUAAUGAUCUCAAUUGUCAAGUUACAUUCACGCCUAACAGUGUGUACUUUCAGGAUAUUGAUUCUAGUAAGUUGCUUGGCAAAGGUGUUACCAAGGGAGACUUGUACUUGCUUGAGGACACAAGAUCCGCAACUGAUUUAUUUCCUGCCUUUCAUUCUGUUUCUGAAUUCCCUAAAGAUGUAAUAUGGCAUGCUAGACUAGGACAUCCUCAUUCUCAUGCCUUGAACAUCCUGUUACCUAGCAUUUCUUUUAAAAGUGAUUGUGAGGCUUGUAUCUUAGGAAAACAUUGUAGAACUGUGUUUCCUAAAUCAAAGACUCAAUAUGAUAAUUGCUUUGAUCUCAUACAUUCUGACGUAUGGACUGCCCCAUGUGCAUCUAGAGAGCAACAUAAAUACUUUGUGACAUUCAUUGAUGAAAAAUCUAAAUACACAUGGAUCACCUUGUUGCAAUCUAAGGAUAGAGUGCUAGAAGCUUUUAAAAACUUUCAGAGCUAUAUAACUAACCAUUUCAAUGUUAAGAUCAAAAUUCUUAGAUCAGAUAAUGGUGGUGAGUAUACUAGCACAGCCUUCAAACAACACCUAGCCUCACAUGGAAUCAUUCAACAAACUAGCUGCCCUUAUACACCUCAACAAAAUGGAGUUGCUGAGAGAAAGAAUAGACACUUGAUGGAAGUGGCGAGGAGUAUGAUGUUCCAUGCCAAUGUACCUAAACGUUUUUGGGGAGAUGCAGUGGUCACGGCCACCUAUCUAAUCAACCGCACACCUACAAGAGUCCUCCUUGAUGCCACUCCCUAUGAGGUACUAAACAAAUCUAGAUCAUCCAUUGACCAUUUGCGUGUGUUUGGGUGUGUGUGUUUUGUUUUGAUUCCAGGAGAACUAAGGAACAAGCUAGAAGCAAAGAGCACAAAGGCCAUGUUUAUUGGGUACUCCACACAUCAGAAAGGGUACAAAUGCUACGUACCAGAAACAAGGAGAGUCCUAGUAUCCAGAGAUGUUAAGUUCAUGGAAUCCAAGGCCUACUAUGAUGAGAAGAGUUGGGGAGAACUCAAAGAUCUGUCUCAUUCUGCCUCGGACAGAGCUAACAACCUGAAAGUUCUUAUGGAAAGACUUGGCAUCAGCUUACCAAGGGAACCAGAAAAGAGCCGGGAUACUACCCCUCAGCAUGAUGGAGCUGAGGUACGAGAUAAUGAAGUCUCUCAUCAUGAUCAUGAGGGGGGCAAUGGAGAAAAAUCUGCGCAAGAUCAACCUGAACAAUCUGCGCAAGCUCAACCUGAAGAAAACUCAGUAUUGUCUCAUGAUCAAGAUGAGAUGGAACAACCAGAAACUGAAGCUCAAGGUAGUGAACCUGAGCAGACACCAGCCCUAAGAAGAAGUACAAGGAUCAGGAGACCGGCUUCAGAUUGGGUUAAGACAAGAAUCUACUACAAUGCUCAAGCCGUGGCACAUCCAGUAAGUGGAGUAUGCACCCUUGCUCAAUAUCCAGAAGAACAUCAAGUCUUUGUGAGUUCAUUGGACCAGGAAUGGAUACCAAAAACGUAUGCAGAAGCUAUGGAGGAUGAUGAAUGGAGGAGCUCAGUGGAUGAUGAAAUGGGGGCCAUGGAAAGGAAUAACACCUGGUAUGAGACAGAGCUUCCAAAAGGGAAGAAAGCCGUGACUAGCAGGCUCAUACAUACCAUCAAGUACCUUGCAAAUGGGAAGCCAGAAAGGAAAAAGACCAGACUAGUGGCAAGAGGUUACACACAAGUAUAUGGAGAAGACUACCUAGACACUUUUGCACCAGUAGCCAAGCUCCAUACUAUCCGGAUCCUCCUCUCAUUGGCAGUGAACCUAGAAUGGGAUCUUUGGCAAAUGGAUGUGAAGAAUGCAUUCUUGCAAGGUGAACUAGAGGAUGAAGUAUAUAUGAGGCCACCUCCCGGAAUGGAAGAGAUGGUGAAACCAGGGAAUGUUCUCAGACUCAGGAAGGCUAUCUAUGGCCUGAAACAAUCACCAAGAGCUUGGUACCACAAGCUAAGCACCACACUAAAUGGGAGAGGCUUUGUGAAGUCUCAAGCGGAUCACACACUGUUUACUCUCACCAGCCAGCAAGGGAUUGUUGUGAUUCUGGUCUAUGUGGAUGACAUCAUCAUCACUGGUAGUGACAAGGAAGAGAUCAGCUCAACUAAGACAUUCCUCAAGACCGCAUUUGACAUCAAAGACCUAGGAGAACUGAAAUAUUUCCUUGGCAUUGAGAUGUGUAGAUCAAGGGAGGGAUUGUUCAUGUCCCAAAGGAAGUAUACUUUGGACAUCCUAAAGGAGGCAGGAGACCUUGGAAGAAGAGUGGCCAAGACACCACUAGAAGAAGGCUACAAGGUUAUGCGUGAGGGGGAGUUUGAUGCAACUCCCUUUGAGGAUGUCAAGAGGUAUAGAAGAAUGGUUGGGAAACUUAUCUAUCUUACUAUCACAAGGCCGGAUGUGUGUUUUGCUGUGAACCAGGUGAGCCAACACAUGCAAGCUCCUAAGGUACAUCAUUGGAACAUGGUGGAAAGGAUCUUGAGAUACUUAAGAGAGGCGCCAGGUCAGGGAGUGUGGAUGGCUUGCAAUAAGAGUACUGAAGUUGUUGGGUAUUGUGAUGCUGAUUGGGCUGGAGAUAGAGUUGAUAGGAGAUCAACCACAGGCUAUUGCACCUUUAUUGGAGGAAACCUAGUCACAUGGAAGAGCAAGAAGCAGAAGGUGGUCUCUUGCUCAAGUGCUGAGGCAGAGUACCGAUCUAUGAGGAAGCUUACUAGUGAACUCAUAUGGAUCAAGGGACUGCUAAAGGACUUGGGCAUAGAGAUCUCCACGCCAAUGACUAUGCAUUGUGACAAUCAGGCAGCAAUACACAUUGCAUCAAACUCUGUGUUCCAUGAGAGGACUAAGCAUAUAGAAGUGGACUGUCACAAGGUGAGACAAGCAGUGGAGCAGCAAGUGAUUCUUCCAUGCUACACAAGAAGUGAAGAUCAACUAGCUGACAUAUUCACCAAGGCAGCCAGCAGCAAGGUUUGUGAGUUCAUCCACCCUAAACUUGGACUCACGGAUCUUCCAUGUCACUGAUCUCUCCUCCCAUGAAGUGUUCUACUCUUUUUCCUUGGUUAGGGUUUUAUCCCAUGAGGUUUUUUUCCUAGCUAAGGUUUUAAUGAGGGAAUAGCUUCAAUAACACAACACUUAGACUAAAACAUAAUAUAAGAUAGAUGAUGAAGUCGGUCCAAGAUGCCUGUUGACAUGAAAGCAUGAAUGACAUAGAGGAAGAAGAAAUCAAGUCAAGACAUACAUCCGGAGUGAUCAAAGUAAGCUUGUCCGUACAAGUGUGAUCUAACUUGGCGUGCAAGGCAAGAGGAGACUUAUCUGUGAUCAAGAAGGAUGUUAUACUUGCCUUAAGAUAUUUAAAAGAUGUCGGCCAAGAGAAGGGAUCCGUUGAAGAAGAAGACAAGGUGGUUCAAAGGAGAGAGAGCCGUUUGGUGCUGUCGCUUUCCACCUUGGCUGUGCGCAACCUGCCCUUGAUCAGGCCUCUUUGUUUAUUCUUUUCUUCUAUGUCAACUUGCCAUUAGUUUAUUCAUUGUUGCAUCUAUUUAAAGUAUGUAAUCAGAACCAAAUGGAUCAAGGAAAAAUAUACUUCCUCACUUCUCUCUUAUGUUUUCGAAAUCUCACUCUCUCUCUCUCUCUCUCUCGGAUUCUUAGAACACAAGGUUUAAACAAAAGAUAACUUAGAUUAGAAUGAGGGUUUGUGAUACACUUAAAUAGAGAGAUCCUUGUACAUGCACAAGGUCUCGAAAACAUAAGAAAACUUAAAGGAAAAGGCUCCACACGGUUUCAAAGUAAUAACACAACACUUAGACUAAAACAUAAUAUAAGAUAGAUGAUGAAGUCGGUCCAAGAUGCCUUAGGCCGAGUUGCAUCCAAGAUACAUCAACUAGGAAUGUGUAAGUGAACUUGAUACCUCAUUAAAAACCUUGAUUAGAAAACCCAGUGGGACAAAACUAAUCAAGGGAAAAAGAGUAUACCAAGCCACUUGCCUAGAUGAUGAUCAGCUUGAUGGUAAGAUCACAUGAAUGGUGAUGAGUGUGUCUUGGUAGCUCAAGCUUCUACCAAGACAGUCUUCUUGCUUCUUAGAGAUCUUCAGUAUGUUUCCAACGGCUUCUUUGAGUCUCCUUGUCAUUGCACGAGUGAUAGGACCUGUGGGAAUGGCUAGGACAGCUUCCUCUUCAGCUAGUGUAUCUUCAGUCUCUCCUUCUUCAUCUUUAUCAACUAGCUGGUCCAUGAUCAUAUCAUCCCCUCCCACUUGAAAAGGAUUUGUCCUCAAAUCUGGCUCAUCUGCAAUAAAAGGGAUCAAGUCAGUAACAUUGAAGCUAUUACUCACAUCAUACUUACCUUGCAAAUCCAGUUUGUAGGCAUUGUUGCUGAUCUUCCUUAUGACCUUAAAAGGUCCAUCAAUCCGCGGCAUCAGCUUGGAUUUCCUUUCAUUGGGAAACCUCUCUUUCCUUAGGUGAAUCCAGACCUGAUCACCCACUUCAAAGACCAUCUCACGCCUUCCUUUGUUAGCAUGCUUAACAUACUGUUUGGUUGUUGCCUCAAUGUUGAGCCUAGCUUGCUCGUGGAGUUGUUUCACCAUCUCUGCCUUCUUUUUGCCAUCAAUGCUGACCCUUUCACACUCAGGUAAAGGGAUUAAAUCCAAAGGAGAGUUGGGAUUGAACCCAUAAACAAUCUCAAAAGGAGAAAACUUAGAAGUAGAAUGCACAGCAUGAUUGUAUGCAAAUUCACAAUGAGGCAAAUAGUCUUCCCAUGAUUUCAAGUUUUUCUUUAUGAAUGCACGCAAGAGUGUUCCUAGAGUCCUAUUAACUACUUCAGUUUGUCCAUCAGUUUGUGGAUGACAAGUAGUAGAAAACAAGAGUUUAGUACCUAGCUUAGACCAAAGAGUCUUCCAAAAAUAACUAAGAAACUUAGUAUCUCUAUCAGAAACAAUAGUCUUAGGCAUGCCAUGUAUGCGCACAAUCUCUUUAAAGAACAAGUUGGCAAUAUGCAAUGCAUCAUCAGUUUUGUGACAAGCUAUGAAAUGUGCCAUCUUUGAGAACCUAUCCACAACCACAAAGAUAGAAUCCUUUCCAGUCCUAGUUCUAGGCCAUCCAACAAUGAAAUCCAUAGAUAUGUCAUUCCAAGGAUGAUAAGGUAUAGGGAGAGGAGUAUACAAACCGUGAGACUGAACCUUAGACUUGGCUUGCUUGCAAGUUGCACAUCUCUCACAUAGUUUCUCCACAUCACUUUUCAUCCGAGGCCAAAAGAAAUGAUCCUGCAAAGUUUUAAGAGUCUUUGCAAUACCAUCUCACAUAGUUUCUCCACAUCUCUUUUCAUCCGAGGCCAAAAGAAGUGAUCCUGCAAAGUUUUAAGAGUCUUUGCAAUACCAAAGUGACCCAUGAGACUUCCUCCAUGAGAUUCCCUAACAAACAAGUCUCUCAAAGAACAGUUAGGCACACACAAUCGAUUAUCAUAGAAAAGAAAACCAUCAUGUCUAAAGUAGUGUCCCACAGCAAAUUUCUCACAAGAGUUGUAAGCCUCUUUAAAAUCAGGAUCAUUCUCAUACAUUCCUUUAAUCUGCUCAAAUCCUAAUAGCUUAGCAUCAAGAGUGUUCAAGAGAACAUACCUUCUGGAUAGUGCAUCAGCAACUAUGUUUUCCUUACCUUGUUUAUACUUGAUGACAUAAGGAAAUGUCUCAAUGAACUCAACCCACCUUGCGUGUCUUUUGCUGAGUUUGUGCUGUCCUUUGAGGUAUUUGAGAGACUCAUGAUCUGUGUGAAUGACGAACUCUUUAGGCCAGAGGUAGUGUUGCCAAGUCUGCAAGGCUCUCACCAAGGCAUAUAGUUCUUUAUCAUAAGUUGCAUAGUUGAGGGUAGCUCCUCCAAGCUUCUCACUGAAGUAUGCAAUGGGUCUCUUCUCCUGCAUCAAUACAGCACCAAUUCCAAUUCCUGAAGCAUCACAUUCUAUUUCAAAAGUUUUAUUAAAAUCAGGAAGUAUAAGAAGAGGGGCAUUAGUAAGCUUCUCUUUUAGGCAUUGAAAGGCAAGUUCUUGUGCUUCUCCCCACUUGAAUCCGACUUCUUUCUUGAUUACUUCAGUCAAGGGAGAUGCUAUGGUGCUGAAGUCUUUCACAAAGCGCCUAUAGAAACCAGCAAGUCCAUGGAAGCUCCUCACUUCACUCACUGUCUUAGGAAUUGGCCAUUCUCGUAUAGCUCUUACUUUCUCCGGAUCAACUUUAACCCCAUCUGCACCCACAAUAAAGCCUAAAAAGACCAAGUGAUCCGUUCCAAAAGUACACUUCUUAAGGUUAGCAAAAAGAGAUUCCUUUCUAAGCACAUCAAGAACAGUUCUAAGAUGUUCUAUAUGAUCAUUAAAGCUCUUACUGUAUACAAGGAUGUCAUCAAAGUAUACCACAACAAAUAUGCCAAUGAAUGAUCUAAGAACAUGAUUCAUUAAUCUCAUGAAUGUACUAGGUGCAUUGGUUAAUCCAAAUGGCAUGACUAACCACUCAUAUAGACCAUGUUUAGUUUUGAAUGCAGUUUUCCAUUCAUCUCCUUCUUUCAUCCUAAUCUGAUGGUAUCCACUUUUCAAAUCAAUCUUAGAAAAUAUGCAAGAACCAUGCAAUUCAUCAAGCAUAUCAUCUAAUCUAGGAAUAGGAUGGCGAUACUUUACAGUGAUAUUGUUGAUGGCUCUGCAAUCAACACACAUGCGCCAGCUCCCAUCUUUCUUGGGCACAAGUAGCACUGGAACAGCACAAGGACUCAUGCUCUCUCGGAUAUGCCCUUUCUCCAUCAGUUCCUCCACUUGCCUUUGUAGUUCUUUGGUCUCCACCGGAUUGGUUCUGUAUGCUGGCCUAUUGGGAAGUGUAGAACCGGGCACAAAAUCAAUUUGGUGCUCAAUCCCUCGUACUGGUGGUAGUCCAUUGGGACUAUCUUCUGGAAAAACAUCUUGAUAUUCCUGUAAAAGAUUGACAAGUUCACUCGGAUACUCCGGUGCAAUGUUAGUAGUAGUCAAGAGGGAUUCCUUAUAGAUAAACAAAAGAAUAGGAAGGUUAGAGCAGAGAGAUCUUUUAACAUCACCAGACUUGGCAUAGAAGUUUAGUUGCUUUGUUGAUUCAGCGGGAAGAUCUAUCUCUUUCUUCUUUUGUAGCUGGAGCUGAUCAACCUGAACUUCCUUAGGAGUCAUAGGCACAAGAACUGUCUUUCUCCCUUUAAACUCAAAGGUGUGCUUGUUGGCAUACCCGUCAUGUAUCACACGUCUAUCUGAUUGCCACGGCCUUCCAAGGAGAAUGUGUCCAGCUUCCAUAGGCAACACAUCACAAAGAAUCUCAUCUUCAUAUUUACCAAUGGCUAAGGGAACCAUAACCUGAGUAGAUACUCUCAUCUCGCCCUCUUCAUUGAGCCAUUGGAGCCUAUAUGGUUUAGGAUGCUUCUGGAUCCUCAAACCCAACUUUUUAACCAUAGUCUCACUCGCGACGUUGACACAACUGCCUCCAUCCACAAUAAGACUACAGACCUUUCCUUGCACUAGACAUCUAGUAUAGAAGAGAUUCUCUCUUUGCUCCAUCUCUUCGGUCUUGCUUUGAAGACUCAAGGUUCUUCUAGCAACUAGCAACCUUCCAGCGACCGGGUUGACAACAUACUCCUCUUCUGAACUGUGAUCUUCUUCAGCCUCUGUCUCCUCAUCAGCAGAUUCAUAUUCUCCAUUGUCAUGAAGGAUCAUCACGCGUUUGUUGGUGCACUCAUUAGCGUAGUGUCCUCUUCCUUGGCACUUAAAACACUUAACAUCUCUUGAUCUCGUAGUAGAAGCUUCAGCUUUCCCUUUAUCCUUGCUGAAAGAACUAAUAGGUUUGUCCUCGUCCUUUUGAUAUGGCUUGCUCUCUUUCUGGUGGCUUGGUUUAUCUUCCUUAGCACCUUGAUACUUAGUUCCAUAGUUGCCCCGAGAGUGACCCUUUCUCUUUACUUGUUGUUCUACUAGGAUGGCUUUGUGUAGCAUCUCCUCCAUUUCCAAGUAGUGCUGCAUCUCCACACUGUCUUGUAUCUCACGGUUGAGUCCUCCAAGAAACCGUGCCAUAGUAGCUUCUCUAUCCUCAGAUAUGCAAGCUCUUAACAUCAACAACUCCAUCUCCUGAUAGUAUUCUUCGACUGUCCGUGAGCCUUGCGUGAGUUUUCUUAGCCUCUGAUGGAGAUCCCGGUGGUAAUGGCUAGGUACAAAUCUCUUGCGCAUAAGAGCCUUCAUCUCUGCCCAAGUCUCAACAGGAAAUUCCCCAUUGCGCCUUCUAUUGGUGACUAGUUGAUCCCACCAACUCAAAGCAUAAUCAUAGAACUCAGUAACAGCAAUUUGAAUCUUCUUAGCUUCUGAAUAACGCCGGCAAUUGAAGACUAGAUCAAUCUUCUUCUCCCAUUCUAGGUAAGCAUCAGGAUCGGCUUUGCCAUGGAAAGGAGGUAUCUUGAUCUUAACUCCAGCAAGCUCAUCUCUUUGAUACCUACGUCCUUCAUGGUCACGUCUAGAUCUUCUACUGCUGUGUCUAGAGGGAGAGCUACGCCUAGAAGCCGAGCUGUGUCGUGCCCUAUCUCUUUCAUAAAAGUUAUCAGUUUCUUGUGAACCAGCAUGCUCUUGUCGUUCACGCCCUUUUCUCCUUGGUGCUUGCUGAUGAUCAGACGUUUGGUCUUGUCUACCAGGGGCUCUCUGAUCGUAUCUCUCAUCCAGCAACUUCACCAAGUCUUCCAUUACUUGUUUAGUGAUAGCUUCUUGUAAGAGUUUGUUUCUUCUCAUAUACGUUGCAUCAUCUUCCUCAGUUCCCAUUGUUUCCUGUUACACACGAAAGACUGAAACAAGUAAGUAGUUCCAAGGGCAAUUUGAUUUAUGAUUCGAGAAUCAAAUAAAGAAACAAUCGGAAACAAUCAAGAUCAACCAACAAUUCUCAAGCAACGCGGCAAAUCAAUACCGUGAUCAACAAGUAAGGAAUUCAAAUCGAUUAUAUUGAACAAUCAACCCCGAUUUAUCAGAAAAGGAUUCGAGAUUCAACAGGUGAUGAUUUGAGAUUAAACAAAUCCUGAUCUAUGGUUCUAGUAACAGAUCGAAUCACACGAACACAAGGAACUUUCGGAUCAAGCAAACUAGUAACGUAAUCGACAAGAAUGUGAAAGGUUUUGUUCAAAACUUGAUCAGAAUCUUCAGAUCUAUCAAUUUUGAACCACGAAACAAUAGAUCUAUCAAUCCUUCAGAGUGGCUCUGAUACCAAAUGAUAAAAACCUCCCAAGGAAUACACUCUGAAAUUGGUAAGGGAUAAGCCUUGCACCGAAUGAGCCCGAAAGCAACAAACGAUCAAGGGAUGUGGAUCGAAAGGGGACACAAGAGAGGCGGAAAGUCUCUUGAUACUACCCUAUAAUGACCGCCUCUAGAUAUGACACACUAGAUUAGACCAAGUUAGACUGAAGGAUAUUACACACCAACAAUCAUAAAAGUUUUGACCAAUGGAUAUGACACACCAUGAUCGAAAACAAGUUUGAGAAUCACUCUCAAGGUUCCAAAAAUAUAAACUCAACUCUUAUUUUAUUUCAAUGGAGAUUACAACUUAUUUAUAAGAGACUAAACUUGCUCACAAAGCUAGAUAGUUAUUACAUUGGAAAUGAUAAAACUAGUGCAUGGAGGAGAGAGAGUGUUCUUGAAACAAGCAUUCUUUGCAUGUAGGAGAGAGAAGCUUUCCAUGCAAUUAACCACCUAAUUUUCGUCACUCUCUUUGGACAGCAAAGAAACCACUUGAUUUUGAAUCUUCUUGGGCUUGUAACAUGAUAAAAAUGGGCUGGACAUGCUACCUAACAUCAUGGAUCAAUUUCUGAAUGUCUUUCAUGUCCGUAGAUUCAUAUAUCAGCCCAUGAUCACAUCACUUACAUCGUGAUUCAUCUUGGUUUGAUUAGAAUGACAAGGAAGCUGUCAUAUUCCCAAACAGGAAAACUGGGAUCACCUAAUUUGAAAGUGGGACAGCUUCUUCAUCCUAACUCCUAUGAGAUUUAUUCUACUUCCUAAUGGUUCUCCACUACUUUAUGUAUCCAAUUCAAGCUUCUUAGAUCACGAUUCAUCCUGGUUUGAUUAGAAUGACAAAGAAGCUGUCAUAUUCCCAAACAGGAAAACUGGGAUCACCUGAUUUUGAAAGUGGGAUAGCUUCUUCAUCCUAACUCCUAUGAGAUUUAUUCAACUUCCUAGUGAUUCUCCAUUACUUUAUGUAUCAAAAUCAAGCUUCUUACAUCGCGAUUCAUCCUGGUUCGAUUAGAAUGACAAGCAAGCUGUUAUAUUCCCAAACAGGAAAACUAGGAUCACAUGAUUUGAAAGUGGGAUAGCUUCUUCAUCCUAACUCCUAUGAGAUUUAUUCAACUUCCUAGUGAUUCUCCAUUACAUUAUGUAUCAAAAUCAAGCUUCUUACAUCGCGAUUCAUCCUGGUUUGAUUAGAAUGACAAAGAUAUCACUUUUGAGUGAUGUAAAGGAUAAUCUGAGUUUAGAUAAGAAUAGAGAAGAGAUUAGAGUAGAGUUUAAGAGAUUAAGAGACUAAUGGAGAAUCAUUGUGAAAAGUAUAGAGAGAUUGAUUUGUUUAGAACUGUCUGCUUUGUAUUAAUCAUGAGUGUCAACAAUAUAUAGUGAGGCUACAAUAGGUUAAGGGUUUCGCAAAUGGUCACUAUUGUAAGGGAUAAGAAGUUGCUUUAAUUUAAACUCUCCAAUAAGCUUCUCCUUUGUGAUAAAGCACCUUUAGCCUUAUCCAGCUCUUGACAGCCUGGCUAAGCUCUUCCUUAUCCUCUCCAAACGGUCACACUCGCCAGUAGUUACCCCAAGUAACUUCUCCCUUUCACUCUUAAGUUACUUGAUCAUGGUAACUUCAAUCUGGUCGAGGUGUGGGUGACUUUAACCUGUACGGCCUGUACGGUCAGUACGGAUGGUACGGCUUGGGUCGACUCCAACUCUCCCAUCUCCUUCCCUUUACUCCAUCUUAGCCUCCUUAUCUCAUGACUUCAUUUUAACACUCCCCCUCAAGCUUAGCUUUGUGAAAGUCUAAGCUUGGACAGCUAUGAGAUCUUCCUCAUUAAAAACCUCACCAAGGAAAACCCAUUGGGAUAAAACCUUGAUGAGGGAAAAAGAGUAAAGACCUCACAGCCAAAGGGGAUCAGCUCCUUCUCUUCCCAAGAUCAAUGAGGCCCAACCUGAUGUGAAUGGACUCCAUUGUCUUCUGUCUCGCAGCCUUAGUGAACACAUCAGCCAACUGAUCUUCACUUCUUGUGUAGCAUGGCAGGAUGACUCCUAAGAUGAUCAUCUGCCUCACCUUGUGACAAUCCACUUCAAUGUGCUUGGUCCUCUCAUGGAACACCGAGUUGGAGGCAAUGUGGAUGGCAGCUUGGUUAUCACAAUGCAUUGUCAUUGGCGUGGCUUGAUCAAUCUCCAAAUGCUUCAAGAUACCUUUGAUCCACACCAGCUCGUUGGUAAGCUUCAGCAUAGCUCUAUACUCAGCCUCUGCACUUGAGCAAGACACCACCUUCUGCUUCUUACUCUUCCAAGUAACCAAGUUGCCUCCAAUGAAUGUGCAAUAGCCUGUGGUUGAUCUCCUGUCUGCUCUAUCACCAGCCCAAUCCGCAUCACAGUAUCCAACCACUUCAGUGCUCCCAUUGCAACCCAUCCAAACUCCUUGAUCAGGUGAGCCGUUGAGAUACAUCAAGAUUCUCUCCACCAUGCGCCAGUGAUGCUCCUUAGGCACUUGCAUGUGUUGACUCACCUGAUUCACAGCAAAACAGAUGUCAGGUCUAGUUAUGGUAAGGUAAAUCAAUUUACCAACUAGUUUUCUAUAGAGUUUAGGAUCCUGAUAAGGUUUGCUGUCUUCAAUCUCCCCCUCUCGUGGGACUUUGUAGCCAUCCUCCAUAGGCAUCCUUGCUGUCUUGCCUCCAUAAGCACCUGCACCUUUCAAAAGAUCAAGUGUAUACUUCCUUUGGGACAUGAACAAACCUUCCUUGGAUCUACAUAUCUCAAUUCCAAGAAAGUAUUUCAUUUCUCCCAAGUCUUUAAUCUCAAACAUGGAUUUAAGGAACUCCUUGGUUGCUAUGAUACCUUCCUUAUCACUUCCUGUGAUAAUAAUAUCAUCAACAUACACAAGGAGUGCAAUCAUACCUGAGGGAGUAGUGAGAGUGAAGAGGGCGUGGUCUAGUUCAGACUUCUUGAAACCUCGGCCAUUCAGAGUAGUACUCAGCUUGUUGUACCAAGCUCUUGGUGAUUGCUUCAGUCCAUAGAUAGCUUUCUUCAGUCUCAACACAUUCCCUCUCUUCACUAAGUGUUCCAAGCCUGGAGGUGGAUGCAUAUACACUUCAUCCUCCAGCUCUCCUUGUAGAAAUGCAUUCUUCACAUCCAUUUUCCAUAAGCCCCAUCCAAGGUUCACAGCUAAGCUUAAUACAAUCCGGAUUGUGUGUAGUUUAGCUACUGGCGCAAAGGUCUCAAUGUAAUCUUCUCCAUAAGUUUGAGUGAAACCUCUUGCAACCAGUCUUGACUUCUUCCUCUCAACUGUUCCAUCAGCCUUAUACUUGAUUGUGAAGAUCCAUCUACUAGUCACAGCCUUCUUCCCUUUUGGUAACUCACUCUCAUACCAUGUAUCAUUCUUGAUCAUAGCUCCUGCCUCAGCUCCAACUGAUUCCUUCCAUUCCUUAUCCAUUACUGCCUCUUCAUAGCUUCUUGGAAUGUAGUUCUCAUCCAAGUUUACCAUAAAGGCACAAUGCUCUUCAGGGUAUUGAGCAAAGGAGCACACAGCUUGAGAGGGAUGCUCCACAGCUUGGGCAUUGUAGUACACUCGCGUGUUUACCCAAGAGGAAGGAUCCUUCCUCAGCCUUGUGCUUCUUCUCAAUACAGGUUGUUGUUCUUGUUCUUGAACCGGUUCAUCUUGUGUAUUCGGUUCUUGAGCUCCACUCUGAUGUUCUUCAUCUUCUUGGCUUUGCUCACCUUGAUUGUGAGAGACUGAAACACUCUCUUCUUCUUCUUCACUCAAGCCGGCUCCAUCCUGACCAUCUUCUUGAGUUUCAGAUUCCCUUCCCCCCUCACGAUCAAGGUGAGGUGACUGAUUAGUUUCAACUGGGGCCGGAGAACUCUCAUGUUGGUUCCUACUCCCCACAUUUGGAUCCUGGUUCAUCGUGAUACCUAGACCUUCCAAAAUCAGUCUUAAAGCGCCUGCCUUAUCUGAUGUUAAAUCCUUUAGCUCCUCUUGAUUCUUUUCUUCAUAGUAUCCUCUUGCUUCUAUGAACUUCACAUCUCUAGAGACUAGGACUCUUCUAGUUGCUGGAUCAUAGCACUUGUAUCCCUUUUGUGUUGUUGAGUAGCCAAUGAACAUAGCCUUAGUGCUCCUUGCAUCUAACUUGUUUCUCAACUCUCCUGGUACCAACACAAAGCAUAAACAUCCAAAUACUCUCAAGUAAUCCACUGAUGGCUUGUGCUUGUUUAGAACUUCAAAUGGUGCUUGAUCCUUCAACACCUUUGUGGGAAUCCUGUUGAUCAAAUAACAAGCAGUAGCCACAGCAUCACUCCAAAAUCUCUUUGGAACGUUUGCUUGGAACAUCAGUGACCUAGCAACCUCCAUCAAGUGUCGGUUCUUCCUCUCAGCUACCCCAUUCUGUUGUGGAGUAUAAGGACAGUGUUGAGUAUCACUUUUAGGAUUGAGUAGAGUAAUCUGAGUGAAUAAGAAAGACUAGAAGUGAUUUAGAAGAGAUUUGAGUAUGAAAUGAGAUUAAGAGUCUAGUAUAGAACCAUUGAGAGACAAAGAGACUAAGAGAGACUCAUAACUUUCUUACUUUGAUUAAUGACAUGAGUUUACAAUAUAUAGAGAGGCGACAUUAGAGACUAGGGUUUAGGAAACUACACUAUUACAAGGGAUAAGCUUUUGCUUUAAUUCAAAUGAUCCAAUAAGCUUCCUCCUUAAGGAUAAGGUUCCUUUUGCUUUAUGCCAACCGCGGACAGGCUGUCAUGUGCGCUCCCUUCUUCCUUUUGCAACAGUCUGAUCGGAUAAGGAUAAGCAAGGCUUCUUCUCAACACACAAAGUUACCUAAGUAACUUUGGUUCACGGAGGUCAAGUUACCUUGCCCAAUCUGUACGGCCUAGUACGGCUUCUGUACGGCCUUGCCCAAUCUUCUCCUAACUCCAUUUCCUUAGCUCCUCAAGUCAUCUCUUCUCAUAUACUGAACUCAUCUUAAAACUCCCCCUCAAGCUUAGCUUUGUGAAAGUCUAAGCUUGGACAGCCAUGAGAUCUUCCUCAUUAAAAACCUCACUAAGGAAAACCCAUUGGGAUAAAACCUUAAUGAGGGAAAAAGAGUAAAGAUCUCACAGCUAAGGGGAUCAGCUCCUUCUCUUCCCAAGAUCUAUGAGUCCCAAUCUAAUGUGAAUGGACUCCAUAGUCUUUUGUCUUGCUGCCUUGGUGAACACAUCAGCCAAUUGAUCUUCACUUCUCGUAUAGCAAGGUAAGAUCACUCCAAGCACAAUCAUCUGUCUCACCUUGUGGCAAUCAACCUCAAUGUGCUUGGUUCUCUCAUGGAACACCGAGUUGGAUGCAAUGUGAAUGGCAUCUUGAUUGUCACAAUGCAUUGUCAUUGGAGUGGCUUGAUCAAUCUCCAAAUGCUUCAAGAUGCCUUUGAUCCAUACCAACUCGUUUGUAAGCUUCAGCAUGGCUCUAUACUCAGCUUCAGCACUUGAACAUGACACCACCUUCUGCUUCUUGCUUUUCCAAGUCACCAAGUUGCCUCCAAUGAAUGUGCAAUAGCCGGUUGUUGAUCUCCUGUCGGCUCUAUCUCCUGCCCAAUCAGCAUCACAAUAGCCCACCACUUCUGUGCUUCCAUUGCACCCCAUCCAUACUCCUUGAUCCGGCGAGCCAUUUAGAUACAUCAGCAGUCUCUCCACCAUACGCCAAUGAUGUUCCUUGGGAAGCUGCAUGUGUUGGCUCACCUGAUUCACAGCAAAACAUAUAUCAGGUCUUGUGAUGGUAAGAUAAAUCAAUUUGCCAACAAGUUUUCUAUAGAGUUUAGGAUCAUGAAAUGGCUUGCUGUCUUCAAUCUCCCCCUCUCUUGGUACUUUGUAGCCAUCCUCCAUAGGCAUCCUUGCUGUCUUGCCUCCAUAAGCACCUGCACCUUUCAAAAGAUCAAGUGUAUACUUUCUUUGGGACAUGAAUAAGCCUUCCUUGGAUCUACAAAUCUCAAUUCCAAGAAAGUAUUUCAUUUCUCCCAAGUCUUUGAUUUCAAACAUAGAUUUGAGAAACUCCUUGGUUGCUUUGAUACCUUCCUUAUCACUCCCUGUGAUAAUGAUGUCAUCCACAUACACAAGGAGAGCAACCAUACCUGAGGGAGUAGUGAGGGUAAAGAGAGUAUGAUCCAAUUCUGACUUCUUAAAGCCUCGGCCGUUCAGAGUUGUGCUCAACUUGUUGUACCAAGCUCUUGGUGAUUGCUUCAACCCAUAGAUAGCCUUCUUUAGCCUCAGUACAUUCCCUUUCUUCACUAGAUGUUCAAGUCCUGGUGGAGGAUACAUGUAGACUUCAUCUUCAAGUUCUCCUUGUAAGAAUGCAUUCUUCACAUCCAUUUGCCAUAAUCCCCAUCCAAGGUUAACCGCCAAGCUUAGGACAAUCCUAAUGGUGUGUAACUUGGCUACUGGUGCAAAUGUCUCAAUGUAAUCCUCUCCAUAUGUUUGAGUGAACCCUCUUGCUACUAAUCUAGUCUUCUUCCUCUCAAUCUGCCCAUCAGCCUUGUAUUUGAUUGUGAAGAUCCAUCUACUAGAUACUGCCUUCUUCCCUUUUGGUAGUUCACUCUCAUACCAUGUAUCAUUCUUUAUCAUAGCUCCUGCCUCAGCUCCUACUGAUUCGUUCCAUUCCUUAUCCUCCAUUGCCUCUUCAUAGCUUCUUGGAAUGUGAUUCUCAUCUAAGUUUACCAUGAAUGCACAAUGUGCUUCUGGAUAUUGAGCAAAAGAACACACGGCCUGAGUAGGAUGCUUCACAGCUUGGGCAUUGUAGUACACUCUUGUGUUUACCCAACUGGAAGGAUCCCUUCUCAGCCUUGUACUUCUUCUCAACACUGGCCCUUCUUGCGCCAUCUCUUGUUCUUCUUCUUGUGGCAGCACACUUGGUUCAGAUCUUUCUUCUCCUAGCUGACUUGCUUCAGCUCCUUCUUCCCUUAGCUGACUCUCUUCAGCUUCUUCUUGUUGAUCAUUUGAUUCCACAGCUUGAUCAUGAGAACCAGAACUCUCUUCUCUACUUGUCUCUUCACGGUUUUGAGUUCUUGUUUCAUUCCCCCCCUCAUGCUCAAGAUUGGAAGUCUGAUGAUCCGGUACUGGAGUAGUGCUCCUCCCACCUUGAUUCAUGUUGAUUCCGAGACCCUCUAGGAUAAUCCUCAAGGUUUCAGCUCUAUCAGAAGUGAGGUCUUUCAAAUCAUCUUGAAUUUGUUCCUCAUAGUAUCCUUUUUCUUCAACAAACUUCACUUCUCUAGAUACUAACACUCUCCUUGUGUUAGGAUCAUAGCAUUUGUAUCCUUUCUGACUUGAUGAAUAUCCAAUAAACAUUGCCUUUGAACUCUUAGCCUCUAGCUUGUUUCUUAUCUCUCCAGGCACCAUCACAAAACACAAACAUCCAAAGAUCUUCAUAUGCUCUAGAGAGGGCUUGUACUGAUUCAGUACCUCAAAUGAUGAUUGUCCUUGAAGAAUCAGAGUUGGUGUCCUGUUGAUGAGAUAACAAGCCGUAGCAACUGCAUCACUCCAAAACUUCUUAGGCACGUUGGAUUGAAACAUCAUGGACCUUGCUACUUCCAUCAAAUGCCUGUUCUUCCUCUCAGCCACACCAUUCUGUUGUGGGGUAUAGGGACAGCUUGUCUGAUGAAGGAUUCCAUGCUGAGAUAGGUGUAGUUUGAAUGCUUGUCCCGUGUACUCUCCUCCAUUAUCUGACCUGAAAAUCUUUAUCUUGGCAUUGUAAUGGUUAGUCACAUAGGAUUGAAAGUUUUUAAAUGCAUCAAGUACCCUAUCUUUGGUUGGAAUUAAGGUUAACCAGGUGUAUUUGGAUUUUUCAUCAAUGAAAGUUACAUAAUACUUAUGGUUUUCUCUAGAUAGGCAGGGUGCAGUCCAAACAUCAGAAUGAAUAAGAUCAAAACAUUUUUCAUAAACAGUAGUAGACUUGGUAAAGACAGUUCUACAAUGCUUGCCUAAAAUGCAAGCUUCACAAUCAUUAUUCUCAAAGGAAACACCUGGCAACAUCAGUUUUAAAGCCUUAUUAUGAGGGUGUCCUAAUCUAGCAUGCCACAAUGCAUUUUUACUUAAACCAGAACUAGAAACAGAAGUAAAUGAGCAGCUAUAUCUAGAAACAAGAGUGAGAUCUUCAAGUAAAUAUAGCUCUCCUUUAGUCACUCCCUUUCCAAUCAUCUUGCUGCUUUUAAUAUCCUGAAACUUAACAUCAUUAGGACUGAAUAUAACAUUGCAUUGCAAAUCAGUAGCACACUUCUUAACAGAUAACAAGUUUGAUGUAAAUUCAGGCAUAUAAAAAGCUUUAGUUUCUUUAUCAAACAGUUUAAGACUUCCUAUUCCUCUAAUAGGAAUCUUAUCUCCAUUAGCAAUCAUUACAUUUCCAUUCAUUGGCACAAUGUUUUUAAUCAAGCUAGUAUCACUUAUCAUAUGAUGAGAUGCACCUGAAUCAAUCACUAAUGGCUUAAUGUCAUGAGAACUAGCAAUAUGCGCAAGGAUACUAGAUGGUUUGAAUGCAUGAUCAUUUCUAGCAAAGUUUGCAAUCCUAGAUUGAUUUACCAUUUCUAUCAAGCUCUCAUGCAUCCUAUCAGUUCUAGUUAGAUUCUCAUAGUUCUCUACCACCCUAGCACCAAAAGAAUACCCAAAGAUGUUACCAUUCUCCUUGAACAUCUUAAUGAGAGCAUCAAGGUCGGAUCUCCUUAGAUACUCUUGAUCAUUGUUCCCACGGUUGCUUGGUGCCCCGGUGUAGGCAACAAGAGACUUCCCAUCCCCUGCCUCACGCCCAUCUAUCUCCUUUCCUUUGCUUGUACCAGCUCCACCCGUUCCAUCUGAUGCAUUAGCCCUUGCUUCACGGUCCUUCAUGAACUUUGCCGGCUUGAGGUGUGGGUGAAGGAUCCAGCAUUGGCUCUUCUUGUGGCCAUGCUUCUUGCAGUGAUCACAGUUCCCAUUGAACCUCCUCUCCUCAAACUUCCCAUGCGCAGCAGCCUUGUUUGCUUGCGGAGCUUCACUCCCCUCCUCUUGAGUUGCUUGGCUUGCAAGGGAAAGGUCUCCUUUCUUUGCAAACAGCCCAAUGGAGCCUUGCUCCUUCUGAAUCCGUGCACACACAUCCUCAAGGUCAGGUAGAUUGUCCUCCCUCAGCAGGUGCUGGAUGAGACCGUUGUAAGCCGGGUUCAGCGUGAGGAGUAGCCCAAAGACCUUGUCUUGCUCUCUCCUCUUGUUAAGCUCAUCAGCAUCCGUUGUGCUUGGCCUAAGCAUUUCCAUCUCGGACCAGAGACUCCUGAAUCUCCCUAGAUGCUCGGUGAACUCCAUGUCUUCUUGUACAAGGUUGUUGAUGGCUUGCUUCACUUCAAACACUCGGCUUAGGUUUGAAGUGUUGCCAUACACCUUCUUCAAGGUAUCCCACAGCUCUUUAGCAGACUCACAGUAGCUGUAUGCAUCCAGAAUGGCCGGCUCAAGGGACGCAUGAAGCACAGACAUCACCAACAUGUCCUCUUGAUGCCACUUCUCUUCUGCCUUGCUUGCCGCUUCAUCUUCAGCCUCUCCUUGAGUGAUGAGCUUUGGAGCUUCUCCUGGCGUGAUGUGCUUCCAAAGCCCCUUGCUUCCCACUGUGGUUCUCACCAUCCGAGACCACACCAAGUAGUUGUUUCCCUUGAAACAAACCGCCACCUUCAUGUUCAUGUUCAUCCCACUCUCCAUGUUGAAUGUAGAACCCUUUAGACUUCAAUAACUUUCUCUUGAGGUAACUGUCUUGAGCUAGAACCCUUUAGACUUCAAUAACUUUCUCUUGAGGUAACUGUCUUGAGCGAACACUAGCAGCUUCAAACAACCAAUAGAACUCAGAAAGACUACCCAGAACCGCUUAAGAACACAAGAACACCAAACUGUUUCUUCAAAGCUUCAAUCUUGAAUCUUCAAAGAACCCAACGAAACCAAGUUCUCUAGGAACCUGGCUCUGAUAUCAUAUCACUUUUAGGAUUGAGUAGAGUAAUCUGAGUGAAUAAGAAAGACUAGAAGUGAUUUAGAAGAGAUUUGAGUAUGAAAUGAGAUUAAGAGUCUAGUAUAGAACCAUUGAAAGAAUAAAGACNNNNNNNNNNNNNNNNNNNNNNNNNNNNNNNNNNNNNNNNNNNNNNNNNNNNNNNNNNNNNNNNNNNNNNNNNNNNNNNNNNNNNNNNNNNNNNNNNNNNNNNNNNNNNNNNNNNNNNNNNNNNNNNNNNNNNNNNNNNNNNNNNNNNNNNNNNNNNNNNNNNNNNNNNNNNNNNNNNNNNNNNNNNNNNNNNNNNNNNNNNNNNNNNNNNNNNNNNNNNNNNNNNNNNNNNNNNNNNNNNNNNNNNNNNNNNNNNNNNNNNNNNNNNNNNNNNNNNNNNNNNNNNNNNNNNNNNNNNNNNNNNNNNNNNNNNNNNNNNNNNNNNNNNNNNNNNNNNNNNNNNNNNNNNNNNNNNNNNNNNNNNNNNNNNNNNNNNNNNNNNNNNNNNNNNNNNNNNNNNNNNNNNNNNNNNNNNNNNNNNNNNNNNNNNNNNNNNNNNNNNNNNNNNNNNNNNNNNNNNNNNNNNNNNNNNNNNNNNNNNNNNNNNNNNNNNNNNNNNNNNNNNNNNNNNNNNNNNNNNNNNNNNNNNNNNNNNNNNNNNNNNNNNNNNNNNNNNNNNNNNNNNNNNNNNNNNNNNNNNNNNNNNNNNNNNNNNNNNNNNNNNNNNNNNNNNNNNNNNNNNNNNNNNNNNNNNNNNNNNNNNNNNNNNNNNNNNNNNNNNNNNNNNNNNNNNNNNNNNNNNNNNNNNNNNNNNNNNNNNNNNNNNNNNNNNNNNNNNNNNNNNNNNNNNNNNNNNNNNNNNNNNNNNNNNNNNNNNNNNNNNNNNNNNNNNNNNUUAAACCAAACGAUGAUCACUACCGUUGCUGAUAUGAUCAAGAGCAGUAUGAAGGAACUUCGCGAUGAAAUAAGGCAAGAGAUAAGGCAAGCUACGGGCCAAGGUCAUAGCAAUGAGUCUAGACGAGAAAGACGUGAUGAAACCCCGAGAGAGCAUGCUGAAUCACAAGAAACAGACCCCUACUAUGAGCGUAACCGAGCCACGCGCAGCAGUUCCUCUUCUAGAGAUAGUAGAAGGAGAUAUAGAAGAGAUCAUGAUGAAAGGAGAACUUACAGAGAUGAUCUUGCUGGUUUAAAGCUGAAGAUACCUCCUUUCGAUGGCAAAGUUGAUCCGGAUGCUUACUUGGAAUGGGAAAAGAAGAUGGAGUUGGUGUUUAACUGUAAGCACUACACCAAUGCCCAAAGAAUUCAGAUAGCAGCAACUGAGUUUCAUGACUAUGAGCUGAGUUGGUGGGACCAGCUUGUGACUACCAGGAGACUUAACCAAGAGUAUCCCGUUGAAACAUGGCACGAGAUGAAGGCUCUCAUGCGUAAAAGAUUUGUGCCAAAUCACUAUCAUCGCGACUUGCACCAGAAGUUAAGAAGACUCACCCAAGGAUCUCGGUCUGUUGAAGAAUACUAUCAAGACAUGGAGUUGUUGAUGCUGAGAGCUCGUGUUUCUGAAGAUAAAGAAGCUACUAUGGCUAGGUUCUUAGGAGGUCUCAACCGAGAGAUACAAGAUAAUGUUGAGAUGCAGCACUAUGUGGAGAUAGAGGAGAUGCUUCACAAAGCUAUACUAGUUGAGCAACAAGUUAAGAGGAAGGGCCAUUCUCACUCUCGUUACAACACCAGACUUCAGGGAACUAAAGAAGAAAAGUCUAGCUAUCAAAAGGAAAGAAAACCGCAACUGAAAGAAGAUUCAAAGCCAAAUCCUAUUUACAGUAAGGAUAAAGGAAAGGCUGAGGUUUCAAGUGCAAGAGCUAGAGAUGUUAAGUGCUUUAAGUGUCAGGGUAGAGGCCAUUAUGCAAAUGAGUGCACCAAUAAAAGAAUCAUGAUUCUUCUUGAGAAUGGAGAGUAUGAAUCUGAGGAUGAGCUUUCAGAGUCUGAGUAUAAGGCGCUUACUGAAGAAGAAUAUGAAGAAGAACCCGUGAGAGGAAAGCUAUUGGUGGCUAGAAGAACUUUGAGUUUGCAAAGUAAAGCUGAAGAGCAAGAACAGAGAGAGAAUCUAUUCUACACUCGGUGCCUUGUGCAAGGAAAGGUCUGUAGUCUUAUCAUUGAUGGAGGAAGUUGUGUGAAUGUAGCUAGUGAAACUAUGGUAAAGAAGCUUGGCCUCCAAGUACAGAAACAUCCAAAGCCCUACCGGCUUCAAUGGUUGAAUGAAGAAGGAGAAAUGAGGGUUUCUAGUCAGGUUUCGGUUCCCAUUGCAAUUGGAAGGUAUGAGGAUGAGGUUCUCUGUGAUGUACUGCCUAUGGAAGCUGGACAUAUCCUUCUUGGUCGGCCAUGGCAAUCAGAUAGACGAGUGAUACAUGAUGGCUACACCAACAAGCACACGUUUGAGUUCAAAGGGAAGAAGACUGUGCUGGUUCCUCUAACACCAAAGGAGGUUCACCAAGAUCAACUGCAGCUACAAAAGAAGAAAGAAAUAGACCUCAAACCUGAUUCAAAGAAGCAGCAUAGUUUCUAUGCCAACUCGGGUGAUAUCAAAAGAACUCUCAAUGCUCAUCAAUCUAUUCUUUUACUUAUCUUUAAAGAGUCUCUUUUGAAUGUUACUGACCCAACACCGGUAUAUCCGAGUGAAAUUGAGUAUCUUUUACAGGAAUUUGAAGAUGUAUUUCCUGAAGAUAAUCCGAUUGGUCUUCCACCUCUUAGAGGGAUUGAGCAUCAGAUUGAUUUUGUCCCUGGUUCUACACUUCCAAAUAGGCCAGCUUAUAGGACUAAUCCCGUGGAGACUAAAGAACUGCAAAAACAAGUUGAGGAAUUGAUGGCAAAGGGGCAUAUCCGUGAGAGCAUGAGCCCAUGUGCAGUACCAGUACUUCUUGUGCCUAAGAAGGAUGGAAGCUGGCGCAUGUGUGUUGAUUGUAGAGCCAUCAACAAUAUCACUGUAAAGUAUCACCAUCCUAUUCCUAGAUUAGAUGAUAUGCUUGAUGAAUUGCAUGGUUCUUGCAUAUUUUCUAAGAUUGAUUUGAAAAGUGGAUACCAUCAGAUUAGGAUGAAAGAAGGAGAUGAAUGGAAAACUGCAUUCAAAACUAAACAUGGUUUAUAUGAGUGGUUAGUCAUGCCAUUUGGAUUAACCAAUGCACCUAGUACAUUCAUGAGAUUAAUGAAUCAUGUUCUUAGAUCAUUCAUUGGCAUAUUUGUUGUGGUAUACUUUGAUGACAUCCUGGUAUACAGUAUGAGCUUUAAUGAUCAUAUAGGACAUCUUAGAGCUGUUCUUGAUGUGCUUAGAAAGGAAUCUCUUUUUGCUAACCUUAAGAAGUGUACUUUUGGAACGGAUAACUUGGUCUUUCUAGGUUUUGUUGUAAGUGCAGAUGGAGUAAAGGUGGAUCAGGAGAAAAUCAAAUCAAUCAAGGAAUGGCCAAUUCCAAAGACUAUAAGUGAAGUGAGGAGCUUCCACGGCCUUGCUGGUUUCUACAGGCGGUAUGUUAAAGAUUUUAGCACUAUAGCAGCUCCCCUGACUGAAGUGAUAAAGAAAGAAGUCGGAUUCAAGUGGGGAGAAGCACAAGAGACUGCCUUCCAAUGCCUUAAAGAGAAGCUUACUCACGCCCCUCUUCUUAUACUUCCUGAUUUCAAUAAAACUUUUGAAAUCGAAUGUGAUGCCUCUGGAAUUGGAAUUGGUGCUGUUCUUAUGCAGGAAAAGAGAUCCAUAGCAUAUUUCAGUGAAAAACUUGGAGGAGCAACUCUCAACUAUGCUACUUAUGACAAGGAACUCUAUGCUUUGGUGAGGGCUUUGCAGACAUGGCAGCAUUACCUAUGGCCCAAGGAGUUUGUCAUUCACACUGAUCAUGAGUCUCUUAAGUACCUUAAAAGCCAGAACAAACUCAGCAAGAGACACGCAAGGUGGGUUGAGUUCAUUGAGACAUUUCCUUAUGUCAUCAAGUAUAAACAAGGUAAGGAAAACAUAGUUGCUGAUGCACUAUCCAGAAGGUAUGUUCUCUAGAACACUCUUGAUGUUAAGCUAUUAGGAUUUGAGCAGAUUAAAGUAAUGUAUGAGAAUGAUCCUGAAUUUAAAGAUGCUUACAAGUCUUGUGAGAAAUUUGCUGCUGGACAUUACUUUAGGCAGGAUGGAUUUCUUUUCUAUGAUAAUAGACUUUGUGUGCCUAAUUGUUCUUUGAGAGAUUUAUUUGUUAGGGAAUCUCAUGGAGGAAGCCUCAUGGGACAUUUUGGUGUUGCAAAAACUCUCAAGACCUUGCAGGAUCACUUCUACUGGCCGCGGAUGAAAAGAGAUGUGGAAAGACUUUGUGAAAGGUGUGCAACUUGUAAACAAGCUAAGUCCAAAGUCCAAAACCAUGGUUUGUACACUCCUUUACCCAUCCCUUAUCAUCCUUGCAAUGAUAUCUCUAUGGACUUCAUUGUUGGAUUGCCUAGAACUCGUACUGGUAAAGAUUCAAUCUUUGUGGUAGUUGAUAGAUUUUCUAAGAUGGCACACUUCAUUGCUUGUCAUAAAACUGAUGAUGCAUUGCAUAUAGCUAACUUGUUCUUUAAGGAGAUUGUGCGUUUACAUGGCAUGCCUAAGACUAUUGUAUCUGAUAGAGAUACUAAGUUUCUAAGCUACUUUUGGAAAACUCUUUGGUCUAAACUAGGCACUAAGCUAUUGUUUUCUACUACUUGUCACCCACAAACUGAUGGUCAGACUGAAGUAGUUAAUAGAACUCUUGGUACACUCUUGCGUGCAAUCAUAAAGAAGAACUUGAAAUCAUGGGAAGAUUGUUUGCCUCAUUGUGAAUUUGCAUAUAAUCAUGCUGUGCAUUCUGCUACUAAGUUUUCUCCAUUUGAAAUUGUUUAUGGGUUCAAUCCCAUCUCUCCUUUGGAUCUAAUACCUUUACCUGAGUGUGAAAGAGUUAGUCUUGAUGGCAAGAAGAAGGCAGAGAAGGUACAACAGCUUCAUGAACAAGCAAGGCGCAACAUAGAAGAGAAGACUAAGCAAUAUGCCAAACAAGCAAACAAGGGGAGGCGUGAAAGAGUCUUUGAAGUGGGUGAUCAAGUCUGGAUUCACCUAAGGAAAGAAAGAUUUCCUAAUGAGAGGAAAUCCAAGCUCAUGCCAAGGAUUGAUGGACCAUUUGAGAUCAUAAAGAAAAUCGGCAACAAUGCUUACAAGCUGGAUCUCCAAGGAAGGUAUGAUGUGAGCAAUAGUUUUAAUAUCACUGACUUGAUUCCUUAUUUUGCAGAUGAGCCAGAUUUGAGGACAAAUCCUUUUCAAGAGGGAGGGGAUGAUAUGAUCAUGGACCAGCACAAGGAUGGAGAUGAAGAGUUCAAAGACAAAUCAAGGGAAGAAGAGGAUGCCUUAGUCAUUCCACCAGGUCCCAUCACUCGUGCCAAAGCUAGAAGACUCAAAGAAGCUGUUGGAAGUUUACUUAUGAUCUCAUGGAAGCAAGAAGACAGCCUUGAUGGACGUUUGAUCAAUCAAGACACUCUUAUCACCAUUCAAGCAAUGGUUUCAAACUGAUCAUCAUCUAAGCAAGUGCUUCUGUGUGCUCUUUUCCUAACCUUUGGUUUUGUCCCAUUGGGUUUUCCAAAGGCAGGUUUUUAAUGAGGCCACAAGUUACUUACAUAAACCUUAGAUGAUGUAUCAUGGUUCCACCUUAUGUUAUUUUUAAACUAUGGUUUUUAUUUCAUGUUUUAAACUCUUUUCAAAUUUGAAUAAGUCUUUAGUCUUUGUUGUAGUUCCAAGGGAGCCUGUUCCCUUUAAUGAUCUCGAGAAUAUGGAACCUGUUCCAUACUUCUCUAUAUAAGCUUGUAUGCGUUCUCUCUUUUAAAGACAAUCUUUUUUCUACAAAAUCUAUCAGAUUUCUUUGUUCUCUCUUUACUUCUCAUCAAGUCUUGAGUGAAUCUCGUUGGUGUGUCAUAUCCAACAACUAAGGGUGUCUAUUUUGGUGUGUAAUAUCCAAGCUAGUCAUCUAGGAGUAUCAAGGAGUCAUUCCGCAACUCUUUGUGUCACCAUACGAUCCAUCACCUUGAUAAACUUGAGUCUCUGAUUCGUUUAUACAAGGAUCUAUCCAGUUCAAUCCAAAGAAACUUCAUAGGAGUUCAUUAUAAGGGAAGGCUGAGACGACGGUUUAAGGCUCAGAUCAGAAGAGGAAGGUGUUGGAAGAGAAGCAUACUGUCUGGUUAUCAAGGUAGCUAUGGUACUAUGAAGAUGGGCAGAGAAGAAGCACAACAGAUUCUUAUGGGAGAGUGUUCUUACUCAGCUUACAUGGGAGAAUCUGUAGAGAGCAGUGGGGUUAUGAGGAAGCUAGAGACCAAAGGAGCGGAUGAGCGUGUCACAAAGGAGGAAUGGGAUGAGUUUGUCAAGUAUGUGUAUGCUUUGGCUACGACCCGGAGACAGGGUGCUCCUGCCAAAGCAUCCACAUCCAACAAACCCAUCAUUGUUGAUUCUGGAGCAAGUCAUCACAUGAUUAGUGACAGAAGCUUAAUGAGUGAUGUAAAGAAAGCUACUGGGGGUGUGAUGAUAGCUAAUGGUGAUAGGAUUCCUAUAGAAGGAGUUGGAAAGCUCAAGCUAUUUGAUAAAGACUCAGAUGCCUUCUACAUGCCACAGUUUGCUUCAAAUCUACUAUCUGUAAGGAAAGCCACAAUUGAUCUUGGCUGUCAAGUAGUAUUCAGGCCAGAUGAUGUUGAGUUCCAAGAUUUGAAGACUGAAAGGGUCAUUGGGAGAGGAGACAGCAAGAAUAAUCUAUACCAGCUCCAAUUGGCUAAGAUCUCUAAACCCUUUGAUUCUAUGUGUUUGAGUAGUACUUAUGAGAAGAUUGAUAGUAUUACUUGGCAUGCUAGAUUGGGACAUCCUCAUACUCGUGCUAUUGAAUUGAUAAUUCCUAAUAUGUCAUUUAAUCACUUGGAGUGUGAAGCAUGCAUAUUAGGAAAGCAUUGUAGGACUGUUUUUCCAACAUCAGAAACUACUUAUGAGCAUUGCUUUGAUCUAGUUCAUUCAGAUGUGUGGACGGCUCCUUGUUUGUCUAGAGAUAGCCAGAAGUACUUUGUGACAUUCAUUGAUGAGAAGUCUAAGUAUACUUGGCUUACAUUGCUUCCAUCUAAAGAUAGGGUGCUAGAAGCAUUUAUGAACUUCCAAGCAUAUGUAUCUAAUCAAUACAAUGCUACUGUGAAGGUACUGAGAUCAGAUAAUGGAGGUGAAUACAUCAGCAAUGCCUUCAAGAGUCAUCUAGCCAAGCAUGAGAUUGUGCAUCAGACUAGCUGCCCUUAUACACCACAUCAAAAUGGUGUAGCUGAGAGGAAGAACAGGCACUUGAUGGAGGUUGCUAGAUCGAUGAUGUUUCAUGCAAAUGUCCCAAAACGUUUUUGGAGUGAUGCUGUGCAGACUGCUUGCUAUCUCAUCAACCGGGUUCCAACCAAGAUAUUGAAGAAUCUGUCUCCAUUUGAAGUUUUGAACAAGAGCAAACCUGUCAUUGAUCACCUACGUUAUGAGAUUUGAGAGCUCUGGCUGUGUAUGUGUAUGAGAAGCCAUUAGAGGCAAAGAUAAGGUCUUGAACUAGUUGAAUAAGAGGUCUGAUGAAACUAGUAUGAACUUGAAUCAGAAACAAAGAGACUUUGAGAGAUUAAGAGAUUAGAGACUAAGAAAGGGGUAGAUUAAGGGAAUCUGAUCAAGAACACACUUUAAUAAUUAUGAAGGAGAUGGGGAAAACCCCCAUACUCUCUUAAGAGAGCUAGACACGCCCAUAAGGGUCUUUAUAUAGGUUUUACACUCUUGCAAACUCAUAAACCUAUAUCUAAUGGAUAGAAAUAACUUAAGGGGAAUGGAUGGUGAGGAUGAGUUGGUCUUGUUGUAAUCUGAGUGAUGUGUGCUGAUUGGAUAAGCUAAGCUGGCUCACUUUAAUUCAAACUAAGGCAAGCUGGCUCCUUGCUUGUGAUUGGCUCUCCUUAGGCUCCUCCUAAUCUUCCCAUGCAUCUGUCCAGGUUCAUGGUCGUGGCUCCCUUCUCUUUACAGCAAGAGACAGCCUGUCCAAGACCAGAACUAGCCAAUCACACACAAGGAAGCUCCCAUUGGUUGUUUGCCUCCACAAAGCAUCUUCUUGAUUCCCUUUGACUAGAUUCAAACCUUGGUGCCUUAUCCAUAUACUAUGCACACUCUUCACAUCCUGAAUAGUGACCCAAAUAGUGAAUAGUCAACCUGAAUAGUGACUAGUGAUUCACUAUUCACUUUUACACCAUCUUGCCCAAACUUCUCUAAUCUUACUGUGGUAACUCUCCAAAGUUACUGUCUGACCCAAAUCUUCUCUAAAUGGUGUCUAAGUCCCUACUGGACUUAACCCUAUCUUUGCACACUCAUCAGACCACUUCUGAAGCCUUAAGACUCUCCCAAAGCCUUAACAUACAAUCUCUGAAGAUCUUGCCAUGUCUUUGCACAAGCACCAACUCAACUCAUCACUUUUGCUUCUCCACUUCUUCUCUUCAAGUUAACACUCCCCCUCAAGCUUGACUCUAGCUGAUCCUAAGUCAAGCUUGGAACCUUGAAGAACUUCCUCAUUAAAAACCUCACCAAGGAAAACCCUUUGGGACAAAACCUUGAUGAGGGAAAAAGAGUAAAGUCUCCAAGACCUAGGGAUUGGCCAGUGAGUCUUUGUGCCUUACCAACAAUGUAAGGGACACAAAGACUCUGGAUCAUGGCCUCUACAAUCAUCCCACGCCUUGUACUCUCCUUACUGCCUAAUCUUGGUCUCUCCCCCUUUCACCUAACCUCUUGUUAGGUUGAAGUGCUCGGACACACCAGAUCAGCCUCUUCUUGGAGAUACAACUUCUCUUACUGAGUCUUGGCUGCUUCUUCUUCUUAUAGAGUCGCCACCUUGUUGCUUGAGCUACAUGAGGAUGCUUCAGCCACUCUCCAGUCACCUCAACACUUGAAGCCGCCUUGGAUAUUGCUUCUUCAUCCUUCAUCAUACUUCUCAACAGGUUGCUUCCUCUUCUAGAAUAACCACCAAGCUCUCUUGGAUCAUGUAAGCUUCAACACUCCCCCUCAAGCUUGAGACUCUCACAGGAACAAGCUUGAAUGGAUUGCUUCAUGAUCCUCACACACACACCAUGGCCGCUUCUCUUCUGAUCUUGCCAUCUUCAUGGAAUGCUUGUGGAAGCUUCAGCUAUCUCUCCAAUCACUUCACACUAGAAGCCGCCUUGAUAGAGUUGCCUUCAUCUUCUCACAGCCAAGAGUACUCUGUCUUAGUUUGAGUACUCUCUUGAAUAGACUCGCCACAGCCUAAGCCCGGAUGGCUCCUUCUUCAGAUGGUUGCAAUGGACUUCUUGGAUCGCUUGGAAGCUCACUAAACUCCCCUCCUCAAGCUUGGAUUGAGUAUAGGUCCAAGCUUGCAAGUGAGCUUCAGUGAGACUUCACACCAGUGGCGCAUCACCACUUCUUUCUCAACUCUCCAUUGCUCCACACAAUGGGCAAAGUCUUCCUCUUCCAACUCGGAUGGAUGGUGAACCAAGAACACCUCUUGUGAACCUGAAACAUCACUCAAACUCCAGCAAAGAUAAGACACAAGUGCAUUGGGUCAACCCUUGAUGCAUCAUCAAGUUUGAACACCAAUGUCUUUAAGCAAUGCAACAGAUUAAACUAGACAUUUUCAAGUUCUAAUCUUUGCAAGCAAACUCUCUAAGCACUAGCAUGAUCCUAACAGAUUCAAUACAAGCUACUUAAGCAAUUUUUAAAGCUUCUUUACUCAGCAUUUAGACAUGAAUCUAAUGCUUCAAUGUAAGACAACCAUUUGACAGUAUGCACUAGCCUUAAUCAAUUUUAAUUCAAUGAAUGCAACAAUACAAUCCAUCACACAUUCAUUUAUAACUUAGGCUAAGCAUUACUAUCAUCACUUAUCAUCAGACAAUGCAUUACUUUCAAUCUGUUUUCAGUUCAUGAGCUUCAAACAAUAUCUUUUCACAUUUAGCAAACUCAUUACUUAACAGGAGCAAGCAUUUUACUCUUUAAACACUAAACAAGCCUUUAAAGCAUCCUGGGACAGAUUCAACUAAUUAUAUUUAGCAAUCACACAUUAUCCUCAGGUUUUUCAAUCAAUACACAUCACAAUAACCAGUCAACAACACACACAUUAUCAAGAAGGGAUAGUAAUAGCUUACAGCCAAGGAACCGGUUUGGUUCCUUGAACCUCCAAUGGCUUAUGGCUCACGGUUUUGUGGGACAUGAGAGCAUGGAUCGUCACCCAGCCUCUCCUCCUUCUACUCAUGGCCACCUUCUUGUUUCUACAGCUCAAACACCCCUCCUUUCUUCAUACAUCAAGUCGCCAUCUUCAUGACAUCUUCUCUUCUUGUAGCCGGAUGCUAGCAGCUCAUGGACAAGGAGUUUUGGCUUGAGGUUCAUGACGCCUCUCCAUCCUCCUUUGCUUCCAACGUGGCUCUUCAUCAAGGCAGGUAUGAGAAAGGAUUGAGGAACCAGAAUGACACGCCAAGCUUCAGUCUUCAUGGAGAAGCUGAACCGGAUGGAGCUGUCUUCUUCAUGGCUUGGAUUUGAGCUGAGGGAUGUGUGUGGGAUGUGCGGAAACUUCAACCAGGUUUUGAUGAACCUGGCUCUGAUACCAUGUGAGAUUUGAGAGCUCUGACUGUGUAUGUGUAUGAAAAGCCAUUAAAGGCAAAGAUAAGGUCUUGAACUAGUUGAAUAAGAGGUCUGAUGAAACUAGUAUGAACUUGAAUCAGAAACAAAGAGACUUUGAGAGAUUAAGAGAUUAGAGACUAAGAAAGGGGUAGAUUAAGGGAAUCUGAUCAAGAACACAUUUUUAUAAUUAUGAAGGAGAUGGGGAAACCAUCUAGUAUCCUUGCUCAUAUUGCUAGUUCACAUACCAUUAAGCCUUUAGUAGUUGAUUCUGGUGCAUCUCAUCAUAUGAUAAGUGAUACUAGUUUGAUUAAAAACAUUGUACCAAUGAAUGGAAAUGUGAUGAUAGCUAAUGGAGAUAAGAUACCUAUUAGAGGAAUAGGAAGUCUUAAACUGUUUGAUAAGGAAACUAAAGCCUUUUAUAUGCCUGAAUUUACUUCAAACUUGUUAUCUGUUAAGAAAUGUGCUACUGAUUUGCAAUGUAAUGUCAUAUUCAGUCCUAAUGAUGUGAAGUUUCAGGAUAUUAAAAGCAGCAAGAUGAUUGGAAAGGGAGUAACAAAAGGAGAACUAUAUUUGCUUGAAGAUCUUGCUCCUGUUUCUAGAUAUAGCUGCUCGUUUACUUCUGUUUCUGGUUCUAGUUUAAGUAAAAAUGCAUUGUGGCAUGCUAGAUUAGGACACCCUCAUAAUAAGGCUUUAAAACUGAUGUUGCCAGGUGUUUCCUUUGAGAAUAAUGAUUGUGAAGCUUGUAUUUUAGGCAAGCAUUGUAAGACUGUCUUUACUAAAUCUACUACGGUUUAUGAGAAGUGUUUUGAUUUGAUUCAUUCUGAUGUUUGGACUGCUCCUUGCUUAUCUAGAGACAAUCAAAAGUAUUAUGUAACCUUCAUUGAUGAAAAAUCCAAAUACACCUGGUUAACCUUAAUUCCAACCAAAGAUAGGGUACUUGAUGCAUUUAAGAACUUUCAAUCAUAUGUGACUAACCAUUAUAAUGCCAAGAUAAAGAUUUUCAGGUCAGAUAAUGGAGGAGAGUACACGGGACAAGCAUUCAAGCUCCACCUAUCUCAGCAUGGAAUCCUACAUCAGACAAGCUGUCCCUAUACUCCACAACAGAAUGGUGUGGCUGAGAGAAAGAAUAGGCAUCUGAUGGAAGUGGCCAGGUCCAUGAUGUUUCAAACCAAUGUACCCAAGAAGUUCUGGAGUGAUGCAGUCACUACAGCUUGUUAUCUCAUCAACAGAACACCAACUCUGAUUCUGCAAGGGUUAUCACCAUUUGAGGUAUUGAACCGAUACAAGCCCUCUUUGGAACAUAUGAAGAUCUUUGGGUGUUUGUGUUUUGUGAUGGUACCGGGAGAAUUAAGAAACAAGCUUGAAGCUAGGAGCUCCAAGGCAAUGUUUGUUGGAUACUCAUCAAGUCAGAAAGGAUACAAGUGCUAUGAUCCUAACACAAGGAGAGUGUUAGUAUCUAGAGAAGUGAAGUUUGUGGAAGAAAAAGGAUAUUAUGAGGAGCAGAUUCAAGAAGAUUUGAAAGAUCUCACUUCAGAUAGAGCUGCAACCUUGAGGAUAAUACUAGAAGGACUUGGAAUCAAUAUGGAUCAAGAACAGCAAGAAGUAAGAGGCACUACACCAAUACCGAAUCAUCAGACGUCCAAUCUUGAACAUGAGGGGGGGAAUGGAACAGAAACUCAAACUCAAAGUCAUGAAGAGAGUUCUGGUUCUCAUGAUCAAGCUGUGGAGUCAAAUGAUCAACAAGAAGGAGCUGAAGCAAGUCAGCUAAGGGAUGAAGGAGCUGAAGCAAGUCAGCCAAGAGAAGAAAGUACACAAGAAGAUGUACAAGACAUGGAGUUACCGGCACAAGAAGGGCCAGUGUUGAGAAGAAGUACAAGGCUGAGAAAGGAUCCUUCCAGUUGGGUAAACACGAGAGUGUACUACAAUGCUCAAGCUGUGAAGCAUCCUACUCAGGCCGUGUGUUCUUUCUCUCAAUAUCCAGAAGCACAUUGUGCAUUCAUGGUAAACUUAGAUGAGAAUCACAUUCCAAGAAGCUAUGAAGAGGCAAUGGAGGAUAAGGAAUGGAAGGAAUCAGUAGGAGCUGAGGCAGGAGCUAUGAUAAAGAAUGAUACAUGGUUUGAAAGUGAACUACCAAAAGGGAAGAAGGCAGUAUCUAGUAAAUGGAUCUUCACAAUCAAAUACAAAGCUGAUGGACAGAUUGAGAGGAAGAAGACUAGAUUAGUAGCAAGAGGGUUCACUCAAACAUAUGGAGAGGAUUACAUUGAGACAUUUGCACCAGUAGCCAAGUUACAUACCAUUAGAAUUGUACUAAGCUUGGCGGUUAACCUUGGAUGGGGAUUGUGGCAAAUGGAUGUGAAGAAUGCAUUCUUACAAGGAGAACUUGAGGAUGAAGUCUACAUGUAUCCUCCACCAGGUCUUGAACAUCUAGUGAAGAGAGGGAAUGUACUGAGGCUAAAGAAGGCUAUCUAUGGGUUGAAGCAAUCACCAAGAGCAUGGUACAACAAGUUGAGCACAACUCUGAACAGCCGAGGUUUUAAGAAGUCUGAAUUGGACCAUACUCUCUUUACCCUCACUACUCCUUCAGGUAUGGUUGCUCUCCUUGUGUAUGUGGAUGAUAUCAUUAUCACAGGAAGUGAUAAGGAAGGUAUCAAAGCAACCAAGGAGUUUCUAAAGUCUAUGUUUGAAAUAAAAGACUUGGGAGAAAUGAAAUACUUUCUUGGAAUUGAGAUUUGUAGAUCCAAGGAAGGUUUGUUCAUGUCCCAAAGGAAGUAUACACUUGAUCUUUUGAAAGGUGCAGGUGCUUAUGGAGGCAAGACAGCAAGGAUGCCAAUGGAAGAUGGCUACAAAGUACCAAGAGAGGGGGAGAUUGAAGACAGCAAGCCAUUUCAUGAUCCUAAACUCUAUAGAAAACUUGUUGGCAAAUUGAUUUAUCUAACCAUCACAAGACCUGAUAUAUGCUUUGCUGUGAAUCAGGUGAGUCAACACAUGCAGCUUCCCAAGGAACAUCACUGGCGUAUGGUGGAGAGGCUGCUGAUGUAUCUAAAUGGCUCGUCGGAUCAAGGUGUAUGGAUGGGGUGCAAUGGAAGCACAGAAGUGGUGGGCUAUUGUGAUGCUGAUUGGGCAGGUGAUAGAGCUGACAGAAGAUCAACAACCGGCUAUUGCACAUUCAUUGGAGGCAACUUGGUGACUUGGAAGAGUAAGAAACAGAAGGUGGUGUCAUGCUCUAGUGCAGAAGCUGAGUAUAGAGCUAUGCUGAAGCUUACAAACGAGCUAGUUUGGAUCAAGGGCAUCUUGAAGCAUUUGGAGAUAGCACAAGACACUCCAAUGACAAUGCAUUGUGACAACCAGGCCGCCAUUCACAUAGCCUCCAACUCGAUGUUCCAUGAGAGAACAAAGCACAUUGAGGUUGAUUGCCACAAGGUGAGGCAGAUGAUUGUCCUAGGAGUCAUCUUGCCAUGUUAUACUAGGAGUGAAGAUCAGUUGGCUGAUGUGUUUACCAAGGCUGCAAGGCAAAAGACAAUGGAGUCCAUUCAUAUUAGAUUGGGCCUCAUUGAUCUUCGGAAGAGAAGCAGCUGAUCCCCUUAGUCAUGAGAUCUUUACUCUUUUUCCCUCAUUAAGGUUUUGUCCCAAUGGGGUAGCUUCUCCUUUUACCCACGCAGCUUCAAUAACACCUCACACAACCAAUAGAACUCAGAAAGACUACCCAGAACCGCUUAAGAACACACGAACACCAAACUGUUUCUUCAAAGCUUCAAUCUUGAAUCUUUAAAGAACCUGUUGAGAUGAGCUGAGUAUAUGGAUAUGAAGAGAUAAGUAGUUGAAGAGAAGAGGAGAUGAAGUACUUAGGGAAGUUUGGGAGAGUAUGGUACGGCUGGACGUACAAGGCCGUACAAGGCCGUACAAGGCCGUACAAGCCGUACCAUCCAAACCUCAACCAAAACUUACCAUACCCUAUCCAAGUGAGACGGUAACUAAGGAGGAGUGACUUGGGUAGCUUAGGGAGUUGGAUCAGACCGUUGAGAGGAUAAGGCAAGAGCGUGCCAGGCUGGAACAGGCUGUAAAGAGCUGAAGCAUGUGAGCCAUCCUGACCAAUCAUUCAAAAGGCGCCCCUUGACUCCACACGGUUCAAUAGUGCCCAUUUCCCUUCUUGUAAACCCUUGUGUCUCUCUUAUAAAUAUGUAACCUCACUCAUUAAUAAAAUAAAGCAAGUUUUGAGUCUUUCUCUUAGUCUUUAAUCUCAAUGGUUCCAUAUUAGACUCAUAAUCUCAUUUCAUACUCUAAUCUUCUCUAAAUCGAUUCUAGUCUUUCCUAAACACUCAGAUUACUCUAAACAUUACUAAAACUAAUACCAUCAAGUCAUCCUGAAUCCAUUUCUUUCCAUCAGUCACCGCGAGCUCUCUUCCACCUUCUUCCGUACUGGCCACUGGUGCUGGAGCUUCAUCCGUGAUGUGACUCCAUAACCCUAGCCUCCCAAUGGCUGUCUUCACAAGCCUUGACCACAACAGGUAGUUUCCCCCACCCUUUAGUGAAAUCGGAACCGUGAUAACCUUGUUCCCUCCCAUCUUGAGUUGUUUGAUCUUUCCUUAGAACCCAAUGAGAAUAAUCUUUAUCUGAAGCUGAAGAACACAAGAUCUCAAUACCAAAGACAACCUGGCUCUGAUACCAUGUAAGUUUAGAGAAUAAGAAAGGUAUUGAGAGAUUAAAGAGAGUUUAAGAGUGAUUAUGAGAGAUUGAGGUGUUUAGGUGUAAGUGUAUGAGAUAAUCAUGAUGAACUAAAGAGAGACACUCAUAAACUCUUGUGUUAUUUCAUUAAUCAAUCAGGUUACAAUAUAUAUAUGAGAGAGAGCUAGGGCAUUUCGAAAUACAAGCAUGUGAAGUCAAGGAUAAGAUGAGAGACUAUGGGAAAAGUAACCAAUGGGAUGAGCCACAUGCUUGGACACCUUUUGCUUUUACUUUCCAGGCUGUCCUUAGCUGUAGCCGUGCCUUAUCCAUCUGAUUCAACGGACUGAUUGUGGAUAAGACUGUAACCAAGCUAAACUCCCAAGUUAACUUCACUUAGGUAACUUUGGACCAUCUCCAUUGCCCUAACUGUACGGCCUUGCCUUGUACGGCCUUGCCUUUUACGGCCUUGCUUUGUAUGGACACCUCAACCAUAUUCAACUUAACUCUUCUAUCCUUCUCUAAUACUCCAUGCCUUCACCCUGAUACCUCUUCUCUUCUCUUAUUUUGUUCAACAUCUAUGAGUCUCAAUCUGAUGUGAAUGGACUCCAUAGUCUUUUGUCUCGCAGCCUUGGUGAACACAUCAGCCAACUGAUCUUCACUUCUAGUAUAGCAAGGCAAGAUCACUCCUAGCACAAUCAUUUGUCUCACUUUGUGGCAAUCAACCUCAAUGUGCUUGGUUCUCUCAUGGAACACAGAGUUGGAUGCAAUGUGAAUGGCAGCCUGAUUGUCACAAUGCAUUGUCAUUGGAGUGGCUUGAUCAAUCUCCAAGUGCUUCAAGAUGCCUUUGAUCCACACCAACUCGUUUGUAAGCUUCAGCAUGGCUCUAUACUCAGCUUCAGCACUUGAACAUGAUACCACCUUCUGUUUCUUGCUCUUCCAAGUCACCAAGUUGCCUCCAAUGAAUGUGCAAUAGCCAGUAGUUGAUCUCCUGUCAGCUCUAUCUCCUGCCCAAUCAGCAUCACAAUACCCCACCACUUCUGUGCUUCCAUUGCAUCCCAUCCAAACCCCUUGAUCCGGCGAGCCAUUUAGAUACAUCAGCAGCCUCUCCACCAUACCAUAAGCACCUGCACCUUUCAAAAGAUCAAGUGUAUAUUUCCUUUGGGACAUGAACAAACCUUCCUUGGAUCUACAAAUCUCAAUUCCAAGAAAGUAUUUCAUUUCUCCCAAGUCUUUGAUUUCAAACAUAGACUUUAGAAACUCCUUGGUUGCUUUGAUACCUUCCUUAUCACUCCCUGUGAUAAUGAUAUCAUCCACAUACACAAGGAGAGCAACCAUACCUGAGGGUGUUGUGAGUGUAAAGAGAGUGUGAUCCAAUUCUGACUUCUUGAAGCCUCGGCCAUUCAGAGUUGUGCUCAACUUGUUAUACCAAGCUCUUGGUGAUUGCUUCAACCCAUAAAUGGCUUUCUUUAGCCUCAGUACAUUCCCUCUCUUCACUAGAUGUUCCAGACCUGGUGGAGGAUACAUAUAGACUUCAUCCUCAAGUUCUCCUUGUAGAAAUGCAUUCUUUACAUCCAUUUGCCACAAUCCCCAUCCAAGGUUCACAGCCAAGCUUAAAACAAUCCUAAUGGUGUGUAGCUUGGCUACUGGUGCAAAUGUCUCAAUGUAAUCCUCUCCAUAUGUUUGAGUAAACCCUCUUGCUACCAGUCUAGUCUUCUUCCUCUCAAUCGACCCAUCAGCCUUGUACUUGAUUGUAAAGAUCCAUCUACUGGACACAGCUUUCUUCCCUUUUGGUAGUUCACUCUCAUACCAUGUAUCAUUCUUUAUCAUAGCUCCUGCCUCAGCUCCUACUGAUUCCUUCCACUCCUUAUCCUCCAUUGCCUCUUCAUAGCUUCUUGGAAUGUGAUUCUCAUCCAAGUUUACCAUGAAUGCGCAAUGUGCUUCUGGAUAUUGAGCGAAAGAACACACGGCCUGAGUAGGAUGCUCCACAGCUUGGGCAUUGUAGUACACUCUUGUGUUUACCCAACUGGAAGGAUCCUUUCUCAGCCUUGUACUUCUUCUCAACAUUGGCCCUUCUUGUGCCAUCUCUUGUUCUUCUUCUUGUGGCAACACACUUGUUUCAGAUCUUUCUUCUCCUAGCUGACUUGCUUCAGCUCCCUCUUCUCUUAGCUGACUAUCUUCAGCUUCUUCUUGUUGAUCAUCUGAUUCCACAGCUUGAUCAUGAGAGCCAGAACUCUCUUCUCUACUUGUUUCUUCACGCUCAAGGUUUGGAGUUCUUGUUUCAUUCCCCCCUUCAUGCUCAAGGUUGGAAGUCUGAUGAUCUGGUGCUGGAGUCGUGCUUCUCCCCCCCUGAUGUCCUUGAUUCAUGUUGAUUCCAAGCCCUUCUAGGAUCAACCUCAAGGUUUCAGCUCUAUCAGAUGUAAGAUCCUUCAAAUCUUCUUGAAUCUGCUCCUCAUAAUAUCCUUUUUCUUCAACAAACUUUACUUCUCUAGAUACUAACACUCUCCUUGUGUUAGGAUCAUAGCACUUGUAUCCUUUCUGACUUGAUGAGUAUCCAAUGAACAUUGCCUUUGAACUAUUAGCUUCUAGCUUGUUUCUUAUCUCUCCAGGCACCAUCACAAAACACAAACAUCCAAAGAUCUUCAUAUGCUCGAGUGAAGGUUUGUACUGAUUCAAUACCUCAAAUGGUGAUUGUCCUUGAAGGAUCAGAGUUGGUGUCCUGUUGAUGAGAUAACAAGCCGUAGCAACUGCAUCACUCCAAAACUUCUUAGGCACAUUGGAUUGAAACAUCAUGGACCUGGCUACUUCCAUCAAGUGCUUGUUCUUCCUUUCAGCCACACCAUUCUGUUGUGGUGUAUAGGGACAGCUUGUCUGAUGAAGUAUUCCAUGUUGAGAUAGAUGUAGCUUGAAUGCUUGUCCCGUGUACUCUCCUCCAUUAUCUGACCUAAAAAUUUUUAUCUUGGCAUUGUAAUGGUUAGUCACAUAGGCUUGAAAUUUUUUAAAUGCAUCAAGUACCCUAUCUUUGGUUGGAAUUAAAGUUAACCAGGUGUAUUUGGAUUUUUCAUCAAUGAAAGUUACAUAGUACUUAUGAUUGUCUCUAGAAAGGCAAGGUGCAGUCCAAACAUCAGAAUGAAUAAGAUCAAAACAUUUUUCAUAAACAGUAGUAGACUUGGUAAAGACAGUUCUACAAUGCUUGCCCAAGAUGCAAGCUUCACACUCAUUAUUCUCAAAGGAAACACCUGGCAACAUCAGUUUUAAAGCCUUAUUAUGAGGGUGUCCUAAUCUAGCAUGCCACAAUGCAUUUUUACUUAAACUAGAACCAGAAACAGAAGUAAACGAGCAGCUAUAACUAGAAACAGGAGCAAGAUCUUUGAGUAAAUACAAUUCUCCUUUAGUCACUCCCUUUCCAAUCAUCUUGCUGCUUUUAAUAUCCUGAAACUUCACAUCAUUAGGACUGAAUAUGACAUUGCAUUGCAAGUCAGUAGCACAUUUCUUAACAGAUAACAAGUUUGAAGUAAAUUCAGGCAUAUAAAAGGCUUUAGUCUCCUUACCAAACAGUUUAAGACUUCCUAUUCCUCUAAUAGGUAUCUUAUCUCCAUUAGCUAUCAUCACAUUACCAUUCAUUGGUACAAUGUCUUUAAUUAAACUAGUGUCACUUAUCAUAUGAUGAGAUGCACCAGAAUCAACUACUAAAGGCUUAAUGGUAUGUGAACUAGCAAUAUGAGCAAGGAUACUAGACGGUUUGAAUACAUGAUCUGUGAGAUUUUCAGAGAACUCAGGCUGUGUGUUUGUGUGAAACCCAAUAGGGCAGAGAGAGAGAGAGAGAGAGAGAGUUUGAUUUAGGUGAUUUAGAGAGAGAUAGAUUAGUGGAAGUGUUUAUGAGUGAUUAAGUGUUUACUCAGAUCAGAAACAAAAGACUUUGAGAGAUUAGGAGAUUAGAGACUAAGAAAGGGAGAGAUUAAGGGAUUCUGAUCCAAGAACACUUUUCUAUUAUGAAGGAGAAGGGGAAAUCCCCCUAACUCUCUUAAGAGUUACAAAUUGCCUCAUACAUCUCUUUAUAUAGGCUUUUACAAUCUGAGACAUCUUAAACCUAUAUCUAAUGGCUGUAAAUAACUUAAGAGGAAUGGAUGCUGUAGAUGAGCUGGUCUUGUUGCAAUCUGAGUAGUUGAUGCUGAUUGGUUAAGAGGAGGUGAAGCCUGAUUGGUUUAAUUCAAAAUGGGGAAGGCUGGAUGAUGAUUGGCUCUCCUUAGGCUCCUCCUAAUCUGUCCACAGAUCAGUCUAGGUUCAUGGUCGUGGCUCUCCUUGUCUUUACAGCCAAGGCCAGCCUGUCCCAUGACUAAAGUAGCCAAUCACACUGCAAUAGCAUCUUCUUGAUUCUCCUUUGAUGCCAUCUGAUCAGAACCUUAUCCACAAGGCUAGGACCACUUUUAUAACUCCCAAACCUUGCCCAGACAUUGCACAAGCUUUCCCGGGACGUCAGCCUCACCCUAUUUUUGCACCAACUCUAAAACUUCUCAAAUGGCCGAGUUAUGCAAAUCUGGGUCGCCCUGGUCCGUACGGAUCCGUACUGUCCGUACACGUCCGUACUGCCUCGCCCUAUCUUUGAACACUCGCCCAUUUGCUCCCAAAUACACUUCUAAGUCUCUCCUAGACUUGGCCCUAACUUUGCACAUCCAUCAGGACACUUCUGGACACCUUGCCCUAUCUUUUGCACAAGCCCCAACUCAACUCAACACCUUUAGUUUCUCCAUUUCUUCUCUUCAAGUUAACACUCCCCCUCAAGCUUGACUUUAGUUGAUCCUAAGUCAAGCUUGGAACCUUGAAGAACUUCCUCAUUAAAAACCUCACCAAGGAAAAUGAGGAAGAACUUCCUCAUUACCACAGUAAAACCAAAGUUACUGUGGUAACUCCAAAGUUACUGUCUGUCUCAAUCCUCAUUCUCUAUCAAUAUAGUCACUCUUUAUUACCUCAUCUCAACACUCCCCCUCAAGCUUGACCAUGUGGAACAAGUCAAGCUUGGAAACCAUGAAGACCUCCCUCAUUAAAAACCUCACCAAAGAAAACCCAUUGGGAUAAAACUUUGAUGAGGGAAAAAGAGUGGAGACUCCAUGGUUAAGGGGCUCAGCUCCUGGGAGUAAGAUCAAUGAGUCCAAGCCUUGAUAGUAUGGACUCCAUUGUCUUCAAUCUCGCUGCCUUAGUAAACACAUCUGCAAGCUGAUCUUCACUUCUUGUAUAACAUGGCAGAAUCACUCCUAAGAUUAUCAUCUGCCUCACCUUAUGACAAUCCACCUCUAUGUGCUUUGUUCUCUCAUGAAACACUGAGUUAGAGGCAAUGUGGAUAGCUGCUUGAUUGUCACAAUGCAUAGUCAUAGGAGUACUCUGCUCAAUCUCUAGAUGCUUCAAGAUCCCCUUGAUCCACACCAACUCGUUUGUCAGCUUCAACAUGGCUCUAUACUCAGCUUCAGCACUUGAACAGGAGAUAACCUUCUGCUUCUUACUCUUCCAAGUGACCAAGUUCCCUCCAAUGAAGGUACAAUACCCAGUAGUUGAUCUCCUGUCCACUCUAUCUCCUGCCCAAUCAGCAUCACAAUAACCAACCACUUCUGUACUGCCAUUGCAGCCCAUCCAAACUCCUUGUCCAACCGUCUCACUCAGAUACCUUAGUAUCCUAUCAACCAUCUUCCAAUGAUGGACCUUUGGCGCCUGCAUAUGUUGACUCACUUGAUUCACAGCAAAGCAUAUAUCUGGCCUAGUAAUUGUCAAGUAGAUCAGCUUGCCAACCAUCUUCCUGUAUAGCUUAGGGUCCUCAAACAGCUGCUUCUCUUCAACCUCCCCCUCACGCAGAACCUUAUAUCCCUCCUCAAGAGGUGUCUUGGCUAUCUUUCCUCCAAGCACAUUAGUCUCUUUCAACAUAUCCAUAGUAUACUUCCUUUGAGACAUAAACAAACCCUCCUUUGAUCUGCAUAUCUCAAUGCCCAGAAAAUACUUCAUCUCUCCCAAAUCCUUGAUGUCAAACACAGAUUUGAGAAACUCCUUAGUAGCCUGAAUCCCUGCCUUAUCACUUCCUGUGAUAAUCAAAUCAUCCACAUACACUAGAAUCACAAUGCUCCCUGAAGGUCCUGUCAAGGUGAAGAGAGUGUGAUCUAGUUCAGACUUCCUAAAGCCUCUCCCAUUGAGUGUUGUACUCAGCUUCCUGUACCAAGCUCUAGGUGACUGUUUCAACCCAUAUAUUGCUUUCUUCAAUCUCAAAACAUUCCCUGGCUUUACUAGAUGCUCAAGACCAGGAGGUGGAUGCAUGUAUACUUCAUCUUCAAGUUCACCUUGCAAGAACGCAUUCUUAACAUCCAUUUGCCACAAAUCCCACUCCAAGUUUGUUGCAAUGGAUAACACAAUUCGAAUUGUGUGAAGCUUGGCCACUGGUGCAAAAGUGUCAAUGUAAUCUUCCCCAUAAGUCUGUGUAAAUCCUCUUGCAACCAGCCUGGUCUUGCGCCUAUCUAUCUCCCCAUUUGCAAGAUACUUGAUGGUGAAGAUCCAUCUGCUUGAAACUGCCUUCUUCCCUUUAGGUAACUCACUCUCAUACCAAGUGUCAUUCCUGAUCAUUGCAUCCCUUUCAUAUCCUACUGAAUCUCUCCAAACCUUGUGCUUCAUAGCUUCUUCAUAAGAUCUUGGUAUCUCAUUCUCAUCCAAGUUACACAUAAACACCAUGUGCUCUUCUGGAUAUUCUGCAAAGUAAGAGUUUUAGAUAAUCUGAGUUUGUAUGUGAAAGAGUAGAAUGAUUUAGGAUGAAUAAGGAGAUGAUUAUGUGAUUAGAUGACUAGUGAGGAAUCAUUAUGAAAGACUAGAGUGAUUAAUUGGAUAGAACUGUCUGAUCUCUUAUUAAUGAGGAGAUUACAUAUUUAUACUUAGAGGACAUAGGGUUUUCGAAAUGGGUUAAGGUAGCUUAAGCAUGUGAAGUCAAAUGGUAAGAGCUGGCCGGUUUUGAAUCCGUCCAAUAGGGGCCAUCACACGUUUGAUCCCUUUAGCAUCUUGGAUCAGAUGCCAAACACCUUUACAGCCUGUCCCAGCUGUAAAGCCGCGCCUCCUCUUAUCCAUAAACGGUCAUCUCCCUUCUUUGGCCGUGACCUUCCCUUUGCAUAAGUGUCUUUGGCCUUUCCCUCCUUCUUGUUGUUCAAUCUCUUAUUUACCGUGGUAACUCCAAAUGGUACGGACAUGGUAACUCCGUACACUUCACCCUGAACUUCAUCUCCUCAUCCCUUUCAUUACCCAAGCCUCUCUAAGCCUUCAUCUCAACUCCUCAUCUCAACACUCCCCCUCAAGCUUAGCUUUGUGAAAGCCUAAGCUUGGAUAGCCAUGAGAUCUUCCUCAUUAAAAACCUCACCAAGGAAAACCCAUUGGGAUAAAACCUUGAUGAGGGAAAAAGAGUAAAGACCUCACAGCCAAGGGGAUCAGCUCCUUCUCUUCCCAAGAUCAAUGAGUCCCAAUCUGAUAUGAAUGGACUCCAUUGUCUUUUGUCUUGCAGCCUUAGUGAACACAUCAGCCAACUGAUCUUCACUCCUAGUGUAGCAUGGCAAGAUAACUCCUAGGACAAUCAUCUGCCUCACCUUGUGACAAUCAACUUCAAUGUGCUUGGUUCUCUCAUGAAACACCGAGUUGGAAGCAAUGUGAAUAGCUGCUUGGUUAUCACAAUGCAUUGUCAUUGGCGUGGCUUGAUCAAUCUCCAAAUGCUUCAAGAUGCCUUUGAUCCACACCAGCUCGUUGGUAAGCUUCAGCAUAGCUCUAUACUCAGCUUCUGCACUUGAGCAAGAGACCACCUUCUGCUUCUUACUCUUCCACGUAACCAAGUUGCCUCCAAUGAAUGUGCAAUAGCCUGUGGUUGAUCUCCUGUCUGCUCUAUCACCAGCCCAAUCCGCAUCACAGUAUCCAACCACUUCAGUGCUCCCAUUGCAACCCAUCCAUACUCCUUGAUCAGGUGAGCCGUUGAGAUACAUCAAGAUUCUCUCCACCAUACGCCAAUGAUGCUCCUUAGGCACUUGCAUGUGUUGACUCACCUGAUUCACAGCAAAACAAAUGUCAGGUCUAGUUAUGGUAAGGUAAAUCAAUUUACCAACAAGUUUUCUAUAGAGUUUAGGAUCCUGAUAAGGUUUGCUAUCUUCAAUCUCCCCCUCUCGUGGGACUUUGUAGCCAUCCUCCAUAGGCAUCCUUGCUGUCUUGCCUCCAUAAGCACCUGCACCUUUCAAAAGAUCAAGUGUAUACUUCCUUUGGGACAUGAAUAAACCUUCCUUGGAUCUACAUAUCUCAAUUCCAAGAAAGUAUUUCAUUUCUCCCAAGUCUUUAAUCUCAAACAUGGAUUUAAGGAACUCCUUGGUUGCUAUGAUACCUUCCUUAUCACUUCCUGUGAUAAUGAUGUCAUCAACAUACACAAGGAGUGUAAUCAUACCUGAGGGAGUUGUGAGUGUGAAGAGAGUGUGAUCUAGUUCAGACUUCUUGAAACCUCGGCCAUUAAGAGUAGUGCUCAGCUUGUUAUACCAAGCUCUUGGUGAUUGUUUCAGCCCAUAGAUAGCUUUCUUCAGUCUCAACACAUUCCCUUUCUUUACUAAGUGUUCCAAGCCUGGAGGUGGAUGCAUAUACACUUCAUCCUCAAGCUCUCCUUGUAGAAAUGCAUUCUUCACAUCCAUUUGCCAUAAGCCCCAUCCAAGAUUCACAGCCAAGCUUAAUACAAUCCGGAUUGUGUGUAGCUUAGCCACUGGUGCAAAGGUCUCAAUGUAAUCUUCUCCAUACGUUUGAGUAAAGCCUCUUGCAACCAGUCUUGACUUCUUCCUCUCAACUUGACCAUCAGCCUUAUACUUGAUUGUGAAGAUCCAUCUACUAGUCACAGCCUUCUUCCCUUUAGGUAACUCACUCUCAUACCAUGUAUCAUUCUUGAUCAUGGCUCCUGCCUCAGCUCCAACUGAUUCCUUCCACUCCUUGUCUUGUAUUGCCUCUUCAUAGCUUCUUGGGACAUAACCCUCAUCCAGAUUUACCAUAAAUGCGCAAUGUGCUUUAGGAUAUUGAGCAAAGGAGCACACAGCUUGAGAAGGAUGCUCCACUGCUUGGGCAUUGUAGUACACUCUCGUGUUCACCCAAGAGGAAGGAUCCUUCCUCACUCUUGUGCUUCUCCUCAAUUCUGGUUGUUGAACUCUCACUGUUUGCUCUUGAACGUCUGGUUCUUCUUCUACAUCCUCAACUGAUGCUUCUACUUCUCUUUGUUCCUGCUCACCUUGAUUGUGAGAGCCUGAACUCAUCUCCAUUUGUUCCUGAUUCAAGCCGGCUUCAUCACCAUCUCGGCCUAAACUUGUCUCCAUUCCUUCCUCAUUCAAGCCGGCUCCUUCUUGGCCACUUUCUUGAACUUCAGGCUCAUUUCCCCCCUCACGAUCAUGGUGAGAGUCUCCAUGUUGUUCUCUUUGACCAUAGUUCUGAUCCUGGGACAUCUUGAUUCCUAGCCCCUCUAGGAUAAUCCUUAACACCCCAGCCUUAUCUGAGGUGAGAUCCUUCAAGUCUUCCUGAUUCUUCUCAUCAUAAUACCCACGGGAUUCAAUGAACUUUACAUCUCUAGAUGUAAGUACUCUUCUUGUGACAGGAUCAUAACAUCUAUAACCCUUUUGAGUGGUUGAAUAUCCAAUAAACAUGGCUUUGGUGCUUCUCGCUUCAAGCUUGUUGCGCAGCUCUCCUGGAAUCAACACAUAACACAAGCAUCCAAAGACUCUCAAGUAAUCUAGAACCGGCUUGUGUUUGUUCAAUACUUCAAAUGGAGCAUGAUCAUCCAAAACUCUAGUAGGAGUCCUGUUGAUCAGAUAACAUGCUGUGGAGACAGCAUCACUCCAAAACUUCUUGGGAACAUUUGCUUGAAGCAUGAGAGACCUUGCCACUUCCAUUAGAUGCCUGUUCUUUCUCUCAGCCACACCAUUUUGCUGAGGAGUAUAUGGGCAGCUAGUUUGAUGAAGUACUCCAUGUUGAGCUAGGUGCUGCUUGAACGCCAAGCUUGUAUACUCUCCUCCAUUAUCUGAUCUAAAAAUUUUAAUCUUUGCAUGAUAAUGGUUAGUCACAUAAGCUUGAAAGUUUUUAAAUGCAUCAAGUACCCUAUCUUUGGUUUGAAUUAAGGUUAACCAGGUGUAUUUGGAUUUUUCAUCAAUGAAUGUGACAAAGUAUUUAUAAUUAUCCCUUGACAAACAAGGUGCAGUCCACACAUCAGAAUGAAUCAAAUCAAAGCAAUUUUCAUAGACCGUUGAAGAUUUUGGAAACACAUUCUUACAAUGCUUGCCUAAGAUACAUGCUUCACAAUCUUUAUUCUCAUAAAUAACACCUGGUACCAUUAAGUUCAAAGGUUUAGCAUGAGGGUGACCUAGUCUAGCAUGCCACAAUGCAUUCUUAUUUAAACUAGUGACAGAAUCAGAAGCAAAUGUAAAUGAACAACAAUGACUAGGAUCAGAAGCAAUAUCUUCAAGUAAAUAAAGGUCUCCUUUAGUAACUCCUUUCCCAAUCAUCUUGCUGCUCUCAAUAUCCUGAAACUUCACAUCAUUAGGACUGAAUAUAACAUUACAUUGCAAGUCAGUAGUGCAUCUCUUAACUGACAAUAGAUUAGAUGUGAACUCAGGCAUAUAGAAGGCUUUAGAUUCUUUUUCAAACAACUUAAGUUUUCCUAUUCCUUUUAUGGAAAUCUUAUCACCAUUAGCAAUCAUAACAUGUCCAUUUGCAGGUUGAAUGUCCUUAAUCAAUCUAGUGUCACUUAUCAUGUGAUGAGAUGCACCAGAAUCAACUAUUAAUGCUUUAGACAUGUUUCUAGCAAUAUGAGCUUGACAGAGGAUACUAUCUGGUUUAUAUCCAUUUCCUAUACUCUUGAGUGUACUUUCAGUCCUAUCAAGUCUAGGUUCAUUCUCAACACAAUCAGACACACUCUUGAUCAUAGAUGCACCAAAUGAAUAACCAAGGUUGAUACUACUUUUGUUACCGUUUUCCUUGAGCAUCUUGAUGAAGGCGUCCAUGUCUGAGCGCCGGAUGUAGUCAUUGUUGCUUGAACCUCCAGUGUACGCCACCAGUGACUUUCCAUCACCCACCUCACGCACUUCUCCUUCACUUGUCCUGCUUGAGGAGCCAGCACCCAUAGAGCUCUCAGUCAUAUGUGCUCUUGCUUCCUUCUCCUUUAAGAACUUCGCCGGCUUCAAGUGAGGGUGGAGUAUCCAGCAUUGACUCUUCUUGUGUCCAUGCUUCUUGCAGUGAUCACAAUUCCGAUUGAACCUCUUGUCUUCAUACUUGCCAUGAACUGCCUUGUUAGCUUGAGGAGCUUCAGUCUGAUUCACUUGGGACGCAUGAUUUGCCAAUGUGAGUUCUCCUUUGCCUCCAAACAGUCCAAUGGAGCCUUGUUCUUUCUGAAUCUGUGCACACACGUCCUCUAGAUCAGGUAGCUUAUCAGCUCUCAACAUGUGCUUGAUGAGACUGUUGUAGGCCGGGUUUAGUGUGAGAAGCAAGCCGAACACUUUGUCUUGUUCCCGCCUCUCAUUCAACUGAUCUGGAUCAGUUGUACUCGGCCUCAACAUCUCUAGCUCUGACCACAACGCCCUGAAUCUUCCCAAAUGCUUGGUGAACUCCAUGUCUUCUUGUGCAAGAUUGUUGAUGGCUUGCUUUACCUCAAAGACACGGCUCAGGUUCGAAAUGUUCCCAUACACCUUCUUCAAGGUGUCCCACAGCUCCUUGGCUGACUCACAGUAGCUGUAUGCCUCCAAUAUCGCUGGCUCCAACGACCCAUGAAGAACAGACAUCACCACCAUGUCUUCCUGCUGCCACUUCUCUACAGCAUCAACUGAGACCCCCUCUUGGUCUUCUUCCUGAGUAAUGAGCUUUGGAGCUUCACCGGUUGUGAUAUGACUCCACAAGCCCUUACUCCCAAUGGUUGUCUUCACCAGCCGGGACCAAACCAAGUAGUUGCUUCCCUUGAAGGUAAUCGCCACUUUCAUCUUCAUGUUCUCCAUCUUGUCACAGCUUAACUUCAAAAACUUGAGAGGGAUGGAGCUUUGAACGGAUGACUCUUGUAUGAAUGGAUCUUAACUUGUUUAGAACUCGCGCACACACCAAAUGAACACCCUUGAGCUCUGAUCUUCCUUGGAUGGCUUCAAAGCUUCACCUUUGUUCUUCAGUGUAUCAAAAUAAGAACUCAGAUUCUUUGUAACCUGGCUCUGAUACCAUAAGAGUUUUAGAUAAUCUGAGUUUGUAUGUGAAAGAGUAGAAUGAUUUAGGAUGAAUAAGGAGAUGAUUAUGUGAUUAGAUGACUAGUGAGGAAUCAUUAUGAAAGACUAGAGUGAUUAAUUGGAUAGAACUGUCUGAUCUCUUAUUAAUGAGGAGAUUACAUAUUUAUACUUAGAGGACAUAGGGUUUUCGAAAUGGGUUAAGGUAGCUUAAGCAUGUGAAGUCAAAUGGUAAGAGCUGGCCGGUUUUGAAUCCGUCCAAUAGGGGCCAUCACACGUUUGAUCCCUUUAGCAUCUUGGAUCAGAUGCCAAACACCUUUACAGCCUGUCCCAGCUGUAAAGCCGCGCCUCCUCUUAUCCAUAAACGGUCAUCUCCCUUCUUUGGCCGUGACCUUCCCUUUGCAUAAGUGUCUUUGGCCUUUCCCUCCUUCUUGUUGUUCAAUCUCUUAUUUACCGUGGUAACUCCAAAUGGUACGGACAUGGUAACUCCGUACACUUCACCCUGAACUUCAUCUCCUCAUCCCUUUCAUUACCCAAGCCUCUCUAAGCCUUCAUCUCAACUCCUCAUCUCAACACUUUUCCAAUCAAUUGGCUGCUCUCAAUAUCCUGAAACUUCACCUCAUUAGGACUGAAUAUAACAUUGCAAUUAAGGUCUGUAGUACACUUCUUUACAGAUAAUAGAUUUGAUGUGAAGUCAGGCAUAUAAAAUGCUUUAGAGUCUUUAUCAAACAAUUUUAGCUUGCCAAUUCCUCUAAUUGGGAUUUUAUCUCCAUUUGCAAUCAUGACAUGUCCAUUUGUAGGUUCAAUGUCUCUAAUCAAACUAGUAUCACUAAUCAUAUGAUGAGAUGCUCCUGAAUCAACUACCAAUGGUUUAAACAGAUUGUGUGCAAUAUGAGACUGUCCUAGUAUGCUAGUAGGUUUAUAAACAAUGCUUGAAUGAUCAGGUUCUCUAGCAAUACUACACGAUUCAUAUAGUGCACCAAAGGAGUAACCAAGAGUACCAAGUGUGUUACCAUUCUCCUUUAGCAUUUUGAUGAGGGAGUCAAGGUCUGAUCUCCUUAGGUACUCGUUCUCACGGUUGUUCUGAAGGCUCGGCUGAGGUGUGUAAGUCACCAGGGCCUUGCUAUCUCCAGGCUCACGUGUCCCGCCCUCUCCAGCUUGGCCUGAGCUUCCAGCCACACUUGAACUUCCCGGCUCACUUCCAGCAUACGAGACAUUGGCUCUCCCAUCUUUCUCUCUUGAGAACUUGGCCGGCUUCAGAUGAGGAUGUAAGAUCCAGCACUGGUUCUUCUUGUGACCUUGUCUCUUGCAAUGAUCACAAUUUCCCAUGAACUUCUUUGCAUCAUACUGGUUAGAGCUCGCACGGUUUGCUUGCGGAACCUCAGCUUGGUUUGCAAGUGUGAUCUCUCCUUUCCCUCCAAAGAGACCGAUAGAACCUUCCUCCUUCUGAACUUGUGCACACACUUCCUCAAGGUCAGGUAACUUCCCGGACCUCAGAAUGUGUUUGAUGAGACUGUUGUAGCUUGGAUUCAGCGUGAGCAGCAACCCAAACACCUUGUCCUGCUCGCGUCUCUCAGCCAGCUCAUCUAGGUUGGUUGUGCCUGGCCUCAGCAUCUCCAGUUCAGACCACAAGGCUCUGAACCUCCCAAGGUGCUUAGUAAACUCCAUGUCCUCCUGUGUCAAGCUGUUGAUAGCACGUUUCACUUCAAACACACGGCUCAAGUUUGAGAUGUUACCAUAAACCUUCUUUAGCGUGUCCCAAAGAUCCUUUGCUGUCUCACAGUAGCUGUAUGCCUCCAGGAUAGACACUUCAAGAGACCGUUGGAGUAUAGACAUCACCAGCUGAUCAUCUUGCUCCCACUUCUCUUCAUCGCACUCGACAAUCUCCUUGUCGCCUUCAUAAGUAAUGAGCUUUGGGGCUUCACUCUGUGUGAUGUGUCCCCAUAAACCCUUACUCCCCACUGCUGUCUUCACCAAACGAGACCACAAAAGGUAGUUACCCCCCUUGAGAGUAACCGGAACCACUGCCUUGUUGCUUUCCAUUUCAGAAUCACCCGGAUGAAAGCUAAGUGGCUAGUGUGUUCUUGAGUGUUCUAGUACUCAAACCCAGAUUAUGAUGAACCUGGCUCUGAUACCAUAUAAGUUUUAGAGAAUCUGAGUUUGAUAUAAGGAAAGAAAGAGAUUAGAAAGAGUCUAGAGGUGAUUUAGAACGAGUUUAGCUAAGAGUUUAGUGUAUGAUCAUGAUUGAGAGCCUUUGAGUCUAAGAGAGUGUUUUGGUGUCAAGAACUGUCUAAUCUUUUAUUAAGAGCAUGAGUUACAAUAUAUAGUGUGAGCAUACAAGGGUUUUCGAAAUCCAGAGAAGACUAAAGCAUGUGAAGUCAAUGUGGAAAGGAUAAGCUCAUUUGAACUAGCCAAUUAGCUUCUCCACAUGCGCGGAGUAUCUAGCAUCUUGGACCGAGAUGCUCUUGCCUUUCCAGCUGUUCCAGCCUGUCAAGGCGCGCUCUUCCUUAUCCCUCAACGGUCUGAUCUAUCCAGGUAAGUUCCUUCCCUUCCCAUAAGUUACCCCAAGUAACUUCUUUACUCUUGUCAAUGUUUUACUCAUCUCCAUGUGUACGGAUGGUACGGUCAUGUACGGACAGUACGGACCUUACCCAAACCUUCCCAAGAUUCAACUCAUCUCCUUAGUCUCAACUCCUCACUUGCUCCACAUAUACUCAACUCAUCCCAACAUCUCCCCCUUUCACCUAACUUCUUGUUAGGUUGAAGUGUUUGGACACACCAGAUCUUCCUUGAUAGAUACAAGUACUCCCUUGUUUAGAUGGUGAGGAGUGGCUGCUCUUCACUAGCCACUUGAAUCCCUCACUUCUGAAACUCCAUCUGAUCAGUGAAGCCACUUCAACACUCCCCCUCAAGCUUGAGACCUCUUGCAAGGAUCAAGCUUGGACAGCAAGAAGGCUUCAUGAUCUGGACUGAACAAACCAUUGCAACCUCUCUUCAUAACUUGCCACCCUUUAUGGACUGCUGGUAGAUACCUCAGUUCCCUCUUCAAUCACCUCACGCUAGAGGCCGCAUUGAUAGAGUAACCUUCUUCAUACACAGCCAAGACUGCUCUGAACAAUCUCUUGAGUAGACACGCUACUGCCUAAACCCGGGUUGGCUCCUUCUUCGGAAGCUUGCAAUGGUAAGGAGGAAACAGGUCACUGAGCUUCGAGAAUCUUCUGGUAGCUCACUUGAAUCCCCACCUCAAGCUUGACUGAGUCUAGGUUCAAGCUUGAAGUGAGCCUCAAUGAGACUCCAAACCGGGAGCGCAUCACUUCCUACAGCUGCGCUUAAGUCAACCGAUCUCCCAUUUCCUUCAGCUCCAAUGCCUUCAGGUCACCGGUCUCCUCAAGACUUAGGUGAUGACCUUUCCUUGUGUGUCUCCAUGAACCAGGAGCGCAUCACUAUCACUAGCUGCGCUUCUCAGCCGGCCAUACACACAAGCCACUCUCCAUUGCUUCAACAAUGGGCAAAGUCUUCCUCUUCUACUUGGAUGGAUGGUGAGCAAAGAACACUUCUUGUGAACCUGAAACAAAGGUAUUGGUAUCAAAGGUAUUGGUAUCAAUCCUUGACACAUCAUCAAGGUUGAUCACCAAUAUCACAAGCAUUGCAACAGAUUAUACAAGACACUUUCAAGUUCUAAUCUUUGCAAGCAAACUCUCUAAGCACAAGCACUUUCUUUUCCAGAUUUAUGCAAGCUACUUAGGCAUUUUUAACUUCUGCCUUAACUGCAUCUUAGACUUGAAUCAAAGUGCAUCAACCUAAGGCAGCAACAACACUCUACACUCCACUUUAAGCUCGGUUUCAAUUCAUGAAAGUAGUCAGGUUUAGACAAUACUACUAACUCCCUAACAGACAUUCAUUAUGAACCAGAUUCAAGCAACAAUUCUCAGUCACCAACCAACUCUUUUUAAGCAUCCUGGGACAGAUUCUAAACAUUUCAUAUCUAGCAAUCUUUAAACACAUCCUCAGGUUUUCACUCACAUCACAACAUCACAACCUGUUUAAUACAUCAUUCAGUUCACAUACACAAGCUUUAAACAAGAGAAAGAGGUUUCUUACAGCCAAGGAACUAGUGUUAGUUCCUUGAAACUCCAUAGAACAUGGCAAGACAGUGAGCUGUUGGUGUCGACCCCAACUUCUCCUUCUUCCAAGGACCUUUCUCUUGAACUCUCCAUGUCAAAGACCCCACCUUUCUUCAUGUUACACUCGCCACACCAGUACCAGAUGAAAGCUAUCACCUUUCUUCUUGGACAGUGAAUAAGAAACAGCUUGUACAAAGCUUUGAAGCUUGGUUGAUCAGACCACUUCCUGCCUUGUUUCCAAGAGCCUUCUUUCUUCAUGGGCGUCAUGAGAGGGUGAGAAACGACCACAUACAGCUUCUGGACACCAGGGAUGAACCCAUCUUCCACUUGAGAUGUUGAACAGCCGGCUGGAUCAUCUAAGCUUGGUCUUGGUUUCAAAACGACAUGAGAGGAGCUUGUGAGCUUUUGCGGAACCUAAGAACCAGAUCAGAUGAACCUGGCUCUGAUACCAUGUGAGAUUUUCAGAGAUCUCAGGCUGUGUGAAUUGUAUUUACUCAAAGAUCUUGCUCCUGUUUCUAGUUAUAGCUGCUCGUUUACUUCUGUUUCUGGUUCUAGUUUAAGUAAAAAUGCAUUGUGGCAUGCUAGAUUAGGACACCCUCAUUGUGAGAUUUUCAGAGAUCUCAGGCUGUGUGUUUGUGUGAAACCCAAUAGGGCAGAGAGAGAGUUUGAUUUAGGUGAUUUAGAGAGAGAUAGAUUAGUGGCAGUGUUUAUGAGUGAUUAAGUGUUUACUCAGAUCAGAAACAAAAGACUUUGAGAGAUUAGGAGAUUAGAGACUAAGAAAGGGAGAGAUUAAGGGAUUCUGAUCCAAGAACACUUUUCUAUUAUGAAGGAGAAGGGGAAAUCCCCCUAACUCUCUUAAGAGUUACAAAUUGCCUCAUACAUCUCUUUAUAUAGGCUUUUACAAUCUGAGACAUCUUAAACCUAUAUCUAAUGGCUGUAAAUAACUUAAGAGGAAUGGAUGGUGUAGAUGAGCUGGUCUUGUUGCAAUCUGAGUAGUUGCUGCUGAUUGGUUAAGAGGAGGUGAAGCCUGAUUGGUUUAAUUCAAAAUGGGGAAGGCUGGAUGAUGAUUGGCUCUCCUUAGGCUCCUCCUAAUCUGUCCACAGAUCAGUCUAGGUUCAUGGUCGUGGCUCUCCUUGUCUUUACAGCCAAGGCCAGCCUGUCCCAUGACUAAAGUAGCCAAUCACACUGCAAUGGCAUCUUCUUGAUUCUCCUUUGAUGCCAUCUGAUCAGAACCUUAUCCACAAGGCUAGGACCACUUUUAUAACUCCCAAACCUUGCCCAGACAUUGCACAAGCUUUCCCGGGACGUCAGCCUCACCCUAUUUUUGCACCAACUCUAAAACUUCUCAAAUGGCCGAGUUAUGCAAAUCUGGGUCGCCCUGGUCCGUACGGAUCCGUACUGUCCGUACACGUCCGUACUGCCUCGCCCUAUCUUUGAACACUCGCCCAUUUGCUCCCAAAUACACUUCUAAGUCUCUCCUAGACUUGGCCCUAACUUUGCACAUCCAUCAGGACACUUCUGGACACCUUGCCCUAUCUUUUGCACAAGCCCCAACUCAACUCAACACCUUUAGUUUCUCCAUUUCUUCUCUUCAAGUUAACACUCCCCCUCAAGCUUGACUUUAGUUGAUCCUAAGUCAAGCUUGGAACCUUGAAGAACUUCCUCAUUAAAAACCUCACCAAGGAAAACCCUUUGGGACAAAACCUUGAUGAGGGAAAAAGAGUAAAGUCUCCAAGGCCUAGGGAUUGGCCAGUGAGUCUUUGUGCCUUACCAACAAUGUAAGGGACACAAAGACUCUGGAUCAUGGCCCUCAUGUGAUGCAAGAUAGAACCCACUCUUCUUGCUCAUCAUCAACACUUCUUGUACUCUUCUUCAGACAGAUCUUGGUCUCUCCCCCUUUCACCUAACUUCUUGUUAGGUUGAAGUGUUUGGACACACCAGAUAUUCCUUGAUAGAUACAAGUACUCCCUUGUUUAGAUGGUGAGGAGUGGCUGCUCUUCACUAGCCACUUGAAUCCCUCACUUCUGAAGCUCCAUCUGAUCAGUGAAGCCACUUCAACACUCAUAAUAAGGCUUUAAAACUGAUGUUGCCAGGUGUUUCCUUUGAGAAUAAUGAGUGUGAAGCUUGCAUCUUGGGCAAGCAUUGUAGAACUGUCUAAUGNNNNNNNNNNNNNNNNNNGGCAAGCAUUGUAGAACUGUCUUUACCAAGUCUACUACUGUUUAUGAAAAAUGUUUUGAUCUUAUUCAUUCUGAUGUUUGGACUGCACCUUGCCUUUCCAGAGAUAAUCAUAAGUACUAUGUAACUUUCAUUGAUGAAAAAUCCAAAUACACCUGGUUAACUUUAAUUCCAACCAAAGAUAGGGUACUUGAUGCAUUUAAAAAUUUUCAAGCCUAUGUGACUAACCAUUACAAUGCCAAGAUAAAAAUUUUUAGGUCAGAUAAUGGAGGAGAGUACACGGGACAAGCAUUCAAGCUACAUCUAUCUCAACAUGGAAUACUUCAUCAGACAAGCUGUCCCUAUACACCACAACAGAAUGGUGUGGCUGAAAGGAAGAACAGGCACUUGAUGGAAGUAGCCAGGUCCAUGAUGUUUCAAUCCAAUGUGCCUUAGAAGUUUUGGAGUGAUGCAGUUGCUACGGCUUGUUAUCUCAUCAACAGGACACCAACUCUGAUCCUUCAAGGACAAUCACCAUUUGAGGUAUUGAAUCAGUACAAACCUUCACUCGAGCAUAUGAAGAUCUUUGGAUGUUUGUGUUUUGUGAUGGUGCCUGGAGAGAUAAGAAACAAGCUAGAAGCUAAUAGUUCAAAGGCAAUGUUCAUUGGAUACUCAUCAAGUCAGAAAGGAUACAAGUGCUAUGAUCCUAACACAAGGAGAGUGUUAGUAUCUAGAGAAGUGAAGUUUGUGGAAGAAAAAGGAUAUUAUGAGGAGCAGAUUCAAGAAGAUUUGAAAGAUCUCACUUCAGAUAGAGCUGCAACCUUGAGGAUAAUACUAGAAGGACUUGGAAUCAAUAUGGAUCAAGAACAGCAAGAAGUAAGAGGCACUACACCAAUACCGAAUCAUCAGACGUCCAACCUUGAACAUGAGGGGGGGAAUGGAACAGAAACUCAAACUCAAAGUCAUGAAGAGAGUUCUGGUUCUCAUGAUCAAGCUGUGGAGUCAAAUGAUCAACAAGAAGGAGCUGAAGCAAGUCAGCUAAGGGAUGAAGGAGCUGAAGCAAGUCAGCCAAGAGAAGAAAGUACACAAGAAGGUGUACAAGACAUGGAGUUACCGGCACAAGAAGGGCCAGUGUUGAGAAGAAGUACAAGGCUGAGAAAGGAUCCUUCCAGUUGGGUAAACACGAGAGUGUACUACAAUGCUCAAGCUGUGAAGCAUCCUACUCAGGCCGUGUGCUCUUUCUCUCAAUAUCCAGAAGCACAUGGUGCAUUCAUGGUAAACUUAGAUGAGAAUCACAUUCCAAGAAGCUAUGAAGAGGCAAUGGAGGAUAAGGAAUGGAAGGAAUCAGUAGGAGCUGAGGCAGGAGCUAUGAUAAAGAAUGAUACAUGGUUUGAAAGUGAACUACCAAAAGGGAAGAAGGCAGUAUCUAGUAAAUGGAUCUUCACAAUCAAAUACAAAGCUGAUGGACAGAUUGAGAGGAAGAAGACUAGAUUAGUAGCAAGAGGGUUCACUCAAACAUAUGGAGAGGAUUACAUUGAGACAUUUGCACCAGUAGCCAAGUUACACACCAUUAGAAUUGUACUAAGCUUGGCAGUUAACCUUGGAUGGGGAUUGUGGCAAAUGGAUGUGAAGAAUGCAUUCUUACAAGGAGAACUUGAGGAUGAAGUCUACAUGUAUCCUCCACCAGGUCUUGAACAUCUAGUGAAGAGAGGGAAUGUACUGAGGCUAAAGAAGGCUAUCUAUGGGUUGAAGCAAUCACCAAGGGCAUGGUACAACAAGUUGAGCACAACUCUAAACAGCCGAGGUUUUAAGAAGUCUGAAUUGGACCAUACUCUCUUUACCCUCACUACUCCCUCAGGUAUGGUUGCUCUCCUUGUGUAUGUGGAUGAUAUCAUUAUCACAGGAAGUGAUAAGGAAGGUAUCAAAGCAACCAAGGAGUUUCUAAAGUCUAUGUUUGAAAUAAAAGACUUGGGAGAAAUGAAAUACUUUCUUGGAAUUGAGAUUUGUAGAUCCAAGGAAGGUUUGUUCAUGUCCCAAAGGAAGUAUACACUUGAUCUUUUGAAAGGUGCAGGUGCUUAUGGAGGCAAGACAGCAAGGAUGCCAAUGGAAGAUGGCUACAAAGUACCAAGAGAGGGGGAGAUUGAAGACAGCAAGCCAUUUCAUGAUCCUAAACUCUAUAGAAAACUUGUUGGCAAAUUGAUUUAUCUAACCAUCACAAGACCUGAUAUAUGCUUUGCUGUGAAUCAGGUGAGUCAACACAUGCAGCUUCCCAAGGAACAUCAUUGGCGUAUGGUGGAGAGGCUGCUGAUGUAUCUAAAUGGCUCGCCGGAUCAAGGUGUAUGGAUGGGGUGCAAUGGAAGCACAGAAGUGGUGGGCUAUUGUGAUGCUGAUUGGGCAGGUGAUAGAGCUGACAGAAGAUCAACAACCGGCUAUUGCACAUUCAUUGGAGGCAACUUGGUGACUUGGAAGAGUAAGAAACAGAAGGUGGUGUCAUGCUCUAGUGCAGAAGCUGAAUAUAGAGCCAUGCUGAAGCUUACAAACGAGCUAGUUUGGAUCAAGGGCAUCUUGAAGCAUUUGGAGAUAGCACAAGACACUCCAAUGACAAUGCAUUGUGACAACCAGGCCGCCAUUCACAUAGCCUCCAACUCGGUGUUCCAUGAGAGAACAAAGCACAUUGAGGUUGAUUGCCACAAGGUGAGGCAGAUGAUUGUCCUAGGAGUCAUCUUGCCAUGUUAUACUAGGAGUGAAGAUCAGUUGGCUGAUGUAUUCACCAAGGCUGCAAGGCAAAAGACAAUGGAGUCCAUUCAUAUCAGAUUGGGCCUCAUUGAUCUUGGGAAGAGAAGCAGCUGAUCCCCUUAGUCAUGAGAUCUUUACUCUUUUUCCCUCAUUAAGGUUUUGUCCCAAUGGGUUUUCCUUAGUGAGGUUUUUAAUGAGGAAGAUCUCAUGGCUGUCCAAGCUUAGUCUUUCACAAAGCUAAGCUUGAGGGGGAGUGUUGAGAUGAAGAGUGUCAAGUGAAGAAUGGAGAUGAGGGUUGAGUAGAAUGAAGAAGAGGAAGGAUAGGAAGGUUUGGGAGCUUUGGGAUCAGCCUGUCCGUACAAGGCCGUACAUGGCCGUACAUGACAGGACAGGCCGUACAAGAUAGGAUCGACCAAAGCUCAACCAAACCUCACCAUAAGUUAUCCAAGUUACUUAAGUAAAGAGGAGAAGUUACCUUGGCCUUUGUGAGUGGAUCAGACCGUUGGAAAGGAUAAGGGAGAGUCUUGGACAGGCUGGCACAGCUGGACACGGAAAAGCAAAAGGUUGAGCCAGCUAAUGAAGGCUCACACGCGCGGCUCACCUCAUUGGACAAGUUUGAAAUGGCCAUUGACUCCACAUGCUUACCUUAUCCUCUUAAGCUACGAAAACCCUAGUCUCUUCUCUUAUAAAGUUGUAAACACUCUCAUUAAUAGAAUCAAGAAAGUUUUGAGUCUUUCUCUUAGUCUUUAAUCUCAAUGGUUCCAUAUUAGACUCAUAAUCUCAUUUCAUACUCUAAUCUUCUCUAAAUCGAUUCUAGUCUUUCCUAAACACUCAGAUUACUCUAAACAUUACUAAAAAUCUCAGUAAGAAGCCUGAUUUGGAUACAUAAAGUGGUGGAGAAUCACCAGGAAGUUGAAUAAAUCUCAUAGGAGUUGGCAUGAAGAAGUUAUCCCACUUUCAAAUCAGUUGAUUCCAGUUUCCCAGUUUGGUAAUAGAACAGCUUCGUCGUCGUUCCAAUCAAACCACGAUGAAUCUCUCGGUAAGAAGCUUGAUUUGGAUACAUAAAGUGGUGGAGAAUCACCAGGAAGUUGAAUAAAUCUCAUAGGAGUUGGGAUGAAGAAGUUAUCCCACUUUCAAAUCAGGUGAUUCCAGUUUCCCAGUUUGGGAAUAGCACAGCUUCUUCGUCGUUCCAAUCAAACUAGGAUGAAUCUCUUUGUAAGUGUUGAGAUGAAGAGUGUCAAGUGAAGAAUGGAGAUGAGGGUUGAGUAGAAUGAAGAAGAGGAAGGAUAGGAAGGUUUGGGAGCUUUGGGAUCAGCCUGUCCGUACAAGGCCGUACAAGAUAGGAUCGACCAAAGCUCAACCAAACCUCACCAUAAGUUAUCCAAGUUACUUAAGUAAAGAGGAGAAGUUACCUUGGCCUUUGUGAGUGGAUCAGACCGUUGGAAAGGAUAAGGGAGAGUCUUGGACAGGCUGGCACAGCUGGACAUGGAAAAGCAAAAGGUUGAGCCAGCUAAUGAAGGCUCACACGCGCGGCUCACCUCAUUGGACAAGUUUGAAAUGGCCAUUGACUCCACAUGCUUACCUUAUCCUCUUAAGCUACGAAAACCCUAGUCUCUUCUCUUAUAAAGUUGUAAACACUCUCAUUAAUAGAAUCAAGAAAGUUUUGAGUCUUUCUCUUAGUCUUUAAUCUCAAUGGUUCCAUAUUAGACUCAUAAUCUCAUUUCAUACUCUAAUCUUCUCUAAAUCGAUUCUAGUCUUUCCUAAACACUCAGAUUACUCUAAACAUUACUAAAAAUCUCAUGGUAUCAGAGCCAGGUUCGUGAAAACCUGAGUUCGUGUUAGGCUCUUUGGAGAUUCAAGAUUGAAGCUUUAAAGAGUUUGGUUGGUGUUCUUGUGUUCUUGGGAAGUUCCGGGUAUUGUCCGAGUUCAAAGACUAGUUCUUAGUGUGUUGCUAAAGCUGUGAGGUUGAAGACCGAGGCAGUGAGUGUUCUUACAAGUCUCUUAACCCAAGAUCCAGUUUGUGAAGUCUAGAGAAGUCAUCGUUCAUCAUGGAAAGUGGUAUGAACAUGAACAUGAAGGUAGCGGUUUGCUUCAAAGGAACCAACUACUUGGUGUGGUCUCGGAUGGUGAGAACCACAGUGGGAAGCAAAGGGCUUUGGAAGCACAUCACGCCAGGAGAAGCUCCAAAGCUCAUCACCCAAGGAGAAACUGAAGGAGAAGCCGCAAGCAAAGCGGAAGAGAAGUGGCAUCAGGAGGACAUGUUGGUGAUGUCAGUGCUGCAUGCUUCACUUGAGCCGGCGAUUCUAGAUGCAUACAGCUACUGUGAAUCAGCUAAAAAGCUGUGGGAUACGUUGAAGAAGGUGUAUGGGAAUACAUCAAACCUAAGCCGUGUGUUUGAAGUGAAGCAGGCUAUAAACAACUUGGUACAAGAGGAUAUGGAGUUCACCAAGCAUCUAGGGAGGUUCAGAACACUCUGGUCCGAGCUGGAGAUGUUGAGGCCAAGUACUACAGAUGCAGAUGAGCUCAACAAAAGAAGAGAGCAAGAUAAGGUCUUUGGGCUACUCCUCACCAUGAAUCCGGCUUACAAUGGUCUUAUCCAACACUUGCUUAGAGAGGACACACUACCUGAUCUUGAAGAAGUGUGCGCAAGGAUUCAGAAGGAACAAGGCUCUAUUGGAUUGUUUGGAAAGAAAGGAGAGCUAUCUCUCGUGAAUCAAGCAACUCAAGAGGAGGGAGGGGAAGCUCCACAAGCACACAAGGCUGCGCAUGGGAAGUAUGAUGAGAGGAGGUUCAAUGGGAACUGUGAUCACUGCAAGAAGCAUGGCCACAAGAAGAGCCAAUGCUGGAUACUCCAUCCCCAUCUCAAGCCAGCAAAGUUUAUGAAGGACAGAGAGGCAAGGGCUAAUGUCUCAGAUGGAGCAAGCGCAAGUGGAGCAGGUACUAGCAAAGGGAAGGAGAUAGAUGGGCGUGAAACAGGUGAUGGGAGGUCUCUUGUAGCCUACACUGGAGCCCCAAGCAACCGUGGGAACUAUGAUCAAGAGUAUCUAAGGAAAUCCGACCUGGAUGCUCUCAUUAAGCUCUUCAAGGAGCAUGGUAACAUUUUUGGGUAUUCCUUUGGGGCUAGGGCUAUAGGGAAUGAUGAGAAUUCAACUAGAAUUGAUAGGAUGCAUGAAAGUGUGAUAGAGAUAAUCAACCAAUCUAGAACGGCUAGUCUUGCUAGGAAUGAUCAUGCAUUCAAACCAUCUAGUAUCCUUGCUCAUAUUGCUAGUUCACAUGCCAUUAAGCCUUUAGUAGUUGAUUCUGGUGCAUCUCAUCAUAUGAUAAGUGACACUAGUUUGAUUAAAAACAUUGUACCAAUGAAUGGAAAUGUGAUGAUAGCUAAUGGAGAUAAGAUACCUAUUAGAGGAAUAGGAAGUCUUAAACUGUUUGAUAAGGAAACUAAAGCUUUUUAUAUGCCUGAAUUUACUUCAAACUUGUUAUCUGUUAAGAAAUGUGCUACUGAUUUGCAAUGUAAUGUCAUAUUCAGUCCUAAUGAUGUGAAGUUUCAGGAUAUUAAAAGCAGCAAAAUGAUUGGAAAGGGAGUGACUAAAGGAGAAUUGUAUUUACUUGAAGAUCUUGCUCCUGUUUCUAGUUAUAGCUGCUCGUUUAUGUCUGUUUCCGGUUCUAGUUUAAGUAAAAAUGCAUUGUGGCAUGCUAGAUUAGGACACCCUCAUAAUAAGGCUUUAAAACUGAUGUUGCCAGGUGUUUCCUUUGAGAAUAAUGAUUGUGAAGCUUGUAUUUUAGGCAAGCAUUGUAAGACUGUCUUUACUAAAUCUACUACGGUUUAUGAGAAGUGUUUUGAUUUGAUUCAUUCUGAUGUUUGGACUGCUCCUUGCUUAUCUAGAGACAAUCAAAAGUAUUAUGUAACCUUCAUUGAUGAAAAAUCCAAAUACACCUAGUUAACCUUAAUUCCAACCAAAGAUAGGGUACUUGAUGCAUUUAAGAACUUUCAAUCAUAUGUGACUAACCAUUAUAAUACCAAGAUAAAGAUUUUCAGGUCAGAUAAUGGAGGAGAGUACACGGGACAAGCAUUCAAGCUUCACCUAUCUCAGCAUGGAAUCCUACAUCAGACAAGCUGUCCCUAUACCCCACAACAGAAUGGUGUGGCUGAGAGAAAGAAUAGGCAUCUGAUGGAAGUGGCCAGGUCCAUGAUGUUUCAAACCAAUGUACCCAAGAGGUUCUGGAGUGAUGCAGUCACUACAGCUUGUUAUCUCAUCAACAGAACACCAACUCUGAUCCUGCAAGGGUUAUCACCAUUUGAGGUAUUGAACCGAUACAAGCCCUCAUUGGAACAUAUGAAGAUCUUUCGGUGUUUGUGUUUUGUGAUGGUACCGGGAGAAUUAAGAAACAAGCUUGAAGCUAGGAGCUCCAAGGCAAUGUUUGUUGGAUACUCAUCAAGUCAGAAAGGAUACAAGUGCUAUGAUCCUAACACAAGGAGAGUGUUAGUAUCUAGAGAAGUGAAGUUUGUGGAAGAAAAAGGAUAUUAUGAGGAGCAGAUUCAAGAAGAUUUGAAAGAUCUCACUUCAGAUAGAGCUGCAACCUUGAGGAUAAUACUAGAAGGACUUGGAAUCAAUAUGGAUCAAGAACAGCAAGAAGUAAGAGGCACUACACCAAUACCGAAUCAUCAGACGUCCAAUCUUGAACAUGAGGGGGGGAAUGGAACAGAAACUCAAACUCAAAGUCAUGAAGAGAGUUCUGGUUCUCAUGAUCAAGCUGUGGAGUCAAAUGAUCAACAAGAAGGAGCUGAAGCAAGUCAGCUAAGGGAUGAAGGAGCUGAAGCAAGUCAGCCAAGAGAAGAAAGUACACAAGAAGGUGUACAAGACAUGGAGUUACCGGCACAAGAAGGGCCAGUGUUGAGAAGAAGUACAAGGCUGAGAAAGGAUCCUUCCAGUUGGGUAAACACGAGAGUGUACUACAAUGCUCAAGCUGUGAAGCAUCCUACUCAGGCCGUGUGCUCUUUCUCUCAAUAUCCAGAAGCACAUGGUGCAUUCAUGGUAAACUUAGAUGAGAAUCACAUUCCAAGAAGCUAUGAAGAGGCAAUGGAGGAUAAGGAAUGGAAGGAAUCAGUAGGGGCUGAGGCAGGAGCUAUGAUAAAGAAUGAUACAUGGUUUGAAAGUGAACUACCAAAAGGGAAGAAGGCAGUAUCUAGUAAAUGGAUCUUCACAAUCAAAUACAAAGCUGAUGGACAGAUUGAGAGGAAGAAGACUAGAUUAGUAGCAAGAGGGUUCACUCAAACAUAUGGAUAGGAUUACAUUGAGACAUUUGCACCAGUAGCCAAGUUACACACCAUUAGAAUUGUACUAAGCUUGGCGGUUAACCUUGGAUGGGGAUUGUGGCAAAUGGAUGUGAAGAAUGCAUUCUUACAAGGAGAACUUGAGGAUGAAGUCUACAUGUAUCCUCCACCAGGUCUUGAACAUCUAGUGAAGAGAGGGAAUGUACUGAGGCUAAAGAAGGCUAUCUAUGGGUUGAAGCAAUCACCAAGAGCAUGGUACAACAAGUUGAGCACAACUCUGAACAGCCGAGGUUUUAAGAAGUCUGAAUUGGACCAUACUCUCUUUACAUUCACUACUCCCUCAGGUAUGGUUGCUCUCCUUGUGUAUGUGGAUGAUAUCAUUAUCACAGGAAGUGAUAAGGAAGGUAUCAAAGCAACCAAGGAGUUUCUAAAGUCUAUGUUUGAAAUAAAAGACUUGGGAGAAAUGAAAUACUUUCUUGGAAUUGAGAUUUGUAGAUCCAAGGAAGGUUUGUUCAUGUCCCAAAGGAAGUAUACACUUGAUCUUUUGAAAGGUGCAGGUGCUUAUGGAGGCAAGACAGCAAGGAUGCCAAUGGAAGAUGGCUACAAAGUACCAAGAGAGGGGGAGAUUGAAGACAGCAAGCCAUUUCAUGAUCCUAAACUCUAUAGAAAACUUGUUGGCAAAAGUAUUUAUCUAACCAUCACAAGACCUGAUAUAUGCUUUGCUGUGAAUCAGGUGAGUCAACACAUGCAGCUUCCCAAGGAACAUCAUUGGCGUAUGGUGGAGAGGCUGCUGAUGUAUCUAAAUGGCUCGCCGGAUCAAGGUGUAUGGAUGGGGUGCAAUGGAAGCACAGAAGUGGUGGGCUAUUGUGAUGCUGAUUGGGCAGGUGAUAGAGCUGACAGAAGAUCAACAACCGGCUAUUGCACAUUCAUUGGAGGCAACUUGGUGACUUGGAAGAGUAAGAAACAGAAGGUGGUGUCAUGCUCUAGUGCAGAAGCUGAAUAUAGAGCCAUGCUGAAGCUUACAAACGAGCUAGUUUGGAUCAAGGGCAUCUUGAAGCAUUUGGAGAUAGCACAAGACACUCCAAUGACAAUGCAUUGUGACAACCAGGCCGCCAUUCACAUAGCCUCCAACUCGGUGUUCCAUGAGAGAACAAAGCACAUUGAGGUUGAUUGCCACAAGGUGAGGCAGAUGAUUGUCCUAGGAGUCAUCUUGCCAUGUUAUACUAGGAGUGAAGAUCAGUUGGCUGAUGUAUUCACCAAGGCUGCAAGGCAAAAGACAAUGGAGUCCAUUCAUAUCAGAUUGGGCCUCAUUGAUCUUGGGAAGAGAAGCAGCUGAUCCCCUUAGUCAUGAGAUCUUUACUCUUUUUCCCUCAUUAAGGUUUUGUCCCAAUGGGUUUUCCUUAGUGAGGUUUUUAAUGAGGAAGAUCUCAUGGCUGUCCAAGCUUAGUCUUUCACAAAGCUAAGCUUGAGGGGGAGUGUUGAGAUGAAGAGUGUCAAGUGAAGAAUGGAGAUGAGGGUUGAGUAGAAUGAAGAAGAGGAAGGAUAGGAAGGUUUGGGAGCUUUGGGAUCAGCCUGUCCGUACAAGGCCGUACAUGGCCGUACAUGACAGGACAGGCCGUACAAGAUAGGAUCGACCAAAGCUCAACCAAACCUCACCAUAAGUUAUCCAAGUUACUUAAGUAAAGAGGAGAAGUUACCUUGGCCUUUGUGAGUGGAUCAGACCGUUGGAAAGGAUAAGGGAGAGUCUUGGACAGGCUGGCACAGCUGGACACGGAAAACCAAAAGGUUGAGCCAGCUAAUGAAGGCUCACACGCGCGGCUCACCUCAUUGGACAAGUUUGAAAUGGCCAUUGACUCCACAUGCUUACCUUAUCCUCUUAAGCUACGAAAACCCUAGUCUCUUCUCUUAUAAAGUUGUAAACACUCUCAUUAAUAGAAUCAAGAAAGUUUUGAGUCUUUCUCUUAGUCUUUAAUCUCAAUGGUUCCAUAUUAGACUCAUAAUCUCAUUUCAUACUCUAAUCUUCUCUAAAUCGAUUCUAGUCUUUCCUAAACACUCAGAUUACUCUAAACAUUACUAAAAAUCUCAUGGUAUCAGAGCCAGGUUCGUGAAAACCUGAGUUCGUGUUAGGCUCUUUGGAGAUUCAAGAUUGAAGCUUUAAAGAGUUUGGUUGGUGUUCUUGUGUUCUUCGGAAGUUCCGGGUAUUGUCCGAGUUCAAAGACUAGGUCUUAGUGUGUUGCUAAAGCUGUGAGGUUGAAGACCGAGGCAGUGAGUGUUCUUACAAGUCUCUUAACCCAAGAUCCAGUUUGUGAAGUCUAGAGAAGUCAUCGUUCAUCAUGGAAAGUGGUAUGAACAUGAACAUGAAGGUAGCGGUUUGCUUCAAGGGAACCAACUACUUGGUGUGGUCUCGGAUGGUGAGAACCACAGUGGGAAGCAAAGGGCUUUGGAAGCACAUCACGCCAGGAGAAGCUCCAAAGCUCAUCACCCAAGGAGAAACUGAAGGAGAAGCCGCAAGCAAAGCGGAAGAGAAGUGGCAUCAGGAGGACAUGUUGGUGAUGUCAGUGCUGCAUGCUUCACUUGAGCCGGCGAUUCUAGAUGCAUACAGCUACUGUGAAUCAGCUAAAGAGCUGUGGGAUACGUUGAAGAAGGUGUAUGGGAAUACAUCAAACCUAAGCCGUGUGUUUGAAGUGAAGCAGGCUAUAAACAACUUGGUACAAGAGGAUAUGGAGUUCACCAAGCAUCUAGGGAAGUUCAGAACACUCUGGUCCGAGCUGGAGAUGUUGAGGCCAAGUACUACAGAUGCAGAUGAGCUCAACAAAAGAAGAGAGCAAUAUAAGGUCUUUGGGCUACUCCUCACCAUGAAUCCGGCUUACAAUGGUCUUAUCCAACACUUGCUUAGAGAGGACACACUACCUGAUCUUGAAGAAGUGUGCGCAAGGAUUCAGAAGGAACAAGGCUCUAUUGGAUUGUUUGGAAAGAAAGGAGAGCUAUCUCUCGUGAAUCAAGCAACUCAAGAGGAGGGAGGGGAAGCUCCACAAGCACACAAGGCUGCGCAUGGGAAGUAUGAUGAGAGGAGGUUCAAUGGGAACUGUGAUCACUGCAAGAAGCAUGGCCACAAGAAGAGCCAAUGCUGGAUACUCCAUCCCCAUCUCAAGCCAGCAAAGUUUAUGAAGGACAGAGAGGCAAGGGCUAAUGUCUCAGAUGGAGCAAGCGCAAGUGGAGCAGGUACUAGCAAAGGGAAGGAGAUAGAUGGGCGUGAAACAGGUGAUGGGAGGUCUCUUGUAGCCUACACUGGAGCCCCAAGCAACCGUGGGAACUAUGAUCAAGAGUAUCUAAGGAAAUCCGACCUGGAUGCUCUCAUUAAGCUCUUCAAGGAGCAUGGUAACAUUUUUGGGUAUUCCUUUGGGGCUAGGGCUAUAGGGAAUGAUGAGAAUUCAACUAGAAUUGAUAGGAUGCAUGAAAGUGUGAUAGAGAUAAUCAACCAAUCUAGAACGGCUAGUCUUGCUAGGAAUGAUCAUGCAUUCAAACCAUCUAGUAUCCUUGCUCAUAUUGCUAGUUCACAUGCCAUUAAGCCUUUAGUAGUUGAUUCUGGUGCAUCUCAUCAUAUGAUAAGUGACACUAGUUUGAUUAAAAACAUUGUACCAAUGAAUGGAAAUGUGAUGAUAGCUAAUGGAGAUAAGAUACCUAUUAGAGGAAUAGGAAGUCUUAAACUGUUUGAUAAGGAAACUAAAGCUUUUUAUAUGCCUGAAUUUACUUCAAACUUGUUAUCUGUUAAGAAAUGUGCUACUGAUUUGCAAUGUAAUGUCAUAUUCAGUCCUAAUGAUGUGAAGUUUCAGGAUAUUAAAAGCAGCAAAAUGAUUGGAAAGGGAGUGACUAAAGGAGAAUUGUAUUUACUUGAAGAUCUUGCUCCUGUUUCUAGUUAUAGCUGCUCGUUUACGUCUGUUUCCGGUUCUAGUUUAAGUAAAAAUGCAUUGUGGCAUGCUAGAUUAGGACACCCUCAUAAUAAGGCUUUAAAACUGAUGUUGCCAGGUGUUUCCUUUGAGAAUAAUGAUUGUGAAGCUUGUAUUUUAGGCAAGCAUUGUAAGACUGUCUUUACUAAAUCUACUACGGUUUAUGAGAAGUGUUUUGAUUUGAUUCAUUCUGAUGUUUGGACUGCUCCUUGCUUAUCUAGAGACAAUCAAAAGUAUUAUGUAACCUUCAUUGAUGAAAAAUCCAAAUACACCUGGUUAACCUUAAUUCCAACCAAAGAUAGGGUACUUGAUGCAUUUAAGAACUUUCAAUCAUAUGUGACUAACCAUUAUAAUGCCAAGAUAAAGAUUUUCAGGUCAGAUAAUGGAGGAGAGUACACGGGACAAGCAUUCAAGCUUCACCUAUCUCAGCAUGGAAUCCUACAUCAGACAAGCUGUCCCUAUACUCCACAACAGAAUGGUGUGGCUGAGAGAAAAAAUAGGCAUCUGAUGGAAGUGGCCAGGUCCAUGAUGUUUCAAACCAAUGUACCCAAGAGGUUCUGGAGUGAUGCAGUCACUACAGCUUGUUAUCUCAUCAACAGAACACCAACUCUGAUCCUGCAAGGGUUAUCACCAUUUGAGGUAUUGAACCGAUACAAGCCCUCAUUGGAACAUAUGAAGAUCUUUGGGUGUUUGUGUUUUGUGAUGGUACCGGGAGAAUUAAGAAACAAGCUUGAAGCUAGGAGCUCCAAGGCAAUGUUUGUUGGAUACUCAUCAAGUCAGAAAGGAUACAAGUGCUAUGAUCCUAACACAAGGAGAGUGUUAGUAUCUAGAGAAGUGAAGUUUGUGGAAGAAAAAGGAUAUUAUGAGGAGCAGAUUCAAGAAGAUUUGAAAGAUCUCACUUCAGAUAGAGCUGCAACCUUGAGGAUAAUACUAGAAGGACUUGGAAUCAAUAUGGAUCAAGAACAGCAAGAAGUAAGAGGCACUACACCAAUACCGAAUCAUCAGACGUCCAAUCUUGAACAUGAGGGGGGGAAUGGAACAGAAACUCAAACUCAAAGUCAUGAAGAGAGUUCUGGUUCUCAUGAUCAAGCUGUGGAGUCAAAUGAUCAACAAGAAGGAGCUGAAGCAAGUCAGCUAAGGGAUGAAGGAGCUGAAGCAAGUCAGCCAAGAGAAGAAAGUACACAAGAAGGUGUACAAGACAUGGAGUUACCGGCACAAGAAGGGCCAGUGUUGAGAAGAAGUACAAGGCUGAGAAAGGAUCCUUCCAGUUGGGUAAACACGAGAGUGUACUACAAUGCUCAAGCUGUGAAGCAUCCUACUCAGGCCGUGUGCUCUUUCUCUCAAUAUCCAGAAGCACAUGGUGCAUUCAUGGUAAACUUAGAUGAGAAUCACAUUCCAAGAAGCUAUGAAGAGGCAAUGGAGGAUAAGGAAUGGAAGGAAUCAGUAGGGGCUGAGGCAGGAGCUAUGAUAAAGAAUGAUACAUGGUUUGAAAGUGAACUACCAAAAGGGAAGAAGGCAGUAUCUUGUAAAUGGAUCUUCACAAUCAAAUACAAAGCUGAUGGACAGAUUGAGAGGAAGAAGACUAGAUUAGUAGCAAGAGGGUUCACUCAAACAUAUGGAGAGGAUUACAUUGAGACAUUUGCACCAGUAGCCAAGUUACACACCAUUAGAAUUGUACUAAGCUUGGCGGUUAACCUUGGAUGGGGAUUGUGGCAAAUGGAUGUGAAGAAUGCAUUCUUACAAGGAGAACUUGAGGAUGAAGUCUACAUGUAUCCUCCACCAGGUCUUGAACAUCUAGUGAAGAGAGGGAAUGUACUGAGGCUAAAGAAGGCUAUCUAUGGGUUGAAGCAAUCACCAAGAGCAUGGUACAACAAGUUGAGCACAACUCUGAACAGCCGAGGUUUUAAGAAGUCUGAAUUGGACCAUACUCUCUUUACCCUCACUACUCCCUCAGGUAUGGUUGCUCUCCUUGUGUAUGUGGAUGAUAUCAUUAUCACAGGAAGUGAUAAGGAAGGUAUCAAAGCAACCAAGGAGUUUCUAAAGUCUAUGUUUGAAAUAAAAGACUUGGGAGAAAUGAAAUACUUUCUUGGAAUUGAGAUUUGUAGAUCCAAGGAAGGUUUGUUCAUGUCCCAAAGGAAGUAUACACUUGAUCUUUUGAAAGGUGCAGGUGCUUAUGGAGGCAAGACAGCAAGGAUGCCAAUGGAAGAUGGCUACAAAGUACCAAGAGAGGGGGAGAUUGAAGACAGCAAGCCAUUUCAUGAUCCUAAACUCUAUAGAAAACUUGUUGGCAAAUUGAUUUAUCUAACCAUCACAAGACCUGAUAUAUGCUUUGCUGUGAAUCAGGUGAGUCAACACAUGCAGCUUCCCAAGGAACAUCAUUGGCGUAUGGUGGAGAGGCUGCUGAUGUAUCUAAAUGGCUCGCCGGAUCAAGGUGUAUGGAUGGGGUGCAAUGGAAGCACAGAAGUGGUGGGCUAUUGUGAUGCUGAUUGGGCAGGUGAUAGAGCUGACAGAAGAUCAACAACCGGCUAUUGCACAUUCAUUGGAGGCAACUUGGUGACUUGGAAGAGUAAGAAACAGAAGGUGGUGUCAUGCUCUAGUGCAGAAGCUGAAUAUAGAGCCAUGCUGAAGCUUACAAACGAGCUAGUUUGGAUCAAGGGCAUCUUGAAGCAUUUGGAGAUAGCACAAGACACUCCAAUGACAAUGCAUUGUGACAACCAGGCCGCCAUUCACAUAGCCUCCAACUCGGUGUUCCAUGAGAGAACAAAGCACAUUGAGGUUGAUUGUCACAAGGUGAGGCAGAUGAUGAUUCUUGGAGUGAUUCUACCUUGUUAUACUCGGAGUGAGGAUCAGUUAGCAGAUGUGUUCACAAAGGCAGCAAGGCAAAAGACAAUGGAGUCCAUACACAUCAGGUUAGGACUCAUUGAUCUCUCGCCUAAGGACUAGUCUAUACACUCUCCUGAUCAUGUGAUCUCUACUCUUUCCUCAUUAAGGUUUUGUCCCAAUGGGUUUUCCUUAAUGAGGUUUUAAUGAGGGAGAUCUCAUGGUUCUUCCAAGCUUGACUUGUUUCACAUGGUCAAGCUUGAGGGGGAGUGUUGAGAUAAGAGAAUAAAGUGUUGAGAUGAGGAGAUGAAGAGUUGAUACAUGGAUAGAGGAAGGGAUUUGGAGCAGGUAGUAACUUUGGAGAUUUACCACAGUAACUUUAAUGUUACUGUGGUAACUAAGUUAAAAGACUUGGGAAGUUACCCUGCAUCCAUUUGGAGAGUGUAACACGACAGGAGGAGUCUGGAUAAGCAAGGAGGAGUUUGGAUAAGGUCUGGUCAAGGGAAGAGAGCUUUAGACAGGCUGGCACCAGCUGGAAAGCUAAAGCAAGAUACCCAAGCAUGUGAGGAACCUUAUUGGCUGGUUUGAAUAAGGCAUCUUUGACUACACAUGCUUCUUAUCCUAACUAGACUGAACCUGGACGAAAAUAUGAAUCUCUAAUCUAUAUAUGUUGUAAACUCUCUCAUUAAUCAAGCUAAUGGAGUUUUGAGUCUCUCUCUCUCUCUUGUUCUUAAUCUCCAAUCUCUUUAAUUCUCAGAUUAAACUUAAUCACUCUUUAAAUCACUAAAUCUAUUAUGGUAUCAGAGCCAGGUUCCUUUAAAAGGAGAGAGUGAUUUCGUGGUUCCAAAUGUUCUUGAGUGUUCUUGAGUGUUCUUGAGAGUUCUUGAGAUUUUUCAAGAGCUAGAUCCUUUAAAAGUCAAGUUUGUGUCUGUUGGUGUUUCUUUUGGAGAGUCAGCUUCAAGGGAGUCUCUUUAGGUGUUUGACAAGGUCAGAAGAGGGGUCUAGCUUGUGGUUAAGAUUGGCGUGUGAGAUUAUGGAGCUGCUUCAAUCUGGUACAACAAGGAGUGAAGAGAAGAAAGAGAGAGGGAAUGAGUGGGGGUGGUUCUCACAGAUGAAAACAACUCUGAAAAGUUGUGGAGUUUGGAGAAACCAUGAGAAGGAAGAGUCUUUGAAGGGUAAAGCUGCUGUGAAAGAUCAGACAGCAAGAAAAACAAGUGGAGAUUGCUUCAGUCUUGAAGACAGUACACUGCUUGAGAAGAUUGAAGAUGUUUAUGAGGACAAGAUCAGUCUUAGGAGAGUGUAUGAAGUCAACCAGGUGAUUAGUGAAGUUAAACCAGGAAGAGAAGGGUUUAAUAACCAUGUGAGGAAGCUACAACAUUUGUGGGUUGAACUACAAGGGUUGAGAUCUCAUGUGGAUGGGGAUACUACACAAGAGCAAGCGACGGUGCUGAAGCUCUUGGCGAGUAUGGAGUCAUCAUAUGGGUGGCUGGUGGAGAUGGUUCUAAGAAGGGAACAGCUUCCGGAAAUGGAAGAGGUCUGUGUGCUUAUAAGAAGGGCGUAUGGGAUAAUGAGAGAUGAUGAGAGGCUAACCAUGAGUAGGAGUGAGAGCUCAUGGAAGCCAACUGGGAGUAGGAGUGAGAGCUUCCAGAAGCUAACCAUGAGUAGGAGUGAGAGCUCAUGGAGGCUAACCGGGAGUAGGAGUGAGGGCUUCCGGAAGAGGAGGAGGUGCAGAAUGCUAUCCAAAGCCUCUAUCAACAUAGGAAAGGGUAGAAAGAGAGUUGUGGGAGAGUGUUCUUACUCAGCCUACAUGGGGAAAUCAGUAGAAGACAGUGGGGUGUUAAAAGAGCAGGAGAAAGGGAGUAGAGCUGAUGAUCGCAUCACCAGGAAAGAAUGGAGAGUGUUCAUGGAACAAGUACAAGCCUUAGCAGCAAGCAGGAAGCAGGCUAUACAAUCCGGAACUUCUAAACCAAUUGUGAUUGAUUCUGGAGCAAGUCAUCAUAUGAUCAGUGAUAGGAGACUUAUAAGUGAGAUCAAGGCUGCAACAGGGAGUGUUAUGAUAGCUAAUGGUGCCAUGAUCCCAAUAGAAGGAGUGGGAAAGCUAAAACUGUUUGAGAAGGACACAACUGCCUUCUACAUGCCUCAGUUCACUUCAAAUCUAUUAUCUGGGAAGAAAGCUACCAUUGAUCUUGAUUGUCAAGUAGUAUUCAGACCUGAUAAAGUGGAGUUUCAAGAUUUGAAGACUGGGAGAGUCAUUGGCAGAGGAGACAGCAAGAAUCAGCUAUAUCACCUCAACUUGGCUAAGACCUCUAAUCCCUUUGAUUCUAUUUGCUUGAGUAGUACUGCUGAGAAGAUUGAUAGUAUUACUUGGCAUGCUAGAUUAGGACAUCCUCAUGCUCGUGCCAUUGAAUUGAUAAUCCCUAAUAUGUCAUUCAAUCACUUGAAUUGUGAGGCAUGCAUAUUAGGAAAGCAUUGUAGGACUGUUUUUCCAACAUCUGAGACUACUUAUGAGCAUUGCUUUGAUCUAGUUCACUCGGAUGUGUGGACCGCUCCAUGCAUGUCUAGAGACUGCCAUAAAUACUUUGUGACAUUCAUUGAUGAGAAGUCUAAGUAUACGUGGCUCACAUUGCUUCCAUCUAAAGAUAGGGUGCUAGAAGCUUUUAUGAACUUCCAAGCAUAUGUAUCUAAUCAAUACAAUGCCACUGUGAAGGUACUGAGAUCAGACAACGGAGGUGAAUACAUCAGCAAUGCCUUUAAGAGUCAUCUAGCCAAGCAUGGGAUUGUGCAUCAGACCAGUUGUCCCUACACACCACAGCAGAAUGGUGUAGCUGAGAGGAAGAAUAGGCACUUGAUGGAGGUUGCUAGGUCGAUGAUGUUUCAUGAAAAUGUCCAAAAACGUUUUUGGGGAGAUGCUGUACAGACUGCUUGCUAUCUCAUCAACCGAGUCCCAACCAAGAUACUGAAGAAUCUGUCCCCAUUUGAGGUGCUGAAUAAGAGCAAGCCAUUUAUUGAUCACCUACGAGUAUUUGGAUGUGUAUGCUAUGUCAUGACCCCAGGAGAACAGAGAAACAAGCUGGAGGCAAAGAGUACUAAGGCUAUGUUCAUUGGAUACUCUAUCACUCAGAAGGGAUACAAGUGCUAUGAUCCUGAAGCAAGGAGAGUGAUGGUAUCUAGAGAAGUGAAGUUUAUUGAAUCAAAAGGGUAUUAUGAAGAAAAGGAGUGGGAAAAUCUGAAGGAUUUGUCUCAAGCUCCAUCUGAUAGAGCAACAACACUGAGGGUGAUGUUGGAGAAGCUAGGGAUAGGGUUAUCCCAGGAUCAGGAAUCUGGAAGAAGAGAGUCUUCCAAUUCGACUAGUGAAGCUGAAAGAGCAACUCCUCUUGAUCAUGAGAGGGGGAAUGGAACUGAAUCUCAUGAGCAAGUGCAAAAUCAAGAAGAUUCAGGCCAGCAUAAUCAAGAGGUGACACAGGAAGUAGAGACUGGUGCUCAGUCUAGUGGAGAUGGGCAAAGAGAGUCUACUGGCUCAGAUGAGAGUGGAGAGUGGGAAGGAGAUCCUAAUGGUUCAAAUGAGAGUGGUGCUCAAUCAAGUGAAGAUGGGCAAGAGCCACAAGAAGAACAAGUUCAGGAGCUAAGGAGGAGCACAAGGGUGAAGAGAGAUGCUUCCAACUGGGUAAACACGAGAGUGUACUACAAUGCCCAGGCUGUGGAGCAUCCUUCUCAAGCCAUGUGUUCCUUUGCAGAGUUUCCAGACGAGCAUACAGCCUUCACAGUAAGCUUGGAUGAGAGCUAUAUUCCAAGGACAUAUGAAGAAGCUAUGGCUUUAAAGGAGUGGAGAGAUUCAGUUGCUGAUGAGUCCGGAGCCAUGAUUAAGAAUGAAACAUGGUAUGAGAGUGAGCUGCCUAAAGGGAAGAAGGCAGUGACUAGUAAAUGGGUGUUCACAAUCAAGUUUCAUCCUGAUGGAAGAAUAGAGAGGCGCAAGUCUAGGUUGGUGGCAAGAGGAUUUACUCAGACAUAUGGUGAGGACUAUGUUGAGACCUUUGCUCCUGUGGCUAAACUUCAUACUAUCAGGAUUGUAUUAUCUUUAGCUGUGAAUCUUGAGUGGGAUUUGUGGCAAAUGGAUGUGAAGAAUGCAUUCCUUCAAGGAGAGUUAGAAGAUGAAGUAUACAUGCAUCCACCACCAGGUCUUGAACAUCUAGUAAAGAAGGGUAAUGUGUUGAGGUUGAGGAAAGCUAUCUAUGGUCUCAAGCAGUCUCCAAGGGCAUGGUACAACAAGUUGAGUACUACACUGAAUGGGAGAGGGUUCAGAAAGUCAGAAUUGGAUCACACUCUCUUUACCCUAACCACCUCAUCUGGUAUUGUGGUAUUGCUUGUGUAUGUGGAUGAUAUCAUCAUCACAGGCAGUGAUAAGGAAGGUAUUAAGGCUACAAAGGAGUAUCUCAAGGCAAGCUUUGAAAUUAAAGACUUGGGGGAAAUGAAGUAUUUUCUUGGGAUUGAGAUAUGCAGAUCAAAGGAAGGAUUGUUUAUGUCCCAAAGGAAGUAUGUGAUUGAUCUCUUGAAGGGAGCAGAUGCAUAUGGAGGAAAGACAGCCAAGAUGCCAAUGGAGGAUGGUUACAAGGUUCCACGUGAGGGGGAGAUUGAGGAUAGCAAGCCGUUCCAUGAUCCUAAGCUAUAUAGGAAGCUGGUGGGGAAAUUGAUUUAUCUUACCAUUACUAGACCUGAUGUGUGUUUUGCGGUGAAUCAAGUCAGUCAACACAUGCAAGUUCCUAAGGAGCACCAUUGGCGGAUGAUGGAAAGGAUCUUGAUGUAUCUGAAUGGAACUACUGGUCUUGGAGUAUGGAUGGGAUGUAACAAGAGUACUGAGGUUGUAGGCUACUGUGAUGCAGAUUGGGCUGGAGACCGAGCAGACAGAAGAUCAACCACAGGCUAUUGUACAUUCAUUGGUGGUAACUUAGUCACUUGGAAGAGUAAGAAACAGAAGGUAGUGUCUUGCUCCAGUGCAGAGGCCGAGUAUAGAGCAAUGCUGAAGCUUACAAAUGAGCUAGUGUGGAUAAAAGGGAUUUUGAAGCAUCUAGAGAUUAUUCAAGCAACGCCAAUGACAAUGCAUUGUGAUAAUCAAGCAGCUAUCCACAUUGCAUCUAAUUCUGUGUUCCAUGAGAGAACAAAGCACAUUGAGGUUGAUUGUCACAAGGUGAGGCAGAUGAUGAUUCUUGGAGUGAUUCUACCUUGUUAUACUCGGAGUGAGGAUCAGUUAGCAGAUGUGUUCACAAAGGCAGCAAGGCAAAAGACAAUGGAGUCCAUACACAUCAGGUUAGGACUCAUUGAUCUCUCGCCUAAGGACUAGUCUAUACACUCUCCUGAUCAUGUGAUCUCUACUCUUUCCUCAUUAAGGUUUUGUCCCAAUGGGUUGUCCUUAAUGAGGUUUUAAUGAGGGAGAUCUCAUGGUUCUUCCAAGCUUGACUUGUUUCACAUGGUCAAGCUUGAGGGGGAGUGUUGAGAUAAGAGAAUAAAGUGUUGAGAUGAGGAGAUGAAGAGUUGAUACAUGGAUAGAGGAAGGGAUUUGGAGCAGGUAGUAACUUUGGAGAUUUACCACAGUAACUUUAAUGUUACUGUGGUAACUAAGUUAAAAGACUUGGGAAGUUACCCUGCAUCCAUUUGGAGAGUGUAACACGACAGGAGGAGUCUGGAUAAGCAAGGAGGAGUUUGGAUAAGGUCUGGUCAAGGGAAGAGAGCUUUAGACAGGCUGGCACCAGCUGGAAAGCUAAAGCAAGAUACCCAAGCAUGUGAGGAACCUUAUUGGCUGGUUUGAAUAAGGCAUCUUUGACUACACAUGCUUCUUAUCCUAACUAGACUGAACCUGGACGAAAAUAUGUAUCUCUAAUCUAUAUAUGUUGUAAACUCUCUCAUUAAUCAAGCUAAUGGAGUUUUGAGUCUCUCUCUCUCUCUUGUUCUUAAUCUCCAAUCUCUUUAAUUCUCAGAUUAAACUUAAUCACUCUUUAAAUCACUAAAUCUAUUAUGGUAUCAGAGCCAGGUUCCUUUAAAAGGAGAGAGUGAUUUCGUGGUUCCAAAUGUUCUUGAGUGUUCUUGAGUGUUCUUGAGAGUUCUUGAGAUUUUUCAAGAGCUAGAUCCUUUAAAAGUCAAGUUUGUGUCUGUUGGUGUUUCUUUUGGAGAGUCAGCUUCAAGGGAGUCUCUUUAGGUGUUUGACAAGGUCAGAAGAGGGGUCUAGCUUGUGGUUAAGAUUGGCGUGUGAGAUUAUGGAGCUGCUUCAAUCUGGUACAACAAGGAGUGAAGAGAAGAAAGAGAGAGGGAAUGAGUGGGGGUGGUUCUCACAGAUGAAAACAACUCUGAAAAGUUGUGGAGUUUGGAGAAACCAUGAGAAGGAAGAGUCUUUGAAGGGUAAAGCUGCUGUGAAAGAUCAGACAGCAAGAAAAACAAGUGGAGAUUGCUUCAGUCUUGAAGACAGUACACUGCUUGAGAAGAUUGAAGAUGUUUAUGAGGACAAGAUCAGUCUUAGGAGAGUGUAUGAAGUCAACCAGGUGAUUAGUGAAGUUAAACCAGGAAGAGAAGGGUUUAAUAACCAUGUGAGGAAGCUACAACAUUUGUGGGUUGAACUACAAGGGUUGAGAUCUCAUGUGGAUGGGGAUACUACACAAGAGCAAGCGACGGUGCUGAAGCUCUUGGCGAGUAUGGAGUCAUCAUAUGGGUGGCUGGUGGAGAUGGUUCUAAGAAGGGAACAGCUUCCGGAAAUGGAAGAGGUCUGUGUGCUUAUAAGAAGGGCGUAUGGGAUAAUGAGAGAUGAUGAGAGGCUAACCAUGAGUAGGAGUGAGAGCUCAUGGAAGCCAACUGGGAGUAGGAGUGAGAGCUUCCAGAAGCUAACCAUGAGUAGGAGUGAGAGCUCAUGGAAGCCAACUGGGAGUAGGAGUGAGAGCUUCCAGAAGCUAACCAUGAGUAGGAGUGAGAGCUCAUGGAGGCUAACCGGGAGUAGGAGUGAGGGCUUCCGGAAGAGGAGGAGGUGCAGAAUGCUAUCCAAAGCCUCUAUCAACAUAGGAAAGGGUAGAAAGAGAGUUGUGGGAGAGUGUUCUUACUCAGCCUACAUGGGGAAAUCAGUAGAAGACAGUGGGGUGUUAAAAGAGCAGGAGAAAGGGAGUAGAGCUGAUGAUCGCAUCACCAGGAAAGAAUGGAGAGUGUUCAUGGAACAAGUACAAGCCUUAGCAGCAAGCAGGAAGCAGGCUAUACAAUCCGGAACUUCUAAACCAAUUGUGAUUGAUUCUGGAGCAAGUCAUCAUAUGAUCAGUGAUAGGAGACUUAUAAGUGAGAUCAAGGCUGCAACAGGGAGUGUUAUGAUAGCUAAUGGUGCCAUGAUCCCAAUAGAAGGAGUGGGAAAGCUAAAACUGUUUGAGAAGGACACAACUGCCUUCUACAUGCCUCAGUUCACUUCAAAUCUAUUAUCUGGGAAGAAAGCUACCAUUGAUCUUGAUUGUCAAGUAGUAUUCAGACCUGAUAAAGUGGAGUUUCAAGAUUUGAAGACUGGGAGAGUCAUUGGCAGAGGAGACAGCAAGAAUCAGCUAUAUCACCUCAACUUGGCUAAGACCUCUAAUCCCUUUGAUUCUAUUUGCUUGAGUAGUACUGCUGAGAAGAUUGAUAGUAUUACUUGGCAUGCUAGAUUAGGACAUCCUCAUGCUCGUGCCAUUGAAUUGAUAAUCCCUAAUAUGUCAUUCAAUCACUUGAAUUGUGAGGCAUGCAUAUUAGGAAAGCAUUGUAGGACUGUUUUUCCAACAUCUGAGACUACUUAUGAGCAUUGCUUUGAUCUAGUUCACUCGGAUGUGUGGACCGCUCCAUGCAUGUCUAGAGACUGCCAUAAAUACUUUGUGACAUUCAUUGAUGAGAAGUCUAAGUAUACGUGGCUCACAUUGCUUCCAUCUAAAGAUAGGGUGCUAGAAGCUUUUAUGAACUUCCAAGCAUAUGUAUCUAAUCAAUACAAUGCCACUGUGAAGGUACUGAGAUCAGACAACGGAGGUGAAUACAUCAGCAAUGCCUUUAAGAGUCAUCUAGCCAAGCAUGGGAUUGUGCAUCAGACCAGUUGUCCCUACACACCACAGCAGAAUGGUGUAGCUGAGAGGAAGAAUAGGCACUUGAUGGAGGUUGCUAGGUCGAUGAUGUUUCAUGAAAAUGUCCAAAAACGUUUUUGGGGAGAUGCUGUACAGACUGCUUGCUAUCUCAUCAACCGAGUCCCAACCAAGAUACUGAAGAAUCUGUCCCCAUUUGAGGUGCUGAAUAAGAGCAAGCCAUUUAUUGAUCACCUACGAGUAUUUGGAUGUGUAUGCUAUGUCAUGACCCCAGGAGAACAGAGAAACAAGCUGGAGGCAAAGAGUACUAAGGCUAUGUUCAUUGGAUACUCUAUCACUCAGAAGGGAUACAAGUGCUAUGAUCCUGAAGCAAGGAGAGUGAUGGUAUCUAGAGAAGUGAAGUUUAUUGAAUCAAAAGGGUAUUAUGAAGAAAAGGAGUGGGAAAAUCUGAAGGAUUUGUCUCAAGCUCCAUCUGAUAGAGCAACAACACUGAGGGUGAUGUUGGAGAAGCUAGGGAUAGGGUUAUCCCAGGAUCAGGAAUCUGGAAGAAGAGAGUCUUCCAAUUCGACUAGUGAAGCUGAAAGAGCAACUCCUCUUGAUCAUGAGAGGGGGAAUGGAACUGAAUCUCAUGAGCAAGUGCAAAAUCAAGAAGAUUCAGGCCAGCAUAAUCAAGAGGUGACACAGGAAGUAGAGACUGGUGCUCAGUCUAGUGGAGAUGGGCAAAGAGAGUCUACUGGCUCAGAUGAGAGUGGAGAGUGGGAAGGAGAUCCUAAUGGUUCAAAUGAGAGUGGUGCUCAAUCAAGUGAAGAUGGGCAAGAGCCACAAGAAGAACAAGUUCAGGAGCUAAGGAGGAGCACAAGGGUGAAGAGAGAUGCUUCCAACUGGGUAAACACGAGAGUGUACUACAAUGCCCAGGCUGUGGAGCAUCCUUCUCAAGCCAUGUGUUCCUUUGCAGAGUUUCCAGACGAGCAUACAGCCUUCACAGUAAGCUUGGAUGAGAGCUAUAUUCCAAGGACAUAUGAAGAAGCUAUGGCUUUAAAGGAGUGGAGAGAUUCAGUUGCUGAUGAGUCCGGAGCCAUGAUUAAGAAUGAAACAUGGUAUGAGAGUGAGCUGCCUAAAGGGAAGAAGGCAGUGACUAGUAAAUGGGUGUUCACAAUCAAGUUUCAUCCUGAUGGAAGAAUAGAGAGGCGCAAGUCUAGGUUGGUGGCAAGAGGAUUUACUCAGACAUAUGGUGAGGACUAUGUUGAGACCUUUGCUCCUGUGGCUAAACUUCAUACUAUCAGGAUUGUAUUAUCUUUAGCUGUGAAUCUUGAGUGGGAUUUGUGGCAAAUGGAUGUGAAGAAUGCAUUCCUUCAAGGAGAGUUAGAAGAUGAAGUAUACAUGCAUCCACCACCAGGUCUUGAACAUCUAGUAAAGAAGGGUAAUGUGUUGAGGUUGAGGAAAGCUAUCUAUGGUCUCAAGCAGUCUCCAAGGGCAUGGUACAACAAGUUGAGUACUACACUGAAUGGGAGAGGGUUCAGAAAGUCAGAAUUGGAUCACACUCUCUUUACCCUAACCACCUCAUCUGGUAUUGUGGUAUUGCUUGUGUAUGUGGAUGAUAUCAUCAUCACAGGCAGUGAUAAGGAAGGUAUUAAGGCUACAAAGGAGUAUCUCAAGGCAAGCUUUGAAAUUAAAGACUUGGGGGAAAUGAAGUAUUUUCUUGGGAUUGAGAUAUGCAGAUCAAAGGAAGGAUUGUUUAUGUCCCAAAGGAAGUAUGUGAUUGAUCUCUUGAAGGGAGCAGAUGCAUAUGGAGGAAAGACAGCCAAGAUGCCAAUGGAGGAUGGUUACAAGGUUCCACGUGAGGGGGAGAUUGAGGAUAGCAAGCCGUUCCAUGAUCCUAAGCUAUAUAGGAAGCUGGUGGGGAAAUUGAUUUAUCUUACCAUUACUAGACCUGAUGUGUGUUUUGCGGUGAAUCAAGUCAGUCAACACAUGCAAGUUCCUAAGGAGCACCAUUGGCGGAUGAUGGAAAGGAUCUUGAUGUAUCUGAAUGGAACUACUGGUCUUGGAGUAUGGAUGGGAUGUAACAAGAGUACUGAGGUUGUAGGCUACUGUGAUGCAGAUUGGGCUGGAGACCGAGCAGACAGAAGAUCAACCACAGGCUAUUGUACAUUCAUUGGUGGUAACUUAGUCACUUGGAAGAGUAAGAAACAGAAGGUAGUGUCUUGCUCCAGUGCAGAGGCCGAGUAUAGAGCAAUGCUGAAGCUUACAAAUGAGCUAGUGUGGAUAAAAGGGAUUUUGAAGCAUCUAGAGAUUAUUCAAGCAACGCCAAUGACAAUGCAUUGUGAUAAUCAAGCAGCUAUCCACAUUGCAUCUAAUUCUGUGUUCCAUGAGAGAACAAAGCACAUUGAGGUUGAUUGUCACAAGGUGAGGCAGAUGAUGAUUCUUGGAGUGAUUCUACCUUGUUAUACUCGGAGUGAGGAUCAGUUAGCAGAUGUGUUCACAAAGGCAGCAAGGCAAAAGACAAUGGAGUCCAUACACAUCAGGUUAGGACUCAUUGAUCUCUCGCCUAAGGACUAGUCUAUACACUCUCCUGAUCAUGUGAUCUCUACUCUUUCCUCAUUAAGGUUUUGUCCCAAUGGGUUUUCCUUAAUGAGGUUUUAAUGAGGGAGAUCUCAUGGUUCUUCCAAGCUUGACUUGUUUCACAUGGUCAAGCUUGAGGGGGAGUGUUGAGAUAAGAGAAUAAAGUGUUGAGAUGAGGAGAUGAAGAGUUGAUACAUGGAUAGAGGAAGGGAUUUGGAGCAGGUAGUAACUUUGGAGAUUUACCACAGUAACUUUAAUGUUACUGUGGUAACUAAGUUAAAAGACUUGGGAAGUAACCCUGCAUCCAUUUGGAGAGUGUAACACGACAGGAGGAGUCUGGAUAAGCAAGGAGGAGUUUGGAUAAGGUCUGGUCAAGGGAAGAGAGCUUUAGACAGGCUGGCACCAGCUGGAAAGCUAAAGCAAGAUACCCAAGCAUGUGAGGAACCUUAUUGGCUGGUUUGAAUAAGCCAUCUUUGACUACACAUGCUUCUUAUCCUAACNNNNNNNNNNNNNNNNNNNNNNNNNNNNNNNNNNNNNNNNNNNNNNNNNNNNNNNNNNNNNNNNNNNNNNNNNNNNNNNNNNNNNNNNNNNNNNNNNNNNNNNNNNNNNNNNNNNNNNNNNNNNNNNNNNNNNNNNNNNNNNNNNNNNNNNNNNNNNNNNNNNNNNNNNNNNNNNNNNNNNNNNNNNNNNNNNNNNNNNNNNNNNNNNNNNNNGGUACCAUCACAAAGCAUACGCAGCCAAACACUCUUAAGUGUGUUAGUGAUGGUUUGAUCUUGUUUAGCACUUCAAAUGGAGACUGAUCCUCAAGCACUCUUGUUGGUAUCCUAUUGAUCAGAUAACAUGCAGAGGCGACUGCAUCACUCCAAAAUCUCUUUGGGACAUUAGCUUGAAACAUCAUAGACCUUGCAACUUCCAUCAGAUGUCUGUUCUUCCUCUCAGCCACACCAUUCUGUUGUGGUGUAUAAGGACAGCUCGUUUGAUGAAGAAUGCCAUGUUGAGCUAAGUGUUGCUUGAAUGCAUGACUUGUAUAUUCUCCACCAUUGUCUGAUCUGAAAAUCUUAAUCUUGGCAUCAUAUUGGUUAGUUACAUAAGUCUGAAAAUUCUUAAAUGCUUCAAGCACCCUAUCCUUAGUUUGAAUGAGUGUUAUCCAGGUGUAUUUGGAUUUUUCAUCUAUGAAUGUGACAAAGUAUUUAAAGUUCUCUCUAGAUAAACAAGGAGCAGUCCAAACAUCAGAGUGAACUAAAUCAAAGCAUUUCUCAUAAAUUGUUUUAGAUCUUUGAAAGACUGUCUUACAAUGUUUGCCCAAGAUACAAGCUUCACAAUCAUUAUUUUUAAACAUGACACCUGGUAUGAUUUUUAGUAAUGUUUAGAGUAAUCUGAGUGUUUAGGAAAGACUAGAAACGAUUUAGUGAAGAUUAGAGUAUGAAAUGAGAUUAGGAGUCUAAUAUGGAACCAUUGAGAUUUAAAGACUAAGAGAGAGUCUCAAAACUUGCUUAAUCUUAUUCAUGAGUGAGGUUACAUAUUUAUAUGAAGGAACAAGUAGGGUUUUCGUAACUAGAGAGAAGAGAAAGCAUGUGGAGUCAACAGCCUAAUUCAAAUCUAUCCAAUGAAGUGUCUCACACGCUUUUGGCAUCUCUUAGCUGUCCCAAAAGCUCCUUUCCCUUUUCCAGCUGUGCCAGCCUGUCCAAGGCUCUUCCCUUAUCCUUUCCAACGGAUAGAUCUGAUGGUAAUAGACUUGAGUAACUCCUUCUUCCUAAACGUGUUACUCGGGUAAGUUUAUGGUCGAUGUUUGGCCGAUCCUCCCAUGUACGGAUGGUACGGCCGUACGGCCUGUACGGCCUAGGUAGAGCCAAACACUCUCAUUCAUUCCUAAGCUUCCUCCCCUUCAGUUAUCUCAACCCAUCAUUUCUUCUCUUCUUAUUCCUCAUCUCAUAUCAACACUCCCCCUCAAGCUUAGCUUUGUGAAAGCUUAAGCUUGGACAGCCAUGAGAUCUUCCUCAUUAAAAACCUCACCAAGGAAAACCCAUUGGGACAAAACCUUGAUGAGGGAAAAAGAGUAAAGACCUCAUGACUAAGGGGAUCAGCUGCUUCUCUUCCCAAGAUCAAUGAGGCCCAAUCUGAUAUGAAUGGACUCCAUUGUCUUUUGCCUCGCAGCCUUGGUGAAUACAUCAGCCAACUGAUCUUCACUCCUAGUAUAACAUGGCAAGAUGACUCCUAGGACAAUCAUCUGCCUCACCUUGUGGCAAUCAACCUCAAUGUGCUUUGUCCUCUCAUGGAACACCGAGUUGGAGGCUAUGUGAAUGGCGGCUUGGUUGUCACAAUGCAUUGUCAUUGGAGUGGCUUGUGCUAUCUCCAAAUGCUUCAAGAUGCCCUUGAUCCAAACUAGCUCGUUUGUAAGCUUCAGCAUAGCUCUAUACUCAGCUUCUGCACUAGAGCAUGACACCACCUUCUGUUUCUUACUCUUCCAAGUCACCAAGUUGCCUCCAAUGAAUGUGCAAUAGCCGGUUGUUGAUCUCCUGUCAGCUCUAUCACCUGCCCAAUCAGCAUCACAAUAGCCCACCACUUCUGUGCUUCCAUUGCACCCCAUCCAUACACCUUGAUCCGGCGAGCCAUUUAGAUACAUCAGCAGCCUCUCCACCAUACGCCAGUGAUGUUCCUUGGGAAGCUGCAUGUGUUGACUCACCUGAUUCACAGCAAAGCAUAUAUCAGGUCUUGUGAUGGUUAGAUAAAUCAAUUUGCCAACAAGUUUUCUAUAGAGUUUAGCAUCAUGAAAUGGUUUGCUGUCUUCAAUGUCCCCCUCUCUUGGUACUUUGUAGCCAUCCUCCAUUGGCAUCUUUGCUGUCUUGCCUCCAUAAGCACCUGCACCUUUCAAAAGAUCAAGUGUAUACUUCCUUUGGGACAUGAACAAACCUUCCUUGGAUCUACAAAUCUCAAUUCCAAGAAAGUAUUUCAUUUCUCCCAAGUCUUUUAUUUCAAACAUAGACUUUAGAAACUCCUUGGUUGCUUUGAUACCUUCCUUAUCACUUCCUGUGAUAAUGAUAUCAUCCACAUACACAAGGAGAGCAACCAUACCUGAGGGAGUAGUGAGGGUAAAGAGAGUAUGGUCCAAUUCUGACUUCUUAAAACCUUGGCCGUUCAGAGUUGUGCUCAACUUGUUGUACCAUGCUCUUGGUGAUUGCUUCAACCCAUAGAUAGCCUUCUUUAGCCUCAGUACAUUCCCUCUCUUCACUAGAUGUUCAAGACCUGGUGGAGGAUACAUGUAGACUUCAUCCUCAAGUUCUCCUUGUAAGAAUGCAUUCUUCACAUCCAUUUGCCACAAUCCCCAUCCAAGGUUAACCGCCAAGCUUAGUACAAUUCUAAUGGUAUGUAACUUGGCUACUGGUGCAAAUGUCUCAAUGUAAUCCUCUCCAUAUGUUUGAGUGAACCCUCUUGCUACUAAUCUAGUCUUCUUCCUCUCAAUCUGUCCAUCAGCCUUGUAUUUGAUUGUGAAGAUCCAUCUACUAGAUACUGCCUUCUUCCCUUUUGGUAGUUCACUUUCAAACCAUGUAUCAUUCUUUAUCAUAGCUCCUGCCUCAGCUCCUACUGAUUCCUUCCAUUCCUUAUCCUCCAUUGCCUCUUCAUAGCUUCUUGGAAUGUGAUUCUCAUCUAAGUUUACCAUGAAUGCACAAUGUGCUUCUGGAUAUUGAGAGAAAGAACACACGGCCUGAGUAGGAUGCUUCACAGCUUGAGCAUUGUAGUACACUCUCGUGUUUACCCAACUGGAAGGAUCCUUUCUCAGCCUUGUACUUCUUCUCAACACUGGCCCUUCUUGUGCCGGUAACUCCAUGUCUUGUACAUCUUCUCGUGUACUUUCUUCUCUUGCUUCUUCUCUUGGCUGACUUGCUUCAGCUCCUUCAUCCCUUAGCUGACUUGCUUCAGCUCCUUCUUGUUGAUCAUUUGACUCCACAGCUUGAUCAUGAGAACCAGAACUCUCUUCAUGACUUUGAGUUUGAGUUUCUGUUCCAUUCCCCCCCUCAUGUUCAAGAUUGGACGUCUGAUGAUUCGGUAUUGGUGUAGUGCCUCUUACUUCUUGCUGUCCUUGAUCCAUAUUGAUACCAAGUCCUUCUAGUAUUAUCCUCAAGGUUGCAGCUCUAUCUGAAGUGAGAUCUUUCAAAUCUUCUUGAAUCUGCUCCUCAUAAUAUCCUUUUUCUUCCACAAACUUCACUUCUCUAGAUACUAACACUCUCCUUGUGUUAGGAUCAUAGCACUUAUAUCCUUUCUGACUUGAUGAGUAUCCAACAAACAUUGCCUUGGAGCUUCUAGCUUCAAGCUUGUUUCUUAAUUCUCCCGGUACCAUCACAAAACACAAACACCGAAAGAUCUUCAUAUGUUCCAAUGAGGGCUUGUAUCGGUUCAAUACCUCAAAUGGUGAUAACCCUUGCAGAAUCAGAGUUGGUGUUCUGUUGAUGAGAUAACAAGCUGUAGUGACCGCAUCACUCCAGAACUUCUUGGGUACAUUGGUUUGAAACAUCAUGGACCUGGCCACUUCCAUCAGAUGCCUAUUCUUUCUCUCAGCCACACCAUUCUGUUGUGGAGUAUAGGGACAGCUUGUCUGAUGUAGUAUUCCAUGCUGAGAUAGAUGGAGCUUGAAUGCUUGUCCCGUGUACUCUCCUCCAUUAUCUGACCUGAAAAUCUUUAUCUUGGCAUUAUAAUGGUUAGUCACAUAUGAUUGAAAGUUCUUAAAUGCAUCAAGUACCCUAUCUUUGGUUGGAAUUAAAGUUAACCAGGUGUAUUUGGAUUUUUCAUCAAUGAAAGUUACAUAAUACUUUUGAUUGUCUCUAGAUAAGCAAGGAGCAGUCCAAACAUCAGAAUGAAUCAAAUCAAAACACUUCUCAUAAACCGUAGUAGAUUUAGUAAAGACAGUCUUACAAUGCUUGCCUAAAAUGCAAGCUUCACACUCAUUAUUCUCAAAGGAAACACCUGGCAACAUCAGUUUUAAAGCCUUAUUAUGAGGGUGUCCUAAUCUAGCAUGCCACAAUGCAUUUUUACUUAAACUAGAACCAGAAACAGAAGUAAACGAGCAGCUAUAACUAGAAACAGGAGCAAGAUCUUCAAGUAAAUACAAUUCUCCUUUAGUAACUCCCUUUCCAAUCAUCUUGCUGCUUUUAAUAUCCUGAAACUUCACAUCAUUAGGACUGAAUAUGACAUUGCAUUUCAAAUCAGUAGCACAUUUCUUAACAGAUAACAAGUUUGAAGUAAAUUCAGGCAUAUAAAAGGCUUUAGUUUCCUUAUCAAACAGUUUAAGACUUCCUAUUCCUCUAAUAGGUAUCUUAUCUCCAUUAGCUAUCAUCACAUUUCCAUUCAUUGGUACAAUGUUUUUAAUCAAACUAGUGUCACUUAUCAUAUGAUGAGAUGCACCAGAAUCAACUACUAAAGGCUUGAUGGUAUGUGAACUAGCAAUAUGAGCAAGUAUACUAGAUGGUUUGAAUGCAUGAUCAUUCCUAGCAAAACUGUCCGUUCUAGAUUGGUUUAUUAUCUCUAUCACACUUUCAUGCAUCCUAUCAAUGCUAGUUGGAUUCUCAUCAUUCCCUAUAGCCCUAGCACCAAAGGAAUAUCCAAAACUGUUACCAUGCUCCUUGAAGAGCUUAAUGAGAGCAUCCAGGUCGGAUUUCCUUAGAUACUCUUGAUCAUAGUUCCCACGGUUGCUUGGGGCUCCAGUGUAGGCAACAAGAGACCUCCCAUCACCUGCUUCACGCCCAUCUAUCUCCUUCCCUUUGCUAGUACCUGCUCCACUUGCGCUUGCUCCAUCUGAGAUAUUAGCCCUUGCCUCUCUGUCUUUCAUAAACUUUGCCGGCUUGAGAUGGGGAUGGAGUAUCCAGCAUUGGCUCUUCUUGUGGCCAUGCUUCUUGCAGUGAUCACAGUUCCCAUUGAACCUCCUCUCAUCAUACUUCCCAUGCGCAGCCUUGUGUGCUUGUGGAGCUUCCCCUCCCUCCUCUUGAGUUGCUUGAUUUACGAGAGAUAGCUCUCCUUUCUUUCCAAACAACCCAAUAGAGCCUUGUUCCUUCUGAAUCCUUGCGCACACUUCUUCAAGAUCAGGUAGUGUGUCCUCUCUAAGCAAGUGUUGGAUAAGACCAUUGUACGCCGGAUUCAUGGUGAGGAGUAGCCCAAAGACCUUGUCUUGCUCUCUUCUUUUGUUGAGCUCAUCUGCAUCUGUAGUGCUUGGCCUCAACAUCUCCAGCUCGGACCAGAGUGUUCUGAACCUCCCUAGAUGCUUGGUGAACUCCAUAUCCUCUUGUACCAAGUUGUUUAUAGCCUGCUUCACCUCAAACACACGGCUCAGGUUUGAUGUAUUCCCAUACACCUUCUUCAACGUAUCCCACAGCUCUUUAGCUGAUUCACAGUAACUGUAUGCAUCUAGAAUCGCCGGCUCAAGUGAAGCAUGCAGCACUGACAUCACCAACAUGUCCUCCUGAUGCCACUUCUCUUCCGCUUUGCUUGCGGCUUCUCCUUCAGUUUCUCCUUGGGUGAUGAGCUUUGGAGCUUCUCCUGGCGUGAUGUGCUUCCAAAGCCCUUUGCUUCCCACCGUGGUUCUCACCAUCCGAGACCACACCAAGUAGUUGGUUCCCUUGAAGCAAACCGCUACCUUCAUGUUCAUGUUCAUACCACUCUCCAUGAUGAACGAUGACUUCUCUAGACUUCACAAACUGGAUCUUGAGUUAAAAGACUUGUAAGAACACUCACUGCCUCGGUCUUCAACCUCACAGCUUCAGCAACACACUAAAAACUAGUCUUUGAACUCGGACAAUACCCGGAACCUCCCAAGAACACAAGAACACCAACCAAACUCUUCAAAGCUUCAAUCUUGAAUCUCCAAAGAGCCUAACACGAACUCAGGUUCUUACUAACCUGGCUCUGAUACCAUAAGAUUUUUAGUAAUGUUUAGAGUAAUCUGAGUGUUUAGGAAAGACUAGAAACGAUUUAGUGAAGAUUAGAGUAUGAAAUGAGAUUAGGAGUCUAAUAUGGAACCAUUGAGAUUUAAAGACUAAGAGAGAGUCUCAAAACUUGCUUAAUCUUAUUAAUGAGUGAGGUUACAUAUUUAUAAGAGAGACACAAGGGUUUACAAGAAGGGAACUGAGCACUAUUCAACCGUGUGGAGUCAAGGGCGCCUUUUGAAUGAUUGGUCAGGAUGGCUCACACGCUUAUGGCAUCUUGGACUAAAGGUGCUUCAGCUUUCCAGCCUGUUCCAGCCUGGCACCGCGUUCCCUUAUCCUCUCAACGGUCUGAUCCUCUCCCUAAGCUACCCAAGUCACUCCUCCUUAGUUACCGUCUCACUUGGAUAAGGUAUGGUAAGUUUUGGUUGAGGUUUGGAUGGUACGGCCUUGUACGGCCUUGUACGGCCUUGUACGGCCUGCCGUACCAUACUCUCCCAAACUUCCCUAAGUACUUCAUCUCCUCUUCUCUUCAACUCCUUAUCUCUUCAUCUCCAUAUACUCAGCUCAUCUCAACAAAAGGGGGGCACGACCAUGAACAUGGUCUGAAUGAAGGCUUGAUACAUGGGAGCCUAUAAGGAGCCAAUGGGAGAACAGCCUUCCCUUUGACCAGUUUGAAUCAACCAAUCAGAUAUCAUCAGCCCUCAGCCAAUCACAAGACAUCACACAGAUUGCAAUACCAAGCUCUCAUCUACACCAUCCAUUCUCUCAAGUUAAUAUUAUCCAUUAGAUUUAGGUUUCAGAUUGUGCAAACCUAUUAAGCUUAUAAAUAAGCUUGUAAGAGGCGAUUUUGAGCCUUAAGGGAGUUUGGGGGAUUUCCCCUCUCCACUUCAUAAUGAAAUGUGUUCUUGAAUCAGAUUCCCUUUAAACUCUCCCUUUCUUAUACUCUUAAUCUCUCAAAGUCUCUUGUUUCUGAUUUAAGUAAACACAUAAACACUCUUAUAAAACUCUCUCUCUAAAAUCACCUAAAACAAACUCUAAUCUUCUCAUCUUGCUCCAUUGGAGCUUAUACACACACACAACCUGAGAUCUCUGAAAAUCUCACAUGGUAUCAGAGCCAGGUUCAUCUGAAUCUGGUUGAAGCUUCCGCAAACCUCAGAGCUCACUCCCAUGUCCAUUACAACCAAGAAGAAGCUGUCUGUUCAAUCCGGCUGUUCAACACCUCAAGAGGCAGGCGUGUUCAUCCUGGAGUCCAGAAGCUGUCUGGUGCUGUUCCUCAUCAUCCCAUGUCGCCCUUGAAGAAAGAAGAUCCAAGGAAACAAAGGCAAUGGAGUGGAUUAGCUACCCUCUCUAGCAAAGCCAGUUCCUGGUUCUUGCUAUUCAAAGUCCAAGAAGAAGUUUCUCAAGAAGAAAGCUUGCUGCUUGUACUGGUGUGGCGUGUACAACAUGGAGAAAGGUGGGAGCUAAGACAUGGUGGUUCAAAAGGAAAGGUCCAUGGAAGAUGGAGGCGUUGGAGUGCACACUAACAACUCAGAAUCUGUCCAAUGGAAUCAAGGAUCUAUACAAAGGUCCUUGGCUGUAAGAAAGUUCUUUCCUUUUGUAUAAAGCUUGAGUAUAUUGACAGGUUGUGUUGUGAAAUCAUCUGUCUCACUUUGUGACAAUCAACCUCAAUAUGCUUGGUUCUCUCAUGGAAUACUGAGUUUGUUGCGAUGUGUAUGGCGGCUUGGUUGUCACAAUGCAUAGUCAUUGGAGUAGCUUGCUCAAUCUCCAAAUGCUUUAAGAUUCCCUUGAUCCAUACCAGUUCGUUUGUGAGCUUCAGCAUGGCUCUAUACUCAGCUUCAGCACUGGAACAGGCCACCACCUUCUGUUUCUUGCUCUUCCAUGUCACUAAGUUGCCUCCAAUGAAUGUACAAUAGCCGGUAGUUGAUCUUCUGUCAGCUCUAUCACCUGCCCAAUCCGCAUCACAGUAGCCUACCACUUCAGUACUCUUGUUGCAACCCAUCCAAACUCCAAGGCCCUUUGUUCCGUUUAGAUACAUCAGUAGCCUCUCCACCAUGUGCCAAUGAUGUUCCUUUGGAACUUGCAUAUGCUGGCUCACUUGAUUCACAGCAAAGCAUACAUCUGGUCUUGUAAUGGUAAGGUAGAUCAGCUUCCCUACCAUCUUCCUAUACAGCUUCGGAUCAUGGAAAGGCUUGCUAUCUUCAAUCUCCCCCUCACGUGGAAGCUUGUAGCCAUCCUCAAGAGGCAUCCUUGCUGUUUUAUCUCCAAUACCUGCAUCUUUCAAUAGAUCAAGUGCAUACUUCCUUUGGGAAAUGAACAAUCCUUCCUUAGAUCUACACAACUCAAUUCCAAGGAAGUAUUUCAUUUCUCCUAAGUCUUUAAUUUCAAACACAGAUUUUAAAAACUCCUUUGUGGCUUUUAUACCAUCCUUAUCACUACCUGUUAUGAUGAUAUCAUCCACAUAAACAAGUAGACAGAUGAUACCUGAGUGUGUAGUGAGAGUGAAGAGAGUAUGAUCAAGCUCAGACUUUCUAAAGCCACGCCCAUUCAAUGUUGUGCUUAGUUUGUUGUACCAAGCUCUAGGAGACUGUUUUAAACCAUAAAUGGCCUUCUUCAAUCUCAACACAUUUCCUGGCUUUACAAGACCUUCAAGACCUGGUGGGGGAUGCAUGUAUACUUCAUCUUCUAGUUCACCUUGAAGAAAUGCAUUCUUCACAUCCAUUUGCCACAGAUCCCACUCAAGGUUCACAGCCAAGGAUAGUACUAUCCUAAUUGUGUGAAGCUUAGCAACUGGGGCAAAGGUAUCAAUGUAAUCCUCUCCAUAGGUCUGAGUAUAGCCUCUUGCAACUAGCCUUGUCUUGCGCCUCUCUAUCUGUCCAUUAGGAAGGUAUUUGAUUGUAAAUAUCCAUCUGCUUGUUACUACCUUCUUCCCUUUAGGUAACUCACUUUCAUACCAUGUAUCAUUCUUUAUCAUAGCUCCUGAUUCAUCCCCAACUGAUUCUCUCCACUCUUUAUGCAUCAUGGCUUCCUCAUAUGAUCUUGGAACAAAAUUCUUAUCCAAACUCACCAUGAAUGCACAAUGCUCUUGAGGGAACUCAGCAAAGGAACACACAGCUUGGGAGGGAUGCUCCACAGCCUGGGCAUUGUAGUACACUCUCGUGUUUACCCAGUUGGAAGUAUCCCUCUUUAGCCGUGUACUUCUUCUUAAAGGAACCGGAACAGGCUCCAUAACAGCCGCAGGCUCUACACCUUCUCCCUCAACUUCAUUGGUUUCAAUCUGAUCUUCUUGAGUAGAUUCUUCUUCACUUAGUGUCACUCCUUGAACAUGAUUAUCUGAGUCUUGAUCUUCAUGAUCUCCAGGCUCAGGUUCGUUUCCCCCUUCAUGAUCAAGGUGUGAUGAUUCUUCAGCUUCAUUAGUACUUGUUGGUUGCUGAUCCUGGGACAUGUUGAUCCCAAGUCAUUCUAGCACACGCCUAAGACUUGUAGCUUUAUCAGAUGGCUGAGACAAAUCUUCAAGAUCUUCCCACUUCCUAUCUCCAUAAAAACUCUUAUCUUCCAAAAACUUGACAUCUCUAGACACAAGAACCCUCCUGGCAUCUGAAUCAUAGCAUUUGUACCCUUUCUGUGAUGUUGAGUAGCCAAUGAACAUAGCUCUUGUACUCUUUGCUUUUAACUUAUUCCUUAGCUCUCCGGGUACAAGCACAAAGCACACACACCCAAAUACUCUUAAGUGAUCCAGUACUGGCUUGCUUCUGUUUAGAACUUCGUAGGGUGCUUGAUCCUCCAAAAUCUUUGUUGGUAUCCUAUUAAUUAGAUAGCAAGCAGAGAUCACAGCAUCACUCCAAAACCUCUUUGGUACACUUGUGUGAAACAUCAUAGACCUUGCCACCUCCAUUAGGUGUCUGUUCUUCCUCUCAGCAACUCCAUUCUGUUGAGGAGUGUAGGGACAGCUUGUCUGAUGAAGAAUCCCAUGUUGAGCUAGAUGGUUCUUGAAUGCAUUGCCAGUAUACUCUCCACCAUUAUCAGACCUGAAAAUCUUAAUCUUGGCAUUAUACUGGUUAGAUACAUAAGACUGGAAGUUUUUAAAUGCAUCAAGAACCCUAUCCUUUGUUUUAAUGAGUGUUAUCCAGGUGUAUUUAGAUUUUUCAUCUAUGAAUGUGACAAAGUACUUGUAGUUAUCUCUAGAUAAACAGGGAGCAGUCCAUACAUCAGAGUGAAUAAGAUCAAAGCAAUUAUCAUAGAUAGUAGUAGAUCUUUUAAACACAGUCUUACAAUGUUUUCCCAAAAUACAAGCCUCACAAUCAUUAUUUUUAAACAUGACACCUGGUAACAUUAAGCUUAAGGCUCUAACAUGUGGAUGUCCUAGCCUAGAAUGCCAUAAUGCACCUUUACUUAAAACAGAACUCAACAAACAACUAGAAAUGGGGGUAAUGUCUUCAAGUAAAUAAAGAUCCCCUUUGGUUACUCCUUGCCCAAUCAACUUACUGCUCUCAAUAUCCUGAAAUUUCACAUCAUUAGGACUAAAGAUAACAUUGCAUUGAAGAUCAUUAGUACAUCUCUCGACAGAUAAUAGAUUAGAAGUAAACUCAGGCAUGUAAAAGGCUUUAGAAUUCUUAUCAAACAGUUUUAAAUCUCCUAUUCCUCUAAUGGGGAUUCUAUCUCCAUUUGCAAUCAUUACAUGUCCUUGAGCUGGUUCUAUGUUUUUAAUAAGACUAUCAUCACUAAUCAUAUGGUGAGAUGCACCAGAAUCAAUAAUCAAUGGUUUUAUUCCUCUAGCAAGAUGAGUUCUAGGUGAUUUGUUUCUCAGUUUCAACUCACUAAUGAUAUCCAGUAAUCUAUUCUCAUUCCUAGGCAUUGUAUGAGCAGUAUAUGAGUAUCCAUGAGUGUUUCCGAAUGUACCAGACUCCUUAAGAGCUUUGAUGAGGGCAUCAAUGUCUGAUUUCCUGAUCACUUCAUGAUCCAAGCUCCUUGUGGCCGCGUAAUGAGUUGCCAUAGCUCUUCCUGUGCUUUCUCCCACUUGUGCAUUUGUGCCUGCUCCUGAUGAACCGGCUUCACUUGCUUCAGCAGACAGGUUAGCUCUAGCUUCUCGUUCUUUGUUAAACUUGGCCGGCUUGAGAUGGGGAUGUAGGAUCCAGCAUUGGCUCCUUUUGUGCCCUGGCUUCUUGCAGUGAUCGCAGUUGCCUCCAAACCGUCUGUCAUCACCAUACUUCCUCUCAUCAUUCUUGUAUGCUGCUCGGUUUGCUUGUGCUGCUUCCUCAGCCUUGUUGGCUAAAGACAGGUCCCCCUUGCUACCAAAGAGACCGAGAGACCCUUCCUCCUUCUGAAUCAGUGCACACACUUCCUCCAUGGAUGGCAGAUUCGGCAUCCUUAGAACGUGCUUGAUCACAUCGUUAAAUGGAGCAUCCAACGUCAACAACAAUCCAAACACCUGAUCUUGCUCCCGCCUUUCCAUAAGCAGCUCCUGAUCAGUUUUGCUUGGCCUCAAUGUUUCAAGCUCAGACCACAAGGAUCUAUACUUGCCUAGAUGUUUGGUGAACUCCUCUCCAUCUUGUACAAGCAUGUUGAUGGCUCUCUUGAGCUCAAACACCCUGCUUAGAUUGGUAAUGUUCCCAAAUGUCUUUUGGAGUGUCUCCCACAGGUGCUUUGGAGUCUCGCAGUAGCUGUAGGCUUCCAAGAGAUGUUCUUCAAGUGACCCUUGCAGCACAGAUAGCACCAUCAAGUCAUCCUGAAUCCAUUUCUUUCCAUCAGUCACCGCGAGCUCUCUUCCACCUUCUUCCGUACUGGCCACUGGUGCUGGAGCUUCAUCCGUGAUGUGACUCCAUAACCCUAGCCUCCCAAUGGCUGUCUUCACAAGCCUUGACCACAACAGGUAGUUUCCCCCACCCUUUAGUGAAAUCGGAACCGUGAUAACCUUGUUCCCUCCCAUCUUGAGUUGUUUGAUCGUUCCUUAGAACCCAACGAGAAUAAUCUUUAUCUGAAGCUGAAGAACCCAAGAUCUCAAUACCAAAGACAACCUGGCUCUGAUACCAUGAAAGUUUAGAGAAUAAGAAAGGUAUUGAGAGAUUAGAGAGAGUUUAAGAGUGAUUAUGAGAGAUUAAGGUGUUUAGGUGUAAUCGUAUGAGAUGAUCAUGAUGAACUUAAGAGAGAAACUCAUAAACUCUUGUGUUAUCUUAUUAAUCAAUCAGGUUACAAUAUAUAUAUGAGAGAGAGCUAGGGCAUUUCGAAAUACAAGCAUGUGAAGUCAAGGAUAAGAUGAGAGACUAUGGGAAAAGUAACCAAUGGGAUGAGCCACAUGCUUGGACACCUUUUGCUUUUACUUUCCAGGCUGUCCUUAGCUGUAGCCGCGCCUUAUCCAUCUGAUUCAACGGACUGAUUGUGGAUAAGGCUGUAACAAAGCUAAACUCCCAAGUUAACUCCCCUUAGGUAACUUUGGACCAUCUCCAUUACCCUAACUGUACGGCCUUGCCUUGUACGGACACCUCAACCAUAUUCACCUCAACUCUUCUAUCCUUCUCUAAUACUCCAUGCCUUCACCCUGAUACCUCUUCUUUUCUCUUAUUUUGUUCAACACUCCCCCUCAAGCUUGUCUAUAGGAACUAGCCAAGCUUGGAAAGGUCUAUCCUUCUCUAAUACUCCAUGCCUUCACCCUGAUACCUCUUCUCUUCUCUUAUUUUGUUCAACAUCUUGGUGAUUGAUCAAGCUUGGAAGCCAUGAGAUCUUCCUCAUUAAAAACCUCAUCAAAGAAAACCCAUUGGGACAAAACUUUGAUGAGGGAAAAAGAGUAAAGGUCUCAUGGCUAAGGGGAUCAGCUCCUUUGUGUGAGAUCUAUGAGUCCCAAUCUGAUGUGAAUGGACUCCAUAGUCUUCUGUCUUGCAGCCUUGGUGAACACAUCUGCUAAUUGAUCCUCACUCCGAGUGUAGCAUGGUAAGAUCACCCCCAAGACAAUCAUCUGUCUCACUUUGUGACAAUCAACCUCAAUAUGCUUGGUUCUCUCAUGGAAUACUGAGUUUGUUGCGAUGUGUAUGGCGGCUUGGUUGUCACAAUGCAUAGUCAUUGGAGUAGCUUGCUCAAUCUCCAAAUGCUUUAAGAUUCCCUUGAUCCAUACCAGUUCGUUUGUGAGCUUCAGCAUGGCUCUAUACUCAGCUUCAGCACUGGAACAGGCCACCACCUUCUGUUUCUUGCUCUUCCAUGUCACUAAGUUGCCUCCAAUGAAUGUACAAUAGCCGGUAGUUGAUCUUCUGUCAGCUCUAUCACCUGCCCAAUCCGCAUCACAGUAGCCUACCACUUCAGUACUCUUGUUGCAACCCAUCCAAACUCCAAGGCCCUUUGUUCCGUUUAGAUACAUCAGUAGCCUCUCCACCAUGUGCCAAUGAUGUUCCUUUGGAACUUGCAUAUGCUGGCUCACUUGAUUCACAGCAAAGCAUACAUCUGGUCUUGUAAUGGUAAGGUAGAUCAGCUUCCCUACCAUCUUCCUAUACAGCUUCGGAUCAUGGAAAGGCUUGCUAUCUUCAAUCUCCCCCUCACGUGGAAGCUUGUAGCCAUCCUCAAGAGGCAUCCUUGCUGUUUUAUCUCCAAUACCUGCAUCUUUCAAUAGAUCAAGUGCAUACUUCCUUUGGGAAAUGAACAAUCCUUCCUUAGAUCUACACAACUCAAUUCCAAGGAAGUAUUUCAUUUCUCCUAAGUCUUUAAUUUCAAACACAGAUUUUAAAAACUCCUUUGUGGCUUUUAUACCAUCCUUAUCACUACCUGUUAUGAUGAUAUCAUCCACAUAAACAAGUAGACAGAUGAUACCUGAUUGUGUAGUGAGAGUGAAGAGAGUAUGAUCAAGCUCAGACUUUCUAAAGCCACGCCCAUUCAAUGUUGUGCUUAGUUUGUUGUACCAAGCUCUAGGAGACUGUUUUAAACCAUAAAUGGCCUUCUUCAAUCUCAACACAUUUCCUGGCUUUACAAGACCUUCAAGACCUGGUGGGGGAUGCAUGUAUACUUCAUCUUCUAGUUCACCUUGAAGAAAUGCAUUCUUCACAUCCAUUUGCCACAGAUCCCACUCAAGGUUCACAGCCAAGGAUAGUACUAUCCUAAUUGUGUGAAGCUUAGCAACUGGGGCAAAGGUAUCAAUGUAAUCCUCUCCAUAGGUCUGAGUAUAGCCUCUUGCAACUAGCCUUGUCUUGCGCCUCUCUAUCUGUCCAUUAGGAAGGUAUUUGAUUGUAAAUAUCCAUCUGCUUGUUACUACCUUCUUCCCUUUAGGUAACUCACUUUCAUACCAUGUAUCAUUCUUUAUCAUAGCUCCUGAUUCAUCCCCAACUGAUUCUCUCCACUCUUUAUGCAUCAUGGCUUCCUCAUAUGAUCUUGGAACAAAAUUCUUAUCCAAACUCACCAUGAAUGCACAAUGCUCUUGAGGGAACUCAGCAAAGGAACACACAGCUUGGGAGGGAUGCUCCACAGCCUGGGCAUUGUAGUACACUCUCGUGUUUACCCAGUUGGAAGUAUCCCUCUUUAGCCGUGUACUUCUUCUUAAAGGAACCGGAACAGGCUCCAUAACAGCCGCAGGCUCUACACCUUCUCCCUCAACUUCAUUGGUUUCAAUCUGAUCUUCUUGAGUAGAUUCUUCUUCACUUAGUGUCACUCCUUGAACAUGAUUAUCUGAGUCUUGAUCUUCAUGAUCUCCAGGCUCAGGUUCGUUUCCCCCUUCAUGAUCAAGGUGUGAUGAUUCUUCAGCUUCAUUAGUACUUGUUGGUUGCUGAUCCUGGGACAUGUUGAUCCCAAGUCAUUCUAGCACACGCCUAAGACUUGUAGCUUUAUCAGAUGGCUGAGACAAAUCUUCAAGAUCUUCCCACUUCCUAUCUCCAUAAAAACUCUUAUCUUCCAAAAACUUGACAUCUCUAGACACAAGAACCCUCCUGGCAUCUGAAUCAUAGCAUUUGUACCCUUUCUGUGAUGUUGAGUAGCCAAUGAACAUAGCUCUUGUACUCUUUGCUUUUAACUUAUUCCUUAGCUCUCCGGGUACAAGCACAAAGCACACACACCCAAAUACUCUUAAGUGAUCCAGUACUGGCUUGCUUCUGUUUAGAACUUCGUAGGGUGCUUGAUCCUCCAAAAUCUUUGUUGGUAUCCUAUUAAUUAGAUAGCAAGCAGAGAUCACAGCAUCACUCCAAAACCUCUUUGGUACACUUGUGUGAAACAUCAUAGACCUUGCCACCUCCAUUAGGUGUCUGUUCUUCCUCUCAGCAACUCCAUUCUGUUGAGGAGUGUAGGGACAGCUUGUCUGAUGAAGAAUCCCAUGUUGAGCUAGAUGGUUCUUGAAUGCAUUGCCAGUAUACUCUCCACCAUUAUCAGACCUGAAAAUCUUAAUCUUGGCAUUAUACUGGUUAGAUACAUAAGACUGGAAGUUUUUAAAUGCAUCAAGAACCCUAUCCUUUGUUUUAAUGAGUGUUAUCCAGGUGUAUUUAGAUUUUUCAUCUAUGAAUGUGACAAAGUACUUGUAGUUAUCUCUAGAUAAACAGGGAGCAGUCCAUACAUCAGAGUGAAUAAGAUCAAAGCAAUUAUCAUAGAUAGUAGUAGAUCUUUUAAACACAGUCUUACAAUGUUUUCCCAAAAUACAAGCCUCACAAUCAUUAUUUUUAAACAUGACACCUGGUAACAUUAAGCUUAAGGCUCUAACAUGUGGAUGUCCUAGCCUAGAAUGCCAUAAUGCACCUUUACUUAAAACAGAACUCAACAAACAACUAGAAAUGGGGGUAAUGUCUUCAAGUAAAUAAAGAUCCCCUUUGGUUACUCCUUGCCCAAUCAACUUACUGCUCUCAAUAUCCUGAAAUUUCACAUCAUUAGGACUAAAGAUAACAUUGCAUUGAAGAUCAUUAGUACAUCUCUCGACAGAUAAUAGAUUAGAAGUAAACUCAGGCAUGUAAAAGGCUUUAGAAUUCUUAUCAAACAGUUUUAAAUCUCCUAUUCCUCUAAUGGGGAUUCUAUCUCCAUUUGCAAUCAUUACAUGUCCUUGAGCUGGUUCUAUGUUUUUAAUAAGACUAUCAUCACUAAUCAUAUGGUGAGAUGCACCAGAAUCAAUAAUCAAUGGUUUUAUUCCUCUAGCAAGAUGAGUUCUAGGUGAUUUGUUUCUCAGUUUCAACUCACUAAUGAUAUCCAGUAAUCUAUUCUCAUUCCUAGGCAUUGUAUGAGCAGUAUAUGAGUAUCCAUGAGUGUUUCCGAAUGUACCAGACUCCUUAAGAGCUUUGAUGAGGGCAUCAAUGUCUGAUUUCCUGAUCACUUCAUGAUCCAAGCUCCUUGUGGCCGCGUAAUGAGUUGCCAUAGCUCUUCCUGUGCUUUCUCCCACUUGUGCAUUUGUGCCUGCUCCUGAUGAACCGGCUUCACUUGCUUCAGCAGACAGGUUAGCUCUAGCUUCUCGUUCUUUGUUAAACUUGGCCGGCUUGAGAUGGGGAUGUAGGAUCCAGCAUUGGCUCCUUUUGUGCCCUGGCUUCUUGCAGUGAUCGCAGUUGCCUCCAAACCGUCUGUCAUCACCAUACUUCCUCUCAUCAUUCUUGUAUGCUGCUCGGUUUGCUUGUGCUGCUUCCUCAGCCUUGUUGGCUAAAGACAGGUCCCCCUUGCUACCAAAGAGACCGAGAGACCCUUCCUCCUUCUGAAUCAGUGCACACACUUCCUCCAUGGAUGGCAGAUUCGGCAUCCUUAGAACGUGCUUGAUCACAUCGUUAAAUGGAGCAUCCAACGUCAACAACAAUCCAAACACCUGAUCUUGCUCCCGCCUUUCCAUAAGCAGCUCCUGAUCAGUUUUGCUUGGCCUCAAUGUUUCAAGCUCAGACCACAAGGAUCUAUACUUGCCUAGAUGUUUGGUGAACUCCUCUCCAUCUUGUACAAGCAUGUUGAUGGCUCUCUUGAGCUCAAACACCCUGCUUAGAUUGGUAAUGUUCCCAAAUGUCUUUUGGAGUGUCUCCCACAGGUGCUUUGGAGUCUCGCAGUAGCUGUAGGCUUCCAAGAGAUGUUCUUCAAGUGACCCUUGCAGCACAGAUAGCACCAUCAAGUCAUCCUGAAUCCAUUUCUUUCCAUCAGUCACCGCGAGCUCUCUUCCACCUUCUUCCGUACUGGCCACUGGUGCUGGAGCUUCAUCCGUGAUGUGACUCCAUAACCCUAGCCUCCCAAUGGCUGUCUUCACAAGCCUUGACCACAACAGGUAGUUUCCCCCACCCUUUAGUGAAAUCGGAACCGUGAUAACCUUGUUCCCUCCCAUCUUGAGUUGUUUGAUCGUUCCUUAGAACCCAACGAGAAUAAUCUUUAUCUGAAGCUGAAGAACCCAAGAUCUCAAUACCAAAGACAACCUGGCUCUGAUACCAUGAAAGUUUAGAGAAUAAGAAAGGUAUUGAGAGAUUAGAGAGAGUUUAAGAGUGAUUAUGAGAGAUUAAGGUGUUUAGGUGUAAUCGUAUGAGAUGAUCAUGAUGAACUUAAGAGAGAAACUCAUAAACUCUUGUGUUAUCUUAUUAAUCAAUCAGGUUACAAUAUAUAUAUGAGAGAGAGCUAGGGCAUUUCGAAAUACAAGCAUGUGAAGUCAAGGAUAAGAUGAGAGACUAUGGGAAAAGUAACCAAUGGGAUGAGCCACAUGCUUGGACACCUUUUGCUUUUACUUUCCAGGCUGUCCUUAGCUGUAGCCGCGCCUUAUCCAUCUGAUUCAACGGACUGAUUGUGGAUAAGGCUGUAACAAAGCUAAACUCCNNNNNNNNNNNNNNNNNNNNNNNNNNNNNNNNNNNNNNNNNNNNNNNNNNNNNNNNNNNNNNNNNNNNNNNNNNNNNNNNNNNNNNNNNNNNNNNNNNNNNNNNNNNNNNNNNNNNNNNNNNNNNNNNNNNNNNNNNNNNNNNNNNNNNNNNNNNNNNNNNNNNNNNNNNNNNNNNNNNNNNNNNNNNNNNNNNNNNNNNNNNNNNNNNNNNNNNNNNNNNNNNNNNNNNNNNNNNNNNNNNNNNNNNNNNNNNNNNNNNNNNNNNNNNNNNNNNNNNNNNNNNNNNNNNNNNNNNNNNNNNNNNNNNNNNNNNNNNNNNNNNNNNNNNNNNNNNNNNNNNNNNNNNNNNNNNNNNNNNNNNNNNNNNNNNNNNNNNNNNNNNNNNNNNNNNNNNNNNNNNNNNNNNNNNNNNNNNNNNNNNNNNNNNNNNNNNNNNNNNNNNNNNNNNNNNNNNNNNNNNNNNNNNNNNNNNNNNNNNNNNNNNNNNNNNNNNNNNNNNNNNNNNNNNNNNNNNNNNNNNNNNNNNNNNNNNNNNNNNNNNNNNNNNNNNNNNNNNNNNNNNNNNNNNNNNNNNNNNNNNNNNNNNNNNNNNNNNNNNNNNNNNNNNNNNNNNNNNNNNNNNNNNNNNNNNNNNNNNNNNNNNNNNNNNNNNNNNNNNNNNNNNNNNNNNNNNNNNNNNNNNNNNNNNNNNNNNNNNNNNNNNNNNNNNNNNNNNNNNNNNNNNNNNNNNNNNNNNNNNNNNNNNNNNNNNNNNNNNNNNNNNNNNNNNNNNNNNNNNNNNNNNNNNNNNNNNNNNNNNNNNNNNNNNNNNNNNNNNNNNNNNNNNNNNNNNNNNNNNNNNNNNNNNNNNNNNNNNNNNNNNNNNNNNNNNNNNNNNNNNNNNNNNNNNNNNNNNNNNNNNNNNNNNNNNNNNNNNNNNNNNNNNNAGAGAGACUAAGCAUGUGAGGUCAAGGAUAAGGUUGCUUUAAUUCAAACUUGAUCCAAUGGGAGCUGUCACACGUUUUUGGCAUCUUGGACCAGGUUCCUUUUGCCUUUACAGCCUGUUCCAGCCUGUGUGGAUAAGGCUCAGUCACUCUAUCCAUCCAAACGGUCAUCUCCCCUAAGGUAAAACUCCUUUGGCCGUUUACUUCUUUCACGCGGUAACUUCUCCUCUUGGUCGAGUGGUGGAUUGAUCCGGACCGUACGGAUGGUACGGCCGGUACGGCCUUGUACGGUCUGAUCACUCCCAAGCUUUCCUUCUCUUUGCCUUCACAUUAUCUCAUUCCCAACUCCUUAAGCUAUCUUCUCAUAUAUUGUUCAACUCAUUUCAACACUCCCCCUCAAGCUUAACUUAGUAACUUAGUUAAGCUUGGAACAACCAUGAGAUCUUCCUCAUUAAAAACCUCACCAAAGAAAACCCAUUGGGACAAAACUUUGAUGAGGGAAAAAGAGUGAAAAGCUCAUGGCUAAGGGGAUCAGCUCCGUGGUGUAAGAUCUAUGAGUCCCAAUCUGAUGUGAAUGGACUCCAUAGUCUUUUGUCUUGCUGCCUUGGUGAACACAUCCGCAAGUUGAUCCUCACUCCUCGUAUAGCAUGGCAGGAUUACUCCCAAGACAAUCAUCUGCCUCACCUUGUGACAAUCAACUUCAAUGUGCUUGGUUCUCUCAUGGAAGACUGAGUUGGUUGCAAUGUGUAUAGCCGCUUGAUUAUCACAGUGCAUAGUCAUUGGAGUCACUUGCUCUAUCUCCAAAUGCUUCAAGAUCCCUUUAAUCCAUACCAACUCAUUUGUAAGCUUCAGCAUUGCUCUAUACUCAGCUUCAGCACUUGAACACGAUACCACCUUCUGCUUCUUGCUCUUCCAAGUCACCAAGUUGCCUCCAAUGAAUGUACAAUAGCCGGUGGUUGAUCUUCUGUCUGCUCUAUCUCCAGCCCAAUCAGCGUCACAAUAUCCCACCACUUCAGUACUCUUGUUGCAUCCCAUCCAUACUCCAAGGCUUGAUGUCCCGUUCAGAUACAAGAGAAGUCUCUCCACCAUGCGCCAGUGAUGUUCCUUUGGGACUUGCAUAUGCUGGCUCACUUGAUUCACAGCAAAGCAUAUGUCUGGUCUUGUGAUAGUGAGAUAGAUGAGCUUCCCUACCAGCUUCUUGUAUAGCUUUGGAUCAUGAAAGGCCUUGCUAUCUUCAACCUCCCCCUCACGUGGAAUCUUGUAUCCAUCUUCAAGGGGCAUCUUUGCUGUCUUAUCUCCUUGUAUACCUGCAUCUUUCAAAAGAUCAAGUGUAUACUUCCUUUGGGAAAUGAACAAUCCUUCCUUAGAUCUACACAACUCAAUUCCAAGGAAGUAUUUCAUUUCUCCUAAGUCUUUGAUUUCAAAUACAGAUUUCAAAAACUCCUUUGUGGCUUUUAUACCAGCCUUAUCACUACCUGUUAUUAUAAUGUCAUCAACAUAUACAAGUAGGCAAAUGAUACCUGAGGGUGUAGUGAGAGUGAAUAGAGUGUGAUCUAGUUCAGACUUCUUGAACCCCCGUCCGUUUAAGGUAGUGCUCAAUUUGUUGUACCAUGCUCUAGGAGAUUGCUUCAAUCCAUAGAUAGCCUUCUUGAGUCUCAAUACAUUUCCAGGUUUCACAAGAUGCUCUAGGCCUGGUGGUGGAUGCAUAUAUACUUCAUCCUCUAGCUCUCCUUGAAGAAAGGCAUUCUUCACAUCCAUCUGCCAAAGCUCCCACUCAAGGUUCACAGCAAGAGACAAUACAAUCCUUAUAGUAUGUAGCUUGGCAACAGGAGCAAAGGUAUCAAUGUAGUCUUCCCCAUAUGUUUGAGUGUAUCCUCUAGCCACCAAUCUUGUCUUCUUCCUCUCAAUGGUUCCAUCAGGUAGAUACUUGAUAGUGAAUAUCCACUUGCUUGUUACAGCCUUCUUCCCUUUUGGCAACUCACUUUCAAACCAAGUAUCAUUCUUUAUCAUAGCAUUAGCUUCAUCACCCACUGAUUCUUUCCAAUCUUCAUGUAGCAUUGCUUCUUCAUAUGAUCUUGGUACACUACUUCCAUCUAAGCUUGUAAUGAAAGCGCAAUGUUCCUUUGGGUAACUAGCAAAAGAACACACAGCCUGAGAGGGAUGCUUCACAGCCUGAGCAUUGUAGUACACUCUCGUGUUUACCCAGUUGGAAACAUCCUUCUUCAACCGUGUGCUUCUCCUUAAUGGAACUGGUUCCACCUCCACCACCGUAGGCUGAACUGCUUCCCCUUCUACUUCAUCUGGUUCCAUUUCUUGAAUGACUUCUUCCUCGCUUUGUAUCACACCUUGACCAUGACUAUCUGAGUCUUGAUCUUCAUGAUCUUCAGGCUCGGUCUCAUUUCCCCCUUCAUGAUCAUGGUGUGAUGGUUCUUCAGCUUCAUUCUCCUUGGUUGGUUGCUGAUCCUGGGACAUGUUGAUUCCAAGUCCUUCUAGUACACGCCUAAGACUUGUAGCUCUAUCAGAUGGUUGAGACAAAUCUUCAAGAUCUUCCCACUUUCUAUCUCCAUAAAAGCUCUUAUCCUCCAAGAACUUAACAUCUCUAGACACAAGAACUCUCCUGGCUUCUGAAUCAUAGCAUUUAUAUCCCUUUUGUGAUGAUGAGUAGCCAAUGAACAUGGCUCUUGUGCUCUUUGCUUCUAGCUUAUUCCUUAGCUCCCUGGGUACGAGUACAAAGCACACACAUCCAAAGACUCUUAAGUGAUCCAGCAGAGGUUUGUUUCUGUUUAGAACUUCAUAAGGUGCCUGAUCCUCCAAGAUCUUGGUUGGUAUCCUAUUGAUCAGAUAACAAGCCGAGAUCACAGCAUCACUCCAGAAUCUUUUAGGCACACUUGUGUGAAACAUCAUAGACCUUGCCACCUCCAUUAGGUGUCUAUUCUUUCUCUCGGCUACACCAUUCUGUUGAGGAGUGUACGGACAACUUGUCUGAUGUAGAAUCCCAUGGUGAGCUAGAUGACUCUUGAAAGCAUUACCAGUAUAUUCUCCACCAUUAUCAGACCUGAAAAUCUUAAUCUUGGCAUUAUACUGGUUAGAUAUAUAAGCUUGGAAGUUUUUAAAUGCAUCAAGAACCCUAUCCUUUGUUUUAAUGAGUGUUAUCCAGGUGUACUUAGAUUUUUCAUCUAUAAAUGUGACAAAGUACUUGUAAUUAUCUCUAGAUAAGCAGGGAGCAGUCCAUACAUCAGAGUGAACAAGAUCAAAACACUUAUCAUAGAUAGUAGUAGAUCUUUUAAACACAGUCUUACAAUGUUUUCCCAAAAUACAAGCCUUACAAUCAUUAUUUUUAAACAUGACACCUGGUAACAUUAAGCUUAAGGCUCUAACAUGUGGAUGUCCUAGCCUAGAAUGCCAUAAUGCUGUUGAGAUAAGGAGAUGAAGAGUUGAUACAUGGAUAGAGGAAGGGAUUUGGAGCAGGCAGUAACUUUGGUGAUUUACCACAGUAACUUUAUUGUUACUGUGGUAACUGAGUUAUAAGACUUGGGAAGUUACCUUGCACCUAUUUGGAGAGUGAAACACGCCAGGGGGAGUAUGGAUAAGCAAGGAGGAGUUUGGAUAAGGUCUGGUCAAGGGAAGAAAGCUUUAGACAGGCUGGCACAGCUGGAAAGCUAAAGCAAGAUACCCAAGCAUGUGAGGAACCUUAUUGGCUAGUUUGAAUAAGGCAUCUUUGACUACACAUGCUUCUUAUCCUAGCUAGACUGAACCUGGACGUUUUUAUGUAUCCCUACUCUAUAUAUGUUGUAAACUCUCUCAUUAAUCAAUCUAAUGGAGUUUUGAGUAUUCUCUAUUGUUCUUUAUUCUCUUAGUCUCUCUUAAAUCUCCAAAUCUACACUAAUCAUCUCUUGAUAUAUUCAUCACUCUACAUACACAAAAGUGUUUAUGGUAUCAGAGCCAGGUUGGCAAGGAAGGGAGUGGUGAUUUGCGAGAAUCUGUUAUGUGUUCUUUAGCUGUUCUUGAGCUGUUCUUGAGCUGUUCUUCAGUUUCUGGGUAUUUGGGAGGUUGUCUGGUCGAUUCAAGCAACCUCAACAGGAGAUGAAGAACAGGUUUAGUAAAUCUUUGGGGCGUGAAGAAGAAAUGGAUGGAGUGUGUUCAAGAUGGAUAAAGGGAGCUUUGGAAAGCUGUGGGUUAUGGAGCAGUCAUGGAAAGGGGAAACCUUUCAUGGAAAUGGCUACUGAAGAAGGUCAGACAAGAGGUCUGAAUCUGGGAAAUGAAGUUGUUCAAGGAGACACUACAAAGAGUGAGAUUGAAGCAACUUUAGGCAAGUCCAAGCUGUAAGAGUCGUUGAGGACAAAGGGAUGAUCCGCGGCUUGAGACAAGGAAGGGAUGAGUGUUAUCAGCUUGUGGGAAGGCUGAGAGAAGUAUGGUCAGAGUUAGAUGUGGUGAAGGCACACACAUCAAAUCCGAGAUGUGGUCAAGAAAGGAGGAAGCAAGAUGUGAUCUUUGGCUUCCUUAUGGAAGAGGUAUGUGAGCUUGUUAAACACAAUUGUGAUGUGUGGGAGAUGAACAGGAAACCAGAAAGAUGGAAGGGAGGUACAAGCUGUAAGAAGGGAAGGUUGAGAAAACUUUCUAAGGAGUGGUUAAUGAAGAGAAGGGCAUGGAGAAAGGGUAGCGAGUCUGAGCACUUAAGUGACAGGAUGAGUGUGAUCUUGAAGAGAAUCAAGGAUAUACUUCAGCAGAUGGUUAUAGGAGAGUGUUCAUACUCAGCUUACUUGGGAGAAUCAGUAGAAGAUGUUGUAAGUACAAGGAGGCAGGAGACCAAAGGAGGAGAGGAUCCAAUCACAAAGAAAGAAUGGGAUGAGUUUGUUAAGUGUGUGUAUGAACUGGUUGCAAGAAAGAAGCAAGGUGCUCUAGCUGCAAGUGAGAAGCAAAGCGAUUCCUACACAGCCUCUAAACCUAUCAUAAUUGAUUCUGGAGGAACACAUCAUAUGAUCAGUGAUAGGAGUCUGAUAAGUGAUGUCAGGGCUGCAACAGGGUGUGUUACCAUAGCUAAUGGCGCUCAGAUCCCAGUAGAAGGAAUGGGAAACCUCAAGCUGUUUGAGAAGAGCUCAACCGCCUUAUAUCUGCCUCAGUUCACUUCAAAUCUGAUAUCUGUUAAGAAAGCUACAAUUGAUCUGGAUUGUCAAGUAGUAUUCAGGCCAAAUGAAGUUGAGUUUCAAGAUUUGAAGACUGGAAGAGUUAUUGGCAGAGGGGACAGCAAGCAUCACUUAUAUCAUCUCCAAACAGCUAAGACUCUUAAUCCCAUUAACUCUAUGUGCCUGAGUAGUGCUGCUGAUAGGUGUGAUAGUAUGACUUGGCAUGCUAGAUUAGGACAUCCUCAUGCUCGUGCAAUUGAGUUAAUCAUGCCUAAUAUGUCAUUUAAUCACUUGGAGUGUGAAGCAUGCAUAUUAGGAAAGCAUUGUAGGACUGUCUUUCCAGCAUCAGAGACUAUAUAUGAGCAUUGCUUUGAUCUAGUUCACUCAGAUGUGUGGACAUCUCCGUGUGAGUCUAGGGAUAGCCAGAAGUACUUUGUAACUUUUAUUGAUGAGAAAUCAAAGUAUACAUGGGUCACUUUGAUUCCCUCUAAAGAUAGAGUCCUAGAAGCCUUUAUGAACUUCCAAGCAUAUGUAACUAAUCAAUACAAUGCUACUGUGAAGGUGCUAAGAUCUGAUAAUGGAGGAGAAUACACUAGCAAUGCAUUCAAGAGUUAUCUAGCAAAGCAUGGGAUUGUGCAGCAGACAAGCUGUCCUUACACACCACAGCAAAAUGGGGUGGCUGAGAGAAAGAAUAGGCACUUGAUGGAGGUAGCAAGGUCAAUGAUGUUUCAUGCAAAUGUUCCAAAGAGGUUUUGGGGGGAUGCUGUUCAGACUGCAUGCUAUCUCAUCAACAGAGUUCCGACCAAGAUCCUAAAGAAUCUGUCUCCCUUUGAGGUAUUGAACAAGACUAAACCACACCUUGAUCAUUUGAGAGUCUUUGGGUGUUUAUGUUAUGUGAUGGUUCCCGGAGAGAGGAGGAACAAGCUAGAAGCAAAGAGUACUAAAGCUAUGUUCAUUGGGUACUCAAUCACUCAGAAAGGGUACAAAUGUUAUGAUCCAAUAACCAGGAGGGUUUUGGUAUCCAGAGAAGUGAAGUUUGUGGAGUCUAAAGGAUAUUAUGAGGAGAAGAAAUGGGAAGACCUAGAGGAUCUGUCCCGAGCUCCAACAGAGAAGGCAACAGCACUGAGAGUGUUGUUGGAGAGGCUAGGGAUAGGAUUAUCCCAAGAUCAGAAACCAGGAAGGAGAGAACCUUCUAACCAAGCUGGAGAAGCUGGAGAAACAACCCCUCUUCAUCAUGAGAGGGGGAAUGGAUCUGAAUCAGAGGAGCAGGAGCAAAACCAAGAGGAUUCAGGACAGCAUGAUCAUGAGGAGACACAUGAAGUAGAGAAUGUUGUUCAGUCUACUGGUACAGAGGAGAGUGAGGAUCAGUCAGAUGGAAAUGAGCAGGGAGAACCUACUGGCUUAGGAGAAGAAACACAAGAUAAUAUUCAGGCUGAAGAACACGUUGAGACCCUGCGGAGGAGCACAAGGAUAAAGAGGGAUCCUUCCAACUGGGUAAACACGAGAGUGUACUACAAUGCCCAGGCUGUGGAGCAUCCUUCUCAAGCUGUGUGUUCCUUUGCUGAGUUUCCAGAGGAGCAUCAUGCCUUUAUGAUUAGUCUGGAUGAGAGUUAUGUACCAAGGACUUAUGAAGAAGCUAUGUUAGACAAGGAAUGGAAAGAAUCAGUGGGAGCUGAAGCAGGUGCUAUGAUCAAAAAUGAUACAUGGUAUGAGAGUGAGCUGCCUAAGGGAAAGAAGGCUGUAUCUAGUAGAUNNNNNNNNNNNNNNNNNNAAUGAUACAUGGUAUGAGAGUGAGCUGCCUAAGGGAAAGAGGGCUGUAUCUAGUAGAUGGAUCUUCACAAUCAAGUAUCUAGCAAAUGGACAGAUUGAUAGGAAGAAGACCAGAUUGGUUGCAAGAGGAUUUACACAGACCUAUGGAGAGGAUUACAUUGAUACCUUUGCACCAGUAGCUAAGCUACAUACAGUUCGGAUUGUGUUGUCCAUUGCAACAAACUUGGAGUGGGAUUUGUGGCAGAUGGAUGUGAAGAAUGCUUUCUUACAAGGUGAGCUAGAAGAUGAGGUAUACAUGCUUCCUCCUCCUGGUCUUGAGCAUCUAGUAAAACCAGGAAAUGUUUUGAGAUUGAAGAAGGCAAUCUAUGGGCUAAAGCAGUCUCCUAGAGCUUGGUACAGGAAGCUGAGUACAACCCUGAAUGGCAGAGGAUUCAGGAAGUCUGAACUGGAUCAUACACUCUUCACUUUGGUUACUCCAUCAGGGAUCAUUGUGAUACUGGUAUAUGUGGAUGAUUUGAUUAUCACAGGGAGUGAUAAGGCUGGGAUUAAAGCCACUAAAGAGUUCCUCAAGUCUGUGUUUGACAUCAAAGACUUGGGAGAGAUGAAGUAUUUCUUGGGGAUUGAGAUAUGCAGAUCCAAGGAGGGUUUGUUUAUGUCUCAAAGGAAGUAUACAAUGGAUAUGCUGAAGGAGACUGAUGUACUUGGAGGAAAGGUAGCAAAGACACCUCUUGAGGAGGGGUAUAAGGUCUUGCGUGAGGGGGAGGUUGAAGAGAAGCAGUUGUUUGAGGAUCCUAAGCUAUACAGGAAGAUGGUUGGCAAGUUGAUCUACUUGACCAUCACACGGCCAGAUAUAUGUUUUGCAGUGAACCAAGUGAGUCAGCAUAUGCAGGCGCCAAAGGUACAUCACUGGAAGAUGGUUCAUAGGAUACUGAGGUAUUUGAGUGGCACGCCUGGUCAAGGAGUUUGGAUGGGUUGCAAUGGCAGUACAGAAGUGGUUGGGUAUUGUGAUGCUGAUUGGGCAGGAGAUAGAGUGGACAGGAGAUCAACUAAUGGAUAUUGUACAUUCAUUGGAGGGAACUUGGUUACUUGGAAGAGUAAGAAGCAAAAGGUUAUCUCUUGUUCAAGUGCUGAAGCUGAGUAUAGANNNNNNNNNNNNNNNNNNNNNNNNNNNNNNNNNNNNNNNNNNNNNNNNNNNNNNNNNNNNNNNNNNNNNNNNNNNNNNNNNNNNNNNNNNNNNNNNNNNNNNNNNNNNNNNNNNNNNNNNNNNNNNNNNNNNNNNNNNNNNNNNNNNNNNNNNNNNNNNNNNNNNNNNNNNNNNNNNNNNNNNNNNNNNNNNNNNNNNNNNNNNNNNNNNNNNNNNNNNNNNNNNNNNNNNNNNNNNNNNNNNNNNNNNNNNNNNNNNNNNNNNNNNNNNNNNNNNNNNNNNNNNNNNNNNNNNNNNNNNNNNNNNNNNNNNNNNNNNNNNNNNNNNNNNNNNNNNNNNNNNNNNNNNNNNNNNNNNNNNNNNNNNNNNNNNNNNNNNNNNNNNNNNNNNNNNNNNNNNNNNNNNNNNNNNNNNNNNNNNNNNNNNNNNNNNNNNNNNNNNNNNNNNNNNNNNNNNNNNNNNNNNNNNNNNNNNNNNNNNNNNNNNNNNNNNNNNNNNNNNNNNNNNNNNNNNNNNNNNNNNNNNNNNNNNNNNNNNNNNNNNNNNNNNNNNNNNNNNNNNNNNNNNNNNNNNNNNNNNNNNNNNNNNNNNNNNNNNNNNNNNNNNNNNNNNNNNNNNNNNNNNNNNNNNNNNNNNNNNNNNNNNNNNNNNNNNNNUUUUUAAAGCUUCUUUACUCAGCAUUUAGACAUGAAUCUAAUGCUUCAAUGUAAGACAGCCAUUUGACAGUAUGCACUAACCUUAUUCAGUUUCAAUUCAUGAAUGCAACAAUACAAUCCAUCACACAUUCAUUUAUAACUUAGGCUAAGCAUUACUAUCAUCACUUAUCAUCAGACAAUGCAUUACUUUCAAUCUGUUUUCAGUUCAUGAGCUUCAAACAAUACCAUUUCAUUUAGCAAACUCAUUACUUAACAGGAGCAAGCAUUUUACUCUUUAAACACUAAACAAGCCUUUAAAGCAUACUGGGACAGAUUCAACUAAUUUUAUUUAGCAAUCACACAUUAUCCUCAGGUUUUUCAAUCAAUACACAUCACAAUAACCAGGCACAGUCACACCACAAGCUCAAUAUCAAGAAGGUUUUAAAGUAUCGCUUACACAAGGAACCAGGUUGGUUCCUUAACCUUUCAUGAAACCGGCCAUGCUUUGUUGGUCUUGAGAGUGUGGAUCGUCACCCACCUCUUUCACCUUCUGUUCAUGGCCUCCAUCUUGUACCAUCAGCUUCAAAGACCCCUCCUUUCUUCAUCUCCACUAGGCGCCAAGCUCUUGACACCAUCUUCUUUGGAACCGGAUGUGAUCUUCUCUUGGACAAGGCGCCUUGGUACAAGGAUAGCUAGGCCUUGUCCAUACACCUUCGAUUCCACUGAGAAUCACCACCAGGACAGGAAGAGAACAGGAUGAGGAACCAUGAGAACUCGCCAAGCUUCAGUCUUCUUCUUCAUAGGAAGCUGAACCGGAUGGAGAGAGCUUCUAUGGUUUGGAUUUGAAUACUCAAAACUCCAUUAGAUUGAUUAAUGAGAGAGUUUACAACAUAUAUAGAUUAGGGAUACAUAAAUUCGUCCAGGUUCAGUCUAGUUAGGAUAAGAAGCAUGUGUAGUCAAAGUGUGAGAUUUGAGAGCUCUGGCUGUGUAUGUGUAAGAAAAGCCAUUAAAGGCAAAGAUAAGGUCUUGAACUAGUUGAAUAAGAGGUCUGAUGAAACUAGUAUGAACUUGAAUCAGAAACAAAGAGACUUUGAGAGAUUAAGAGAUUAGAGACUAAGAAAGGGGUAGAUUAAGGGAAUCUGAUCAAGAACACACUUUUAUAAUUAUGAAGGAGAUGGGGAAAACCCCCAUACUCUCUUAAACAUUACAAAUCGCCAAGAUGAGGUUUUUAUAUGCUUUUACAAUCUGCAAACUCAUAAACCUAAAUCUAAUGGCUCAUAAUAGACUUGAAGAAUGGAUGGAUCAGAUGGGGAGUUGGUCUGGUUUUCAUCUGAUUGGUUAAACUCUCUUUGCUGUCUGAUUGGUUUAUUUGAAUCUGGUCAAGUAGAGACCAGCCUCUUAUUGGCUCCUUUUAGGCUCCUGAAUGUUCCCAUUUAUCUGUCCAGAUACAUGGUCAAUACACAGCUCAUGGACAGCUUGCACAGCCUGUCACUUAUCCACAAACAGUCCCAUGACUUAGAGAAAGACAAUGGCGCCCCUUAUGAUCAGAAUCACCUCUUUGCUUCUUCACACACUUAGCUCACGAGUUGCUUCUUCCUUGGGACGCAAGUUAGGUCUUGUUACAAACAUCAGGGUGUGUACGGAAUGCUUUCCUGAUCGUACCAACGCCCUUAUUUUGCACAAGACCUAAAAUGUCUCAAAUGAGUGAGUUAUGCUUCUCGGGUUGAUCCCGGUCCGUACAAGUCCGUACGGCCUCGUCCCGGUCUCGCCCUAUAUUUGCACACUCAUCCAUUUGUGCCUAAACCAUCUUCUAAGUCCCUCCUGGACUUGGCCUAUCUUUGCACAGCCCUUAGAACACUUCUGGAGCUCAUCAGACACUUCCGAAGCUUGAUAGACAAUCUUUAUAAGACUUGUCCUAUCUUUGAACCAGACCCAAACUCCUCCAUACUUCUCCUUUGACACCAUUUCUUUUCUUUAAGUUAACACUCCCCCUCAAGCUUGACUCUAGAUGAUCCUAAGUCAAGCUUGGAACCUUGAAGAACUUCCUCAUUAAAAACCUCACCAAGGAAAACCCUUUGGGACAAAACCUUGAUGAGGGAAAAAGAGUAAAGUCUCCAAGGCCUAGGGAUUGGCCAGUGAGUCUUUGUGCCUUACCAACAAUGUAAGGGACACAAAGACUCUGGAUCAUGGCCCUCAUGUGAUGCAAGAUAGAACCCACUCCUCUUGCUCAUCAUCAACACUUCUUGUACUCUUCUUUAGACAGAUCUUGGUCUCUCCCCCUUUCUUACAACCUUCUUGUUGUGAUCAAGUGCUCGGACUACCAGAUCUUCCUUGAUAGAUACAAGCUGAGUCUUGGCUGCUUCUUCUUCAUGAGUCACCACCAUGUUACUGAAACCUUCAUGACAGGAUGCUUCAGACUGUAGUACCAAUCACCUCACUCUAGAGGCCGCAUUGGUGAUUGCUUCUUCAUCCUUCAUUAUGCUUCAUAACUGAUCUGCUCCUCUUCUUGAAUAACCACCAAGUACUCUCAGAUCAUGUAAGCUUCAACACAAAGAUGCUUGAUUCAAACUAGCCAAUAAGGUUCCUCACAUGCUUGGGUAUCUUGCUUUAGCUUUCCAGGUGGUGCCAGCCUGUCUAAAGCUCUCUUCCCUUGACCAGACCUUAUCCAAACUCCUCCUUGCUUAUCCAGACUCCUCCUGGCGUGUUUCACUCUCCAAAUGGAUGCAAGGUAACUUCCCAAGUCUUUUAACUCAGUUACCACAGUAACAAUAAAGUUACUGUGGUAAAUCUCCGAAGUUACUGCCUGCUCCAAAUCCCUUCCUCUAUCCAUGUAUCAACUCUUCAUCUCCUCAUCUCAACACUUCUCAACACUCCCCCUCAAGCUUGACCAUGUGAAACAAGUCAAGCUUGGAAACCAUGAAGACCUCCCUCAUUAAAAACCUCACCAAAGAAAACCCAUUGGGAUAAAACUUUGAUGAGGGAAAAAGAGUGGAGACUCCAUGGUUAAGGGGCUCAGCUCCUGGGAGUAAGAUCAAUGAGUCCAAGCCUGGAUAGUAUGGACUCCAUUGUCUUCAAUCUCGCUGCCUUAGUAAACACAUCAGCCAGUUGAUCCUCAUUCCUUGUAUAACAUGGCAGAAUCACUCCUAAGAUAAUCAUCUGCGUCACCUUGUGACAAUCCACUUCUAUGUGCUUCGUUCUCUCAUGAAAAACUGAGUUAGAAGCAAUAUGGAUAGCUGCUUGAUUGUCACAGUGCAUUUUCAUAGGAGUACUCUGUUCAAUCUCCAGAUGCUUCAAGAUACCCUUGAUCCACACCAGCUCGUUUGUCAACUUCAACAUAGCCCUAUAUUCAGCCUCAGCACUUGAACAAGAGAUGACCUUCUGCUUCUUACUCUUCCAAGUAACCAGGUUCCCUCCAAUGAAUGUACAAUAACCAGUAGUUGAUCUCCUGUCCACUCUAUCUCCUGCCCAAACAGCAUCACAAUAGCCCACUACUUCUGUGCUGCCAUUGCAUCCCAUCCAAACUCCUUGACCAGGCGUGCCACUCAAAUACCUCAGUAUCCUAUCAACCAUCUUCCAGUGAUGUACCUUUGGCGCCUGCAUAUGCUGACUCACUUGGUUCACAGCAAAACAUAUAUCUGGCCGUGUGAUGGUCAAGUAGAUCAGCUUGCCAACCAUCUUCCUGUAUAGCUUAGGAUCCUCAAACAACUGCUUCUCUUCAACCUCCCCCUCACGCAAAACCUUAUACCCCUCCUCAAGAGGUGUCUUUGCUACCUUUCCUCCAAGUACAUCAGUCUCCUUCAGCAUAUCCAUUGUAUACUUCCUUUGAGACAUAAACAAACCCUCCUUGGAUCUGCAUAUCUCAAUCCCCAAGAAAUACUUCAUCUCUCCCAAGUCUUUGAUGUCAAACACAGACUUGAGGAACUCUUUAGUGGCUUUAAUCCCAGCCUUAUCACUCCCUGUGAUAAUCAAAUCAUCCACAUAUACCAGUAUCACAAUGAUCCCUGAUGGAGUAACCAAAGUGAAGAGUGUGUGAUCCAGUUCAGACUUCCUGAAUCCUCUCCCAUUCAGAGUUGUACUCAGCUUCCUGUACCAAGCUCUAGGAGACUGCUUCAGCCCAUAUAUUGCCUUCUUCAAUCUCAAAACAUUUCCUGGUUUUACUAGAUGCUCAAGACCAGGAGGAGGAAGCAUGUAUACCUCAUCUUCUAGCUCACCUUGUAAGAAAGCAUUCUUCACAUCCAUCUGCCACAAAUCCCACUCCAAGUUUGUUGCAAUGGACAACACAAUCCGAACUGUAUGUAGCUUAGCUACUGGUGCCAAGGUAUCAAUGUAAUCCUCUCCAUAGGUCUGUGUAAAUCCUCUUGCAACCAAUCUGGUCUUCUUCCUAUCAAUUUGUCCAUCUGCUAGAUACUUGAUUGUGAAGAUCCAUCUACUAGAUACAGCCCUUUUUCCCUUAGGCAGCUCACUCUCAUACCAUGUAUCAUUUUUGAUCAUUGCACCUGCUUUAGCUCCCACUGAUUCUUUCCAUUCCUUGUCUAACAUAGCUUCUUCAUAAGUCCUUGGUACAUAACUCUCAUCCAGACUAAUCAUAAAGGCAUGAUGCUCCUCUGGAAACUCAGCAAAGGAACACACGGCUUGAGAAGGAUGCUCCACAGCCUGGGCAUUGUAGUACACUCUCGUGUUUACCCAGUUGGAAGGAUCCCCCUUUAUCCUUGUGCUCCUCCGCAAGGUCUCAACAUGUUCUUCAGCCUGAAUAUUAUCUUGUGUUUCCUCUCCUAAACCAGUAGGUUCUCCCUGCUCAUUUCCACCUGACUGAUCCUCACUCUCCUCUGUACCAGUAGACUGAACAACAUUCUCUACUUCCUGUGUCUCCUCAUGAUCAUGCUGUCCUGAAUCCUCUUGGUUUUGCUCCUGCUCCUCUGAUUCAGAUCCAUUCCCCCUCUCAUGAUCAAGAGGGGUUGUUUCUCCGGUUUCUCCAGCUUGAUUAGAAGGUUCUCUCCUUCCUGGUUCCUGAUCUUGGGAUAAAUCUAUCCCUAGCCUUUCCAACAACACUCUCAGUGUUGUUGCCUUCUCUGAUGGAGCUCGGGACAGAUCCUCUAGGUCUUCCCAUUUCUUCUCCUCAUAAUAUCCUCUAGACUCCACAAAAUUCACUUCUCUGGAUACCAAAACCCUCCUGGUUAUUGGAUCAUAACAUUUGUACCCUUUCUGAGUGAUUGAGUACCCAAUGAACAUAGCUUUAGUACUCUUUGCUUCUAGCUUGUUCCUCCUCUCUCCGGGAACCAUCACAUAACAUAAACACCCAAAGACUCUCAAAUGAUCAAGGUGUGGUUUAGUCUUGUUCAAUACCUCAAAGGGAGACAGAUUCUUUAGGAUCUUGGUCGGAACUAUGUUGAUGAGAUAGCACGCAGUCUGAACAGCAUCCCCCCAAAACCUCUUUGGAACAUUUGCAUGAAACAUCAUUGACCUUGCUACCUCCAUCAAGUGCCUAUUCUUUCUCUCAGCCACCCCAUUCUGCUGUGGUGUGUAAGGACAGCUUGUCUGCUGCACAAUCCCAUGCUUUGCUAGAUAACUCUUGAAAGCAUUGCUAGUGUAUUCUCCUCCAUUAUCAGAUCUUAGCACCUUCACAGUAGCAUUGUAUUGAUUAGUUACAUAUGCUUGGAAGUUCAUAAAGGCUUCUAGGACUCUAUCUUUAGAGGGAAUCAAAGUGACCCACGUAUACUUUGAUUUCUCAUCAAUAAAAGUGACAAAGUACUUCUGGCUAUCCCUAGACUCACACGGAGAUGUCCACACAUCUGAGUGAACUAGAUCAAAGCAAUGCUCAUAUAUAGUCUCUGAUGCUGGAAAGACAGUCCUACAAUGCUUUCCUAAUAUGCAUGCUUCACACUCCAAGUGAUUAAAUGACAUAUUAGGCAUGAUUAACUCAAUUGCACGAGCAUGAGGAUGUCCUAAUCUAGCAUGCCAAGUCAUACUAUCACACCUAUCAGCAGCACUACUCAGGCACAUAGAGUUAAUGGGAUUAAGAGUCGUAGCUGUUUGGAGAUGAUAUAAGUGAUCCUUGCUGUCCCCUCUGCCAAUAACUCUUCCAGUCUUCAAAUCUUGAAACUCAACUUCAUUUGGCCUGAAUACUACUUGACAAUCCAGAUCAAUUGUAGCUUUCUUAACUGAUAUCAGAUUUGAAGUGAACUGAGGCAGAUAUAAGGCAGUUGAGCUCUUUUCAAACAGCUUGAGGUUUCCCAUUCCUUCUACUGGGAUCUGAGCGCCAUUAGCUAUAGUAACACACCCUGUUGCAGCCCUGACAUCACUUAUCAGACUCCUAUCACUGAUCAUAUGAUGUGUUGCUCCAGAAUCAAUUAUGAUAGGUUUAGGAGCUGUGGAGAAAUCGCUUUGCUUCUCACUUGCAGCUAGAGCACCUUGCUUCUUUCUUGCAGCCAGUUCAUACACACACUUAACAAACUCAUCCCAUUCUUUCUUUGUGAUUGGAUCCUCUCCUCCUUUGGUCUCCUGCCUCCUUGUACUUACACCAUCUUUUACUGAUUCUCCCAAGUAAGCUGAGUAUGAACACUCUCCUAUAACCAUCUGCUGAAGUAUAUCCUUGAUUCUCUUCAAGAUCACACUCAUCCUGUCACUUAAGUGCUCAGCCUCGCUAUCCUUUCUCCAUGCCCUUCUCUUCAUUAACCACUCCUUAGAAAGUUUUCUCAACCUUCCCUUCUUACAGCUUGUACCUCCCUUCCAUCUUUCUGGUUUCCUGUUCAUCUCCCACACAUCACAAGUGUGUUUAACAAGCUCACAUACCUCUUCCAUAAGAAAGCUAAAGAUCACAUCUUGCUUCCUCCUUUCUUGACAACAUCUCGGAUUUGAUGUGUGUGCCUUCACCACAUCUAACUCUGACCAUACUUCUCUCAGCCUUCCCACAAGCUGAUAACACUCAUCCUUUCCUUGUCUCAAGCCGCGGAUCACCCCUUUGUCCUCAACGACUCUUACAAGCUUGGACUUGCCUAAAGUUGCUUCAAUCUCACUCUUUGUAGUGUCUCCUUGAACAACUUCAUUUCCCAGCUUCAGACCUCUUGUCUGACCUUCUUCAGUAGCCAUUUCCAUGAAAGGUUUCCCCUUUCCAUGACUACUCCAUAACCCACAGCUUUCCAAAGCUCCUUUUAUCCAUCUUGAACACACUCCAUCCAUCUCUUCUUCACGCCCCACUGGUUUACUAGCUCUGUGCUUCAUCUCCUGUUGAGGUUGAUUGAAUCGACCAGACAACCUCCCAAAUACCCAGAAACUGAAGAACAGCUCAAGAACAGCUCAAGAACACCAAGAACACACAAACAGAUUCUCGCAAAUCACCACUCCCUUCCUUGCCAACCUGGCUCUGAUACCAUAUACACUUUUGUGUAUGUAGAGUGAUGAAUAAAUAUCAAGAGAUGAUUAGUGUAGUUUGUAUGAGAUUUGGAGAUUAAGAGAGACUAAGAGAAUAAAGAACAAGAGAUAAUACUCAAAACUCCAUUAGAUUGAUUAAUGAGAGAGUUUACAACAGAUAUAGAUUAGGGAUACAUAAAUUCGUCCAGGUUCAGUCUAGUUAGGAUAAGAAGCAUGUGUAGUCAAAGAUGCUUGUUUCAAACUAGCCAAUAAGGUUCCUCACAUGCUUGGGUAUCUUGCUUUAGCUUUCCAGCUGGUGCCAGCCUGUCUAAAGCUCUCUUCCCUUGACCAGACCUUAUCCAAACUCCUCCUUGCUUAUCCAGACUCCUCCUGGCGUGUUUGACUCUCCAAAUGGAUGCAAGGUAACUUCCCCAGUCUUUUAACUCAGUUACCACAGUAACAAUAAAGUUACUGUGGUAAAUCUCCAAAGUUACCGCCUGCUCCAAAUCCCUUCCUCUAUCCAUGUAUCAACUCUUCAUCUCCUCAUCUCAACACUUCUCAACAGAAAGUACUAGGUGCAUUAGUAAGUCCAAAAGGCAUCACAAGCCAUUCAUACAAUCCUAGCUUAGUUUUAAAAGCAGUUUUCCACUCAUCUCCUUCUUUCAUUCUAAUCUGGUGGUAACCACUCUUUAAAUCAAUCUUAGAAAAGACACAUGAACCAUGUAACUCAUCUAGCAUAUCAUCUAAGCGAGGAAUAGGGUGUCUGUACUUAACUGUUAUGUUGUUGAUGGCUCUGCAGUCCACACACAUCCUCCAGCUUCCAUCUUUUUUUGGUACCAAGAGGACAUGUACAGCACAAGGACUCAAACUCUCCCUGAUAUGUCCCUUAUCCAUUAGCUCAUUGACUUGUUUCUAAAGCUCCUUGGUUUCCACAGGGUUGGUCCUGUAUGCUGGACGGUUUGGUAAAGUAGCUCCUGGUACAAAAUCAAUCUGGUGCUCUAUUCCCCUUAUAGGCGGCAAACCUAUUGGAUUGUCCUCUGGGAACACAUCUCUAUACUCCUGCAAAAGGCACUCAAUCUCCUCUGGAAUCUCAGGAGCAGGGUUAGUAGUAGAGCUCAACAAUUCUUUAUAAACCACUAGUAUCAAAUUUGAUUGUUCAAUCACAGCAGUUUUGAUAUCUUUAGCAGUAGCAAAGAGGUUGAGUUUACUUACCUGGCUGGUCUCUUCAAGAAGCAAGGACUUGCUGGCGGCCUUGGACUCUCCUCUCUUCAUUUUGAGAUGCAUCUGAUCCUGGUGUACCUCCUGAGGGGUCAUUGGCACCAGGGUAACUUGUUUCUCCUUAUGGAUAAAAGUGUAUCUGUUGGUGAAGCCAUCAUGUACUGAUCUCUUAUCAUACUGCCAUGGACGACCAAGAAGGAUGUGGCUAGCUUCAAGGGGUGCUGCAUCACAAGUGAUCUCAUCCUGGUACUUUCCCACUGAUAGCAAGACCUUCACUUGUUUGGUGAUCUUUAAUCCACCCUCAUCAUUGAUCCAUUGCAAGAGAUAUGGUUUAGGAUGUUUAAACACUUGAAGACCCAACUUCUCCACCAACUCAGCACUUGCUACAUUAGUACAGCUGCCUCCAUCAAUGAUCAGGCUAAAAACCUUUUCUUGAACCAAACAUCUGGUGUGGAACAAGUUUUCCCUUUGCUCAUCUUUUUUGGCUUUAGGUUGAGCAUAGAGAAGUCUCCUGGUGACUAGUAGCUCUCCACGGACAGGGUACUCCACGCCUUCCUCAUCUGACUCUUGGCCGGCGUCCUCCUCUUCAGAUAUCACCUCCCCGUUGGCUAAGAUAGUCAUCACCUUCUUGUUGGUGCACUCAUUAGCAUUGUGACCAAAGCCAUGACACUUGAAACACUUAAUGUUCCUGGUCCUAGUAGAUGUGGCUACUCCUUUACCCUUGUCAUCUCUCUUGGUCUCUACUGAAGAAGAACCNNNNNNNNNNNNNNNNNNNNNNNNNNNNNNNNNNNNNNNNNNNNNNNNNNNNNNNNNNNNNNNNNNNNNNNNNNNNNNNNNNNNNNNNNNNNNNNNNNNNNNNNNNNNNNNNNNNNNNNNNNNNNNNNNNNNNNNNNNNNNNNNNNNNNNNNNNNNNNNNNNNNNNNNNNNNNNNNNNNNNNNNNNNNNNNNNNNNNNNNNNNNNNNNNNNNNNNNNNNNNNNNNNNNNNNNNNNNNNNNNNNNNNNNNNNNNNNNNNNNNNNNNNNNNNNNNNNNNNNNNNNNNNNNNNNNNNNNNNNNNNNNNNNNNNNNNNNNNNNNNNNNNNNNNNNNNNNNNNNNNNNNNNNNNNNNNNNNNNNNNNNNNNNNNNNNNNNNNNNNNNNNNNNNNNNNNNNNNNNNNNNNNNNNNNNNNNNNNNNNNNNNNNNNNNNNNNNNNNNNNNNNNNNNNNNNNNNNNNNNNNNNNNNNNNNNNNNNNNNNNNNNNNNNNNNNNNNNNNNNNNNNNNNNNNNNNNNNNNNNNNNNNNNNNNNNNNNNNNNNNNNNNNNNNNNNNNNNNNNNNNNNNNNNNNUUUGAUCUUGUGCAUUCUGAUGUUUGGACUGCUCCUUGCUUGUCUAGGGAAAAUUAUAAGUACUUUGUAACAUUCAUUGAUGAAAAAUCCAAAUACACCUGGAUAACACUCAUUAAAACUAAGGAUAGAGUUCUUGAAGCAUUUAAAAACUUUCAAGCUUAUGUAUCUAACCAUUAUAAUGCCAAGCUUAAGAUUUUCAGAUCAGAUAAUGGUGGGGAAUAUACAAGCAAUGCCUUCAAGCAACAUCUAGCCUUACACGGAAUCCUUCAUCAAACUAGCUGUCCUUACACUCCACAACAAAAUGGUGUGGCUGAGAGAAAGAACAGACAUCUAAUGGAGGUUGCAAGAUCAAUGAUGUUUCAAACCAAUGUCCCAAAGAGAUUUUGGAGUGAUGCUGUGAUCUCAGCCUGCUACUUGAUCAACCGAAUCCCUACAAGAGUCUUGGAAGAUCACUCACCAUUUGAAGUACUUAAUAAGGUCAAGCCAUUCCUAAGUCAUUUGAGAGUGUUCGGAAGUCUUCAACCGAAUUCCUACAAGAGUCUUGGAAGAUUGGUGCAGCCUGGGUAUGGCUUCUGCUCCUGGAUCACUUGAAGGGGAACGGAUAGGGGUGUUCUAAGAGGCUACUAGCUCUCCUUUGAACUGUGGUCGUCUCCCUGAGCCUGUGGAUUGGCGACAGAGAUGGUUUGCUACUCAAAGACACAAGAUCACCUUGUAUUGUCUAAGAUGGGAUUCACAGGAAUUCCUUCCUUUAAGUGAGAUCAAUGUUCUUGAGCUGAACAGAGAAAGCUAGAGACAAGACAACAAAGUUGACUGAAUAAUUCUUAGAUUGAAAGUUGAGUAAACAAAGCUGCCUCCCCCCCCCCCCAUGUUCUUAAAGAAAUCGACAAACAGAAACCCUAGAAGUAAACCAAGAUGGUUUAAUUCUAAUUCUAAUCCUAAUCCAAUUGAAAUUGGUUUAUUUUAAAAUCCUAAUUGUCUUUGGUUUAAAUUAAAUGAAAGCCCAAUAACCAAAGCCCUUACAAAGUAAUUAAAUUAAACCAACAGACUGGUUUAUCUUGAUCUCCUUGUCUUGAUCCAAGACCCACGAUUUUGGCUAUCUCCUGGAGCCCCUCCUCUUGUGCUCUCAGCCUUGAUCUGGUUACUGGUCCACUCCACAAGCUGGCUAGCUCAUUUAGUUCUUCUCUGCUCAAGUCUGGUUCUUCUCUGCUCAAGUCUGGUUCUUCUCUUCUCAAGUCUGGGUCUUCCUCGUCAGACUCACUCAGCUCCCCAAUGUCUCUACUCAUGGCUACACCAUCCCCUCCUCCUUUAAAAGGAUUUGACCUCAAAUCCAAAUCAUCUGCAAUAAAAGGGUCCAAGUCAGAAACAUUGAAAGUAGAACUGAUUGUGUAUUUCCCUUCAAGAUCGAUCUGGUAGGCAUUGUUGUUGAUUCUCUUCAGCACUCUGAAAGGUCCAUCUUUCCUUGGUAGCAACUUUGAUUUCCUCUCAACAGGAAACCUCUCUUUUCUCAUGUGAAUCCACACAAGAUCACCCGGUUCAAGUACUAGCUCCUUGCGCCCCUUGUUCUUCUGCCUCUCAUACAUCUUGGUUCUCUCCUCAAUGUUCUUCCUGACCUGCUCAUGCAAAGACAAAACAAACUCGGCCUUUUGCUUGCCAUCAAGGUUAGUUUGCUCUUUUAAAGGUAAAGCAAAUAAAUCAAGAGGAGACAAUGGGUUAAAACCAUAAACAACUUGAAAAGGGGAGAGUUUAGUAGCUGAAUGCACUGCUCUGUUAUAUGCAAAUUCUACAUGUGGUAAACAAUCCUCCCAUGUCCUAAUGUUAUUCUUAAUGAUGGCACGCAAAAGAGUAGACAAUGUCCUAUUGACUGAUUCAGUUUGACCAUCAGUUUGGGGAUGACAAGUAGUUGAAAACAAUAGCUUAGUUCCCAACUUUCCCCACAGAGUUUUCCAGAAAUAGCUAAGGAACUUAGUAUCUCUAUCAGAAACUAUAGUCCUAGGCAUACCAUGCAAUCUAACAACUUCUCGAAAGAAUAGAUCAGCUACCAAAGAUGCAUCAUCAGUUUUAUGACAAGGUAUGAAGUGAGCCAUCUUAGAAAAUCUAUCAACAACCACAAAGAUACUAUCUCUUCCUUUCCUAGUCCUAGGCAAUCCUAAGACAAAGUCCAUAGAGAUAUCAAUCCAUGGUGCAGUAGGAAUAGGGAGAGGUGUAUACAAACUGUUGAGAUGAGCUGAGUAUAUGGAGAUGAAGAGAUAAGGAGUUGAAGAGAAGAGGAGAUGAAGUACUUAGGGAAGUUUGGGAGAGUAUGGUACGGCAGGCCGUACAAGGCCGUACAAGGCCGUACCAUCCAAAUUCAACCAAAACUUACCAUACCUUAUCCAAGUGAGACGGUAACUAAGGAGGAGUGACUUGGGUAGCUUAGGGAGAGGAUCAGACCGUUGAGAGGAUAAGGGAACGCGGUGCCAGGCUGGAACAGGCUGGAAAGCUGAAGCACCUUUAGUCCAAGAUGCCAUAAGCGUGUGAGCCAUCCUGACCAAUCAUUCAAAAGGCGCCCUUGACUCCACACGGUUGAAUAGUGCUCAGUUCCCUUCUUGUAAACCCUGGUGUCUCUCUUAUAAAUAUGUAACCUCACUCAUUAAUAAGAUUAAGCAAGUUUUGAGACUCUCUCUUAGUCUUUAAAUCUCAAUGGUUCCAUAUUAGACUCCUAAUCUCAUUUCAUACUCUAAUCUUCACUAAAUCGUUUCUAGUCUUUCCUAAACACUCAGAUUACUCUAAACAUUACUAAAAAUCAUAUGGUAUCAGAGCCAGGUUAGUGAGAACCUGAGUUCGUGUUAGGCUCUUUGGAGAUUCAAGAUUGAAGCUUUGAAGAGUUUUGUUGGUGUUCUUGUGUUCUUGGGAGGUUCCGGGUAUUGUCCGAGUUCAAAGACUAGUUUUUAGUGUGUUGCUGAAGCUGUGAGGUUGAAGACCGAGGCAGUGAGUGUUCUUACAAGUCUGUUAACUCAAGAUCCAGUUUGUGAAGUCUAGAGAAGUCAUCGUUCAUCAUGGAGAGUGGUAUGAACAUGAACAUGAAGGUAGCGGUUUGCUUCAAGGGAACCAACUACUUGGUGUGGUCUCGGAUGGUGAGAACCACGGUGGGAAGCAAAGGGCUUUGGAAGCACAUCACGCCAGGAGAAGCUCCAAAGCUCAUCACCCAAGGAGAAACUGAAGGAGAAGCCGCAAGCAAAGCGGAAGAGAAGUGGCAUCAGGAGGACAUGUUGGUGAUGUCAGUGCUGCAUGCUUCACUUGAGCCGGCGAUUCUAGAUGCAUACAGUUACUGUGAAUCAGCUAAAGAGCUGUGGGAUACGUUGAAGAAGGUGUAUGGGAAUACAUCAAACCUGAGCCGUGUGUUUGAGGUGAAGCAGGCUAUAAACAACUUGGUACAAGAGGAUAUGGAGUUCACCAAGCAUCUAGGGAGGUUCAGAACACUCUGGUCCGAGCUGGAGAUGUUGAGGCCAAGCACUACAGAUGCAGAUGAGCUCAACAAAAGAAGAGAGCAAGACAAGGUCUUUGGGCUACUCCUCACCAUGAAUCCGGCGUACAAUGGUCUUAUCCAACACUUGCUUAGAGAGGACACACUACCUGAUCUUGAAGAAGUGUGCGCAAGGAUUCAGAAGGAUUGUGGCUCUAUUGGGUUGUUUGGAAAGAAAGGAGAGCUAUCUCUCGUAAAUCAAGCAACUCAAGAGGAGGGAGGGGAAGCUCCACAAGCACACAAGGCUGCGCAUGGGAAGUAUGAUGAGAGGAGGUUCAAUGGGAACUGUGAUCACUGCAAGAAGCAUGGCCACAAGAAGAGCCAAUGCUGGAUACUCCAUCCCCAUCUCAAGCCGGCAAAGUUUAUGAAAGACAGAGAGGCAAGGGCUAAUAUCUCAGAUGGAGCAAGCGCAAGUGGAGCAGGUACUAGCAAAGGGAAGGAGAUAGAUGGGCGUGAAGAAGGUGAUGGGAGGUCUCUUGUUGCCUACACUGGAGCCCCAAGCAACCGUGGGAACUAUGAUCAAGAGUAUCUAAGGAAAUCCGACCUGGAUGCUCUCAUUAAGCUCUUCAAGGAGCAUGGUAACAGUUUUGGAUAUUCCUUUGGUGCUAGGGCUAUAGGGAAUGAUGAGAAUCCAACUAGCAUUGAUAGGAUGCAUGAAAGUGUGAUAGAGAUAAUAAACCAAUCUAGAACGGACAGUUUUGCUAGGAAUGAUCAUGCAUUCAAACCAUCUAGUAUACUUGCUCAUAUUGCUAGUUCACAUACCAUCAAGCCUUUAGUAGUUGAUUCUGGUGCAUCUCAUCAUAUGAUAAGUGACACUAGUUUGAUUAAAAACAUUGUACCAAUGAAUGGAAAUGUGAUGAUAGCUAAUGGAGAUAAGAUACCUAUUAGAGGAAUAGGAAGUCUUAAACUGUUUGAUAAGGAAACUAAAGCCUUUUAUAUGCCUGAAUUUACUUCAAACUUGUUAUCUGUUAAGAAAUGUGCUACUGAUUUGCAAUGCAAUGUCAUAUUCAGUCCUAAUGAUGUGAAGUUUCAGGAUAUUAAAAGCAGCAAGAUGAUUGGAAAGGGAGUUACUAAAGGAGAAUUGUAUUUACUUGAAGAUCUAGCUCCUGUUUCUUGUUAUAGCUGCUCGUUUACUUCUGUUUCUGGUUCUAGUUUAAGUAAAAAUGCAUUGUGGCAUGCUAGAUUAGGACACCCUCAUAAUAAGGCUUUAAAACUGAUGUUGCCAGGUGUUUCCUUUGAGAAUAAUGAGUGUGAAGCUUGCAUUUUAGGCAAGCAUUGUAAGACUGUCUUUACUAAAUCUACUACGGUUUAUGAGAAGUGUUUUGAUUUGAUUCAUUCUGAUGUUUGGACUGCUCCUUGCUUAUCUAGAGACAAUCAAAAGUAUUAUGUAACUUUCAUUGAUGAAAAAUCCAAAUACACCUGGUUAACUUUAAUUCCAACCAAAGAUAGGGUACUUGAUGCAUUUAAGAACUUUCAAUCAUAUGUGACUAACCAUUAUAAUGCCAAGAUAAAGAUUUUCAGGUCAGAUAAUGGAGGAGAGUACACGGGACAAGCAUUCAAGCUCCAUCUAUCUUAGCAUGGAAUACUACAUCAGACAAGCUGUCCCUAUACUCCACAACAGAAUGGUGUGGCUGAGAGAAAGAAUAGGCAUCUGAUGGAAGUGGCCAGGUCCAUGAUGUUUCAAACCAAUGUACCCAAGAAGUUCUGGAGUGAUGCGGUCACUACAGCUUGUUAUCUCAUCAACAGAACACCAACUCUGAUUCUGCAAGGGUUAUCACCAUUUGAGGUAUUGAACCGAUACAAGCCCUCAUUGGAACAUAUGAAGAUCUUUGGGUGUUUGUGUUUUGUGAUGGUACCGGGAGAAUUAAGAAACAAGCUUGAAGCUAGAAGCUCCAAGGCAAUGUUUGUUGGAUACUCAUCAAGUCAGAAAGGAUAUAAGUGCUAUGAUCCGAACACAAGGAGAGUGUUAGUAUCUAGAGAAGUGAAGUUUGUGGAAGAAAAAGGAUAUUAUGAGGAGCAGAUUCAAGAAGAUUUGAAAGAUCUCACUUCAGAUAGAGCUGCAACCUUGAGGAUAAUACUAGAAGGACUUGGUAUCAAUAUGGAUCAAGGACAGCAAGAAGUAAGAGGCACUACACCAAUACCGAAUCAUCAGACGUCCAAUCUUGAACAUGAGGGGGGGAAUGGAACAGAAACUCAAACUCAAAGUCAUGAAGAGAGUUCUGGUUCUCAUGAUCAAGCUGUGGAGUCAAAUGAUCAACAAGAAGGAGCUGAAGCAAGUCAGCUAAGGGAUGAAGGAGCUGAAGCAAGUCAGCCAAGAGAAGAAGCAAGAGAAGAAAGUACACGAGAAGAUGUACAAGACAUGGAGUUACCGGCACAAGAAGGGCCAGUGUUGAGAAGAAGUACAAGGCUGAGAAAGGAUCCUUCCAGUUGGGUAAACACGAGAGUGUACUACAAUGCUCAAGCUGUGAAGCAUCCUACUCAGGCCGUGUGUUCUUUCUCUCAAUAUCCAGAAGCACAUUGUGCAUUCAUGGUAAACUUAGAUGAGAAUCACAUUCCAAGAAGCUAUGAAGAGGCAAUGGAGGAUAAGGAAUGGAAGGAAUCAGUAGGAGCUGAGGCAGGAGCUAUGAUAAAGAAUGAUACAUGGUUUGAAAGUGAACUACCAAAAGGGAAGAAGGCAGUAUCUAGUAGAUGGAUCUUCACAAUCAAAUACAAGGCUGAUGGACAGAUUGAGAGGAAGAAGACUAGAUUAGUAGCAAGAGGGUUCACUCAAACAUAUGGAGAGGAUUACAUUGAGACAUUUGCACCAGUAGCCAAGUUACAUACCAUUAGAAUUGUACUAAGCUUGGCGGUUAACCUUGGAUGGGGAUUGUGGCAAAUGGAUGUGAAGAAUGCAUUCUUACAAGGAGAACUUGAGGAUGAAGUCUACAUGUAUCCUCCACCAGGUCUUGAACAUCUAGUGAAGGGAGGGAAUGUACUGAGGCUAAAGAAGGCUAUCUAUGGGUUGAAGCAAUCACCAAGAGCAUGGUACAACAAGUUGAGCACAACUCUGAACGGCCAAGGUUUUAAGAAGUCAGAAUUGGACCAUACUCUCUUUACCCUCACUACUCCCUCAGGUAUGGUUGCUCUCCUUGUGUAUGUGGAUGAUAUCAUUAUCACAGGAAGUGAUAAGGAAGGUAUCAAAGCAACCAAGGAGUUUCUAAAGUCUAUGUUUGAAAUAAAAGACUUGGGAGAAAUGAAAUACUUUCUUGGAAUUGAGAUUUGUAGAUCCAAGGAAGGUUUGUUCAUGUCCCAAAGGAAGUAUACACUUGAUCUUUUGAAAGGUGCAGGUGCUUAUGGAGGCAAGACAGCAAAGAUGCCAAUGGAGGAUGGCUACAAAGUACCAAGAGAGGGGGAGAUUGAAGACAGCAAGCCAUUUCAUGAUCCUAAACUCUAUAGAAAACUUGUUGGCAAAUUGAUUUAUCUAACCAUCACAAGACCUGAUAUAUGCUUUGCUGUGAAUCAGGUGAGUCAACACAUGCAGCUUCCCAAGGAACAUCACUGGCGUAUGGUGGAGAGGCUGCUGAUGUAUCUAAAUGGCUCGCCGGAUCAAGGUGUAUGGAUGGGGUGCAAUGGAAGCACAGAAGUGGUGGGCUAUUGUGAUGCUGAUUGGGCAGGUGAUAGAGCUGACAGAAGAUCAACAACCGGCUAUUGCACAUUCAUUGGAGGCAACUUGGUGACUUGGAAGAGUAAGAAACAGAAGGUGGUGUCAUGCUCUAGUGCAGAAGCUGAGUAUAGAGCUAUGCUGAAGCUUACAAACGAGCUAGUUUGGAUCAAGGGCAUCUUGAAGCAUUUGGAGAUAGCACAAGACACUCCAAUGACAAUGCAUUGUGACAACCAGGCCGCCAUUCACAUAGCCUCCAACUCGGUGUUCCAUGAGAGAACAAAGCACAUUGAGGUUGAGGGCAUCUUGAAGCAUUUGAAGAUAGAACAAGCCACUCCAAUGACAAUGCAUUGUGACAACCAAGCAGCCAUUCACAUAGCCUCCAACUCGGUGUUCCAUGAGAGACCACUCCAAUGACAAUGCAUUGUGACAACCAAGCCGCCAUUCACAUAGCCUACAACUCGGUGUUCCAUGAGAGGACAAAGCACAUUGAGGUUGAUUGCCACAAGGUGAGGCAGAUGAUUGUCCUAGGAGUCAUCUUGCCAUGUUAUACUAGGAGUGAAGAUCAGUUGGCUGAUGUAUUCACCAAGGCUGCGAGGCAAAAGACAAUGGAGUCCAUUCAUAUCAGAUUGGGCCUCAUUGAUCUUGGGAAGAGAAGUAGCUGAUCCCCUUAGUCAUGAGAUCUUUACUCUUUUUCCCUCAUUAAGGUUUUGUCCCAAUGGGUAUUCCCAAACUGGGAAACUGGAAUCACCUGAUUUGAAAGUGGGAUAACUUCUUCAUGCCAACUCCUAUGAGAUUUAUUCAACUUCCUGGUGAUUCUCCACCACUUUAUGUAUCCAAAUCAAGCUUUUCACAAAGUGAUUCAUCCUGGUUUGAUUGGUGUUGAGAUGAGCUGAGUAUAUGGAGAUGAAGAGAUAAGGAGUUGAAGAGAAGAGGAGAUGAAGUACUUAGGGAAGUUUGGGAGAGUAUGGUACGGUAGGCCGUACAAGGCCGUACAAGGCCGUACAAGGCCGUACCAUCCAAACCUCAACCAAAACUUACCAUACCUUAUCCAAGUGAGACGGUAACUAAGGAGGAGUGACUUGGGUAGCUUAGGGAGAGGAUCAGACCGUUGAAAGGAUAAGGGGACGCGGUGCCAGGCUGGAACAGGCUGGAAAGCUAAAGCACCUUUAGUCCAAGAUGCCAUAAGCGUGUGAUGCAUCCUAGUGGUUGAUUUGAAUCCAUUGCCUUGACUACACACGGCUCAAUAGUGCUCAUUUCCCUUCUUGUAAACCCUUGUGUUCCUCUUAUAAAUAUGUAACCUCACUCAUUAAUAAGAUUAAGAAAGUUACGAGUCUCUCUCUUAGUCUUUACUCUCAACAUGAUUCGAUCCUAGACUUCUAAUCUCAUUUCAUACUCAAAUCUCUUCUAAAUCACUUCUAGUCUUUCUUAUUUACUCAGAUUACUCUACUCAAUCCUAAAAGUGAUAUGGUAUCAGAGCCAGGUUCAUAGGAAACUUGGUUUCGUUGAGUUCUUUAAAAAUUCAAGAUUGAAGCUUUGAAGAGACAGUUUGGUGUUCGUGUGUUCUUAAGCGGUUCUGGGUAGUCUUUCUGAGUUCUAUUGGUUGUGUGAGGUGUUAUUGAAGCUGUGUGGUGUUCGCUCAAGACAAGUUACCUCAAGAGAAAGUUAUUGAAGUCUAAAGGGUUCUACAUUCAACAUGGAGAGUGGGAUGAACAUGAACAUGAAAGUGGCGGUGUGUUUCAAGGGAAACAACUACUUGGUGUGGUCUCGGAUGGUGAGAACCACAGUGGGAAGCAAGGGGCUUUGGAAACACAUCACGCCAGGAGAAGCUCCAAAGCUCAUCACUCAAGGAGAGGCUGAAGAUGAAGCCGCAAGCAAGGCAGAAGAGAAGUGGCAUCAAGAGGACAUGUUGGUGAUGUCUGUGCUCCAUGCGUCCCUUGAGCCGGCUAUUCUGGAUGCAUACAGCUACUGUGAGUCUGCUAAAGAGCUGUGGGAUACUUUGAAGAAGGUGUAUGGCAACACUUCAAACCUAAGCCGAGUGUUUGAGGUGAAGCAAGCUAUCAACAACCUUGUACAAGAAGACAUGGAGUUCACUAAGCAUCUAGGAAGAUUCAGAAGCCUCUGGUCCGAGAUGGAGAUGCUUAGGCCAAGCACAACGGAUGCUGAUGAGCUUAACAAGAGGAGAGAGCAAGAUAAGGUCUUUGGGUUACUCCUCACCCUAAACCCGGCGUACAACGGUCUCAUCCAGCACUUACUUAGGGAGGAUACUCUACCUGACCUUGAGGAUGUGUGUGCACGGAUUCAGAAGGAGCAAGGCUCCAUUGGGCUGUUUGGGAAGAAAGGAGAUCUUUCCCUUGCAAGUCAAGCAACUCAAGAGGAGGGGAGUGAAGCUCCACAAGCAAACAAGGCUGCGCAUGGGAAGUUUGAGGAGAGGAGGUUCAAUGGGAGUUGUGAUCACUGCAAGAAGCAUGGUCACAAGAAGAGCCAAUGCUGGAUACUCCACCCUCACCUCAAGCCGGCUAAGUUCAUGAAGGAUCGUGAGGCAAGGGCUAAUGUCUCGGAUGGUACAAGUGGUGUUGGUACAAGCAAAGGAAAGGAGAUAGAUGGGCGUGAGGCAGGUGAUGGGAAGUCUCUUGUAGCCUACACUGGAGCACCAAGCAACCGUGGGAACAAUGAUCAAGAGUAUCUAAGGAGAUCCGACCUUGAUGCUCUCAUUAAGUUGUUCAAGGAGAAUGGUAACACUUUUGGGUAUUCAUUUGGUGCUAGUGUAGUAGAGAACUAUAAGAAUCUAACUAGAACUGAUAGGAUGCAUGAGAGCUUGAUAGAAAUGGUAAAUCAAUCUAGGAUUGCAAACUUUGCUAGAAAUGAUCAUACAUUCAAACCAUCUAGUAUCCUUGCACAUAUUGCUAGUUCUCAUGACAUUAAGCCAUUAGUGAUUGAUUCAGGAGCAUCUCAUCAUAUGAUAAGUGAUACUAGUUUGAUUAAAAACAUUGUACCAAUGAAUGGAAAUGUGAUGAUUGCUAAUGGAGAUAAGAUUCCUAUUAGAGGAAUAGGAAGUCUUAAACUGUUUGAUAAGGAAACUAAAGCCUUUUAUAUGCCUGAAUUUACUUCAAACUUGUUAUCUGUUAAGAAAUGUGCUACUGAUUUACAAUGCAAUGUUAUAUUCAGUCCUAAUGAUGUGAAGUUUCAGGAUAUUAAAAGCAGCAAGAUGAUUGGAAAGGGAGUGACUAAAGGAGAACUAUAUUUACUUGAAGAUCUCACUCCUGUUUCUAGAUAUAGCUGCUCGUUUACUUCUGUUUCUGGUUCUAGUUUAAGUAAAAAUGCAUUGUGGCAUGCUAGAUUAGGACACCCUCAUAAUAAGGCUUUAAAACUGAUGUUGCCAGGUGUUUCCUUUGAGAAUAAUGAGUGUGAAGCUUGCAUCUUAGGCAAGCAUUGUAGAACUGUCUUUACCAAGUCCACUACUGUUUAUGAAAAAUGUUUUGAUCUCAUUCAUUCUGAUGUUUGGACUGCACCUUGCCUGUCUAGAGAUAGCCAUAAGUACUAUGUAACUUUCAUUGAUGAAAAAUCCAAAUACACCUGGUUAACCUUAAUUCCAACCAAAGAUAGGGUACUUGAUGCAUUUAAAAACUUUCAAACCUAUGUAACUAACCAUUACAAUGCCAAGAUAAAGAUUUUUAGGUCAGAUAAUGGAGGAGAGUACACAGGACAAGCAUUCAAACUACACCUAUCUCAGCAUGGAAUCCUUCAUCAGACAAGCUGUCCCUAUACCCCACAACAGAAUGGUGUGGCUGAGAGGAAGAACAGGCAUUUGAUGGAAGUAGCCAGGUCUAUGAUGUUUCAAUCUAACGUGCCUAAGAAGUUUUGGAGUGAUGCAGUUGCUACGGCUUGUUAUCUCAUCAACAGGACACCAACUCUGAUUCUUCAAGGACGAUCACCAUUUGAGGUACUGAAUCAGUACAAACCCUCUCUAGAGCAUAUGAAGAUCUUUGGAUGUUUGUGUUUUGUGAUGGUGCCUGGAGAGAUAAGAAACAAGCUAGAAGCUAAGAGUUCAAAGGCAAUGUUUAUUGGAUAUUCAUCAAGUCAGAAAGGAUACAAGUGCUAUGAUCCUAACACAAGGAGAGUGUUAGUAUCUAGAGAAGUGAAGUUUGUUGAAGAAAAAGGAUACUAUGAGGAGCAGACUCAAGAUGAUUUGAGAGAUCUCACUUCUGAUAGAGCUGAAACAUUGAGGAUUAUCCUAGAGGGUCUUGGAAUCAACAUGAAUCAAGGAGGAAGAAGCACUACUCCAGUACCGGAUCAUCAGACCUCCAAUCUUGACCAUGAGGGGGGGAAUGAAACAAGAACUCAAAACCAUGAAGAGACAAGUAGAGAAGAGAGUUCUGGUUCUCAUGAUGAAGCUGAGGAAUCAAAUGAUCAACAAGGAGCUGAAGAGAGUCAGCUAAGGGAAGAAGGAGCUGAAGCAAGUCAGCUAGGAGAAGAAAGAUCUGAACCAAGUGUACUGCCACAAGAAGAAGAACAAGAGAUUGCGCAAGAAGGGCCAGUGUUGAGAAGAAGUACAAGGCUGAGAAAGGAUCCUUCCAGUUGGGUAAACACAAGAAUGUACUACAAUGCCCAAGCUGUGAAGCAUCCUACUCAGGCCGUGUGUUCUUUUGCUAAAUAUCCAGAAGCACAUUGUGCAUUCAUGGUAAACUUAGAUGAGAAUCACAUUCCAAGAAGCUAUGAAGAGGCAAUGAAGGAUAAGGAAUGGAAGGAAUCAGUAGGAGCUGAGGCAGGAGCUAUGAUCAAAAAUGAUACAUGGUAUGAGAGUGAACUACCAAAAGGGAAGAAGGCAGUAUCUAGCAGAUGGAUCUUCACAAUCAAAUACAAGGCUGAUGGGCAGAUUGAGAGGAAGAAGACUAGAUUAGUAGCGAGAGGGUUCACUCAAACAUAUGGAGAGGAUUACAUUGAGACAUUUGCACCAGUAGCCAAGUUACAUACCAUUAGAAUUGUACUAAGCUUGGCAGUUAAUCUUGGAUGGGGAUUGUGGCAAAUGGAUGUGAAGAAUGCAUUCUUACAAGGAGAACUUGAGGAUGAAGUAUACAUGUAUCCUCCACCUGGUCUUGAACAUCUAGUGAAACGAGGGAAUGUACUGAGGCUAAAGAAGGCUAUCUAUGGGUUGAAGCAAUCUCCAAGAGCUUGGUACAACAAGUUGAGCACAACUCUGAACGGCCAAGGCUUUAAGAAGUCAGAAUUGGAUCAUACUCUCUUUACCCUCACUACUCCCUCAGGUAUGGUUGCUCUCCUUGUGUAUGUGGAUGAUAUCAUUAUCACAGGGAGUGAUAAGGAAGGUAUCAAAGCAACCAAGGAGUUUCUAAAGUCUAUGUUUGAAAUAAAAGACUUGGGAGAAAUGAAAUACUUUCUUGGAAUUGAGAUUUGUAGAUCCAAGGAAGGUUUGUUCAUGUCCCAAAGGAAGUAUACACUUGAUCUUUUGAAAGGUGCAGGUGCUUAUGGAGGCAAGACAGCAAGGAUGCCAAUGGAGGAUGGCUACAAAGUACCAAGAGAGGGGGAGAUUGAAGACAGCAAGCCAUUUCAUGAUCCUAAACUCUAUAGAAAACUUGUUGGCAAAUUGAUUUAUCUUACCAUCACAAGACCUGAUAUAUGCUUUGCUGUGAAUCAGGUGAGUCAACACAUGCAGCUUCCCAAGGAACAUCAUUGGCGUAUGGUGGAGAGGCUGCUAAUGUAUCUGAAUGGCUCGCCGGAUCAAGGAGUAUGGAUGGGGUGCAAUGGAAGCACAGAAGUAGUGGGCUAUUGUGAUGCGGAUUGGGCAGGUGAUAGAGCUGACAGGAGAUCAACAACCGGCUAUUGCACAUUCAUUGGAGGCAACUUGGUAACCUGGAAGAGUAAGAAACAGAAGGUGGUGUCAUGCUCAAGUGCAGAAGCUGAAUAUAGAGCUAUGCUGAAGCUUACAAACGAGCUAGUGUGGAUCAAGGGCAUCUUGAAGCAUUUGAAGAUAGAACAAGCCACUCCAAUGACAAUGCAUUGAGACAACCAAGCAGCCAUUCACAUAGCCUCCAACUCGGUGUUCCAUGAGAGAACAAAGCACAUUGAGGUUGAUUGCCACAAGGUGAGGCAGAUGAUUGUCCUAGGAGUCAUCUUGCCAUGUUAUACUAGGAGUGAAGAUCAGUUGGCUGAUGUAUUCACCAAGGCUGCGAGGCAAAAGACAAUGGAGUCCAUUCAUAUCAGAUUGGGCCUCAUUGAUCUUGGGAAGAGAAGUAGCUGAUCCCCUUAGUCAUGAGAUCUUUACUCUUUUUCCCUCAUUAAGGUUUUGUCCCAAUGGGUUUUCCUUGGUGAGGUUUUUAAUGAGGAAGAUCUCAUGGCUGUCCAAGCUUAGGCUUCCACAAAGCUAAGCUUGAGGGGGAGUGUUGAGAUGAGCUGAGUAUAUGGAGAUGAAGAGAUAAGGAGUUGAAGAGAAGAGGAGAUGAAGUACUUAGGGAAGUUUGGGAGAGUAUGGUACGGUAGGCCGUACAAGGCCGUACAAGGCCGUACCAUCCAAACCUCAACCAAAACUUACCAUACCUUAUCCAAGUGAGACGGUAACUAAGGAGGAGUGACUUGGGUAGCUUAGGGAGAGGAUCAGACCGUUGAAAGGAUAAGGGGACGCGGUGCCAGGCUGGAACAGGCUGGAAAGCUAAAGCACCUUUAGUCCAAGAUGCCAUAAGCGUGUGAUGCAUCCUAGUGGUUGAUUUGAAUCCAUUGCCUUGACUACACACGGCUCAAUAGUGCUCAUUUCCCCUCUUGUAAACCCUUGUGUUCCUCUUAUAAAUAUGUAACCUCACUCAUUAAUAAGAUUAAGAAAGUUAUGAGUCUCUCUCUUAGUCUUUACUCUCAACAUGAUUCGAUCCUAGACUUCUAAUCUCAUUUCAUACUCAAAUCUCUUCUAAAUCACUUCUAGUCUUUCUUAUUUACUCAGAUUACUCUACUCAAUCCUAAAAGUGAUAUGGUAUCAGAGCCAGGUUCAUAGGAAACUUGGUUUCGUUGAGUUCUUUAAAGAUUCAAGAUUGAAGCUUUGAAGAGACAGUUUGGUGUUCGUGUGUUCUUAAGCGGUUCUGGGUAGUCUUUCUGAGUUCUAUUGGUUGUGUGAGGUGUUAUUGAAGCUGUGUGGUGUUCGCUCAAGACAAGUUACCUCAAGAGAAAGUUAUUGAAGUCUAAAGGGUUCUACAUUCAACAUGGAGAGUGGGAUGAACAUGAACAUGAAAGUGGCGGUGUGUUUCAAGGGAAACAACUACUUGGUGUGGUCUCGGAUGGUGAGAACCACAGUGGGAAGCAAGGGGCUUUGGAAACACAUCACGCCAGGAGAAGCUCCAAAGCUCAUCACUCAAGGAGAGGCUGAAGAUGAAGCCGCAAGCAAGGCAGAAGAGAAGUGGCAUCAAGAGGACAUGUUGGUGAUGUCUGUGCUCCAUGCGUCCCUUGAGCCGGCUAUUCUGGAUGCAUACAGCUACUGUGAGUCUACUAAAGAGCUGUGGGAUACUUUGAAGAAGGUGUAUGGCAACACUUCAAACCUAAGCCGAGUGUUUGAGGUGAAGCAAGCUAUCAACAACCUUGUACAAGAAGACAUGGAGUUCACUAAGCAUCUAGGAAGAUUCAGAAGCCUCUGGUCCGAGAUGGAGAUGCUUAGGCCAAGCACAACGGAUGCUGAUGAGCUUAACAAGAGGAGAGAGCAAGAUAAGGUCUUUGGGUUACUCCUCACCCUAAACCCGGCGUACAACGGUCUCAUCCAGCACUUACUUAGGGAGGAUACUCUACCUGACCUUGAGGAUGUGUGUGCACGGAUUCAGAAGGAGCAAGGCUCCAUUGGGCUGUUUGGGAAGAAAGGAGAUCUUUCCCUUGCAAGUCAAGCAACUCAAGAGGAGGGGAGUGAAGCUCCACAAGCAAACAAGGCUGCGCAUGGGAAGUUUGAGGAGAGGAGGUUCAAUGGGAGUUGUGAUCACUGCAAGAAGCAUGGUCACAAGAAGAGCCAAUGCUGGAUACUCCACCCUCACCUCAAGCCGGCUAAGUUCAUGAAGGAUCGUGAGGCAAGGGCUAAUGUCUCGGAUGGUACAAGUGGUGUUGGUACAAGCAAAGGAAAGGAGAUAGAUGGGCGUGAGGCAGGUGAUGGGAAGUCUCUUGUAGCCUACACUGGAGCACCAAGCAACCGUGGGAACAAUGAUCAAGAGUAUCUAAGGAGAUCCGACCUUGAUGCUCUCAUUAAGUUGUUCAAGGAGAAUGGUAACACAUUUGGGUAUUCAUUUGGUGCUAGUGUAGUAGAGAACUAUAAGAAUCUAACUAGAACUGAUAGGAUGCAUGAGAGCUUGAUAGAAAUGGUAAAUCAAUCUAGGAUUGCAAACUUUGCUAGAAAUGAUCAUACAUUCAAACCAUCUAGUAUCCUUGCACAUAUUGCUAGUUCUCAUGACAUUAAGCCAUUAGUGAUUGAUUCAGGAGCAUCUCAUCAUAUGAUAAGUGAUACUAGUUUGAUUAAAAACAUUGUACCAAUGAAUGGAAAUGUGAUGAUUGCUAAUGGAGAUAAGAUUCCUAUUAGAGGAAUAGGAAGUCUUAAACUGUUUGAUAAGGAAACUAAAGCCUUUUAUAUGCCUGAAUUUACUUCAAACUUGUUAUCUGUUAAGAAAUGUGCUACUGAUUUACAAUGCAAUGUUAUAUUCAGUCCUAAUGAUGUGAAGUUUCAGGAUAUUAAAAGCAGCAAGAUGAUUGGAAAGGGAGUGACUAAAGGAGAACUAUAUUUACUUGAAGAUCUCACUCCUGUUUCUAGAUAUAGCUGCUCGUUUACUUCUGUUUCUGGUUCUAGUUUAAGUAAAAAUGCAUUGUGGCAUGCUAGAUUAGGACACCCUCAUAAUAAGGCUUUAAAACUGAUGUUGCCAGGUGUUUCCUUUGAGAAUAAUGAGUGUGAAGCUUGCAUUUUAGGCAAGCAUUGUAGAACUGUCUUUACCAAGUCCACUACUGUUUAUGAAAAAUGUUUUGAUCUCAUUCAUUCUGAUGUUUGGACUGCACCUUGCCUGUCUAGAGAUAGCCAUAAGUACUAUGUAACUUUCAUUGAUGAAAAAUCCAAAUACACCUGGUUAACCUUAAUUCCAACCAAAGAUAGGGUAUUUGAUGCAUUUAAAAACUUUCAAACCUAUGUAACUAACCAUUACAAUGCCAAGAUAAAGAUUUUUAGGUCAGAUAAUGGAGGAGAGUACACAGGACAAGCAUUCAAACUACACCUAUCUCAGCAUGGAAUCCUUCAUCAGACAAGCUGUCCCUAUACCCCACAACAGAAUGGUGUGGCUGAGAGGAAGAACAGGCAUUUGAUGGAAGUAGCCAGGUCUAUGAUGUUUCAAUCUAACGUGCCUAAGAAGUUUUGGAGUGAUGCAGUUGCUACGGCUUGUUAUCUCAUCAACAGGACACCAACUCUGAUUCUUCAAGGACGAUCACCAUUUGAGGUACUGAAUCAGUACAAACCCUCUCUAGAGCAUAUGAAGAUCUUUGGAUGUUUGUGUUUUGUGAUGGUGCCUGGAGAGAUAAGAAACAAGCUAGAAGCUAAGAGUUCAAAGGCAAUGUUUAUUGGAUAUUCAUCAAGUCAGAAAGGAUACAAGUGCUAUGAUCCUAACACAAGGAGAGUGUUAGUAUCUAGAGAAGUGAAGUUUGUUGAAGAAAAAGGAUACUAUGAGGAGCAGACUCAAGAUGAUUUGAAAGAUCUCACUUCUGAUAGAGCUGAAACAUUGAGGAUUAUCCUAGAGGGUCUUGGAAUCAACAUGAAUCAAGGUGGAAGAAGCACUACUCCAGUACCGGAUCAUCAGACCUCCAAUCUUGACCAUGAGGGGGGGAAUGAAACAAGAACUCAAAACCAUGAAGAGACAAGUAGAGAAGAGAGUUCUGGUUCUCAUGAUCAAGCUGAGGAAUCAAAUGAUCAACAAGGAGCUGAAGAGAGUCAGCUAAGGGAAGAAGGAGCUGAAGCAAGUCAGCUAGGAGAAGAAAGAUCUGAACCAAGUGUACUGCCACAAGAAGAAGAACAAGAGAUUGCGCAAGAAGGGCCAGUGUUGAGAAGAAGUACAAGGCUGAGAAAGGAUCCUUCCAAUUGGGUAAACACAAGAGUGUACUACAAUGCCCAAGCUGUGAAGCAUCCUACUCAGGCCGUGUGUUCUUUUGCUAAAUAUCCAGAAGCACAUUGUGCAUUCAUGGUAAACUUAGAUGAGAAUCACAUUCCAAGAAGCUAUGAAGAGGCAAUGAAGGAUAAGGAAUGGAAGGAAUCAGUAGGAGCUGAGGCAGGAGCUAUGAUCAAAAAUGAUACAUGGUAUGAGAGUGAACUACCAAAAGGGAAGAAGGCAGUAUCUAGCAGAUGGAUCUUCACAAUCAAAUACAAGGCUGAUGGGCAGAUUGAGAGGAAGAAGACUAGAUUAGUAGCGAGAGGGUUCACUCAAACAUAUGGAGAGGAUUACAUUGAGACAUUUGCACCAGUAGCCAAGUUACAUACCAUUAGAAUUGUACUAAGCUUGGCAGUUAAUCUUGGAUGGGGAUUGUGGCAAAUGGAUGUGAAGAAUGCAUUCUUACAAGGAGAACUUGAGGAUGAAGUAUACAUGUAUCCUCCACCUGGUCUUGAACAUCUAGUGAAACGAGGGAAUGUACUGAGGCUAAAGAAGGCUAUCUAUGGGUUGAAGCAAUCUCCAAGAGCUUGGUACAACAAGUUGAGCACAACUCUGAACGGCCAAGGCUUUAAGAAGUCAGAAUUGGAUCAUACUCUCUUUACCCUCACUACUCCCUCAGGUAUGGUUGCUCUCCUUGUGUAUGUGGAUGAUAUCAUUAUCACAGGGAGUGAUAAGGAAGGUAUCAAAGCAACCAAGGAGUUUCUAAAGUCUAUGUUUGAAAUAAAAGACUUGGGAGAAAUGAAAUACUUUCUUGGAAUUGAGAUUUGUAGAUCCAAGGAAGGUUUGACUUCUAGUCUUUCUUAUUUACUCAGAUUACUCUACUCAAUCCUAAAAGUGAUAGAACCCACACUGCCCUCUAGAACAAAGAUUUACCCUUGAGUCUUCAAAUGAACCUCCCACGGAUCACCAAGACACACGCAAAGUACCUAAAGAUUCAAGAUUGAAGCUUUGAAGAGACAGUUUGGUGUUCGUGUGUUCUUAAGCGGUUCUGGGUAGUCUUUCUGAGUUCUAUUGGUUGUGUGAGGUGUUAUUGAAGCUGUGUGGUGUUCGCUCAAGACAAGUUACCUCAAGAGAAAGUUAUUGAAGUCUAAAGGGUUCUACAUUCAACAUGGAGAGUGGGAUGAACAUGAACAUGAAAGUGGCGGUGUGUUUCAAGGGAAACAACUACUUGGUGUGGUCUCGGAUGGUGAGAACCACAGUGGGAAGCAAGGGGCUUUGGAAACACAUCACGCCAGGAGAAGCUCCAAAGCUCAUCACUCAAGGAGAGGCUGAAGAUGAAGCCGCAAGCAAGGCAGAAGAGAAGUGGCAUCAAGAGGACAUGUUGGUGAUGUCUGUGCUCCAUGCGUCCCUUGAGCCGGCUAUUCUGGAUGCAUACAGCUACUGUGAGUCUACUAAAGAGCUGUGGGAUACUUUGAAGAAGGUGUAUGGCAACACUUCAAACCUAAGCCGAGUGUUUGAGGUGAAGCAAGCUAUCAACAACCUUGUACAAGAAGACAUGGAGUUCACUAAGCAUCUAGGAAGAUUCAGAAGCCUCUGGUCCGAGAUGGAGAUGCUUAGGCCAAGCACAACGGAUGCUGAUGAGCUUAACAAGAGGAGAGAGCAAGAUAAGGUCUUUGGGUUACUCCUCACCCUAAACCCGGCGUACAACGGUCUCAUCCAGCACUUACUUAGGGAGGAUACUCUACCUGACCUUGAGGAUGUGUGUGCACGGAUUCAGAAGGAGCAAGGCUCCAUUGGGCUGUUUGGGAAGAAAGGAGAUCUUUCCCUUGCAAGUCAAGCAACUCAAGAGGAGGGGAGUGAAGCUCCACAAGCAAACAAGGCUGCGCAUGGGAAGUUUGAGGAGAGGAGGUUCAAUGGGAGUUGUGAUCACUGCAAGAAGCAUGGUCACAAGAAGAGCCAAUGCUGGAUACUCCACCCUCACCUCAAGCCGGCUAAGUUCAUGAAGGAUCGUGAGGCAAGGGCUAAUGUCUCGGAUGGUACAAGUGGUGUUGGUACAAGCAAAGGAAAGGAGAUAGAUGGGCGUGAGGCAGGUGAUGGGAAGUCUCUUGUAGCCUACACUGGAGCACCAAGCAACCGUGGGAACAAUGAUCAAGAGUAUCUAAGGAGAUCCGACCUUGAUGCUCUCAUUAAGUUGUUCAAGGAGAAUGGUAACACAUUUGGGUAUUCAUUUGGUGCUAGUGUAGUAGAGAACUAUAAGAAUCUAACUAGAACUGAUAGGAUGCAUGAGAGCUUGAUAGAAAUGGUAAAUCAAUCUAGGAUUGCAAACUUUGCUAGAAAUGAUCAUACAUUCAAACCAUCUAGUAUCCUUGCACAUAUUGCUAGUUCUCAUGACAUUAAGCCAUUAGUGAUUGAUUCAGGAGCAUCUCAUCAUAUGAUAAGUGAUACUAGUUUGAUUAAAAACAUUGUACCAAUGAAUGGAAAUGUGAUGAUUGCUAAUGGAGAUAAGAUUCCUAUUAGAGGAAUAGGAAGUCUUAAACUGUUUGAUAAGGAAACUAAAGCCUUUUAUAUGCCUGAAUUUACUUCAAACUUGUUAUCUGUUAAGAAAUGUGCUACUGAUUUACAAUGCAAUGUUAUAUUCAGUCCUAAUGAUGUGAAGUUUCAGGAUAUUAAAAGCAGCAAGAUGAUUGGAAAGGGAGUGACUAAAGGAGAACUAUAUUUACUUGAAGAUCUCACUCCUGUUUCUAGAUAUAGCUGCUCGUUUACUUCUGUUUCUGGUUCUAGUUUAAGUAAAAAUGCAUUGUGGCAUGCUAGAUUAGGACACCCUCAUAAUAAGGCUUUAAAACUGAUGUUGCCAGGUGUUUCCUUUGAGAAUAAUGAGUGUGAAGCUUGCAUUUUAGGCAAGCAUUGUAGAACUGUCUUUACCAAGUCCACUACUGUUUAUGAAAAAUGUUUUGAUCUCAUUCAUUCUGAUGUUUGGACUGCACCUUGCCUGUCUAGAGAUAGCCAUAAGUACUAUGUAACUUUCAUUGAUGAAAAAUCCAAAUACACCUGGUUAACCUUAAUUCCAACCAAAGAUAGGGUAUUUGAUGCAUUUAAAAACUUUCAAACCUAUGUAACUAACCAUUACAAUGCCAAGAUAAAGAUUUUUAGGUCAGAUAAUGGAGGAGAGUACACAGGACAAGCAUUCAAACUACACCUAUCUCAGCAUGGAAUCCUUCAUCAGACAAGCUGUCCCUAUACCCCACAACAGAAUGGUGUGGCUGAGAGGAAGAACAGGCAUUUGAUGGAAGUAGCCAGGUCUAUGAUGUUUCAAUCUAACGUGCCUAAGAAGUUUUGGAGUGAUGCAGUUGCUACGGCUUGUUAUCUCAUCAACAGGACACCAACUCUGAUUCUUCAAGGACGAUCACCAUUUGAGGUACUGAAUCAGUACAAACCCUCUCUAGAGCAUAUGAAGAUCUUUGGAUGUUUGUGUUUUGUGAUGGUGCCUGGAGAGAUAAGAAACAAGCUAGAAGCUAAGAGUUCAAAGGCAAUGUUUAUUGGAUAUUCAUCAAGUCAGAAAGGAUACAAGUGCUAUGAUCCUAACACAAGGAGAGUGUUAGUAUCUAGAGAAGUGAAGUUUGUUGAAGAAAAAGGAUACUAUGAGGAGCAGACUCAAGAUGAUUUGAAAGAUCUCACUUCUGAUAGAGCUGAAACAUUGAGGAUUAUCCUAGAGGGUCUUGGAAUCAACAUGAAUCAAGGUGGAAGAAGCACUACUCCAGUACCGGAUCAUCAGACCUCCAAUCUUGACCAUGAGGGGGGGAAUGAAACAAGAACUCAAAACCAUGAAGAGACAAGUAGAGAAGAGAGUUCUGGUUCUCAUGAUCAAGCUGAGGAAUCAAAUGAUCAACAAGGAGCUGAAGAGAGUCAGCUAAGGGAAGAAGGAGCUGAAGCAAGUCAGCUAGGAGAAGAAAGAUCUGAACCAAGUGUACUGCCACAAGAAGAAGAACAAGAGAUUGCGCAAGAAGGGCCAGUGUUGAGAAGAAGUACAAGGCUGAGAAAGGAUCCUUCCAAUUGGGUAAACACAAGAGUGUACUACAAUGCCCAAGCUGUGAAGCAUCCUACUCAGGCCGUGUGUUCUUUUGCUAAAUAUCCAGAAGCACAUUGUGCAUUCAUGGUAAACUUAGAUGAGAAUCACAUUCCAAGAAGCUAUGAAGAGGCAAUGAAGGAUAAGGAAUGGAAGGAAUCAGUAGGAGCUGAGGCAGGAGCUAUGAUCAAAAAUGAUACAUGGUAUGAGAGUGAACUACCAAAAGGGAAGAAGGCAGUAUCUAGCAGAUGGAUCUUCACAAUCAAAUACAAGGCUGAUGGGCAGAUUGAGAGGAAGAAGACUAGAUUAGUAGCGAGAGGGUUCACUCAAACAUAUGGAGAGGAUUACAUUGAGACAUUUGCACCAGUAGCCAAGUUACAUACCAUUAGAAUUGUACUAAGCUUGGCAGUUAAUCUUGGAUGGGGAUUGUGGCAAAUGGAUGUGAAGAAUGCAUUCUUACAAGGAGAACUUGAGGAUGAAGUAUACAUGUAUCCUCCACCUGGUCUUGAACAUCUAGUGAAACGAGGGAAUGUACUGAGGCUAAAGAAGGCUAUCUAUGGGUUGAAGCAAUCUCCAAGAGCUUGGUACAACAAGUUGAGCACAACUCUGAACGGCCAAGGCUUUAAGAAGUCAGAAUUGGAUCAUACUCUCUUUACCCUCACUACUCCCUCAGGUAUGGUUGCUCUCCUUGUGUAUGUGGAUGAUAUCAUUAUCACAGGGAGUGAUAAGGAAGGUAUCAAAGCAACCAAGGAGUUUCUAAAGUCUAUGUUUGAAAUAAAAGACUUGGGAGAAAUGAAAUACUUUCUUGGAAUUGAGAUUUGUAGAUCCAAGGAAGGUUUGUUCAUGUCCCAAAGGAAGUAUACACUUGAUCUUUUGAAAGGUGCAGGUGCUUAUGGAGGCAAGACAGCAAGGAUGCCAAUGGAGGAUGGCUACAAAGUACCAAGAGAGGGGGAGAUUGAAGACAGCAAGCCAUUUCAUGAUCCUAAACUCUAUAGAAAACUUGUUGGCAAAUUGAUUUAUCUUACCAUCACAAGACCUGAUAUAUGCUUUGCUGUGAAUCAGGUGAGUCAACACAUGCAGCUUCCCAAGGAACAUCAUUGGCGUAUGGUGGAGAGGCUGCUAAUGUAUCUGAAUGGCUCGCCGGAUCAAGGAGUAUGGAUGGGGUGCAAUGGAAGCACAGAAGUAGUGGGCUAUUGUGAUGCGGAUUGGGCAGGUGAUAGAGCUGACAGGAGAUCAACAACCGGCUAUUGCACAUUCAUUGGAGGCAACUUGGUAACCUGGAAGAGUAAGAAACAGAAGGUGGUGUCAUGCUCAAGUGCAGAAGCUGAAUAUAGAGCUAUGCUGAAGCUUACAAACGAGCUAGUGUGGAUCAAGGGCAUCUUGAAGCAUUUGAAGAUAGAACAAGCCACUCCAAUGACAAUGCAUUGUGACAACCAAGCAGCCAUUCACAUAGCCUCCAACUCGGUGUUCCAUGAGAGAACAAAGCACAUUGAGGUUGAUUGCCACAAGGUGAGGCAGAUGAUUGUCCUAGGAGUCAUCUUGCCAUGUUAUACUAGGAGUGAAGAUCAGUUGGCUGAUGUAUUCACCAAGGCUGCGAGUCAAAAGACAAUGGAGUCCAUUCAUAUCAGAUUGGGCCUCAUUGAUCUUGGGAAGAGAAGUAGCUGAUCCCCUUAGUCAUGAGAUCUUUACUCUUUUUCCCUCAUUAAGGUUUUGUCCCAAUGGGUUUUCCUUGGUGAGGUUUUUAAUGAGGAAGAUCUCAUGGCUGUCCAAGCUUAGGCUUCCACAAAGCUAAGCUUGAGGGGGAGUGUUGAGAUGAGCUGAGUAUAUGGAGAUGAAGAGAUAAGGAGUUGAAGAGAAGAGGAGAUGAAGUACUUAGGGAAGUUUGGGAGAGUAUGGUACGGUAGGCCGUACAAGGCCGUACAAGGCCGUACAAGGCCGUACCAUCCAAACCUCAACCAAAACUUACCAUACCUUAUCCAAGUGAGACGGUAACUAAGGAGGAGUGACUUGGGUAGCUUAGGGAGAGGAUCAGACCGUUGAAAGGAUAAGGGGACGCGGUGCCAGGCUGGAACAGGCUGGAAAGCUAAAGCACCUUUAGUCCAAGAUGCCAUAAGCGUGUGAUGCAUCCUAGUGGUUGAUUUGAAUCCAUUGCCUUGACUACACACGGCUCAAUAGUGCUCAUUUCCCCUCUUGUAAACCCUUGUGUUCCUCUUAUAAAUAUGUAACCUCACUCAUUAAUAAGAUUAAGAAAGUUACGAGUCUCUCUCUUAGUCUUUACUCUCAACAUGAUUCGAUCCUAGACUUCUAAUCUCAUUUCAUACUCAAAUCUCUUCUAAAUCACUUCUAGUCUUUCUUAUUUACUCAGAUUACUCUACUCAAUCCUAAAAGUGAUAUGGUAUCAGAGCCAGGUUCAUAGGAAACUUGGUUUUGUUGAGUUCUUUAAAAAUUCAAGAUUGAAGCUUUGAAGAGACAGUUUGGUGUUCGUGUGUUCUUAAGCGGUUCUGGGUAGUCUUUCUGAGUUCUAUUGGUUGUGUGAGGUGUUAUUGAAGCUGUGUGGUGUUCGCUCAAGACAAGUUACCUCAAGAGAAAGUUAUUGAAGUCUAAAGGGUUCUACAUUCAACAUGGAGAGUGGGAUGAACAUGAACAUGAAAGUGGCGGUGUGUUUCAAGGGAAACAACUACUUGGUGUGGUCUCGGAUGGUGAGAACCACAGUGGGAAGCAAGGGGCUUUGGAAACACAUCACGCCAGGAGAAGCUCCAAAGCUCAUCACUCAAGGAGAGGCUGAAGAUGAAGCCGCAAGCAAGGCAGAAGAGAAGUGGCAUCAAGAGGACAUGUUGGUGAUGUCUGUGCUCCAUGCGUCCCUUGAGCCGGCUAUUCUGGAUGCAUACAGCUACUGUGAGUCUGCUAAAGAGCUGUGGGAUACUUUGAAGAAGGUGUAUGGCAACACUUCAAACCUAAGCCGAGUGUUUGAGGUGAAGCAAGCUAUCAACAACCUUGUACAAGAAGACAUGGAGUUCACUAAGCAUCUAGGAAGAUUCAGAAGCCUCUGGUCCGAGAUGGAGAUGCUUAGGCCAAGCACAACGGAUGCUGAUGAGCUUAACAAGAGGAGAGAGCAAGAUAAGGUCUUUGGGUUACUCCUCACCCUAAACCCGGCGUACAACGGUCUCAUCCAGCACUUACUUAGGGAGGAUACUCUACCUGACCUUGAGGAUGUGUGUGCACGGAUUCAGAAGGAGCAAGGCUCCAUUGGGCUGUUUGGGAAGAAAGGAGAUCUUUCCCUUGCAAGUCAAGCAACUCAAGAGGAGGGGAGUGAAGCUCCACAAGCAAACAAGGCUGCGCAUGGGAAGUUUGAGGAGAGGAGGUUCAAUGGGAGUUGUGAUCACUGCAAGAAGCAUGGUCACAAGAAGAGCCAAUGCUGGAUACUCCACCCUCACCUCAAGCCGGCUAAGUUCAUGAAGGAUCGUGAGGCAAGGGCUAAUGUCUCGGAUGGUACAAGUGGUGUUGGUACAAGCAAAGGAAAGGAGAUAGAUGGGCGUGAGGCAGGUGAUGGGAAGUCUCUUGUAGCCUACACUGGAGCACCAAGCAACCGUGGGAACAAUGAUCAAGAGUAUCUAAGGAGAUCCGACCUUGAUGCUCUCAUUAAGUUGUUCAAGGAGAAUGGUAACACAUUUGGGUAUUCAUUUGGUGCUAGUGUAGUAGAGAACUAUAAGAAUCUAACUAGAACUGAUAGGAUGCAUAAGAGCUUGAUAGAAAUGGUAAAUCAAUCUAGGAUUGCAAACUUUGCUAGAAAUGAUCAUACAUUCAAACCAUCUAGUAUCCUUGCACAUAUUGCUAGUUCUCAUGACAUUAAGCCAUUAGUGAUUGAUUCAGGAGCAUCUCAUCAUAUGAUAAGUGAUACUAGUUUGAUUAAAAACAUUGUACCAAUGAAUGGAAAUGUGAUGAUUGCUAAUGGAGAUAAGAUUCCUAUUAGAGGAAUAGGAAGUCUUAAACUGUUUGAUAAGGAAACUAAAGCCUUUUAUAUGCCUGAAUUUACUUCAAACUUGUUAUCUGUUAAGAAAUGUGCUACUGAUUUACAAUGCAAUGUUAUAUUCAGUCCUAAUGAUGUGAAGUUUCAGGAUAUUAAAAGCAGCAAGAUGAUUGGAAAGGGAGUGACUAAAGGAGAACUAUAUUUACUUGAAGAUCUCACUCCUGUUUCUAGAUAUAGCUGCUCGUUUACUUCUGUUUCUGGUUCUAGUUUAAGUAAAAAUGCAUUGUGGCAUGCUAGAUUAGGACACCCUCAUAAUAAGGCUUUAAAACUGAUGUUGCCAGGUGUUUCCUUUGAGAAUAAUGAGUGUGAAGCUUGCAUUUUAGGCAAGCAUUGUAGAACUGUCUUUACCAAGUCCACUACUGUUUAUGAAAAAUGUUUUGAUCUCAUUCAUUCUGAUGUUUGGACUGCACCUUGCCUGUCUAGAGAUAGCCAUAAGUACUAUGUAACUUUCAUUGAUGAAAAAUCCAAAUACACCUGGUUAACCUUAAUUCCAACCAAAGAUAGGGUACUUGAUGCAUUUAAAAACUUUCAAACCUAUGUAACUAACCAUUACAAUGCCAAGAUAAAGAUUUUUAGGUCAGAUAAUGGAGGAGAGUACACAGGACAAGCAUUCAAACUACACCUAUCUCAGCAUGGAAUCCUUCAUCAGACAAGCUGUCCCUAUACCCCACAACAGAAUGGUGUGGCUGAGAGGAAGAACAGGCAUUUGAUGGAAGUAGCCAGGUCUAUGAUGUUUCAAUCUAACGUGCCUAAGAAGUUUUGGAGUGAUGCAGUUGCUACGGCUUGUUAUCUCAUCAACAGGACACCAACUCUGAUUCUUCAAGGACGAUCACCAUUUGAGGUACUGAAUCAGUACAAACCCUCUCUAGAGCAUAUGAAGAUCUUUGGAUGUUUGUGUUUUGUGAUGGUGCCUGGAGAGAUAAGAAACAAGCUAGAAGCUAAGAGUUCAAAGGCAAUGUUUAUUGGAUAUUCAUCAAGUCAGAAAGGAUACAAGUGCUAUGAUCCUAACACAAGGAGAGUGUUAGUAUCUAGAGAAGUGAAGUUUGUUGAAGAAAAAGGAUACUAUGAGGAGCAGACUCAAGAUGAUUUGAGAGAUCUCACUUCUGAUAGAGCUGAAACAUUGAGGAUUAUCCUAGAGGGUCUUGGAAUCAACAUGAAUCAAGGAGGAAGAAGCACUACUCCAGUACCGGAUCAUCAGACCUCCAAUCUUGACCAUGAGGGGGGGAAUGAAACAAGAACUCAAAACCAUGAAGAGACAAGUAGAGAAGAGAGUUCUGGUUCUCAUGAUCAAGCUGAGGAAUCAAAUGAUCAACAAGGAGCUGAAGAGAGUCAGCUAAGGGAAGAAGGAGCUGAAGCAAGUCAGCUAGGAGAAGAAAGAUCUGAACCAAGUGUACUGCCACAAGAAGAAGAACAAGAGAUUGCGCAAGAAGGGCCAGUGUUGAGAAGAAGUACAAGGCUGAGAAAGGAUCCUUCCAGUUGGGUAAACACAAGAGUGUACUACAAUGCCCAAGCUGUGAAGCAUCCUACUCAGGCCGUGUGUUCUUUUGCUAAAUAUCCAGAAGCACAUUGUGCAUUCAUGGUAAACUUAGAUGAGAAUCACAUUCCAAGAAGCUAUGAAGAGGCAAUGAAGGAUAAGGAAUGGAAGGAAUCAGUAGGAGCUGAGGCAGGAGCUAUGAUCAAAAAUGAUACAUGGUAUGAGAGUGAACUACCAAAAGGGAAGAAGGCAGUAUCUAGCAGAUGGAUCUUCACAAUCAAAUACAAGGCUGAUGGGCAGAUUGAGAGGAAGAAGACUAGAUUAGUAGCGAGAGGGUUCACUCAAACAUAUGGAGAGGAUUACAUUGAGACAUUUGCACCAGUAGCCAAGUUACAUACCAUUAGAAUUGUACUAAGCUUGGCAGUUAAUCUUGGAUGGGGAUUGUGGCAAAUGGAUGUGAAGAAUGCAUUCUUACAAGGAGAACUUGAGGAUGAAGUAUACAUGUAUCCUCCACCUGGUCUUGAACAUCUAGUGAAACGAGGGAAUGUACUGAGGCUAAAGAAGGCUAUCUAUGGGUUGAAGCAAUCUCCAAGAGCUUGGUACAACAAGUUGAGCACAACUCUGAACGGCCAAGGCUUUAAGAAGUCAGAAUUGGAUCAUACUCUCUUUACCCUCACUACUCCCUCAGGUAUGGUUGCUCUCCUUGUGUAUGUGGAUGAUAUCAUUAUCACAGGGAGUGAUAAGGAAGGUAUCAAAGCAACCAAGGAGUUUCUAAAGUCUAUGUUUGAAAUAAAAGACUUGGGAGAAAUGAAAUACUUUCUUGGAAUUGAGAUUUGUAGAUCCAAGGAAGGUUUGUUCAUGUCCCAAAGGAAGUAUACACUUGAUCUUUUGAAAGGUGCAGGUGCUUAUGGAGGCAAGACAGCAAGGAUGCCAAUGGAGGAUGGCUACAAAGUACCAAGAGAGGGGGAGAUUGAAGACAGCAAGCCAUUUCAUGAUCCUAAACUCUAUAGAAAACUUGUUGGCAAAUUGAUUUAUCUUACCAUCACAAGACCUGAUAUAUGCUUUGCUGUGAAUCAGGUGAGUCAACACAUGCAGCUUCCCAAGGAACAUCAUUGGCGUAUGGUGGAGAGGCUGCUAAUGUAUCUGAAUGGCUCGCCGGAUCAAGGAGUAUGGAUGGGGUGCAAUGGAAGCACAGAAGUAGUGGGCUAUUGUGAUGCGGAUUGGGCAGGUGAUAGAGCUGACAGGAGAUCAACAACCGGCUAUUGCACAUUCAUUGGAGGCAACUUGGUAACCUGGAAGAGUAAGAAACAGAAGGUGGUGUCAUGCUCAAGUGCAGAAGCUGAAUAUAGAGCUAUGCUGAAGCUUACAAACGAGCUAGUGUGGAUCAAGGGCAUCUUGAAGCAUUUGAAGAUAGAACAAGCCACUCCAAUGACAAUGCAUUGUGACAACCAAGCAGCCAUUCACAUAGCCUCCAACUCGGUGUUCCAUGAGAGAACAAAGCACAUUGAGGUUGAUUGCCACAAGGUGAGGCAGAUGAUUGUCCUAGGAGUCAUCUUGCCAUGUUAUACUAGGAGUGAAGAUCAGUUGGCUGAUGUAUUCACCAAGGCUGCGAGGCAAAAGACAAUGGAGUCCAUUCAUAUCAGAUUGGGCCUCAUUGAUCUUGGGAAGAGAAGUAGCUGAUCCCCUUAGUCAUGAGAUCUUUACUCUUUUUCCCUCAUUAAGGUUUUGUCCCAAUGGGUUUUCCUUGGUGAGGUUUUUAAUGAGGAAGAUCUCAUGGCUGUCCAAGCUUAGGCUUCCACAAAGCUAAGCUUGAGGGGGAGUGUUGAGAUGAGCUGAGUAUAUGGAGAUGAAGAGAUAAGGAGUUGAAGAGAAGAGGAGAUGAAGUACUUAGGGAAGUUUGGGAGAGUAUGGUACGGUAGGCCGUACAAGGCCGUACAAGGCCGUACAAGGCCGUACCAUCCAAACCUCAACCAAAACUUACCAUACCUUAUCCAAGUGAGACGGUAACUAAGGAGGAGUGACUUGGGUAGCUUAGGGAGAGGAUCAGACCGUUGAAAGGAUAAGGGGACGCGGUGCCAGGCUGGAACAGGCUGGAAAGCUAAAGCACCUUUAGUCCAAGAUGCCAUAAGCGUGUGAUGCAUCCUAGUGGUUGAUUUGAAUCCAUUGCCUUGACUACACACGGCUCAAUAGUGCUCAUUUCCCUUCUUGUAAACCCUUGUGUUCCUCUUAUAAAUAUGUAACCUCACUCAUUAAUAAGAUUAAGAAAGUUACGAGUCUCUCUCUUAGUCUUUACUCUCAACAUGAUUCGAUCCUAGACUUCUAAUCUCAUUUCAUACUCAAAUCUCUUCUAAAUCACUUCUAGUCUUUCUUAUUUACUCAGAUUACUCUACUCAAUCCUAAAAGUGAUAUGGUAUCAGAGCCAGGUUCAUAGGAAACUUGGUUUCGUUGAGUUCUUUAAAAAUUCAAGAUUGAAGCUUUGAAGAGACAGUUUGGUGUUCGUGUGUUCUUAAGCGGUUCUGGGUAGUCUUUCUGAGUUCUAUUGGUUGUGUGAGGUGUUAUUGAAGCUGUGUGGUGUUCGCUCAAGACAAGUUACCUCAAGAGAAAGUUAUUGAAGUCUAAAGGGUUCUACAUUCAACAUGGAGAGUGGGAUGAACAUGAACAUGAAGGUAGCCGUGUGUUUCAAGGGAAACAACUACUUGGUGUGGUCUCGGAUGGUGAGAACCACAGUGGGAAGCAAGGGGCUUUGGAAACACAUCACGCCAGGAGAAGCUCCAAAGCUCAUCACUCAAGGAGAGGCUGAAGAUGAAGCCGCAAGCAAGGCAGAAGAGAAGUGGCAUCAAGAGGACAUGUUGGUGAUGUCUGUGCUCCAUGCGUCCCUUGAGCCGGCUAUUCUGGAUGCAUACAGCUACUGUGAGUCUGCUAAAGAGCUGUGGGAUACUUUGAAGAAGGUGUAUGGCAACACUUCAAACCUAAGCCGAGUGUUUGAGGUGAAGCAAGCUAUCAACAACCUUGUACAAGAAGACAUGGAGUUCACUAAGCAUCUAGGAAGAUUCAGAAGCCUCUGGUCCGAGAUGGAGAUGCUUAGGCCAAGCACAACGGAUGCUGAUGAGCUUAACAAGAGGAGAGAGCAAGAUAAGGUCUUUGGGUUACUCCUCACCCUAAACCCGGCGUACAACGGUCUCAUCCAGCACUUACUUAGGGAGGAUACUCUACCCUCAUCCAGCACCUGCUUAGAGAAGACACUCUACCUGACCUUGAGGAUGUGUGUGCACGGAUUCAGAAGGAGCAAGGCUCCAUUGGGCUGUUUGGGAAGAAAGGAGAUCUUUCCCUUGCAAGUCAAGCAACUCAAGAGGAGGGGAGUGAAGCUCCACAAGCAAACAAGGCUGCGCAUGGGAAGUUUGAGGAGAGGAGGUUCAAUGGGAGUUGUGAUCACUGCAAGAAGCAUGGUCACAAGAAGAGCCAAUGCUGGAUACUCCACCCUCACCUCAAGCCGGCUAAGUUCAUGAAGGAUCGUGAGGCAAGGGCUAAUGUCUCGGAUGGUACAAGUGGUGUUGGUACAAGCAAAGGAAAGGAGAUAGAUGGGCGUGAGGCAGGUGAUGGGAAGUCUCUUGGAGGCUACACUGGAGCUCCAAGCAACCGCGGGAACAAUGAUCAAGAGUAUCUAAGGAGAUCCGACCUUGAUGCUCUCAUUAAGUUGUUCAAGGAGAAUGGUAACACAUUUGGGUAUUCAUUUGGUGCUAGUGUAGUAGAGAACUAUAAGAAUCUAACUAGAACUGAUAGGAUGCAUAAGAGCUUGAUAGAAAUGGUAAAUCAAUCUAGGAUUGCAAACUUUGCUAGAAAUGAUCAUACAUUCAAACCAUCUAGUAUCCUUGCACAUAUUGCUAGUUCUCAUGACAUUAAGCCAUUAGUGAUUGAUUCAGGAGCAUCUCAUCAUAUGAUAAGUGAUACUAGUUUGAUUAAAAACAUUGUACCAAUGAAUGGAAAUGUGAUGAUUGCUAAUGGAGAUAAGAUUCCUAUUAGAGGAAUAGGAAGUCUUAAACUGUUUGAUAAGGAAACUAAAGCCUUUUAUAUGCCUGAAUUUACUUCAAACUUGUUAUCUGUUAAGAAAUGUGCUACUGAUUUACAAUGCAAUGUUAUAUUCAGUCCUAAUGAUGUGAAGUUUCAGGAUAUUAAAAGCAGCAAGAUGAUUGGAAAGGGAGUGACUAAAGGAGAACUAUAUUUACUUGAAGAUCUCACUCCUGUUUCUAGAUAUAGCUGCUCGUUUACUUCUGUUUCUGGUUCUAGUUUAAGUAAAAAUGCAUUGUGGCAUGCUAGAUUAGGACACCCUCAUAAUAAGGCUUUAAAACUGAUGUUGCCAGGUGUUUCCUUUGAGAAUAAUGAGUGUGAAGCUUGCAUUUUAGGCAAGCAUUGUAGAACUGUCUUUACCAAGUCCACUACUGUUUAUGAAAAAUGUUUUGAUCUCAUUCAUUCUGAUGUUUGGACUGCACCUUGCCUGUCUAGAGAUAGCCAUAAGUACUAUGUAACUUUCAUUGAUGAAAAAUCCAAAUACACCUGGUUAACCUUAAUUCCAACCAAAGAUAGGGUACUUGAUGCAUUUAAAAACUUUCAAACCUAUGUAACUAACCAUUACAAUGCCAAGAUAAAGAUUUUUAGGUCAGAUAAUGGAGGAGAGUACACAGGACAAGCAUUCAAACUACACCUAUCUCAGCAUGGAAUCCUUCAUCAGACAAGCUGUCCCUAUACCCCACAACAGAAUGGUGUGGCUGAGAGGAAGAACAGGCAUUUGAUGGAAGUAGCCAGGUCUAUGAUGUUUCAAUCUAACGUGCCUAAGAAGUUUUGGAGUGAUGCAGUUGCUACGGCUUGUUAUCUCAUCAACAGGACACCAACUCUGAUUCUUCAAGGACGAUCACCAUUUGAGGUACUGAAUCAGUACAAACCCUCUCUAGAGCAUAUGAAGAUCUUUGGAUGUUUGUGUUUUGUGAUGGUGCCUGGAGAGAUAAGAAACAAGCUAGAAGCUAAGAGUUCAAAGGCAAUGUUUAUUGGAUAUUCAUCAAGUCAGAAAGGAUACAAGUGCUAUGAUCCUAACACAAGGAGAGUGUUAGUAUCUAGAGAAGUGAAGUUUGUUGAAGAAAAAGGAUACUAUGAGGAGCAGACUCAAGAUGAUUUGAGAGAUCUCACUUCUGAUAGAGCUGAAACAUUGAGGAUUAUCCUAGAGGGUCUUGGAAUCAACAUGAAUCAAGGAGGAAGAAGCACUACUCCAGUACCGGAUCAUCAGACCUCCAAUCUUGACCAUGAGGGGGGGAAUGAAACAAGAACUCAAAACCAUGAAGAGACAAGUAGAGAAGAGAGUUCUGGUUCUCAUGAUCAAGCUGAGGAAUCAAAUGAUCAACAAGGAGCUGAAGAGAGUCAGCUAAGGGAAGAAGGAGCUGAAGCAAGUCAGCUAGGAGAAGAAAGAUCUGAACCAAGUGUACUGCCACAAGAAGAAGAACAAGAGAUUGCGCAAGAAGGGCCAGUGUUGAGAAGAAGUACAAGGCUGAGAAAGGAUCCUUCCAGUUGGGUAAACACAAGAGUGUACUACAAUGCCCAAGCUGUGAAGCAUCCUACUCAGGCCGUGUGUUCUUUUGCUAAAUAUCCAGAAGCACAUUGUGCAUUCAUGGUAAACUUAGAUGAGAAUCACAUUCCAAGAAGCUAUGAAGAGGCAAUGAAGGAUAAGGAAUGGAAGGAAUCAGUAGGAGCUGAGGCAGGAGCUAUGAUCAAAAAUGAUACAUGGUAUGAGAGUGAACUACCAAAAGGGAAGAAGGCAGUAUCUAGCAGAUGGAUCUUCACAAUCAAAUACAAGGCUGAUGGGCAGAUUGAGAGGAAGAAGACUAGAUUAGUAGCGAGAGGGUUCACUCAAACAUAUGGAGAGGAUUACAUUGAGACAUUUGCACCAGUAGCCAAGUUACAUACCAUUAGAAUUGUACUAAGCUUGGCAGUUAAUCUUGGAUGGGGAUUGUGGCAAAUGGAUGUGAAGAAUGCAUUCUUACAAGGAGAACUUGAGGAUGAAGUAUACAUGUAUCCUCCACCUGGUCUUGAACAUCUAGUGAAACGAGGGAAUGUACUGAGGCUAAAGAAGGCUAUCUAUGGGUUGAAGCAAUCUCCAAGAGCUUGGUACAACAAGUUGAGCACAACUCUGAACGGCCAAGGCUUUAAGAAGUCAGAAUUGGAUCAUACUCUCUUUACCCUCACUACUCCCUCAGGUAUGGUUGCUCUCCUUGUGUAUGUGGAUGAUAUCAUUAUCACAGGGAGUGAUAAGGAAGGUAUCAAAGCAACCAAGGAGUUUCUAAAGUCUAUGUUUGAAAUAAAAGACUUGGGAGAAAUGAAAUACUUUCUUGGAAUUGAGAUUUGUAGAUCCAAGGAAGGUUUGUUCAUGUCCCAAAGGAAGUAUACACUUGAUCUUUUGAAAGGUGCAGGUGCUUAUGGAGGCAAGACAGCAAGGAUGCCAAUGGAGGAUGGCUACAAAGUACCAAGAGAGGGGGAGAUUGAAGACAGCAAGCCAUUUCAUGAUCCUAAACUCUAUAGAAAACUUGUUGGCAAAUUGAUUUAUCUUACCAUCACAAGACCUGAUAUAUGCUUUGCUGUGAAUCAGGUGAGUCAACACAUGCAGCUUCCCAAGGAACAUCAUUGGCGUAUGGUGGAGAGGCUGCUAAUGUAUCUGAAUGGCUCGCCGGAUCAAGGAGUAUGGAUGGGGUGCAAUGGAAGCACAGAAGUAGUGGGCUAUUGUGAUGCGGAUUGGGCAGGUGAUAGAGCUGACAGGAGAUCAACAACCGGCUAUUGCACAUUCAUUGGAGGCAACUUGGUAACCUGGAAGAGUAAGAAACAGAAGGUGGUGUCAUGCUCAAGUGCAGAAGCUGAAUAUAGAGCUAUGCUGAAGCUUACAAACGAGCUAGUGUGGAUCAAGGGCAUCUUGAAGCAUUUGAAGAUAGAACAAGCCACUCCAAUGACAAUGCAUUGUGACAACCAAGCAGCCAUUCACAUAGCCUCCAACUCGGUGUUCCAUGAGAGAACAAAGCACAUUGAGGUUGAUUGCCACAAGGUGAGGCAGAUGAUUGUCCUAGGAGUCAUCUUGCCAUGUUAUACUAGGAGUGAAGAUCAGUUGGCUGAUGUAUUCACCAAGGCUGCGAGGCAAAAGACAAUGGAGUCCAUUCAUAUCAGAUUGGGCCUCAUUGAUCUUGGGAAGAGAAGUAGCUGAUCCCCUUAGUCAUGAGAUCUUUACUCUUUUUCCCUCAUUAAGGUUUUGUCCCAAUGGGUUUUCCUUGGUGAGGUUUUUAAUGAGGAAGAUCUCAUGGCUGUCCAAGCUUAGGCUUCCACAAAGCUAAGCUUGAGGGGGAGUGUUGAGAUGAGCUGAGUAUAUGGAGAUGAAGAGAUAAGGAGUUGAAGAGAAGAGGAGAUGAAGUACUUAGGGAAGUUUGGGAGAGUAUGGUACGGUAGGCCGUACAAGGCCGUACAAGGCCGUACAAGGCCGUACCAUCCAAACCUCAACCAAAACUUACCAUACCUUAUCCAAGUGAGACGGUAACUAAGGAGGAGUGACUUGGGUAGCUUAGGGAGAGGAUCAGACCGUUGAAAGGAUAAGGGGACGCGGUGCCAGGCUGGAACAGGCUGGAAAGCUAAAGCACCUUUAGUCCAAGAUGCCAUAAGCGUGUGAUGCAUCCUAGUGGUUGAUUUGAAUCCAUUGCCUUGACUACACACGGCUCAAUAGUGCUCAUUUCCCUUCUUGUAAACCCUUGUGUUCCUCUUAUAAAUAUGUAACCUCACUCAUUAAUAAGAUUAAGAAAGUUACGAGUCUCUCUCUUAGUCUUUACUCUCAACAUGAUUCGAUCCUAGACUUCUAAUCUCAUUUCAUACUCAAAUCUCUUCUAAAUCACUUCUAGUCUUUCUUAUUUACUCAGAUUACUCUACUCAAUCCUAAAAGUGAUAAGUUGAAUAAAUCUCAUAGGAGUUGGCAUGAAGAAGUUAUCCCACUUUCAAAUCAGGUGAUUCCAGUUUCCCAGUUUGGGAAUAACACAGCUUCUUCGUCGUUCCAAUCAAACCAGGAUGAAUCUCUUGGUAAUAAGAGACAGUUUGGUGUUCGUGUGUUCUUAAGCGGUUCUGGGUAGUCUUUCUGAGUUCUAUUGGUUGUGUGAGGUGUUAUUGAAGCUGUGUGGUGUUCGCUCAAGACAAGUUACCUCAAGAGAAAGUUAUUGAAGUCUAAAGGGUUCUACAUUCAACAUGGAGAGUGGGAUGAACAUGAACAUGAAAGUGGCGGUGUGUUUCAAGGGAAACAACUACUUGGUGUGGUCUCGGAUGGUGAGAACCACAGUGGGAAGCAAGGGGCUUUGGAAACACAUCACGCCAGGAGAAGCUCCAAAGCUCAUCACUCAAGGAGAGGCUGAAGAUGAAGCCGCAAGCAAGGCAGAAGAGAAGUGGCAUCAAGAGGACAUGUUGGUGAUGUCUGUGCUCCAUGCGUCCCUUGAGCCGGCUAUUCUGGAUGCAUACAGCUACUGUGAGUCUGCUAAAGAGCUGUGGGAUACUUUGAAGAAGGUGUAUGGCAACACUUCAAACCUAAGCCGAGUGUUUGAGGUGAAGCAAGCUAUCAACAACCUUGUACAAGAAGACAUGGAGUUCACUAAGCAUCUAGGAAGAUUCAGAAGCCUCUGGUCCGAGAUGGAGAUGCUUAGGCCAAGCACAACGGAUGCUGAUGAGCUUAACAAGAGGAGAGAGCAAGAUAAGGUCUUUGGGUUACUCCUCACCCUAAACCCGGCGUACAACGGUCUCAUCCAGCACUUACUUAGGGAGGAUACUCUACCUGACCUUGAGGAUGUGUGUGCACGGAUUCAGAAGGAGCAAGGCUCCAUUGGGCUGUUUGGGAAGAAAGGAGAUCUUUCCCUUGCAAGUCAAGCAACUCAAGAGGAGGGGAGUGAAGCUCCACAAGCAAACAAGGCUGCGCAUGGGAAGUUUGAGGAGAGGAGGUUCAAUGGGAGUUGUGAUCACUGCAAGAAGCAUGGUCACAAGAAGAGCCAAUGCUGGAUACUCCACCCUCACCUCAAGCCGGCUAAGUUCAUGAAGGAUCGUGAGGCAAGGGCUAAUGUCUCGGAUGGUACAAGUGGUGUUGGUACAAGCAAAGGAAAGGAGAUAGAUGGGCGUGAGGCAGGUGAUGGGAAGUCUCUUGUAGCCUACACUGGAGCACCAAGCAACCGUGGGAACAAUGAUCAAGAGUAUCUAAGGAGAUCCGACCUUGAUGCUCUCAUUAAGUUGUUCAAGGAGAAUGGUAACACAUUUGGGUAUUCAUUUGGUGCUAGUGUAGUAGAGAACUAUAAGAAUCUAACUAGAACUGAUAGGAUGCAUAAGAGCUUGAUAGAAAUGGUAAAUCAAUCUAGGAUUGCAAACUUUGCUAGAAAUGAUCAUACAUUCAAACCAUCUAGUAUCCUUGCACAUAUUGCUAGUUCUCAUGACAUUAAGCCAUUAGUGAUUGAUUCAGGAGCAUCUCAUCAUAUGAUAAGUGAUACUAGUUUGAUUAAAAACAUUGUACCAAUGAAUGGAAAUGUGAUGAUUGCUAAUGGAGAUAAGAUUCCUAUUAGAGGAAUAGGAAGUCUUAAACUGUUUGAUAAGGAAACUAAAGCCUUUUAUAUGCCUGAAUUUACUUCAAACUUGUUAUCUGUUAAGAAAUGUGCUACUGAUUUACAAUGCAAUGUUAUAUUCAGUCCUAAUGAUGUGAAGUUUCAGGAUAUUAAAAGCAGCAAGAUGAUUGGAAAGGGAGUGACUAAAGGAGAACUAUAUUUACUUGAAGAUCUCACUCCUGUUUCUAGAUAUAGCUGCUCGUUUACUUCUGUUUCUGGUUCUAGUUUAAGUAAAAAUGCAUUGUGGCAUGCUAGAUUAGGACACCCUCAUAAUAAGGCUUUAAAACUGAUGUUGCCAGGUGUUUCCUUUGAGAAUAAUGAGUGUGAAGCUUGCAUUUUAGGCAAGCAUUGUAGAACUGUCUUUACCAAGUCCACUACUGUUUAUGAAAAAUGUUUUGAUCUCAUUCAUUCUGAUGUUUGGACUGCACCUUGCCUGUCUAGAGAUAGCCAUAAGUACUAUGUAACUUUCAUUGAUGAAAAAUCCAAAUACACCUGGUUAACCUUAAUUCCAACCAAAGAUAGGGUACUUGAUGCAUUUAAAAACUUUCAAACCUAUGUAACUAACCAUUACAAUGCCAAGAUAAAGAUUUUUAGGUCAGAUAAUGGAGGAGAGUACACAGGACAAGCAUUCAAACUACACCUAUCUCAGCAUGGAAUCCUUCAUCAGACAAGCUGUCCCUAUACCCCACAACAGAAUGGUGUGGCUGAGAGGAAGAACAGGCAUUUGAUGGAAGUAGCCAGGUCUAUGAUGUUUCAAUCUAACGUGCCUAAGAAGUUUUGGAGUGAUGCAGUUGCUACGGCUUGUUAUCUCAUCAACAGGACACCAACUCUGAUUCUUCAAGGACGAUCACCAUUUGAGGUACUGAAUCAGUACAAACCCUCUCUAGAGCAUAUGAAGAUCUUUGGAUGUUUGUGUUUUGUGAUGGUGCCUGGAGAGAUAAGAAACAAGCUAGAAGCUAAGAGUUCAAAGGCAAUGUUUAUUGGAUAUUCAUCAAGUCAGAAAGGAUACAAGUGCUAUGAUCCUAACACAAGGAGAGUGUUAGUAUCUAGAGAAGUGAAGUUUGUUGAAGAAAAAGGAUACUAUGAGGAGCAGACUCAAGAUGAUUUGAGAGAUCUCACUUCUGAUAGAGCUGAAACAUUGAGGAUUAUCCUAGAGGGUCUUGGAAUCAACAUGAAUCAAGGAGGAAGAAGCACUACUCCAGUACCGGAUCAUCAGACCUCCAAUCUUGACCAUGAGGGGGGGAAUGAAACAAGAACUCAAAACCAUGAAGAGACAAGUAGAGAAGAGAGUUCUGGUUCUCAUGAUCAAGCUGAGGAAUCAAAUGAUCAACAAGGAGCUGAAGAGAGUCAGCUAAGGGAAGAAGGAGCUGAAGCAAGUCAGCUAGGAGAAGAAAGAUCUGAACCAAGUGUACUGCCACAAGAAGAAGAACAAGAGAUUGCGCAAGAAGGGCCAGUGUUGAGAAGAAGUACAAGGCUGAGAAAGGAUCCUUCCAGUUGGGUAAACACAAGAGUGUACUACAAUGCCCAAGCUGUGAAGCAUCCUACUCAGGCCGUGUGUUCUUUUGCUAAAUAUCCAGAAGCACAUUGUGCAUUCAUGGUAAACUUAGAUGAGAAUCACAUUCCAAGAAGCUAUGAAGAGGCAAUGAAGGAUAAGGAAUGGAAGGAAUCAGUAGGAGCUGAGGCAGGAGCUAUGAUCAAAAAUGAUACAUGGUAUGAGAGUGAACUACCAAAAGGGAAGAAGGCAGUAUCUAGCAGAUGGAUCUUCACAAUCAAAUACAAGGCUGAUGGGCAGAUUGAGAGGAAGAAGACUAGAUUAGUAGCGAGAGGGUUCACUCAAACAUAUGGAGAGGAUUACAUUGAGACAUUUGCACCAGUAGCCAAGUUACAUACCAUUAGAAUUGUACUAAGCUUGGCAGUUAAUCUUGGAUGGGGAUUGUGGCAAAUGGAUGUGAAGAAUGCAUUCUUACAAGGAGAACUUGAGGAUGAAGUAUACAUGUAUCCUCCACCUGGUCUUGAACAUCUAGUGAAACGAGGGAAUGUACUGAGGCUAAAGAAGGCUAUCUAUGGGUUGAAGCAAUCUCCAAGAGCUUGGUACAACAAGUUGAGCACAACUCUGAACGGCCAAGGCUUUAAGAAGUCAGAAUUGGAUCAUACUCUCUUUACCCUCACUACUCCCUCAGGUAUGGUUGCUCUCCUUGUGUAUGUGGAUGAUAUCAUUAUCACAGGGAGUGAUAAGGAAGGUAUCAAAGCAACCAAGGAGUUUCUAAAGUCUAUGUUUGAAAUAAAAGACUUGGGAGAAAUGAAAUACUUUCUUGGAAUUGAGAUUUGUAGAUCCAAGGAAGGUUUGUUCAUGUCCCAAAGGAAGUAUACACUUGAUCUUUUGAAAGGUGCAGGUGCUUAUGGAGGCAAGACAGCAAGGAUGCCAAUGGAGGAUGGCUACAAAGUACCAAGAGAGGGGGAGAUUGAAGACAGCAAGCCAUUUCAUGAUCCUAAACUCUAUAGAAAACUUGUUGGCAAAUUGAUUUAUCUUACCAUCACAAGACCUGAUAUAUGCUUUGCUGUGAAUCAGGUGAGUCAACACAUGCAGCUUCCCAAGGAACAUCAUUGGCGUAUGGUGGAGAGGCUGCUAAUGUAUCUGAAUGGCUCGCCGGAUCAAGGAGUAUGGAUGGGGUGCAAUGGAAGCACAGAAGUAGUGGGCUAUUGUGAUGCGGAUUGGGCAGGUGAUAGAGCUGACAGGAGAUCAACAACCGGCUAUUGCACAUUCAUUGGAGGCAACUUGGUAACCUGGAAGAGUAAGAAACAGAAGGUGGUGUCAUGCUCAAGUGCAGAAGCUGAAUAUAGAGCUAUGCUGAAGCUUACAAACGAGCUAGUGUGGAUCAAGGGCAUCUUGAAGCAUUUGAAGAUAGAACAAGCCACUCCAAUGACAAUGCAUUGUGACAACCAAGCAGCCAUUCACAUAGCCUCCAACUCGGUGUUCCAUGAGAGAACAAAGCACAUUGAGGUUGAUUGCCACAAGGUGAGGCAGAUGAUUGUCCUAGGAGUCAUCUUGCCAUGUUAUACUAGGAGUGAAGAUCAGUUGGCUGAUGUAUUCACCAAGGCUGCGAGGCAAAAGACAAUGGAGUCCAUUCAUAUCAGAUUGGGCCUCAUUGAUCUUGGGAAGAGAAGCAGCUGAUCCCCUUAGUCAUGAGAUCUUUACUCUUUUUUCCUCAUUAAGGUUUUGUCCCAAUGGGUUUUCCUUAGUGAGGUUUUUAAUGAGGAAGAUCUCAUGGCUGUCCAAGCUUAGUCUUUCACAAAGCUAAGCUUGAGGGGGAGUGUUGAGAUGAGCUGAGUAUAUGGAGAUGAAGAGAUAAGGAGUUGAAGAGAAGAGGAGAUGAAGUACUUAGGGAAGUUUGGGAGAGUAUGGUACGGCAGGCCGUACAAGGCCGUACAAGGCCGUACAAGGCCGUACCAUCCAAACCUCAACCAAAACUUACCAUACCUUAUCCAAGUGAGACGGUAACUAAGGAGGAGUGACUUGGGUAGCUUAGGGAGAGGAUCAGACCGUUGAGAGGAUAAGGGAACGCGGUGCCAGGCUGGAACAGGCUGGAAAGCUAAAGCACCUUUAGUCCAAGAUGCCAUAAGCGUGUGAGCCAUCCUGACCAAUCAUUCAAAAGGCGCCCUUGACUCCACACGGUUGAAUAGUGCUCAGUUCCCUUCUUGUAAACCCUUGUGUCUCUCUUAUAAAUAUGUAACCUCACUCAUUAAUAAGAUUAAGCAAGUUUAGAGACUCUCUCUUAGUCUUUAAAUCUCAAUGGUUCCAUAUUAGACUCCUAAUCUCAUUUCAUACUCUAAUCUUCACUAAAUCGUUUCUAGUCUUUCCUAAACACUCAGAUUACUCUAAACAUUACUAAAAAUCAUAUGGUAUCAGAGCCAGGUUAGUGAGAACCUGAGUUCGUGUUAGGCUCUUUGGAGAUUCAAGAUUGAAGCUUUGAAGAGUUUGGUUGGUGUUCUUGUGUUCUUGGGAGGUUCCGGGUAUUGUCCGAGUUCAAAGACUAGUUUUUAGUGUGUUGCUGAAGCUGUGAGGUUGAAGACCGAGGCAGUGAGUGUUCUUACAAGUCUUUUAACUCAAGAUCCAGUUUGUGAAGUCUAGAGAAGUCAUCGUUCAUCAUGGAGAGUGGUAUGAACAUGAACAUGAAGGUAGCGGUUUGCUUCAAGGGAACCAACUACUUGGUGUGGUCUAACAUGAAGGUGGCGGUUUGUUUCAAGGGAAACAACUACUUGGUGUGGUCUCGGAUGGUGAGAACCACGGUGGGAAGCAAAGGGCUUUGGAAGCACAUCACGCCAGGAGAAGCUCCAAAGCUCAUCACCCAAGGAGAAACUGAAGGAGAAGCCGCAAGCAAAGCGGAAGAGAAGUGGCAUCAGGAGGACAUGUUGGUGAUGUCAGUGCUGCAUGCUUCACUUGAGCCGGCGAUUCUAGAUGCAUACAGUUACUGUGAAUCAGCUAAAGAGCUGUGGGAUACGUUGAAGAAGGUGUAUGGGAAUACAUCAAACCUGAGCCGUGUGUUUGAGGUGAAGCAGGCUAUAAACAACUUGGUACAAGAGGAUAUGGAGUUCACCAAGCAUCUAGGGAGGUUCAGAACACUCUGGUCCGAGCUGGAGAUGUUGAGGCCAAGCACUACAGAUGCAGAUGAGCUCAACAAAAGAAGAGAGCAAGACAAGGUCUUUGGGCUACUCCUCACCAUGAAUCCGGCGUACAAUGGUCUUAUCCAACACUUGCUUAGAGAGGACACACUACCUGAUCUUGAAGAAGUGUGCGCAAGGAUUCAGAAGGAACAAGGCUCUAUUGGGUUGUUUGGAAAGAAAGGAGAGCUAUCUCUCGUAAAUCAAGCAACUCAAGAGGAGGGAGGGGAAGCUCCACAAGCACACAAGGCUGCGCAUGGGAAGUAUGAUGAGAGGAGGUUCAAUGGGAACUGUGAUCACUGCAAGAAGCAUGGCCACAAGAAGAGCCAAUGCUGGAUACUCCAUCCCCAUCUCAAGCCGGCAAAGUUUAUGAAAGACAGAGAGGCAAGGGCUAAUAUCUCAGAUGGAGCAAGCGCAAGUGGAGCAGGUACUAGCAAAGGGAAGGAGAUACAUGGGCGUGAAGCAGGUGAUGGGAGGUCUCUUGUAGCCUACACUGGAGCCCCAAGCAACCGUGGGAACUAUGAUCAAGAGUAUCUAAGGAAAUCCGACCUGGAUGCUCUCAUUAAGCUCUUCAAGGAGCAUGGUAACAGUUUUGGAUAUUCCUUUGGUGCUAGGGCUAUAGGGAAUGAUGAGAAUCCAACUAGCAUUGAUAGGAUGCAUGAAAGUGUGAUAGAGAUAAUAAACCAAUCUAGAACAGACAGUUUUGCUAGGAAUGAUCAUGCAUUCAACCAUCUAGUAUACUUGCUCAUAUUGCUAGUUCACAUACCAUCAAGCCUUUAGUAGUUGAUUCUGGUGCAUCUCAUCAUAUGAUAAGUGACACUAGUUUGAUUAGAAACAUUGUACCAAUGAAUGGAAAUGUGAUGAUAGCUAAUGGAGAUAAGAUACCUAUUAGAGGAAUAGGAAGUCUUAAACUGUUUGAUAAGGAAACUAAAGCCUUUUAUAUGCCUGAAUUUACUUCAAACUUGUUAUCUGUUAAGAAAUGUGCUACUGAUUUGCAAUGCAAUGUCAUAUUCAGUCCUAAUGAUGUGAAGUUUCAGGAUAUUAAAAGCAGCAAGAUGAUUGGAAAGGGAGUUACUAAAGGAGAAUUGUAUUUACUUGAAGAUCUUGCUCCUGUUUCUAGUUAUAACUGCUCGUUUACUUCUGUUUCUGGUUCUAGUUUAAGUAAAAAUGCAUUGUGGCAUGCUAGAUUAGGACACCCUCAUAAUAAGGCUUUAAAACUGAUGUUGCCAGGUGUUUCCUUUGAGAAUAAUGAGUGUGAAGCUUGCAUUUUAGGCAAGCAUUGUAAGACUGUCUUUACUAAAUCUACUACGGUUUAUGAGAAGUGUUUUGAUUUGAUUCAUUCUGAUGUUUGGACUGCUCCUUGCUUAUCUAGAGACAAUCAAAAGUAUUAUGUAACUUUCAUUGAUGAAAAAUCCAAAUACACCUGGUUAACUUUAAUUCCAACCAAAGAUAGGGUACUUGAUGCAUUUAAGAACUUUCAAUCAUAUGUGACUAACCAUUAUAAUGCCAAGAUAAAGAUUUUCAGGUCAGAUAAUGGAGGAGAGUACACGGGACAAGCAUUCAAGCUCCAUCUAUCUCAGCAUGGAAUACUACAUCAGACAAGCUGUCCCUAUACUCCACAACAGAAUGGUGUGGCUGAGAGAAAGAAUAGGCAUCUGAUGGAAGUGGCCAGGUCCAUGAUGUUUCAAACCAAUGUACCCAAGAAGUUCUGGAGUGAUGCGGUCACUACAGCUUGUUAUCUCAUCAACAGAACACCAACUCUGAUUCUGUAAGGGUUAUCACCAUUUGAGGUAUUGAACCGAUACAAGCCCUCAUUGGAACAUAUGAAGAUCUUUGGGUGUUUGUGUUUUGUGAUGGUACCGGGAGAAUUAAGAAACAAGCUUGAAGCUAGAAGCUCCAAGGCAAUGUUUGUUGGAUACUCAUCAAGUCAGAAAGGAUAUAAGUGCUAUGAUCCUAACACAAGGAGAGUGUUAGUAUCUAGAGAAGUGAAGUUUGUGGAAGAAAAAGGAUAUUAUGAGGAGCAGAUUCAAGAAGAUUUGAAAGAUCUCACUUCAGAUAGAGCUGCAACCUUGAGGAUAAUACUAGAAGGACUUGGUAUCAAUAUGGAUCAAGGACAGCAAGAAGUAAGAGGCACUACACCAAUACCGAAUCAUCAGACGUCCAAUCUUGAACAUGAGGGGGGGAAUGGAACAGAAACUCAAACUCAAAGUCAUGAAGAGAGUUCUGGUUCUCAUGAUCAAGCUGUGGAGUCAAAUGAUCAACAAGAAGGAGCUGAAGCAAGUCAGCUAAGGGAUGAAGGAGCUGAAGCAAGUCAACCAAGAGAAGAAGCAAGAGAAGAAAGUACACAAGAAGAUGUACAAGACAUGGAGUUACCGGCACAAGAAGGGCCAGUGUUGAGAAGAAGUACAAGGCUGAGAAAGGAUCCUUCCAGUUGGGUAAACACGAGAGUGUACUACAAUGCUCAAGCUGUGAAGCAUCCUACUCAGGCCGUGUGUUCUUUCUCUCAAUAUCCAGAAGCACAUUGUGCAUUCAUGGUAAACUUAGAUGAGAAUCACAUUCCAAGAAGCUAUGAAGAGGCAAUGGAGGAUAAGGAAUGGAAGGAAUCAGUAGGAGCUGAAGCAGGAGCUAUGAUAAAGAAUGAUACAUAGUUUGAAAGUGAACUACCAAAAGGGAAGAAGGCAGUAUCUAGUAGAUGGAUCUUCACAAUCAAAUACAAGGCUGAUGGACAGAUUGAGAGGAAGAAGACUAGAUUAGUAGCAAGAGGGUUCACUCAAACAUAUGGAGAGGAUUACAUUGAGACAUUUGCACCAGUAGCCAAGUUACAUACCAUUAGAAUUGUACUAAGCUUGGCGGUUAACCUUGGAUGGGGAUUGUGGCAAAUGGAUGUGAAGAAUGCAUUCUUACAAGGAGAACUUGAGGAUGAAGUCUACAUGUAUCCUCCACCAGGUCUUGAACAUCUAGUGAAGAGAGGGAAUGUACUGAGGCUAAAGAAGGCUAUCUAUGGGUUGAAGCAAUCACCAAGAGCAUGGUACAACAAGUUGAGCACAACUCUGAACGGCCAAGGUUUUAAGAAGUCAGAAUUGGACCAUACUCUCUUUACCCUCACUACUCCCUCAGGUAUGGUUGCUCUCGGCCGAGGCUUCAAGAAGUCUGAACUAGACCACACUCUCUUCACACUCACAACUCCCUCAGGUAUGAUUGCACUUCUUGUGUAUGUGGAUGAUAUCAUUAUCACAGGAAGUGAUAAGGAAGGUAUCAAAGCAACUAAGGAGUUUCUAAAAAAUCUUCUAGAGCUUGCCCUAUUAUUUGUACAAGCUCCAUCUUCUCUUCAGUUCAACACUAAAGUCUUGUGUAUGUGGAUGAUAUCAUUAUCACAGGAAGUGAUAAGGAAGGUAUCAAAGCAACCAAGGAGUUUCUAAAUGAGAUUUUAUAAGGAUUCACUCAAGGUGUGUGUGUGAGAAAGUGUUUAGGAGAGUUUAUGUGAACAGAUUUGAGACUUAGGAGUAUGGGAGAGAUUUAGAGUAUGAAGGAGACUAGGUAACAAGAUUAAAGAGACUGAGAGACUUAGAGAAUAGAUUAGAGACUUAGUAUCAAGAACAUACUUUCAUAGAACAUGAAGGAGAAGGGUUUCCCCCCUUACUCUCUUGCUUAAUCAAAUCGCAUACAAGAGGCUUUUAUAAGCCUUUAUAUGUCACAAAGACUUAACCUAAAUCCUAAGGACAAGAAUACAAGAUAGAUUGAAUGGCUAGGAUGAGAGAAGAGUGGUCUUUGAUGUUCUGGUGAUAGCUGGCGACUUUUGACUGAAUGGAGAGCUCAGAUUGCUUCAUUUGAAUGAAGGGAAGAGAUUGGUCUUGCUGUAAAGGUAAAGCACCUUUACCUUUCCAGCUUGCACAUACAGCUCACUCUUAUCCCUUUGGUAUAUUCUCCUUGCCUCUCACACUCCAACGGUCACUAUAGGAACCUUAACCCGCGCCCACACAUUGCACAACUCUGAGCAAGGCUGAUCCGGGUGAUGGCCAAACCGGAUUGGAUGUACGGUCUCUUGUACGGCCUUGAGGUCCGUACACUCGCCCUAUAUCUGCACCUUCAUCCAAACAUCUUCUAUGAUUGACCCAUACACCUUCUUGGAUCGCCCUAGGCCGUACCAUGGCCGUACUGGCCCUAUCUUUGCACCAUACUUCCAUCUUCUCUCUAACUCCUCCAAAGCCUUCACAUGAUCAGUCUAAGUCUUUCCUUGACUUAACUUCACAUAACUACUUCAGAACAUCUCUGAAGCUUGAUUGAACUCUUCUUGACAUCUUCUAGAGCUUGCCCUAUUAUUUGUACAAGCUCCAUCUUCUCUUCAGUUCAACACUAAAGUCUAUGUUUGAAAUAAAAGACUUGGGAGAAAUGAAAUACUUUCUUGGAAUUGAGAUUUGUAGAUCCAAGGAAGGUUUGUUCAUGUCCCAAAGGAAGUAUACACUUGAUCUUUUGAAAGGUGCAGGUGCUUAUGGAGGCAAGACAGCAAAGAUGCCAAUGGAGGAUGGCUACAAAGUACCAAGAGAGGGGGAGAUUGAAGACAGCAAGCCAUUUCAUGAUCCUAAACUCUAUAGAAAACUUGUUGGCAAAUUGAUUUAUCUAACCAUCACAAGACCUGAUAUAUGAUUUGCUGUGAAUCAGGUGAGUCAACACAUGCAGCUUCCCAAGGAACAUCACUGGCGUAUGGUGGAGAGGCUGCUGAUGUAUCUAAAUGGCUCGCCGGAUCAAGGUGUAUGGAUGGGGUGCAAUGGAAGCACAGAAGUGGUGGGCUAUUGUGAUGCUGAUUGGGCAGGUGAUAGAGCUGACAGAAGAUCAACAACCGGCUAUUGCACAUUCAUUGGAGGCAACUUGGUGACUUGGAAGAGUAAGAAACAGAAGGUGGUGUCAUGCUCUAGUGCAGAAGCUGAGUAUAGAGCUAUGCUGAAGCUUACAAACGAGCUAGUUUGGAUCAAGGGCAUCUUGAAGCAUUUGGAGAUAGCACAAGACACUCCAAUGACAAUGCAUUGUGACAACCAGGCCGCCAUUCACAUAGCCUCCAACUCGGUGUUCCAUGAGAGAACAAAGCACAUUGAGGUUGAUUGCCACAAGGUGAGGCAGAUGAUUGUCCUAGGAGUCAUCUUGCCAUGUUAUACUAGGAGUGAAGAUCAGUUGGCUGAUGUAUUCACCAAGGCUGCAAGACAAAAGACAAAGAAACUAAGGGAGAUGGAGUUAGGAGAGGAUUGGGCAAGGCCGUACAGAAGCCGUACUAGGCCGUACAGAUUGGGCAAGGUAACUUGACCUCGGUGAACCAAAGUUACUUAGGUAACUUUGUGUGUUGAGUAGAAGCCUUGCUUAUCCUUAUCUGAUCAGAUUGUUGCAAAAGGAAGAAGGGAGCGCACAUGACAGCCUGUCCACGGUUGGCAUAAAGCAAAAGGAACCUUAUCCUUAAGGAGGAAGCUUAUUGGAUCAUUUGAAUUAAAGCAAAAGCUUAUCUCUUGUAAUAGUGUAGUUUCCUAAACCCUAGUCUCUAAUGUCGCCUCUCUAUAUAUUGUAAACUCAUGUCAUUAAUCAAGGCAAGCAAGUUAUGAGUCUCUCUUAGUCUUUAUUCUCUCAAUGGUUCUAUGCUAGACUCCUAAUCUCAUUUCAUACUCAAAUCUCUUCUAAAUCACUUCUAGUCUUUCUUAUUUACUCAGAUUACUCUACUCAAUCCUAAAAGUGAUUCUCUUUAGUCUCUUAAGUCUCUUAAUCUCUCUGUUCUUAAGUCUCUCAUAUACACUCUCCCUAAAUCACCUAGAACAAGCUCUAAUCAUUCUUCAUUGAAGCUUAUAUACACACACAUACUACCAGAGUAGAGAUCUCUUUAAAAAUCAUAAUACACUUUUGUGUAUUAGAGUGUGUUUAAGAACAAUCAGAUUGUUUUGUGUAAGAUUAAAGAGAUUAAGAGAAUAAGUAGAGAGAGAAUACUCAAAACUCCAUUUAUUGAUUUAAUGUCUCAGAUACAAGUUAUAUAUGAAGAGAUAAGGCUGGUACAAAGGGGAUUUCGAAAUGGGACUCAAAGCAUGUGAAGUCAAAGCUAGCUGGAUGGUUGAGAGGUUUCACAUGCUUGGAUAGGCUGUAAAGUAUCUUUUCCUUUCCAGCUAUGACCAGACCUUAUCCAAACUGAUUCUUUCUUAUCCAAACUGCUCCUUGGCGUGAUAUACUCUCCAAAGUGUUGCAAGGUAACUUCCCAAGCCUUUAACUUAGUUACGACAGUAAAAACUAAAGUUACUAUGGUAAAUCCCCAAAGUUACUGACUUCUUCAAUGUUUAGAUGAGAGGAUAGAGAGAAGAUACAUUGAUAGAGGAAGAUAAUUUGGGCAGUCAGUAACUUUGGGGAUUUACCACAGUAACUUUAGUUUUACUGUGGUAACUAAGUUAAAAGCUUGGGAAGUUACCUUUGGAGAGUGGAGCACACCUAAGGAGUAGUCUGGAUAGGAAAGGAGAAGUUUGGAUAAGGUCUGGUCAUAACCAAAGAGUGUGACAGCCUUGGACAGGCUGGAACCAGCUGGAAAGCUAAAGCAAGAUACCAAUACCCAAGCAUGUGGGGAACCUUAUUGGCUAGUUCAAAUCAGACAUCUUUGACUACACAUGCUUCUUAUCCUUGCAAGACUGAAUCUGGACAAAAUUAUGUAUCUCUUUCCUAUAUAUGUUGUAAACUCACUCAUAAAUCAACUAAUGGAGUUUUGAGUCUCUCUCUUUAUUCUCUCACUAAAAUCUCUUCAUCGCUUUAAUAUUUUCAUCUGAUUAUCUCUGAUUGUUUGAAUCAUGCUCUAAUACACAAAAGUGUAUACGGUAUCAGAGCCAGGUUGGCAAAAAGGGGGUGAGUGUGAUUUCGUUUUCUCAAAAUCAGAGUGUUCUUGAGUGUUCUUGGGAUUGUUGAGGUUUCUGGGUAUCUGUGUUGUCUAUCCUUCUGUGGCUGGGUUUAUUUGAGAUUCUCUGGUGGAAACAUGGAUAUGAAGCACGAAUAUAGUGAAGCAGUGAAGAUUCAAGAAGAAAACAAGUGGGUUUGGCCAAGAUGGGUAAAGACAGCCUUAGGAAGCUGUGAGAUUUGGAGUAAUCAUGUAAAGGGAGAACCUUUAAUGGAGAGAGCUGCUGAUGGGGGUCAGACAGCAAGGUUGAAGUGUGAAGAUCAGUUGAGUCUUGAAGAAAGUAUAUCUCUUGAGAAGAUUGAAGAUGUUUAUGAGAACAAGAUCAAUCUAAGGAGGAUGUAUGAAGUCAGGAAGAUGAUCUGUGAGUUAAAACAAGGGAAAGAAGGUUUCAAUCAGCAUGUGAAGAAGCUGAGAUGUUUGUGGUCGGAGUUACAAAGCUUGAGACCAAGAAGUUGUGAUCCAAGAGUGCUAGAAGAGUGGCGAGAGCAAGAUGUUGUCUUCAGCCUCCUUGCAAGCUUGGAUUCAUCUUAUGGCUGGUUGGUAAAGCUUAUUCUCAAGGAAGAGAAGCUACCCAACAUGGAAGAAGUGUGUGUACUUGUUCAGAGGCUUCAUCAAGUGAUGGAAGAGAACAAAGAGAUAACUUGGAGUAAGGAGGGUGCUAAAAGGAAGAAGGGAAGGCUGAGACGUGAUACAAGAUACAAUUCGAAAUCAUAGGGUCAGAGGAGAUCAGGAACGUGUGGAGUCAAGGAGAGCCAUCCAAAAGCAGCCAAUGGGUGUUCUCACAUGCUUGGACAGGCUGUAAAGAUGUUUUACCUUUCCAGCUAUGACCAGACCUUAUCCAGAAUGCUUCUUCCUGUUAAGAUGAGGUGAUGAAGAGUUGAUACAUGGAUAGAGGAACAGUAUUGGGGCAGAUGGUAACUUUGGAGUUUUACCACAGUAACUUUAGUUUUACUGUGGUAACUAAGUUAAAGGCUUAGGAAGUUACCUUUGUUGAGAUGAGAUCAUUAGAUGAGAAGAGAAGGCUUGAGAGGUUAAGUAUGAAUGCAGAAGAAGGAGCUUAGGAGGAAUGGAGAAGCGAGGCUGAGGCAUCCGUACAAGGCCGUACAAGGCCGUACAUGGCCGUACACACUUACCUCAGCCACGGUUAAGCCAAGAGUUACUUAAGUAACUUCACUAGAUAAGAAGAAGCUCUGAUCACUUAUCUAAAGGAUCAGACCGUUACCAAAAGGAAGAAGGAGCGUGUGACAGCCUGUCUUGGGCUGGAAAGAAGAAGGCAUAAAGCAAAGAUGCUUCACACACGCGGUCACUCCCAUUGGAUAGAUUCAAAUGCAUUCUUAUCCUAUCCAUUGACUCCACAUGCUUUCUCCCUUUGUAUCCGAAACCCUAGAGUCUCUCCAUCACUAUAUAAUGUAUCCUAAUCUCAAUAAUGAAGAUCAGACAGUUCUAAACAAAUCAACCUCUCUAUACUUUUCACAAUGAUUCUCCAUUAGUCUCUUAAUCUCUUAAAUCUACUCUAAUCCCGUCUCUAUUCUUAUCUAAACUCAGAUUAUCUUUUACAUUACUCAAAAGUGAUAUGGUAUCAGAGCCAGGUUGAUUUCAAUCUGAGUUCUUGGCGUUUUCCUCUUGAAGAUUCAAACGUGAAACUUUGAGAGAUCAAGUGAGAGUGGUGUGAGUGUUCUUGGAAGAAGCUGCAUCCCGGGAGCUACAUCUUCAUUCCGGAAAUCUUAUCUAGGUUUUUGAGGGUUCUUUGAAGAGUAAAGACAAGGGACGGAAGGGUUUGAGCUGGUGUUGUAGUUCUGAGUCUCAAGAUCAAGUCUUUUACAAGUUAUUGAAGUGAAACUGUUGAAGAUGGAGAGUGGUUCCAAGAUGAAGGUUGCUGUGACUUUCAAGGGAAGUAACUACCUAGUAUGGUCUAGGAUGGUGAAGACUGCUGUGGGAAGUAAGGGUUUAUGGAAGCACAUCACAUCAGGUGAGGCUCCAAAGCUCAUUACUCAAGGAGGAGACAAGGAGAGUGUCUCGGAAGCUGAAGCUGAGAAGUGGCAACAAGAGGACAUGAUGGUGAUGUCUGCUCUUCAUAGCUCGUUGGAGCCAGCCAUUCUAGACAUUUACAGCUAUUGUGAGACAGCCAAGGAGCUGUGGGAAACAUUGAAGAAGGUGUAUGGAAACACCUCUAACCUCAGCUGGGUCUUUGAAGUGAAGAAAGCUUUGAAUGAUCUAACUCAGGAGGACAUGGAGUUCACUAAGCAUUUGGGGAGGUUCCGGACACUCUGGUCAGAGCUGGAGAUGCUCAGGCCGAGCACAACUGAUCCGGAGCUGCUAAAUGAAAGGAGAGAGCAAGAUAAGGUCUUUGGGUUGUUGCUUACAUUGAAUCCAAGCUACAGUGGGUUGAUUCAGCAUAUGUUGAGGGCUGAGAAGCUUCCGGACCUGGAGGAUGCGUGUGCUCAGAUACAAAAGGAGCAAGGCUCCAUUGGCUUGUUUGGUGGUAAAGGAGGCUUUGUCUCUAGCCAAUGCUGCGAAAACUGAUCAUGAGGAGAUACCACAAGCCAACAGAGCAGCACACGGCAAGUAUGAGGAUAGGAAGUUCAAUGGCAAUUGUGAUCACUACAAGAAGCAUGGACACAAGAAGAGCCAGUGCUGGAUACUACAUCCUCAUCUGAAGCCGGCGAAGUUCAUGAAGGAAAGGGAGGCAAGAGCUCAUGCUUCUGAGGGAACAAGUGGAGCCGGAUCAUCUAGCCGUGGAGCUGAAGGAGAGGGGCGUGAGGGUGAUGGAAAGGCACUGGUGACAUACUCAGGAGCUCCUAACAUCCGUGGCAAUGAUCAAGACUUCAUCAGGAGAUCCGAGAUGGAUGCUCUCAUCAAAAUGCUCAAGGAGAAUGGUAACACUCAUGGGUACUCCUUUGGUGCAUCCAUGAUAGCUAAGACUAUAGAAACAUCUCCUUGUGUUGCUGAUAUUGCUAGGAUGGAUAGAGUUAAAAGCAAUGAACAUGCUAGACAUGAGUACACCUUUGCUAGAAAUGCUAGGAUGAAUCAUGAACUAAAUGCAUUUAGAUCACCUUUGAACCUUUGUCAUAAUGCUAGCAGUAUAACUAAGCCAUUAAUUGUUGAUUCUGGUGCAUCUCAUCACAUGAUUAGUGAUACAAAUCUGAUUAAGGAUAUAGAACCAACUAGUAGACAUGUUAUGAUUACAAAUGGGGACAAAAUCCCUAUUAGAGGAAUAGGAAAUUUGAAGUUGUUUGAUAAGAACACUAGAGCUUUCUACAUGCCUGAAUUUACAUCUAACUUGCUAUCUGUUAAGAAAUGCACAACUGAUUUGAAUCACAAUGUUAUAUUCAGUCCUAAUGAUGUAAAGUUUCAGGAUAUUGAGAGCAGGCACUUGAUUGGAAAAGGAAUCACUAAAGGAGAGUUGUAUUUGCUUGAAGAACUUGAUCCUGUUUCCAAUUACAAUUGCUCGUUUACUGCUGCUUCUAGUUUAAAUAAAAAUGCUUUGUGGCAUGCUAGAUUAGGACAUCCUCAUGGUAGAGCUUUGAACUUGAUGUUACCAGGUGUUUUAUUUGAGAAUAAGGAUUGUGAAGCUUGCAUUUUAGGCAAGCAUUGUAAAACUGUGUUUCCAAACUCUACUAGUGUUUAUGAUAAGUGCUUUGACCUUAUUCAUUCUGAUGUAUGGACUGCACCUUGCAUAUCUAGAGACAAUCAUAAAUACUUUGUCACAUUCAUUGAUGAAAAAUCCAAAUACACCUGGUUAACUUUAAUCCCAUCAAAAGAUAGAGUGAUAGAUGCAUUUAAGAACUUUCAAGCUUAUGUGACUAACCAUUAUAAUGCCAAGAUUAAAAUUUUUAGAUCAGAUAAUGGAGGUGAGUACACAAGCUAUGCGUUCAAGAGUCAUCUAGAGCAUCAUGGGAUCUUGCAUCAAACAAGCUGUCCUUAUACUCCACAACAGAGUGGGGUAGCUGAGAGGAAGAACCGACACUUGAUGGAGGUUGCUAGGUCACUGAUGUUCCAAGCAAACGUUCCAAAGAGGUUUUGGAGUGAUGCUGUGGCUACUGGUUGUUACUUGAUCAACAGGAUUCCCACAAAGGUGUUGAAGGAUCAAGCACCAUUUGAAGUUCUGAACAAGCACAAGCCAUCAGUGGAUUACUUGAGAGUAUUUGGAUGUUUAUGCUUUGUGUUGGUACCAGGAGAGUUGAGAAACAAGCUAGAUGCAAGGAGCACUAAGGCUAUGUUCAUUGGCUACUCAACAACACAAAAGGGAUACAAGUGCUAUGAUCCAGAAACUAGACGAGUCCUAAUCUCUAGAGAUGUGAAGUUCAUAGAAGCAAGAGGAUACUAUGAAGAAAAGAAUCAAGAGGAGCUAAAGGAUUUAACAUCAGAUAAGGCAGGCGCUCUAAGACUUAUUUUGGAAGGUCUAGGUAUCAAGAUGAACCAGGAUCCAAAUGUGGGGAGUAGGAACCAACAUGAGAGUUCUCCGGCCCCUGUUGAGGCUAAUCAGUCACCUCACCUUGAUCGUGAGGGGGGAAGGGAAUCUGAAACUCAAGAAGAUGGUCAGGAUGGAGCCGGCUUGAGUGAAGAAGAACAAGAGAGUGUUACAGGCUCUCACAAUCAAUGUGAUCAAAGCCAAGGAGAAGUAGAAGCUCAGGCUGAAGCACCAGAACCGAGUGUCCAAGAGGAGCAGGUUCAGAACCAACCAGUAUUGAGAAGAAGCACAAGGCUGAGAAAGGAUCCUUCUAGUUGGGUAAACACGCGAGUGUACUACAAUGCCCAAGCUGUGGAGCAUCCUUCUCAGGCUGUGUGUUCCUUUGCUCAAUACCCUGAAGAACAUUGUGCUUUUAUGGUAAACUUGGAUGAGAACUACAUACCAAGAAGCUAUGAAGAGGCAAUGAUGGAUAAAGAAUGGAAGGAAUCAGUUGGAGCUGAGGCAGGAGCUAUGAUCAAGAAUGAUACAUGGUAUGAGAGUGAAUUACCAAAAGGGAAGAAGGCUGUGACUAGUAGAUGGAUCUUCACAAUCAAGUAUAAGGCUGAUGGAAAGGUUGAGAGGAAGAAGUCAAGACUGGUUGCAAGAGGCUUUACUCAAACUUAUGGAGAAGAUUACAUUGAGACCUUUGCACCAGUAGCUAAACUACAUACAAUCCGGAUUGUAUUAAGCUUAGCUGUGAACCUUGGAUGGGGCUUAUGGCAAAUGGAUGUGAAGAAUGCAUUUCUACAAGGAGAUCUGGAGGAUGAAGUGUAUAUGCAUCCACCUCCAGGCUUGGAACACUUAGUGAAGAGAUGGAAUGUGUUGAGACUGAAGAAAGCUAUCUAUGGACUGAAGCAAUCACCAAGAGCUUGGUACAACAAGCUGAGCACUACUCUGAAUGGCCGAGGCUUCAAGAAGUCUUAACUAGAUCACACCCUCUUCACUCUCACUACUCCCUCAGGUAUGAUUGCACUCCUUGUGUAUGUUGAUGAUAUCAUUAUCACAGGAAGUGAUAAGGAAGGUAUUGUUGAACUGAAGAGAAGAUGGAGCUUGUUCAUUAAUAGGUCAAGCUCCAGAAGAUGUCCAGAAGAGUUCAAUCAAGCUUCAGGAGUGCCCUGAAGUAUCUAUCAUUGUGAAGUUAAAUCCAGGAGGGACUUAGACUGAUCUUAGGAAGGCUUUGGAGAAGUUUGGGAGAAGAUGGACGAAGGUACAAAACUAGGGAAGCCGUACGGACAGUAUGGCCAUGUACGACCUUGUACGGCUAUGUACGGCCAUGGGAGAUUCACAAAGGAGUCUGGUUCAACCAAGAAGAGAGUUAGGGCAAUGUGCAAGAAUAGGGCGAGUGGUACGGACAGGAGGUCCGUACCAAUGACCGUACAACCAUGUGGGCGCACCAACAUGUUCCGGAUCAACCUAAAAUGGUGUUGUGCAAACUUAGGGUGCAAGAGAAGCUUGUCUGAUCAUUAUGGACGUUGGAGGAUAAGGCAAGGGAAUAUUCCAAGGGAUAAAUGAGCUGUGUAUGCAAGCUGGAAAGGUAAAGGUGCUUUACCUUUACAGCCAAGACCAAUCUACACCAUCCAUUCAAAAGGAGCAAUCUGAGCUUUUCAUUUAAAUUAAAGACCAGCCAGCUAGCAUCAGAUCCUUGACUACAUCUCAUCCGCCCAUUUCAAACCAAAGGAUCUCCACUCUCCAUUUCUUAUCCUUAGCUUAGGGUUUCAUGAGUUUUGUAACCCAUUUUCUAUUUAAAGACCCUUUGAGGGCAAUUUGUAAUCUCUAAGAGAGAGAGGGGGAUUUCCCCUCCUCCUUCAUAAUCUUAUGAUACUUUGUCUCUCUAAACUCUCUAUUCUCUCAUUCUGAAUCUCUAUACACGUUCUCAGACUUGUUACCAAUCUCUUAGACUCUUAGACACCUAAACACCUAGACACAUAAACACUUAGACACAUAAACACUCAUUAGUCUCUCCUCUUCUCAAAUCGCUCCCAAGCUCUCUCUCUCUUUACCCAUUUGGGUUUCACACACACAUAUAACCUGAGUACUCUUAAAAUCUCAUAUGGUAUCAGAGCCAGGUUCAUCUGAACUUGGUUCUAGCUUCCGUACAAGCUCAAGCUCACUCCCAUGCCAUUUCCAAGCUGAUGAAGAGCUCCUGUCCAGCCUGUUGUUUAACCUCUUCAAGAUGAAGAUGUACUCAUCCAUGGCGUCCAGAAGCUGUCCUUGGUCGUUCUCCACUCUCUCAUGGUCGUCCUGAAGAAAGAAAGGCCAUUGGAAGCAUGUCCAAGCCAUUCCUUUUCACUGUCCAAGGAGAAAGGUGAAAGCUUUCACCUUGUACCUGAUUAUGGCGACUCAAACAUGAAGAGAAGAGGUGUCUUAGGCAUGGUGGGUUCAAGAGGAAGUCCAUGAAAGAAGGAGAUGUUGGAAGUGACACCAAAAGCUCAGAUCUUCCCAUGUACUAAGGAGUUUCAAGGAACUAACACUAGUUUCUUGGCUGUAAGGAAAUCUCUUUCUCUUGUAUAAAGCUUGAGUGUAUGAACAGGUUGUGAUGUUGUGAUGUGAUUGAAAACCUGAGGAUAUGUUUAAGAUUGCUAAAUGAAAAUUGUUUAGAAACUGUCCCAGGAUGCUUAAAGAGGCUUGUUUGAUGAUUGAGAAUGUUUGAAAUGCUUAAUCCCAGUUCUAAAAUGAAAUGACUUGUUAGGAUAGUAGAAUCUGUCUUAUCCAGCUUGCAUUCAUGAGUUAGAAACUGAUCAAGAUUAAUGCAUAUUGUCUUGUAGCUGUCUUAUAUUGAAGCAUUAGAUUCAUGUCUAAAUUGCUGAGUAAAGGAGCUUUAAAAGAAAAAGAAAAAUGCUUAAGUAACUUGUCUUGAAUCUGUUAGGAUCUUGCUUGUACUUAGAAAGUUUGCUUGCAAAGAUUAGAACUUGAUAUUGUCUUGUUUAAUCUGUUGCAUUGCUUGUGAUAUUGGGAAUCAAACUUGAUGAUUAAUCAAGGAUUGAUCCCAAUACUAUUGUGUCUUAUCUUUGCUGGAGUUUGAGUGUUGUUUCAGGUUCACAAGAUGUGUUCUUAGCUCACCAUUCAUCCAAGUUAAAAGAGGAAGACUUUGUCCAUUUGUGUGUGCAAUGGAGAGUUGUUAUAAGAAGGGUAAAGGGCAGAUGGUUUUAAAACUCACAUAAGCUCACUGGGGUUAUGUGAGCUACCUAGCGACCCUUGGAGUUAUGCGACCUGUUCUUCUCCUUACCAUUGCAAGUAACUGAAGAAGAAGCCAACCGGGUCUAGGCAGUGGCGUGUCUAUUCAAGAGAGUGCUCAAACUAAGACAGAGCACUCUUGGCUGUGUGAAGAAGAAGGCUACUCUAUCAAGGUGGCUUCUAGUGUGAGGUGAUUGAAGAAGUAGCUGAAACUUCCACAUGCAUUCCAUCAUGGUGGCGAAUUCAGAAGGAUGAUUGCAAUGGUUUGUUGUUCCGGAUCAAGAGACUCUCACCUGCCCAAGCUUGGUUCUUACUAGACUUAGUUCCAAGCUUAAGAGGGAGUGUUAAAGAAGCUUCUAUGAUCCUAGAGAGAAGAAGAAGAAGUGAGGAUUCAAGUGGCGACAUUAAGAACCACUCCUUAUCAUCUUAAACAAGGGAGUAAGCCUAGUCUUAUCUAUUUCAAUAUGUCUUGAUAGGUCUAUCUCUUGGUUAUGCUCUGUGAUUUCUAUAUCUAAAGUUCCAUUAAUGGUUGGUAGCUUCUAGUAGAAUGUCUAGAGGCUAAUUGCAUACUGAAAUUAUGUUGCUGUUGCAUUGUCUUGUUGACAUUAAGUAAUGUCUAGUGUCCCAGAAUCUCAUAUCUUGUUUAUUACAGUGUUUUGUGUGUUGACAUAGCUUGAAUCAUCAUGAAUGUGUUGUAGAAUUGAGUAGAAUGUCUCUGCUGCUUGCAUCAUGUUUGAAAGGCUACUUUGCAUUCACAUAAGCUUGUUUCAUAUUGUCUUGAUUCAAUCCAGUUCAGAUUGUUGCUAUGCCAUAGUUAAAUCCAUCCUUGAUGUCUUAUAGCAUUUAGAAGUAUGUCUAAGCUACUUGAAUCAUUGGCUUUGAUUAAACUAGUGAGCAUAAGCAUGUACUGAUUCACUCUUGUCGCCUAGAUUGCAUAAGUGUCAUCUAGUCUUGUGUUUCAUUUGGAUUGAAUCUGUUGCAUUCAUAUAGUCAUUGUUAGAGUCUAAUCUAAUGCAUUAAUCUAGUGUUGCAUUUAAAAAAAAAAAAAUUGAAUUAAACUUAAAAGAUCAAGUGUAUUGAUGAAAACAUUCAUUGUCUUUGAUUGAUUAAUUGUUGAAAACUACUUGCUGAUGUUUUUGCCUUGAUUGAUUGGCUGUUUUAAGUUUAUAUAUUGUUGUGGCAUUGGAGAUCAAACCGGAUGGAUGAUUUUGGUUUGGUCCCAAUGGGAUUAACUGAUCUUGCAUUGAGUUGUGGUGGUGUUAGGUACACAAAGAAGUGAUACAUUGACAAGCCAAACCAAAGUGUAAAGACAAAGGUCUUGUGCCAUUGCAUAUCAUCACUAGGACAUGUUAGUCCAUAAUCUACAGGAAGUGUAGUGUGAUUGAUUAUGCAAUGAGAGAUGGCCAUUACAUAAUACCAUUGGACAAGUUUAGUCCUUAGUCUACAGGAAGUGUAGCAUGGGUAAUUAUGCAAUGAGAGAAGUGUCUUGUGAGUCUCUCUAUGGUGAUUCAAACACCCUAGUUCCUGGUUAAGGAAGAGAGUACACUCACAAGAAGAAAGCUAUCAUGAAAUAUUGAUGGUUAUAAGACCAUGGGGAUGCAUAGGAUCAUCACAAGCUUAGCUCCUUCUAGUCUCGGUUCUAAGCUUGAGGGGGAGUCUUAAUGCACAUGAUCCAUGGUCAGUCUUCUACAAAGGAUCAUCAGCUGGAGCUAUUCUAGGCAAUCUAAGGAAGAAGAAGCUGAUCUUGCCACUAAAUGGUGCAAUGGCCGAGUGGGAAACUCACCAAAACAAAAAGGGAAGUCUACUUAUCUAUCUUGCUUAUAAAGACUGAUAUCAUGUUACUUAAGAUGAUAGACUUAUUUCCUUGAAAGAACUGGAUACAAUGUUGCUUAAUCUGAAAUGAUAGGUUUAUUUCCUAAAGAACUGAGGCAUUGUGUUCACAUUGUAUCAGGUACUUGUUAUCUUGAUAAGCAACUCCUAGGAGAUAUAAGUGAUACCUUCAGAGACUACUUGAGGGAGAUUCAAGUGGAGAGUCAAGCUGUGUAUGUUCAGAGACUACUUGAAGAAGAAUCUAGUGGAAAGUCAAGCUGUUUGGGAAACUCCAAAAUGUUCAUGGAACACUCCUCACCUAAACAAUAGGGAAGUAUCUUAAACUCAUGACAAUUCAAUUCAUUCAUCAUGUCAUUUUUUAAGCUUAAGAUGAUACUUAAAAUACUUUGAGUAAAAUGUGCUGCAUUAAUGAUGUAAUCUUAAGGGUCUUGAUAAGUACUGAUGCACCUUUGGGAUAAUGUAUCAGGUACCAUUGCUUGAUGCCUCAUUAAACAGUUCCGAGUAAUCUCUUAGCUUCUCUAAAGAGGCUGUGAAGUCUGUUGAGAGGGGGAGAUUCCAAACCUGGUCGAUGAAGAAGGCAAGCCGUGUGUGAAGUGUUGAUCAGCCUCACUGGUGUUUUGAAGAUGAUCUGGUCGUGCCCUAGCUUCUCUAAGAUGGCUGUGAAGUCAGUUGAGAGGGGGAGACUUCAAACUGGUUGGUUCCAUGAAGAGGUGAAGCUGAAGUAUGCGCAAAGCUGUAAAGAGUUGCUGCACCUAUUAGGCCGUGAUCCAGAGCUUCUUGUGUCCAACCACAUUGGUUCUAAGGCACAAGAGCUCACUGGCCAAUCCCUAGGCUUUGGAGAGCUCUACUCUUUUUCCCUUGCAAGGUUUUGUCCCAAUGGGUUUUCCUUGUAAGGUUUUUAAUGAGGGAGACUCUUCAGAGUUCCAAGCUUGGCUUAGGAUCUCCUAAAGUCAAGCUUGAGGGGGAGUGUUGAACUGAAGAGAAGAUAGAGCUUGUACAUUAAUAGGGCAAGCUCUAGAAGAUGUCCAGAAGAGUUCAAUCAAGCUUCAGAAGUGUUCUGAAGUAGUUAUCUUGAGAAGUUAAGUCUAGGAAAGACUUAGACUGAUCAUGAGAAGGCUUUGGAGAAGUUUGGGAGAAGAUGGGCAAGAGUGCAAAGUUAGGGCGACUGCAUAGACCUGUACGGACGGUACGGUCUUGUACGGCCAUGGGCGACCUAAGAAGGUGUCUGGAUCAACCAAGGAGGAAGUCUGGGUGAUGUGCAAGAAUAGGGCGUGGUACGGACAGGAGGUCCGUACCAUAGUCCGUACUGACAAGAAAGUGUACCGGAUUGUCCUGAAAUGGUGUUGGGAAAUCUUAGGGCGCAAGAGAAGCUAAGUCUGAGCUUAUGGACGUUGGAGGAUAAAGGAGGAGCUGUAUGUGGUCCUAGACAGGCUGUCAUAAGCUGCCAAGAAAGCAUCUUUGACUCCACAUGAUUAUGCAAGCUGUACAAGCAUGUGAGCCUUUACAGCCAUCCAUUUCAAACAAAGAGAUCUUGGCCUUUCAUCUCCCCUUUCCUAUCCAGCUCGUGUACAGACCACAUCUGACCAUCAAGACUGAUCCAGGUCGUCCAUUCAAAUUAGAAAAGCACAGCCAUAGAUCUUAGGUUUAUUCUUACAAGUUGUAAUGCAUAUAAAAGCUCAUUGUAGCAGAUUUUGUAAACUAAGAGAGAGAGGGGGAUUUCCCCUCCUCCUUCAUAAUCUUAUGAUACUUUGUCUCUCUAAACUCUCUAUUCUCUCAUUCUGAAUCUCUAUACACGUUCUCAGACUUGUUACCAAUCUCUUAGACUCUUAGACACCUAAACACCUAGACACAUAAACACUUAGACACAUAAACACUCAUUAGUCUCUCCUCUUCUCAAAUCGCUCCCAAGCUCUCUCUCUCUUUACCCAUUUGGGUUUCACACACACAUAUAACCUGAGUACUCUUAAAAUCUCAUAUGGUAUCAGAGCCAGGUUCAUCUGAACUUGGUUCUAGCUUCCGUACAAGCUCAAGCUCACUCCCAUGCCAUUUCCAAGCUGAUGAAGAGCUCCUGUCCAGCCUGUUGUUUAACCUCUUCAAGAUGAAGAUGUACUCAUCCAUGGCGUCCAGAAGCUGUCCUUGGUCGUUCUCCACUCUCUCAUGGUCGUCCUGAAGAAAGAAAGGCCAUUGGAAGCAUGUCCAAGCCAUUCCUAUUCACUGUCCAAGGAGAAAGGUGAAAGCUUUCACCUUGUACCUGAUUAUGGCGACUCAAACAUGAAGAGAAGAGGUGUCUUAGGCAUGGUGGGUUCAAGAGGAAGUCCAUGAAAGAAGGAGAUGUUGGAAGUGACACCAAAAUCUCAGAUCUUCCAUGUACUAAGGAGUUUCAAGGAACUAACACUAGUUUCUUGGCUGUAAGGAAAUCUCUUUCUCUUGUAUAAAGCUUGAGUGUAUGAACAGGUUGUGAUGUUGUGAUGUGAUUGAAAACCUGAGGAUAUGUUUAAGAUUGCUAAAUGAAAAUUGUUUAGAAACUGUCCCAGGAUGCUUAAAGAGGCUUGUUUGAUGAUUGAGAAUGUUUGAAAUGCUUAAUCCCAGUUCUAAAAUGAAAUGACUUGUUAGGAUAGUAGAAUCUGUCUUAUCCAGCUUGCAUUCAUGAGUUAGAAACUGAUCAAGAUUAAUGCAUAUUGUCUUGUAGCUGUCUUAUAUUGAAGCAUUAGAUUCAUGUCUAAAUUGCUGAGUAAAGGAGCUUUAAAAGAAAAAGAAAAAUGCUUAAGUAACUUGUCUUGAAUCUGUUAGGAUCUUGCUUGUACUUAGAAAGUUUGCUUGCAAAGAUUAGAACUUGAUAUUGUCUUGUUUAAUCUGUUGCAUUGCUUGUGAUAUUGGGAAUCAAACUUGAUGAUUAAUCAAGGAUUGAUCCCAAUACUAUUGUGUCUUAUCUUUGCUGGAGUUUGAGUGUUGUUUCAGGUUCACAAGAUGUGUUCUUAGCUCACCAUUCAUCCAAGUUAAAAGAGGAAGACUUUGUCCAUUUGUGUGUGCAAUGGAGAGUUGUUAUAAGAAGGGUAAAGGGCAGAUGGUUUUAAAACUCACAUAAGCUCACUGGGGUUAUGUGAGCUACCUAGCGACCCUUGGAGUUAUGCGACCUGUUCUUCUCCUUACCAUUGCAAGUAACUGAAGAAGAAGCCAACCGGGUCUAGGCAGUGGCGUGUCUAUUCAAGAGAGUGCUCAAACUAAGACAGAGCACUCUUGGCUGUGUGAAGAAGAAGGCUACUCUAUCAAGGUGGCUUCUAGUGUGAGGUGAUUGAAGAAGUAGCUGAAACUUCCACAUGCAUUCCAUCAUGGUGGCGAAUUCAGAAGGAUGAUUGCAAUGGUUUGUUGUUCCGGAUCAAGAGACUCUCACCUGCCCAAGCUUGGUUCUUACUAGACUUAGUUCCAAGCUUAAGAGGGAGUGUUAAAGAAGCUUCUAUGAUCCUAGAGAGAAGAAGAAGAAGUGAGGAUUCAAGUGGCGACAUUAAGAACCACUCCUUAUCAUCUUAAACAAGGGAGUAAGCCUAGUCUUAUCUAUUUCAAUAUGUCUUGAUAGGUCUAUCUCUUGGUUAUGCUCUGUGAUUUCUAUAUCUAAAGUUCCAUUAAUGGUUGGUAGCUUCUAGUAGAAUGUCUAGAGGCUAAUUGCAUACUGAAAUUAUGUUGCUGUUGCAUUGUCUUGUUGACAUUAAGUAAUGUCUAGUGUCCCAGAAUCUCAUAUCUUGUUUAUUACAGUGUUUUGUGUGUUGACAUAGCUUGAAUCAUCAUGAAUGUGUUGUAGAAUUGAGUAGAAUGUCUCUGCUGCUUGCAUCAUGUUUGAAAGGCUACUUUGCAUUCACAUAAGCUUGUUUCAUAUUGUCUUGAUUCAAUCCAGUUCAGAUUGUUGCUAUGCCAUAGUUAAAUCCAUCCUUGAUGUCUUAUAGCAUUUAGAAGUAUGUCUAAGCUACUUGAAUCAUUGGCUUUGAUUAAACUAGUGAGCAUAAGCAUGUACUGAUUCACUCUUGUCGCCUAGAUUGCAUAAGUGUCAUCUAGUCUUGUGUUUCAUUUGGAUUGAAUCUGUUGCAUUCAUAUAGUCAUUGUUAGAGUCUAAUCUAAUGCAUUAAUCUAGUGUUGCAUUUAAAAAAAAAAAAAUUGAAUUAAACUUAAAAGAUCAACUACUGGGUNNNNNNNNNNNNNNNNNNNNNNNNNNNNNNNNNNNNNNNNNNNNNNNNNNNNNNNNNNNNNNNNNNNNNNNNAUUGAAUUAAACUUAAAAGAUCAAGUGUAUUGAUGAAAACAUUCAUUGUCUUUGAUUGAUUAAUUGUUGAAAACUACUUGCUGAUGUUUUUGCCUUGAUUGAUUGGCUGUUUUAAGUUUAUAUAUUGUUGUGGCAUUGGAGAUCAAACCGGAUGGAUGAUUUUGGUUUGGUCCCAAUGGGAUUAACUGAUCUUGCAUUGAGUUGUGGUGGUGUUAGGUACACAAAGAAGUGAUACAUUGACAAGCCAAACCAAAGUGUAAAGACAAAGGUCUUGUGCCAUUGCAUAUCAUCACUAGGACAUGUUAGUCCAUAAUCUACAGGAAGUGUAGUGUGAUUGAUUAUGCAAUGAGAGAUGGCCAUUACAUAAUACCAUUGGACAAGUUUAGUCCUUAGUCUACAGGAAGUGUAGCAUGGGUAAUUAUGCAAUGAGAGAAGUGUCUUGUGAGUCUCUCUAUGGUGAUUCAAACACCCUAGUUCCUGGUUAAGGAAGAGAGUACACUCACAAGAAGAAAGCUAUCAUGAAAUAUUGAUGGUUAUAAGACCAUGGGGAUGCAUAGGAUCAUCACAAGCUUAGCUCCUUCUAGUCUCGGUUCUAAGCUUGAGGGGGAGUCUUAAUGCACAUGAUCCAUGGUCAGUCUUCUACAAAGGAUCAUCAGCUGGAGCUAUUCUAGGCAAUCUAAGGAAGAAGAAGCUGAUCUUGCCACUAAAUGGUGCAAUGGCCGAGUGGGAAACUCACCAAAACAAAAAGGGAAGUCUACUUAUCUAUCUUGCUUAUAAAGACUGAUAUCAUGUUACUUAAGAUGAUAGACUUAUUUCCUUGAAAGAACUGGAUACAAUGUUGCUUAAUCUGAAAUGAUAGGUUUAUUUCCUAAAGAACUGAGGCAUUGUGUUCACAUUGUAUCAGGUACUUGUUAUCUUGAUAAGCAACUCCUAGGAGAUAUAAGUGAUACCUUCAGAGACUACUUGAGGGAGAUUCAAGUGGAGAGUCAAGCUGUGUAUGUUCAGAGACUACUUGAAGAAGAAUCUAGUGGAAAGUCAAGCUGUUUGGGAAACUCCAAAAUGUUCAUGGAACACUCCUCACCUAAACAAUAGGGAAGUAUCUUAAACUCAUGACAAUUCAAUUCAUUCAUCAUGUCAUUGUUUAAGCUUAAGAUGAUACUUAAAACAUCUUUAGUGAGGCUCAAGCAAUGGUACCUGAUACAUUAUACCAAAGGUGCAUCAGUACUUAUCAAGAAACAUCACACAAUCCAUUCAAACAUUUUAAGUAUCAUUUCUAGACUUUGAUUUGAAAUGAUGAAUGUAUUGAAUUGAAUUGAGUUUAGGGAAACUUCCCUUUUGUUUUGGUGAGGAGUGACUGGAUUAUAGUCACUUGAAUCCCUCAUACUAGGCUGUUGCACCCUCUUCAUGGCAACACCAACUUAAUGGAAGACUGUGUGGAUUCUUCAGCUUCAUGAACCUUCAUACACACACAGCCUAGAAUAACUCCGGUUGAUGAUCCUUUGUUGAAGCCUUUGCAAUGCCUUCAUACUGGACCAUGGAUCACACUCAUUAAGACUCCCCCUCAAGCUUAACUCCGAGUAUAGGAGGAGCUGAGCUUGUGAGAAGCGUGGGCUAUCCAUGGCCUUAGGACCACCGGUCUUCCAAGACUUUGGUGAUGGUCUUGGCCUUGUGAGCUGCUCUCUUCCUUAAGCCAGGAACUAGGGUGUUUGAAUCACCAUAGAGAGUCCUCACAAGACUAGUUCUCACUGUAUAAUAACCCAUGCUACACUUCCUGUAGACUAUGGACUGAACAUGUCCUAUGGUAUUAUACAAUGGCAUCCUCUCAUUGCAUAAUCAAUCACACUACACUUCCUGUAGAUUAUGGAUUAACACAUCCAGUGAUGAUUUGCAAUGGAACUAGACCUUUUGUCUUCACACUUUGGUUUGGCUUGUCACUGUAUCACUUCUUUGUGUACCUAACAUCACCACAACUCAAUGCAAGAUCAGAUCAUCCCAUUGGGAUCAAACUAAGAUCAUCCAUCCUGUUUGAUCACCAAUGCCACAGCAAUUUAUAAACCUUGAAACAAGCCAAUCAAUCAAGGCAAGAACAAGCAGAUUUCAAUCUCUAAAAAAUGACAAUGCAAGCUUUACCAAUACAUUGACAAUUUAGGCUCAUUUUUAAAUGCAUCAAUACAUGAAUGCACAAUCCUAAAGCAUUAACUAUAUGAAUGCAACAGGUUCAAUCCAUGAGACAUAUUAAAGCUAUGCUCAACAGUUUCAAUCAAAACCAAUGAUGCAAGCAACUUAGACAAUUUCUAAUUGAUGCUAGACUUUCAUUGAUGGAUUAAACAAAGGCAUUAGCAUCAGUACACACUCGGAUUGAACUUAGACAAUAUGAGACAUGCUUAUGUAUGCAAAACAGCUUUUCAAACAUGAUGCAAGUAGUAGAGACAUUCUACUCAAUUCUACAACCCAUUCAUGAUGAUUCAAGCUAUGGCAACACACAAGACAAUGCAAUAACCCAAAACAUGAGAUUCUGGGACUCUAGACACCACUCACAGCACAAUAAAUAAAGACACAAGCUCUUAUUAAGGGUUAGGAGGUUUGCUUACAAACAAGAGAUCCGAGCUGAUCUCUUGAACCUCCAUGGGCACGGUUCACUUGAACUUGGCAGGUUUGAGGCUUGGAUUCAGUAUCCAACACCUCUCCUUGGUGUGCCCAUCCCUCUUGCAAUGCUCACACUUCAGGCCUCUCCUAUCCCCCUUCUUGUAAGGCGCCUUGUUGGGCUGAGAGCUUCUUUCAGCUUGAGAAGCAAAGGAGAGUGUUUCCUUUGUUCCAAACAACCCGAUUGAUCCCUCCUCCUUUUGGACUUGGGAACACACUUCUUCAAGUGUUGGGAGCUUCUCAGACCUCAAGAUAUGUUGAAUCAAGGCGCUGUAGGCAGGGCUGAGGGUUAGUAGUAGGCCAAACACCUUGUCUUGCUCCCUUCUUUCAAUCAACACCUCCGGAUCAACAGAUUGGGGUCUAAGCAUCUCUAGCUCAGACCAAAGGGCUCUGAACUUGCCUAGAUGCGCAGUGAACUCCUCAUCUUCUUGGGAUAGGAUGUUGAUGGACUUCUUGAUCUCAAAUACUCGGCUGAUGUUGGAGAUGUUCCCAUAUAUCUUGUUAAGUGUACUCCAAAGGUCUUUAGCACUCUCACAGUAUGAGUAUGCUUCAAGGAUGGAUGGAGACAGUGAGCUAUGGAGAAUGGAUAAGACCUUGAGGUCUUCUUGUUCCCACUUCUCCUCAGAUACAGAUUUGGAACCGGAUUCACCAUCUGCUGAGCUUUCAUUUGAACCGGCAGUCUUGGAGAGCUUUGGAGCAUCCGUGAGGCAAUGGCUCCAUAAGCCUCUCCCUCCUAGAGCUGUCUUCACCAUGCGUGACCAGAGAAGGUAGUUGGGACCAUUGAGAGUAACAGCAAUGACAAUGGUUCUUUUGGACUCCAUGUUGAAGCCGGAUGAACAAGACUGUCAAAGAACUCUUCAAGGUAGUAUCUUGGGACAAGGUGAGCUGAAUCUUCAAGGGCGUGAGCUUGGGAGCUUGUGGAUGUUGCGGAAGCUUCUACCAGGAGUCUGAGCAACCUGGCUCUGAUACCAUGUGAGAUUUUCAGAGUACAAGUGCUUGAGUGAUGUAAGAACAGAUGAGAGAUUUGUGUAUGAUGAAGUAUGAAGAAUAGAAUGAGUUUAAGAGAAUCAGAGAGAGUAUGGGAGAGACUAAGAGAUUAGGAACGUGUAUGGGAGAUUAGAGAGACUUAGUAACCAGAGAAUAAGAUCCAAGAACAAGUUUAUGAAGAAGAGAGACUCUCUCAGCUUAAAAGUUACAAAAUGAUCCUAAGAGGCUUAUUUAUGCCUUUACACAACUCAGAUCAUAAACCUAGAUCCUAAGGCUGUAAAUUAAAGAUAAAUGGAUGGUUAGGAUGAGAGGAAGCUGGUCUUUGAUGUUCUGGUGCUAGCUGGUCGUGGUUGGACUGAAUGGAGGGCUCAGAUUGCUUCAUUUGAAUUGGAUGGAUCAGAUGAGUCAAGGCUGUAAAGGUCAAGCACCUUUACCUUUCCAGCUCAUACCACCAGCUCACCUUAUCCAUUUGAAUCUUCCUUUGCCUCCAAGACUCCCCAAAGGUCACAUAAGGAAGGAUAAUCCACGCCCACACAUUGCACAUCACCAAACAAAGCUGAUCCGGGUCUUUGGUCGAUCCGGAUGGGAUGUACGGUCGAUGUACGGCCUUGAGGUCCGUACACUCGCCCUAGCUUUGCACCUAUGGCCAUCUUCUCUCUAACUCCACCAAACCUUUCACAUGAUCAGUCUAAGUCUUUCCUAGACUUAACUUCUCAAGAUAACUACUUCAGAACACUUCUGAAGCUUGAUUGAACUCUUCUGGACAUCUUCUAGAGCUUGCCCUAUUAUUGUACAAGCUCUAUCUUCUCUUCAGUUCAACACUUGGAUCUACAUAUCUCAAUUCCAAGGAAGUAUUUCAUCUCUCCCAAGUCUUUAAUCUCAAAAACAGAUUUAAGAAAGUCUUUAGUGGCUUGUAUCUCUUCUUUAUCACUACCUGUUAUAAUGAUGUCAUCUACAUACACAAGUAGAACGACAAUACCUGAAGGUGUGUUGAGUGUAAAGAGAGUAUGAUCAAGCUCUGACUUCCUAAAGCCUCUUCCAUUCAGAGUUGUGCUCAACUUGUUGUACCAUGCCCUUGGUGAUUGUUUCAGACCAUAGAUAGCUUUCUUUAGUCUGAGAACAUUCCCUUUCUUCACCAAGUGCUCUAGACCAGGAGGAGGUAACAUAUACACUUCAUCUUCUAGUUCUCCUUGUAGAAAUGCAUUCUUUACAUCCAUUUGCCACAAGCCCCACUCAAGAUUCACCGCAAGUGAUAGGACAAUCCUGAUGGUAUGUAGCUUAGCAACUGGCGCAAAUGUGUCUAUAUAAUCCUCUCCAUAUGUUUGAGUGAAUCCUCUUGCAACCAAGCGAGUCUUCUUUCUAUCAAUCUGUCCAUUUGCUAGGUACUUGAUUGUGAAGAUCCAUCUACUAGACACUGCCCUCUUUCCUUUAGGUAACUCACUCUCAUACCAAGUAUCAUUCUUGAUCAUUGCAUUGGAUUCAGCUCCCACUGAUUCCCUCCACUCCUUGUCCUUCAUGGCUUCCUCAUAUGACUUUGGUACAUGGCUCUCAUCUAAGCUUACCAUAAAGGCACAAUGUUCUUCUGGAUAAUGAGCAAAGGAACACACAGCUUGAGAGGGAUGUUCCACAGCCUGGGCAUUGUAGUACACUCUCGUGUUUACCCAGUUGGAACUAUCCUUUCUCACUCUGGUGCUUCUUCUCAAUGGCUGCACCGCCGGCUCUGAUUCAGGUUCAGUUGUAGUUGCAUUAGUUUCCUCCUCUUGAUCUUGGCUUGGUACCUCCGUAUCUUCCUGCAUCAUACUUUGAUCAUGAUCACCUGAGCUUUCUUGAUCAUGGCUUUCAACCUGUACUUCAGCUGGUUCAGGUAUGUUUUCCCCCCCAUGAUCUAGGUUUGAUGCCUCGGUAGGUUGUGUGGUUGUUGUACUGCGUCUCUCCUUCGGAUCCUGGGUAGUAUGUAUCCCAAGCCCCUCUAAAAUACUUCUAAGGCUGGCCGCUCUAUCUGACUCUCUUGUCAAUUCUAGCAGCUCAUCUUGAUUCUUUUCCUCAUAGAACCCCUUUGCUUCAAUGAACUUUACAUCUCUAGAGACUAGGAUUCUUCGAGUAGUAGGAUCAUAGCACUUGUAACCCUUUUGAGUAGUAGAGUAGCCAACAAACAUAGCUCUUGUGCUGGUUGCUUCAAGCUUGUUUCUCAACUCUUUUGGCCUAAGGACAAAGCAUAGACAUCCAAAGAUUCGCAUAUGCUCCAAUGAUGGCUUGUACUUGUUCAAGGCUUCAAAAGGGGACUGAUCAUGUAGAAUCUUAGUUGGGAUCCGGUUGAUUAGAUAACACGAUGUAGCCACAGCAUCACUCCAAAACCUUUUAGGGACAUUUCCUUGAAACAUCAUUGACCUUGCCACCUCCAUGAGAUGCCUAUUCUUUCUCUCAGCCACUCCAUUUUGCUGAGGAGUAUAAGGACAACUCGUUUGGUGUAGUAUCCCAUGUUGCGUUAGAUGUUGCUUGAAUGCUUGACCAGUGUAUUCCCCACCAUUAUCUGAUCUCAAAAUUUUAAUCUUGGCAUUGUAAUGGUUAGUCACAUAGUUUUGAAAUUUUUUAAAAGCUUCAAGCACCCUAUCUUUGGUUUGAAUGAGUGUUAUCCAGGUGUAUUUCGAUUUUUCAUCUAUGAAUGUGACAAAGUAUUUAAAACUAUCCCUAGACAAGCAAGGAGCAGUCCAAACAUCAGAGUGAAUUAGAUCAAAGCACUUGUCAUAAACAGUAGAUGAAAUGGGAAACACAGUUUUACAAUGCUUGCCUAAAAUGCAAGCUUCACAAUCCUUAUUUUCAAAUACCACACCUGGUAACAUUAAGUUUAAAGCCCUAACAUGGGGAUGACCUAGUCUAGCAUGCCACAAUGCAUUUUUUAUUCAUCAUAGAAGCAGAAGUAAAUGAGCAUAAGUAAUCAGAAACAGGAGCUAGUUCUUCAAGUAAAUAUAAAUCUCCCUUGGUAACUCCUUUUCCAAUCAAUUGGCUGCUCUCAAUAUCCUGAAACUUCACAUCAUUAGGACUGAAUAUAACAUUCCAAUUAAGAUCUGUAGUACACUUCUUUACAGAUAAUAGAUUUGAUGUGAAGUCAGGCAUAUAAAAUGCUUUAGAGUCUUUAUCAAACAAUUUUAGCUUGCCAAUUCCUCUAAUUGGGAUUUUAUCUCCAUUUGCAAUCAUGACAUGUCCAUUUGUAGGUUCAAUGUCUCUAAUCAAGCUAGUAUCACUAAUCAUAUGAUGAGAUGCUCCUGAAUCAACUACCAAUGGUUUAAACAGAUUGUGUGCAAUAUGAGACUGUCCUAGUAUGCUAGUAGGUUUAUAAGCAAUGCUUGAAUGAUCAGGUUCUCUAGCAAUACUACACGAUUCAUAUAAUGCACCAAAGGAGUGACCAAGAGUACCAAGUGUGUUACCAUUCUCCUUUAGCAUUUUGAUGAGGGAGUCAAGGUCUGAUCUCCUUAGGUACUCGUUCUCACGGUUGUUCUGAAGGCUUGGCUGAGGUGUGUAAGUCACCAGGGCCUUACUGUGAUUUUAAAGAGAUCUCUACUCUUGUAGUAUGUGUGUGUGGAUAAGCUCCAAUGGAGAAUGAUUAGAGCUUGUUCUAGGUGAUUUAGAAGAGAGGUUGAUGAGAGUGUAUAAGAGACUUAAGAACAGAGAUAAAGAGACUUAGGAACAGAGAUUAAGAGACUAGAGAGACUGAGAGAAUAAGUGUUUCAGAUUCAUGAAGGAGAAGGGAAACCCCCUUACUCACUUAAGUGUUUACAAUCGCAUAUACAAGGCUUUUAUAUGCCUUUACAUUUUCACUCAUAAACCCUACAUCCUAAGGCUGUAAAUAAAUGAUAGAAUGGAUGGUAAGGAUGAGAGAAGACUGGUCUUGAUGUUGCUGGAGCUAGCUGGCGAAUUGAUUCAAAUAGAAGGCUCAGAUUGCUUCUUUUGAAUGAAUGGAUAGGAUGAGUCAAGGCUAUAAAGGUAAAGCACCUUUACCUUUCCAGCUCAUACCAACAGCUCACCUUAUCCAUUUGAAUCUUCCUUUGCCUCCAAGGCACUCCAACGUACACUUAAGGAAGCUUAUCCCGCGCCCACACAUUGCACAACUUGACUUGAUGCAGAACUGGAUGAAUGGAUGAGGCUUGGUGUUGUACGGUCUCUUGUACGGCUUGUACCAUCCGUACACUCGCCCUAAUUAUGCACAACACUUCCCCUCCUCUUUACUUGAUCAAUUCCUCUUCUUGAUUCGCUCAUGGCCUUAUCAUUCUCCCAAGCUUUGCUCUUCAUGCCAUCUUCUCCCUAACUCCUUCACCUCUUCACAUGAUCAGUCUAAGUCUUUCCUAGACUUAACUUCACAAGAUAACUACUUCAGAACACUUUUGAAGAUUGAUCGAACUCUUCUGGACAUCUUAUAGAGCUUGCCCUAUUAUUGUACAAGCUCUAUCUUCUCUUCAGUUCAACACUCCCCCUCAAGCUUGACUUUAGGAGAUCCUAAGCCAAGCUUGGAACUCUGAAGAGUCUCCCUCAUUAAAAACCUUACAAGGAAAACCCAUUGGGACAAAACCUUGCAAGGGAAAAAGAGUAGAGCUCUCCAAAGCCUAGGGAUUGGCCAGUGAGCUCUUGUGCCUUAGAACCAGUGUGGUUGGACACAAGAAGCUCUGGAUCAUGGCCUAAUAGGUGCAGCAACUCAACACAGCUUUGCGCACAUUUCACACUUCAGCUUCACCUCUUCAUGGAACCGGUUUGAGGUCUCCCCCUCUCAACUGACUUUACAGCCAUUUUAGAGAAGCUAGGACACGACCAUAUCAUCUUCAAAACACCAGUAAGGCUGAUCAACACUUCACACACGGCUUGCCCUCUUCAUAGAACUGGUUUGGAUCCCCUUCUCAACAGACUUCUCAGCCACCUUAGAGAAGCUAGGAACUGACCAGGAACAUCUUUAGUGAGGCUCAAGCAAUGGUACCUGAUACAUUAUCCCAAAGGUGCAUCAGUACCUAUCAAAAACAAGAAAAUGAAUAUCCUGCAUCACACUUGAUGCACACAAUCUCACAAUUCAAUCAUAAUCAUCUUAACUCUGAAGAGUCUCCCUCAUUUAAAACCUUACAAGGAAAACCCAUUGGGACAAAACCUUGCAAGGGAAAAAGAGUAGAGCUCUCCACAGCCUAGGGAUUGGCCAGUGAGCUCUUGUGCCUUAGAACCAAUGUGGUUGGACACAAGUAUAAGUUUUAGAGAAUCUGAGUUUGAUAUAAGGAAAGAAAGAGAUUAGAGAGAGUCUAGAGGUGAUUUAGGACGAGUUUAGCUAAGAGUUUAGUGUAUGAUCAUGAUUGAGAGCCUUUGAGUCUAAGAGAGUGUUUUGGUGUCAAGAACUGUCUGAUUAUCAUUAAUGAAGAGUUUACAAAUAUAUAGGAGAAGAUACAAGGGUUUUCCUAAAGGUAAAGUAAGCAAAGCAUGUGAAGUCAAGGAAGAGCUAGGCGCCGGUUUCAAACUAAGCCAAUGGGAGACUCCACAUGUGUGGGAUGAAUGGAUAAGGUUGCUUUCCCUUUCCAGCUGCAUACAGCCUGUCAAGGCGCGGCCUUAUCCUUCUCUCAACGGUCUGAUCAAGUGCUGGUAACUCUCCAUAGUUACCAUCACCCUUUUCACAAGUAACCAUCCUGAAUAGUGAAGAGUAUUACCCAAGACUUGUACGGCCACUCCUCAUGUACGGCCUGUACGGAUUGUACGGACUAAGCCUCCUCAAUCCCUUUCUUCCUAAUGCUUCACCACUUCAUACCCUCUCCUCACAUACAUUACUCAACACUUCAUCUCAUGAUCUCAUCUCAAAGUGAUCUCAUCUCAACACUCCCCCUCAAGCUUAGCUUUGUGAAAGUCUAAGCUUGGAUAGCCAUGAGAUCUUCCUCAUUAAAAACCUCACCAAAGAAAACCCAUUGGGACAAAACUUUGAUAAGGGAAAAAGAGUAAAGACCUCAUAGCUAAGGGGCUUAGCUCCUUCUCGUGAGAUCAAUGAGUCCUAGCCGGCUAUGAAUGGACUCAAUUGUCUUCUGUCUUGCUGCCUUUGUGAACACAUCUGCUAGCUGAUCUUCACUUCUCGUGUAACAUGCUAAGAUGACUCCAAGAAGAAUCAUUUGCCUCACCUUGUGACAAUCUACUUCAAUGUGCUUGGUUCUCUCAUGGAAGACUGAGUUGGUGGCAAUGUGUAUAGCAGCCUGGUUGUCACAAUGCAUGGUCAUUGGAGUGGAUUGAAUAAUCUCCAAGUGCUUCAGUAUCCCUUUGAUCCAUACAAGCUCAUUAGUCAGCUUCAGCAUGGCUCGGUAUUCAGCUUCAGCACUUGAGCAUGAGACCACCUUCUGCUUCUUACUCUUCCAAGUUACUAAGUUCCCUCCAAUGAAUGUGCAGUAGCCGGUUGUGGACCUUCUAUCUGCUCUAUCUCCUGCCCAAUCCGCAUCACAGUAGCCUACAACUUCUGUACUCCCAUUACACCCCAUCCACACUCCUUGAUCCACUGAGCCAUUAAGAUACAUCAAGAGCCGGUUCACCAUUCCCCAAUGAUGUUCUUUUGGAACUUGCAUAUGCUGACUCACCUGGUUCACAGCAAAACAAAUAUCAGGACGUGUGAUGGUUAGGUAUAUGAGCUUACCCACUAGCUUUCUAUAAAGCUUUGCAUCCUUGAAUGGUGGACUGUCUUCAAUCUCCCCCUCACGUGGAACCUUGUAUCCAUCUUCCAAGGGAGUCUUGGCCGUCUUUCCAUCAAGCUUACCUGCAUCUUUCAACAGAUCAAGUGUAUACUUUCUUUGGGAUAGAAACAAACCUUCCUUGGAUCUACAUAUCUCAAUUCCAAGGAAGUAUUUCAUCUCUCCCAAGUCUUUAAUCUCAAAAACAGAUUUAAGAAAGUCUUUAGUGGCUUGUAUCUCUUCUUUAUCACUACCUGUUAUAAUGAUGUCAUCUACAUACACAAGUAGAACGACAAUACCUGAAGGUGUGUUGAGUGUAAAGAGAGUAUGAUCAAGCUCUGACUUCCUAAAGCCUCUUCCAUUCAGAGUUGUGCUCAACUUGUUGUACCAUGCCCUUGGUGAUUGUUUCAGACCAUAGAUAGCUUUCUUUAGUCUGAGAACAUUCCCUUUCUUCACCAAGUGCUCUAGACCAGGAGGAGGUAACAUAUACACUUCAUAUUCUAGUUCUCCUUGUAGAAAUGCAUUCUUUACAUCCAUUUGCCACAAGCCCCACUCAAGAUUUACCGCAAGUGAUAGGACAAUCCUGAUGGUAUGUAGCUUAGCAACUGGCGCAAAUGUGUCUAUAUAAUCCUCUCCAUAUGUUUGAGUGAAUCCUCUUGCAACCAAGCGAGUCUUCUUUCUAUCAAUCUGUCCAUUUGCUAGGUACUUGAUUGUGAAGAUCCAUCUACUAGACACUGCCCUCUUUCCUUUAGGUAACUCACUCUCAUACCAAGUAUCAUUUUUGAUCAUUGCAUUGGAUUCAGCUCCCACUGAUUCCCUCCACUCCUUGUCCUUUAUGGCUUCCUCAUAUGACUUUGGUACAUGGCUCUCAUCUAAGCUUACCAUAAAGGCACAAUGUUCUUCUGGAUAAUGAGCAAAGGAACACACAGCUUGAGAGGGAUGUUCCACAGCCUGGGCAUUGUAGUACACUCUCGUGUUUACCCAGUUGGAACUAUCCUUUCUCACUCUGGUGCUUCUUCUCAAUGGCUGCACCGCCGGCUCUGAUUCAGGUUAAGUUGUAGUUGCAUUAGUUUCCUCCUCUUGAUCUUGGCUUGGUACCUCCGUAUCUUCCUGCAUCAUACUUUGAUCAUGAUCACCUGAGCCUUCUUGAUCAUGGCUUUCAACAUGUACUUCAGCUGGUUCAGGUAUGUUUCCCCCCCCCCCAUGAUCUAAGUUUGAUGCCUCGGUAGGUUGUGUGGUUGUUGUACUGCGUCUCUCCUUCGGAUCCUGGGUAGUAUGUAUCCCAAGCCCCUCUAGAAUAAUUCUAAGGCUGGCCGCUCUAUCUGACUCUCUUGUCAAUUCUAGCAGCUCAUCUUGAUUCUUUUCCUCAUAGAACCCCUUAGCUUCAAUGAACUUUACAUCUCUAGAGACUAGGACUCUUCGAGUAGUAGGAUCAUAGCACUUGUAACCCUUUUGAGUAGUAGAGUAGCCAACAAACAUAGCUCUUGUGCUGGUUGCUUCAAGCUUGUUUCUCAACUCUUUUGGCCUAAGGACAAAGCAUAGACAUCCAAAGAUUCGCAUAUGCUCCAAUGAUGGCCUGUACUUGUUCAAGGCUUCAAAAGGGGACUGAUCAUGUAGAAUCUUAGUUGGGAUCCGGUUGAUUAGAUAACACGAUGUAGCCACAGCAUCACUCCAAAACCUUUUAGGGACAUUUCCUUGAAACAUCAUUGACCUUGCCACCUCCAUGAGAUGCCUAUUCUUUCUCUCAGCCACUCCAUUUUGCUGAGGAGUAUAAGGACAACUCGUUUGGUGUAGUAUCCCAUGUUGCGCUAGAUGUUGCUUGAAGGCUUGACCAGUGUAUUCCCCACCAUUAUCUGAUCUCAAAAUUUUAAUCUUGGCAUUGUAAUGGUUAGUCACAUAGUUUUGAAAAUUUUUAAAAGCUUCAAGCACCCUAUCUUUGGUUUGAAUGAGUGUUAUCCAUGUGUAUUUCGAUUUUUCAUCUAUGAAUGUGACAAAGUAUUUAAAACUAUCCCUAGACAAGCAAGGAGCAGUCCAAACAUCAGAGUGAAUUAGAUCAAAGCACUUGUCAUAAACAGUAGAUGAAAUGGGAAACACAGUUUUACAAUGCUUGCCUAAGAUGCAAGCUUCACAAUCCUUAUUUUCAAAUACCACACCUGGUAACAUUAAGUUUAAAGCCCUAACAUGGGGAUGACCUAGUCUAGCAUGCCACAAUGCAUUUUUAUUCAUCAUAGAAGCAGAAGUAAAUGAGCAUAAGUAAUCAGAAAUAGGAGCUAGUUCUUCAAGUAAAUAUAAAUCUCCCUUGGUAACUCCUUUUCCAAUCAAUUGGCUGCUCUCAAUAUCCUGAAACUUCACAUCAUUAGGACUGAAUAUAACAUUGCAAUUAAGAUCUGUAGUACACUUCUUUACAGAUAAUAGAUUUGAUGUGAAGUCAGGCAUAUAAAAUGCUUUAGAGUCUUUAUCAAACAAUUUUAGCUUGCCAAUUCCUCUAAUUGGGAUUUUAUCUCCAUUUGCAAUCAUGACAUGUCCAUUUGUAGGUUCAAUGUCUCUAAUCAAGCUAGUAUCACUAAUCAUAUGAUGAGAUGCUCCUGAAUCAACUACCAAUGGUUUAAACAGAUUGUGUGCAAUAUGAGACUGUCCUAGUAUGCUAGUAGGUUUAUAAGCAAUGCUUGAAUGAUCAGGUUCUCUAGCAAUACUACACGAUUCAUAUCAUGCACCAAAGGAGUGACCAAGAGUACCAAGUGUGUUACCAUUCUCCUUUAGCAUUUUGAUGAGGGAGUCAAGGUCUGAUCUCCUUAGGUACUCGUUCUCACGGUUGUUCUGAAGGCUUGGCUGAGGUGUGUAAGUCACCAGGGCCUUACUAUCUCCAGGCUCACGUGUCCCGCCCUCUCCAGCUUGGCCUGAGCUCCCAGCAACACUUGAACUUCCCGGCUCACUUCCAGCAUACGAGACAUUGGCUCUCCCAUCUUUCUCUCUUGAGAACUUGGCCGGCUUCAGAUGAGGAUGCAAGAUCCAUCACUGGUUCUUCUUGUGACCUUGUCUCUUGCAAUGAUCACAAUUUCCCGUGAACUUCUUUGCAUCAUACUGGUUAGAGCUCGCACGGUUUGCUUGCGGAACCUCAGCUUGGUUUGCAAGUGUGAUCUCUCCUUUCCCUCCAAAGAGACCAAUAGAACCUUCCUCCUUCUGAACUUGUGCACACACUUCCUCAAGGUCAGGUAACUUCCCGGACCGUAGAAUGUGUUUGAUGAGGCUGUUGUAGCUUGGAUUCAGCGUGAGCAGCAACCCAAACACCUUGUCCUGCUCGCGUCUCUCAGCCAGCUCAUCUAGGUUGGUUGUGCCUGGCCUCAGCAUCUCCAGUUCAGACCACAAGGCUCUGAACCUCCCAAGGUGCUUAGUAAACUCCAUGUCCUCCUGUGUCAAGCUGUUGAUAGCACGUUUCACUUCAAACACACGGCUCAAGUUUGAGAUGUUACCAUAAACCUUCUUUAGCGUGUCCCAAAGAUCCUUUGCUGUCUCACAGUAGCUGUAUGCCUCCAGGAUAGACACUUCAAGAGACCGUUGGAGUAUGGACAUCACCAACUGAUCAUCUUGCUCCCACUUCUCUUCAUCGCACUUGACAAUCUCCCUGUCGCCUUCAUAAGUAAUGAGCUUUGGGGCUUCACUCUGUGUGAUGUGUCCCCAUAAACCCUUACUCCCCACUGCUGUCUUCACCAAACGAGACCACAAAAGGUAAUUACCCCCCUUGAGAGUAACCGGAACCACUGCCUUGUUGCUUUCCAUUUCAGAGUCACCCGGAUGAAAGCUAAGCGGCUGGUGUGUUCUUGAGUGUUCUAGUACUCAAACCCAGAUUAUGAUGAACCUGGCUCUGAUACCAUAUAAGUUUUAGAGAAUCUGAGUUUGAUAUAAGGAAAGAAAGAGAUUAGAGAGAGUCUAGAGGUGAUUUAGGACGAGUUUAGCUAAGAGUUUAGUGUAUGAUCAUGAUUGAGAGCCUUUGAAUCUAAGAGAGUGUUUUGGUGUCAAGAACUGUCUGAUUAUCAUUAAUGAAGAGUUUACAAAUAUAUUGGAGAAGAUACAAGGGUUUUCCUAAAGGUAAAGUAAGCAAAGCAUGUGAAGUCAAGGAAGAGCUAGGCACCGGUUUCAAACUAAGCCAAUGGGAGACUCCACAUGUGUGGGAUGAAUGGAUAAGGUUGCUUUCCCUUUCCAGCUGCAUACAGCCUGUCAAGGCGCGGCCUUAUCCUUCUCUCAACGGUCUGAUCAAGUGCUGGUAACUCUCCAUAGUUACCAUCACCCUUUUCACAAGUAACCAUCCUGAAUAGUGAAGAGUAUUACCCAAGACUUGUACGGCCACUCCUCAUGUACGGCCUGUACGGAUUGUACGGACUAAGCCUCCUCAAUCCCUUUCUUCCUAAUGCUUCACCACUUCAUACCCUCUCCUCACAUACAUUACUCAACACUUCAUCUCAUGAUCUCAUCUCAAAGUGAUCUCAUCUCAACAACAAGAAGCUCUGGAUCACGGCCUAACAGGUGCAGCAACUCUUCACAGCUUUGAGCACACUUCACACUUCAGUUUCACCUCUUCAUGGAACCGGUUUGAAGUCUCCCCCUCUCAACUGACUUCUCAGCCAUCUUAGAGAAGCUAGGACACGACCAGAUCAUCUUCAAAACACUAGUGAGACUGAUCAAUACUUCAAUACUUCACACCCGGCUUGCCCUCUUCAUAGACUAGGUUUAGGGUCUCCCCCUCUCAACAGACUUCACAGCCGCUUUAGAGAAGCUAGGAGAUUCCCCGGAGCUGUUUAAUGAGGCUACAAGAAAUGGUACCUGAUACAUUAUCCCAAAGGUGCAUCAGUACCUAUCAAAAACAAGAAAAUGAAUAUCCUGCAUCACACUUGAUGCACAUAAUUCCAUAAUUCAAUCAUGAUCAUCUUAAGUAUCUUUUCAAGCACAAGCAAUGAAUAAGAUGAAUGAAAAAGGUUGAAGAAAGAGUUUAAAAAGUCUAAGGGAACUUCCCUUGUGUUUUUGUGAGUUUCCUAACUCGGCCAAUGCACCAUCUUCAUGGCAUCAUCAACUUCUUGGAAAGGCAGAAUGGAUUCAUCAGCUUCUCCUCAAUCACCUCUCAUUGAAGCCGCAUUGAUGGAGAGCCUUCUUCCUCACUCGCCAAGACUGCUCUGAACAGCCUCUUACCUAGACACGCCACUGACUUGGUCCGGUGAUGAUCCUUUGUAGAAGCCUUUGCAAAGACUUGUUACUGACCAUGGAUCAUAUGCAUUAAGACUCCCCCUCAAGCUUAGAACCGACACUAUAAGGAGCUAAGCUUGUGAUGAUCCUAUGCAUCUCCAUGGUCUAAUAACUAUCAUCUUUCAUGAUAGCUUUCUUCUUGUGAGUUUACUCUCUUCCUUAACCAGGAACUAGGGUGUUUGAAUCACCAUAGAGAGUCUCACAAGACACACCUCUCAUUGCAUAAUGACCCAUGCUACACUUCCUGUAGACUAAGGACUAGAUAUGUCCAAUGGUAUUAUGCAAUGGCCAUCUCUCAUUGCAUACUCAAUCACACUACACUUCCUGUAGAUUAUGGACUAACAUGUCCUAGUGAUGAUAUGCAAUGGCGCAAGAUCCUUGUCUUUACAUUCUUGGUUGUUGGCGAGUUACAUGUAUCACUUCCCUUGUAUACCUAACACCACCACAACUCAAUGCAAGAUCAGAUCAUCCCAUUGGGAUCAAACCAAGAUCAUCCAUCCUGUUUGAUCACCAAUGCCACAAUAAUAUAUGAUACUUGAAACAAGCUAGACAAUCAAGACAAGAAUAUGCAAAGACAAUGUAUGCUUUCAACAAUACACAGAUCCCUUUAGGUUCAAUUCAGUUUUUUUUUUUUAAAUGCAACAAUAGAUGAAUGCAUUAGAUUACACACUAACCAUAUGAAUGAACCAGAUUCAAUCCAAAUGAACACAAGACUAGAUGAUACUUAUGCAAUCAAGGCACUAAGUGUGACUCAAUUCAUGCUUAUGCUCACUAGUUUUAUCACAGCCAAUGAUUCAAGUAGCUUAGACAUACUUCUAAAUGCUUAUAAGACAUCACUGAUGGAUUUAACUUUGGCAUAGCAACACUCAGAACUGGACUGAGUCAAGACAAGUAGAUUUCAAUCUCUAACAAUGACAAUGCAAGUUCUAGACACUACAUUGACAUCCUAGGUUAUUAUGAUUAUUAAGUUCUCUAAAUGCAAUGCAAGCUUACAUCAGUACAUUUGAAAUUUAGGCUCAUUUUUAAAUGCAUUACUACAUGAAUGCACAAUCUUAAAUCAUUAGCUAUAUGAAUGCAACAGGUUCAAUCCAUGAUUAAUAUUAAAGCUAUGCACAACAGUUUCAAUCAGAACCAAUGAUGCAAGCAACUUAGACAAUUUCUAAUUGAUGCAAGACUUUCAUUGAUAGAUUAAACAUAGGCAAUAGCAUCAGAUAACACUAGGAUUGAACUUAGACAGUAUGAGAUAUGCUUAUGUAUGCAAAAUAACUUAUCAAUCAUGAUGCAAGUAGCAGAGACAUUCUACUCAAUUCUACAACACAUUCAUGAUGAUUCAAGUUUAUGACCACACCCAAGACAAUGCAAUAAACAGACCGUGAGAUUCUGGGACUCUAGACAUUACUUACUAUCAAUAAGACAAUGCAGCAGCAAAACAAUUUCAGUGCAAUUAGCCUAGACAUUCUACUAGAAGCUAUAAACUCUUAAUGGAAUUAGGGAAAGCACAUAGUAUAAUCAGGAGAUAAACCUAUCAAGACAUAUUAAGAUAGAUGAGAUUAGGUUUACUCCCUUGGUUAAGAUGAUAAGGAGUGGUUCUCAAAGUUGCCACUUGAAUCCUUACUUCUUCUUCUUCUCUUAUUGCAAUCACCCUUCUGAAUUCACCACCAUGAUGGAAUGCUUGUGGAUGCUUCAGCUACUUCUUCAAUCACCUCACAAUAGAAGCCGCCUUGAUAGAGUAGCCUUCUUCUUCACACAGCCAAGAGUGCUCUGUCUUAGUUUGAGCACCCUCUUGAAUAGGCACGCCACUGCCUAGACCCGGUUGGCUUCUUCUUCUGGUACUUGCAAUGUUAAGUUCACCUACAUUACUCUAAAAGUUGCUAUUGUUUGGUUCCUAUAGAACAUUUGAACUCGGUAUGAAGAGGCAGAUAUUGUGUGUAUGUAUAAUUGCAACGUCACAAAAUAUUCUGUGUGUUUACGAAGAUACUUUCAUUUAAAAAAUAGAAUAAAUAGUGUAUAGUUCUAGAAGUAACAGAUUUUAUAUUAUCAUUAAUUAGAAUUGUAUUGUAUAUGUUUCGUAAUUCUUUAUUUUAGGUGAAUAAUAUUAUUUUUCCAUAAAUAAUAAACAUACAUUUAUGUAGACAUAUUAAAAGAAAAUAUAAUAAAAAUCAAAAUAUUAUCCAUAAAUAAUAUCAAUUAUGAAGUACAUUUCUCGAUAAAAAAACAAAUUCAAUUAGAAACUUGCAAAAAAUUAAAUAAUUUUUGUAAGCAAUUUGACGGGUUAACAUUAUUUGAUAGAUUUAUAAAUUUCUAAAUUUUAUUGAACAUGAAAUAAUAUUAAAUUGACAUACCGUCAUCGGUCUCCUAACUCAUCACAAUCCAUCUAGCAAAUACAAAAAAUAAAUAAUUGCAACAGUUUAUUCAUUUUAAAAUUUGUAUUUGAAAAAAAAAGUAGAUUAAAAUUACGUACCGUGACUACGAAAUAUUCUGAAAAACUUGUUUGUAGACAACAUUCAAUAUUUUUGUCUGCGGCUUUCCUUCUUUACCAGUUAUUAGGAUUUUUAAUCCAGAUCUCGACUUAACUCUUGAAAGUGCAACUUUGCCUUGCAUUUUGUAAGCAUUUUAUAAAUUAUUUUAAAAUUAUGAUAAAUUUAUUCUUUAAACAACGAUAAAUAAUUUAAAAAUAAUAUUAACAAACAUUUUUGGAUUUUUUAAUAUUUAAAAUAGUUAUUAUAUAAUUAUAUUCGAACACAAUUCAUCAAGUAGAGUAUAAAACUAUUAUAAUUAUCUUAUAUAAAAUUUUGUUCAUUGUAUUUUAUAGUUUAUAAAUAUUAAAAGUAAUAAAUAAAACAUUAUUAAUCUUUCUAUAAUACUUCCAAGGUAAAGUGGGUGGCAGAGUCGAACAGUCGAUUCAUCAAGUAGCAUAUAAUACUUCCAAGGCAAAGUGGGUGGCACAAUCGAUGAAAGAUGAGGAGCCUUUGCGUCUAAACACAUUUUUCUUAGCACACAAGCAGCAUCGUCGUAAUACCUUAAUAGUAUGAGAGGAGAGAUUUGUGAAUAAUACUUUAAAGAAUGAAAAGAGAAUGUUUGUAUUUAAAAACCUUGGGUGUCUCAUAUAUAUAUACAGUCGAUUUAUUUCUCAUAUUAAUGACGCACAAUAUUUUGCACAAUAAAUAAUGAAAUUGUUUAAAGAAAGAUAUUAAAUGUGUAUUGUCAAAAAAUGAUUUGCAUAUGAUAUGAUUUUAACUUGCGCAAGUAAUCCAUAUUAGAAAGGUAAGUUAUUAAAAACAAACAACAUAAUUAGAAACAUUAAAAUAUUUUGUAAGCAAUGUAAUAAAUAUGAUAUCAACAUGCGCAAGUUUACCGUUUGAAUAAUAAGGAAAGUUUUUAAUAUUUGUCUUAAUUCUAAAUCUUGCCCAAGGGUAAACUAAAUCGAUAAUAUUUAAUGAUUUCAACUUGCGCAAGUAAUCCAUAUUGUAAAUAAGUGAUUUGCAUAUUUAAUGAUUUCAACUUGCCAAGUAAUCCAUAUUAGAAACGUAAGUUAUUAAAAACAAAUUUUGUCAAUAAGUUAUUUGCAUAUUUAAUGAUUUCAACUUACACAAGUAAUCCAUAUUAGAAAGGUAAGUUAUUAAAAACAAACAACCUAAUUAGUAGGGAUGGGCACUUUACCCGAUAUCCGAAGUGGCACCCGAACCCGAUCCGAAAANNNNNNNNNNNNNNNNNNNNNNNNNNNNNNNNNNNNNNNNNNNNNNNNNNNNNNNNNNNNNNNNNNNNNNNNNNNNNNNNNNNNNNNNNNNNNNNNNNNNNNNNNNNNNNNNNNNNNNNNNNNNNNNNNNNNNNNNNNNNNNNNNNNNNNNNNNNNNNNNNNNNNNNNNNNNNNNNNNNNNNNNNNNNNNNNNNNNNNNNNNNNNNNNNNNNNNNNNNNNNNNNNNNNNNNNNNNNNNNNNNNNNNNNNNNNNNNNNNNNNNNNNNNNNNNNNNNNNNNNNNNNNNNNNNNNNNNNNNNNNNNNNNNNNNNNNNNNNNNNNNNNNNNNNNNNNNNNNNNNNNNNNNNNNNNNNNNNNNNNNNNNNNNNNNNNNNNNNNNNNNNNNNNNNNNNNNNNNNNNNNNNNNNNNNNNNNNNNNNNNNNNNNNNNNNNNNNNNNNNNNNNNNNNNNNNNNNNNNNNNNNNNNNNNNNNNNNNNNNNNNNNNNNNNNNNNNNNNNNNNNNNNNNNNNNNNNNNNNNNNNNNNNNNNNNNNNNNNNNNNNNNNNNNNNNNNNNNNNNNNNNNNNNNNNNNNNNNNNNNNNNNNNNNNNNNNNNNNNNNNNNNNNNNNNNNNNNNNNNNNNNNNNNNNNNNNNNNNNNNNNNNNNNNNNNNNNNNNNNNNNNNNNNNNNNNNNNNNNNNNNNNNNNNNNNNNNNNNNNNNNNNNNNNNNNNNNNNNNNNNNNNNNNNNNNNNNNNNNNNNNNNNNNNNNNNNNNNNNNNNNNNNNNNNNNNNNNNGGCUGAGGUGUGUAAGUCACCAGGGCCUUGCUAUCUCCAGGCUCACGUGUCCCGCCCUCUCCAGCUUGGCCUGAGCUCCCAGCAACACUUGAACUCCCCGGCUCACUUCCAGCAUACGAGACAUUGGCUCUCCCAUCUUUCUCUCUUGAGAACUUGGCCGGCUUCAGAUGAGGGUGCAAGAUCCAGCACUGGUUCUUCUUGUGACCUUGUCUCUUGCAAUGAUCACAAUUUCCCGUGAACUUCUUUGCAUCAUACUGGUUAGAGCUUGCACGGUUUGCUUGUGGAACCUCAGCUUGGUUUGCAAGAGUGAUCUCCCCUUUCCCUCCAAAGAGACCAAUAGACCCUUCCUCCUUCUGAACUUGCGCACACACGUCCUCAAGAUCAGGUAACUUUCCGGACCUCAGAAUGUGUUUGAUGAGGCUGUUGUAGCUUGGAUUCAACGUGAGCAGCAACCCAAACACCUUAUCCUGCUCGCGUCUCUCAGCCAGCUCAUCUAGGUUGGUUGUGCCUGGCCUCAGCAUCUCCAGUUCGGACCACAAGGCUCUGAACCUCCCAAGAUGCUUAGUGAACUCCAUGUCCUCCUGUGUCAAGCUGUUGAUAGCACGUUUCACUUCAAACACACGGCUCAAGUUUGAGAUGUUACCAUAAACCUUCUUUAGCGUGUCCCAAAGAUCCUUUACUGUCUCACAGUAGCUGUAUGCCUCCAGGAUAGACACUUCAAGAGACCGUUGGAGUAUGGACAUCACCAGCUGAUCAUCCUGCUCCCACUUCUCCUCAUCGCACUCGACAACCUCCUUGUCGCCUUCAUAAGUAAUGAGCUUUGGGGCUUCACUCUGUGUGAUGUGUCCCCAUAAACCCUUACUCCCCACUGCGGUCUUCACCAAACGAGACCACAAAAGAUAGUUACCCCCCUUGAGAGUAACCGGAACCACAGCUUUGUUGCUUUCCAUUUCAGACCCACUCGGAUGAAUGAAAUGCAACUCAAGUGUUCUUAGUAAUCAAACCCAGAUUAUGAUGAACCUGGCUCUGAUACCAUAUGAACUUUAGAGAAUCUGAGUUUGAUAUAAGAAAAGAAAGGGAUUAGAGAAGUUUAGAGGUGAUUUAGAACGAGUUUAGCUAAGAGUUUAGUGUAGAAUCAUGAUUGAGAGUCUUUGAGUCUAAGAGAGUGUUUUUGUGUCAAGAACUGUCUAAUCUUUUAUUAAUGAGAGAGGUUACAUUAUAUAGUCUUAAGAUCCUAGGGUUACAUGAGACUAAAGUGAGUAAAGCAUGUGUAGUCAAGGAGAAGAAAAGCGCCUAAUUCAAAUUGAUCCAAUCAGGUGCUUCACAUGUGUGACCGGGGAGGAUAAGGUUGCUUUCACUUUACAGCUCUCAUCUAGCCUGUCAAGCCGCGUCCCUUAUCCUUUCUCCAACGUCCGGAUCAGUAACUCCCAAGUUAACUCCUCCCAAGUUUACCAUUUCACUCCCGCAAAGGUAACUUGCCUAUACAUGAGCUUUGGUUGAUCCAUACUCGUACGGAUGGUACGGCCAUUGUACGGCCAGUACGGUAUUGUCUCAACCUAAGCUUUCCCAAACUCUACACACAGCUUCUUCACCUCAUUCUUUCUCUACCCAAGAUUCUCUAAGUCUUCAUAUCAACUCCUCAUCUCAACACUUGGCUUUGGCUUGGGUGCAAGUAACACAUCUGCUGCAUACUCUCUCCACAUCUCUUCUCAUGGUCGGCCAGUAAAAGUGCUCUUUCAGGUGGGCGAGUGUCUUGGCAACUCCAAAGUGCCCCAUCAAUCCUCCUCCAUGUGCUUCCCUAACAUACAACUCUCUCAAAGAACAGUUAGGUAAACAAAGUCGAUUUUCAUAGAAAAGAAAACCCUCAACUUGAUAAAACUUUCCACUGGUAUGUUUCUUGCUUUCUUCAAAUUGAACUUUAAAAUCUUGAUCAUCUUCAUAAUAAGACUUUAUUUGUUCAAAACCUAACAGCUUAGCUUCCAUAGAAGUGAAAAGAGUAUACCUUCUGGAGAGUGCAUCAGCCACAAUGUUUUCUUUACCUUGUUUAUAGUGAAUCACAUAAGGAAAGGUUUCCAAGAACUCUACCCAUCUGGCGUGUCUCUUGUUGAGCUUGUGCUGUCCCUUCAGGUGUUUCAAGGACUCAUGAUCAGUGUGUAUAACAAACUCCUUUGGCCAGAGAUAGUGCUGCCAAGUUUGGAGUGCUCUAAUCAAAGCAUAGAGUUCCUUGUCAUAAGUUGGGUAGUUCAGCAUGGCUCCACUUAGUUUCUCACUGAAAUAUGCUAUGGGUCUCUUCUCCUGCAUCAGCACAGCUCUAAUACCUACACCAGAAGCAUCACAUUCAAUUUCAAAGGUCUUAGUAAAAUCUGGAAGAACUAGCAAAGGAGCAUUAGUCAACUUCCCUUUCAGGUUUUGAAAAGCCUCCUCUUGCGCCUUCUCCCACUUGAAACCCACAUCCUUCUUGAUGAAUUCAGUGAGUGGUGCAGCUAUGGUGCUAAAAUCCUUCACAAAUCUUCUAUAAAAGCCGGCAAGACCAUGGAAACUUCUCACCUCGCUCACACUCUUAGGACUAGGCCAGUCUCGGAUAGCUUUAACCUUUUCCUCAUCCACUCUGAUUCCCUGUGCUGUUACAACAAAUCCUAGAAAAACAAGGUGAUCUGUCCCAAAAGUGCAUUUCUUAAAGUUAGCAAACAAGGAUUCUUUCCUAAGCACUUCUAACACAGAUUUCAAGUGAUGCACAUGCUCAGCCAUACUCUUGCUGUAGAUCAAAAUAUCAUCAAAAUAAACUACAACAAAGUGUCCUAUAAAAGACCUCAAGACAUGGUUCAUCAACCUCAUGAAAGUGCUAGGGGCAUUGGUAAGACCAAAUGGCAUAACAAGCCACUCAUACAGACCAUGUUUAGUUUUAAAGGCUGUUUUCCAUUCAUCCCCUUCUUUCAUCCUAAUCUGAUGAUAUCCACUUUUUAAAUCUACCUUAGAGAACACACAAGAACCAUGUAGCUCAUCCAACAUAUCAUCAAGUCUAGGAAUAGGGUGUCUGUACUUUAUAGUGAUAUUGUUGAUGGCUCUGCAAUCUACACACAUGCGCCAGCUUCCAUCCUUCUUAAGCACAAGGAGCACUGGUACUGCACAAGGGCUCAUGCUCUCUCGGAUAUGUCCUUUCUCAAUGAGCUCAUCUACUUGCUUCUGUAGCUCUUUUGUUUCUUCAGGGUUGGUUCUAUAGGCAGGGCGGUUUGGGAGAGAAGCUCCAGGGACCAAGUCUAUUUGGUGUUCAAUCCCACGCAUGGGAGGAAGUCCUGUUGGGCUCUCGUCUGGAAAGACAUCACCAUAAUCCUGCAAAAGAAAUUCAAGUUCACUCGGUAGAACCGGUGCAGGGUCAGAAGAAGACAUUGGUGCACCUUUAAAAACAAAUAAAAGCAUAGAUUGUUGAAGACACAAAGCUUUCUUGAUCUCACUACUCUUGGCUAAGAGAUUAGUCUCCUUCUUUUGCUUGUCAGCUGGUUUCUCUUUAGCUUCUUGUCGCCUAAGUUUUAGUUGAAGUUGAUCCUCAUGUACCUCUUGUGGAGACAAAGGUGCCAGUACAAUCUUCUUGUCUCUGUGGGUGAAGGAAUGCCGGUUAGUGAACCCAUCGUGAAUGACUCUUCUAUCAUACUGCCAAGGCCUUCCCAACAAGAUAUGGCUAGAGUCCAUGGGCAGAACAUCACACACGAUCUCAUCUUGGUAUCUUCCAAUGGUUAUAGGAACCAUUACUUGAUCAGUGACCUUCAGCUCGCCCUCCUCAUUCAACCAUUGUAGAAGGUAUGGCCUAGGAUGCUUCCCUGUUUUCAAUCCAAGCUUUUCUACAAGAGCUUCACUAGCAACAUUAGUACAGCUUCCUCCAUCUAUAAUCAAACUGCAUACUUUUUCAUAAACUAUGCAACGAGUAUGAAAAAGAUUCUCCCUUUGAUUAUCUUCAUCUAGCUUGGAUUGUACUGCCAAUGAUCUCCUUGUGACAAGUAGUUCUCCACGAACUGGAUAGUCUAUGGCUUCCUCUUCUUCUUCGGAUAUCACCUCACCACUGUCCAAGAGGAUCAUUGCUUUCUUGUUGGUGCACUCAUUGGCAUAGUGCCCAAAACCAUGACAUUUGAAGCACUUCACAUCCCUGGAUCUAGCAGCUGGUGCCUUUCCCUUGUCUUCAUGCUCUUCCUUGGGUUUCACAAAAUACUUGUCAUCUUUGGUAGUAGGCGCUUUGUAGUUGUUGCCAUAGGAUCCUUUGGUUGAGGACUUUCUCUUCAGUUGCUGCUCAAUGAGGAUUGCUUUGUGAAGCAAUUCAUAGAUGUCGUCAUACUCCUGCAUCUCCAAGCGGUCCUGGAUGUCUCUGUUAAGCCCAGCCUGAAAUCGAUCCAUAGUAGCUUCAGAAGCUUCUUCAACAGCCGCUUUGAUCAUGAGUAUUUCCAUCUCUUGAUAGUAAUCCUCCACGCCUUUGGUUCCUUGGGUAAGUCUCCUCAGCUUUUGAUGAAUCUCUCUACCAUAGUGGUUUGGAACAAACCGCUUCUUCAUGAGUGUCUUGAGCUCAAACCAUGAAGCAACUGGCGGCUCUCCAGUCCUUCUCCUAGUAGUAACAAUCUGAUCCCACCAAUGCAAAGCAUACCCACUGAAUUCUGUCACAGCAAGCUUCACCUUCUUUGUUUCUGAGUAGUGCUGGCAAUCAAACACUCGCUCAAUCUUCGUUUCCCAUUCAAGAUAAGCAUCUGGAUUGCUGGUUCCACUGAAGACUGGUAUUCGAAGUUUGAGACUCCCAAGGUUAUCAUCUGGUCUGUUCCUUGCUGCAUGGCGUGUAGGGGAUCUUGCUUGGGAGGCUGCACGUCCUGUUCUCACUGAUCUUGCUGAUCCCACGGACCGUUCUCCAUCAGUACUAUGGCCAGAAGAAGUAUCUUCAUCCUUAGAUUCGUCUCCUACUGCAGGUCGCUUGCCUCUCCUCUUUUCCCUAGCUGGUCUCCUAACCUGUGAAGUUGUGCCAAAGACAGGGUUAGUAGAACGAGUAGCUCCAACAAAUUCAAGUUUUUUAUCCAUCUCUUUCAUGAGAGUAGCCAUGAUAGCAUCUAGUUGUGCUUUAUCCAGUCUAGCCACGGGCCUUUCUUUAUCACUUUCAGACAUGGUUUCCUGUUAAGACUUCAACAAGAAAAGUAAGUACACAAUAGAUAUAGCCGAAGCCUCACUUAGUGUUUCUCUCAAGUGUUUCUCUCAAUGAUUUCUCAAGUGAUUUUCUCAGUGAUUCCAAGAGUUCAAUGAUCAGACAAACAAACUCAAAGCCAGAGAAGUAAAAAAUCCCAAAAACCCAAAGAAAUAGAUAGACAGAUUUAAGAAAUUUUGGUUUGCAAGGAGCUUUACCACCAGAGACUGGAUUUCUCUUCAGUCUGGCUGGAUUUCUCCUCAGCCCUAGUCGGAUGUCUCCUCGACUUUCUUAGAUACUUAGAUCUCUUUUUUUUUUUUUUUUUUAUACUGGUUGGCCCCCUUGCAGAUACAACAGAUAGAAAGUAAAGAGAAAAAAGAAAACUGCAGAGAGUUGCAGAGAAUCAGAAAAAGAAAAUUAGGUUCCCAAAACAGAGAGAGAAGAAUUGAAUCGACAAACCCCUUUGAUUAGAAGCCCUCAAGCAGCUCUGAUACCACUUAAUAGCUUCCUGGUCAAGGAAGAACCCUAGGAUGCUCUUGAGGGUCGAUCUGGUAUUGAUUUGGUGGUGAUGGAUCAGGUUACUAACACUGAUGGAAAGAUGAUCGAUUGAUGAGUUGAUAGAAAGGGGAUUGGUGAUCGAUGGUAGAGAUGGUUUCAGUGAUGAUCUGCGGAAUGAUCAGGCACUGAUUGGGAUGAUCUUAGUCCGUGAGAGGCAGCCCCACUAGUGAACAAGAUCAAGGCUUAAGGAAGAUCACUCUUCUAGCCAAAUUCGAUGUCCAAAAACUGAACAAAGGAAUCACAAGUUUAGAGAGAAUUUUGAUAACAAAAGUGAUUCGUUUUAUUCAGAUCUUGCAGAGAGUUUAAGUAGAAAGAAAGGAAUGCAAAGAGUCACCAAGGACUUGUAGUUUUCGAAAGUAAAACUAGGUAGUGUUGAAGAUUGAACAAUUGAAUAUCUUCAAGGCUUCUUUGACUUGGUUUUCUUCAGAUGUCGAGAUUGGUUUAGUGUAAACCAAUCCGAGAAUUGCCUCCUUCAAUUGUCUUGUCUUUGAUCUGGUUAUUGGCCCAUUGGAGAAAGAGAAUGGGUCUCGUGCUGAGUUAAAUCCAAUUGAACUCCCAUCCAGCUCCUUGUAUCCAAUUGUAGUGUUCGUCUCAUCCAGCUCCUCUUCACUGUCACUCUCUUCCAGCUCUUCAUGCGCAAGAUCAGCUACUGGUUCAGUCAAGCUCACAUCAUCCCCUCCUCCUUUAAAAGGAUUUGUCCUCAAAUCCAAAUCAUCUGCACGAAAAGGGAUCAAGUCAGCAACAUUGAAAGUAGAACUUAUAGAAUACUUACCUUGAAGAUCAAUCUUGUAAGCAUUGUUGUUGAUCUGUUCAAGCACAGUGAAAGGUCCAUCUGUCCUUGGCAUCAGUUUAGACUUUCUUUCUUCAGGAAACCUCUCCUUUCUCAAGUGAAUCCAUACAAGAUCUCCUGGUUCCAGCAACAGCUCAUGUCUCUUCUUGUUUGCUUGCUUUUCAUACUCCUUGGUCCUCUUCUCAAUGUUCUUCUUUACCUGUUCAUGCAAUGAAACAACAAACUCGGCUUUUGCCUUGCCAUCAAGAUUAGUUUGCUCAUUGUAUGGUAAAGGCAUGAGAUCCAAAGGAGUCAAAGGAUUGAAUCCAUAAACAAUCUGAAAAGGUGAGAACUUUGUAGCACUAUGCACAGAAUGGUUAUAAGCAAACUCCACAUGAGGAAUACAAUCUUCCCAAGUUUUGAUGUUCUUUUUAAUCACAGCACGCAAGAGAGCAGACAAAGAUCUGUUAACUACUUCAGUUUGUCCAUCAGUUUGAGGAUGACAAGUAGUAGAGAAUUUCAACUUUGUUCCAAGUUUAGACCACAAUGUUCUCCAGAAAUGACUAAGAAAUUUAGUAUCCCUAUCAGACACUAUUGAUCUAGGCAUGCCAUGCAAACGAACAACCUCUCUAAAGAAAAGUUCAGCAACCAUUAAGGCAUCAUCAGUUUUGUGACAUGGAAUGAAAUGUGCCAUUUUUGAGAACCUAUCAACAACUACAAAGAUUGAAUCUCUGCCCUUUCUAGUCCUAGGCAAACCAAGCACAAAAUCCAUUGAUAUAUCAAUCCAUGGAGCAUCAGGAAUGGGAAGAGGAGUAUACAAACCUUGAGGUCGGGCCUUGGUAUGAACUUUAGAGAAUCUGAGUUUGAUAUAAGAAAAGAAAGGGAUUAGAGAAGUUUAGAGGUGAUUUAGAACGAGUUUAGCUAAGAGUUUAGUGUAGAAUCAUGAUUGAGAGUCUUUGAGUCUAAGAGAGUGUUUUUGUGUCAAGAACUGUCUAAUCUUUUAUUAAUGAGAGAGGUUACAUUAUAUAGUCUUAAGAUCCUAGGGUUACAUGAGACUAAAGUGAGUAAAGCAUGUGUAGUCAAGGAGAAGAGGAGCGCCUAAUUCAAAUUGAUCCAAUCAGGUGCUUCACAUGUGUGACCGGGGAGGAUAAGGUUGCUUUCACUUUACAGCUCUCAUCCAGCCUGUCAAGCCGCGUCCCUUAUCCUUUCUCCAACGUCCGGAUCAGUAACUCCCAAGUUAACUCCUCCCAAGUUUACCAUUUCACUCCCGCAAAGGUAACUUGCCUAUACAUGAGCUUUGGUUGAUCCAUACUCGUACGGAUGGUACGGCCAUUGUACGGCCAGUACGGUAUUGUCUCAACCUAAGCUUUCCCAAACUCUACACACAGCUUCUUCACCUCAUUCUUUCUCUACCCAAGAUUCUCUAAGUCUUCAUAUCAACUCCUCAUCUCAACACUCCCCCUCAAGCUUAGCUUUGUGAAAGUCUAAGCUUGGACAGCCAUGAGAUCUUCCUCAUUAAAAACCUCACCAAAGAAAACCCAUUGGGACAAAACUUUGAUGAGGGAAAAAGAGUGAAGACCUCAUAGCUAAGGGGCUUAGCUCCUUCUCGUGAGAUCAAUGAGUCCUAGCCGGCUAUGAAUGGACUCAAUUGUCUUCUGCCUUGCUGCCUUUGUGAACACAUCUGCUAGCUGAUCUUCACUUCUUGUGUAACAUGGUAAGAUGACUCCAAGAAGUAUCAUCUGCCUCACCUUGUGACAAUCUACCUCAAUGUGCUUGGUUCUCUCAUGGAAGACUGAGUUGGUGGCAAUGUGUAUAGCAGCCUGGUUGUCGCAAUGCAUUGUCAUUGGAGUGGAUUGAGUAAUCUCCAAGUGCUUCAGUAUCCCUUUGAUCCACACAAGCUCGUUAGUCAGCUUCAGCAUGGCUCGGUAUUCAGCUUCAGCACUUGAGCAUGAGACCACCUUCUGCUUCUUACUCUUCCAAGUUACCAAGUUCCCUCCAAUGAAUGUGCAGUAGCCAGUUGUGGAUCUUCUAUCUGCUCUAUCUCCUGCCCAAUCCGCAUCACAGUAGCCUACAACUUCAGUACUCCCAUUACACCCCAUCCACACUCCUUGAUCCGCUGAGCCAUUGAGAUACAUCAAGAUCCGGUUCACCAUUCCCCAAUGAUGUUCUUUUGGAACUUGCAUAUGCUGGCUUACCUGGUUCACAGCAAAACAAAUAUCAGGACGUGUGAUGGUUAGGUAUAUAAGCUUACCCACUAGCUUCCUAUAAAGCUUUGCAUCCUUGAAUGGUGGACUGUCUUCAGUCUCCCCCUCACGUGGAACCUUGUAUCCAUCUUCCAAGGGAGUCUUGGCCGUCUUUCCAUCAAGCUUACCUGCAUCUUUCAACAGAUCAAGUGUAUACUUUCUUUGGGAUAGAAACAACCCUUCCUUGGAUCUACAUAUCUCAAUUCCAAGGAAGUAUUUCAUCUCUCCCAAGUCUUUAAUCUCAAAAACAGAUUUAAGAAAGUCUUUGGUAGCUUGUAUCUCUUCUUUAUCACUACCUGUUAUAAUGAUGUCAUCUACAUAUACAAGUAGAACGACAAUACCUGAAGGUGUGUUGAGUGUGAAGAGAGUAUGAUCAAGCUCUGACUUCCUAAAGCCUCUUCCAUUCAGAGUUGUGCUCAACUUGUGGUACCAUGCCCUUGGUGAUUGUUUCAGACCAUAGAUAGCUUUCUUUAGUCUGAGAACAUUCCCUUUCUUCACCAAGUGCUCUAGACCAGGAGGAGGUAACAUAUACACUUCAUCUUCUAGUUCCCCUUGUAGGAAUGCAUUCUUUACAUCCAUUUGCCACAAACCCCACUCAAGGUUUACCGCAAGUGAUAGGACAAUCCUGAUGGUAUGUAGUUUAGCAACUGGUGCAAAUGUGUCUAUAUAAUCCUCUCCAUAUGUUUGAGUAAAUCCUCUUGCAACUAACCGAGUCUUCUUUCUAUCAAUCUGUCCAUUUGCUAGGUACUUGAUUGUGAAGAUCCAUCUACUAGACACUGCUCUCUUCCCUUUAGGUAACUCACUCUCAUACCAAGUGUCAUUCUUGAUCAUUGCAUUGGAUUCAGCUCCUACUGAUUCCCUCCAUUCCUUGUCCUUCAUGGCUUCCUCAUAUGACUUCGGUACAUGGCUCUCAUCUAAGCUUACCAUAAAGGCACAAUGUUCUUCUGGAUAAUGAGCAAAGGAACACACAGCUUGAGAAGGAUGUUCCACAGCCUGGGCAUUGUAGUACACUCUCGUGUUUACCCAAUUGGAACUAUCCUUUCUCACUCUGGUGCUUCUUCUCAAUGGCUGCACAGCCGGCUCUGGUUCAGGUUCAGUUGUAGUUGCAUUCGUUUCCUCCUCUUGAUCCUCUUGAUCUUGGCUCGGUACCUCCCUAUCUUCAUGUAUCAUACUUUGAUCAUGAUCACCUGAGCCUUCUUGAUCGUGGCUUUCAACAUGUACUUCAGCCGGUUCAGGUGUUGUUUCCCCCCCAUGAUCUAAGUUUGAUGCCUCUGUAGAUUGUGUGUUUGUUGUGCUGCGUCUUUCCUUCGGAUCCUGGGUAGUAUGUAUCCCAAGGCCCUCUAGAAUGCUUCUAAGACUGGCCGCUCUAUCUGACUCUCUUGUCAAUUCUAGCAACUCAUCUUGAUUCUUUUCCUCAUAGAACCCCUUAGCUUCAAUGAACUUCACAUCUCUAGAGACUAGAACCCUUCUAGUAGUAGGAUCAUAGCACUUGUAACCCUUUUGAGUAGUAGAGUAGCCAACAAACAUAGCUCUUGUGCUGGUUGCUUCAAGCUUGUUUCUCAACUCUUUUGGCCUCAGAACAAAGCAUAGACAUCCAAAGAUUCGCAUAUGCUCCAAUGAUGGCUUGUAUCUGUUCAAGGCUUCAAAAGGGGACUGAUCAUGUAGAAUCUUAGUUGGGAUCCGGUUGAUUAGAUAACAGGAUGUAGCCACAGCAUCACUCCAAAACCUCUUAGGGACAUUUGCUUGAAACAUCAUUGACCUUGCCACCUCCAUGAGAUGCCUAUUCUUUCUCUCAGCCACUCCAUUUUGCUGAGGAGUAUAAGGACAACUCGUUUGGUGUAGUAUCCCAUGUUGAGCUAGAUGUUGCUUGAAGGCUUGACCAGUGUAUUCCCCACCAUUAUCUGAUCUCAAAAUUUUAAUCUUGGCAUUGUAAUGGUUAGUCACAUAGUUUUGAAAAUUUUUAAAAGCUUCAAGCACCCUAUCUUUGGUUUGAAUAAGUGUUAUCCAGGUGUAUUUCGAUUUUUCAUCUAUGAAUGUGACAAAGUAUUUAAAACUAUCCCUAGACAAGCAAGGAGCAGUCCAAACAUCAGAGUGAAUUAAAUCAAAGCACUUGUCAUAAACAGUAGAUGAAAUGGGAAACACAGUUUUACAAUGCUUGCCUAAGAUGCAAGCUUCACAAUCCUUAUUUUCAAAUACCACACCUGGUAACAUCAAGUUUAAAGCCCUAACAUGGGGAUGACCUAGUCUAGCAUGCCACAAUGCAUUUUUAUUCAUCAUAGAAGCAGAAGUAAAUGAGCACAAGUAAUCAGAAACAGGAGCUAGUUCUUCAAGUAAAUAUAAAUCUCCCUUGGUAACUCCUUUUCCAAUCAAUUGGCUGCUCUCAAUAUCCUGAAACUUCACAUCAUUAGGACUGAAUAUAACAUUGCAAUUAAGAUCUGUAGUGCAUUUCUUUACAGAUAAUAGAUUUGAUGUGAAGUCAGGCAUGUAAAAUGCUUUAGAUUCUUUAUCAAACAAUUUUAGCUUGCCAAUUCCUCUAAUUGGGAUUUUAUCUCCAUUUGCAAUCAUAACAUGUCCAUUUGUAGGUUCAAUGUCUCUAAUCAAGCUAGUAUCACUAAUCAUGUGAUGAGAUGCUCCUGAAUCAACUACCAAUGGUUUAAACAGAUUGUGUGCAAUAUGAGACUGUCCUAGUAUGCUAGUAGGCUUAUAAGCAAUGCUUGAGUGUUCAGGUUCUCUAGCAAUACUAUACGGUUCAUAUGAUGCACCAAAAGAGUAACCAAGAGUACCAAGUGUGUUACCGUUCUCCUUUAGCAUUUUGAUGAGGGAGUCAAGGUCUGAUCUCCUCAGGUACUCGUUCUCACGGUUGUUCUGAAGGCUUGGUUGAGCUGUGUAAGUCACCAGGGCCUUGCUAUCUCCAGGCUCACGUGUCCCGCCCUCUACAGCUUGGCCUGAGCUCCCAGCAACACUUGAACUCCCCGGCUCACUUCCAGCAUACGAGACAUUGGCUCUCCCAUCUUUCUCUCUUGAGAACUUGGCCGGCUUCAGAUGAGGGUGCAAGAUCCAGCACUGGUUCUUCUUGUGACCUUGUCUCUUGCAGUGAUCACAAUUUCCCGUGAACUUCUUUGCAUCAUACUGGUUAGAGCUUGCACGGUUUGCUUGUGGAACCUCAGCUUGGUUUGCAAGAGUGAUCUCCCCUUUCCCUCCAAAGAGACCAAUAGACCCUUCCUCCUUCUGAACUUGCGCACACACGUCCUCAAGAUCAGGUAACUUUCCGGACCUCAGAAUGUGUUUGAUGAGGCUGUUGUAGCUUGGAUUCAAUGUGAGCAGCAACCCAAACACCUUAUCCUGCUCGCGUCUCUCAGCCAGCUCAUCUAGGUUGGUUGUGCCUGGCCUCAGCAUCUCUAGUUCGGACCACAAGGCUCUGAACCUCCCAAGAUGCUUAGUGAACUCCAUGUCCUCCUGUGUCAAGCUGUUGAUAGCACGUUUCACUUCAAACACACGGCUCAAGUUUGAGAUGUUACCAUAAACCUUCUUUAGCGUGUCCCAAAGAUCCUUUGCUGUCUCACAGUAGCUGUAUGCCUCCAGGAUAGACACUUCAAGAGACCGUUGGAGUAUGGACAUCACCAGCUGAUCAUCCUGCUCCCACUUCUCCUCAUCGCACUCGACAACCUCCUUGUCGCCUUCAUAAGUAAUGAGCUUUGGGGCUUCACUCUGUGUGAUAUGUCCCCAUAAACCCUUACUCCCCACUGCGGUCUUCACCAAACGAGACCACAAAAGAUAGUUACCCCCCUUGAGAGUAACCGGAACCACAGCUUUGUUGCUUUCCAUUUCAGACCCACUCGGAUAAAUGAAAUGCAACUCAAGUGUUCUUAGUAAUCAAACCCAGAUUAUGAUUAACCUGGCUCUGAUACCAUAUGAACUUUAGAGAAUCUGAGUUUGAUAUAAGAAAAGAAAGGGAUUAGAGAAGUUUAGAGGUGAUUUAGAACGAGUUUAGCUAAGAGUUUAGUGUGGAAUCAUGAUUGAGAGUCUUUGAGUCUAAGCGAGUGUUUUUGUGUCAAGAACUGUAUUAUUAUCAUUAAUGAAGAGAUUACAAAUAUAUAGGAGAGGAUACAAGGGUUUUCCUUAAAGGUAAAGUAAGCAAAGCAUGUGGAGUCAAGGAUAAGAUAAGCGCCUAAUUCAAACUAAGCCAAUGGGAGACUCCACAUGUGUGGGAUGAAUGGAUAAGGUUGCUUUCCCUUUCCAGCUGCAUACAGCCUGUCAAGCCGCGGCCUUAUCCUUCCCUCAACGGUCUGAUCAAGUGCUGGUAACUCUUCAUAGUUACCAUCUCCCUUUUCACAAGUAACCAUCCUGUAUAGUGAAGAGUGUUACCCAAGACUUGUACGGCCACUCCUCAUGUACGGAGUGUACGGAUUGUACGAACUCAGCCUCCUCAAUCCCUUUCUUCCUAAUGCUUCACUACUUCAUGCCCUUUCCUCCCAUUCAUUACUCAUCACUCCAUUUCAUGAUCUCAUCUCAAAAUGAUCUCAUCUCAACAGAAGGAACAAGCUAGAAGCAAAGAGUACUAAAGCUAUGUUCAUUGGGUACUCAAUCACUCAGAAAGGCUACACUCCCCCUCAAGCUUAGCUUUGUGAAAGUCUAAGCUUGGAUAGCCAUGAGAUCUUCCUCAUUAAAAACCUUACCAAAGAAAACCCAUUGGGACAAAACUUUGAUAAGGGAAAAAGAGUAAAGACCUCAUAGCUAAGGGGCUUAGCUCCUUCUCGUGAGAUCAAUGAGUCCUAGCCGGCUAUGAAUGGACUCAAUUGUCUUCUGCCUUGCUGCCUUUGUGAACACAUCUGCUAGCUGAUCUUCACUUCUUGUGUAACAUGGUAAGAUGACUCCAAGAAGUAUCAUCUGCCUCACCUUGUGACAAUCUACCUCAAUGUGCUUGGUUCUCUCAUGGAAGACUGAGUUGGUGGCAAUGUGUAUAGCAGCCUGGUUGUCGCAAUGCAUUGUCAUUGGAGUGGAUUGAGUAAUCUCCAAGUGCUUCAGUAUCCCUUUGAUCCACACAAGCUCAUUAGUCAACUUCAGCAUGGCUCGGUAUUCAGCUUCAGCACUUGAGCAUGAGACCACCUUCUGCUUCUUACUCUUCCAAGUUACCAAGUUCCCUCCAAUGAAUGUGCAGUAGCCAGUUGUGGACCUUCUAUCUGCUCUAUCUCCUGCCCAAUCCGCAUCACAGUAGCCCACAACUUCAGUACUCCCAUUACACCCCAUCCACACUCCUUGAUCCGCUGAGCCAUUGAGAUACAUCAAGAUCCGGUUCACCAUUCCCCAAUGAUGUUCUUUUGGAACUUGCAUAUGCUGGCUUACCUGGUUCACAGCAAAACAAAUAUCAGGACGUGUGAUGGUUAGGUAUAUAAGCUUACCCACUAGCUUCCUAUAAAGCUUUGCAUCCUUGAAUGGUGGACUGUCUUCAAUCUCCCCCUCACGUGGAACCUUGUAUCCAUCUUCCAAGGGAGUCUUGGCCGUCUUUCCAUCAAGCUUACCUGCAUCUUUCAACAGAUCAAGUGUAUACUUUCUUUGGGAUAGAAACAACCCUUCCUUGGAUCUACAUAUCUCAAUUCCAAGGAAGUAUUUCAUCUCUCCCAAGUCUUUAAUCUCAAAAACAGAUUUAAGAAAGUCUUUGGUAGCUUGUAUCUCUUCUUUAUCACUACCUGUUAUAAUGAUGUCAUCUACAUAUACAAGUAGAACGACAAUACCUGAAGGUGUGUUGAGUGUGAAGAGAGUAUGAUCAAGCUCUGACUUCCUAAAGCCUCUUCCAUUCAGAGUUGUGCUCAACUUGUGGUACCAUGCCCUUGGUGAUUGUUUCAGACCAUAGAUAGCUUUCUUUAGUCUGAGAACAUUCCCUUUCUUCACCAAGUGCUCUAGACCAGGAGGAGGUAACAUAUACACUUCAUCUUCUAGUUCCCCUUGUAGGAAUGCAUUCUUCACAUCCAUUUGCCAUAAACCCCACUCAAGGUUUACCGCAAGUGAUAGGACAAUCCUGAUGGUAUGUAGUUUAGCAACCGGUGCAAAUGUGUCUAUAUAAUCCUCUCCAUAUGUUUGAGUAAAUCCUCUUGCAACCAACCGAGUCUUCUUUCUAUCAAUCUGUCCAUUUGCUAGGUACUUGAUUGUAAAGAUCCAUCUACUCGACACUGCUCUCUUCCCUUUAGGUAACUCACUCUCAUACCAAGUGUCAUUCUUGAUCAUUGCAUUGGAUUCAGCUCCUACUGAUUCCCUCCAUUCCUUGUCCUUCAUGGCUUCCUCAUAUGACUUCGGAACAUGGCUCUCAUCUAAGCUUACCAUAAAGGCACAAUGUUCUUCUGGAUAAUGAGCAAAGGAACACACAGCUUGAGAGGGAUGUUCCACAGCCUGGGCAUUGUAGUACACUCUCGUGUUUACCCAGUUGGAACUAUCCUUUCUCACUCUGGUGCUUCUUCUCAAUGGCUGCACGGCCGGCUCUGGUUCAGGUUCAGUUGUAGUUGCAUUAGUUUCCUCCUCUUGAUCCUCUUGAUCUUGGCUCGGUACCUCCCUAUCUUCAUGCAUCAUACUUUGAUCCUGAUCACCUGAGCCUUCUUGAUCGUGGCUUUCAACAUGUACUUCAGCCGGUUCAGGUGUUGUUUCCCCCCCAUGAUCUAAGUUUGAUGCCUCGGUAGGUUGUGUGUUUGUUGUGCUGCGUCUUUCCUUCGGAUCCUGGGUAGUAUGUAUCCCAAGGCCCUCUAGAAUGCUUCUAAGGCUGGCCGCUCUAUCUGACUCUCUUGUCAAUUCUAGCAACUCAUCUUGAUUCUUUUCCUCAUAGAACCCCUUAGCUUCAAUGAACUUCACAUCUCUAGAGACUAGAACCCUUCUAGUAGUAGGAUCAUAGCACUUGUAACCCUUUUGAGUAGUAGAGUAGCCAACAAACAUAGCUCUUGUGCUGGUUGCUUCAAGCUUGUUUCUCAACUCUUUUGGCCUCAGAACAAAGCAUAGACAUCCAAAGAUUCGCAUAUGCUCCAAUGAUGGCUUGUACCUGUUCAAGGCUUCAAAAGGGGACUGAUCAUGUAGAAUCUUAGUUGGGAUCCGGUUGAUUAGAUAACAGGAUGUAGCCACAGCAUCACUCCAAAACCUCUUAGGGACAUUUGCUUGAAACAUCAUUGAUCUUGCCACCUCCAUGAGAUGCCUAUUCUUUCUCUCAGCCACUCCAUUUUGCUGAGGAGUAUAAGGACAACUCGUUUGGUGUAGUAUCCCAUGUUGAGCUAGAUGUUGCUUGAAGGCUUGACCAGUGUAUUCCCCACCAUUAUCUGAUCUCAAAAUUUUAAUCUUGGCAUUGUAAUGGUUAGUCACAUAGUUUUGAAAAUUUUUAAAAGCUUCAAGCACCCUAUCUUUGGUUUGAAUAAGUGUUAUCCAGGUGUAUUUCGAUUUUUCAUCUAUGAAUGUGACAAAGUAUUUAAAACUAUCCCUAGACAAGCAAGGAGCAGUCCAAACAUCAGAGUGAAUUAAAUCAAAGCACUUGUCAUAAACAGUAGAUGAAAUGGGAAACACAGUUUUACAAUGCUUGCCUAAGAUGCAAGCUUCACAAUCCUUAUUCUCAAAUACCACACCUGGUAACAUCAAGUUUAAAGCCCUAACAUGGGGAUGACCUAGUCUAGCAUGCCACAAUGCAUUUUUAUUCAUCAUAGAAGCAGAAGUAAAUGAGCACAAGUAAUCAGAAACAGGAGCUAGUUCUUCAAGUAAAUAUAAAUCUCCCUUGGUAACUCCUUUUCCAAUCAAUUGGCUGCUCUCAAUAUCCUGAAACUUCACAUCAUUAGGACUGAAUAUAACAUUGCAAUUAAGAUCUGUAGUGCAUUUCUUUACAGAUAAUAGAUUUGAUGUGAAGUCAGGCAUGUAAAAUGCUUUAGAUUCUUUAUCAAACAAUUUUAGCUUGCCAAUUCCUCUAAUUGGGAUUUUAUCUCCAUUUGCAAUCAUGACAUGUCCAUUUGUAGGUUCAAUGUCUCUAAUCAAACUAGUAUCACUAAUCAUGUGAUGAGAUGCUCCUGAAUCAACUACCAAUGGUUUAAACAGAUUGUGUGCAAUAUGAGACUGUCCUAGUAUGCUAGUAGGUUUAUAAGCAAUGCUUGAAUGAUCAGGUUCUCUAGCAAUACUAUACGGUUCAUAUGAUGCACCAAAAGAGUAACCAAGAGUACCAAGUGUGUUACCAUUCUACUUUAGCAUUUUGAUGAGGGAGUCAAGGUCUGAUCUCCUCAGGUACUCGUUCUCACGGUUGUUCUGAAGGCUUGGUUGAGCUGUGUAAGUCACCAGGGCCUUGCUAUCUCCAGGCUCACGUGUCCCGCCCUCUACAGCUUGGCCUGAGCUCCCAGCAACACUUGAACUCCCCGGCUCACUUCCAGCAUACGAGACAUUGGCUCUCCCAUCUUUCUCUCUUGAGAACUUGGCCGGCUUCAGAUGAGGGUGUAAGAUCCAGCACUGGUUCUUCUUGUGACCUUGUCUCUUGCAGUGAUCACAAUUUCCCGUGAACUUCUUUGCAUCAUACUGGUUAGAGCUUGCACGGUUUGCUUGUGGAACCUCAGCUUGGUUUGCAAGAGUGAUCUCCCCUUUCCCUCCAAAGAGACCAAUAGACCCUUCCUCCUUCUGAACUUGCGCACACACGUCCUCAAGAUCAGGUAACUUUCCGGACCUCAGAAUGUGUUUGAUGAGGCUGUUGUAGCUUGGAUUCAAUGUGAGCAGCAACCCAAACACCUUAUCCUGCUCGCGUCUCUCAGCCAGCUCAUCUAGGUUGGUUGUGCCUGGCCUCAGCAUCUCUAGUUCGGACCACAAGGCUCUGAACCUCCCAAGAUGCUUAGUGAACUCCAUGUCAUACCUUUCCAGCUCAUACCAACAGCUCACCUUAUCCAUUUGAAUCUUCCCUUGCCUCCAAGAGUCUCCAACGGUCACAUGAUUCAAACUAAGUCGCGCCCACACAUUGCACAACUUGGGCAAGGCUGAUCCGGAUGAUGGCCGAACUGGAUAGGUUGUACGGACGCUGUACGGCCUUGAGGUCCGUACACUCGCCCUAUGCCUUCAUCUAACUUCCUUCUAAGGUUGACCCUUACAACGCCCUAUCUUUGCACCAUACUUCCAUCUUCUCUCUAACUCCUCCAAAGCCUUCAUAUGAUCAGUAUAAGUCUUUCCUAGACUUAACCUCACAAGAUAACUACUUCAGAACACUUCUGAAGCUUGAUUGAACUCUUCUAGACAUCUUCUAGAGCUUGCCCUAUUAUUGUACAAGCUCCAUCUCCUCUUCAGUUCAACACUCCCCCUCAAGCUUGACUUUAGGAGAUCCUAAGCCAAGCUUGGAACUCUGAAGAGUCUCCCUCAUUAAAAACCUUACAAGGAAAACCCAUUGGGACAAAACCUUGCAAGGGAAAAAGAGUAGAGCUCUCCAAAGCCUAGGGAUUGGCCAGUGAGCUCUUGUGCCUUAGAACCAAUGUGGUUGGACACAAGAAGCUCUGGAUCACGGCCUAACAGGUGCAGCAACUCUUCACAGCUUUGCGCACACUUCACACUUCACACUUCAGCUUCACCUCUUCAUGGAACCGGUUUGAAGUCUCCCCCUCUCAACUGACUUCAUAGCCAUCUUAGAGAAGCUAGGACACGACCAGAUCAUCUUUGAAACACUAGUGAGGCUGAUCAACACUUCACACACGGCUUGCCCUCUUCAUAGAACUGGUUUGGAUCUCCCCCUCUCAACAGACUUCUCAGCCAUCUUAGAGAAGCUAGGAACUGACCAGGAACAUCUUUAGUGAGGCUCAAGCAAUGGUACCUGAUACAUUAUCCCAAAGGUGCAUCAGUACCUAUCAAAGACAAGAAAAUGAAUAUCCUGCAUCACAUUUGAUGCACACAAUCUCACAAUUCAAUCAUAAUCAUCUUAAGUAUCUUUUCAAGCACAAGUAAUGAAUAAGAUGAAUGAAAAAGAUUGAAAAGAGUUUUAAAAGUCUAAGGGAACUUCCCUUGUGUUUUUGUGAGUUUCCAAACUCGGCCAAAGCAUCAUCUUCAUGGCAUCAUCAACUUCUUGGAAAGGCAGAAUGGAUUCAUCAGCUUCUCCUCAAUCACCCCUCAUUGAAGCCGCAUUGAUGGAGAGCCUUCCUCCUCACUCGCCAAGGCUGCUCUGAACAGCCUCUUGCCUAGACACGCCACUGACUUGGUCCGGUUGAUGAUCCUUGUAGAAGCUUUUGCAAAAGACUUGUUACUGACCAUGGAUCAUAUGCAUUAAGACUCCCCCUCAAGCUUAGAACCGAGACCAGAAGGAGCUAAGCUUGUGAUGAUCCUAUGCAUCUCCAUGGUCUAAUAACUAUCAUCUUUCAUGAUAGCUUUCUUCUUGUGAGUUUACUCUCUUCCUUAACCAGGAACUAGGGUGUUUGAAUCACCAUAGAGAGUCUCACAAGACACACCUUUCAUUGCAUAAUGACCCAUGCUACACUUCCUGUAGACUAAGGACUAGAUAUGUCCAAUGGUAUUAUGCAAUGGCCAUCUCUCAUUGCAUACUCAAUCACACUACACUUCCUGUAGAUUAUGGACUAACAUGUCCUAGUGAUGAUAUGCAAUGGCACAAGACCUUUGUCUUUAUAUUCUUGGUUGUUGGUGAGUUACAUGUAUCCCAUUCCUUGUGUACCUAACACCACCACAACUCAAUGCAAGAUCAGAUCAUCCCAUUGAGAUCAAACCAAGAUUAUCUAUCCUGUUUGAUCACCAAUGCCACAAUAAUAUAUAAUACUUGAAACAAGCUAGACAAUCAACACAAUAAAGCAAAGACAAUCAAUUCAGUUUUUUUUUUAAAUGCAACAAUAACUGAAUGCAUUAGGUUACAUACUCACUAUAUGAAUGAAAUAGAUUUAACCCAAAUGAAACACAAGUCUAGAUGAUACUUAUGCAAUCAAGGCGACAAGAGUGAUUCAAUUCAUGCUUAUGCUCACUAGUUUUAUCAAUGCCAAUGAUCCAAAUAGCUUAGACAUACUUCUAAAUGCUUAUAAGACAUCACUGAUGGAUUUAACUAUGGCAUAGCAACAAUCAGAACUGGACUGAGACAAGACAAGUAGAUUUCAAUCUCUUAACAAUGACAAUGCAAGUUCUAUUUUUUUUUUUUUUAAGUUCUCUAAAUGCAAUACAAGCUUAUCAGCACAUUUGCAAUUUAGGCUCAUUUUUAAAUGCAUUAUUACAUGAAUGCACAAUCUUAAAGCUUUAGCUAUAUGAAUGCAACAGGUUCAAUCCAUGAGCAAUAUUAAGGCUAUGCACAACAGUUUCAAUCAAAACCAAUGAUGCAAACAACUUAGACAAUUUCUAAUUGAUGCAAGACUUUCAUUGAUGGAUUAAACAUAGGCAAUAGCAUCAGAUAACAAUAGGAUUGAACUUAGACACUAUGAGAUAUGCUUAUGUAUGCAAAAUGGCUUAUCAAUCAUGAUGCAAGCAGCAGAGACAUUCUACUCAAUUCUACAACACAUUCAGGAUGAUUCAAGCUAUGACAACAUCCAAGACAAUGCAAUAACAGACCAUGAGAUUCUGGGACUCUAGACAUUACUUACUAUCAAUAAGACAAUGCAGCAGCAAAACAAUUUCAGUGCAAUUAGCCUAGACAUUCUACUAGAAGCUAUAAAUUCUUAAUGGCAUUAGGGAAAGCACAUAGUAUAAUCAGGAGAUAAACCUAUCAAGACAUAUUAAAAUAGAUGAGAUUAGGUUUACUCCCUUGGUUAAAAUGAUGAGGAGUGGUUCUCAAAGUUACCACUUGAAUCCUUACUUCUUCUUCUUCUCUUAUUGCAAUCACCCUUCUGAAGUCACCACCAUGAUGGAAUGCUUGUGGAUGCUUCAGCUACUUCUUCAAUCACCUCACAAUAGAAGCCGCCUUGAUAGAGUAGCCUUCUUCUUCACACAGCCAAGAGUGCUCUGUCUUAGUUUGAGCACCCUCUUGAAUAGGCACGCCACUGCCUAGACCCGGUUGGCUUCUUCUUCUGGUACUUGCAAUGUUAAGAAGAAGAGCACCAGUGAGUUUUACAACCAUCUGUGCUUCUCCCUUUCUUGUAACACCUCUCCAUUGUACACACAAUGGGCAUCAUACUUUCUCUUUCAACUCGGAUUUGAUGAUGACUUAGGAACACCUUUUGUGAACCUGAAACAUCACUCAAACUCUAGCCAAGAUAAGACACAAUUGCAUUGGGAUCAAUCCUUGACUUCAUCAAGUUUGAUCACCAAUGUCUCAAGCUUUAUAACAUUAGAUAGAAUCAAGACAAUGUCAAGUUCUUAUCUAUGCAAGCAACCAUUCUCUAAAUACUAAGCAAGACCUUAUCAGAUUCAAGUCAAAGUAUUUAGGCAAUUUUAAACACUCCUUAAUAUGCAGUUUAGAUUUUAAUCUAAAUGCAAUAAUACAAGGCAGCACCAAGGCAGUAUGCAUUAAUCCUAAUCAGUUUUUAACUCAUGAAAGCAAGCAUGAUUAGAUAAUAUAAUCUAUCAUCCUAACAAGACAAGUUUAUUCAGAGCUGUCAUUAAGCAUUUAACCAUUUUCAAUAGUAUUGAUGUCAAAUCUUGAUUAAUAUAUAAUCAAGUUUGAUUCCUACUAUCACAAGCAAUGCAACAGAUAGACACAAGGCAUUAUCAAGUUCUAUUCUUUGCAAGCUAACUCUCUAAGUACAAGCAAGAUCCUAACAGAUUCAAGACAAGUUACUUAGGCACUCUUAAGAGCUUCUUUACUCAGCACUUAGACAUGAAUCUAAUGCUUCAAUGUAAGACAGCCAGCGGAUUCAUUUCAUGAAACACAAGCAGGUUUAGACGUCUACUAACUUCCUGACAAGCAUCAUUAGAUCCGGGAUUACACAACACAUCAAUCAUCACACCACCUCAACAUUUCUAUACUCAAGCUUUUAAUAAAGAGGGAAAGAGAUCCAGCUUACAGCCAAGGAACUUUUGCUAGUUCCUUGAAUCUCCAUGGUUCAUGACCAGAUGUUGAGCUCCUGGUGUCAUAUCACACCCCUUCUUCUUCCAUGAACCAUCCUCUUGAACCCACCAUGGCUGAGACACCUCCUUUCCUCCCUUUCAAGUCGCCAAAACCAGUACCAAGUAGAAAGCUGUCACCUUUCUUCUUGAACCACCACUAAGACUCAUGAAUCUAGCUCUUGAAGAGUGUUGUCAAACCGCUUCAAGGCUUUGUUCUUCAGGGUCUCCUUUCUUCAGGUCGAGCUUGAUAAGUCAGAAUAGAGCACAUACAGCUUCUAAGGCACCUCGGAUGUGUUUAUCUUCCUCCUGAAGAUGAACAAACGUUGGCUGGACCAAAGAGCUUCUUCUUUGCUUCAAACAGCCAUGGAAGUGGGCUUGAGCUUUGCGGAAGUUAGAUACCAGGUUCUGAUGAACCUGGCUCUGAUACCAUGAGAUUUUAUAAGGAUUUACUCAAGGUGUGUGUGAGAAAGUGUUUAGGAGAGUUUAUGUGAACAGAUUUGAGACUUAUGAGUAUGGGGAGAGAUUUAGAGUAUGAAAGAGACUAGGUAACGAGAUUAAAGAGACUGAGAGACUUAGAGAAUAGAUUAGAGACUUAGUAUCAAGAACAGACUUUCAUAGAACAUGAAGGAGAAGGGUUUCCCCCCUUUACUCACUUAACCUGUUUACAAACGACCAUACUAAGCUUUUAUAUGAGCUUUACAACUUAGAUCAUAAACCUAGAUCCUAAGGCUGUAAAUACAAGAUAGAAUGGAUGGUAAGGAUGAGAGAAGACUGGUCUUGAUGUUCUGGUUCUUAGCUGGCGACUUGAUCCAAUGUAAAGGGCUUAGAUUGCUUCAUUUGAAUUGAAUGGAUAGGAUGAGUCAAGGCUGUAAAGGUAAAGCACCUUUACCUUUCCAGCUCAUACCAACAGCUCACCUUAUCCAUUUGAAUCUUCCCUUGCCUCCAAGAGUCUCCAACGGUCACAUGAUUCAAACUAAGUCGCGCCCACACAUUGCACAACUUGGGCAAGGCUGAUCCGGAUGAUGGCCGAACUGGAUAGGUUGUACGGACGCUGUACGGCCUUGAGGUCCGUACACUCGCCCUAUGCCUUCAUCUAACUUCCUUCUAAGGUUGACCCUUACAACGCCCUAUCUUUGCACCAUACUUCCAUCUUCUCUCUAACUCCUCCAAAGCCUUCAUAUGAUCAGUAUAAGUCUUUCCUAGACUUAACCUCACAAGAUAACUACUUCAGAACACUUCUGAAGCUUGAUUGAACUCUUCUAGACAUCUUCUAGAGCUUGCCCUAUUAUUGUACAAGCUCCAUCUCCUCUUCAGUUCAACACUCAACACACCUUCAGGUAUUGUCGUUCUACUUGUAUAUGUAGAUGACAUCAUUAUAACAGGUAGUGAUAAAAAAGAGAUACAAGCCACCAAAGACUUUCUUAAAUCUGUUUUUGAGAUUAAAGACUUGGGAGAGAUGAAAUACUUCCUUGGGAUUGAGAUAUGUAGAUCCAAGGAAGGUUUGUUUCUAUCCCAAAGAAAGUAUACACUUGAUCUGUUGAAAGAUGCAGGUAAGCUUGAUGGAAAGACAGCCAAGACUCCCUUGGAAGAUGGAUACAAGGUUCCACGUGAGGGGGAGAUUGAAGACAGUCCACCAUUCAAGGAUGCAAAGCUUUAUAGAAAGCUAGUGGGUAAGCUUAUAUACCUAACCAUCACACGUCCUGAUAUUUGUUUUGCUGUGAACCAGGUAAGCCAGCAUAUGCAAGUUCCAAAAGAACAUCAUUGGGGAAUGGUGAACCGGAUCUUGAUGUAUCUCAAUGGCUCAGCGGAUCAAGGAGUGUGGAUGGGGUGUAAUGGAAGUACUGAAGUUGUGGGCUACUGUGAUGCGGAUUGGGCAGGAGAUAGAGCAGAUAGAAGGUCCACAACUGGCUACUGCACAUUCAUUGGAGGGAACUUGGUAACUUGGAAGAGUAAGAAGCAGAAGGUGGUCUCAUGCUCAAGUGCUGAAGCUGAAUACCGAGCUAUGCUGAAGCUGACUAAUGAGCUUGUGUGGAUCAAAGGGAUACUGAAGCACUUGGAGAUUACUCAAUCCACUCCAAUGACAAUGCAUUGCGACAACCAGGCUGCUAUACACAUUGCCACCAACUCAGUCUUCCAUGAGAGAACCAAGCACAUUGAGGUAGAUUGUCACAAGGUGAGGCAGAUGAUACUUCUUGGAGUCAUCUUACCAUGUUACACAAGAAGUGAAGAUCAGCUAGCAGAUGUGUUCACAAAGGCAGCAAGGCAGAAGACAAUUGAGUCCAUCCAUAGCCGGCUAGGACUCAUUGAUCUCACGAGAAGGAGCUAAGCCCCUUAGCUAUGAGGUCUUUACUCUUUUUCCCUUAUCAAAGUUUUGUCCCAAUGGGUUUUCUUUGGUAAGGUUUUUAAUGAGGAAGAUCUCAUGGCUAUCCAAGCUUAGACUUUCACAAAGCUAAGCUUGAGGGGGAGUGUUGAGAUGAGGAGUUGAUAUGAAGGCUUAGAGAGACUUGGGUAAUGAAAGGGAUAAGGAGAUGAAGCAAAGACUGAAGUGAGAGAUGCAUUGGGAGAAUGGUACGGACGGUACAAACCGUACGGAUCAGUUCGACCAAGAUUACUUGAGUCUCGACCUUUCUCCACAUUCUGAAGUUGUGCAAACUUAGGGUAAAGUGUACGGAGUUACCAUGUCCGUACCAUCUGAAGUUACCACGGUAAAAAGAAGUUUGAACAACAAGGAAGAGGGAAAGGCUGAAGACACUUAUGCAAAAGGAAAGUCUCGGCCAAAGGAAAGGAGAUGACCGUUUAUGGAUAAGAGGAGGCGCGGCUUUACAGCUAAGACAGGCUGUAAAGGUGUUUGGCAUCUGAUCCAAGAUGCCAAAGGGAUCAAACGUGUGAUGGCCCCUAUUGGAUGGAUUCAAAACCGGCUAGCUCUUCCCAUUUGACCUCACAUGCUUAGGCGACCUUAACCCAUUUGAUGGGGAGUAAGGGUUUAUGGGGACACAUCACACAGAGUGAAGCCCCAAAGCUCAUUACUUAUGAAGGCGACAAGGAGAUUGUCGAGUGCGAUGAAGAGAAGUGGGAGCAGGAUGAUCAGCUGGUGAUGUCCAUACUCAAACGGUCUCUUGAAGUGUCUAUCCUGGAGGCAUACAGCUACUGUGAGACAGCAAAGGAUCUUUGGGACACGCUAAAGAAGGUUUAUGGUAACAUCUCAAACUUGAGCCGUGUGUUUGAAGUGAAACGUGCUAUCAACAGCUUGACACAGGAGGACAUGGAGUUCACUAAGCAUCUUGGGAGGUUCAGAGCUUUGUGGUCUGAACUGGAGAUGCUGAGGCCAGGCACAACCAACCUAGAUGAGCUGGCUGAGAGACGCGAGCAGGACAAGGUGUUUGGGUUGCUGCUCACGUUGAAUCCAAGCUACAACAGCCUCAUCAAACACAUUCUGAGGUCCGGAAAGUUACCUGAUCUUGAGGACGUGUGUGCACAAGUUCAGAAGGAGGAAGGGUCUAUCGGCCUCUUUGGAGGGAAAGGAGAGAUCACACUUGCAAACCAAGCUGAGGUUCCGCAAGCAAACCGUGCAAGCUCUAACCAGUAUGAUGCAAAGAAGUUCACGGGAAAUUGUGAUCAUUGCAAGAGACAAGGUCACAAGAAGAACCAGUGCUGGAUCUUGCAUCCUCAUCUGAAGCCGGCCAAGUUCUCAAGAGAGAAAGAUGGGAGAGCCAAUGUCUCGUAUGCUGGAAGUGAGCCGGGAAGUUCAAGUGUUGCUGGAGAGGGCGGGACACGUGAGCCUGGAGAUAGCAAGGUCCUGGUGACUUACACAGUUCAACCAAGCCUUCAGAACAACCGUGAGAACGAGUACCUGAGGAGAUCAGACCUUGACUCCCUCAUCAAAAUGCUAAAGGAGAAUGGUAACACACUUGGUACUCUUGGUUACUCUUUUGGUGCAUUAUAUGAACCGUGUAGUAUUGCUAGAGAACCUGAUCAUUCAAGCAUUGCUUAUAAACCUACUAGCAUACUAGGACAGUCUCAUAUUGCACACAAUCUGUUUAAACCAUUGGUAGUUGAUUCAGGAGCAUCUCAUCACAUGAUUAGUGAUACUAGUUUGAUUAGAGACAUUGAACCUACAAAUGGACAUGUCAUGAUUGCAAAUGGAGAUAAAAUCCCAAUUAGAGGAAUUGGCAAGCUAAAAUUGUUUGAUAAAGAAUCUAAAGCAUUUUACAUGCCUGACUUCACAUCAAAUCUAUUAUCCGUAAAGAAAUGCACUACAGAUCUUAAUUGCAAUGUUAUAUUCAGUCCUAAUGAUGUGAAGUUUCAGGAUAUUGAGAGCAGCCAAUUGAUUGGAAAAGGAGUUACCAAGGGAGAUUUAUAUUUACUUGAAGAACUAGCUCCUGUUUCUGAUUACUUGUGCUCAUUUACUUCUGCUUCUAUGAUGAAUAAAAAUGCAUUGUGGCAUGCUAGACUAGGUCAUCCCCAUGUUAGGGCUUUAAACUUAAUGUUACCAGGUGUGGUAUUUGAAAAUAAGGAUUGUGAAGCUUGCAUCUUAGGCAAGCAUUGUAAAACUGUUUUUCCCAUUUCAUCUACUGUUUAUGACAAGUGCUUUGAUUUAAUUCACUCUGAUGUUUGGACUGCUCCUUGCUUGUCUAGGGAUAGUUUUAAAUACUUUGUCACAUUCAUAGAUGAAAAAUCGAAAUACACCUGGAUAACACUUAUUCAAACCAAAGAUAGGGUGCUUGAAGCUUUUAAAAAUUUUCAAAACUAUGUGACUAACCAUUACAAUGCCAAGAUUAAAAUUUUGAGAUCAGAUAAUGGUGGGGAAUACACUGGUCAAGCCUUCAAGCAACAUCUAGCUCAACAUGGGAUACUACACCAAACGAGUUGUCCUUAUACUCCUCAGCAAAAUGGAGUGGCUGAGAGAAAGAAUAGGCAUCUCAUGGAGGUGGCAAGGUCAAUGAUGUUUCAAGCAAAUGUCCCUAAGAGGUUUUGGAGUGAUGCUGUGGCUACAUCUUGUUAUCUAAUCAACCGGAUCCCAACUAAGAUUCUACAUGAUCAGUCCCCUUUUGAAGCCUUGAACAAGUACAAGCCAUCAUUGGAGCAUAUGCGAAUCUUUGGAUGUCUAUGCUUUGUUCUUAGGCCAAAAGAGUUGAGAAACAAGCUUGAAGCAACCAGCACAAGAGCUAUGUUUGUUGGCUACUCUACUACUCAAAAGGGUUACAAGUGCUAUGAUCCUACUACUAGAAGGGUUCUAGUCUCUAGAGAUGUGAAGUUCAUUGAAGCUAAGGGGUUCUAUGAGGAAAAGAAUCAAGAUGAGUUGCUAGAAUUGACAAGAGAGUCAGAUAGAGCGGCCAGCCUUAGAAGCAUUCUAGAGGGGCUUGGGAUACAUACUACCCAGGAUCCGAAGGAAAGACGCAGUACAACAAACACACAACCUACCGAGGCAUCAAACUUAGAUCAUGGGGGGGGAAACAACACCUGAACCGGCUGAAGUACAUGUUGAAAGCCACGAUCAAGAAGGCUCAGGUGAUCAUGAUCAAAGUAUGACACAGGAAGAUAGGGAGGUACCGAGCCAAGAUCAAGAGGAGGAAACUAAUGCAACUACAACUGAACCUGAACCAGAGCCGGCCGUGCAGCCAUUGAGAAGAAGCACCAGAGUGAGAAAGGAUAGUUCCAACUGGGUAAACACGAGAGUGUACUACAAUGCCCAGGCUGUGGAACAUCCCUCUCAAGCUGUGUGUUCCUUUGCUCAUUAUCCAGAAGAACAUUGUGCCUUUAUGGUAAGCUUAGAUGAGAGCCAUGUACCGAAGUCAUAUGAGGAAGCCAUGAAGGACAAGGAAUGGAGGGAAUCAGUAGGAGCUGAAUCCAAUGCAAUGAUCAAGAAUGACACUUGGUAUGAGAGUGAGUUACCUAAAGGGAAGAGAGCAGUGUCUAGUAGAUGGAUCUUCACAAUCAAGUACCUAGCAAAUGGACAGAUUGAUAGAAAGAAGACUCGGUUGGUUGCAAGAGGAUUUACUCAAACAUAUGGAGAGGAUUAUAUAGACACAUUUGCACCAGUUGCUAAGCUACAUACCAUCAGGAUUGUCCUAUCACUUGCGGUGAAUCUUGAGUGGGGCUUGUGGCAAAUGGAUGUAAAGAAUGCAUUCCUACAAGGAGAACUAGAAGAUGAAGUGUAUAUGUUACCUCCUCCUGGUCUAGAGCACUUGGUGAAGAAAGGGAAUGUUCUCAGACUAAAGAAAGCUAUCUAUGGUCUGAAACAAUCACCAAGGGCAUGGUACAACAAGUUAAGCACAACUCUGAAUGGAAGAGGCUUUAGGAAGUCAGAGCUUGAUCAUACUCUCUUCACACUCAACACACCUUCAGGUAUUGUCGUUCUACUGGUAUAUGUAGAUGACAUCAUUAUAACAGGUAGUGAUAAAGAAGAGAUACAAGCAACCAAAGACUUUCUUAAAUCUGUUUUUGAGAUUAAAGACUUGGGAGAGAUGAAAUACUUCCUUGGGAUUGAGAUAUGUAGAUCCAAGGAAGGUUUGUUUCUAUCCCAAAGAAAGUAUACACUUGAUCUGUUGAAAGAUGCAGGUAAGCUUGAUGGAAAGACGGCCAAGACUCCCUUGGAAGAUGGAUACAAGGUUCCACGUGAGGGGGAGAUUGAAGACAGUCCACCAUUCAAGGAUGCAAAGCUUUAUAGAAAGCUAGUGGGUAAGCUUAUAUACCUAACCAUCACACGUCCUGAUAUUUGUUUUGCUGUGAACCAGGUAAGCCAGCAUAUGCAAGUUCCAAAAGAACAUCAUUGGGGAAUGGUGAACCAGAUCUUGAUGUAUCUCAAUGGCUCAGCGGAUCAAGGAGUGUGGAUGGGGUGCAAUGGGAGUACUGAAGUUGUGGGCUACUGUGAUGCGGAUUGGGCAGGAGAUAUAGCAGAUAGAAGGUCCACAACCGGCUACUGCACAUUCAUUGGAGGGAACUUAGUAACUUGGAAGAGUAAGAAGCAGAAGGUGGUCUCAUGCUCAAGUGCUGAAGCUGAAUACCGAGCCAUGCUGAAGCUGACUAAUGAGCUUGUAUGGAUCAAAGGGAUACUGAAGCACUUGGAGAUUACUCAAUCCACUCCAAUGACCAUGCAUUGCGACAACCAGGCUGCUAUACACAUUGCCAUCAACUCAGUCUUCCAUGAGAGAACCAAGCACAUUGAAGUAGAUUGUCACAAGGUGAGGCAGAUGAUACUUCUUGGAGUCAUCUUACCAUGUUACACAAGAAGUGAAGAUCAGCUAGCAGAUGUGUUCACAAAGGCAGCAAGGCAGAAGACAAUUGAGUCCAUUCAUAGCCGGCUAGGACUCAUUGAUCUCACGAGAAGGAGCUAAGCCCCUUAGCUAUGAGGUCUUUACUCUUUUUCCCUUAUCAAAGUUUUGUCCCAAUGGGUUUUCUUUGGUAAGGUUUUUAAUGAGGAAGAUCUCAUGGCUAUCCAAGCUUAGACUUUCACAAAGCUAAGCUUGAGGGGGAGUGUUGAGAUGAGAUCAUUUUGAGAUGAGAUCAUGAAAUGAAGUGUUGAGUAAUGUAUGUGAGGAAAGGGUAUGAAGUAGUGAAGCAUUAGGAAGAAAGGGAUUGAGGAGGCUUAGUCCGUACAAUCCGUACAUGAGGAGUGGCCGUACAAGUCUUGGGUAACACUCCUCCACUAUUCAGGAUGGUUACUUGUGAAAAGAGUGAUGGUAACUAUGGAGAGUUACCAGCACUUGAUCAGACCGUUGAGAGAAGGAUAAGGCCGCGGCUUGACAGGCUGUAUGCAGCUGGAAAGGGAAAGCAACCUUAUCCAUUCUACCCACACAUGUGGAGUCUCCCAUUGGCUUAGUUUGAAUUAGGCGCCUAUCUCUUCCUUGACUUCACAUGCUUUGCUUACUUUACCUUUGAGGAAAACCUAUGUAUCUUCUCCUAUAUAUUGUAAUCUCUUCAUUAAUGAUAAUUAGACAGUUCUUGACACAAAAACACUUUCUUAGACUCAAAGACUCUCAAUCAUGAUUCUACACUAAACUCUUAGCUAAACUCAUUCUAAAUCAUCUCUAAACUUCUCUAAUCCCUUUCUUUUCUUAUAUCAAACUCAGAUUCUCUAAAGUUCAUAACUCUUGGGUUGUUGGAUAUUACACACCAACAAGAACACUCAACAACUCGCGAACAAGCAGUAGAGAGAACAAAGAAAGGUUUAUGAUAAAAGAUAAUUGAUUAUUGAUAAGGGGUUCAAAGUACACUUAUAUAAGAGAAGUUGGAACAGACUCCAAGCUUCUCGAAAACUAUCAAGAGAGUAAAGGCACACGGCUCUCUUGGAAAUAGAAACAAGUGACAAGUUUGAAAACAAAAGCAUGAAAUGAAAAACAUAAUAUAUCAUAAGGUUGAUCCGGGAUAAGGUUGGAUCGAGAUCAUCAACUAAAAGAUUUGAGAAGCAAAUCUAUGGCCUCGUUAAAAACCUAUCUUUGGAAAACCCAUUGGGACAAAACCAAAGAUAGGGAAAAAGAGCACGCAUGGAUUGCUUGCUUAGUUGAUGAUCAGCUUGAUGGUGAAGUAGCUUGAAUGGUGAUAAGUGUGUCUUGGUUGAUCAAGCUUCUACCAAGACAUUCCUCUUGCUUCCAUGACAUCUUAACCAAUCCUCCAAUAACUUGCGUGAGCUUCCUUGAUCUUGAUCGAGUCAUAGGUCCUUUAGGUAAGGAUAGAACAUCUCCAUCAGUUGGCUUAUCCAGAUCCUCAUCAUCUCCAUUAGCUAGUUGGUCCAUGAUCACAUCAUAAAGGAUUCAAAUCAACCACUAGCAAGCACCACACGCUUAUGGCAUCUUGGACUAAAGUUGCUUUAGCUUUCCAGCCUGUCCCAGCCUGGCAAUGCGCGUCCCUUAUCCCUUCAACGGUCUGAUCCUUCUCCACUUGAGUAACUAUUCCAUAGUUACCAUUUCACUUGUGCAAGGUAAGUUUUGGUCGAGGCUUGGAUGGUACGGACUGUACGGCUUGUACGGCCUUGUACGGACGUCCGUACCAUGCUCUCCCUAAACUCCCUUAAGCUUCCUCAUCUCCUUUCCUCUUCAACUCCUUAGCUCUUCAUACAUAUACCAAAAGGGAUCAAGUCAGUAACAUUGAAGCUAUCACUUAUGUCGUACUUACCUUGAAGAUCAAGUUUGUAGGCAUUGUCAUUGAUCCUCUUGGUGACUUCAAAAGGGCCAUUAAUCCUCGGCAUUAGCUUAGACUUCCUUUCUUUUGGAAACCUUUCUUUCCUCAAGUGAACCCAUACUUGAUCUCCAACUUCAAAGAUCAUCUCACGCCUUCCUUUGUUAGCUUGUUUGGCGUAUUGCUUAGUUUUAUCUUCUAGAUUGCGCUUAGCUUGCUCAUGAAUCUGCUGCACCAUCUCAGCUUUCUUUUUCCCAUCCAUACUAACUCUUUCACACUCAGGUAAAGGUAUUAGAUCCAAAGGUGAGAUGGGAUUGAACCCAUAAACAAUUUCAAAAGUAGAAAACUUAGAAGCAGAAUGCAUAGCAUGAUUGUAUGCAAAUUCACAAUGAGGUAAGUAAUCUUCCCAUGAUUUCAAGUUCUUUUUGAUGAAUGCACGCAGGAGAGUCCCUAGGGUUCUAUUAACUACUUCAGUCUGUCCAUCAGUUUGUGGAUGACAAGUAGUAGAAAACAAUAGCUUAGUUCCUAGUUUAGACCACAAUGUUUUCCAAAAGUAGCUAAGGAAUUUAGUGUCUCUAUCUGAAACUAUAGUCCUAGGCAUUCCGUGCAAACGUACAACUUCUUUAAAGAACAAAUUAGCUACAUGUAAUGCAUCAUCAGUUUUAUUGCAAGCUAUGAAAUGUGCCAUUUUAGAGAAUCUAUCAACAACCACAAAGAUAGAAUCCUUUCCAGUCCUAGUUCUAGGCAAACCCAUAACAAAAUCCAUAGAUAUAUCAUUCCAAGGAUGAGUAGGAAUAGGCAAAGGAGUAUACAAACCGUGAGGUUGAACUUUAGACUUUGCAAGCUUGCAAGUUGUGCACCUUCCACAGAUUCUCCCCACAUCUCUUUUCAUAUGCGGCCAAUAGAAGUGAUCCUGCAGAACUUUAAGGGUUUUCGCUAUACCAAAAUGACCCAUCAAGCUUCCUCCAUGGAAUUCCCUGACAAAUAGAUCUCUCAAAGAGCAAUUAGGCACACAUAAACGAUUGUCAUAGAAUAAGAAUCCAUCAUGCCUAAAAUAAUGUCCUGAAGCAUACUUAGCACAUGAUUUAUAAGCUUCUUGAAAGUCAGGAUCAGAUUCAUACAUUUCUUUAAUCUGCUCAAAGCCUAGCAACUUAGCAUCAAGAGUAGUUAAGAGGACAUACCUUCGGGAUAGUGCAUCAGCAACUAUAUUUUCCUUACCUUGUUUGUAUUUGAUCACAUACGGGAAGGUUUCAAUGAAUUCUACCCAUCUAGCAUGUCUCUUGCUGAGCUUACUUUGUCCUUUGAGAUACUUGAGAGAUUCAUGGUCGGUGUGAAUGACAAACUCCUUUGGCCAGAGAUAAUGCUGCCAAGUCUGUAGAGCUCUCACCAAGGCGUAGAGUUCUUUGUCAUAAGUGGCAUAGUUGAGAGUAGCUCCACUGAGUUUCUCACUGAAGUAAGCAAUAGGUCUUUUAUCCUGCAUCAACACAGCACCAAUUCCAAUUCCUGAGGCAUCCCAUUCUAUUUCAAAUGUUUUAGAAAAAUCAGGAAGUAUGAGAAGAGGAGAUUGAGUAAGCUUCUCUUUAAGGAGUUGGAAUGCGGCUUCUUGAACUUCUCCCCACUUGAAUCCUACAUCCUUCUUGAUUAUCUCAGUUAAGGGAGCUGCUAGAGUGCUGAAAUCCUUCACAAAGCGCCUAUAGAAACCUGCCAGUCCAUGAAAACUCCUUACUUCUCCCACUGUAGUUGGACUCGGCCACUCUUGUAUUGCUUUGAUCUUUUCCUGAUCCACCUUUACACCAUCUGCACUUACAACAAAACCUAGAAAGACCAAGUUAUCUGUGCAAAAAGUGCACUUCUUUAGAUUGGCAUAUAGCUUUUCCUUUCUCAAAACAUCCAAAACAGCCCUAAGAUGUUCUAUAUGAUCUUCUAAGCAUUUGCUGUAAACUAAUAUAUCAUCAAAGUACACAACAACAAAGAUGCCUAUGAAAGACCUAAGAAUAUGAUUCAUCAGUCGCAUGAAUGUACUAGGCGCAUUGGUUAAUCCAAAUGGCAUAACUAACCAUUCAUACAAGCCAUGUUUAGUUUUAAAAGCAGUUUUCCACUCAUCUCCUUCUUUCAUCCUAAUCUGAUGAUAUCCACUUUUCAAGUCUAUCUUAGAAAAGAUGCAAGAACCAUGUAACUCAUCAAGCAUAUCAUCUAAUCUAGGAAUAGGGUGGCGAUACUUCACUGUUAUGUUGUUGAUUGCUCUACAAUCAACACACAUGCGCCAGCUCCCAUCUUUCUUUGGCACAAGGAGCACUGGAACUGCACAAGGACUCAAACUCUCUCGGAUAUGACCCUUCUCCAUCAGCUCCUCUACUUGUUUUUGCAAUUCUUUAGUUUCAACUGGAUUGGUCCUGUAUGCUGGACGGUUGGGCAGUGUACAACCAGGUACAAAGUCUAUUUGGUGCUCAAUCCCACGCACUGGAGGCAAUCCAAUGGGGCUAUCAUCUGGAAACACAUCUGCAUAUUCCUGUAAAAUAAAGACUAGUUCACUCGGAUGAUCCGGUGUGUGAUCAGUAACUGUUAGUAGAGUCUCUUUAAAUAUCAGCAAGAUAAUAGAAUUUUGAGAGUAGAGAAUUCUUUUAAUAUCUCCCGGUUUGGCAUAGAGGCUGUGAUGCUUGUUAUGAUCAGGUUUGAGAUCAAUCUCUUUCUCUUUUUUUUUCUGAAGCUGGAGUUGAUCUUCACGAACCUCUUUAGGAGAUAAAGGCACCAGCACAGUCUUCUUUCCGUUGAAUUCAAAUGAGUGUUUGUUGGUGAAGCCAUCAUGACUCACACGUCUAUCAUACUGCCAGGGUCUUCCAAGGAGUAUAUGACUGGCUUCCAUUGGCAACACAUCACAUAAGACUUCAUCUUCAUAUCUACCAAUGGCUAUAGGAACCAGUACUUGGGUAGAAACUCUCAUCUCGCCCUCUUCAUUGAGCCACUGCAAUCUGUAGGAUCUUGGGUGUUUCUGAAUUUUCAAACCCAAUUUCUUCACCAUUGUCUCACUAGCUACAUUGACACAACUUCCUCCAUCUAUAAUGAGACUGCACACCUUUCCCUGAACCAUACACCUUGUGUAGAAUAGAUUCUCUCGCUGCUCAAGCUCUCCAUUCUUGGCUUGCAAGUUCAAGAGCCUUCUUGUCACCAACAACCUUCCUUUCACGGGUUCUACUUCACUUUCUUCUUCAGACUCCUCAUGAUCAGACCCAAACUUCUCUUCCUCUGAUUCAUACUCUCCAUUCUCAAGAAGAAUCAUAACGUUUUUGUUGGUGCACUCAUUGGCAUAAUGCCCACGCCCUUGACAUUUGAAACACUUAACAUCUCUAGUUCUUGAACUAGUGAUUUCAGCUUUGCCUUGGUCUUUGCUGUAUGUGCUGCUCGGCUUAGUCUCUUCUUUCUGCUGAGGCUUGCUAUCCUUUAGAUAGGAUGUUUUCUCCUCCUUAGAGUGGUGGAACUUAGAAGAUCCAUAGCUGCGUGAGUUACCCUUCCUCUUGAGCUGCUGCUCCACUAGAAUAGCUUUGUGCAACAUCUCUUCUAUUUCCACAUAGUGUUGCAUCUCCACAUUGUCUUGUAUCUCACGGUUAAGUCCUCCAAGAAACCUUGCCAUAGUAGCUUCUCUAUCCUCCAAGAUACUAGCUCUUAACAUCAGCAACUCCAUGUCUUGAUAGUAUUCUUCAACAGUUCGUGUUCCUUGGGUAAGUCUUCGCAGCUUUUGAUGUAGAUCGCGGUGAUAAUGGCUUGGAACAAACCGUUUGCGCAUGAGUGACUUCAUUUCGUGCCAUGAAUCAACCGGAUUCUCUUGGUUAAGCCGUCUAGUAGUUACAAGCUGAUCCCACCAACUCAAUGCAUAAUCAUAGAAUCCAGUUGCUGCAAUCUUGAUCCUUUGGGCAUUGGAGUAGUGUUGGCAAUUGAAGACAAGCUCAAUCUUCUUUUCCCAUUCCAAAUAGGCAUCUGGAUCAACCUUUCCAUGGAAGGAUGGAAUCUUAAGCUUAAGUCCAGAAAGCUUGUCUUUGCGUGACCCCCUUCCAUCAUGUUCACGCCUCGAUCUUCCUCUGCUCAGUUCAGAAGAAUAACUACUGCGCUCAGUUGGGUUGUGCUCAGUUCUAUGGCGCGAGUAGUAGUUGUUGGUCUCUUGUGAACCCGCAUGCUCUUGCCGUAUUGGAGUAGGCCGGUUUCUUCUAGACUCAUUGCUAUGUCCCUGGCCAGUAGCUUGCCUCAACUCUUGUCUCAUCUCCUCACGUAAUUCCUUCAUGCUAGACUUGAGCAUAUCAGCCAUUGUAGAGAUCAUGGUCUGAUUCAUUUGCUCGGUCAUUUGCUCUCUCAGCAUCGUGUUCUUCCUUACUAGCUCGGCUUCUUCUUCUGAUUCUUUCCCCAUUGGUACCUAGAAUCAAUAACAACACUCAACCAGUAAAUAAUUCCAAUAAACUGAUCGUAAUCAGUAGAUGAUCAAGAGAUUUUAAACUGAAAAUAACUGGCGGUAAAAGAAAACUUGAUUAACAAGCAAAAGAGGAUUCAAAUCGACAACUUGAAAAUCACAAUAGAAACGAGAUCAGGGUAGGUUCGUUGAUCAGAUUUUGACAACACACAAGUAGAUCUAGUUGUUAUAGGUGAUUUAAAACAGAUCACACGAUCAAUCAGAUUCACACAAAAGAUCAAAUCGAGAAUAUGAAUCGAUAACAAUCGGAUCUAAAAGCGCGAAACCUAGAUCUAUCAAUUCAAAACUUCUUAACAAUUUGAUCGACACAAAACGAUUAGAUCACACAAUCAAACAACCAUGGUUUACAGAUCAAUCAAUGGAUAUUGCGAAUCAAAGAACAGAUCAGUUGAAACAAAACGGAUCGAUCUAAAACUGAUCAAGAAGAUGAACAGGUUAAAUCGAAACAAAAGAGAAACGAGUACUUCCCUAACCAGAGAUGCUCUGAUACCACAUAAUACGUCCCUAGAUUGCUUCUCUGGAUAGUAUGGGAUAGAUCCUUGCUAGAACGAAUCAAAGACUCAAGCUCUACAAGGUUGUGGAUCGAUUGGUGACACAAGAGGCUGCGGAAAGGCUCCUUGAUACUCCUAAGUGACUAGAUCGGAUAUGACACACCGAGAUAGACACUCUUNNNNNNNNNNNNNNNNNNNNNNNNNNNNNNNNNNNNNNNNNNNNNNNNNNNNNNNNNNNNNNNNNNNNNNNNNNNNNNNNNNNNNNNNNNNNNNNNNNNNNNNNNNNNNNNNNNNNNNNNNNNNNNNNNNNNNNNNNNNNNNNNNNNNNNNNNNNNNNNNNNNNNNNNNNNNNNNNNNNNNNNNNNNNNNNNNNNNNNNNNNNNNNNNNNNNNNNNNNNNNNNNNNNNNNNNNNNNNNNNNNNNNNNNNNNNNNNNNNNNNNNNNNNNNNNNNNNNNNNNNNNNNNNNNNNNNNNNNNNNNNNNNNNNNNNNNNNNNNNNNNNNNNNNNNNNNNNNNNNNNNNNNNNNNNNNNNNNNNNNNNNNNNNNNNNNNNNNNNNNNNNNNNNNNNNNNNNNNNNNNNNNNNNNNNNNNNNNNNNNNNNNNNNNNNNNNNNNNNNNNNNNNNNNNNNNNNNNNNNUCUUAUUAAUGAGUGAGGUUACAUAUUUAUAUAGAAAGCAUUAGGGUUUACAAGAGGCGAAAUGGGCACUAUUGAAGCAUGUAGAGUCAAGGAUGCUUUCCGGAUGAUUGGAUGAUAAGGCUCACACGCUUUGCCUCUUUACAGCCUGUUCCAGCCUGGCACGCUCUUCCCUUAUCCUCUCAACGGUCUGCUCUUCCCUUAUCCAUUCAACGGUCUGAUCCCUUCUCCUUAAGUCCCCAAGUUACCAUUUCCUUGUUACCGUUUCACUUGGUCGAGUUGGGUAAGUUUUGGUCGAGACCCUUUGGUACGGACGGUACGGCCAUGUACGGCCUUGUACGGACGUCCGUACCAUUCACACCCAAACUCCCUAAGCUUCUCCAUCUCUUCUCCUCUUCAACUCCUCUUCUCUCUAUACUCAUAUAAUCAACUCAACUCAACACUCCCCCUCAAGCUUAGCUUUGUGAAAGCCUAAGCUUGGAAAGCUACAAGAUCUUCCUCAUUAAAAACCUCACCAACGAAAACCCAAUGGGAUAAAACUUUGAUGAGGGAAAAAGAGUAAAGACCUUGCAGCUAAGGGGAUUAGCUCCUUCUCUUCCCAAGAUCUAUGAGUCCCAAUCUGAUGUGAAUGGACUCCAUAGUCUUUUGCCUUGCAGCCUUAGUGAACACAUCCGCUAGCUGAUCUUCACUCCUUGUAUAGCAUGGCAAGAUCACCCCUAGCACAAUCAUCUGUCUCACCUUGUGGCAAUCAACUUCAAUGUGCUUGGUCCUCUCAUGAAACACCGAGUUGGAUGCAAUGUGGAUGGCAGCUUGAUUGUCACAAUGCAUUGUCAUUGGAGUUGCUUGAUCAAUCUCCAAGUGCUUCAAGAUGCCUUUGAUCCAUACCAACUCGUUGGUAAGCUUCAGCAUGGCUCUAUACUCGGCUUCUGCACUUGAACAUGACACUACCUUCUGCUUCUUGACCACCUUCUGCUUCUUACUCUUCCACGUAACCAAGUUCCCUCCAAUGAAUGUGCAAUAGCCUGUGGUUGAUCUCCUGUCUGCUCUAUCACCAGCCCAAUCCGCAUCACAGUAUCCCACCACUUCAGUGCUUCCAUUGCAGCCCAUCCAUACUCCUUGAUCAGGUGAGCCGUUGAGAUACAUCAAGAUCCUCUCCACCAUGCGCCAGUGAUGUUCCUUAGGCACUUGCAUGUGUUGACUCACCUGAUUCACAGCAAAACAGAUGUCAGGUCUAGUUAUAGUAAGAUAAAUCAAUUUGCCAACUAGUUUUCUAUAGAGUUUAGGAUCCUGAUAAGGUUUGCUGUCUUCAAUCUCCCCCUCUCGUGGGACUUUGUAGCCAUCCUCCAUAGGCAUCCUUGCUGUCUUGCCUCCAUAAGCACCUGCACCUUUCAAAAGAUCAAGUGUAUAUUUCCUUUGGGACAUGAAUAAACCUUCCUUGGAUCUACAUAUCUCAAUUCCAAGGAAGUAUUUCAUUUCUCCCAAGUCUUUAAUCUCAAACAUGGUUUUAAGAAACUCCUUGGUUGCUAUGAUACCUUCCUUAUCACUCCCUGUGAUAAUGAUAUCAUCAACAUACACAAGGAGUGCAAUCAUACCUGAGGGAGUCGUGAGAGUGAAGAGAGUGUGAUCUAGUUCAGACUUCUUGAAGCCUCGACCAUUCAGAGUAGUGCUCAACUUGUUGUACCAAGCUCUUGGUGAUUGCUUCAGCCCAUAGAUGGCUUUCUUCAGUCUCAACACAUUCCCACUCUUCACUAAGUGUUCAAGGCCUGGAGGUGGAUGCAUAUACACUUCAUCCUCAAGUUCACCUUGUAGAAACGCAUUCUUCACAUCCAUUUGCCAUAACCCCCAUCCAAGAUUCACAGCCAAGCUUAGUACAAUCCGGAUUGUGUGUAGUUUAGCUACUGGAGCAAAGGUUUCUAUGUAAUCUUCUCCAUAAUUUUGAGUGAAACCUCUUGCAACUAGCCUUGACUUCUUCCUCUCAAUCUUUCCAUCCGCUUUGUACUUGAUUGUGAAUAUCCACCUACUGGUCACAGCCUUCUUCCCUUUUGGUAACUCACUCUCGUACCAUGUAUCAUUCUUGAUCAUAGCUCCUGCCUCAGCUCCAACUGAUUCCUUCCAUUCUUUAUCCAUGAUUGCUUCUUCAUAGCUUCUUGGGAUGUAGUUCUCAUCCAAGUUAACCAUGAAGGCACAAUGUUCUUCUGGAUAUUGAGCAAAGGAGCACACGGCUUGAGAAGGAUGCUCCACAGCUUGGGCAUUGUAGUACACUCUCGUGUUUACCCAGCUAGAAGGAUCCUUCCUUAUCCUUGUACUCCUUCUUAGUGGCUGCACAACGGGUUCUUCUUCCUGUUGUUCUUCUACCACUUCAUCUUGAGAAGGUGUUUGCCUCACACCAUGAUCAUGACCAUGACCAUCAGAGCCUAUGCUCUCUUCUCCUUCAUUCUCUACUCCUCCUUCAUCCUGGUUAGCCUCUUGCAUAGGUUCCUCAUGCUCCUCUCCUCCCUCAUGAUCAAGGUGGGAUGGUGAACCAACUUCAGGAGGUGUAGUUGUGUGAUUCCUUGGAUCCUGGGAUGUACUGAUUCCAAGACCUUCAAGGAUGAUCCGCAAGGUGGUGGCCUUGUCUGAUGUUAAGUCCUUCAGGUCUUCUUGGUUCUUUUCUUCAUAGUAUCCUCUAUCUUCUAAGAACUUCACAUCUCUAGAUACAAGUACUCUCCUUGCUAUAGGAUCAUAGCAUUUGUAUCCUUUCUGUGUAGCUGAGUAUCCUAUGAACACAGCCUUAGUACUUCUUGCUUCUAGCUUGUUGAUCAUCUCUCCUGGUUUGAGCACAAAGCAUAGGCAUCCAAAGACUCGCAAGUAAUCAAGUGCUGGUUUGUACCUGUUCAGAACUUCAAAUGGAGCCUUCUCAUUCAGAACCUUGGUUGGAGUUCUGUUGAUCAAGUAACAAGCAGUGGCAACCGCAUCACUCCAAAAUCUCUUUGGAACAUUACUCUGAAACAUAAGAGACCUUGCCACUUCCAUGAGGUGCCUAUUCUUCCUCUCAGCCACUCCAUUCUGCUGUGGAGUAUACGGACAGCUUGUUUGAUGUAGGAUCCCAUGCUGUGAUAAGUGUUGCUUGAAUGCAUGACUUGUGUAUUCUCCUCCAUUAUCUGAUCUCAAAAUUUUAAUCUUAGCAUGAUAAUGGUUAGUUACAUAAGUUUGAAAGUUCCUAAAUGCAUCAAGUACCCUAUCUUUGGUCUGAAUUAAGGUUAACCAGGUGUAUUUGGAUUUUUCAUCAAUGAAUGUGACAAAGUACUUAUAACUAUCUCUAGAUAAGCAAGGAGCAGUCCACACAUCCGAAUGAAUUAGAUCAAAGCAAUUAUCAUAAACGGUAGUAGACUUUUGAAACACAGUUCUACAAUGCUUGCCUAAAAUACAAGCUUCACAAUCUUUGUUCUCAAACACAACACCUGGUACCAUUAAGUUCAAAGCUUUAACAUGAGGGUGUCCUACUCUAGCAUGCCACAAUGCAUUUUUAUUCAACAAAGAAGCAGAAGUAAACGAGCAACUAUAAUCAGGAACAGAAGUGAGUUCUUCAAGCAUAUAGAGAUCUCCCUUAGUCACCCCUUUCCCAAUCAAUCUGCUGCUCUCAAUAUCCUGAAACUUCACAUCAUUAGGACUAAAGAUAACAUUGCAUUGUAAAUCAUUAGUACAUUUCUUCACAGAUAAUAGGUUUGAUGUGAAUUCAGGCAUGUAAAAGGCUCUAGAUUCUUUAUUAAACAACUUAAGCUUUCCUAUUCCUCUAAUAGGUAUCUUAUCCCCAUUUGCUAUCAUCACAUGCCCAUGUGUAGGUUCUAUAUCCUUAAUCAAGUUUUCAUCACUUAUCAUAUGAUGUGAUGCACCAGAAUCAACAAUCAAUGGUUUACCUACUCGUUUAGCAUUAUGACACAGAUUACUAAGCAAUGGAUGCAUCCUAUCAGUUCUAGCAAUGUGAGCAUUUCUAUAAUCAUUUCUAGCUUCUAACCGUUCUACUAGUUCUCUAAUCAAUUGAUCAUCCUUAUAUGCAAUCAUAGAAGCUCCAAAGGAAUAACCAUAAGUGUUACCGUUUUCCUUUAGCAUUUUGAAGAGAGCAUCAAGGUCUGAUCUCUUGAUGUAGUCAUCAUUGCUGCGUGAGCUUGAGGCGCCUGUGUAAGCCACCAGAGACUUCCCAUUCCCAUCAUUGCCUCCAAGCCCAUCCGCUUCACUCGCCUUGCUGGUGCCAGCUCCACUUGAACCUUCAGUCACAUUUGCCCUUCCCUCACGCUCCUUCAUGAACUUGGCCGGCUUGAGGUGUGGGUGUAGUAUCCAGCAUUGGCUCUUCUUAUGACCAUGUUUCUUGCAAUGAUCACAGUUGCCAUUGAACUUCCUGUCCUCGUACUUCCCGUGAGAUGCCUUGUUUGCUUGUGGAGCCUCGGUUGAGUCCUCAUGAGCUGCUUGAUUGGCAAGAGAGAGCUCCCCCUUUCCUCCAAACAACCCCAUAGAUCCCUGCUCCCUUUGGAUUUGCGCACACACCUCCUCAAGGUCCGGAAGCUUGUCUGACCUCAGCAUGUGCUGGAUGAGUUGAGUGUAGGCCGGGUUCAGCGUGAGAAGCAACCCAAAGACCUUGUCUUGCUCGCGCCUCUCAUUCAACUGAUCUGGAUCAGUUGUGCUCGGCCUCAGCAUCUCCAGCUCUGACCAUAAGGACCUGAACCUCCCCAAGUGCUUAGUGAACUCCAUGUCCUCUUGUGCAAGACGGUUGAUCGCUAGCUUCACUUCAAACACACGGCUGAGGUUGGAAGUGUUCCCAUACACCUUCUUCAGCGUGUCCCACAGCUCCUUGGCUGAUUCACAGUAGCUGUAGGCAUCCAAGAUAGCUGGGUCCAAGGAUGCGUGUAGAACCGUCAUCACCAGCAUGUCUUCUUGUUGCCAUUUCUCCACAGCCGCUUCAUUGGAGACCUCUUCUUGAUCUCCUCCCUGAGUAAUGAGUUUCGGAGCCUCCCCUGUUGUGAUGUGCCCCCACAAACCCUUACUUCCCACAGCAGUCUUCACCAUCCGAGACCACACAAGGUAGUUGCUACCUUUGAACGUAACCGCUACCUUCAUCCUCAUGUUCAUCCCAUGUUCCAUCUUUGCUUGACUUGAAAACUUGAAUCUUGAAUCUCGUACACACCAACCUUGAGUCUAGAAUCACGCAACCACACAGAACGUAGCACAGCUUCAACUAGAACGUAACACAGCUUCAACACCUUCAAGACUACUCGCGUGUAGCUUCAAAGCCGUUAGCUUGUAACUCUCUAAAGAUCAAACCCCAGAUUCAAACGAACCUGGCUCUGAUACCAUCUGAGAUUAAGAGAUCCUUAGAGUAAUCAGAAUAAAGAGAGUGUUUAAGAAGUGAUUAAGAGAAGUUUGUGAAAGAUUAAGAGAUUAGAUAGAGCCGUUUAGAGUCUAAGAGAGAACCAUAGUGUCUAAGAGAUUAGAGAGACUCAAACUGCAUAAUCUUAUUAAUGAGUGAGGUUACAUAUUUAUAUAGAAAGCAUUAGGGUUUACAAGAGGCGAAAUGGGCACUAUUGGAGCAUGUAGAGUCAAGGAUGCUUUCCGGAUGAUUGGAUGAUAAGGCUCACACGCUUUGCCUCUUUACAGCCUGUUCCAGCCUGGCACGCUCUUCCCUUAUCCUCUCAACGGUCUGAUCCCGCUCUUCCCUUAUCCAUUCAACGGUCUGAUCCCUUCUCUUUAAGUCCCCAAGUUACCAUUUCCUUGUUACCGUUUCACUUGGUCGAGUUGGGUAAGUUUUGGUCGAGACCCUUUGGUACGGACGGUACGGCCAUGUACGGCCUUGUACGGACGUCCGUACCAUUCACACCCAAACUCCCUAAGCUUCUCCAUCUCUUCUCCUCUUCAACUCCUCUUCUCUCUAUACUCAUAUAAUCAACUCAACUCAACACUCCCCCUCAAGCUUAGCUUUGUGAAAGCCUAAGCUUGGAAAGCUACAAGAUCUUCCUCAUUAAAAACCUCACCAACGAAAACCCAAUGGGAUAAAACUUUGAUGAGGGAAAAAGAGUAAAGACCUUGCAGCUAAGGGGAUUAGCUCCUUCUCUUCCCAAGAUCUAUGAGUCCCAAUCUGAUGUGAAUGGACUCCAUAGUCUUUUGCCUUGCAGCCUUGGUGAACACAUCCGCUAGCUGAUCUUCACUCCUUGUAUAGCAUGGCAAGAUCACCCCUAGCACAAUCAUCUGUCUCACCUUGUGGCAAUCAACUUCAAUGUGCUUGGUCCUCUCAUGAAACACCGAGUUGGAUGCAAUGUGGAUGGCAGCUUGAUUGUCACAAUGCAUUGUCAUUGGAGUUGCUUGAUCAAUCUCCAAGUGCUUCAAGAUGCCUUUGAUCCAUACCAACUCGGUGGUAAGCUUCAGCAUGGCUCUAUACUCGGCUUCUGCACUUGAACAUGACACUACCUUCUGCUUCUUGCUCUUCCAAGUCACCAAGUUGCCUCCAAUGAAUGUGCAAUAGCCUGUGGUUGAUCUCCUGUCUGCUCUAUCACCAGCCCAAUCCGCAUCACAGUAUCCCACCACUUCAGUGCUUCCAUUGCAGCCCAUCCAUACUCCUUGAUCAGGUGAGCCGUUGAGAUACAUCAAGAUCCUCUCCACCAUGCGCCAGUGAUGUUCCUUAGGCACUUGCAUGUGUUGACUCACCUGAUUCACAGCAAAACAGAUGUCAGGUCUAGUUAUAGUAAGAUAAAUCAAUUUGCCAACUAGUUUUCUAUAGAGUUUAGGAUCCUGAUAAGGUUUGCUGUCUUCAAUCUCCCCCUCUCGUGGGACUUUGUAGCCAUCCUCCAUAGGCAUCCUUGCUGUCUUGCCUCCAUAAGCACCUGCACCUUUCAAAAGAUCAAGUGUAUAUUUCCUUUGGGACAUGAAUAAACCUUCCUUGGAUCUACAUAUCUCAAUUCCAAGGAAGUAUUUCAUUUCUCCCAAGUCUUUAAUCUCAAACAUGGUUUUAAGAAACUCCUUGGUUGCUAUGAUACCUUCCUUAUCACUCCCUGUGAUAAUGAUAUCAUCAACAUACACAAGGAGUGCAAUCAUACCUGAGGGAGUCGUGAGAGUGAAGAGAGUGUGAUCUAGUUCAGACUUCUUGAAGCCUCGACCAUUCAGAGUAGUGCUCAACUUGUUGUACCAAGCUCUUGGUGAUUGCUUCAGCCCAUAGAUGGCUUUCUUCAGUCUCAACACAUUCCCACUCUUCACUAAGUGUUCAAGGCCUGGAGGUGGAUGCAUAUACACUUCAUCCUCAAGUUCACCUUGUAGAAACGCAUUCUUCACAUCCAUUUGCCAUAACCCCCAUCCAAGAUUCACAGCCAAGCUUAGUACAAUCCGGAUUGUGUGUAGUUUAGCUACUGGAGCAAAGGUUUCUAUGUAAUCUUCUCCAUAAGUUUGAGUGAAACCUCUUGCAACUAGCCUUGACUUCUUCCUCUCAAUCUUUCCAUCCGCUUUGUACUUGAUUGUGAAUAUCCACCUACUGGUCACAGCCUUCUUCCCUUUUGGUAACUCACUCUCGUACCAUGUAUCAUUCUUGAUCAUAGCUCCUGCCUCAGCUCCAACUGAUUCCUUCCAUUCUUUAUCCAUGAUUGCUUCUUCAUAGCUUCUUGGGAUGUAGUUCUCAUCCAAGUUAACCAUGAAGGCACAAUGUUCUUCUGGAUAUUGAGCAAAGGAGCACACGGCUUGAGAAGGAUGCUCCACAGCUUGGGCAUUGUAGUACACUCUCGUGUUUACCCAGCUAGAAAGUACACUCUCGUGUUUACCCAGCUUGGGCAUUGUAGUACACUCUCGUGUUUACCCAGCUAGAAGGAUCCUUCCUUAUCCUUGUACUCCUUCUUAGUGGCUGCACAACGGGUUCUUCUUCCUGUUGUUCUUCUACCACUUCAUCUUGAGAAGGUGUUUGCCUCACACCAUGAUCAUGACCAUGACCAUCAGAGCCUAUGCUCUCUUCUCCUUCAUUCUCUACUCCUCCUUCAUCCUGGUUAGCCUCUUGCAUAGGUUCCUCAUGCUCCUCUCCUCCCUCAUGAUCAAGGUGGGAUGGUGAACCAACUUCAGGAGGUGUAGUUGUGUGAUUCCUUGGAUCCUGGGAUGUACUGAUUCCAAGACCUUCAAGGAUGAUCCGCAAGGUGGUGGCCUUGUCUGAUGUUAAGUCCUUCAGGUCUUCUUGGUUCUUUUCUUCAUAGUAUCCUCUAUCUUCUAAGAACUUCACAUCUCUAGAUACAAGUACUCUCCUUGCUAUAGGAUCAUAGCAUUUGUAUCCUUUCUGUGUAGCUGAGUAUCCUAUGAACACAGCCUUAGUACUUCUUGCUUCUAGCUUGUUGAUCAUCUCUCCUGGUUUGAGCACAAAGCAUAGGCAUCCAAAGACUCGCAAGUAAUCAAGUGCUGGUUUGUACCUGUUCAGAACUUCAAAUGGAGCCUUCUCAUUCAGAACCUUGGUUGGAGUUCUGUUGAUCAAGUAACAAGCAGUGGCAACCGCAUCACUCCAAAAUCUCUUUGGAACAUUACUCUGAAACAUAAGAGACCUUGCCACUUCCAUGAGGUGCCUAUUCUUCCUCUCAGCCACUCCAUUCUGCUGUGGAGUAUACGGACAGCUUGUUUGAUGUAGGAUCCCAUGCUGUGAUAAGUGUUGCUUGAAUGCAUGACUUGUGUAUUCUCCUCCAUUAUCUGAUCUCAAAAUUUUAAUCUUAGCAUGAUAAUGGUUAGUUACAUAAGUUUGAAAGUUCCUAAAUGCAUCAAGUACCCUAUCUUUGGUCUGAAUUAAGGUUAACCAGGUGUAUUUGGAUUUUUCAUCAAUGAAUGUGACAAAGUACUUAUAACUAUCUCUAGAUAAGCAAGGAGCAGUCCACACAUCCGAAUGAAUUAGAUCAAAGCAAUUAUCAUAAACGGUAGUAGACUUUUGAAACACAGUUCUACAAUGCUUGCCUAAAAUACAAGCUUCACAAUCUUUGUUCUCAAACACAACACCUGGUACCAUUAAGUUCAAAGCUUUAACAUGAGGGUGUCCUACUCUAGCAUGCCACAAUGCAUUUUUAUUCAACAAAGAAGCAGAAGUAAACGAGCAACUAUAAUCAGGAACAGAAGUGAGUUCUUCAAGCAUAUAGAGAUCUCCCUUAGUCACCCCUUUCCCAAUCAAUCUGCUGCUCUCAAUAUCCUGAAACUUCACAUCAUUAGGACUAAAGAUAACAUUGCAUUGUAAAUCAUUAGUACAUUUCUUCACAGAUAAUAGGUUUGAUGUGAAUUCAGGCAUGUAAAAAGCUCUAGAUUCUUUGUUAAACAACUUAAGCUUUCCUAUUCCCUUAAUAGGUAUCUUAUCCCCAUUUGCUAUCAUCACAUGCCCAUGAGUAGGUUCUAUAUAUCCUUAAUCAAGUUUUCAUCACUUAUCAUUGUUAACUUGAAGAGAAGAAGUGGAGAAGCAAAGGUGAUGAGUUGAGUUGGUGCUUGUGCAAAGACAUGGCAAGAUCUUCAGAGAUUGUAUGUUAAGGCUUUGGGAGAGUCUUAAGGCUUCAGAAGUGGUCUGAUGAGUGUGCAAAGAUAGGGUUUAAGUCCAGGAGGGACUUAGACACCAUUUAGAGAAGAUUUGGGUCAGACAGUAACUCCAAAGUUACCACAGUAACUUUAGAGAGUUACCACAGUAACUUUGGAGAGUUACCACAGUAAGAUUGGAGAAGUUUGGGCAAGUUGGUGUAAAAAUGAAUAGUGAAACACUAGUCACUAUUCAGGUUGACUAUUCACUUUUUGGGUCACUAUUCAGGAUGUUAAGAGUGCAUAGUGUAUGGAUAAGGCACCAAGGUUUGAAUCUAGUCAAAGGGAAUCAAGAAAGCAUCAAGAAGAUGCUGUGUGGAGCUGAUUGGUUACUUUGGGGCAUGGACAGGCUGGCUGGAGCUGUAAAGAGGAAGGCAGCCACGACCAUGAACCUAGACUGAUCUGUGGACAGAUACAAAGGAGCCUAAGAAGAACCAAUCAAAGCACAGCCCUUGUUUGAAUUAAAGUGAGCCAGCUUAGCUUAUCCAAUCAGCACACAUCACUCAGAUUAGAACAAGACCAACUCAUCCUCACCAUCCAUUCCUCUUAAGUUAUUUCUAUCCAUUAGAUAUAGGUUUAUGAGUUUGCAAGAGUGUAAAACAUAUAUAAAGACCCUCAUGGGCGUUUGUAACUCUCUUAAGAGAGUAUGGGGGAUUUCCCCAUCUCCUUCAUAAUUAUAAAAGUGUGUUCUUGGUCAGAUUCCCUUAAUCUACCCCUUUCUUAGUCUCUAAUCUCUUAAUCUCUCUAAGUCUCCUUAUUUCUGAUUCAAGUUCAUACUAGUUUCAUCAGACCUCUUAUUCAACUAGUUCAAGACCUUAUCUUUGCCUUUAAUGGCUUUUCAUACACAUACACAGCCAGAGCUCUCAAAUCUCAUAUGGUAUCAGAGCCAGGUUCAUCAGAACCUGAGCUGAGCUUCCGCAAAUCCACAGCUCUCAUCUCAGCUCAAACCAAACCCUUGAAGACAUUACCAGCCGAGUUCAGUUCUUGAAGAAGAAAGAAGCUUGAAGCGUGGAGUGUUCUCCUUAUCUCUCAACCGUGCCUGUCUUUAUCUGAUGGAGAGUGUCUCUUUGGAAGCAGAGGAGGAUGGAGAGGCGUCAUGAACCUCAAGCCAAAGCUCCUUGUCCAAGAGCUUAUCACAUCCGGAUACAAGAAAGAUGAAGCUAAGAGAAGCCGGUUUGAAGUAUGAAGAAAGGAGGGGUCUUCGGGUGUGAGAAACAAGAAGGAGGCCAUGGACUGAAGGAGAAGGAGUUGGGUGACGAUCCAGACUCUUAAAUCCAACCUGGUUCCUUGUGUAAGCGAUUCUUUAAAACCUUCUUGAUAUUGAGCUUGUGUUGUGACUGUGCCUGGUUAUUGUGAUGUGUAUUGAUUGAAAAACCUGAGGAUAAUGUGUGAUUGCUAAAUAUAACUAGUUGAAUCUGUCCCAGGAUGCUCUAAAGGCUUGUUUAGUGUUUAAAGAGUAAAAUGCUUGCUCCUGUUAAGUAAUGAGUUCUCUAAAUGUGAAAUGAUAUUGUUUGAAGCUCAUGAACUGAAAACAGAUUGAAAGUAAUGCAUUGUCUGAUGUUAAGUGAUGAUAGUAAUGCUUAGCCUAAGUUAUAAAUGAAUGUGUGAUGGAUUGUAUUGUUGCAUUCAUGAAUUAAAACUGAUUAAGGUUAGUGCAUACUGUCAAAUGGCUGUCUUACAUUGAGGCAUUAGAUUCAUGUCUAAAUGCUGAGUAAAGAAGCUUUAAAAAAUUGCCUAAGUAGCUUGUAUUGAAUCUGUUAUGAUCUUACUUGUGCUUAGAGAGUUUGCUUGCAAAGAUUAGAACUUGAAAAUGACUUGUUUAAUCUGUUGCAAUGCUUGUGAUAUUGGGAAUCAAACUUGAUGAUUAAUCAAGGAUUGAUCUCAAUACUAUUGUGUCUUAUCUUUGCUGGAGUUUGAGUGAUGUUUCAGGUUCACAAGAGGUGUUCUUGGUUCAGCAUCCAUCCGAGUUGAAAGAGGAAGACUUUGCCCAUUGUGUGGAGCAAUGGAGAGUUGAGAAAGAAAUGGUGAUGUGCCACUGGUGUGAAGUCUCACUGAAGCUCACUUGCAAGCUUGGACCUAUACUCAAUCCAAGCUUGAGGAGGGGAGUUUAGUGAGCUUCUAAGCGAUCAAAGAAGUGCAUUGCAAGCAUCUGAAGAAGGAGCCAUCCGGGCUUAGGCUGUGGCGAGUCUAUUCAAGAGAGUACUCAAACUAAGACAGAGUACUCUUGGCUGUGAGAAGAUGAAGGCAACUCUAUCAAGGCGGCUUCUAGUGUGAAGUGAUUGGAGAAAUAGCUGAAGCUUCCACAAGCAUUCCAUAAAGAUGGCGAGAUCAGAGGAGAGGCUGCAAUGGUGUGUGUGUGAGGAUCAUGAAGCAAUCCAUUCAAUCUUGUUCCUGUGAGAGUCUCAAGCUUGAGGGGGAGUGUUGAAGCUUACAUGAUCCAAGAGAGCUUGGUGGUUAUUCUAGAAGAGGAAGCAACCUGUUGAGAAGUAUGAUGAAGGAUGAAGAAGCAAUGUCCAAGGCGGCUUCAAGUGUUGAGGUGAUUGGAGAGUAGCUGAAGCAUCCUCAUGUAGCUCAAGCAACAAGGUGGAGACUCUAUAAGAAGAAGAAGCAGCCAAGACUCAGUAAGAGAAGUUGUAUCUCCAAGAAGAGGCUGAUCUGGUGUGUCCGAGCACUUCAACCUAACAAGAGGUUAGGUGAAAGGGGGAGAGACCAAGAUUAGGCAGUAAGGAGAGUACAAGGCGUGGGAUGAUUGUAGAGGCCAUGAUCCAUAGUCUUUGUUGUUGAGAUGAGUGCACUAUAGUAUGAAGAAGAAGUCCGAGAUGGUGUAGAAGUCUUGAGGAGUUAAUAAGCAAGUAAGAGAAGGAGCAUGUACGGACAGACAGUACGGAUAGGGCGAGCAGUACGGACGCAGGCCGUACCAACGACCAUCCGCAAGAAGUAACUCGGCCAAGGUUAAAUGUAAACUGGCUGGAGUUACUUUACCUUACUUACCUUGAGUCUGAAGUUGAGCUGAACGUUAGAAGGAUAAGGGAUGCGCAUCUGACAGCCUGUCAUAGGCUGGAAAGGUAAAGGCAUAUUCAAAGAUGCUUUACACAUGUGGAGACUCUCAUUGGAAGGAUUCAAAUGAGCUCUUAGCUGGUUAUUGACUUCACAUGCUUUCUACUUUAUGUAAUCGAAAUCCUAGUGUCUUAAGCUUCCUGUAUAAGUGUAAACUCUCUCAUUAAUAAGAUCAAGCAAGUUAUGAGUCUCUCUUAGUCUUUAUUCUCUCAAUGAUUCUAUACUAGACUCCUAAUCUCAUUUCAUACUCAAAUCUCUUCUAAAUCACUUCUAGUCUUUCUUAUUUACUCAGAUUACUCUACUCAAUCCUAAAAGUGAUAUGGUAUCAGAGCCAGGUUGAUAGGAAACUUGGUUUCGUUGGGUUCUUUGAAGAUUCAAGAUUGAAGCUUUGAAGAAACAGUUUAGUGUUCUUGUGUUCUUAAGCGGUUCUAGGUAGUCUUUCUGAGUUCUAUUGGUUGUGUGAGGUGUUAUUGAAGCUGUGUGGGUAAAAGGUGAAGCUGCUAGUGUUCACUCAAGACAGUUACCUCAAGAGAAAGUUAUUGAAGUCUAAAGGGUUCUACAUUCAACAUGGAGAGUGGGAUGAACAUGAACAUGAAGGUGGCGGUUUGUUUCAAGGGAAACAACUACUUGGUGUGGUCUCGGUUGGUGAGAACCACAGUGGGAAGCAAGGGGCUUUGGAAGCACAUCACGCCAGGAGCAGCUCCAAAGCUCAUCACUCAAGGAGAGGCUGAAGAUGAAGCCGCAAGCAAGGCAGAAGAGAAGUGGCAUCAAGAGGACAUGUUGGUGAUGUAUGUGCUUCAUGCGUCCCUUAAGCCGGCUAUUCUAGAUGCAUACAGCUACUGUGAGUCUGCUAAAGAGCUGUGGGAUACCUUGAAGAAGGUGUAUAGCAACACUUCAAACCUAAGCCGAGUGUUUGAAGUGAAGCAAGAUAUCAACAACCUUGUACAAGAAGACAUGGAGUUCACUAAGCAUCUAGGAAGAUUCAGAAGCCUCUGGUCCGAGAUGGAGAUGCUUAGGCCAAGCACAAUGGAUGCUGAUGAGCUUAACAAGAGGAGAGAGCAAGAUAAGGUAUUUGGGCUACUCCUCACCUAAACCCGGCGUACAACGGUCUCAUCCAGCACCUACUUAGGGAGGAUACUCUACCUGACCUUGAGGAUGUGUGUGCGCGGAUUCAGAAGGAGCAAGGCUCCAUUGGGCUGUUUGGGAAGAAAGGAGACCUUUCCCUUGCAAGUCAAGCAACUCAAGAGGAGGGGAGUGAAGCUCCACAAGCAAACAAGGCUGCGCAUGGGAAGUUUGAGGAGAGGAGGUUCAAUGGGAGUUGUGAUCACUGCAAGAAGCAUGGCCACAAGAAGAGUCAAUGCUGGAUACUCCACCCUCAUCUCAAGCCGGCUAAGUUCAUGAAGGAUCGUGAGGCAAGGGCUAAUGUCUCGGAUGGUACAAGUGGAGCUGGUACAAGAAAAGGAAAGGAGAUAGAUGGGCGUGAGGCAGGUGAUGGGAAGUCUCUUGUAGCCUACACUGGAGCACCAAGCAACCGUGGGAACAAUGAUCAAGAGUAUCUAAGGAGAUCCGACCUUGAUGCUCUCAUUAAGUUGUUCAAGGAGAAUGGUAACACCUUUGGGUAUUCUUUUGGUGCUAGGGUGGUAGAGAACUAUGAGAAUCUAACUAGAACUGAUAGGAUGCAUGAGAGCUUGAUAUAAAUGGUAAAUCAAUCUAGGAUUGCAAACUUUGCUAGAAAUGAUCAUGCAUUCAAACCAUCUAGUAUCCUUGCGCAUAUUGCUAGUUCUCAUGACAUUAAGCCAUUAGUGAUUGAUUCAGGUGCAUCUCAUCAUAUGAUAAGUGACACUAACUUGAUUAAAAACAUUGUACCAAUGAAUGGAAAUGUGAUGAUUGCUAAUGGAGAUAAGAUUCCUAUUAGAGGAAUAGGAAGUCUUAAACUGUUUGAUAAGGAAACUAAAGCUUUUUAUAUGCCUGAAUUUACUUCAAAUUGUUAUCUGUUAAGAAGUGUGCUACUGAUUUGCAAUGCAAUGUUAUAUUCAGUCCUAAUGAUGUGAAGUUUCAGGAUAUUAAAAGCAGCAAGAUGAUUGGAAAGGGAGUGACUAAAGGAGAGCUAUAUUUACUUGAAGAUCUCACUCCUGUUUCUAGAUAUAGCUGCUCGUUUACUUCUGUUUCUGGUUCUAGUUUAAGUAAAAAUGCAUUGUGGCAUGCUAGAUUAGGACACCCUCAUAAUAAGGCUUUAAAACUGAUGUUGCCAGGUGUUUCCUUUGAGAAUAUUGAGUGUGAAGCUUGCAUUUUAGGCAAGCAUUGUAGAACUGUCUUUACCAAGUGUACUACUGUUUAUGAAAAAUGUUUUGAUCUUAUUCAUUCUGAUGUUUGGACUGCACCNNNNNNNNNNNNNNNNNNNNNNNNNNNNNNNNNNNNNNNNNNNNNNNNNNNNNNNNNNNNNNNNNNNNNNNNNNUGUCGGCUACCCAUAUGAACUAGAUCAAGUGGUGGCAGACGAGCCGAUUCUCCGAAGAGCAUCUCCGUCUGUCCGGGUCUGAUCUAUAUGAGAAAAGAUAUAUCCUCUAGUUCUUGCUUCUUUCGCUAGCGUGUCCGCUCGACCAUUCCUACUCCGAGGAAUAUGAGACACGCUCACAUCUUCGAAGUCUUCCUGUAAUCUCCGGAACAUCUCGAUCUCUAUCGCAAAAGUUGGCCACUCCACCGGGUUCGUAGUCAUGUCCACAAGGUCCGAACAAUCCGUCUCGAACCGUAUCGAAGGCAUCCUCAUGGUUCUCAUACAUGAGAUAGCCCAAAGUAAACCUUCCAUCUCAGCAUGCAAAGCUGAGAGGCUUCUAUUACACGCCCGUACUCCAAAGUGUUCCGAGCCCAACUGAUCCUUAAGACUCCACCCUAAGCCACUAACGCUGCCAUUGUUGACCCAUGAUGCAUCAAUUUGACAGGUAGGGAUUCGGGGUAUCCAAGGGGGCACUAUCUCUCUCUCUAUAGUAGAGGAGUCGUCAUGAUCCUCAAUUACUUCCUCCUUUUCAUUAGCUUUCCUCCAACAUUCCGCCUCAAGAGACGCAUGUUGGAUAAUAUCCAUCGGGGAAACGACUUUCCCAUUAAAGAGUUUGUCGUUCCUCCCCUUCCAAAUGUACUAACAGAUCCAUGGGAAGGUAUCGAAUUGUGGUCUCAGUGGAGCCACCUCUUUUCUCUUCCAAAACAGGAAGUUCAUGUUUUGAUAUGUAGAUGUACUCGGGAAGUAACCCGGAAGGGACGGAUAGUCCGAUAAAGCCCAAACCUGAAGGGCAGGAGGGCAUUCAAAAAGAAGAUGAUUAAUCGACUCCACUGGGUCAGCACAUCUAGGACAACUCCUAUCGGUGCCCAGGUGUCUAUACGCUAGCCUUUCUGCCGUCGCCACACAUCCCGAUAUUGCUUGCCACAGGAAAUGUUUCAUCUUGGUCGGGGUCUUUAGCUUCCAUACAUGGCUCUGAAGGCUCGUAAUACUCGGUUCUAUGGCCCCUUCAUGUGUGAGGCUCUGCUUGGUUUCUUGGAGAAGGUCGUAACCGGUUUUAACUGAGUAGAUUCCUGUUUUUGUAUGAUGCCAAACAUAUCCAUCUGGGGCCGAAGUGUGUGAUAGUUUUAGCCCCAGUAUCAGCGGAAUAUCCUCCGGGUGGAAAAGAUCUCGUAAGAGUUGUAUAUCCCACUCCUUGGUAUCAGUCCUAAUAAAGGACUGAACAAGAAGUUGAGGUAGUCUGUAAACAAUAUGGCUAGCAGGUCUGGGUGGUCUAGCCAUUGAGUCUGGAAUCCAUGCCUCACUCCAGACCCUUGUAUCUCGACCGGUACCAAUAGUUUUCCGUAAUCCGGAAAUGAGUAGAGGUUUUGCUGCCAUGAUACUACGCCAUCCAUAUGAUGGUGAGUAUGCUCGUCGAUCUUCCAAAGGAGAGGUGCGGUUGUAGUAUCUUCCUUUUAAGACUCGUGCCAAUAAAGAAUUUGGGUAAUGAAUUAAUCUCCAUAAUUGUUUAGCAAGAAGCGCUAUAUUGAAGUCAUGAAGAUCACGAAAACCUAGUCCCCCGGAGUCUUUGGGUGUACAGAUCUCGUCCCAUGCUAUCCAAUGUAAACCUCUACUGUUUUGUUUUGAGCUCCACCAAAAAUUUGAAGUUGUGCUCCUUAGUUUAUCAGUAAUGCCUUGUGGAAGCAAAUAACUCGACAUCACAUAGGUUGGUACUGAUUGAGUCACAGAUUUAAUCUGGACCUCUUUCCCCCCUUUGGAUAGGAGUCUAGAUGACCAAUUGUUAACUCGCCCAUUUAAUCGAUCUUGUACAAAAGAGAACACUUUCAUCUUAGAACCACAUAUUUGCUCGGGUAGCCCAAGAUACAUCCCCAUGCCUCCUUCCGAAAAAAAACCAAGAGCUUCUUUUAUGUCUUGCUUCAGAGACAAAUGUACUUUAUUUCCAAAAAAGACCGAGGAUUUUGUUGCAUUUAGUCGCUGUCCUGAUGCCUUCCCAUAUAUGUCUAAGAUGUCUAUGAUCUCCUUGCAUUGGCUUACUUCCGCCUUACAGAAGAAGAGACUGUCAUCUGCAAAUAGAAGAUGGGAGAUCCUUGGGCUCGCCCUAGCAACCCGAAGGCCUUCAAUCUUUUUUUCUGCUUCAGCUCCGUUUAAAAGUGAGAUCAAGGCCUCCGUACACAUGAUGAACAAAAAGGGAGAGAGAGGAUCUCCUUGUCUCAACCCUCUCCUAGGUAAUAUUCGCCCUCUUGGUUGCCCAUUAACUAAAAUUUGGUAUGUGACCGACGUGACACAACACAUAAUGAGGUCAACCAGUCUUUCAUCAAAACCCAUCUUUAACAUCAAGGCUGCAAGGAAGUUCCAUUCCACUCUGUCAUAAGCUUUGCUCAUAUCCGUUUUAAUAGCCAUAAAGUCUUCUCUACAUCUUGGGUUCGUCCGUAGGGCGUGAAAAUUUUCUUGUGCUAUCAAGAUAUUAUCAGUGAUCAAACGUUUCGAUACAAAAGCAGAUUGCGUCUCUGAGAUCAAGUGCGGGAUUACCCUCUUAAGUCUCUUGCAAAGUAGCUUAGAUAUAAUCUUGUAGCUAACAUUACAAGACUAAUAGGUCUGAACUCAGUCAUGUCUCGAGGUUUCUUCUUCUUAGGAAUGAGACAAAUAUUUGUCUGGUUUAAUAGUGGGUCGAAACUGCCCGUCGCAAAGAAGUCUUGCACAAGUCUAAUAAUGUCUUGACGCAUCUCGCGCCAGAAUUUUUGAAACAGUUUACUAGUCAUGCCAUCUGGUCCGGGAGCUUUAUCUGGGUUGAUGUCGAAGAGAGCUCUCCUAAUUUCCUGUUCCGAAGGUUUCUCCAAAAGUAAAAUAUUAUCAUCAUGGGACACCUUUCCAGAAAUGAAUCGAAGCGAGGUGUCUAGCUCUGUCGGCGAAGAGGUAGAGAAGAGGUCUCGAAAGUAUUGAACAGCCACGUUCUCCACCUCGAUUUCACUCUCUACCAGCCUCCCAUUUUUAUCUUUAAUACUGAUGAUCCUGUUUUGGGCUCUUCGUUGUUUUGUGGUGGCAUGAUGAAAUUUCGUAUUUCUGUCCCCAUCUCUGUGCCACUGGUCUCGACUUUUUUGUUCCCAAAACAUGUUUUCUUCUCGAAAGGCCAAGAUUAAUUGUCUCCUAAAAUCUUCUAAUUCUUCAGUCGUAGAGUUUUCAUCAUCUUGUGCCAAGUCUAUCUUCUGUUUUAACUCUUUAAUAAGUAUAGCAAAGUUCAUUGGAUUUUGCUUCUUCCAAAAACUGAUUUUAUUUCGGCAUGAGAUAACUUUUUGAUGAAAAUUUCGAACUGGAAUUGCAUCAAAAUGUCCCCAUCCCGAGGUUACUGCUUCUUUGAAACCCGGUUUUCCUAUCCAUCUUUUGUCAAAUCUGAAGCUCUUCUUUGUCCGCCGAACAUUCGAUUGAAUACGUGCUACGACUGGCCUAUGGUCCGAGCCCCACAAUUGUAAAAAUUCCACAAUGGAAUGAUGAAAAAGGGCGUGCCAUUCUUCAUUUGCAACUGCUCUAUCCAGUUUGCAUUUAACUUUACCGGAUCAUCUUUUCCCCACCCACGAGAAUGAAUUUCCUUUAUAUGGGAAUUCGAGCAUUCCACAAUUUUCCAACAUGAUACGGAAAGGGAGAAAAGAACUCUCUAAACGACGCCUUCCUCCCCUCUUCUCAUGAUUUCCAGUAAUCUCAUUGAAAUCUCCAAUCAUAAACCACGCUCCCCCACGGUUGGUACUCAUGCGUGACAAUCUUUCCCAAACUAGGUCUCGAUAUCGAACGACAGGGUCUCCAUACACGAAGGUCAUAAAAAUCGUGUGUCCUUCAAGUCUAGUUUCAAUAUCAAUCAUAUGCGCAUCCGUAUAUAAGAUAGUAACCGAGGGAUCAUCCAUAUAAAAGAGUGCAAGUCCGCCACUUCUACCAACAGGGUCUACAGUACAAACAUGAUCAUAUCCAAAAGAAACUUGCACAUUUUGCAAAAAACUCCGAUUGUUCUUAGUCUCCGAAAGAAAUAAAAAUCUAGGCAAAAAGCAAUGAAACAACUCAUGUAGAUGUUCCUUGGUCAAGUCGGCUCCCGCCCCUUGACAAUUCCAUGCAACUGUGUUCAUCCUGGGAUUUUUGGUGGUUUGUUGCUUCCCACCUUAGAUGAUUUCUUGCUGUUCUUCGAAAACAUUUUCUGAAUUUCCAGUUUAUGAAAAGUGUUUUGAUCUCAUUCAUUCUGAUGUUUGGACUGCACCUUGCCUAUCUAGAGAAAACCAUAAGUAUUAUGUAACUUUCAUUGAUGAAAAAUCCAAAUACACCUGGUUAACCUUAAUUCUAACCAAAGAUAGGGUACUUGAUGCAUUUAAAAACUUUCAAUCCUAUGUGACUAACCAUUACAAUGCCAAGAUAAAGAUUUUCAGGUCAGAUAAUGGAGGAGAGUACACGGGACAAGUAUUCAAACUACACCUAUCUCAGCAUGGAAUCCUUCAUCAGACAAGCUGUCCCUAUACCCCACAACAGAAUGGUGUGGCUGAGAGGAAGAACAUGCAUUUGAUGGAAGUAGCCAGGUCCAUGAUGUUUCAAUCCAAUGCUAUGCCUUGGACGUGCCUAAGAAAUUUUGGAGUGAUGCAGUUGCUACGGCUUGUUAUCUCAUCAACAGGACACCAACUCUGAUUCUUCAAGGACAAUCACCAUUUGAGGUACUGAACCAGUACAAGCCCUCUCUAGAGCAUAUGAAGAUCUUUGGAUGUUUGUGUUUUGUGAUGGUGCCUGGAGAGAUAAGAAACAAGCUAGAGGCUAAGAGUUCAAAGGCAAUGUUUAUUGGAUAUUCAUCAAGUCAGAAAGGAUACAAGUGCUAUGAUCCUAACACAAGGAGAGUGUUAGUAUCUAGAGAAGUGAAGUUUGUUGAAGAAAAAGGAUACUAUGCGGAGCAGAUUCAAGAUGAUUUGAAAGAUCUCACCUCUGAUAGAGCUGAAACCUUGAGGAUUAUUGUGGGAACCGAAAUUCACACUGUCGAUUUCCGUUUAAAUAAGGAAACUAGGAAAACCCUAAUUUCCCAGAGGACCCGGAUAUCUGUUAAUUACCACACGUCAAGCAAUCAGAACACGAGAAUAACAACGAUAAAAAUAAGAAAUAGAAAAGAGAGCAAAAGUAGAUCUUAUUCCGAAUCUGCGUAUGAGCGUUACAACAAGGUAUAAGCCUGGGCUCGAGAGCUGUCGGCGAGAUUCCUAGUUCUAGCAACCCUAAGACGGCUAAACCUAAUUGAGUCGCAGCUCGAAAUAACAAAAACGGAAAAUUGCCUAAAUUGCUCUAAGUGCCAAGUUUGCUCUGAAAAAGUUCUCNNNNNNNNNNNNNNNNNNNNNNNNNNNNNNNNNNNNNNNNNNNNNNNNNNNNNNNNNNNNNNNNNNNNNNNNNNNNNNNNNNNNNNNNNNNNNNNNNNNNNNNNNNNNNNNNNNNNNNNNNNNNNNNNNNNNNNNNNNNNNNNNNNNNNNNNNNNNNNNNNNNNNNNNNNNNNNNNNNNNNNNNNNNNNNNNNNNNNNNNNNNNNNNNNNNNNNNNNNNNNNNNNNNNNNNNNNNNNNNNNNNNNNNNNNNNNNNNNNNNNNNNNNNNNNNNNNNNNNNNNNNNNNNNNNNNNNNNNNNNNNNNNNNNNNNNNNNNNNNNNNNNNNNNNNNNNNNNNNNNNNNNNNNNNNNNNNNNNNNNNNNNNNNNNNNNNNNNNNNNNNNNNNNNNNNNNNNNNNNNNNNNNNNNNNNNNNNNNNNNNNNNNNNNNNNNNNNNNNNNNNNNNNNNNNNNNNNNNNNNNNNNNNNNNNNNNNNNNNNNNNNNNNNNNNNNNNNNNNNNNNNNNNNNNNNNNNNNNNNNNNNNNNNNNNNNNNNNNNNNNNNNNNNNNNNNNNNNNNNNNNNNNNNNNNNNNNNNNNNNNNNNNNNNNNNNNNNNNNNNNNNNNNNNNNNNNNNNNNNNNNNNNNNNNNNNNNNNNNNNNNNNNNNNNNNNNNNNNNNNNNNNNNNNNNNNNNNNNNNNNNNNNNNNNNNNNNNNNNNNNNNNNNNNNNNNNNNNNNNNNNNNNNNNNNNNNNNNNNNNNNNNNNNNNNNNNNNNNNNNNNNNNNNNNNNNNNNNNNNNNNGCAGGUCGUUGCCCCGUGUCAUGGGACCGUCGUCGCGGCUCCUCUCCCGCAAGUCCUACCUGCGGGAUCUUCCACGACUCCGAUCCUCGUCGAAGACAAAGAGAAAGCCGCUGACUCUAUGCCUCCGCCUCCGGCCAGAAAAGAAAUCGUUCUGGCAUUGCGUGCUCCUAGCGCUGUCCUGGCUACUCUGCCUAAGAGUCGGAAGAGGAAACUUGCCAAGAGCGGUGACGGGGAGACUUCGCAGCGAGGUGGGUUGAGCCUAGCGUCGGGACUUCGCGGAAAGGUUUGUUUCUUGUUUGAAUUCUCGAUCGUCUUUCGUGUAUUCUUUUCACGGACUUAGUCUAACCAAUUUUUACCGUUCGCAGUUCAUAUCGUUGAUCGAUGGGAUGAUCAGCGAAUGUGGUUCUGAGACCAGUCGCCUUUCCGGGGAGUUGGUGGAGCUUCAGGGCAGAUGGUCCGAAACCGAGGCUAUGUUGACGGCUGUCGAGGACUCUCACUCUGCGAAAGUGUCGAAGCUCGAGGUUGCGAUAGGAGAGCUUGAGAGGGACCUUGGGAAGACGGCGAGUUCCUUGCUUAAGGAAAAGAAGGCCAGGAAGGCCAAAUCCUCGGAGGUGCGUCGACUCCAGCGUCAGAUCGAGAGUGACGCUGGACUAGCGCGCCGCGGGAUCCAAGAGGCUACGAAUGCCUUUCGCGCGGAGUUUCAGGCUCGCUUGGCGAAGAUUUCUGCUUCCCUGGGUUCCCUCGAGCGUAUCCGGAGCAGGGAUUUCGCUUUGGCGACGAUUGAGGGCGGGAUGGCCGUGGUUCGGUCGUUCCAAAGUGAGACUCCCCCGACCUUGGAGGCCGAAGAGGCCCGACUGUCGGGCUGCAAGGGAGAUAUGGCGGCCGAAGACGGAGAUUUCGGUCUCAUCCUGGCCGACCUAAAAUCUGCGUGCUUCCUUCCGACGUGUUCAGAAGACCCAGAGGGGAAAGACCCGAUGGUCGGAGAGAACGGAAGCGACGCGGCUCCAGGCUCGGACGAGGCAGCGGGUGAAGAGGGGGCGUAAGUUCUGAGGGUGACUUGGGUUAGAUCUCUUGCGAGAGAUUUUUUUAUGUUUUUAUGUUUCGGCCUUGAAUGGCCUUGUUUGUAUUUCGGGACUGGCCGUGUGUGGCUUUGAAUCCCUGCCGCUCCGCGGCUUUCUUUUUAUGGUACGAUAAUCGGAUAAUGCUUUUCAUGAAAUUGUGAAUGGUGGGGAGGAAGGUGAUGAGUUGUCGUCUCAUAUCCUUCUUCGAUUGUGAAAUGUUUUAUCCGAGACCUGUUUCGAGAGUUCUUCCGCGAGAUGUGAACUCUGCGGGGGUGCUGAAGGUAUAGAACGUAAACAUAGAGGCAUGGUUUAAGAAUCUCCUAUCUUUCGAUAUCAUGCCUUUGAGAUGUUAGAGACCAGUGCGCUGGGUUUAGGGCAAGACCUAGGUUUACUUUCGGUUUAAGGAUUGUGCGGUGACUAACCGGCUAUCAUUUUUCCUGUCGCGAUUUCUUCCUGAUUCGUAUCGAUGUAAAGUCCGCGAAAAGUUCUCGGCUUAUACGACUUGUUUGAUACGAAUCGAGCAUCUCUCCGGAGACCGGAAGUGCUAGACCAAAAUUUCGGAUUUCUUUUAUAGCGCUAUUAUCCUUGUGUCAGAUGUAUGAGAGUCAUCUCCGUGAGAUGUCUAUGUCUGUUUAGGACGUUUGUGAGUUCGAUGUGAUCAGCAUCGGACUUGGUGGCGUGUGCCGUUGUGGUGGUUACUUUGCGCAAAAUAAAUGUUAAUGUGUGCAUGUAUGUGUCUUUUUGCGGAGAUUUCGUUUGCUCGGAAGAAACCAACUUUGAGGCAUCUUUUGCGACGUCUCGCGAUGCUAAAGGUUGAUUCUCCCAAGCGGCCGACUGAUUUCCGAAGACCUCGUUGCGAUUUCGCAGGUGAGGAUGUUUUGACAAGUCGAAAACACCAAAAGUGUGGUAAGAAGUUUUUCGAUUUUUUUUUGGGAGUAUACGAGUAUACGUACCCACUCCCCCCCCCUUUUUUAAUGAGGGGGGACAGCUGAAUUUGCCUUUCGGCAAACUGCCUACGUACUCCUUGCGGAGAUCAAGCCGUCUCGUAGUUCAGUGAUUGCGAGUGGGUUUGUUUAGUGAUAGUAUUUUUUGAGAUGCAUCGCAUUCCAGGUUCUAGGGAUUUUUAUGCCCUGCAUGUUGGCUAUUUCGUAAGAACCUGGUCGGACGACUUUUUAGAUUUUAUAUGGACCUUCCCAGUUUGCUCCGAGUUUUCCCGCGUUUCGUUCAGCGGUGUUUUGGAAGACUUUGCGAAGGACCAGAUCUCCCUGAUUGAACCUACGAUUCCGUACGUUGGAAUUAUAGUAUCUUGCAGCGGCGUGCUGGUAGUUUUGAAUUCGGAUGAGCGCUCGAUCCCGGCGUUCGUUGAUGAGGUCGAGGUCGUCCAAGAGCAUAGCAUUGUUGAGUUCCUCUCGUUCAGGUAAGAACCUUCUUCGAACACCGGGAAAUUCUACUUCUGCGGGAAUCAUGCAUUCCGUGCCAUAUACCAGGGCGAAGGGAGUUUCUCCCGUUGCUCGCCUUGGGGUGGUACGGUGAGACCAGAGGACUCCCUCGAGUUCGUCGGCCCAUCUACCUUUUUUGGCUUCCAAGCGUUUCUUCAGUCCAUCGAAAUUGGUCUUGUUGAUUGUUUCAGCCUGUCCGUUGCACUGCGGAUAUCUGGGAGUUGACUUGUUGAGUCGUAUCUUCCACUUUUCGCAGAAUGCCUCGAAUCGGGUGGAAAUGAAUUGAGACCCGUUAUCGGUUACGAUUUCGUAAGGAACUCCAUGCCUACAGAUGAUGUUUCUCCAUACGAAAUUCUCGACUUGGACGUCUUUUAUACUUGCGUACGAGUCCGCCUCUACCCAUUUUGAGAAAAAAUUGGUAAGGACUAGAAGGAAACGCUUUUGCUAUGAAUUAUGCAGAGGUCCGACAAUAUCCAUGGCCCAGCGCAUAAAGGGAUAAGGGGAUGUGAUGGAGGAAAGAACUUCGGCCGGUUGUCGGAUAGUUGGCGCAUGCCGUUGGCAUUUUUUGCAUUUUCGUGCGAAUUUCUCGCGAUCUCCGAUCAUUGUUGGCCAAUAGUAUCCGUGGCGUUUGAUUUUCACGGCUAGUGAUCUUCCGCCGGAAUGGUUGCCGCAUGAGCCGGAAUGUAUUUCCUCCAUUACUUUCCUCGCCCUUUCUCCUUCCAGGCACGUCAGGAGUGGUCCGGAGAAUCUCCAUUUGUAGAUUUCGCCGUCCACUGUCACAUAGCGUGCGGCCUGUGUUCGGAUCUUGCGAGCUGCCCAUUUUUCGGCGGGCAGUUGCCCGUCGAUAAUGUAGUUUCGAAUCGCCUGAAGCCAUGGGGUAUCACAGCCAAUCAGAUUGCUCUGAUGGUGGUGGUACCGUAAUUUCUUCUUCCUCGUCGUCUUGACCCUCUAUGAGAUUGACAACGACUAAUGGUCCGAUACUCGGAUGUUCGAUGAAUUCGACCGGAAUUACCCUUUUGAGUCCUGGAUCGGAACUUGAUGCUAAGGCCGCGAGGGCGUCCGCCUGGACAUUCUCGGAAUGGGGGAUCCGGGUAAGGGCGAAGCAGUCGAAAUCUUGAGCUAGACCCUGGACCAGUUUGAGGUACGCGUCCAUCCCUUCGUCUCUGGCUUCAUACUCUCCGCUGAAUUGACUGGCCACUAACUGGAAGUCGCAGUAGGCCUGGAGAUUGCGUAUUUUUAAACCAUGAGCCAAACGUAGACCUGCGAUUAACGCUUCGUAUUCGGCCUCGUUGUUUGAGGCAUGGAAUUCCAGUCUGAACGAUUGUUCCAAGAUCUCGCUCGUUGGAGAUGUGAGACGGAUCCCGAUACCCGAUCCUUGCUUGGAUGAGGAUCCGUCGACCUGGAGGAGCCAGGUGGAAUUUGGUUCCUCAUUGGUUAUUGCUCCCGUUGGAAGUUCGACCAAGAAGUCUGCAAGCACUUGUGAUUUGGCGCUCGUCCUUGGUCGGUAUUCGAUGUCAUACUCGCUCAACUCGACCGCCCACUUAGCCAAUCGACCUGAUUGACUUGGGCUAUGCAGAAUUGUCCGUAAGGGAAAAGUCGUGAGGAUGACAAUCGUGUGGGAUUGGAAAUAUGGUCUUAGUUUUCGGGCCGAUGUCACGACCGCGCAUGCCAAUUUUUCCAUCAACGGAUACCUAGAUUCGGCAUCCAGCAAGGUUUUGCUUAUGUAGAAAAUAGGUUUCUGCUCUCUGCGUUCUUCCCUGAUCAGGACUCCGCUUACGGCCGUUGCCGACACCGCGAUGUAUAAGAAUAAAGGCUCCCCUUCCACGGGUUUUGCGAGGACUGGAGGAGUAGCUAAAUAACGCUUCAGCUGUUGGAAGGCGUUUUCGCACUCUUCCGUCCAUUCGAAUUUUUUAUUUCCUCGCAGGACGUCGUAGAAGGGCAGGCACUUAUCUGUUGAUCGUGAAAUAAAUCGGUUAAGUGCUGCGAUUCUGCCGGUCAGUAUCUGGACCUCCCGCUUGUUCUUUGGUGAAGCCAUCUCGAUUAGUACGUUGAUCUGUUUUGGAUUUGCUUCGAUGCCGCGGUCGGUGACCAAGUAGCCGAGGAAUUCUCCUGAUGCCACGGCGAAUCUACAUUUCGUUGGGUUGAGCUUCAUGUUAUGGGAGUUUAGUUGUGCAAAGCAUUCUUCGAGAUGUGAUACGUGAUCUCUUGCUUUGAGGGAUUUGACGAGCAUGUCGUCGAUAUAAACUUCCAUCGUUUUUCCGAGUUGUUUGGAGAACAUUCGGUUCACGAGUCGUUGGUAAGUUGCUCCAGCGUUUUUGAGGCCGAAGGGCAUUACCUUAUAGCAAUAAGUUCCGCGAUCGGUAAUGAACGCAGUCUUCUCACGAUCGUCGGGAUUCAUCCUAAUUUGAUUAUAACCUGAGAAGGCAUCCAUGAAGGAUAAGAGUUCGUUGCCCGCUGUUGCUUCUACCAAUCGAUCGAUAUGUGGUAGAGGGAAGCUAUCCUUUGGACAUGCCUUGUUUAGGUCGGUAAAAUCUACGCAAACUCGCCACUUCCCGUUUUUCUUUUUGACUACUACGGGGUUGGCGAGCCAGUCCGGGUAUCUUACUUCCGUUAUCGACCCAACUUUAAGCAGUUUUUCGACCUCAUCGUUUACAGCGGUAGCACGUUCGGGUCCCAGCUUCCGUCUUUUCUGUUUGACGGGUUUGAAUGUCGGGUCGAUAUUCAGCUCGUGACAUGUUAUGUUAAUGUUGAUUCCUGGCAUAUCUUCCGCAGCCCAUGCGAAAGUAUUAAGGUUCUUUUUAAGACAGGUUAUGAGUUCUGUCUUUAAAGGCUCGUGGAGAUUGGCUCCAAUCUCGACGCAGCGUUCUGGGAAGGCUUCGUCGAGACAGAUCGUUACCACAGGUUCGCAUGUUGGCUCGCGUUUUUCAUCUAGAGCUGCGAUGCUGCGAGACUGCCAGAAGAAUUCCGCUGAAUCCUGAUUGCGUAUUUUUGCUGGAGGUCUUUUUCUCCGCUUUCUUAGGAGUAACUUCGAGGAUCAGUCUCUUUCGUUUUAGUUCCGCGGCGAAACAAACCUGUGAAACUCUUGGAUUUCCCCAGAUUACCUCGACUCCGUUAGGGGUCGGGAACUUGAGGCAAAGAUGGUAGGUUGAUGGGAUUGUGCGCAUGGUGUUUAGCCAUGGCGUCCCCAUGAUAACGUUGUAAGAUGCGGGGCGGUCAACGACUAGAAACUCUGUGAUGUUAGUCACGGUUCCGGCUUUGACAGCGAGUCUAAUCGAUCCAUAGGCCAUGGUCGUUUCCCCCGAAAGUCCUAGCAAUGGGCUUGGGUAUUUCGCGAUUUCGGAUUGACUGACCCCCAUCUUUUCAAGAGUAUCUUUGAAGAUGAUAUCGGCCGAGCUUCCGGUAUCGAUUAGUACUCUAGCGACGUCGAUAUCUCGAAUCGUCAACUCGAUAACAAGGAGAUCGUUUCGAGGUUUGGCCCGAUCGAUCGUUUCUCCCCCCUUGAAUGAGAUGACGUUCGCGCACGUCGAAUCUCGCAUAUCGUUCCUGAUCGUUGAGUGGCUUUUGCGGGUUAGAUUGAUCCGUAAGUCCCCCUCCUUCUAGCGCCAAACUGUGGGAACCGAAAUUCACACUGUCGAUUUCCGUUUAAAUAAGGAAACUAGGAAAACCCUAAUUUCCCAGAGGACCCGGAUAUCUGUUAAUUACCACACGUCAAGCAAUCAGAACACGAGAAUAACAACGAUAAAAAUAAGAAAUCGAAAAGAGAGCAAAAGUAGAUCUUAUUCCGAAUCUGCGUAUGAGCGUUACAACAAGGUAUAAACCUGGGCUCGAGAGCUGUCGGCGAGAUUCCUAGUUCUAGCAACCCUAAGACGGCUAAACCUAAUUGAGUCGCAGCUCGAAAUAACAAAAACGGAAAAUUGCCUAAAUUGCUCUAAGUGCUAAGUUUUCUCUGAAAAAGUUCUCUCCCAUGCUCCUCGCCUAGGACCCCGCUCUGAAAAAGUCUUUUUUCUGCUCCUCGCCUAGGACUCCUUUUAUACUAGCUCCAAGGUCGGUUUACGCUUUUACUCUUCUGCCCUUAAGCCAUCAUAGCAUAAAAUGGAGAUAUUCCAUUUUUCCCGAUCUUCAUAAUUAUCUUCAAAACUUCCGUAUUUAUCCGCGGAAACUUGACAUUUAUCCUUCCUCGUGGGCCAAGCGUAAACCAUGCUGUGGUUUACGGGCUUUUGGUUAGGAAAAUCGUAGGAUGGGCUUCGAAUCGUGUUUUAGGUCCCUUUGGGCCGUCUUCCGACUCGACACGUUUACUACGAGUUUUCCGCGGUUUCUAAUCCGCGAAGUUUGAUCGAUGAGUUAGAAUAGCGGAAAACAUGGACUGAGCUUGCUACGGUCUUCGGGAGAUAGCAUUCGAAGGAUUGACGAGAAUGCAUGGACUGGUGUCGUAUCGAUGUUCGGAAAGGUUCAAUCGCAACACAGCGACCAAACUUUGGCUCGAGCCCGGUCGCUACGUAGCGACCGAGUGAGACGAGUGCUCGGUCGCUACGUAGCGACCGAGCUGUGUGCAUGCUUGGUCGCCGCGUAUCGAUCGAGCUUGGCUUGUCCGUGGUCCGAUUGCCGUACUCGAGCUUUUCCACGGCCGAAUUGGAUACAUGUCUGUUUCCUUCGNNNNNNNNNNNNNNNNNNNNNNNGGGACGAUGGCUCGGUCGCUACGUAGCGACCUGUUUCGAGCUUUUCGUCGGACAUCUCGAUUCUUUCUUCCGUAAAGCUUUUUCGUAAGAAAGAGUCUAUUUCGAAAAAUACUCUUCGGAGAAAUUCUUAUUUUCCUCCUCGGACGUUUUGAAUGUUAAAUUUGUCGUAACCGUUUUUGACCCCAACAAUUAUCCUAGAGGGUCUUGGAAUCAACAUGAAUCAAGGUGGGAGAAGCACUACUCCAGUACCGGAUCAUCAGACUUCCAAUCUUGAGCAUGAGGGGGGGGAAUGAAACAAGAACUCAAAACCGUGAAGAGACAAGUAGAGAAGAGAGUUCUGGUUCUCAUGAUCAAGCUGUGGAAUCAAAUGAUCAACAAGAAGAAGCUGAAGAGAGUCAGCUAAGGGAAGAAGGAGCUGCAGCAAGUCAGCUAGGAGAAGAAAGAUCUGAACCAAGUGUGCUGCCACAAGAAGAAGAACAAGAGAUGGCGCAAGAAGGGCCAGUGUUGAGAAAAAGUACAAGGCUGAGAAAGGAUCCUUCUAGUUGGGUAAACACAAGAGUGUACUACAAUGCCCAAGCUGUGAAGCAUCCUACUCAGGCCGUGUGUUCUUUUGCUCAAUAUCCAGAAGCACAUUGUGCAUUCAUGGUAAACUUAGAUGAGAAUCACAUUCCAAGAAGCUAUGAAGAGGCAAUGGAGGAUAAGGAAUGGAAGGAAUCAGUAGGAGCUGAGGCAUGAGCUAUGAUAAAGAAUGAUACAUGGUAUGAGAGUGAACUACCAAAAGGGAAGAAGGCAGUAUCUAGUAGAUGGAUCUUCACAAUAAAAUACAAGGCUGAUGGGCAGAUUGAGUGUUUGAAGUGAAGCAAGCUAUCAACCUCAGAUGGAUCUUCACAAUAAAAUACAAGGCUGAUGGGCAGAUUGAGAGGAAGAAGACUAGAUUAGUAGCAAGAGGGUUCACUCAAACAUAUCGAGAGGAUUACAUUGAGACAUUUGCACCAGUAGCCAAGUUACACACCAUUAGGAUUGUUCUAAGCUUGGCGGUUAACCUUGGAUGGGGAUUGUGGCAAAUGGAUGUGAAGAAUGCAUUCUUAUAAGGAGAACUUGAGGAUGAAGUCUACAUGUAUCCUCCACCAGGUCUUGAACAUCUAGUGAAGAGAGAGAAUGUACUGAGGCUAAAGAAGGCUAUCUAUGGGUUGAAGCAAUCACCAAGAGCUUGGUACAACAAGUUGAGCACAACUCUGAACGGCCGAGGCUUUAAGAAGUCAAAAUUGGACCAUACUGUCUUUACCCUCACUACUCCCUCAGGUAUGGUUGCUCUCCUUGUGUAUGUGGAUGAUAUCAUUAUCACAGGGAGUGAUAAGGAAGGUAUCAAAGCAACCAAGGAGUUUCUCAAAUCUAUGUUUGAAAUCAAAGACUUGGGAGAAAUGAAAUACUUUCUUGGAAUUGAGAUUUGUAGAUCCAAGGAAGGCUUAUUCAUGUCCCAAAGAAAGUAUACACUUGAUCUUUUGAAAGGUGCAGGUGCUUAUGGAGGCAAGACAACAAGGAUGCCUAUGGAGGAUGGCUACAAAGUACCAAGAGAGGGGGAGAUUGAAGACAGCAAGCCAUUUCAUGAUCCUAAACUCUAUAGAAAACUUGUUGGCAAAUUGAUUUAUCUAACCAUCACAAGGCCUGAUAUAUGCUUUGCUGUGAAUCAGGUGAGCCAACACAUGCAGCUUCCCAAGGAACAUCACUGGCGCAUGGUGGAGAGGCUGUUGAUGUAUCUGAAUGGCUCGCCGGAUCAAGGAGUAUGGAUGGGGUGCAAUGGAAGCACAGAAGUGGUGGGCUAUUGUGAUGCUGAUUGGGCAAGAGAUAGAGUUGACAGGAGAUCAACCACAGGCUAUUGCACAUUCAUUGGAGGCAACUUGGUGACUUGGAAGAGCAAGAAGCAGAAGGUGGUGUCAUGUUCAAGUGCAGAAGCUGAGUAUAGAGCUAUGCUGAAGCUCACAAACGAGUUGGUGUGGAUCAAAGGCAUCUUGAAGCACUUGGAGAUUGAUCAAGCCACUCCAAUGACAAUACAUUGCGACAAUCAAGCUGCCAUUCACAUUGCAUCCAACUCGGUGUUCCAUGAGAGAACCAAGCACAUUGAGGUUGAUUGCCACAAGGUGAGACAGAUGAUUGUGCUUGUGUGUGAUCUUACCUUGCUAUACGAGAAGUGAAGAUCAGUUGGCUGAUGUGUUCACCAAGGCUGCAAGACAAAAGACUAUGGAGUCCAUUCACAUUAGAUUGGGACUCAUAGAUCUUGGGAAGAGAAGGAGCUGAUCCCCUUAGCUGUGAGAUCUUUACUCUUUUUCCCUCAUUAAGGUUUUAUCCCAAUGGGUUUUCCUUAGUGAGGUUUUUAAUGAGGAAGAUCUCAUGGCUGUCCAAGCUUAGACUUUCACAAAGCUAAGCUUGAGGGGGAGUGUUGAGAUGAGUGCACUAUAGUAUGAAGAAGAAGUCCGAGAGGGUGUAGAAGUGUUGAGGAGUUAAUAAGCAAGUAAGAGAAGGAGCAUGUACAGACAGACAGUACAGAUAGGGCGAGCAGUACGGACGCAGGCCGUACCAACGACCAUCCGCAAGAAGUAACUCGGCCAAGGUGAAAUGUAAACUGGCUGGAGUUACUUUACCUUACUUACCUUGAGUCUGAAGUUGAGCUGAACGUUAGAAGGAUAAGGGAUGCGCAUCUGACAGCCUGUCAUAGGCUGGAAAGGUAAAGGCAUAUUCAAAGAUGCUUUACACAUGUGGAGACUCUCAUUGAAAGGAUUCAAAUGAGCUCUUAGCUGGUUAUUGACUUCACAUGCUUUCUACUUUAUGUAAUCGAAAUCCUAGUGUCUUAAGCUUCCUGUAUAAGUGUAAACUCUCUCAUUAAUAAGAUCAAGCAAGUUAUGAGUCUCUCUUAGUCUUUAUUCUCUCAAUGAUUCUAUACUAGACUCCUAAUCUCAUUUCAUACUCAAAUCUCUUCUAAAUCACUUCUAGUCUUUCUUAUUUACUCAGAUUACUCUACUCAAUCCUAAAAGUGAUAUGGUAUCAGAGCCAGGUUGAUAGGAAACUUGGUUUCGUUGGGUUCUUUGAAGAUUCAAGAUUGAAGCUUUGAAGAAACAGUUUAGUGUUCUUGUGUUCUUAAGCGGUUCUAGGUAGUCUUUCUGAGUUCUAUUGGUUGUGUGAGGUGUUAUUGAAGCUGUGUGGGUAAAAGGUGAAGCUGCUAGUGUUCACUCAAGACAGUUACCUCAAGAGAAAGUUAUUGAAGUCUAAAGGGUUCUACAUUCAACAUGGAGAGUGGGAUGAACAUGAACAUGAAGGUGGCGGUUUGUUUCAAGGGAAACAACUACUUGGUGUGGUCUCGGUUGGUGAGAACCACAGUGGGAAGCAAGGGGCUUUGGAAGCACAUCACGCCAGGAGCAGCUCCAAAGCUCAUCACUCAAGGAGAGGCUGAAGAUGAAGCCGCAAGCAAGGCAGAAGAGAAGUGGCAUCAAGAGGACAUGUUGGUGAUGUAUGUGCUUCAUGCGUCCCUUAAGCCGGCUAUUCUAGAUGCAUACAGCUACUGUGAGUCUGCUAAAGAGCUGUGGGAUACCUUGAAGAAGGUGUAUAGCAACACUUCAAACCUAAGCCGAGUGUUUGAAGUGAAGCAAGAUAUCAACAACCUUGUACAAGAAGACAUGGAGUUCACUAAGCAUCUAGGAAGAUUCAGAAGCCUCUGGUCCGAGAUGGAGAUGCUUAGGCCAAGCACAAUGGAUGCUGAUGAGCUUAACAAGAGGAGAGAGCAAGAUAAGGUAUUUGGGCUACUCCUCACCUAAACCCGGCGUACAACGGUCUCAUCCAGCACCUACUUAGGGAGGAUACUCUACCUGACCUUGAGGAUGUGUGUGCGCGGAUUCAGAAGGAGCAAGGCUCCAUUGGGCUGUUUGGGAAGAAAGGAGACCUUUCCCUUGCAAGUCAAGCAACUCAAGAGGAGGGGAGUGAAGCUCCACAAGCAAACAAGGCUGCGCAUGGGAAGUUUGAGGAGAGGAGGUUCAAUGGGAGUUGUGAUCACUGCAAGAAGCAUGGCCACAAGAAGAGUCAAUGCUGGAUACUCCACCCUCAUCUCAAGCCGGCUAAGUUCAUGAAGGAUCGUGAGGCAAGGGCUAAUGUCUCGGAUGGUACAAGUGGAGCUGGUACAAGAAAAGGAAAGGAGAUAGAUGGGCGUGAGGCAGGUGAUGGGAAGUCUCUUGUAGCCUACACUGGAGCACCAAGCAACCGUGGGAACAAUGAUCAAGAGUAUCUAAGGAGAUCCGACCUUGAUGCUCUCAUUAAGUUGUUCAAGGAGAAUGGUAACACCUUUGGGUAUUCUUUUGGUGCUAGGGUGGUAGAGAACUAUGAGAAUCUAACUAGAACUGAUAGGAUGCAUGAGAGCUUGAUAUAAAUGGUAAAUCAAUCUAGGAUUGCAAACUUUGCUAGAAAUGAUCAUGCAUUCAAACCAUCUAGUAUCCUUGCGCAUAUUGCUAGUUCUCAUGACAUUAAGCCAUUAGUGAUUGAUUCAGGUGCAUCUCAUCAUAUGAUAAGUGACACUAACUUGAUUAAAAACAUUGUACCAAUGAAUGGAAAUGUGAUGAUUGCUAAUGGAGAUAAGAUUCCUAUUAGAGGAAUAGGAAGUCUUAAACUAUUUGAUAAGGAAACUAAAGCCUUUUAUAUGCCUGAAUUUACUUCAAACUUGUUAUCUGUUAAGAAAUGUGCUACUGAUUUGCAAUGCAAUGUUAUAUUCAGUCCUAAUGAUGUGAAGUUUCAGGAUAUUAAAAGCAGCAAGAUGAUUGGAAAGGGAGUGACUAAAGGAGAGCUAUAUUUACUUGAAGAUCUCACUCCUGUUUCUAGAUAUAGCUGCUCGUUUACUUCUGUUUCUGGUUCUAGUUUAAGUAAAAAUGCAUUGUGGCAUGCUAGAUUAGGACACCCUCAUAAUAAGGCUUUAAAACUGAUGUUGCCAGGUGUUUCCUUUGAGAAUAAUGAGUGUGAAGCUUGCAUUUUAGGCAAGCAUUGUAGAACUGUCUUUACCAAGUCUACUACUGUUUAUGAAAAGUGUUUUGAUCUCAUUCUUUCUGAUGUUUGGACUGCACCUUGCCUAUCUAGAGACAAUCAUAAGUACUAUGUAACUUUCAUUGAUGAAAAAUCCAAAUACACCUGGUUAACCUUAAUUCCAACCAAAGAUAGGGUACUUGAUGCAUUUAAAAACUUUCAAUCCUAUGUGACUAACCAUUACAAUGCCAAGAUAAAGAUUUUUAGGUCAGAUAAUGGAGGAGAGUACACGGGACAAGCAUUCAAACUACACCUAUCUCAGCAUGGAAUCCUUCAUCAGACAAGCUGUCCCUAUACCCCACAACAGAAUGGUGUGGCUGAGAGGAAGAACAGGCAUUUGAUGGAAGUAGCCAGGUCCAUGAUGUUUCAAUCCAACGUACCUAAGAAGUUUUGGAGUGAUGCAGUUGCUACGGCUUGUUAUCUCAUCAACAGGACACCAACUCUGAUUCUUCAAGGAGGAUCACCGUUUGAGGUACUGAAUCAGUACAAACCCUCUCUAGAGCAUAUGAAGAUCUUUGGAUGUUUGUGUUUUGUGAUGGUGCCUGGAGAGAUAAGAAACAAGCUAGAAGCUAAGAGUUCAAAGGCAAUGUUCAUUGGAUACUCAUCAAGUCAGAAAGGAUACAAGUGCUAUGAUCCUAACACAAGGAGAGUGUUAGUAUCUAGAGAAGUGAAGUUUGUUGAAGAAAAAGGAUAUUAUGAGGAGCAGACACAAGAUGAUUUGAAAGAUCUCACUUCUGAUAGAGCUGAAACCUUGAGGAUUAUCCUAGAGGGUCUUGGAAUCAACAUGAAUCAAGGUGGGAGAAGCACUACUCCAGUACCGGAUCAUCAGACCUCCAAUCUUGACCAUGAGGGGGGGAAUGAAACAAGAACUCAAAACCGUGAAGAGAGAAGUAGAGAAGAGAGUUCUGGUUCUGGUUCUCAUGAUCAAGCUGUGGAAUCAAAUGAUCAACAAGAAGAAGCUGAAGAGAGUCAGCUAAGGGAAGAAGGAGCUGAAGCAAGUCAGCUAGGAGAAGAAAGAUCUGAACCAAGUGUGUUGCCACAAGAAGAAGAACAAGAGAUGGUGCAAGAAGGGCCAGUGUUGAGAAGAAGUACAAGGCUGAGAAAGGAUCCUUCCAGUUGGGUAAACACAAGAGUGUACUACAAUGCCCAAGCUGUGAAGCACCCCACUCAGGCCGUGUGUUCUUUUCAACAAUAUCCAGAAGCACAUUGUGCAUUCAUGGUAAACUUAGAUGAGAAUCACAUUCCAAGAAGCUAUGAAGAAGCAAUGGAGGAUAAGGAAUGGAAGGAAUCAGUGGGAGCUGAGGCAGGAGCUAUGAUCAAGAAUGAUACAUGGUAUGAGAGUGAACUACCAAAAGGGAAGAAGGCAGUAUCUAGUAGAUGGAUCUUCACAAUCAAAUAGAAGGCUGAUGGGCAGAUUGAGAGGAAGAAGACCAGAUUAGUAGCAAGAGGGUUCACUCAAACAUAUGGAGAGGAUUACAUUGAGACAUUUGCACCAGUAGCCAAGUUACAUACCAAUAGAAUUGUACUAAGCUUGGCAGUCAACCUUGGAUGGGGGUUGUGGCAAAUGGAUGUGAAGAAUGCAUUUUUACAAGGAGAACUUGAGGAUGAAGUCUACAUGUAUCCUCCACCUGGUCUUCAACAUCUAGUGAAAAGAGGGAAUGUACUGAGGUUAAAGAAGGCUAUCUAUGGGUUGAAGCAAUCACCAAGAGCUUGGUACAACAAGUUGAGCACAACUCUGAAUGGCCGAGGUUUUAAGAAGUCAGAAUUGGACCAUACUCUCUUUACCCUCACUACUCCCUCAGGUAUGGUUGCUCUCCUUGUGUAUGUGGAUGAUAUCAUUAUCACAGGGAGUGAUAAGGAGGGUAUCAAAGCAACCAAGGAGUUUCUAAAGUCUAUGUUUGAAAUAAAAGACUUGGGAGAAAUGAAAUACUUUCUUGGAAUUGAGAUUUGUAGAUCCAAGGAAGGUUUGUUCAUGUCCCAAAGGAAGUAUACACUUGAUCUUUUGAAAGGUGCAGGUGCUUAUGGAGGCAAGACAGCAAGGAUGCCAAUGGAGGAUGGCUACAAAGUGCCAAGAGAGGGGGAGAUUGAAGACAGCAAGCCAUUUCAUGAUCCUAAACUCUAUAGAAAACUUGUUGGCAAAUUGAUUUAUCUUACCAUCACAAGACCUGAUAUAUGCUUUGCUGUGAAUCAGGUGAGUCAACACAUGCAGCUUCCCAAGGAACAUCAUUGGCGUAUGGUGGAGAGGCUGCUAAUGUAUCUGAAUGGCUCGCCGGAUCAAGGAGUAUGGAUGGGGUGCAAUGGAAGCACAGAAGUUGUUGGCUAUUGUGAUGCAGAUUGGGCAGGUGAUAGAGCUGACAGGAGAUCAACAACCGGCUAUUGCACAUUCAUUGGAGGCAACUUGGUGACUUGGAAGAGUAAGAAACAGAAGGUGGUAUCAUGCUCAAGUGCAGAAGCUGAAUAUAGAGCUAUGCUGAAGCUUACAAACGAGCUAGUGUGGAUCAAGGGCAUCUUGAAGCAUUUGGAGAUAAAACAAGACACUCCAAUGACAAUGCAUUGUGACAACCAGGCCGCCAUUCACAUAGCCUCCAACUCGGUGUUCCAUGAGAGGACAAAGCACAUUGAGGUUGAUUGCCACAAGGUGAGGCAGAUGAUUGUCCUAGGAGUCAUCUUGCCAUGUUAUACUAGGAGUGAAGAUCAGUUGGCUGAUGUAUUCACCAAGGCUGCAAGGCAAAAGACAAUGGAGUCCAUUCAUAUUAGAUUGGGCCUCAUUGAUCUUGGGAAGAGAAGCAGCUGAUCCCCUUAGUCAUGAGAUCUUUACUCUUUUUCCCUCAUUAAGGUUUUGUCCCAAUGGGUUUUCCUUAGUGAGGUUUUUAAUGAGGAAGAUCUCAUGGCUGUCCAAGCUUAGACUUUCACAAAGCUAAGCUUGAGGGGGAGCCUCCAUGAAGUGCCUGUUCUUCCUCUCAGCUACACCAUUCUGCUGUGGUGUAUAAUGUUGAGAUGAGUUGAGGAUAUGAACAAGAAGAGAUAAGAAGUGGAAGAGAAGAGGAGGAAGAGAAUGAGGGGACUUUGGGCAAGCAUGGUAUGGACGGCCGUACAAGGCCGUACAUGGCCGUACCGUUCGUACCAGAUGCCUCGACUAGAAGUUACCUAACCUUGACCAAGUGAAACGGUAACAAGCAUAUGUUACCUUGAGGGCUUAGUGGAGAAGAUAAGACCGGUGAAAGGAUAAGGGAUGCGCGGUGCCAGGCUGGAACAGGCUGGAAAGCUAAAGCACCUUUAGUCCAAGAUGUCAUAAGCGUGUGAUGCAUCCUAGUGGUUGAUUUGAAUCCAUGGCCUUGACUCCACACGGUUUAAUAGUGCCCAUUUCCUCUCUUGUAAACCCUUGUGUCCUUCUUAUAAAUAUGUAACCUCACUCAUUAAUAAAAAUCAAGCAAGUUAUGAGUCUUUCUUAGUCUUUACUCUCACAAUGAUUCUAUGCUAGACUCCUAAUCUCAUUUCAUACUCAAAUCUCUUCUAAAUCACUUCUAGUCUUUCUUAUUUACUCAGAUUACCCUUUCUCUAUCCUAAAAGUGAUAUAUAAGGGCAGCUAGUCUGAUGCACAAUCCCAUGCUUGGCUAGAUGACUCUUGAAGGCAUUGCUGAUGUAUUCACCUCCAUUAUCUGAUCUCAGUACCUUCACAGUAGCAUUGUAUUGAUUAGAUACAUAUGCUUGGAAGUUCAUAAAUGCUUCUAGCACCCUAUCUUUAGAUGGAAGCAAUGUAAGCCAAGUAUACUUAGACUUCUCGUCAAUGAAUGUCACAAAGUACUUCUUGCUAUCUCUAGACAAACAAGGAGCCGUCCACACAUCUGAAUGAACUAGAUCAAAGCAAUGCUCAUAAGUAGUUUCUGAUGUUGGAAAAACAGUCCUACAAUGCUUUCCUAAUAUGCAUGCUUCACACUCCAAGUGAUUAAAUGACAUAUUAGGAAUUAUCAAUUCAAUAGCACGAGCAUGAGGAUGUCCUAAUCUAGCAUGCCAAGUAAUACUAUCAAUCUUCUCAUAAGUACUACUCAAACAAAUAGAAUCAAAGGGUUUAGAGAUCUUAGCCAAUUGGAGCUGGUAUAGAUUAUUCUUGCUGUCUCCUCUCCCAAUGACCCUUCCAGUCUUCAAAUCUUGGAACUCAACAUCAUCUGGCCUGAAUACUACUUGACAGCCAAGAUCAAUCGUGGCUUUCCUCACAUAUAGUAGAUUUGAAGCAAACUGUGGCAUGUAGAAGGCAUCUGAGUCUUUAUCAAAUAGCUUGAGCUUUCCUACUCCUUCUAUUGGAAUCCUAUCACCAUUAGCUAUCAUCACACCCCCAGUGGCUUUGUUUACAUCACUCAUUAAGCUUCUGUCACUAAUCAUGUGAUGACUUGCUCCAGAAUCAACAAUGAUGGGUUUGUUGGAUGUGGAUGCUUUGGCAGGAGCACCUUGUCUCCGGGUCGUAGCCAAAGCAUAUACAUACUUGACAAACUCAUCCCAUUCCUCCUUUGUGACACGCUCAUCCGCUCCUUUGGUCUCUGGCUUCCUCAUAAACCCACUGCUCUCUACAGAUUCUCCCAUGUAAGCUGAGUAGAAACACUCUCCUACUUGCAUACUCUCCUUGAUAUCCUUCCUCCAUAAUCUGCUCAUCAUAACCCACAUCUUAGAAAGCUUUCUCAAUUUUCCCUUCUUGCAGCUUGUACCUCUCUUCCAUCUGCCUGGCUUCUUGUUUAUCUCCCACACAUCACAAAUGUGUUCAACCAGCUCACAUAUCUCUCUCAUAAGAAAGCUAAAGAUCACAUCUUGCUUCCUCCUUCCUGUAUGAGUUUUCACCAUACCCAACUCUGAUUCUACUUCUCUCAGCCUCCCCACAAGCUGAUACAACUCGUCCUUCCCUUGUCUUAGACUAUAGAUCACGCCCUUGGCUUCAUGAACCUCCAACCUUGCUGUAUGACCUUCUUCAGCAGCUACCUCCUUUAAAGGUUCUACCUUUACUUGAAUCUCCUUCAAACUUGCUGUCUGAUCUUUCUCAGCAGCUCUCACCUUUAAAGGCUCUUCCUUUACAUGAUUACUCCAAAACCCACAGCUUUCCAAAGCUGUCUCUACCCAACCUGACCAGAUCCACUCGUUUUCUCUCCCUUUCUUCACUUGAUAACUUGAUCUUGUCUUCAUCUCUCUGCUCACAUUUGACUCCAUCAGAUGUCCUCAAUAAAACCCAGCAAAUGAAGAACAGAGCUUAAAACCACCAAGAACACUCAAGAACAUCAAGAACAGCUCAAGAACACAAAACCAGAUUUUUAAGAACAUGAAUAACCUGGCUCUGAUACCAAGAUUUAUUCAACUUCUUGGUGAUUCUCCACUACUUUAUGUAUCCAAAUGAAGGUUCUUACAUCGCGAUUCAUCCUGGGAUCACCUUAUUUGUAUACACUUUUGUGUAUUAGAGUGUGUUUAAGAACAAUCAGAUUGUUUUGUGUAAGAUUAAAGAGAUUAAGAGAAUAAGUAGAGAGAGAAUAGAGAGAAUACUCAAAACUCCAUUAAUUNNNNNNNNNNNNNNNNNNNNNNNNNNNNNNNNNNNNNNNNNNNNNNNNNNNNNNNNNNNNNNNNNNNNNNNNNNNNNNNNNNNNNNNNNNNNNNNNNNNNNNNNNNNNNNNNNNNNNNNNNNNNNNNNNNNNNNNNNNNNNNNNNNNNNNNNNNNNNNNNNNNNNNNNNNNNNNNNNNNNNNNNNNNNNNNNNNNNNNNNNNNNNNNNNNNNNNNNNNNNNNNNNNNNNNNNNNNNNNNNNNNNNNNNNNNNNNNNNNNNNNNNNNNNNNAACACCGAGUUGGAGGCAAUGUGGAUAGCUGCUUGGUUAUCACAAUGCAUUGUCAUAGGCGCGGCUUGAUCAAUCUCCAAAUGCUUCAAGAUGCCUUUGAUCCACACCAGCUCGUUGGUAAGCUUCAGCAUAGCUCUAUACUCAGCUUCUGCACUUGAGCAAGAGACCACCUUCUGCUUCUUACUCUUCCAUGUAACCAAGUUGCCUCCAAUGAAUGUGCAAUAGCUGGUUGUUGAUCUCCUGUCAGCUCUAUCUCCUGCCCAAUCAGCAUCACAAUAGCCCACCACUUCAGUACUUUCAUUGCACCCCAUCCAGACUCCAUGUACGGCCAUGUACGGCCUUGUACGGACUGGCUGAUCCCAAAGCUCCCAAACCUUCCUAUAUUUCCUCCUCUUCAUUCUACUCAACCCUCAUCUCCAUUCUUCACUUAACACUCCUCAUCUUAACACUCCCCCUCAAGCUUAGCUUUGUGAUAGUCUAAGCUUGGACAGCCAUGAGAUCUUCCUCAUUAAAAACCUCACUAAGGAAAACCCAUUGGGACAAAACCUUAAUGAGGGAAAAAGAGUAAAGAUCUCAUGACUAAGGGGAUCAGCUGCUUCUCUUCCCAAGAUCAAUGAGGCCCAAUCUGAUAUGAAUGGACUCCAUUGUCUUUUGCCUUGCAGCCUUGGUGAAUACAUCAGCCAACUGAUCUUCACUCCUAGUAUAACAUGGCAAGAUGACUCCUAGGACAAUCAUCUGCCUCACCUUGUGGCAAUCAACCUCAAUGUGCUUUGUUCUCUCAUGGAACACCGAGUUGGAGGCUAUGUGAAUGGCGGCCUGGUUGUCACAAUGCAUUGUCAUUGGAGUGUCUUGUGCUAUCUCCAAAUGCUUCAAGAUGCCCUUGAUCCAAACUAGCUCGUUUGUAAGCUUCAGCAUGGCUCUAUAUUCAGCUUCUGCACUAGAGCAUGACACCACCUUCUGUUUCUUACUCUUCCAAGUCACCAAGUUGCCUCCAAUGAAUGUGCAAUAGCCGGUUGUUGAUCUUCUGUCAGCUCUAUCACCUGCCCAAUCAGCAUCACAAUAGCCCACCACUUCUGUGCUUCCAUUGCACCCCAUCCAUACACCUUGAUCUGGCGAGCCAUUUAGAUACAUCAGCAGCCUCUCCACCAUACGCCAAUGAUGUUCCUUGGGAAGCUGCAUAUGUUGACUCACCUGAUUCACAGCAAAACAUAUGUCAGGUCUUGUGAUGGUAAGGUAAAUCAAUUUGCCAACAAGUUUUCUAUAGAGUUUAGGAUCAUGGAAUGGCUUGCUGUCUUCAAUCUCUUGGUACUUUGUAGCCAUCCUCCAUAGGCAUCCUUGCUGUCUUGCCUCCAUAAGCACCUGCACCUUUCAAAAGAUCAAGUGUAUACUUCCUUUGGGACAUGAAUAACCCUUCCUUGGAUCUACAAAUCUCAAUUCCAAGAAAGUAUUUCAUUUCUCCCAAGUCUUUUAUUUCAAACAUAGACUUUAGAAACUCCUUGGUUGCUUUGAUACCCUCCUUAUCACUCCCUGUGAUAAUGAUAUCAUCCACAUACACAAGGAGAGCAACCAUACCUGAGGGUGUAGUGAGGGUGAAAAGUGUGUGAUCUAACUCUGACUUCCUGAAGCCACGUCCAUUCAAGGUUGUGCUCAACUUGUUAUACCACGCUCUUGGUGAUUGCUUCAAGCCAUAGAUAGCCUUCUUUAACCUCAGUACAUUUCCUUUCUUCACUAGAUGUUCUAGGCCUGGUGGAGGAUACAUGUAGACUUCAUCCUCAAGUUCCCCUUGUAAGAAUGCAUUCUUUACAUCCAUUUGCCACAAUCCCCAUCCAAGAUUAACCGCCAAGCUUAGAACAAUCCUAAUGGUGUGUAGCUUAGCUACAGGGGCAAAUGUCUCAAUGUAAUCCUCCCCAUAUGUCUGAGUGAACCCUCUUGCAACUAGUCUAGUUUUCUUCCUCUCAAUCUGUCCAUCAGCCUUGUAUUUGAUUGUGAAGAUCCAUCUACUAGACACUGCCUUCUUCCCUUUUGGUAGUUCACUCUCAUACCAUGUAUCAUUCUUUAUCAUAGCUCCUGCCUCAGCUCCUACUGAUUCCUUCCAUUCCUUAUCCUUCAUUGCCUCUUCAUAGCUUCUUGGGAUGUGAUUCUCAUCCAAGUGUACCAUGAAGGCACAAUGUGCUUCUGGAUAUUGAGCAAAGGAGCACACGGCUUGAGAAGGAUGAUCCACAGCUUGGGCAUUGUAGUACACUCUCGUGUUUACCCAGCUAGAAGGAUCCUUCCUUAUCCUUGUACUCCUUCUUAGUGGUUGCACAACCGGUUCUUCUUCCUGUUGUUCUUCUACCACUUAGUUUUGAGAAGGUGUUUGUAUCACACCAUGAUCAUGCCCAUGACCAUCAGAGCCUAUGCUCUCUUCUCCUUCAUCUUCUACUCCUCCAUCAUCUUGGUUAUCUUCUUGCAUAGGCUCUUCAUGCGUCUCUCCUCCCUCAUGAUCAAGGUGGGAUGGUGAACCAACUUCAGGAGGUGUAGUUGUGUGAUCUCUUGGAUCCUGGGAUGUACUGAUUCCAAGACCUUCAAGGAUGAUCCGCAAGGUGGUGGCCUUGUCUGAUGUUAAGUUCUUCAGGUCUUCUUGAUUCUUUUCUUCAUAGUACCCUCUAUCUUCUAAGAACUUCACGUCUCUAGAUACAAGUACUCUUCUUGCUAUAGGAUCAUAGCACUUGUAUCCUUUCUGUGUAGCUGAGUAUCCUAUGAAUACAGCCUUAGUACUUCUUGCUUCUAGCUUGUUGCACAUCUCUCCUGGUUUGAGCACAAAGCAUAGACAUCCAAAGACUUUCAAGUAGUCAAGAACUGGCUUGUACUUGUUUAGAACUUCAAAUGGAGCCUUCUCAUUCAGAAUCUUGGUUGGAGUUCUAUUGAUCAAGUAACAAGCAGUGGCAACUGCAUCACUCCAAAAUCUCUUUGGGACGUUACUCUGAAACAUAAGUGACCUUGCCACUUCCAUGAGGUGCCUAUUCUUCCUCUCAGCCACUCCAUUUUGCUGUGGAGUAUACGGACAGCUUGUUUGAUGUAGAAUCCCACAUUGUGAUAAGUGCUGCUUGAAUGCAUUGCUUGUGUACUCUCCUCCAUUAUCUGAUCUCAAAAUUUUAAUCUUAGCAUGAUAAUGGUUAGUCACAUAUGUUUGAAAGUUCCUAAAUGCAUCAAGUACCCUAUCUUUGGUCUGAAUUAAGGUUAACCAGGUGUAUUUGGAUUUUUCAUCAAUGAAUGUGACAAAAUACUUAUAGCUAUCUCUAGAUAAGCAAGGGGCAGUCCAUACAUCUGAAUGAACUAGAUCAAAGCAAUUCUCAUAAACAGUAGUAGACUUUUGAAACACAGUUCUACAAUGCUUGCCUAAAAUGCAAGCUUCACAAUUUUUGUUUUCAAACACAACACCUGGUACCAUUAAGUUCAAAGCUUUAACAUGAGGGUGUCCUACUCUAGCAUGCCACAAUGCAUGUUUAUUCAACAAAGAAGCAGAAGUAAACGAGCAACUAUAAUCAGGAACAGAAGUGAGUUCUUCAAGCAUAUAGAGAUCUCCUUUAGUCACCCCUUUCCCAAUCAAUCUGCUGCUCUCAAUAUCCUGAAACUUCACAUCAUUAGGACUAAAGAUAACAUUGCAUUGUAAAUCAUUAGUACAUUUCUUUACAGAUAAUAGGUUUGAUGUGAAUUCAGGCAUGUAAAAGGCUUUAGAUUUGUUAAACAACUUAAGCUUUCCUAUUCCCUUAAUAGGUAUCUUAUCUCCAUUUGCUAUCAUCAUAUGUCCAUGAGUAGGUUCUAUAUCCUUAAUCAGUUUCUCAUCACUUAUCAUAUGAUGUGAUGCACCAGAGUCAACAAUCAAUGGUCUAUCUACUCGUUUAGCAUUAUGACAUAGAUUACUAAGUGAUGAAUGAAUCCUAUCAUCUCUAGCAAUGUGUGCACAUCUAUACUCAUUCCCUAGCCUCUAACCGUUCUACUAGUUCUCUAAUCAAGUGAUCAUCCUUAUAUGCAAUCAUAGAUGCUCCAAGGGAAUAACCAUAAGUGUUACCGUUUUCCUUUAGCAUUUUGAAGAGCGCAUCAAGGUCUGAUCUCCUGAUGUAGUCAUCAUUGCUGCGUGAGCUUGAGGCGCCUGUGUAAGCCACCAGAGACUUCCCAUUCCCAUCAUUGCCUCCAUGACCAUCCACUUCACUUGUCUUGAUGGUGCCAGCUCCACUUGAUCCUUCAGUCACAUUUGCCCUUCCCUCACGCUCCUUCAUGAACUUGGCCGGCUUGAGGUGUGGGUGUAGUAUCCAGCAUUGGCUCUUCUUAUGACCAUGCUUCUUGCAAUGAUCACAGUUGCCAUUGAACUUCCUGUCAUCAUACUUCCCGUGAGAUGCCUUGUUUGCUUGUGGAGCUUCGGUCAAGUCCUCAUGAGCUGCUUGAUUGGCAAGAGAGAGAGCUCCCCCUUUCCUCCAAACAACCCCAUAGAACCCUGCUCCCUUUGGAUUUGCGCACACACAUCCUCAAGGUCCGGAAGCUUGUCAGCCCUCAACAUGUGCUGGAUGAGUUGAGUGUAGGCCGGGUUCAGCGUGAGAAGCAGCCCAAAGACUUUAUCUUGCUCACGCCUCUCAUUCAGCUGAUCAGGAUCAGUUGUGCUCGGCCUCAGCAUCUCCAGUUCUGACCAUAAGGACCUGAACCUUCCCAAGUGCUUAGUGAACUCCAUAUCCUCUUGCACUAGACGGUUGAUAGCUUGCUUUACUUCAAACACACGGCUGAGGUUGGAGAUGUUCCCAUACACCUUCUUCAGCGUGUCCCACAGCUCUUUGGCUGACUCACAGUAUCUGUAGGCAUCUAAGAUAGCUGGAUCCAAGGAUGCGUGUAGAACCGUCAUCACCAGCAUGUCUUCUUGUUGCCAUUUCUCUACAGCCGCUUCAUUGGAGACCUCUUCUUGAUCUCCUCCCUGAGUAAUGAGUUUCGGAGCCUCCCCUGUUGUGAUGUGCCCCCACAAACCCUUACUUCCCACAGCAGUCUUCACCAUCCGAGACCACACAAGAUAGUUGUUACCUUUGAAAGUAACCGCUACCUUCAUCCUCAUGUUCAUACCAUGUUCCAUCUUUGCUUAGCUUGACUUGAACAACUUGAAUCUGAUGAAAUCUUGAGUCUUGAAUCACGUACACACACCAAUCUUGAGUCUAGGAUCGCACACACACACACCGAACGUAGCACAGCCCAAACACCUUCAAAGCCACUCGCGUGUAGCUCCAAAGCCUUCAGCUUGUACCUCUCUAAAGAUCAAACCCCAGAUCCUAAUGAACCUGGCUCUGAUACCAUAUGAGAUUUAGAGAUCCUUAGAGUAACUAGAGUAUAAGUGAGAGUUUGAGUAGAGAUUAGAAAGAGAUUGUGAAAGAUUAAGAGACUUGAGAGCUGUUUAGUGUCUAAGAGAGAAUCAUGGUGCCUUAAGAGAUUAGAGAGAGACUCAGAACUAUCUGUCUAUUAUUAAUGACAAGAGUUACAAUAUAUAGUGAGAGAUCAGUAGGGUUUUCGAAAUCAUAAAGGAGAGCUAAGCAUGUGAAGUCAACAAGGUUAGGAUAAGCUCUCUUUAACUCGGCCAAUCAGCGUUCCCACAUGCUUGGAGCAUCUAGGAUCUUGGACAAAGAUGCUCUUGCCUUUCCAGAUGUGCCAGCCUGUAAAGCCGCGCCUCUCUUAUCCUCCAACGGUCUGAUUCAUCAGCCAAAGCCCCUUCUCUUCCCAUAAGUUACUCGGGUAACUCCUUGUAACCGCGGUCAUGGUUUCACUGGUCUGAAUGUGUACUGACCGUACGGCCUUGUACGGCCUUGUACGGUCAGGCCACUGUGAACCUCUCCCAUCACACCAAUGCUUAACACACUCUCUUCAGUCUUAACCCCUUUGUACUUCACACUUGUAUACUCAACUCUUCUCAACACUACUUGGAUGGAUGGUGAGCAAAGAACACUUCUUGUGAACCUGAAACACCACUCAAACUCCAGCAAACAUAAGACACAAAGGUAUUGGAAUCAAUCCUUGAAAUAUCAUCAAGGUUGAUCACCAAUAUCACAAGCAUUGCAACAGAUUACACAAGACAUAUUCAAGUUCUAAUUUUUGCAAGCAAUUUCUCUAAGUAUAUGCAGGAUCUAAACAGAUUCAAUACAAGUUACUUAGGCAAUUUUAACUUCUGCCUUAACUACAUCUUAGACUUGAAUCCAAGUGCAUCAACCUAAGGCAGCAACAACACUCUAAGCUUUAUUAUACUACUCGGUUUCAAUCAAUGAAAGUAACCAGGAUCAGACAAAUCUAGUAUCCUAUACAAUCAUUGUAGAACCGAGGCAAGCUUUACAACUCUCAAUCACCAUUCACAACUCUCAAGUAUCUUGGGACAGAUUCUAAACAUUUCAUAUCUAGCAAUCUUUAAACAUCCACAAGUUUUCAAUCACAUCACAACAUCACAACCUGUUCAUACACUCAAGCUUUAUACAAGAGAAAGAGAUUUCCUUACAGCCAAGGAACUAGUGUUAGUUCCUUGAAACUCCUUAGUACAUGGGAAGAUCCGAGCUGUUGGUGUCAACUCCUACAUCUCCUUCUUUCAUGGACCUUUCUCUUGAACCCACCAUGCCUAAGACACCUCCUCUCUUCAUUUUUUGAGUCGCCAUACCAGGUACAAGUUGAAAGCUUUCACCUUUCUUCUUGGACAGUGAAUGGGAAUGGCUUGGACAUGCUUCCAAUGGCCUUCUUUCUUCAGGACGACCAUGAGAGAGUAGAGAACGACCAAGAACAGCUUCUGGACGCCAUUGAUGAUCACACCUUCUUCUUGAAGAGGUUGAACAGCCAAAUGAACAUGAAGCUUCUUCUUGGUUUGGAAAUGGCAUGGGAGUGAGCUUUGAGCUUAGCGGAAGCUGGAACCAAGUUCUAAUGAACCUGGCUCUGAUACCAUAUCAGAUUUAAGAGUACUCAGGUUGUAUGUGUGUUUGAAACCCAAAUGGGUAAAGAGAGAGAGNNNNNNNNNNNNNNNNNNNNNNNNNNNNNNNNNNNNNNNNNNNNNNNNNNNNNNNNNNNNNNNNNNNNNNNUAAGAGUUUUAAGUAAUGUAAAAGAUAAUCUGAGUUUAGAUGAGAAUAAGGAAGAGAUUUGUGUAGCUUAAGAGAUUAAGAGACUAAUGGAGAAUCAUUAUGAAAAGUCUAGAGAGAUUAAUUGUUUAGAACUGUAUGAUUCUUAUUAAUGAUGAGCUCACAAUAUAUAUAGGUCCAUACACAUUAGGGUUUUCGAAAUCAUAAGGAUAAGCAAGCAUGUAGAGUCAAAGAGGAGCUGGUGCUUUAGUUUGAACCGGCCAAUGAUAGUCUCCACACGUUUGAAGCAUCUUCUUGAUCCAAGACUAGAUGCUCUUCCUUUCCAGCUCUUGCCAGCCUGUCCUAGCUGUCAAGCCGCGCCUCCCUUAUCCUCUCCAACGUUCGGAUAAGGUCUUGGUCAAGUGUAACUUCAAGUAAGUCCAUGUAAGUUACCCGGAGAGUUACUUGGCCGCUUUUACCUUUGUACGGCCAAUGGUACGGCCUAUCCGUCCGUACCAUCUCUAUCAACCCAUUUCUUCUCUUAACUCCUUUGCCCUCUUUAUGUCCUCAACUCCUUUGUGUCUUUACCUCUUAUCUCAUAUGUCUCAACUCAUCUCAACACUCCCCCUCAAGCUUAGCUUUGUGAAAGUCUAAGCUUGGCUAGCCAUGAGAUCUUCCUCAUUAAAAACCUCACCAAAGAAAACCCAUUGGGACAAAACUUUGAUGAGGGAAAAAGAGUAAAGACCUCAUGACUUGUGAUUGGCUACUUUAGUCAUGGGACAGGCUGGCCUUGGCUGUAAAGACAAGGAGAGCCACGACCAUGAACCUAGACUGAUCUGUGGACAGAUUAGGAGGAGCCUAAGGAGAGCCAAUCAUCAUCCAGCCUUCCCCAUUUUGAAUUAAACCAAUCAGGCUUCACCUCCUCUUAACCAAUCAGCAUCAACUACUCAGAUUGCAACAAGACCAGCUCAUCUACACCAUCCAUUCCUCUUAAGUUAUUUACAGCCAGACAAUCAACUUCAAUGUGCUUGGUUCUCUCAUGAAACACCGAGUUGGAGGCAAUGUGGAUAGCUGCUUGGUUAUCACAAUGCAUUGUCAUAGGCGUGGCUUGAUCAAUCUCCAAAUGCUUCAAGAUGCCUUUGAUCCACACCAGCUCAUUGGUAAGCUUCAGCAUAGCUCUAUACUCAGCUUCUGCACUUGAGCAAGAGACCACCUUCUGCUUCUUACUCUUCAAUCCCUUAAUCUCUCCCUUUCUUAGUCUCUAAUCUCCUAAUCUCUCAAAGUCUUUUGUUUCUGAUCUGAGUAAACACUUAAUCACUCAUAAACACUUCCACUAAUCUAUCUCUCUCUAAAUCACCUAAAUCAAACUCUCUCUCUCUCUCUGCCCUAUUAGGUUUCACACAAACACACAGCCUGAGAUCUCUGAAAAUCUCACAUGGUAUCAGAGCCAGGUUCAUCUGAAUCUGGUUCUUAGCUUCCGCAAAAGCUCACAAGCUCCUCUCAUGUCGUUUUGAAACCAAGACCAAGCUUAGAUGAUCCAGCCGGCUGUUCAACAUCUCAAGUGGAAGAUGGGUUCAUCCCUGGUGUCCAGAAGCUGUAUGUGGUCGUUUCUCACCCUCUCAUGACGCCCAUGAAGAAAGAAGGCUCUUGGAAACAAGGCAGGAAGUGGUCUGAUCAACCAAGCUUCAAAGCUUUAUACAAGCUGUUUCUUAUUCACUGUCCAAGAAGAAAGGUGAUAGCUUUCAUCUGGUACUGGUGUGGCGAGUGUAACAUGAAGAAAGGUGGGGUCUUUGACAUGGAGAGUUCAAGAGAAAGGUCCUUGGAAGAAGGAGAAGUUGGGGUCGACACCAACAGCUCACUGUCUUGCCAUGUUCUAUGGAGUUUCAAGGAACUAACACUAGUUCCUUGGCUGUAAGAAACCUCUUUCUCUUGUUUAAAGCUUGUGUAUGUGAACUGAAUGAUGUAUUAAACAGGUUGUGAUGUUGUGAUGUGAUUGAAAACCUGAGGAUGUGUUUAAAGAUUGCUAGAUAUGAAAUGUUUAGAAUCUGUCCCAGGAUGCUUAAAAAGAGUUGGUUGGUGACUGAGAAUUGUUGCUUGAAUCUGGUUCAUAAUGAAUGUCUGUUAGGGAGUUAGUAGUAUUGUCUAAACCUGACUGCUUUCAUGAAUUGAAACCGAGCUUAAAGUGGAGUGUAGAGUGUUGUUGCUGCCUUAGGUUGAUGCACUUUGAUUCAAGUCUAAGAUGCAGUUAAGGCAGAAGUUAAAAAUGCCUAAGUAGCUUGCAUAAAUCUGGAAAAGAAAGUGCUUGUGCUUAGAGAGUUUGCUUGCAAAGAUUAGAACUUGAAAGUGUCUUGUAUAAUCUGUUGCAAUGCUUGUGAUAUUGGUGAUCAACCUUGAUGAUGUGUCAAGGAUUGAUACCAAUACCUUUGUGUCUUAUCUAUGCUGGAGUUUGAGUGAUGUUUCAGGUUCACAAGAAGUGUUCUUUGCUCACCAUCCAUCCAAGUAGAAGAGGAAGACUUUGCCCAUUGUUGAAGCAAUGGAGAGUGGCUUGUGUGUAUGGCCGGUUGAGAAGCGCAGCUAGUGAUAGUGAUGCGCUCCUGGUUCAUGGAGACACACAAGGAAAGGUCAUCACCUAAGUCUUGAGGAGACCGGUGACCUGAAGGCAUUGGAGCUGAAGGAAAUGGGAGAUCGGUUGACUUAAGCGCAGCUGUAGGAAGUGAUGUGCUCCCGGUUUGGAGUCUCAUUGAGGCUCACUUCAAGCUUGAACCUAGGCUCAGUCAAGCUUGAGGUGGGGAUUCAAGUGAGCUACCAGAAGAUUCUCGAAGCUCAGUGACCUGUUUCCUCCUUACCAUUGCAAGCUUCCGAAGAAGGAGCCAACCAGGGUUUAGGCAGUAGCGUGUCUACUCAAGAGAUUGUUCAGAGCAGUCUUGGCUGUUCUCGAAGCUCAGUGACCUGUUUCCUCCUUACCAUUGCAAGCUUCCGAAGAAGGAGCCAACCCGGGUUUAGGCAGUAGCGUGUCUACUCAAGAGAUUGUUCAGAGCAGUCUUGGCUGCGUAUGAAGAAGGUUACUCUAUCAAUGCGGCCUCUAGUGUGAGGUGAUUGAAGAGGGAACUGAGGUAUCUACCAGCAGUCCAUCAAGGGUGGCAAGUUAUGAAGAGAGGUUGCAAUGGUUUGUUCAGUCCAGAUCAUGAAGCCUUCUUGCUGUCCAACCUUGAUCCUUGCAAGAGGUCUCAAGCUUGAGGGGGAGUGUUGAAGUGGCUUCACUGAUCAGAUGGAGUUUCAGAAGUGAGGGAUUCAAGUGGCUAGUGAAGAGCAGCCACUCCUCACCAUCUAAACAAGGGAGUAAACCUUAUCUAUUCUUUAUAUACAUUCAUGAUAUGUUUAUCUCUUGGGGACUGAUACACUUGUGGAAUGAUGUAUCAGGUACUUGUAUCUAUCAAGGAAGAUCUGGUGUGUCCAAACACUUCAACCUAACAAGAAGUUAGGUGAAAGGGGGAGAGACCAAGAUCUGUCUGAAGAAGAGUACAAGAAGUGUUGAUGAUGAGCAAGAAGAGUGGGUUCUAUCUUGCAUCACAUGAGGGCCAUGAUCCAGAGUCUUUGUGUCCCUUACAUUGUUGGUAAGGCACAAAGACUCACUGGCCAAUCCCUAGGCCUUGGAGACUUUACUCUUUUUCCCUCAUCAAGGUUUUGUCCCAAAGGGUUUUCCUUGGUGAGGUUUUUAAUGAGGAAGUUCUUCAAGGUUCCAAGCUUGACUUAGGAUCAACUAAAGUCAAGCUUGAGGGGGAGUGUUAACUUGAAGAGAAGAAAUGGAGAAACUAAAGGUGUUGAGUUGAGUUUUUGUCCCAAAGGGUUUUCCUUGGUGAGGUUUUUAAUGAGGAAGUUCCUCAAGGUUCCAAGCUUGACUUAGGAUCAACUAAAGUCAAGCUUGAGGGGGAGUGUUAACUUGAAGAGAAGAAAUGGAGAAACUAAAGGUGUUGAGUUGAGUUGGGGCUUAUGCAAAAGAUAGGGCAAGGUGUCCAGAAGUGUCAUGAUGGAUGUGCAAUGUUAGGGCCAAGUCUAGGAGAGACUUAGAAGUGUAUUUGGGAGCAAAUGGACGAGUGUGCAAAGAUAGGGAGAGGCAGUACGGACAUGUACGGACAGUACGGAUCUGUACAGACCAGGGCGACCCAGAUUUGCAUAACUCGGCCAUUUGAGAAGUUUUGGAAUUGGUGCAAAAAUAGGGUGAACCUGACGUCCCGGGAAAGCUUGUGCAAUGUCUGGGCAAGGUUUGAGAGUUAUAAAAGUGGUCUCAGUCUUGUGGAUAAGGUUCUGAUCAGAUGGCAUCAAAGGAGAAUCAAGAAGAUGCCAUUGGAGUGUGAUUGGCUAGUUUGGUCAUGGGACAGGCUGGCCUUGGCUGUAAAGACAAGGGGAGCCACGACCAUGAACCUGGACUGAUCUGUGGACAGAUUAGGAGGAGCCUAAGGAGAGCCAAUCACAGCCCAGCCUUCCCCAUUUUGAAUUAAACCAAUCAGGCUCCAUCUCCUCUUAACCAAUCAGCAUCAACUACUCAGAUUGCAACAAGACCAGCUCAUCUACACCAUCCAUUCCUCUUAAGUUAUUAUCAGCCAUUAGAUAUAGGUUUCUGAUUGUGUAAACCUGUGUAAGCUUAUAAAUAAGCAUGAUGGACGAAAUUGUAUCUCUCUAAGAGAGAGAGGGGGAUUUCCCCUCCUCCUUCAUCAAUGAAAGGGUUUUGAAAACCAGAAACACAAAUCUAUUCUCUAGUCUUAAUCUCUCAGUCUCUCAGUCUCUUAAUCUCUGUUUCUAAGUCUCUUAUACACUCAAAAACACUCUUAUCAAUCUCUGUUCUUAAAUCACCAUUAAAAGCUCUCAUCUUGCUCAAUUGGAGCUUAUACACAUUCACACACACAACCAGAGUAGUACUCUAUAAAAACUCACAGAAGCUAUGUUAGACAGGGAAUGGAAAGAAUCAGUGGGAGCUGAAGCAGGUGCUAUGAUCAAGAAUGAUACAUGGUAUGAGAGUGAACUGCCUAAGGGAAAGAAGGCUCUAUCUAGUAGAUGGAUCUUCACAAUCAAGUAUCUAGCAAAUGGACAGAUUGAUAGGAAGAAGACCAGAUUGGUUGCAAGAGGAUUUACACAGACCUAUGGAGAGGAUUACAUUGAUACCUUUGCACCGGUAGCUAAGAUUUACACAAACCUAUGGAGAGGAUUACAUUGACACCUUUGCACCGGUAGCUAAGCUGCACACAGUUCGGAUUGUGUUGUCCAUUGCAACAAACUUGGAGUGGGAUUUGUGGCAGAUGGAUGUGAAGAAUGCUUUCUUACAAGGUGAGCUAGAAGAUGAGGUAUACUUGCUUCCUCCUCCUGGUCUUGAGCAUCUAGUAAAACCAGGAAAUGUUUUGAGAUUGAAGAAGGCAAUAUAUGGGCUGAAGCAGUCUCCUAGAGCUUGGUACAGGAAGCUGAGUACAACUCUCAAUGGGAGAGGAUUCAGGAAGUCUGAACUGGAUCAUACACUCUUCACUUUGGUUACUCCAUCAGGGAUCAUUGUGAUACUGGUAUAUGUGGAUGAUUUGAUUAUCACCGAUGUGUUCUUUCUUGAGUGUUCUUGAGUGUUCUUGAGUGUUCUUGGUGUUCUUGAGUUCUGAUCUUUAUUAUCUGAGUGGUGUGAGAUAUUCUGAUGGAUUCAAACUAUCUCAACAUGGAAAUGAAGCACAGAUCUAGUAGUACAACCAUGGACCUUGAAGAAGAAAGGGAUGGCGAUUGGUCAAGAUGGGCAAAGAGAGCUUUGGAAAGCUGUGGGUUAUGGUGUGGUCAUGUAAAGGGGAAGCCUUUAGUGGAAAUGGCUACUGAAGAAAGGUCCAAACUUGUGAAGGUCAGUGGAGACAAGAGAGUGAUCCGUGGCUUGAGACAAGGAAAGGAUGAGUUGUAUCAGCUUGUGGGAAGGCUGAGGGAAGGAUGGAUGGAGCUGGAUAUGCUGAGACCAAGCACAGCUGAUCCGAGAGUUAUUAAAGAAAGAAGGAAACAAGGUGUGUUCUUUAGCUUUCUUGUGAAGGAGAUAUGGGUUCUUACUCUUCAAGCGUGUGAGUUGUGGGAAGAGAACAAGAGAUCAAACCUGUGGAAAGGUGGUACAAGCUGUAAGAAGGGAAGGCUGAGAAAGCUUUCUAGAGUGUGGCUUAAGAUGGGAAAGGCUUGGAAGAAGAACAUGGAGUCUGGUUAUCUAAGUGAUAAGAUGAGCUUGAAGAUGAUCAAGGAGGUGGCUCAACAAGUGGUAAGAGGAGAGUGUUCUUACUCUGCCUAUAUGAGUAACUCAGUGGAGGAUAGUAUGGUUAUGAAGGAGCAGGAGAUCAAAGGAGCAGAUGACCCUAUCACAAAGAAAGAAUGGGAUGGGUUUGUCAAGUAUGUGUAUGCUUUGGCUACGACCCGGAGACAAGGUGCUCCUGCCUUAGCAUCCACAUCCAAACCCAUUAUCAUUGAUUCUGGAGCAACACAUCAUAUGAUCAGUGAUAGAAGUCUGAUAAGUGAAGUCAAGGCUGCAACAGGGAGUGUCAUGAUAGCUAAUGGUGCUAGGAUCCCAAUAGAAGGAGUGGGAAACCUCAAGCUGUUUGAGAAGAACUCACCUGCAUUCUAUUUGCCUCAAUUCACCUCAAAUCUGAUAUCAGUGAAGAAGGCCACAGUUGAUCUUGAUUGUCAAGUAGUAUUCAGGCCAAAUGAGGUUGAGUUUCAAGACUUGAAGACUGGGAGAGUUAUUGGUAGAGGGGACAGCAGGAAUCAGUUAUAUCAUCUCCAAACAGCUAAGAACUCUAAAGUUAUUGGUAGAGGGGACAGCAGGAAUCAGUUAUAUCAUCUCCAAACAGCUAAGAACUCUAAUCCUAUUGAUUCUAUAUGCUUGAGUAGUACUGCUGAUAGGUGUGACAGUAUUACUUGGCAUGCUAGAUUAGGACAUCCUCAUGCUCGUGCAAUUGAAUUGAUAAUCCCUAAUAUGUCAUUCAAUCACUUGGAAUGUGAAGCUUGCAUCUUAGGGAAGCAUUGUAGAACUGUUUUUCCCACAUCAGAGACCAUAUAUGCAAAUUGCUUUGAUCUUGUUCAUUCUGAUGUGUGGACAGCCCCUUGUAUGUCUAGAGAAAACCAGAAGUACUUUGUGACAUUCAUAGAUGAGAAGUCUAAGUAUACAUGGAUCACAUUGCUGCCAUCUAAGGAUAGAGUGUUUGAAGCCUUUGUCAACUUCCAAGCAUAUGUAACUAACCAUUACAAUGCUACUGUGAAGGUACUACGGUCUGAUAAUGGAGGAGAAUACACCAGUCAUGCCUUCAAGAAUCAUUUGGCUAAACAUGGGAUAGUGCAUCAGACCAGUUGUCCUUACACACCACAGCAGAAUGGGGUAGCUGAGAGGAAGAAUAGGCAUCUGAUGGAGGUGGCUAGAUCCAUGAUGUAUCAUGCUAGUGUUCCAAAGAGGUUUUGGGGUGAUGCUGUUCAGACUGCAUGCUAUCUUAUCAAUCGGAUUCCAACUAAGGUAUUGAAGAAUCUGUCUCCGUUUGAAGUGCUGAACAAGAGCAAGCCACACAUAGAUCAUCUGCGUGUCUUUGGAUGUCUAUGUUAUGUCUGGGUUCCAGGAGAACAGAGAAACAAGUUGGAGGCAAAGAGCACUAAAGCAAUGCUCAUUGGGUACUCAGUAACUCAGAAGGGGUACAAGUGCUAUGAUCCAGCAACCAGGAGAGUGUUGGUGUCUAGAGAUGUUAAGUUCAUAGAGACCAAGGGGUUUUAUGAAGAAAAGAAUUGGGAAGACUUGGAAGAUCUGUCUCAAGAACCAAGAAACAUGGCAGAGAAUCUGAGGAACAUAUUGGAAAGGCUUGGGGUAAACAUGUCCCAGGAUAAGGUUAGAGAACCUGAAAGAACAACUCCCCUUGAUCAUGAGGGGGGGAAUGAGUCUGAAUCAGGAGUGCAAGAGCAGCACCAAGGGGAUUCAGGUCAUCAUGAUCAAGUGGUGACACAAGAAGUAGAGAAUUUUCCUCAGGUCAGUGUGGAUGAGCAAGGAGAGGUUCAUGAUCAAGAGGAGGUGAGUGAGGCAGGAACAGAGGUUCAAGCAGAGGUUCAAACUGAGGAACAGGUUCAACCAUUAAGGAGGAGCACACGGAUAAAGAGGGAUGCUUCCAACUGGGUAAACACGAGAGUGUACUACAAUGCCCAGGCUGUGGAGCAUCCUUCUCAAGCUGUGUGUUCCUUUGCAGAAUAUCCAGAAGAGCACAUGGUGUUUAUGUGUAACUUGGAUGAGAAUGAGAUACCAAGAUCUUAUGAAGAAGCUAUGAAGCACAAGGUUUGGAGAGAUUCAGUAGGAGAUGAAAGGGAUGCAAUGAUCAGGAAUGACACUUGGUAUGAGAGUGAGUUACCUAAAGGGAAGAAGGCAGUUUCAAGCAGAUGGAUCUUCACCAUCAAGUAUCUUGCAAAUGGGGAGAUAGAUAGGCGCAAGACCAGGCUGGUUGCAAGAGGAUUUACACAGACUUAUGGGGAAGAUUACAUUGACACUUUUGCACCAGUGGCCAAGCUUCACACAAUUCGAAUUGUGUUAUCCAUUGCAACAAACUUGGAGUGGGAUUUGUGGCAAAUGGAUGUGAAGAAUGCUUUCUUGCAAGGUGAACUUGAAGAUGAAGUAUACAUGCAUCCACCUCCUGGUCUUGAGCAUCUAGUAAAGCCAGGGAAUGUUUUGAGAUUGAAGAAGGCAAUAUAUGGGUUGAAACAGUCACCUAGAGCUUGGUACAGGAAGUUGAGUACAACACUCAAUGGGAGAGGCUUUAGGAAGUCUGAACUAGAUCACACUCUCUUCACCUUGACAGGACCUUCUGGGAGCAUUGUGAUUCUAGUGUAUGUGGAUGAUUUGAUUAUCACAGGAAGUGAUAAGGCAGGGAUUCAAGCUACUAAGGAGUUUCUCAAAUCUGUGUUUGACAUCAAGGAUUUGGGAGAGAUGAAGUAUUUUCUAGGCAUUGAGAUAUGCAGAUCAAAGGAGGGUUUGUUUAUGUCUCAAAGGAAGUAUACUAUGGAUAUGUUGAAGGAGACUGAUGUGCUUGGAGGAAAGAUAGCUAAGACACCCCUUGAGGAGGGAUAUAAGGUUCUGCGUGAGGGGGAGGUUGAAGAGAAGCAGUUGUUUGAGGAUCCUAAGCUAUACAGGAAGAUGGUUGGCAAGCUGAUCUACUUGACCAUCACACGGCCAGAUAUAUGUUUUGCUGUGAACCAAGUGAGUCAACAUAUGCAGGCGCCAAAGGUACAUCACUGGAAGAUGGUUGAUAGGAUACUGAGGUAUUUGAGUGGCACGCCUGGUCAAGGAGUUUGGAUGGGAUGCAAUGGCAGCACAGAAGUAGUGGGCUAUUGUGAUGCUGAUUGGGCAGGAGAUAGAGUGGACAGGAGAUCAACUACUGGCUAUUGUACAUUCAUUGGAGGGAACCAUUCAUUGGAGGGAACUUGGUUACUUGGAAGAGUAAGAAGCAAAAGGUUAUCUCUUGUUCAAGUGCUGAAGCUGAGUAUAGAGCCAUGUUGAAGCUGACAAACGAGUUGGUGUGGAUCAAGGGUAUCUUGAAGCAUCUGGAGAUUGAGCAGAGUACUCCUAUGACAAUGCACUGUGACAAUCAAGCAGCUAUCCAUAUUGCUUCUAACUCAGUCUUUCAUGAGAGAACGAAGCACAUAGAAGUGGAUUGUCACAAGGUGAGGCAGAUGAUUAUCUUAGGAGUGAUUCUGCCAUGUUAUACAAGGAGUGAGGAUCAACUGGCUGAUGUGUUUACUAAGGCAAAGGCAGCGAGAUUAAAGACAAUGGAGUCCAUACUUUCUAGGCUUGGGCUCAUUGAUCUUACUCCCAGGAGCUGAUCCCCUUACCCAUGGAGUCUCCACUCUUUUUCCCUCAUCAAGGUUUUAUCCCAAUGGGUUUUCCUUGGUGAGGUUUUUAAUGAGGGAGAUCUUCAUGGUUUCCAAGCUUGACUUGUUCUACAUGGUCAAGCUUGAGGGGGAGUGUUGAGAUGAGGUGAUAAGGAGUGGAUACAUUGAUAGAGGAAGAGUAUUGGGGCAGUUAGUAACUUUGGGGAUUUACCACAGUAACUUUAGUUUUACUGUGGUAACUAAGUUAAAACAUUGGGAAGUUACCUUUCACCCAUUUGGAGAGUGGAUCACGCCUAAGGAGAGUUUGGAUAAGGAAGGAGCAGUCUGGAUAAGGUCUGGUCAUAGCUGGAAAGGAAAACACCUUUACAGCCUGUCCAAGCAUGUGAGAACACCCAUUGGCUGCUUUUGGAUGGCUCUCCUUGACUCCACACGUUCUGGAUCCCCUCUGACCCUAUGAUUUCGAAUUGUAUCAUGUAUUACUCAUAUAAAGCCUUGUAAACCUGAUUGAUAAUAAUUAAUGGAGUUUUGAGUCUCUCUCUCUCUAGAAUCUCUCUAUUCUCUAAAUUCUACUCUAAUCUUCUCUGAUUAUUAUUAAACACACUCUAAAACACAAAAGUGUUUAUGGUAUCAGAGCCAGGUUGCUCAAAAGGGGAUGAGUGUGUGAUUUCUAUUUCGCAAAUCUGUGUUCUUUCUUGAGUGUUCUUGAGUGUUCUUGAGUGUUCUUGAGUGUUCUUGGUGUUCUUGAGUUCUGAUCUUUAUUAUCUGAGUGGUGUGAGAUAUUCUGAUGGAUUCAAACUAUCUCAACAUGGAAAUGAAGCACAGAUCUAGUAGUACAACCAUGGACCUUGAAGAAGAGAGGGAUGGCGAUUGGUCAAGAUGGGCAAAGAGAGCUUUGGAAAGCUGUGGGUUAUGGUGUGGUCAUGUAAAGGGGAAGCCUUUAGUGGAAAUGGCUACUGAAGAAAGGUCCAAACUUGUGAAGGUCAGUGGAGACAAGAGAGUGAUCCGUGGCUUGAGACAAGGAAAGGAUGAGUUGUAUCAGCUUGUGGGAAGGCUGAGGGAAGGAUGGAUGGAGCUGGAUAUGCUGAGACCAAGCACAGCUGAUCCGAGAGUUAUUAAAGAAAGAAGGAAACAAGGUGUGUUCUUUAGCUUUCUUGUGAAGGAGAUAUGGGUUCUUACUCUUCAAGCGUGUGAGUUGUGGGAAGAGAACAAGAGAUCAAACCUGUGGAAAGGUGGUACAAGAUGUAAGAAGGGAAGGCUGAGAAAGCUUUCUAGAGUGUGGCUUAAGAUGGGAAAGGCUUGGAAGAAGAACAUGGAGUCUGGUUAUCUAAGUGAUAAGAUGAGCUUGAAGAUGAUCAAGGAGGUGGCUCAACAAGUGGUAAGAGGAGAAUGUUCUUACUCUGCCUAUAUAAGUAACUCAGUGGAGGAUAGUAUGGUUAUGAAGGAGCAGGAGAUCAAAGGAGCAGAUGACCCUAUCACAAAGAAAGAAUGGGAUGGGUUUGUCAAGUAUGUGUAUGCUUUGGCUACGACCCGGAGACAAGGUGCUCCUGCCUUAGCAUCCACAUCCAAACCCAUUAUCAUUGAUUCUGGAGCAACACAUCAUAUGAUCAGUGAUAGAAGUCUGAUAAGUGAAGUCAAGGCUGCAACAGGGAGUGUCAUGAUAGCUAAUGGUGCUAGGAUCCCAAUAGAAGGAGUGGGAAACCUCAAGCUGUUUGAGAAGAACUCACCUGCAUUCUAUUUGCCUCAAUUCACCUCAAAUCUGAUAUCAGUGAAGAAGGCCACAGUUGAUCUUGAUUGUCAAGUAGUAUUCAGGCCAAAUGAGGUUGAGUUUCAAGACUUGAAGACUGGGAGAGUUAUUGGUAGAGGGGACAGCAGGAAUCAGUUAUAUCAUCUCCAAACAGCUAAGAACUCAGCAGGAAUCAGUUAUAUCAUCUCCAAACAGCUAAGAACUCUAAUCCUAUUGAUUCUAUAUGCUUGAGUAGUACUGCUGAUAGGUGUGACAGUAUUACUUGGCAUGCUAGAUUAGGACAUCCUCAUGCUCGUGCAAUUGAAUUGAUUAAACCUAAUAUGUCAUUCAAUCACUUGGAAUGUGAAGCUUGCAUCUUAGGGAAGCAUUGUAGAACUGUUUUUCCCACAUCAGAGACCAUAUAUGCAAAUUGCUUUGAUCUUGUUCAUUCUGAUGUGUGGACAGCCCCUUGUAUGUCUAGAGAAAACCAGAAGUACUUUGUGACAUUCAUAGAUGAGAAGUCUAAGUAUACAUGGAUCACAUUGCUGCCAUCUAAGGAUAGAGUGUUUGAAGCCUUUGUCAACUUCCAAGCAUAUGUAACUAACCAUUACAAUGCUACUGUGAAGGUACUACGGUCUGAUAAUGGAGGAGAAUACACCAGUCAUGCCUUCAAGAAUCAUUUGGCUAAACAUGGGAUAGUGCAUCAGACCAGUUGUCCUUACACACCACAGCAGAAUGGGGUAGCUGAGAGGAAGAAUAGGCAUCUGAUGGAGGUGGCUAGAUCCAUGAUGUAUCAUGCUAGUGUUCCAAAGAGGUUUUGGGGUGAUGCUGUUCAGACUGCAUGCUAUCUUAUCAAUCGGAUUCCAACUAAGGUAUUGAAGAAUCUGUCUCCGUUUGAAGUGCUGAACAAGAGCAAGCCACACAUAGAUCAUCUGCGUGUCUUUGGAUGUCUAUGUUAUGUCUGGGUUCCAGGAGAACAGAGAAACAAGUUGGAGGCAAAGAGCACUAAAGCAAUGCUCAUUGGGUACUCAGUAACUCAGAAGGGGUACAAGUGCUAUGAUACAGCAACCAGGAGAGUGUUGGUGUCUAGAGAUGUUAAGUUCAUAGAGACCAAGGGGUAUUAUGAAGAAAAGAAUUGGGAAGACUUGGAAGAUCUGUCUCAAGAACCAAGAAUGAAGAAAAGAAUUGGAAGGGGUAUUAUGAAGAAAAGAAUUGGGAAGACUUGGAAGAUCUGUCUCAAGAACCAAGAAACAUGGCAGAGAAUCUGAGGAACAUAUUGGAAAGGCUUGGGGUAAACAUGUCCCAGGAUAAGGUUAGAGAACCUGAAAGAACAACUCCCCUUGAUCAUGAGGGGGGGAAUGAGUCUGAAUCAGGAGUGCAAGAGCAGCACCAAGGGGAUUCAGGUCAUCAUGAUCAAGUGGUGACACAAGAAGUAGAGAAUUUUCCUCAGGUCAGUGUGGAUGAGCAAGGAGAGGUUCAUGAUCAAGAGGAGGUGAGUGAGGCAGGAACAGAGGUUCAAGCAGAGGUUCAAACUGAGGAACAGGUUCAACCAUUAAGGAGGAGCACACGGAUAAAGAGGGAUGCUUCCAACUGGGUAAACACGAGAGUGUACUACAAUGCCCAGGCUGUGGAGCAUCCUUCUCAAGCUGUGUGUUCCUUUGCAGAAUAUCCAGAAGAGCACAUGGUGUUUAUGUGUAACUUGGAUGAGAAUGAGAUACCAAGAUCUUAUGAAGAAGCUAUGAGGCACAAGGUUUGGAGAGAUUCAGUAGGAGAUGAAAGGGAUGCAAUGAUCAGGAAUGACACUUGGUAUGAGAGUGAGUUACCUAAAGGGAAGAAGGCAGUUUCAAGCAGAUGGAUCUUCACCAUCAAGUAUCUUGCAAAUGGGGAGAUAGAUAGGCGCAAGACCAGGCUGGUUGCAAGAGGAUUUACACAGACUUAUGGGGAAGAUUACAUUGACACUUUUGCACCAGUGGCCAAGCUUCACACAAUUCGAAUUGUGUUAUCCAUUGCAACAAACUUGGAGUGGGAUUUGUGGCAAAUGGAUGUGAAGAAUGCUUUCUUGCAAGGUGAACUUGAAGAUGAAGUAUACAUGCAUCCACCUCCUGGUCUUGAGCAUCUAGUAAAGCCAGGGAAUGUUUUGAGAUUGAAGAAGGCAAUAUAUGGGUUGAAACAGUCACCUAGAGCUUGGAACAGGAAGUUGAGUACAACACUCAAUGGGAGAGGCUUUAGGAAGUCUGAACUAGAUCACACUCUCUUCACCUUGACAGGACCUUCUGGGAGCAUUGUGAUUCUAGUGUAUGUGGAUGAUUUGAUUAUCACAGGAAGUGAUAAGGCAGGGAUUCAAGCUACUAAGGAGUUUCUCAAAUCUGUGUUUGACAUCAAGGAUUUGGGAGAGAUGAAGUAUUUUCUAGGCAUUGAGAUAUGCAGAUCAAAGGAGGGUUUGUUUAUGUCUCAAAGGAAGUAUACUAUGGAUAUGUUGAAGGAGACUGAUGUGCUUGGAGGAAAGAUAGCUAAGACACCCCUUGAGGAGGGAUAUAAGGUUCUGCGUGAGGGGGAGGUUGAAGAGAAGCAGUUGUUUGAGGAUCCUAAGCUAUACAGGAAGAUGGUUGGCAAGCUGAUCUACUUGACCACCACACGGCCAGAUAUAUGUUUUGCUGUGAACCAAGUGAGUCAACAUAUGCAGGCGCCAAAGGUACAUCACUGGAAGAUGGUUGAUAGGAUACUGAGGUAUUUGAGUGGCACGCCUGGUCAAGGAGUUUGGAUGGGAUGCAAUGGCAGCACAGAAGUAGUGGGCUAUUGUGAUGCUGAUUGGGCAGGAGAUAGAGUGGACAGGAGAUCAACUACUGGCUAUUGUACAUUCAUUGGAGGGAACCUGGUUACUUGGAAGAGUAUUGUACAUUCAUUGGAGGGAACCUGGUUACUUGGAAGAGUAAGAAGCAGAAGGUCAUCUCCUGUUCAAGUGCAGAGGCUGAGUAUAGAGCUAUGUUGAAGCUGACAAUUGUUCAAGUGCUGAGGCUGAAUAUAGGGCUAUGUUGAAGUUGACAAACGAGUUGGUGUGGAUCAAGGGUAUCUUGAAGCAUCUGGAGAUUGAGCAGAGUACUCCUAUGACAAUGCACUGUGACAAUCAAGCAGCUAUCCAUAUUGCUUCUAACUCAGUCUUUCAUGAGAGAACGAAGCACAUAGAAGUGGAUUGUCACAAGGUGAGGCAGAUGAUUAUCUUAGGAGUGAUUCUGCCAUGUUAUACAAGGAGUGAGGAUCAACUGGCUGAUGUGUUUACUAAGGCAGCGAGAUUAAAGACAAUGGAGUCCAUACUUUCUAGGCUUAGGCUCAUUGAUCUUACUCCCAGGAGCUGAUCCCCUUACCCAUGGAGUCUCCACUCUUUUUCCCUCAUCAAGGUUUUAUCCCAAUGGGUUUUCCUUGGUGAGGUUUUUAAUGAGGGAGAUCUUCAUGGUUUCCAAGCUUGACUUGUUCUACAUGGUCAAGCUUGAGGGGGAGUGUUGAGAUGAGGUGAUAAGGAGUGGAUACAUUGAUAGAGGAAGAGUAUUGGGGCAGUUAGUAACUUUGGGGAUUUACCACAGUAACUUUAGUUUUACUGUGGUAACUAAGUUAAAACAUUGGGAAGUUACCUUUCACCCAUUUGGAGAGUGGAUCACGCCUAAGGAGAGUUUGGAUAAGGAAGGAGCAGUCUGGAUAAGGUCUGGUCAUAGCUGGAAAGGAAAACACCUUUACAGCCUGUCCAAGCAUGUGAGAACACCCAUUGGCUGCUUUUGGAUGGCUCUCCUUGACUCCACACGUUCUGGAUCUCCUCUGACCCUAUGAUUUCGAAUUGUAUCAUGUAUUACUCAUAUAAAGCCUUGUAAACCUGAUUGAUAAUAAUUAAUGGAGUUUUGAGUCUCUCUCUCUCUAGAAUCUCUCUAUUCUCUCUAAAUUCUACUCUAAUCUUCUCUGAUUAUUAUUAAACACACUCUAAAACACAAAAGUGUUUAGAGAAUCACCAGGAAUUUGAAUAAAUCUCAUAGGAGUUAGGAUGAAGAAGUUAUCCCACUUUCAAAUAAGGUGAUCCCAGUUUCCCUGUUUGGGAAUAUGACAACUUCUUCGACAUUCUAAUCAAACCAGGAUGAAUCGCGAUGUACAAAGCUGUAUUUAGAUACAAAGAAUAGUGGAGAAUCACCAGGAAUUUGAAUAAAUCUCAUAGGAGUUAGGAUGAAGAAGUUAUCCCACUUUCAAAUAAGGUGAUCCUAGUUUCCCUGUUUGGGAAUAUGAAUACUUCUUCGUCAUCCUAUUCAAACCAGAAUGAAUCGCGAUGUAAGAACCUUCAUUUGGAUACAUAAAGUAGUGGAGAAUCACCAGGAAGUUGAAUAAAUCUCAUAGGAGUUAGGAUGAAGAAGUUAUCCCACUUUCAAAUAAGGUGAUCCCAGUUUCCAUGUUUUGGAAUAUGACAAUUUCUUCGACAUUCUAAUCAAACCAGGAUGAAUCGCGAUGUACAAAGCUUGAUUUAGAUACAUAGAGUAGUCAGGAAGUUGAAUAAAUCUCAUAGAAGUUAGGAUGAAGAAGUUAUCCCACUUUCAAUUAAGGUGAUCCCAGUUUCCUUGUUUGGGAAUAUGACAACUUCUUCGUCAUUCUAAUCAAACCAGGAUGAAUCGCGAUGUAAGAACCUUCAUUUGGAUACAUAAAGUAGUGGAGAAUCACCAGGAAGUUGAAUAAAUCUCAUAGGAGUGAGGAUGAAGAAGUUAUCCCACUUUCAAAUAAGGUGAUCCCAGUUUCCAUGUUUUGGAAUAUGACAAUUUCUUCGACAUUCUAAUCAAACCAGGAUGAAUCGCGAUGUACAAAGCUUGAUUUAGAUACAUAGAGUAGUGGAGAAUCACCAGGAAGUUGAAUAAAUCUCAUAGGAGUUAGGAUGAAGAAGUUAUCCCACUUUCAAAUAAGGUGAUCCCAGUUUCCCUGUAUGGGAAUAUUACAACUUCUUCGUCAUUCUAAUCAAACCAGGAUGAAUCGCGAUGUAAGAACCUUCAUUUGGAUACAUAAAGUAGUGGAUGUUGAAGAGUUGAGUAUACAGGUGUGAAGCACAAAGGGGUUAAGACUGAAGAGAGUAUGUUAAGCAUUGGUGUGAUGGGAGAGGUUCACAUUGGCCUGACCGUACAAGGCCGUACAAGGCCGUACGUCCGUACAUGUUAGGACAAGUGAAACCUCGACCACGGUCACAAAGAGUUACCCGGGUAACUCAUGUGGAAAGAAGAGGCUUUGGCUGAUGGAUCAGACCGUUGGAGGAUAAGAAGAGGCGCGGCUUGACAGGCUGGCACAGCUGGAAAGGCAAGAGCAUCUUGGUCCAAGAUGCUAGAUACUCCAAGCAUGUGGGGAAGCUGAUUGGCCGGUCCAAAGAAGGCUUAUCCUCUCCUUGUUGACUUCACAUGCUUAGCUUAGCUCUAUGAUUUCGAAAACCCUUAUGAUCUCAUCCUAUAUAUUGUAACUCUGGUCAUUUAAUAAGAAACAUACAGUUCUGAGUUUCUCUCACUAAGCUCAUACUCUCUUAAGCAUGAUUCUAGUCUAAUCUUUUCAUAAUCUCUCAUUCUGUUCCUUAAUCUUCUCUAAAUCAUUUCAUUCUCUUAAUCUUAUAUGGUAUCAGAGCCAGGUUACCCAUUUCCUGGUUUCUAAUCUCAGUAAUCUUCAGCUUCAUCCCAUUUGCGGUUGUUCUUAAGCAUUUGAAAUGGAAGAAAGCAAGAGCAAGGCUCUCUCGGUUGCUGUUACGUUGAAGGGUGGUACUAACUACCUGUUGUGGUCUCGCUUGGUGAAAGCGGCAGUUGGGAGCAAGGGUUUAUGGAGCCAUAUCUCAGAUGGAGCUCCGAGACCAGUUGCUAAAGAAGGAGAAGGCGGUCAAGAGCUGAUGGUGGUAGAUCAAGAGAAGUGGGAUCAAGAUGACUUGAAGGUGCUUACGGUACUACAUGGGUCACUUGAAGCUUCAAUCCUGGAAGCCUACAGCUACUGUGAGACGCCAAAGGACCUGUGGGAUACACUCCAAAAGGUCUACGGUAACAUCUCUAAUCUGAGCCGUGUGUUUGAGUUGAAGAGAUCAAUCAACACUCUUGUGCAAGAGGAGGUGGAGUUUACUAAACACUUGGGAAAGUUCAGAGCCUUAUGGUCUGAGCUAGAGAUGCUGAGGCCUAACACCACUGAUCAAGAUGUUCUCAUGGAGAGAAGAGAACAGGAUCAAGUGUUCGGUUUGCUGCUCACCUUGAAUCCGGUCUUUAAUGACCUCAUCAAACACAUUUUGAGAUCACCAAAGCUUCCUUCCCUUGAAGAUGUAUGCGCUCAGAUACAAAGAGAGGAGGGAUCAGUUGGGUUGUUUGGAGGAAAGGGGGAGCUUACACUCGCGAAUCAAGCUGAUGCUGUCCAAGCAAACAAAGCGGCAUACAGGACUGAGGAAGGAAAGUUUGGAGGGAAGUGUGAUCAUUGCAAGAAGCAGGGCCAUAAGAGGAGCCAGUGCUGGAUCCUACACCCCCACCUCAAGCCUACCAAGUUCAUGAGGGAUAGAGAAGCAAGGGCGCAUCUGUCUGAUGGAGCUAGUGAAGCUGGAACAUCCGGAGCUGGACAGGCAAUGCAAGAAGGGGUAGGGAAGGCCUUAACCACUCAGCACACUCCGGGGAAGAGCACUGAUGGUGAGAUGAUAAGGAGAUCAGACAUUGAUGCCCUUAUCAAAGCUCUCAAGGAGAAUGGUAACUGUAUGAACACUCCUCUAGGAUACUCUCUUGCUGCAUCUUACAUAGAUAGGACUCAUGGUUAUCUAAGUCAUAACAAUGAGAUAAACGAUGCAUCUAGAUGUCUAAACAGCUUGAAUGAUUUACCUAUAACACUUGCUGCUAAAAAUGUGAUAAAACCUUUGAUUGUAGAUUCAGGUGCAUCUCAUCACAUGAUUAGUGACACUAGUCUCAUUAAGGAUAUAGAACCUGCUUGUGGAAAUGUGAUGAUUGCAAAUGGUGAUAGAAUUGCAAUUAAAGGAAUAGGAAAUCUAAAUCUGUUUGAUAAAGAGUCUAGAGCUUUCUAUAUGCCUGAAUUCACAUCAAAUUUAUUAUCUGUUAAAAGAUGUACUACUGAUUUACAUUGCAAUGUUAUCUUUAGUCCUAAUGAUGUGAAGUUUCAGGAUAUUGACACAAGAAAGAUGAUUGGCAAGGGAGUUACCAAAGGAGAGCUUUAUAUGCUAGAAGACAUAGCUCCCAUUUCCAAUUCAAGUUUCUCUUUUAGUUCUGUCUCUAGUUUGAAUAAUGAUGCAUUAUGGCAUGCUAGAUUAGGCCAUCCACAUGAUAGGGCUUUGAACUUAAUGUUACCAGGUGUCAUGUAUAAAAAUAAUGAAUGUGAAGCAUGUAUCUUGGGCAAACAUUGUAAGGCAGUCUUUAGAAACUCAACUACUAUAUAUGAGAAAUGUUUUGAUCUUGUGCAUUCUGAUGUUUGGACUGCUCCUUGCUUGUCUAGGGAAAAUUAUAAGUACUUUGUAACAUUCAUUGAUGAAAAAUCCAAAUACACCUGGAUAACUCUCAUUAAAACUAAGGAUAGAGUUCUUGAAGCAUUUAAAAACUUUCAAGCUUAUGUAUCUAACCAUUAUAAUGCCAAGCUUAAGAUUUUCAGAUCAGAUAAUGGUGGGGAAUAUACAAGCAUUGCCUUCAAGCAACAUCUAGCCUUACACGGAAUCCUUCAUCAAACUAGCUGUCCUUACACUCCACAACAAAAUGGUGUGGCUGAGAGAAAGAACAGACAUCUAAUGGAGGUUGCAAGAUCAAUGAUGUUUCAAACCAAUGUCCCAAAAAGGUUUUGGAGUGAUGCUGUGAUCUCAGCCUGCUACUUGAUCAACCGAAUUCCUACAAGAGUCUUGGAAGAUCAAUCACCGUUUGAAGUUCUGAAUAAGAUCAAGCCAUCCCUAAGCCAUUUGAGAGUAUUCGGAAGCAUAUGUUAUGUGCUGAUUCCAGGAGACAUGAGGAACAAGUUGGAGCCUAAGAGUAUUAAAGCCAUGUUUGUGGGGUACUCAACAACACAAAGAGGAUACAAAUGCUUUGAGCCGCAAACAAGAAGGCUCCUAGUUUCAAGGGACGUAAAGUUCAUAGAAACUAAAGGUUACUAUGAAGAAAGGAGCUGGGAAGAUCUGAAAGAUCUAGCUCAACCAUCUGAUAAGGCUGCGAGUCUUAGGAUGAUCUUGGAUGGUCUUGGGAUCAAUACAACCCAGGAUCCAAAGGGGCGAGAAGCACCAGUUCAAAAUGAAGCUGAAGACACAUCCCAUGCUGAUCAUGAAGGGGGAAACAAGUCUGAUACAGCUCAUGAGAAUGAAGGGAGCUCAAGUCCUGAUCAACAAGUGAUGCACAAUGGAGAUGCAACUGAAGAAAGAAGAGAUCAGAUGGGGGUACAACCUGAAGAAAGGGAAGAGGUAAUCAAUGAAACGGCUAUAGAACCUGAGGUGGCCAGUGAGCCACUUAUGGAGACAGUGCCAUUAAGAAGAAGUACAAGAGUAAGGAAGGAUCCAUCUAACUGGGCCAAUACCAGAGUUUACUACAAUGCUCAAGCCGUUGCACAUCCCAGUCAAGCUGUCUGUUCAUUUGCCGAGUUCCCAAACGAGCAUUGUGCUUUUAUGACAAGUUUGGAUACAAGCUACAUACCAAGGACAUAUGAAGAGGCAAUGGAAGAUAAAGAGUGGAGAGACUCAGUUGCGGAUGAGGCUGAUGCUAUGAGUAAGAAUGGAACCUGGUAUGAGAGUGAGCUGCCUCAAGGGAAGAAGGCAGUAUCAUGUAAAUGGAUAUUUACAAUCAAGUAUAGACCAGAUGGGACGGUUGAUAGGAAGAAGACCAGGCUUGUGGCUAGAGGGUUUACACAGACAUAUGGAGAGGACUACAUAGACACAUUUGCUCCAGUGGCUAAGCUUCACACCAUCCGAAUCAUCUUAUCAAUUGCUACUAAUCUUGAAUGGGGAUUGUGGCAAAUGGAUGUGAAGAAUGCAUUUCUACAAGGGGAACUUGAAGAUGAGGUGUAUAUGCAGCCUCCUCCGGGUCUUGAGAGUAUUGUGAAGCCAGGGAAUGUCCUAAGGUUGAAGAAGGCUAUCUAUGGAUUGAAGCAAUCACCUAGAGCCUGGUAUCACAAGCUGAGUACUACACUGAAUGGAAAAGGCUUCAGGAAGUCUGAACUGGACCAUACCUUAUUCACUCUAAACACAACCUCAGGUAUCAUCUGUCUAUUGGUCUAUGUUGACGACAUUAUCAUUACUGGUAGUGAUAAGGUUGGAAUACAAGAAACCAAAGACUAUCUCAAGUCUGUGUUUGAGAUUAAAGAUCUUGGAGAGAUGAAAUACUUUCUUGGGAUUGAGAUUUGUAGAUCCAAGGAAGGAUUAUUCAUGUCCCAAAGGAAAUAUACACUUGAUCUUUUGAAAGAUGCAGGUAAACUUGGAGGACAAACCGCAAAAAUGCCAAUGGAGGAUGGGUACAAAGUGCCAAGAGAGGGGGAGCUUGAAGACAGCAAGCUGUUCCAUGAUCCUAAGCUUUAUAGGAAGCUAGUGGGUAAGCUAAUCUACCUAACAAUCACACGACCUGAUAUCUGCUUUGCUGUGAAUCAGGUGAGUCAACACAUGCAAGCUCCAAAGGAUCAUCAUUGGAGAAUGGUAGAUAGAGUGCUAAGCUACCUCAACGGAUCACCAGGCCAAGGAGUCUGGAUGGGAUGCAAUGGGAGUACAGAAGUGGUUGGCUACUGUGAUGCAGAUUGGGCUGGAGAUAGAGCAGACAGAAGAUCUACAACCGGCUACUGCACCUUCAUUGGAGGGAACCUUGUGACUUGGAAGAGCAAGAAGCAGAAGGUGGUCUCUUGUUCUAGUGCGGAGGCAGAAUAUAGAGCAAUGCUGAAGCUCACUAAUGAGUUGGUAUGGAUCAAGGGGAUCUUGAAGCACAUUGAGAUUGAGCAAGUGGCGCCAAUGACAAUGCAUUGUGAUAACCAAGCUGCAAUCCACAUUGCCUCCAACUCAGUCUUCCAUGAGAGAACCAAGCACAUUGAAGUGGAUUGUCACAAGGUAAGGCAGAUGAUAGUCUUGGGAGUGAUCCUGCCAUGCUACACACGGAGUGAAGAUCAACUGGCUGAUGUGUUCACAAAAGCAGCAAGAAUGAAGACAAUGGAGUCCAUCUACAUCAGGUUGGGACUCGUUGAUCUUUCAUCUAGGAGCUGAGCCCCUUACUAUGAGGUCUUUACUCUUUUUCCCUCAUCAAAGUUUUGUCCCAAUGGGUUUUCUUUGGUGAGGUUUUUAAUGAGGAAGAUCUCAUAGUGUCCAAGCUUAGACUUCACAAAGCUAAGCUUGAGGGGGAGUGUUGAAGAGUUGAGUAUACAGGUGUGAAGCACAAAGGGGUUAAGACUGAAGAGAGUAUGUUAAGCAUUGGUGUGAUGGGAGAGGUUCACAUUGGCCUGACCGUACAAGGCCGUACAAGGCCGUACGUCCGUACAAGGCCGUACAAGGCCGUACGUCCGUACAUGUUAGGACAAGUGAAACCUCGACCACGGUCACAAAGAGUUACCCGGGUAACUCAUGUGGAAAGAAGAGGCUUUGGCUGAUGGAUCAGACCGUUGGAGGAUAAGAAGAGGCGCGGCUUGACAGGCUGGCACAGCUGGAAAGGCAAGAGCAUCUUGGUCCAAGAUGCUAGAUACUCCAAGCAUGUGGGGAAGCUGAUUGGCCGGUCCAAAGAAGGCUUAUCCUCUCCUUGUUGACUUCACAUGCUUAGCUUAGCUCUAUGAUUUCGAAAACCCUUAUGAUCUCAUCCUAUAUAUUGUAACUCUGGUCAUUUAAUAAGAAACAUACAGUUCUGAGUUUCUCUCACUAAGCUCAUACUCUCUUAAGCAUGAUUCUAGUCUAAUCUUUUCAUAAUCUCUCAUUCUGUUCCUUAAUCUUCUCUAAAUCAUUUCAUUCUCUUAAUCUUAUAUGGUAUCAGAGCCAGGUUACCCAUUUCCUGGUUUCUAAUCUCAGUAAUCUUCAGCUUCAUCCCAUUUGCGGUUGUUCUUAAGCAUUUGAAAUGGAAGAAAGCAAGAGCAAGGCUCUCUCGGUUGCUGUUACGUUGAAGGGUGGUACUAACUACCUGUUGUGGUCUCGCUUGGUGAAAGCGGCAGUUGGGAGCAAGGGUUUAUGGAGCCAUAUCUCAGACGGGGGUCCAAAACCAGUUGCUAAAGAAGGAGAAGGCGGUCAAGAGCUGAUGGUUGAUGGAGCCAUAUCUCAGAUGGAGCUCCGAGACCAGUUGCUAAAGAAGGAGAAGGCGGUCAAGAGCUGAUGGUGGUAGAUCAAGAGAAGUGGGAUCAAGAUGACUUGAAGGUGCUUACGGUACUACAUGGGUCACUUGAAGCUUCAAUCCUGGAAGCCUACAGCUACUGUGAGACGCCAAAGGACCUGUGGGAUACACUCCAAAAGGUCUACGGUAACAUCUCUAAUCUGAGCCGUGUGUUUGAGUUGAAGAGAUCAAUCAACACUCUUGUGCAAGAGGAGGUGGAGUUUACUAAACACUUGGGAAAGUUCAGAGCCUUAUGGUCUGAGCUAGAGAUGCUGAGGCCUAACACCACUGAUCAAGAUGUUCUCAUGGAGAGAAGAGAACAGGAUCAAGUGUUCGGUUUGCUGCUCACCUUGAAUCCGGUCUUUAAUGACCUCAUCAAACACAUUUUGAGAUCACCAAAGCUUCCUUCCCUUGAAGAUGUAUGCGCUCAGAUACAAAGAGAGGAGGGAUCAGUUGGGUUGUUUGGAGGAAAGGGGGAGCUUACACUCGCGAAUCAAGCUGAUGCUGUCCAAGCAAACAAAGCGGCAUACAGGACUGAGGAAGGAAAGUUUGGAGGGAAGUGUGAUCAUUGCAAGAAGCAGGGCCAUAAGAGGAGCCAGUGCUGGAUCCUACACCCCCACCUCAAGCCUACCAAGUUCAUGAGGGAUAGAGAAGCAAGGGCGCAUCUGUCUGAUGGAGCUAGUGAAGCUGGAACAUCCGGAGCUGGACAGGCAAUGACAGAAGGGGGCGGGAAGGCCUUAACCACUCAGCACACUCCGGGGAAGAGCACUGAUGGUGAGAUGAUAAGGAGAUCAGACAUUGAUGCCCUUAUCAAAGCUCUCAAGGAGAAUGGUAACUGUAUGAACACUCCUCUAGGAUACUCUCUUGCUGCAUCUUACAUAGAUAGGACUCAUGGUUAUCUAAGUCAUAACAAUGAGAUAAACGAUGCAUCUAGAUGUCUAAACAGCUUGAAUGAUUUACCUAUAACACUUGCUGCUAAAAAUGUGAUAAAACCUUUGAUUGUAGAUUCAGGUGCAUCUCAUCACAUGAUUAGUGACACUAGUCUCAUUAAGGAUAUAGAACCUGCUUGUGGAAAUGUGAUGAUUGCAAAUGGUGAUAGAAUUGCAAUUAAAGGAAUAGGAAAUCUAAAUCUGUUUGAUAAAGAGUCUAGAGCUUUCUAUAUGCCUGAAUUCACAUCAAAUUUAUUAUCUGUUAAAAGAUGUACUACUGAUUUACAUUGCAAUGUUAUCUUUAGUCCUAAUGAUGUGAAGUUUCAGGAUAUUGACACAAGAAAGAUGAUUGGCAAGGGAGUUACCAAAGGAGAGCUUUAUAUGCUAGAAGACAUAGCUCCCAUUUCCAAUUCAAGUUUCUCUUUUAGUUCUGUCUCUAGUUUGAAUAAUGAUGCAUUAUGGCAUGCUAGAUUAGGCCAUCCACAUGAUAGGGCUUUGAACUUAAUGUUACCAGGUGUCAUGUAUAAAAAUAAUGAAUGUGAAGCAUGUAUCUUGGGCAAACAUUGUAAGGCAGUCUUUAGAAACUCAACUACUAUAUAUGAGAAAUGUUUUGAUCUUGUGCAUUCUGAUGUUUGGACUGCUCCUUGCUUGUCUAGGGAAAAUUAUAAGUACUUUGUAACAUUCAUUGAUGAAAAAUCCAAAUACACCUGGAUAACUCUCAUUAAAACUAAGGAUAGAGUUCUUGAAGCAUUUAAAAACUUUCAAGCUUAUGUAUCUAACCAUUAUAAUGCCAAGCUUAAGAUUUUCAGAUCAGAUAAUGGUGGGGAAUAUACAAGCAUUGCCUUCAAGCAACAUCUAGCCUUACACGGAAUCCUUCAUCAAACUAGCUGUCCUUACACUCCACAACAAAAUGGUGUGGCUGAGAGAAAGAACAGACAUCUAAUGGAGGUUGCAAGAUCAAUGAUGUUUCAAACCAAUGUCCCAAAAAGGUUUUGGAGUGAUGCUGUGAUCUCAGCCUGCUACUUGAUCAACCGAAUUCCUACAAGAGUCUUGGAAGAUCAAUCACCGUUUGAAGUUCUGAAUAAGAUCAAGCCAUCCCUAAGCCAUUUGAGAGUAUUCGGAAGCAUAUGUUAUGUGCUGAUUCCAGGAGACAUGAGGAACAAGUUGGAGCCUAAGAGUAUUAAAGCCAUGUUUGUGGGGUACUCAACAACACAAAGAGGAUACAAAUGCUUUGAGCCGCAAACAAGAAGGCUCCUAGUUUCAAGGGACGUAAAGUUCAUAGAAACUAAAGGUUACUAUGAAGAAAGGAGCUGGGAAGAUCUGAAAGAUCUAGCUCAACCAUCUGAUAAGGCUGCGAGUCUUAGGAUGAUCUUGGAUGGUCUUGGGAUCAAUACAACCCAGGAUCCAAAGGGGCGAGAAGCACCAGUUCAAAAUGAAGCUGAAGACACAUCCCAUGCUGAUCAUGAAGGGGGAAACAAGUCUGAUACAGCUCAUGAGAAUGAAGGGAGCUCAAGUCCUGAUCAACAAGUGAUGCACAAUGGAGAUGCAACUGAAGAAAGAAGAGAUCAGAUGGGGGUACAACCUGAAGAAAGGGAAGAGGUAAUCAAUGAAACGGCUAUAGAACCUGAGGUGGCCAGUGAGCCACUUAUGGAGACAGUGCCAUUAAGAAGAAGUACAAGAGUAAGGAAGGAUCCAUCUAACUGGGCCAAUACCAGAGUUUACUACAAUGCUCAAGCCGUUGCACAUCCCAGUCAAGCUGUCUGUUCAUUUGCCGAGUUCCCAAACGAGCAUUGUGCUUUUAUGACAAGUUUGGAUACAAGCUACAUACCAAGGACAUAUGAAGAGGCAAUGGAAGAUAAAGAGUGGAGAGACUCAGUUGCGGAUGAGGCUGAUGCUAUGAGUAAGAAUGGAACCUGGUAUGAGAGUGAGCUGCCUCAAGGGAAGAAGGCAGUAUCAUGUAAAUGGAUAUUUACAAUCAAGUAUAGACCAGAUGGGACGGUUGAUAGGAAGAAGACCAGGCUUGUGGCUAGAGGGUUUACACAGACAUAUGGAGAGGACUACAUAGACACAUUUGCUCCAGUGGCUAAGCUUCACACCAUCCGAAUCAUCUUAUCAAUUGCUACUAAUCUUGAAUGGGGAUUGUGGCAAAUGGAUGUGAAGAAUGCAUUUCUACAAGGGGAACUUGAAGAUGAGGUGUAUAUGCAGCCUCCUCCGGGUCUUGAGAGUAUUGUGAAGCCAGGGAAUGUCCUAAGGUUGAAGAAGGCUAUCUAUGGAUUGAAGCAAUCACCUAGAGCCUGGUAUCACAAGCUGAGUACUACACUGAAUGGAAAAGGCUUCAGGAAGUCUGAACUGGACCAUACCUUAUUCACUCUAAACACAACCUCAGGUAUCAUCUGUCUAUUGGUCUAUGUUGACGACAUUAUCAUUACUGGUAGUGAUAAGGUUGGAAUACAAGAAACCAAAGACUAUCUCAAGUCUGUGUUUGAGAUUAAAGAUCUUGGAGAGAUGAAAUACUUUCUUGGGAUUGAGAUUUGUAGAUCCAAGGAAGGAUUAUUCAUGUCCCAAAGGAAAUAUACACUUGAUCUUUUGAAAGAUGCAGGUAAACUUGGAGGACAAACCGCAAAAAUGCCAAUGGAGGAUGGGUACAAAGUGCCAAGAGAGGGGGAGCUUGAAGACAGCAAGCUGUUCCAUGAUCCUAAGCUUUAUAGGAAGCUAGUGGGUAAGCUAAUCUACCUAACAAUCACACGACCUGAUAUCUGCUUUGCUGUGAAUCAGGUGAGUCAACACAUGCAAGCUCCAAAGGAUCAUCAUUGGAGAAUGGUAGAUAGAGUGCUAAGCUACCUCAACGGAUCACCAGGCCAAGGAGUCUGGAUGGGAUGCAAUGGGAGUACAGAAGUGGUUGGCUACUGUGAUGCAGAUUGGGCUGGAGAUAGAGCAGACAGAAGAUCUACAACCGGCUACUGCACCUUCAUUGGAGGGAACCUUGUGACUUGGAAGAGCAAGAAGCAGAAGGUGGUCUCUUGUUCUAGUGCGGAGGCAGAAUAUAGAGCAAUGCUGAAGCUCACUAAUGAGUUGGUAUGGAUCAAGGGGAUCUUGAAGCACAUUGAGAUUGAGCAAGUGGCGCCAAUGACAAUGCAUUGUGAUAACCAAGCAGCAAUNNNNNNNNNNNNNNNNNNNNNNNNNNNNNNNNNNNNNNNNNNNNNNNNNNNNNNNNNNNNNNNNNNNNNNNNNNNNNNNNNNNNNNNNNNNNNNNNNNNNNNNNNNNNNNNNNNNNNNNNNNNNNNNNNNNNNNNNNNNNNNNNNNNNNNNNNNNNNNNNNNNNNNNNNNNNNNNNNNNNNNNNNNNNNNNNNNNNNNNNNNNNNNNNNNNNNNNNNNNNNNNNNNNNNNNNNNNNNNNNNNNNNNNNNNNNNNNNNNNNNNNNNNNNNNNNNNNNNNNNNNNNNNNNNNNNNNNNNNNNNNNNNNNNNNNNNNNNNNNNNNNNNNNNNNNNNNNNNNNNNNNNNNNNNNNNNNNNNNNNNNNNNNNNNNNNNNNNNNNNNNNNNNNNNNNNNNNNNNNNNNNNNNNNNNNNNNNNNNNNNNNNNNNNNNNNNNNNNNNNNAGAUACUCCGCGCAUGUGGAGAAGCUAAUUGGCUAGUCCAAAUGAGCUUAUCCUCUCCUGAUUGACCUCACAUGCUUUAGUCUUCUCUUGAUUUCGAAAACCCUUGUAUGCUCACACUAUAUAUUGUAACUCAUGUCCUUAAUGAAAGAUUAGACAGUUCUAAACAAAUCAAUCUCUCUAUACUUUUCAUAAUGAUUCUCCAUUAGUCUCUUAAUCUCUUAAAUCUACUCUAAUAUCUUCUCUAUUCUUAUCUAAACUCAGAUUAUCUUUUACAUUACUCAAAACUUAUAUGGUAUCAGAGCCAGGUUGAUUUCAAUCUGAGUUCUUGGCGUUUUUCUCUUGAAGAUUCAAACUUGAAACUUUGGGAGAUCAAGUGAGAGUGGUGUGAGUGUUCUUGGAAGAAGCUGCAUCCCGGGAGCUACAUCUUCAUUCCGGAAGUCUUAUCUAGCUGUUUGAGGGUUCUUUGAAGAGUAAAGACAAGGCACGGAAGGGUUUGAGCUGGUGUUGUAGUUCUGAGUCUCAAGAUCAAGUCUUUUACAAGUUAUUGAAGUGAAACUGUUGAAGAUGGAGAGUGGUUCCAAGAUGAAGGUUGCUGUGACUUUCAAGGGAAGUAACUACCUAGUAUGGUCUAGGAUGGUGAAGACUGCUGUGGGAAGUAAGGGUUUAUGGAAGCACAUCACAUCUGGUGAGGCUCCAAAGCUCAUUACUCAAGGAGGAUGUUGAAGAGUUAAGUAUAAAGAUGUGAAGCACAAAGGGGUUAAGACUGAAGGGAGUAUGUUAAGCAUUGGUGUGAUGGGAGAGGUUCACAAUGGCCUGACCGUACAAGGCCGUACAAGGCCGUACGGUCCGUACACAUUCAGAUAAGUGAAACCUCGACCACACGGUCACAAGAAGUUACCCGAGUAACUCAUGUGGAAAGGAGAGGCUUUGGCUGAUGGAUCAGACCGUUGGAGGAUAAGAAGAGGCGCGGCUUGACAGGCUGGCACAGCUGGAAAGGCAAGAGCAUCUUGGUCCAAGAUGCCAGAUACUCCAAGCAUGUGGAGAAGCUGAUUGGCCGGUCCAAAGAAAGCUUAUCCUCUCCUUGUUGACUUCACAUGCUUAGCUUAGCUCUUUGAUUUCGAAAACCCUUAUGAUCUCACACUAUAUAUUGUAACUCUUGUCAUUAAUAAUAAAUCAUACAGUUCUGAGUUUAUCUCUCUAAGUUCAUACUCUCUUAAUCAUGAUUCUAGUCUAAUCUCUUCAUAAUCUCUCAUUCUGUUCCUUAAUCUUCUCUAAAUCAUUUCAUUCUCUUAAUCUUUCAUGGUAUCAGAGCCAGGUUGCCCAUUUCCUGGUUUCUAAAUCUCAGUAAUCUUCAGCUUCAUUUCAUUUACGGUUGUUCUUAAGCAUUUGGAAUGGAAGAAAGCAAGAGCAAGGCUCUCUCGGUUGCGGUUACGUUGAGGGGUGGUACUAACUACCUGUUGUGGUCUCGCUUGGUGAAAGCGGCAGUUGGGAGCAAGGGUUUAUGGAGCCAUAUCUCAGAUGGAGCUCCGAAACCAGUUGCUAAAGAAGGAGAAGGCGGUCAAGAGCUGAUGGUGGUAGAUCAAGAGAAGUGGGAUCAAGAUGACUUGAAGGUGCUUACUGUACUACAUGGGUCACUUGAAGCUUCAAUCCUGGAAGCCUACAGCUACUGUGAGACGCCAAAGGACCUGUGGGAUACGCUCCAAAAGGUCUACGUUAACAUCUCUAAUCUGAGCCGUGUGUUUGAGUUGAAGAGAUCAAUCAACACACUUGUGCAAGAAGAGGUGAAGUUUACUAAACACUUGGGAAAGUUCAGAGCCUUAUGGUCUGAGCUAGAGAUGCUAAGGCCUAACACCACUGAUCAAGAUGUUCUCAUGGAGAGAAGAGAGCAGGAUCAAGUGUUUGGGUUGUUGCUCACCUUGAAUCCGGUCUACAAUGACCUCAUCAAGCACAUCUUGAGAUCACCAAAGCUCCCUUCCCUUGAAGAUGUAUGUGAGCAGAUACAAAGAGAGGAGGGAUCAGUUGGGUUGUUUGGAGGAAAGGGGGAGCUUACACUCGCAAAUCAAGCUGAUGCUAUCCAAGCAAACAAAGCGGCUUACAAGACUGAGGAAGGGAAGUUUGGAGGGAAGUGUGAUCAUUGCAAGAAGCAGGUCCAUAAGAGGAGCCAAUGCUGGAUUCUACACCCUCACCUCAAGCCUACCAAGUUCAUGAGGGAUAGAGAGGCAAGGGCGCAUCUGUCUGAUGGAGCUAGUGAAGCUGGAACAUCCGGAGCUGGACAGGCCAUGCGAGAAGGUGAAGGGAAGGCCUUAACCACUCAGCACACUCCGGGGAAGAGCACUGAUGGUGAGAUGAUAAGGAGAUCAGACAUUGAUGCCCUUAUCAAAGCUCUCAAGGAGAAUGGUAACUGUAUGAACACUCCUCUAGGAUACUCUCUUGCUGCAUCAUACAUAGAUAGAACUCAUGGUUAUCUAAGUCAUAACAGUGAGAUAAAUGAUGCAUCUAGAUUUCUAAACAGCUUGAAUGAUUUGCCUAGAACACUUGCUGCUAAAAAUGUGAUAAAACCUUUGAUUGUAGAUUCAGGUGCAUCUCAUCACAUGAUUAGUGACACUAGUCUCAUUAAGGAUAUAGAACCUACUUGUGGAAAUGUGAUGAUUGCAAAUGGUGAUAGAAUUGCAAUUAAAGGGAUAGGAAAUCUAAAUCUGUUUGAUAAGGAGUCUAAAGCUUUCUAUAUGCCUGAAUUCACAUCAAAUUUAUUAUCUGUUAAAAGAUGUACUACUGAUCUACAUUGUAAUGUUAUCUUUAGUCCUAAUGAUGUGAAGUUUCAGGAUAUUGACACAAGAAAGAUGAUUGGCAAGGGAGUUACCAAAGGAGAGCUUUAUAUGCUAGAAGACAUAGCUCCCAUUUCCAAUUCAAGUUUCUCGUUUAGUUCUAUCUCUAGUUUGAAUAAUGAUGCAUUAUGGCAUGCUAGAUUAGGUCAUCCACAUGUUAGGGCUUUAAGCUUAAUGUUACCAGGUGUCAUGUUUAAAAAUAAUGAAUGUGAAGCAUGUAUCUUGGGCAAACAUUGUAAGACAGUCUUUAAAAACUCAACUACUAUAUAUGAGAAAUGCUUUGAUCUUGUGCAUUCUGAUGUUUGGACUGCUCCUUGCUUGUCUAAGGAAAAUUAUAAGUACUUUGUAACAUUCAUUGAUGAAAAAUCCAAAUACACCUGGAUAACACUCAUUAAAACUAAGGAUAGAGUUCUUGAAGCAUUUAAAAACUUUCAAGCUUAUGUAUCUAACCAUUAUAAUGCCAAGCUUAAGAUUUUCAGAUCAGAUAAUGGUGGGGAAUAUACAAGCAAUGCCUUCAAGCAACAUCUAGCCUUACACGGAAUCCUUCAUCAAACUAGCUGUCCUUACACUCCACAACAAAAUGGUGUGGCUGAGAGAAAGAACAGACAUCUAAUGGAGGUUGCAAGAUCAAUGAUGUUUCAAACCAAUGUCCCAAAGAGAUUUUGGAGUGAUGCUGUGAUCUCAGCCUGCUACUUGAUCAACGGAAUUCCUACAAGAGUCUUGGAAGAUCAAUCACCGUUUGAAGUACUAAAUAAGGUCAAGCCAUCUCUAAGCCAUUUGAGAGUGUUCGAAAGCCUAUGUUAUGUGCUGAUUCCAGGAGACAUGAGGAACAAGUUGGAGCCUAAGAGUACCAAAGCCAUGUUUGUGGGAUACUCAACAACACAAAGAGGAUACAAAUGCUUUGAUCCGCAAACAAGAAGACUUCUAGUUUCAAGGGACGUAAAGUUCAUAGAAACUAAAGGUUACUAUGAAGAAAGGAGCUGGGAAGAUCUGGAAGAUCUAGCUCAACCAGGCCGCGAGUCUUAGGAUGAUCUUGGAUGGUCUUCGGAUCAAUACAACCCAGGAUCCAAAAGGGCGAGAAGCACCAGUUCAAAAUGAAGCUGAAGACACAUCCCAUGCUGAUCAUGAAGGGGGAAACAAGUCUGAUACAGCUCAUGAGAAUGAAGGGAGCUCAAGUCCUGAUCAACAAGUGAUGCACAAUGAAGAUGCAACUGAAGAAAGAAGAGAUCAGAUGGAGAUACAACCUGAAGAAAGGGAAGAGGUACUGAAUGAAACGGCUAUAGAACCUGAGGUGGUCAGUGAGCCACUUAUGGAGACAGUGCCAUUAAGAAGAAGUACGAGAGUAAGGAAGGAUCCAUCUAACUGGACCAAUACCAGAGUCUAUUACAAUGCUCAAGCCGUUGCACAUCCUAGUCAAGCUGUCUGUUCAUUUGCCGAGUUCCCAAACGAGCAUUGUGCCUUUAUGACAAGUUUGGAUACAAGCUACAUACCAAGGACAUAUGAGGAGGCAAUGAAAGACAAAGAGUGGAGAAACUCAGUUGCGGAUGAGACUGAUGCUAUGGUUAAGAAUGGAACCUGGUAUGAGAGUGAGCUGCCUCAAGGGAAGAAGGCAGUAUCAUGUAAAUGGAUAUUUACAAUCAAGUAUAGACCAGAUGGGACGGUUGAUAGGAAGAAGACCAGGCUUGUGGCUAGAGGGUUUACACAGACAUAUGGAGAGGACUACAUAGACACAUUUGCUCCAGUAGCUAAGCUUCACACCAUCCGAAUCAUCUUAUCAAUUGCUACUAACCUUGAAUGGGGAUUGUGGCAAAUGGAUGUGAAGAAUGCAUUUCUACAAGGGGAACUUGAAGAUGAGGUGUAUAUGCAGCCUCCUCCGGGUCUUGAGAGUCUUGUGAAGCCAUGGAAUGUCCUAAGAUUGAAGAAGGCUAUCUAUGGAUUGAAGCAAUCACCUAGAGCCUGGUAUCACAAGCUGAGUACUACACUGAAUGGAAAAGGCUUCAGGAAGUCUGAACUGGACCAUACCUUGUUCACUCUAAACACCACCUAAGGUAUCAUCUGUCUAUUGGUCUAUGUUGAUGACAUUAUCAUUACUGGGAGUGAUAAGGUGGGAAUACAAGAAACCAAAGACUAUCUCAAGUCUGUGUUUGAGAUUAAAGAUCUUGGAGAGAUGAAAUACUUUCUUGGGAUUGAGAUUUGUAGAUCCAAGGAAGAAUUAUUCAUGUCCCAAAGAAAAUAUACACUUGAUCUUUUGAAAGAUGCAGGUAAACUUGGAGGACAAACCGCGAAAAUGCCAAUGGAGGAUGGGUACAAAGUACCAAGAGAGGGGGAGCUUGAAGACAACAAGCUGUUCCAUGACCCUAAGCUUUAUAGGAAGCUAGGGGGUAAGCUAAUCUACCUAACAAUCACACGACCUGAUAUCUGCUUUACUGUGAAUCAGGUGAGUCAACACAUGCUAAGCUACCUCAACGGAUCACCAGGCCAAGGAGUCUGGAUGGGAUGCAAUGGGAGUAUAGAAGUUGUUGGCUACUGUGAUGCAGAUUGGGCUGGAGAUAGAGCAGACAGAAGAUCUACAACCGGCUACUGCACCUUCAUUGGAGGGAACCUUGUGACUUGGAAGAGCAAGAAGCAGAAGGUGGUCUCAUGUUCUAGUGCGGAGGCAGAGUAUAGAGCAAUGCUGAAGCUCACUAAUGAGUUGGUAUGGAUCAAGGGGAUCUUGAAGCAGAUUGAGCAAGUGGCGCCAAUGACAAUGCAUUGUGAUAACCAAGCCGCAAUCAACAUUGCCUCCAACUCAGUAUUCCAUGAGAGAACCAAGCACAUUGAAGUGGAUUGUCACAAGGUGAGGUAGAUGAUAGUCUUGGGAGUGAUUCUGCCAUGCAACACAAGGAGUGAGGAUCAACUGGCUGAUGUGUUCACAAAAGCGGCAAGGAUGAAGACAAUGGAGUCCAUCUACAUCAGGUUGGGACUCAUUGAUCUUUCACCUAGGAGCUGAGCCCCUUACUAUGAGGUCUUUACUCUUUUUCCCUCAUCAAAGUUUUGUCCCAAUGGGUUUUCUUUGGUGAGGUUUUUAAUGAGGAAGAUCUCAUAGUGUCCAAGCUUAGACUUCACAAAGCUAAGCUUGAGGGGGAGUGUUGAAGAGUUAAGUAUAAAGAUGUGAAGCACAAAGGGGUUAAGACUGAAGGGAGUAUGUUAAGCAUUGGUGUGAUGGGAGAGGUUCACAAUGGCCUGACCGUACAAGGCCGUACAAGGCCGUACGGUCCGUACACAUUCAGAUAAAUGAAACCUCGACCACACGGUCACAAGAAGUUACCCGAGUAACUCAUGUGGAAAGGAGAGGCUUUGGCUGAUGGAUCAGACCGUUGGAGGAUAAGAAGAGGCGCGGCUUGACAGGCUGGCACAGCUGGAAAGGCAAGAGUAUCUUGGUCCAAGAUGCCAGAUACUCCAAGCAUGUGGAGAAGCUGAUUGGCCGGUCCAAAGAAAGCUUAUCCUCUCCUUGUUGACUUCACAUGCUUAGCUUAGCUCUUUGAUUUCGAAAACCCUUAUGAUCUCACACUAUAUAUUGUAACUCUUGUCAUUAAUAAUAAAUCAUACAGUUCUGAGUUUAUUUCUCUAAGUUCAUACUCUCUUAAUCAUGAUUCUAGUCUAAUCUCUUCAUAAUCUCUCAUUCUGUUCCUUAAUCUUCUCUAAAUCAUUUCAUUCUCUUAAUCUUUCAGAGGAGACAAGGAGAGUGUCUCGGAAGCUGAAGCUGAGAAGUGACAACAAGAGGACAUGAUGGUGAUGUCUGCUCUUCAUAGCUCGUUGGAGCCAGCCAUUCUAGACGCUUACAGCUAUUGUGAGACAGCCAAGGAGCUGUGGGAAACAUUGAAGAAUGUGUAUGGAAACACCUCUAACCUCAGCCUGGUCUUUGAAGUGAAGAAAGCUUUGAAUGAUCUAACUCAGGAGGACAUGGAGUUCACUAAGCAUUUGGGGAGGUUCCGGACACUCUGGUCAGAGCUGGAGAUGCUGAGGCCGAGCACAACUGAUCCAGAGCUGCUAAAUGAAAGGAGAGAGCAAGAUAAGGUCUUUGGGUUGUUGCUUACAUUGAAUCCAAGCUACAGUGCGUUGAUUCAGCAUAUGUUGAGGGCUGAGAAGCUUCCGGACCUGGAGGAUGCGUGUGCUCAGAUACAAAAGGAGCAAGGCUCCAUUGGCUUGUUUGGUGGUAAAGGAGACUUGUCUCUAGCCAAUGCUGCGCGAACUGAUCAUGAGGAGAUACCACAAGCAAACAGAGCAGCACACGGCAAGUAUGAGGAUAGGAAGUUCAAUGGCAAUUGUGAUCACUGCAAGAAGCAUGGACACAAGAAGAGCCAGUGCUGGAUACUACAUCCUCAUCUGAAGCCGGCGAAGUUCAUGAAGGAAAGGGAGGCAAGAGCUCAUGCUUCUGAGGGAACAAGUGGAGCCGGAUCAUCUAGCCGUGAAGCUGAAGGAGAGGGGCGUGAGGGGUGAUGGCAAGGCACUGGUGACAUACUCAGGAGCUCCUAACAUCCGUGGUAAUGAUCAAGACUUCAUCAGGAGAUCCGAGAUGGAUGCUCUCAUCAAAAUGCUCAAGGAGAAUGGUAACACUCAUGGGUACUCCUUUGGUGCAUCCAUGAUAGCUAAGACUAUAGAAACAUCUCCUUGUGUUGCUGAUAUUGCUAGGAUGGAUAGAGUUAAAAGCAAUGAACAUGCUAGACAUGAGUACACCUUUGCUAGAAAUGCUAGGAUGAAUCAUGAACUAAAUGCAUUUAGAUCACCUUUGAACCUGUGUCAUAAUGCUAGCAGUAUAACUAAGCCAUUAAUUGUUGAUUCUGGUGCAUCUCAUCACAUGAUUAGUGAUACAAAUCUGAUUAAGGAUAUAGAACCAACUAGUGGACAUGUUAUGAUUGCAAAUGGGGACAAGAUCCCUAUUAGAGGAAUAGGAAAUUUGAAGUUGUUUGAUAAGAACACUAGAGCUUUCUACAUGCCUGAAUUUACAUCUAACUUGCUAUCUGUUAAGAAAUGCACAACUGAUUUGAAUUGCAAUGUUAUAUUCAGUCCUAAUGAUGUAAAGUUUCAGGAUAUUGAGAGCAGCCAGUUGAUUGGAAAAGGAAUCACUAAAGGAGAGUUGUAUUUGCUUGAAGAACUUGAUCAUGUUUCCAAUUACAAUUGCUCGUUUACUACUGCUUCUAGUUUAAAUAAAAAUGCUUUGUGGCAUGCUAGAUUAGGACAUCCUCAUGGUAGAGCUUUGAACUUGAUGUUACCAGGUGUUUUAUUUGAGAAUAAGGAUUGUGAAGCUUGCAUUUUAGGCAAGCAUUGUAAAACUGUGUUUCCAAACUCUACUAGUGUUUAUGAUAAGUGCUUUGAUCUUAUUCAUUCUGAUGUGUGGACUGCACCUUGCAUAUCUAGAGACAAUCAUAAAUACUUUGUCACAUUCAUUGAUGAAAAAUCCAAAUACACCUGGUUAACUUUAAUCCCAUCAAAAGAUAGAGUGAUAGAUGCAUUUAAGAACUUUCAAGCUCAUGUGACUAACCAUUAUAAUGCCAAGAUUAAAAUUUUUAGAUCAGAUAAUGGAGGUGAGUACACAAGCUAUGCGUUCAAGAGUCAUCUAGAGCAUCAUGGGAUCUUGCAUCAAACAAGCUGUCCUUAUACCCCACAACAGAAUGGGGUAGCUGAGAGGAAGAACCGACACUUGAUGGAGGUUGCUAGGUCAAUGAUGUUCCAAGCAAAUGUUCCAAAGAGGUUUUGGAGUGAUGCUGUGGCUACUGCUUGUUACUUGAUCAACAGGAUUCCCACAAAGGUGUUGAAGGAUCAAGCACCAUUUGAAGUUCUAAACAAGCACAAGCCAUCAGUGGAUUACUUGAGAGUAUUUGGAUGUUUAUGCUUUGUGUUGGUACCAGGAGAGUUAAGAAACAAGCUAGAUGCAAGGAGCACUAAGGCUAUGUUUAUUGGCUAUUCAACAACACAAAAGGGAUACAAGUGCUAUGAUCCAGAUACUAGAAGAGUCCUAAUCUCUAGAGAUGUGAAGUUCAUAGAAGCUAGAGGAUACUAUGAAGAAAGGAAUCAAGAGGAGCUAAAGGAUCUAACAUCAGAUAAGGCAGGCUCCUUAAGACUGAUUUUGGAGGGUCUAGGUAUCAAGAUGAACCAGGAUCCAAAUGUGGGGAGUAGGAACCAACAUGAGAGUUCUCCGGCCCCUGUUGAAGCUAAUCAGUCACCUAACCUUGAUCGUGACGGGGGCAGGGAAUCUGAAACUCAAGAAGAUGGUCAGGAUGGAGCCGGCUUGAGUGAAGAAUAAGAAGAGAGUGUUUCAGUCUCUCACAAUCAAGGUGAUCAAAGCCAAGGAGAAGUAGAAGCUCAGGCUGAAGCACCAGAACCGAGUGUCCAAGAGGAGCAGGUUCAGAACCAACCAGUAUUGAGAAGAAGCACAAGGCUGAGAAAGGAUCCUUCUAGUUGGGUAAACACGCGAGUGUACUACAAUGCCCAAGCUGUGGAGCAUCCUUCUCAGGCUGUGUUCCUUUGCUCAAUACCCUGAAGAACAUUGUGCUUUUAUGGUAAACUUGGAUGAGAACUACAUACCAAGAAACUAUGAAGAGGCAAUGAUGGAUAAAGAAUGGAAGGAAUCAGUUGGAGCUGAGGCAGGAGCUAUGAUCAAGAAUGAUACAUGGUAUGAGAGUGAGUUACCAAAAGGGAAGAAGGCUGUGACUAGUAGAUGGAUCUUCACAAUCAAGUAUAAGGCUGAUGGAAAGGUUGAGAGGAAGAAGUCAAGACUGGUUGCAAGAGGCUUUACUCAAACUUAUGGAGAAGAUUACAUUGAGACCUUUGCACCAGUAGCUAAACUACACACAAUCCGGAUUGUAUUAAGCUUAGCUGUGAACCUUGGAUGGGGCUUAUGGCAAAUGGAUGUGAAGAAUGCAUUUCUACAAGGAGAGCUGGAGGAUGAAGUGUAUAUGCAUCCACCUCCAGGCUUGGAACACUUAGUGAAGAGAGGGAAUGUGUUGAGACUGAAGAAAGCUAUCUAUGGACUAAAGCAAUCACCAAGAGCUUGGUACAACAAGCUAAGUACUACUCUGAAUGGCCGAGGCUUCAAGAAGUCUGAACUAGACCACACCCUCUUCACUCUCACUACUCCCUCAGGUAUGAUUGCACUCCUUGUGUAUGUUGAUGAUAUCAUUAUCACAGGAAGUGAUAAGGAAGGUAUCAUAGCAACCAAGGAGUUCCUUAAAUCCAUGUUUGAGAUUAAAGACUUGGGGGAAAUGAAAUACUUUCUUGGAAUUGAGAUAUGUAGAUCCAAGGAAGGUUUGUUCAUGUCCCAAAGGAAGUAUACACUUGAUCUUUUGAAAGGUGCAGGUGCUUAUGGAGGCAAGACAGCAAGGAUGCCUAUGGAGGAUGGCUACAAAGUCCCACGAGAGGGGGAGAUUGAAGACAGCAAACCUUAUCAGGAUCCUAAACUCUAUAGAAAACUAGUUGGCAAAUUGAUUUAUCUUACCAUAACUAGGCCUGACAUUUGUUUUGCUGUGAAUCAGGUGAGUCAACACAUGCAGGUGCCUAAGGAGCAUCAUUGGCGCAUGGUGGAGAGAAUCUUGAUGUAUCUCAACGGCUCACCUGAUCAAGGAGUAUGGAUGGGUUGCAAUGGGAGCACUGAAGUGGUUGGAUACUGUGAUGCAGAUUGGGCUGGUGAUAGAGCAGACAGGAGAUCAACCACAGGCUAUUGCACAUUCAUUGGAGGCAACUUGGUUACUUGGAAGAGUAAGAAGCACAAGGUGGUGUCUUGCUCAAGUGCAGAAGCUGAGUAUAGAGCUAUGCUGAAGCUUACCAACGAGCUGGUGUGGAUCAAAGGUAUCUUGAAGCAUUUGGAGAUUGAUCAAGCCACGCCAAUGACAAUGCAUUGUGAUAACCAAGCAGCCAUCCACAUUGCCUCCAACUCGGUGUUCCAUGAGAGAACCAAGCACAUUGAAGUUGAUUGUCACAAGGUGAGGCAGAUGAUCAUCCUAGGAGUCAUCUUGCCGUGCUACACAAGGAGUGAAGAUCAGUUGGCUGAUGUGUUCACCAAGGCUGCAAGGCAGAAGACAAUGGAGUCUAUCCACAUCAGGUUGGGCCUCAUUGAUCUUGGGAAGAGAAGGAGCUGAUCACCUUUGGCUGUGAGGUCUUUACUCUUUUUCCCUCAUCAAGGUUUUGUCCCAAUGGGUUUUCCUUGGUGAGGUUUUUAAUGAGGAAGAUCUCAUGGCUAUCCAAGCUUAGACUUUCACAAAGCUAAGCUUGAGGGGGAGUGUUGAGAUGAGUCAAGUAUAUGUGGAGCAAGUGAGGAGUUGAGACUAAGGAGAUGAGUUGAAGCUUGGAAAGGUUUGGGUAAGGUCCGUACUGUCCGUACAUGACCGUACCAUCCGUACACAUGGAGAUGGGUAAAACCUUGACAAGAGUAAAGAAGUUACUUGGGGUAACUUAUGGGAAGGGAAGGAACUUACCUGGAUGGAUCAGACCGUUGAGGGAUAAGGAAGAGCGAGCCUUGACAGGCUGGAACAGCUGGAAAGGCAAGAGCAUCUCGGUCCAAGAUGCUAGAUGCUCCGCGCAUGUGGAGAAGCUAAUUGGCUAGUUCAAAUGAGCUUAUCCUUUCUACAUUGACCUCACAUGCUUUAGUCUUCUCUUGAUUUCGAAAACCCUUGUAUGCUCACACUAUAUAUUGUAACUCAUGUUAUUAAUGAAAGAUUAGACAGUUCUAAACAAAUCAAUCUCUCUAUACUUUUCAUAAUGAUUCUCCAUUAGUCUCUUAAUCUCUUAAAUCUACUCUAAUAUCUUCUCUAUUCUUAUCUAAACUCAGAUUAUCUUUUACAUUACUCAAAACUNNNNNNNNNNNNNNNNNNNNNNNNNNNNNNNNNNNNNNNNNNNNNNNNNNNNNNNNNNNNNNNNNNNNNNNNNNNNNNNNNNNNNNNNNNNNNNNNNNNNNNNNNNNNNNNNNNNNNNNNNNNNNNNNNNNNNNNNNNNNNNNNNNNNNNNNNNNNNNNNNNNNNNNNNNNNNNNNNNNNNNNNNNNNNNNNNNNNNNNNNNNNNNNNNNNNNNNNNNNNNNNNNNNNNNNNNNNNNNNNNNNNNNNNNNNNNNNNNNNNNNNNNNNNNNNNNNNNNNNNNNNNNNNNNNNNNNNNNNNNNNNNNNNNNNNNNNNNNNNNNNNNNNNNNNNNNNNNNNNNNNNNNNNNNNNNNNNNNNNNNNNNNNNNNNNNNNNNNNNNNNNNNNNNNNNNNNNNNNNNNNNNNNNNNNNNNNNNNNNNNNNNNNNNNNNNNNNNNNNNNNNNNNNNNNNNNNNNNNNNNNNNNNNNNNNNNNNNNNNNNNNNNNNNNNNNNNNNNNNNNNNNNNNNNNNNNNNNNNNNNNNNNNNNNNNNNNNNNNNNNNNNNNNNNNNNNNNNNNNNNNNNNNNNNNNNNNNNNNNNNNNNNNNNNNNNNNNNNNNNNNNNNNNNNNNNNNNNNNNNNNNNNNNNNNNNNNNNNNNNNNNNNNNNNNNNNNNNNNNNNNNNNNNNNNNNNNNNNNNNNNNNNNNNNNNNNNNNNNNNNNNNNNNNNNNNNNNNNNNNNNNNNNNNNNNNNNNNNNNNNNNNNNNNNNNNNNNNNNNNNNNNNNNNNNNNNNNNNNNNNNNNNNNNNNNNNNNNNNNNNNNNNNNNNNNNNNNNNNNNNNNNNNNNNNNNNNNNNNNNNNNNNNNNNNNNNNNNNNNNNNNNNNNNNNNNNNNNNNNNNNNNNNNNNNNNNNNNNNNNNNNNNNNNNNNNNNNNNNNNNNNNNNNNNNNNNNNNNNNNNNNNNNNNNNNNNNNNNNNNNNNNNNNNNNNNNNNNNNNNNNNNNNNNNNNNNNNNNNNNNNNNNNNNNNNNNNNNNNNNNNNNNNNNNNNNNNNNNNNNNNNNNNNNNNNNNNNNNNNNNNNNNNNNNNNNNNNNNNNNNNNNNNNNNNNNNNNNNNNNNNNNNNNNNNNNNNNNNNNNNNNNNNNNNNNNNNNNNNNNNNNNNNNNNNNNNNNNNNNNNNNNNNNNNNNNNNNNNNNNNNNNNNNNNNNNNNNNNGUCAUGUAAAGGGGAAGCCUUUAGUGGAAAUGGCUACUGAAGAAGGUCAGAUAAGGAAUCUGAAAGGUGAAGAUGAAGCUGAUCAAGAAACCACUUUGGAGAGUGGGAUUGAAGAAGCUUAUGUAGAAAGGUCCAAACUUGUGAAGGUCAGUGGAGACAAGAGAGUGAUCCGUGGCUUGAGACAAGGAAAGGAUGAGUUGUAUCAGCUUGUGGGAAGGCUGAAAGAAGGAUGGAUGGAGCUGGAUGUGCUGAGACCAAGCACAUCUGAUCCGAGAGUUAUUAAAGAAAGGAGGAAACAAGAUGUGUUCUUUAGCUUUCUUGUGAAGGAGAUAUGGUUUCUGGUUCUUCACUUCAUGGUUUCCAAGCUUGACUUGUUCCACAUGGUCAAGCUUGAGGGGGAGUGUUGAGAUGAGAGAAUAGAGAUGUGAUAUAUUGAGAGAGGAAGAGAUUUGGAGCAGACAGUAACUUUGGAGAGUUACCACAGUAACUUUAUUGUUACUGUGGUAACUAAAGAAGUUACCAUAGUAACCAGGGUAACUCGGAUGGCAAGGAGGAGUUACCUUAGGUUGUCUACACUUGAUCUGAGUAUGGGAAGGGAUAAGAGAGGAGACUUGGACAGGCUGUCACUGGCUGGAAAGGAGAAGAGUGCUUUAGCACUAUUAGAAGCAUGUGAGCAAUCUCAGCCAUGGGAUUUACAGCCUGGCCUUUGACUACACAUGCUUAUCUUAUCCCCUUAGGUUGAUUUCGAAAAUGCUUCUUCCUUUUGUAUAUAUCUGAUGUAAACUCUCUCAUAAUUAAUCUAAUGGAGUUUUGAGUCUCUCUCUCUUGAUUCUCUCACUAAAAUCUCUUAAUCUCUUUAAUCUUUGAAUCUAAGUAUCUCUGGUUGUUUGAAUCAUUCUCUAAAACACAAAAGUGUUUAUGGUAUCAGAGCCAGGUUCCAUGAAAAGGAGAGAGUGAUUUCGUUUUUCUUGAGUGUUCUUGAGAGUUCAUGAGAGUUUUCAAGAGCUAGAUCCUUUGAAAUUCAAGUUUGUGUCUGUUGGUGUUUCUUUUGGAGAGUCAGCUUCAAGGGAGUCCCUUUAGGCGUGUGACAAGGUCAGAAGAGGGGUCUAGCUGGUUGGUAAGCUUGGCGAUCUAACUGAUAGGAUGAGCUUGAAGAUGAUCAAGGAGGUGGCUCAACAAGUGGUAAGAGGAGAAUGUUCUUACUCUGCCUAUAUGAGUAACUCAGUGGAGGACAGUAUGGUUAUGAAGGGGCAAGAGAUCAAAGGAGCAGAUGAUCCUAUCACAAAGAAAGAAUGGGAUGAGUUUGUCAAGUAUGUGUAUGCUUUGGCUACGACCCGGAGACAAGGUGCUCCUGCCUUAGCAUCCACGUCCAAACCCAUCAUCAUUGAUUCUGGAGCAACACAUCAUAUGAUCAGUGAUAAAAGUCUGAUAAGUGGAGUCAAGGCUGCAACAGGGAGUGUUAUGAUAGCUAAUGGUGCUAGGAUCCCAAUAGAAGGCGUGGGAAACCUCAAGCUGUUUGAGAAGAGCUCACCUGCGUUCUAUUUGCCUCAGUUCACUUCAAAUCUGAUAUCAGUGAAGAAGGCCACAGUUGAUCUUGAUUGUCAAGUAGUAUUCAGGCCAAAUGAAGUUGAGUUUCAAGAUUUGAAGACUGGGAGAGUUAUUGGUAGAGGAGACAGCAAGAAUCAGUUAUAUCAUCUCCAAACAGCUAAGACCUCUAACCCUAUUGAUUCUGUAUGCUUGAGUAGUAAUGCUGAUAGGUGUGAGAGUACUACUUGGCAUGCUAGAUUAGGACAUCCUCAUGCUCGUGCAAUUGAAUUGAUUAUGCCUAAUAUGUCAUUCAAUCACUUGGAAUGUGAAGCUUGCAUCUUAGGGAAGCAUUGUAGAACUGUUUUUUCUACAUCAGAGACCAUAUAUGCAAAUUGCUUUGAUCUUGUUCAUUCUGAUGUGUGGACAGCCCCUUGUAUGUCUAGAGAAAACCAGAAGUACUUUGUGACAUUCAUAGAUGAGAAGUCUAAGUAUACAUGGAUCACAUUGCUGCCAUCUAAGGAUAGAGUGUUUGAGGCUUUUGUUAACUUCCAAGCAUAUGUAACUAACCAUUACAAUGCUACUGUGAAGGUACUACGGUCUGAUAAUGGAGGAGAAUACACCAGUCAUGCCUUCAAGAGUCACUUGGCUAAACAUGGGAUAGUGCAUCAAACCAGUUGUCCUUACACACCACAGCAGAAUGGGGUAGCUGAGAGGAAGAAUAGGCAUCUGAUGGAGGUGGCUAGAUCCAUGAUGUAUCAUGCUAAUGUUCCAAAGAGGUUUUGGGGUGAUGCUGUUCAGACUGCAUGCUAUCUUAUCAAUCGGAUUCCAACUAAGGUAUUGAAGAAUCUGUCUCCUUUUGAGGUGCUAAACAAGAGCAAGCCAUACAUAGAUCAUCUGCGUGUCUUUGGAUGUCUAUGUUAUGUCUGGGUUCCAGGAGAACAGAGAAACAAGUUGGAGGCAAAGAGCACUAAAGCAAUGCUCAUUGGGUACUCAGUAACUCAGAAGGGGUACAAGUGCUAUGAUCCAGCAACCAGGAGAGUGUUGGUGUCUAGAGAUGUUAAGUUCAUAGAGACCAAGGGGUAUUAUGAAGAAAAGAAUUGGGAAGAUUUGGAAGAUCUGUCUCAAGAACCAAGAAACAUGGCAGAGAAUCUGAGGAACAUAUUGGAAAGGCUUGGGGUAAACAUGUCCCAGGAUAAGGUUAGAGAACCUGAAAGAACAACUCCCCUUGAUCAUGAGGGGGGUAAUGAGUCUGAAUCAGGAGUGCAAGAGCAGCACCAAGGGGAUUCAGGUCAUCAUGAUCAAGUGGUGACACAAGAAGUAGAGAAUUUUCCUCAGGUCAGUGUGGAUGAGCAAGGAGAGGUUCAUGAUCAAGAGGAGGUGAGUGAGACAGAAACAGAGGUUCAAGCAGAGGUUCAAGCUGAGGAACAGGUUCAACCAUUAAGGAGGAGCACACGGAUAAAGAGGGAUGCUUCCAACUGGGUAAACACGAGAGUGUACUACAAUGCCCAGGCUGUGGAGCAUCCUUCUCAAGCUAUGUGUUCCUUUGCAGAGUUUCCGGACGAGCAUACAGCCUUCACAGUAAGCUUGGAUGAGAGCUAUAUUCCAAGGACAUAUGAAGAAGCUAUGGCUUUAAAGGAGUGGAGAGAUUCAGUUGCUGAUGAGUCCGGAGCCAUGAUUAAGAAUGAAACGUGGUAUGAGAGUGAACUGCCUAAAGGGAAGAAGGCAGUGACUAGUAAAUGGGUGUUCACAAUCAAGUUUCAUCCUGAUGGGAGAAUAGAGAGGCGCAAAUCUAGGUUGGUGGCAAGAGGAUUUACUCAGACAUAUGGUGAGGACUAUGUUGAGACCUUUGCUCCUGUGGCUAAACUUCAUACUAUCAGGAUUGUAUUAUCUUUAGCUGUGAAUCUUGAGUGGGAUUUGUGGCAAAUGGAUGUGAAGAAUGCAUUCCUUCAAGGAGAGUUUGAAGAUGAAGUAUACAUGCAUCCACCACCAGGUCUUGAACAUCUAGUAAAGAAGGGUAAUGUGUUGAGGUUGAGGAAAGCUAUCUAUGGUCUCAAGCAGUCUCCAAGGGCGUGGUACAACAAGUUGAGUACUACACUGAAUGGGAGAGGGUUCAGAAAGUCAGAAUUGGAUCACACUCUCUUUACCCUAACCACCUCAUCUGGUAUUGUGGUGUUGCUUGUGUAUGUGGAUGAUAUCAUCAUCACAGGCAGUGAUAAGGAAGGCAUCAAGGCUACAAAGGAGUAUCUCAAGGCAAGCUUUGAGAUUAAAGACUUGGGGGAAAUGAAGUAUUUUCUUGGGAUUGAGAUAUGCAGAUCAAAGGAAGGAUUGUUUAUGUCCCAAAGGAAGUAUGUGAUUGAUCUCUUGAAGGGAGCAGAUGCCUAUGGAGGAAAGACAGCCAAGAUGCCAAUGGAGGACGGUUACAAGGUUCCACGUGAGGGGGAGAUUGAGGAUAGCAAGCCGUUCCAUGAUCCUAAGCUAUAUAGGAAGCUGGUGGGGAAGUUGAUUUAUCUUACCAUUACUAGACCUGAUGUGUGUUUUGCGGUGAAUCAAGUCAGUCAACACAUGCAAGUUCCUAAGGAGCACCAUUGGCGGAUGGUGGAAAGGAUCUUGAUGUAUCUGAAUGGAACUACUGGUCUUGGAGUAUGGAUGGGAUGUAACAAGAGUACUGAGGUUGUAGGCUACUGUGAUGCAGAUUGGGCUGGAGACCGAGCAGACAGAAGAUCAACCACAGGCUAUUGUACAUUCAUUGGUGGUAACUUAGUCACUUGGAAGAGUAAGAAACAGAAGGUAGUGUCUUGCUCCAGUGCUGAGGCCGAGUAUAGAGCAAUGCUGAAGCUUACAAAUGAGCUAGUGUGGAUAAAAGGGAUUUUGAAGCAUCUAGAGAUUAUUCAAGCAACGCCAAUGACAAUGCAUUGUGAUAAUCAAGCAGCUAUCCACAUUGCAUCUAAUUCUGUGUUCCAUGAGAGAACAAAGCACAUUGAGGUUGAUUGUCACAAGGUGAGGCAGAUGAUGAUUCUUGGAGUGAUUCUACCUUGUUAUACUCGGAGUGAGGAUCAGUUAGCAGAUGUGUUCACAAAGGCAGCAAGGCAAAAGACAAUGGAGUCCAUACACAUCAGGUUAGGACUCAUUGAUCUCUCGCCUAAGGACUAGUCUAUACACUCUCCUGAUCAUGUGAUCUCUACUCUUUCCUCAUUAAGGUUUUGUCCCAAUGUGUUUUCCUUAAUGAGGUUUUAAUGAGGGAGAUCUCAUGGUUCUUCCAAGCUUGACUUGUUUCACAUGGUCAAGCUUGAGGGGGAGUGUUGAGAUAAGAGAAUAAAGUGUUGAGAUGAGGAGAUGAAGAGUUGAUACAUGGAUAGAGGAAGGGAUUUGGAGCAGGUAGUAACUUUGGAGAUUUACCACAGUAACUUUAAUGUUACUGUGGUAACUAAGUUAAAAGACUUGGGAAGUUACCCUGCAUCCAUUUGGAGAGUGUAACACGACAGGAGGAGUCUGGAUAAGCAAGGAGGAGUUUGGAUAAGGUCUGGUCAAGGGAAGAGAGCUUUAGACAGGCUGGCACCAGCUGGAAAGCUAAAGCAAGAUUCCCAAGCAUGUGAGGAACCUUAUUGGCUGGUUUGAAUAAGGCAUCUUUGACUACACAUGCUUCUUAUCCUAACUAGACUGAACCUGGACGAAAAUAUGAAUCUCUAAUCUAUAUAUGUUGUAAACUCUCUCAUUAAUCAAGUAAAUGGAGUUUUGAGUCUCUCUCUCUCUCUUGUUCUUAAUCUCCAAUCUCUUUAAUUCUCAGAUUAAACUUAAUCACUCUUUAAAUCACUAAAUCUAUUAAACUCCUAUGAGAUUUAUUCAACUUCCUGGUGAUUCUCUGUUGAGAUGAAGACCAAAGAGGCUGAGACAGUAACUUUACAGUUUUACUGUGGUAACUUUCUUUUAACCACAGUAACUACUUGGGGAAGUUAUCUGAUGGGAUGAGGAGGUAACUUAAUGAGGAGAAGAGAGGAAAUUCGACCUAAGAGGAUAAGGAAGGAUAAGGGAGCACUUUGACAGCCUGGAGGAAAUUCGACCUAAGAGGAUAAGGAAGGAUAAGGGAGCACUUUGACAGCCUGUAUGAUGCUGGAAAGGAGAGGAUGCUUUUUACUAGUGCAAGCAUGUGAGAAAGCACAGCCAAGUGAUUCAAAAGGAGUUCCAGCCUGUACAUUGACUCCACAUGCUUAUACAUUUCGAAAACCCUUGUUGCUCUCUCUAUUAAUACUUGUAAACCUCAUCAGUUAUUAAUCAAUGGAGUUUUGAGUCUAUCUCUCUCUAGAAUCUCUCUAUUCUCUCUAAACUUUACUCUAAUCUUCUCUAAUUAUUAUUAAACACACUCUAAAACACAAAAGUGUUUAUGGUAUCAAAGCCAGGUUGCUCAAAAGGGGAUGAGUGUGUGAUUUGUUUUUCGCAAAUUUAGGUUCUUUCUUGGUGUUCUUGAGUGUUCUUGGUGUUCUUGAGUGUUCUUGGUGAUUCUGGGUUGUGUUCUUCUGUCACUAGUCUCGUCUGGAUCAUUCUGAUGGAAACAAACAAUCUAGACAUGGAGAAGAAGCACAGAUCUAGUACAAUCAUGGAGCUUGAAGAAGAGAGAGAUGGCGAUUGGUCAAGAUGGGCAAAGAGAGCUUUGGAAAGCUGUGGGUUAUGGUGUGGUCAUGUAAAGGGGAAGCCUUUAGUGGAAAUGGCUACUGAAGAAGGUCAGACAAGGAAUCUGAAAGGUGAAGAUGAAGCUGAUCAAGAAACCACUUUGGAGAGUGGGAUUGAAGAAGCUUAUGUAGAAAGGUCCAAACUUGUGAAGGUCAGUGGAGACAAGAGAGUGAUCUGCGGCUUGAGACAAGGAAAGGAUGAGUUGUAUCAGCUUGUGGGAAGGCUGAAAGAAGGAUGGAUGGAGCUGGAUGUGCUGAGACCAAGCACAUCUGAUCCGAGAGUUAUUAAAGAAAGGAGGAAACAAGAUGUGUUCUUUAGCUUUCUUGUGAAGGAGAUAUGGUUUCUGGUUCUUCAUGCGUGUGAUGUGUGGGAAGAGGACAAGAGUUCAAACCAGUGGAAAGGUGGUACAAGCUGUAAGAAGGGAAGGCUGAGAAAGCUUUCUAGAGUGUGGCUUAAGAUGGGAAAGGCGUGGAAGAAGGACAGGGAGUCUGGGUAUCUAACUGAUAGGAUGAGCUUGAAGAUGAUCAAGGAGGUGGCUCAACAAGUGGUAAGAGGAGAGUGUUCUUACUCUGCCUAUAUGAGUAACUCAGUGGAGGACAGUAUGGUUAUGAAGGGGCAAGAGAUCAAAGGAGCAGAUGAUCCUAUCACAAAGAAAGAAUGGGAUGAGUUUGUCAAGUAUGUGUAUGCUUUGGCUACGACCCGGAGACAAGGUGCUCCUGCCUUAGCAUCCACGUCCAAACCCAUCAUCAUUGAUUCUGGAGCAACACAUCAUAUGAUCAGUGAUAAAAGUCUGAUAAGUGGAGUCAAGGCUGCAACAGGGAGUGUUAUGAUAGCUAAUGGUGCUAGGAUCCCAAUAGAAGGCGUGGGAAACCUCAAGCUGUUUGAGAAGAGCUCACCUGCGUUCUAUUUGCCUCAGUUCACUUCAAAUCUGAUAUCAGUGAAGAAGGCCACAGUUGAUCUUGAUUGUCAAGUAGUAUUCAGGCCAAAUGAAGUUGAGUUUCAAGAUUUGAAGACUGGGAGAGUUAUUGGUAGAGGAGACAGCAAGAAUCAGUUAUAUCAUCUCCAAACAGCUAAGACCUCUAACCCUAUUGAUUCUGUAUGCUUGAGUAGUAAUGCUGAUAGGUGUGAGAGUACUACUUGGCAUGCUAGAUUAGGACAUCCUCAUGCUCGUGCAAUUGAAUUGAUUAUGCCUAAUAUGUCAUUCAAUCACUUGGAAUGUGAAGCUUGCAUCUUAGGGAAGCAUUGUAGAACUGUUUUUCCUACAUCAGAGACCAUAUAUGCAAAUUGCUUUGAUCUUGUUCAUUCUGAUGUGUGGACAGCCCCUUGUAUGUCUAGAGAAAACCAGAAGUACUUUGUGACAUUCAUAGAUGAGAAGUCUAAGUAUACAUGGAUCACAUUGCUGCCAUCUAAGGAUAGAGUGUUUGAGGCUUUUGUCAACUUCCAAGCAUAUGUAACUAACCAUUACAAUGCUACUGUGAAGGUACUACGGUCUGAUAAUGGAGGAGAAUACACCAGUCAUGCCUUCAAGAGUCACUUGGCUAAACAUGGGAUAGUGCAUCAAACCAGUUGUCCUUACACACCACAGCAGAAUGGGGUGGCUGAGAGGAAGAAUAGGCAUCUGAUGGAGGUGGCUAGAUCCAUGAUGUAUCAUGCUAAUGUUCCAAAGAGGUUUUGGGGUGAUGCUGUUCAGACUGCAUGCUAUCUUAUCAAUCGGAUUCCAACUAAGGUAUUGAAGAAUCUGUCUCCUUUUGAGGUGCUGAACAAGAGCAAGCCAUACAUAGAUCAUCUGCGUGUCUUUGGAUGUCUAUGUUAUGUCUGGGUUCCAGGAGAACAGAGAAACAAGUUGGAGGCAAAGAGCACUAAAGCAAUGCUCAUUGGAUACUCAGUAACUCAGAAGGGGACAAGUGCUAUGAUCCAGCAACCAGGAGAGUGCUGGUGUCUAGAGAUGUUAAGUUCAUAGAGACAAAGGGGUAUUAUGAAGAAAAGAAAUGGGAAGACUUGGAAGAUCUGUCUCAAGAACCAAGAAACAUGGCAGAGAAUCUGAGGAACAUCUUGGAAAGGCUUGGGGUAAACAUGUCCCAAGAUAAGGUUAGAGAAGUUGAAAGAACAACUCCCCUUGAUCAUGAGGGGGGAAUGGAGUCUGAAUCAAGAGUGCAAGAGCAGCACCAAGAGGAUUCAGGUCAUCAUGAUCAAGAGGUGACACAAGAAGUAGAGAAUGUUCCUCAGGUCGGUGUGAAUGAGCAGGGAGAGGUUCAUGAUCCAGAGGAGGUGAGUGAGACAGUAACAGACGUUCAAGCAGAGGUUCAAGCUGAGGAUCAGGUUCAGGUUUUGCGAAGGAGCACAAGGAUAAAGAGGGAUGCUUCCAACUGGGUAAACACGAGAGUGUACUACAAUGCCCAGGCUGUGGAGCAUCUUUCUCAAGCCGUAUGUUCCUUUGCAGAAUAUCCAGAAGAGCACAUGGUGUUUAUGUGUAACUUGGAUGAGAAUGAGAUACCAAGAUCUUAUGAAGAAGCUAUGAAGCACAAGGUUUGGAGAGAUUCAGUAGGAGAUGAAAGGGAUGCAAUGAUCAGGAAUGAUACUUGGUAUGAGAGUGAGUUACCUAAAGGGAAGAAGGCAGUUUCAAGCAGAUGGAUCUUCACCAUCAAGUAUCUUGCAAAUGGGGAGAUAGAUAGGCGCAAGACUAGGCUAGUUGCAGGAGGAUUUACACAGACUUAUGGGGAAGAUUACAUUGAUACUUUUGCACCAGUGGCCAAGCUUCACACAAUUCGAAUUGUGUUAUCCAUUGCAACAAACUUGGAGUGGGAUUUGUGGCAAAUGGAUGUGAAGAAUGCUUUCUUGCAAGGUGAACUUGAAGAUGAAGUAUACAUGCAUCCACCUCCUGGUCUUGAGCAUCUAGUAAAGCCAGGGAAUGUUUUGAGAUUGAAAAAAGCAAUAUAUGGGUUGAAGCAGUCACCUAGAGCUUGGUACAGGAAGCUGAGUACAACACUCAAUGGGAGAGGCUUUAGGAAGUCUGAACUAGAUCACACUCUCUUCACCUUGACAGGACCUUCAGGGAGCAUUGUGAUUCUAGUAUAUGUGGAUGAUUUGAUUAUAAUAGGAAGUGCUAAGGCAGGGAUUCAGGCCACUAAGGAGUUUCUCAAAUCUGUGUUUGACAUCAAGGAUUUGGGAGAGAUGAAGUAUUUUCUGGGCAUUGAGAUAUGCAGAUCAAAGGAGGGUUUGUUUAUGUCUCAAAGGAAGUAUACUAUGGAUAUGUUGAAGGAGACUGAUGUGCUUGGAGGAAAGAUAGCCAAGACACCUCUCGAGGAGGGAUAUAAGGUUCUGCGUGAGGGGGAGGUUGAAGAGAAGCAGCUGUUUGAGGAUCCUAGGCUAUACAGGAAGAUGGUUGGCAAGCUGAUCUACUUGACCAUCACUAGGCCAGAUAUAUGCUUUGCGGUGAAUCAAGUGAGUCAACAUAUGCAGGCGCCAAAGGUCCAUCAUUGGAAGAUGGUUGAUAGGAUACUGAGGUAUUUGAGUGGCACGUCUGGUCAAGGAGUUUGGAUGGGUUGUAAUGGCAGUACAGAAGUGGUUGGAUAUUGUGAUGCUGAUUGGGCAGGAGAUAGAGUGGACAGGAGAUCAACUACUGGGUAUUGUACAUUCAUUGGAGGGAACUUGGUCACUUGGAAGAGUAAGAAGCAGAAGGUUAUCUCCUGUUCAAGUGCUGAAGCUGAGUAUAGAGCCAUGUUGAAGCUGACAAACGAGUUGGUGUGGAUCAAGGGGAUCUUGAAGCAUUUGGAGAUUGAGCAGAGUACUCCUAUGACAAUGCAUUGUGACAAUCAAGCAGCUAUCCACAUUGCUUCUAACUCAGUCUUUCAUGAGAGGACGAAGCAUAUAGAAGUUGAUUGCCACAAGGUGAGGCAGAUGAUUAUACUUGGAGUGAUAUUGCCAUGUUAUACAAGAAGUGAAGAUCAGCUUGCAGAUGUGUUUACUAAAGCAGCGAGAUUAAAGACAAUGGAGUCCAUACUAUCAAGACUUGGACUCAUUGAUCUUACUCCUAGGAGCUGAGCCCCUCAACCAUGGAGUCUCCACUCUUUUUCCCUCAUCAAAGUUUUAUCCCAUUGGGUUUUCUUUGAUGAGGUUUUUAAUGAGGGAGGUCUUCAUGGUUUCCAAGCUUGACUUGUUCUACAUGGUCAAGCUUGAGGGGGAGUGUUGAGAUGAAGACCAAAGAGGCUGAGACAGUAACUUUAGAGUUUUACUGUGGUAACUUUCUUUUAACCACAGUAACUACUUGGGGAAGUUAUCUUAUGGGAUGAGGAGGUAACUUAAUGAGGAGAAGAUAGUAAAUUCGACCUAAGAGGAUAAGGAAGGAUAAGGGAGCACUUUGACAGCCUGUAUGAUGCUGGAAAGGAGAGGAUGCUUUUUACUAGUGCAAGCAUGUGAGAAAGCACAGCCAAGUGAUUCAAAAGGAGUUCCAGCCUGUCCAUUGACUCCACAUGCUUAUACAUUUCGAAAACCCUUGUUGCUCUCUCUAUUAAUACUUGUAAACCUCAUCAGUUAUUAAUCAAUGGAGCUUUGAGUCUAUCUCUCUCUAGAAUCUCUCUAUUCUCUCUAAACUUUACUCUAAUCUUCUCUAAUUAUUAUUAAACACACUCUAAAACACAAAAGUGUUUAUGGUAUCAAAGCCAGGUUGCUCAAAAGGGGAUGAGUGUGUGAUUUGUUUUUCGCAAAUUUAGGUUCUUUCUUGGUGUUCUUGAGUGUUCUUGGUGUUCUUGAGUGUUCUUGGUGUUCUUGAGUGUUCUUGGUGUUCUUGAGUGUUCUUGGUGUUCUUGAGUGUUCUUGGUGUUCUUGAGUGUUCUUGGUGUUCUUGAGUGUUCUUGGUGUUCUUGAGUGUUCUUGGUGUUCUUGAGUGUUCUUGGUGUUCUUGAGUGUUCUUGGUGUUCUUGAGUGUUCUUGGUGAUUCUGGGUUGUGUUCUUCUGUCACUAGUCUCGUCUGGAUCAUUCUGAUGGAAACAAACAAUCUAGACAUGGAGAAGAAGCACAGAUCUAGUACAAUCAUGGAGCUUGAAGAAGAGAGAGAUGGCGAUUGGUCAAGAUGGGCAAAGAGAGCUUUGGAAAGCUGUGGGUUAUGGUGUGGUCAUGUAAAGGGGAAGCCUUUAGUGGAAAUGGCUACUGAAGAAGGUCAGACAAGGAAUCUGAAAGGUGAAGAUGAAGCUGAUCAAGAAACCACUUUGGAGAGUGGGAUUGAAGAAGCUUAUGUAGAAAGGUCCAAACUUGUGAAGGUCAGUGGAGACAAGAGAGUGAUCUGCGGCUUGAGACAAGGAAAGGAUGAGUUGUAUCAGCUUGUGGGAAGGCUGAAAGAAGGAUGGAUGGAGCUGGAUGUGCUGAGACCAAGCACAUCUGAUCCGAGAGUUAUUAAAGAAAGGAGGAAACAAGAUGUGUUCUUUAGCUUUCUUGUGAAGGAGAUAUGGUUUCUGGUUCUUCAUGCGUGUGAUGUGUGGGAAGAGGACAAGAGUUCAAACCAGUGGAAAGGUGGUACAAGCUGUAAGAAGGGAAGGCUGAGAAAGCUUUCUAGAGUGUGGCUUAAGAUGGGAAAGGCGUGGAAGAAGGACAGGGAGUCUGGGUAUCUAACUGAUAGGAUGAGCUUGAAGAUGAUCAAGGAGGUGGCUCAACAAGUGGUAAGAGGAGAGUGUUCUUACUCUGCCUAUAUGAGUAACUCAGUGGAGGACAGUAUGGUUAUGAAGGGGCAAGAGAUCAAAGGAGCAGAUGAUCCUAUCACAAAGAAAGAAUGGGAUGAGUUUGUCAAGUAUGUGUAUGCUUUGGCUACGACCCGGAGACAAGGUGCUCCUGCCUUAGCAUCCACGUCCAAACCCAUCAUCAUUGAUUCUGGAGCAACACAUCAUAUGAUCAGUGAUAAAAGUCUGAUAAGUGGAGUCAAGGCUGCAACAGGGAGUGUUAUGAUAGCUAAUGGUGCUAGGAUCCCAAUAGAAGGCGUGGGAAACCUCAAGCUGUUUGAGAAGAGCUCACCUGCGUUCUAUUUGCCUCAGUUCACUUCAAAUCUGAUAUCAGUGAAGAAGGCCACAGUUGAUCUUGAUUGUCAAGUAGUAUUCAGGCCAAAUGAAGUUGAGUUUCAAGAUUUGAAGACUGGGAGAGUUAUUGGUAGAGGAGACAGCAAGAAUCAGUUAUAUCAUCUCCAAACAGCUAAGACCUCUAACCCUAUUGAUUCUGUAUGCUUGAGUAGUAAUGCUGAUAGGUGUGAGAGUACUACUUGGCAUGCUAGAUUAGGACAUCCUCAUGCUCGUGCAAUUGAAUUGAUUAUGCCUAAUAUGUCAUUCAAUCACUUGGAAUGUGAAGCUUGCAUCUUAGGGAAGCAUUGUAGAACUGUUUUUCCUACAUCAGAGACCAUAUAUGCAAAUUGCUUUGAUCUUGUUCAUUCUGAUGUGUGGACAGCCCCUUGUAUGUCUAGAGAAAACCAGAAGUACUUUGUGACAUUCAUAGAUGAGAAGUCUAAGUAUACAUGGAUCACAUUGCUGCCAUCUAAGGAUAGAGUGUUUGAGGCUUUUGUCAACUUCCAAGCAUAUGUAACUAACCAUUACAAUGCUACUGUGAAGGUACUACGGUCUGAUAAUGGAGGAGAAUACACCAGUCAUGCCUUCAAGAGUCACUUGGCUAAACAUGGGAUAGUGCAUCAAACCAGUUGUCCUUACACACCACAGCAGAAUGGGGUGGCUGAGAGGAAGAAUAGGCAUCUGAUGGAGGUGGCUAGAUCCAUGAUGUAUCAUGCUAAUGUUCCAAAGAGGUUUUGGGGUGAUGCUGUUCAGACUGCAUGCUAUCUUAUCAAUCGGAUUCCAACUAAGGUAUUGAAGAAUCUGUCUCCUUUUGAGGUGCUGAACAAGAGCAAGCCAUACAUAGAUCAUCUGCGUGUCUUUGGAUGUCUAUGUUAUGUCUGGGUUCCAGGAGAACAGAGAAACAAGUUGGAGGCAAAGAGCACUAAAGCAAUGCUCAUUGGAUACUCAGUAACUCAGAAGGGGACAAGUGCUAUGAUCCAGCAACCAGGAGAGUGCUGGUGUCUAGAGAUGUUAAGUUCAUAGAGACAAAGGGGUAUUAUGAAGAAAAGAAAUGGGAAGACUUGGAAGAUCUGUCUCAAGAACCAAGAAACAUGGCAGAGAAUCUGAGGAACAUCUUGGAAAGGCUUGGGGUAAACAUGUCCCAAGAUAAGGUUAGAGAAGUUGAAAGAACAACUCCCCUUGAUCAUGAGGGGGGAAUGGAGUCUGAAUCAAGAGUGCAAGAGCAGCACCAAGAGGAUUCAGGUCAUCAUGAUCAAGAGGUGACACAAGAAGUAGAGAAUGUUCCUCAGGUCGGUGUGAAUGAGCAGGGAGAGGUUCAUGAUCCAGAGGAGGUGAGUGAGACAGUAACAGACGUUCAAGCAGAGGUUCAAGCUGAGGAUCAGGUUCAGGUUUUGCGAAGGAGCACAAGGAUAAAGAGGGAUGCUUCCAACUGGGUAAACACGAGAGUGUACUACAAUGCCCAGGCUGUGGAGCAUCUUUCUCAAGCCGUAUGUUCCUUUGCAGAAUAUCCAGAAGAGCACAUGGUGUUUAUGUGUAACUUGGAUGAGAAUGAGAUACCAAGAUCUUAUGAAGAAGCUAUGAAGCACAAGGUUUGGAGAGAUUCAGUAGGAGAUGAAAGGGAUGCAAUGAUCAGGAAUGAUACUUGGUAUGAGAGUGAGUUACCUAAAGGGAAGAAGGCAGUUUCAAGCAGAUGGAUCUUCACCAUCAAGUAUCUUGCAAAUGGGGAGAUAGAUAGGCGCAAGACUAGGCUAGUUGCAGGAGGAUUUACACAGACUUAUGGGGAAGAUUACAUUGAUACUUUUGCACCAGUGGCCAAGCUUCACACAAUUCGAAUUGUGUUAUCCAUUGCAACAAACUUGGAGUGGGAUUUGUGGCAAAUGGAUGUGAAGAAUGCUUUCUUGCAAGGUGAACUUGAAGAUGAAGUAUACAUGCAUCCACCUCCUGGUCUUGAGCAUCUAGUAAAGCCAGGGAAUGUUUUGAGAUUGAAAAAAGCAAUAUAUGGGUUGAAGCAGUCACCUAGAGCUUGGUACAGGAAGCUGAGUACAACACUCAAUGGGAGAGGCUUUAGGAAGUCUGAACUAGAUCACACUCUCUUCACCUUGACAGGACCUUCAGGGAGCAUUGUGAUUCUAGUAUAUGUGGAUGAUUUGAUUAUCACAGGAAGUGAUAAGGCAGGGAUUCAGGCCACUAAGGAGUUUCUCAAAUCUGUGUUUGACAUCAAGGAUUUGGGAGAGAUGAAGUAUUUUCUGGGCAUUGAGAUAUGCAGAUCAAAGGAGGGUUUGUUUAUGUCUCAAAGGAAGUAUACUAUGGAUAUGUUGAAGGAGACUGAUGUGCUUGGAGGAAAGAUAGCCAAGACACCUCUCGAGGAGGGAUAUAAGGUUCUGCGUGAGGGGGAGGUUGAAGAGAAGCAGCUGUUUGAGGAUCCUAAGCUAUACAGGAAGAUGGUUGGCAAGCUGAUCUACUUGACCAUCACUAGGCCAGAUAUAUGCUUUGCGGUGAAUCAAGUGAGUCAACAUAUGCAGGCGCCAAAGGUCCAUCAUUGGAAGAUGGUUGAUAGGAUACUGAGGUAUUUGAGUGGCACGUCUGGUCAAGGAGUUUGGAUGGGUUGUAAUGGCAGUACAGAAGUGGUUGGAUAUUGUGAUGCUGAUUGGGCAGGAGAUAGAGUGGACAGGAGAUCAACUACUGGGUAUUGUACAUUCAUUGGAGGGAACUUGGUCACUUGGAAGAGUAAGAAGCAGAAGGUUAUCUCCUGUUCAAGUGCUGAAGCUGAGUAUAGAGCCAUGUUGAAGCUGACAAACGAGUUGGUGUGGAUCAAGGGGAUCUUGAAGCAUUUGGAGAUUGAGCAGAGUACUCCUAUGACAAUGCAUUGUGACAAUCAAGCAGCUAUCCACAUUGCUUCUAACUCAGUCUUUCAUGAGAGGACGAAGCAUAUAGAAGUUGAUUGCCACAAGGUGAGGCAGAUGAUUAUACUUGGAGUGAUAUUGCCAUGUUAUACAAGAAGUGAAGAUCAGCUUGCAGAUGUGUUUACUAAAGCAGCGAGAUUAAAGACAAUGGAGUCCAUACUAUCAAGACUUGGACUCAUUGAUCUUACUCCUAGGAGCUGAGCCCCUCAACCAUGGAGUCUCCACUCUUUUUCCCUCAUCAAGGUUUUAUCCCAUUGGGUUUUCUUUGAUGAGGUUUUUAAUGAGGGAGGUCUUCAUGGUUUCCAAGCUUGACUUGUUCUACAUAUUAGAUUUUGUGAUUUAAAGAGUGAUUAAGUUUAAUCUGAGAAUUAAAGAGAUUGGAGAUUAAGAACAAGAGAGAGAGAGAGACUCAAAACUCCAUUAGAUUGAUUAAUGAGAGAGUUUACAACAUAUAUAGAUAAGAGAUACACAAAAACGUCCAGGUUCAGUCUAGCUAGGAUAAGAAGCAUGUGUAGUCAAAGAUGCUUGAUUUAAACUAGCCAAUAAGGUUCCUCACAUGCUUGGGUAUCUUGCUUUAACUUUCCAGCUAGUGCCAGCCUGUCUAAAGCUCUCUAGCAUUGACCAGACCUUAUCCAAACUCCUCCUUGCUUAUCCAGACUCCUCCUGGCGUGUUUCACUCUCCAAAUGGAUGCAAGGUAACUUCCAAAGCCUUUUAACUCAGUUACCACAGUAACAAUUAAGUUACUGUGGUAAAUCUCCAAAGUUACUGUCUGCUCCAACUCUCUUCCUCUAUCCAUGUAUCAACUCUUCAUCACUUCAUCUCAACACUUUAUUCUCUCAUCUCAACACUCCCCCUCAAGCUUGACCAUGUGGAACAAGUCAAGCUUGGAAGAACCAUGAGAUCUCCCUCAUUAAAACCUCAUUAAGGAAAACCCAUUGGGACAAAACCUUAAUGAGGAAAGAGUAGAGAUCACAUGAUCAGGAGAGUGUAUAGACUAGUCCUUAGGCGAGAGAUCAAUGAGUCCUAACCUGAUGUGUAUGGACUCCAUUGUCUUUUGCCUUGCUGCCUUUGUGAACACAUCUGCUAACUGAUCCUCACUCCGAGUAUAACAAGGUAGAAUCACCCCAAGAAUCAUCAUCUGCCUCACCUUGUGACAAUCAACCUCAAUGUGCUUUGUUCUCUCAUGGAAUACAGAAUUAGAUGCAAUGUGGAUAGCUGCUUGAUUAUCACAAUGCAUUGUCAUUGGCGUUGCUUGAAUAAUCUCCAGAUGCUUCAAAAUCCCUUUUAUCCACACUAGCUCAUUUGUAAGCUUCAGCAUUGCUCUAUACUCGGCCUCAGCACUGGAGCAAGACACUACCUUCUGCUUCUUACUCUUCCAAGUGACCAAGUUACCACCAAUGAAUGUACAAUAGCCUGUGGUUGAUCUUCUGUCUGCUCGGUCUCCAGCCCAAUCUGCAUCACAGUAGCCUACAACCUCAGUACUCUUGUUACAUCCCAUCCAUACUCCAAGACCAGUAGUUCCAUUCAGAUACAUCAAGAUCCUUUCCACCAUCCGCCAAUGGUGCUCCUUAGGAACUUGCAUGUGUUGACUGACUUGAUUCACCGCAAAACACACAUCAGGUCUAGUAAUGGUAAGAUAAAUCAACUUCCCCACCAGCUUCCUAUAUAGCUUAGGAUCAUGGAACGGCUUGCUAUCCUCAAUCUCCCCCUCACGUGGAACCUUGUAACCAUCCUCCAUUGGCAUCUUGGCUGUCUUUCCUCCAUAGGCAUCUGCUCCCUUCAAGAGAUCAAUCACAUACUUCCUUUGGGACAUAAACAAUCCUUCCUUUGAUCUGCAUAUCUCAAUCCCAAGAAAAUACUUCAUUUCCCCCAAGUCUUUAAUCUCAAAGCUUGCCUUCAGAUACUCCUUUGUAGCCUUGAUGCCUUCCUUAUCACUGCCUGUGAUGAUGAUAUCAUCCACAUACACAAGCAACACCACAAUACCAGAUGUGGUGGUUAGGGUAAAGAGAGUGUGAUCCAAUUCUGACUUUCUAAACCCUCUCCCAUUCAGUGUAGUACUCAACUUGUUGUACCACGCCCUUGGAGACUGCUUGAGACCAUAGAUAGCUUUCCUCAACCUCAACACAUUACCCUUCUUUACUAGAUGUUCAAGACCUGGUGGUGGAUGCAUGUAUACUUCAUCUUCCAACUCUCCUUGAAGGAAUGCAUUCUUCACAUCCAUUUGCCACAAAUCCCACUCAAGAUUCACAGCUAAAGAUAAUACAAUCAUGAUAGUAUGAAGUUUAGCCACAGGAGCAAAAGUCUCAACAUAGUCCUCACCAUAUGUCUGAGUAAAUCCUCUUGCCACCAACCUAGAUUUGCGCCUCUCUAUUCUCCCAUCAGGAUGAAACUUGAUUGUGAACACCCAUUUACUAGUCACUGCCUUCUUCCCUUUAGGCAGCUCACUCUCAUACCACGUUUCAUUCUUAAUCAUGGCUCCGGACUCAUCAGCAACUGAAUCUCUCCACUCCUUUAAAGCCAUAGCUUCUUCAUAUGUCCUUGGAAUAUAGCUCUCAUCCAAGCUUACUGUGAAGGCUGUAUGCUCCUCCGGAAACUCUGCAAAGGAACACAUAGCUUGAGAAGGAUGCUCCAUAGCCUGGGCAUUGUAGUACACUCUCGUGUUUACCCAGUUGGAAGCAUCUCUCUUCACCCUUGUGCUCCUCCUUAGCUCCUGAACUUGUUCUUCUUGUGGCUCUUGCCCAUCUUCACUUGAUUGAGCACCACUCUCAUUUGACCCAUUAGGAUCUCAUUCCCACUCUCCACUCUCAUCUGAGCCAGUAGACUCUCUUUGCCCAUCUCCACUAGACUGAGCAUCACUUUCUACUUCCUGUGUCACCUCUUGAUUAUGCUGGCCUGAAUCUUCUUGAUUUUGCACUUGCUCAUGAGAUUCAGUUCCAUUCCCCCUCUCAUGAUCAAGAGGAGUUGUUCUUUCAGUUUCACUAGUCGGAUUGGAAGACUCUCUUCUUCCAGAUUCCUGAUCCUGGGAUAACCCUAUCCCUAGCUUCUCCAACAGCACCCUCAGUGUUGUUGCUCUAUCAGAUGGGGCUUGAUACAAAUCCUUCAUAUUUUCCCACUCCUUUUCUUCAUAAUACCCUUUUGAUUCAAUAAACUUCACUUCUCUAGAUACCAUCACUCUCCUUGCUUCAGGAUCAUAGCACUUGUAUCCCUUCUGAGUGAUAGAGUAUCCAAUGAACAUAGCCUUAGUACUCUUUGCCUCCAGCUUGUUUCUCUGUUCUCCUGGAGUCAUGACAUAGCGUACACACCCAAAUACUCGUAGGUGAUCAAUAAAAGGCUUGCUCUUAUUCAGCACCUCAAAUGGAGACAGAUUCUUCAGUAUCUUGGUUGGGACCCGGUUGAUGAGAUAGCAAGCAGUCUGUACAGCAUCUCCCCAAAAACGUUUUGGGACAUUUGCAUGAAACAUCAUCGACCUAGCAACCUCCAUCAAGUGCCUAUUCUUCCUCUCAGCUACACCAUUCUGCUGUGGUGUGUAGGGACAACUGGUCUGAUGCACAAUCCCAUGCUUGGCUAGAUGACUCUUGAAGGCAUUGCUGAUAUAUUCACCUCCGUUGUCUGAUCUCAGUACCUUCACAGUGGCAUUGUAUUGAUUAGAUACAUAUGCUUGAAAGUUCACAAAAGCUUCUAGCACCCUAUCUUUAGAUGGAAGCAAUGUGAGCCAUGUAUACUUAGACUUCUCAUCAAUGAAUGUCACAAAGUAUUUAUGGCUGUCUCUAGACAUGCAUGGAGCUGUCCACACAUCCGAGUGAACUAGAUCAAAGCACUGCUCAUAAGUAGUCUCAGAUGUUGGGAAAACAGUCCUACAAUGCUUUCCUAAUAUGCAUGCUUCACAAUUCAAGUGAUUGAAUGACAUAUUAGGGAUUAUCAAUUCAAUGGCACGAGCAUGAGGAUGUCCUAAUCUAGCAUGCCAAGUAAUACUAUCAAUCUUCUCAGCAGUACUACUCAAGCAAAUAGAAUCAAAGGGAUUAGAGGUCUUAGCCAAGUUGAGGUGGUAUAGCUGAUUCUUGCUGUCUCCUCUGCCAAUAACUCUCACAGUCUUCAAAUCUUGAAACUCAACUUCAUCAGGUCUGAAUACUACUUGACAAUCAAGAUCAAUGGUAGCUUUCUUCACAGAUAAUAGAUUUGAAGUGAACUGAGGCAUAUAGAAGGCAGCCGUAUCCUUCUCAAACAGUUUUAGCUUUCCCACUCCUUCUAUUGGGAUCAUGGCACCAUUAGCUAUCAUAACACUUCCUGUUGCAGCCUUGAUCUCACUUAUAAGCCUCCUAUCACUGAUCAUGUGAUGACUUGCUCCAGAAUCAAUCACAGUGGGUUUAGAAGCUCCGGAUUGUAUAGCAUGCUUCCUGCUUGCUGCUAAGGCUUGUACUUGUUCCAUGAACACUCUCCAUUCCUUCCUGGUGAUGCGAUCAUCAGCUCCACUCCCUUUCUCCUGCUCUUUUAACACCCCACUGUUUUCUACUGAUUCCCCCAUGUAGGCUGAGUAAGAACACUCUCCCACAACUCUCUUCCUACCCUUUCCUAUGUUGAUAGAAGCUUUGGAUAGCAUUCUGCACCUCCUCUUCUUCCGGAAGCCAUCACUCCUACUCCCGGUUAGCCUCCAUGAGCUCUCACUCCUACUCAUGGUUAGCUUCUGGAAGCUCUCACUCCUACUCCCAGUUGGCUUCCAUGAGCUCUCACUCCUACUCAUGGUUAGCCUCUCAUCAUCUCUCAUUAUCUCAUACGCCCUUCUUAUAAGCACACAUAUCUCUUCCAUUUCCGGAAGCUGUUCCCCUCUUAGAACCAUCUCCACCAGCCACCCAUAUGAUGACUCCAUGCUCGCCAAGAGCUUCAAGACCGUCGCUUGCUCUUGUGUAGUAUCCCCAUCCACAUGGGAUCUCAACCCUUGUAGUUCAAUCCACAAAUGUUGUAGCUUCCUCACAUGGUUAUUGAACCCUUCUCUUCCUGGUUUAACUUCACUAAUCACCUUCUUGACUUCAUACACUCUCCUAAGACUGAUCUUGUUCUCAUAAACAUCUUCAAUCUUCUCAAGCAGUGUACUUUCUUCAAGACUAAAGCAAUUUCCACUUGUUUCCCUUGCUGUCUGAUCUUUCUCAGCAGCUUUCCCCUUCAAAGACUCUUACUUCUCAUGGUUUCUCCAAACUCCACACCUUUUCAGAGUUGUUUUCAUUUGUGAGAACCACCCCCACUCAUUCCCUCUCUCUUUCUUCUCUUCACGCCUUGUUGUACCAGAUUGAAGCGGCUCCAUUUUCUUUAGCCUAGAUCUUCCCUCAAAUGCUUCUAAUCUCCCACGCCAAGCUUAACUACAAGCUAGACCCCUCUUCUGACCUUGUCACACGCCUAAAGAGACUCCCUUGAAGCUGACUCUCCAAAAGAAACACCAACAGACACAAACUUGACUUUUAAAGGAUCUAGCUCUUGAAAAAUCUCAAGAACUCUCAAGAACACUCAAGAACACUCAAAAACAUUUAUAAAAACAAAAUCUCUCUUUCCUUUUAAAGGAACCUGGCUCUGAUACCAUAUUAGAUUUUGUGAUUUAAAGAGUGAUUAAGUUUAAUCUGAGACUUAAAGAGAUUGGAGAUUAAGAACAAGAGAGAGAGAGAGACUCAAAACUCUGAGAAUUAAAGAGAUUGGCGAUUAUGAACAAGAGAGAGAAUGAAGAGAGAGAGACUCAAAACUCAUUAAUUAAUAACUGAUGAGGUUUACAAGUAUUAAUAGAGAGAGCAACAAGGAAAUUCGAAAUGUAUAAGCAUGUGUAGUCAAAUGACAGGCUGGAACUCCUUUUGAAUCACUUGGCUGUGCUUUCUCACAUGCUUGCACUAGUAUAAAAGCAUCCUCUCCUUUCCAGCAUCAUACAGGCUGUCAAAGUGCUCCCUUAUCCUUCCUUAUCCUUUCUGGUCGAAUCUUAUCUCUUCUCUUCACUAAGUUACCUUCUUAUCCCAUCAGAUAACUUCCCCAAGUUGUUACUGUGGUUAAACUAAAGUUACCACAGUAAAACUCCAAAGUUACUGUCUGCUCCAAAUCUCUUCCUCUCUCAACAUAUCAACUCUUUAUUCUCUCAUCUCAACACUCCCCCUCAAGCUUGACCAUGUGGAACAAGUCAAGCUUGGAAGGACCAUGAGAUCUCCCUCAUUAAAACCUCAUUGCUAGAUUAGGACAUCCUCAUGCUCGUGCAAUUGAAUUGAUUAAACCUAAUAUUUCAUUCAAUCACUUGGAAUGUGAAGCUUGCAUCUUAGGGAAGCAUUGUAGAACUGUUUUUCCCACAUCAGAGACCAUAUAUGCAAAUUGUUUUGAUCUUGUUCAUUCUGAUGUGUGGACAGCCCCUUGUAUGUCUAGAGAAAACCAGAAGUACUUUGUGACAUUCAUAGAUGAGAAGUCUAAGUAUACAUGGAUCACAUUGCUGCCAUCUAAGGAUAGAGUGUUUGAAGCUUUUGUCAACUUCCAAGCAUAUGUAACUAACCAUUACAACGCUACUGUGAAGGUACUACGGUCUGAUAAUGGAGGAGAAUACACCAGUCAUGCCUUCAAGAAUCAUUUGGCUAAACAUGGGAUAGUGCAUCAGACCAGUUGUCCUUACACACCACAGCAUAAUGGGGUACCUGAGAGGAAGAAUAGGCAUCUAAUGGAGGUGGCUAGAUCCAUGAUGUAUCAUGCUAGUGUUCCAAAGAGGUUUUGGGGUGAUGCUGUUCAGACUGCAUGCUAUCUUAUCAAUCGGAUUCCAACUAAGGUAUUGCAGAAUCUGUCUCCGUUUGAAGUGCUGAACAAGAGCAAGCCACACAUAGAUCAUCUGUGUGUCUUUGGAUGUCUAUGUUAUGUCUGGGUUCCAGGAGAACAGAGAAACAAGUUGGAGGAAAAGAGCACUAAAGCAAUGCUCAUUGGGUACUCAGUAACUCAGAAGGGGUACAAGUGCUAUGAUCCAGCAACCAGGAGAGUGUUGGUGUCUAGAGAUGUUAAGUUCAUAGAGACCAAGGGGUAUUAUGAAGAAAAGAAUUGGAAAGACUUGGAAGAUCUGUCUCAAGAACCAAGAAACAUGGCAGAGAAUCUGAGGAACAUAUUGGAAAGGCUUGGGGCUUGGGGUAAACAUGUCCCAGGAUAAGGUUAGAGAACCUGAAAGAACAACUCCCCUUGAUCAUGAGGGGGGAAAUGAGUCUGAAUCAGGAGUGCAAGAGCAGCACCAAGGGGAUUCAGGUCAUCAUGAUCAAGUGGUGACACAAGAAGUAGAGAAUUUUCCUCAGGUCAGUAUGGAUGAGCAAGGAGAGGUUCAUGAUCAAGAGGAGGUGAGUGAGACAGAAACAGAGGUUCAAGCAGAGGUUCAUACUGAGGAACAGGUUCAACCAUUGAGGAGGAGCACACGGAUAAAGAGGGAUGCUUCCAACUGGGUAAACACGAGAGUGUACUACAAUGCCCAGGCUGUGGAGCAUCCUUCUCAAGCCGUGUGUUCCUUUGCUGAGUUUCCAGAGGAGCAUCAUGCCUUUAUGAUUAGUCUGGAUGAGAGUUAUGUACCAAGGACUUAUGAAGAAGCUAUGUUAGACAAGGAAUGGAAAGAAUCAGUGGGAGCUGAAGCAGGUGCUAUGAUCAAAAAUGAUACAUGGUAUGAGAGUGAGCUGCCUAAGGGAAAGACGGCUGUAUCUAGUAGAUGGAUCUUCACAAUCAAGUAUCUAGCAAAUGGACAGAUUGAUAGGAAGAAGACCAGAUUGGUUGCAAGAGGAUUUACACAGACCUAUGGAGAGGAUUACAUUGAUACCUUUGCACCAGUAGCUAAGCUACAUACAGUUCGGAUUGUGUUGUCCAUUGCAACAAACUUGGAGUGGGAUUUGUGGCAGAUUAUGAGAUUUGAACAGAGUACUGGUUGUGUGUGUUUGUGUGUGUAUAAACUCCAAUGGAGAAAGAUGAGAGCUUGAAAGUGAUUUGAGAAAAGACUAGAAAGAGAGUUUGUGUCUAAGUGUUUAUGAGAUUGGUAACAAGUCUAGAGAUUCAAGAGUUUAGUGUCUAGGGUUUUAAGUUUCAAGAACAAGUUUAUGAAGAGAAGGGGAAACCCCCCUUUCAGCUUAAGAGCUUCAAAAUCGCCCAUUACACUAGCUUUUAUAAGCUUUACACAUUGCAUACAUUAGAAACCUAAAUCUAAUGGAUAGAAACACUUGAAAGAAUGAAUGGCUAGGAUGGAGCUUGGGCUUGAUCUGAGUGAAGGUAUCUCAUUGGUUCAGCUCUCUUUAGUAUCUGAUUGGUUAAUUCAAACUGGUCAAGGCAAGGGCUGGCUUCUCAUUGGCUCCUUAUAGGCUCCCAUGAAUAUUCCCAUGUAUCUGACCAGAUACAUGAUCAAGGGUGCUUCUUCUUUACAGCUCACGCCAGCUAACACCUUGCUGUCUUAUCCACAAGUGGUCCCAACACUUUAAAUAAAGCAUUGGCGCCCUUUAGGAUCAGAAUACACUCUUGGCCUCUUCCCAUAAUCAGCCACACGAGUUUCUUCUUCCUUGGGGCUCAAGACAGACUUGUUGCAACUUCAGGAUAUGUACGGAUUGUUUGCACUGACCGUACAACAUCCUUAAAUUGCACAAGUCCUAAAAUGUCUCAAAUGGCCGAGUUAUGCAAUAUGGGUCGACCCUGAUCCGUACUGAUCUGUCCUGGUCGCCCUAUCUUUGCAGACUCAACCAUUUGCUCCCAAUCACACUUCUAAGUCCCUCCUGGACUUGGCCCUAUCUUUGCACAACCAUCUGAUCACUUCUGGACACCUUCAAAACCCUCCUGAAGUCUUGACAGACAAUCUCUGAAGGUCUUGCCCUAUUCUUGCUCAAGACCCAUCUCAACCCAACUCCACCUUUGGCUCCAUUUCUUUCUUCAAGUUAACACUCCCCCUCAAGCUUGACUUUAGCAGAUCCUAAGUCAAGCUUGGAACCUUGAAGAACUUCCUCAUUAAAAACCUCACCAAGGAAAACCCUUUGGGACAAAACCUUGAUGAGGGAAAAAGAGUAAAGUCUCCAAGGCCUAGGGAUUGGCCAGUGAGUCUUUGUGUCUUAGUAUCAGUGUGAUAGACACAAAGACUCGGGAUCAUGGCCUCUUCACAUCACCCCACGCCUUGUACUCUUCUCUCAGCCUGCUCUUGGUCUCUCCCCCUUUCACCUAACCUUCUUGUUAGGUUGAAGUGCUCGGACAUACCAGAUCAGCCUCUUCAUAGAGAUACAAGAACUAGCUGAGCCUUGGAUGCUUCUUCUUCAUGAGUCACCACCUUGUUGCUGGAACUACAUAAGGAUGCUUCAGCCUCACUCCAACCACCUCAACACUUGAGGCCGCCUUGGACAUUGCUUCUUCAUCCUCCACCAUACUUCCUAACCGGUUUGCUUCUCUUCUUGAAUAACAACCAAGUACUCUCGGAUCAUGUAAGCUUCAACACUCCCCCUCAAGCUUGAGACUCUCACAUGAACAAGCUUGGACGGACUGCUUCAUGAUCCGCACACCCAAGCCACUGCAACCUCUCUUCUGAAUUCGCCACCUUGAUGGAAUGCUUGUGGAAGCUUCAGCUACUUCUUCAACCACCUCAACACUUGAAGCCACAUUGAUAGAGUAGCCUUCUUCUUCACACAGCCAAGAGUGCUCUGUCUUAGUUUGAACACUCUCUUGAAUAGACAUGCCACUGCCUAGACCCGGUUGGCUUCUUCUUCAGUUGCUUGCAAUGACUCUUGGAUAGACUAGGAAGCUCACUUAACUCCCCUCCUCAAGCUUGGCCGAAUCUAGGCCUAAGCUUGGAGUGAGCUUCAGUGAGCUUUAACACCAUGGACAAAGUCUUCCUCUUUCAAUUUGGAUGAAUGGUGAGCUAAGAACACAUCUUGUGAACCUGAAACAACACUCAAACUCCAGCAAAGAUAAGACACAAUAGUAUUGGGAUCAAUCCUUGAUUAAUCAUCAAGUUUGAUUCCCAAUAUCACAAGCAUUGCAACAGAUUAAACAAG